UUGUGCACAUACAUAGAGAUGAGACUGAGUAUAAGUUGGGCACGUGGAGAUCGUCCGUGCUGGGGAUGGUGAGAUGUUAAGAUUGUAAUUUGGGCACGUGGAGACCGUCCGUGCGAAAAUUGUUGAUAUUAUGAUAGUGCGUUGAGAUCGUCCGCACAGACACGUGGAGAUCGUCCGUGUCGGUAUAUGGACCUCGCGAGUCCCCCAUGGGUCAUGAACUCUCGAUGUAGUUCCGAGGAGUAUCAUGUAUAUACGGUUGAGUGAGUAUUGGGUAUUCUGAGACAUAUCAUUACAUGGCAUCAUAUUGCAUUGCAUUUCAUCCCAUCAUUCAUUCUUGAUGACUAUAUGUUUCGCUUGGUGUUUGAAAAAUAUUAAAUGUUGAUUUCCUUUAUUGAUGAAACUUAAAUAGUAAGUGUAAUAUAUCUUUCCUAGUGGGUACACAUGGUUUCGUACUCAUACUACGCUUGUUGCACUCUUUGUGGUGCAGAUUCGAUUCCGAGUAGGAGCACAUCUCGUGGAGCAAAUUGAGUCCGGCUUGAAGUUCUUGGAGUUGUGGUGAGCUGCUUGGCUGUUCCGUGGCCCACACCUCCCUCUAUCUUUUACUUAUUCUGUUAUUCAGUAUUCAGACAGGAUAUCCCUUAUGUUAGAUUUGCCUUUUUAGUUUCAGACUUGCAUCGUAUUUUAGAAGCUCUUGUACUCAUGACACCAUUUCUUGGGUAGUAUUUUUUUUCAGUUUUCCGCAUUCAUACUUAUAAGAACUCAGUGUUGGAGAUUUGGAAAUUGUUGUCUUUUCACUUCUUGUUAGUUAAGUUUGUUAAAAUAUGUUGGUUGGCUUACCUAUUGGUUGGGAAUAUAGGUGCCAUCACGACUCGUGAUUUUGGGUCGUGACACGAACCCCGCUUUCAGAUGGGGGACUCCCGCCCCCCAUAACCCCCCGGCAACCUCACUCCGGAGGUUAAACCGCGUAAACAGUUAUAUAUAUUAAUCAGGCUCCACUACCUGACACUUUGUGAUCUAAAAAGACUUGCUUUCCCAUUUCUUUACUGGAUAUAUUAAUAUCUAUUGUGUUUUGUUUUUCUUAAUGGUCUAUGUCUACUUGGUGAAGAUAUGUCUUUCCUUCUCUUGCUCUUAGUGUUUUGACAAAAUCUCUUCUGUUGUGUUUUUCUUUUGCAAAGGUGCUUGUUGGUAUCUAUUUUCAAGUGACAUUUUUUGAGAUGACUUCUUUUAUGAGGUCAAGUGGAAACUGAGUGAUUAAAUAAAGCAUCAGUUAGAAUAAUUUGUUGCUUGGUGUGUGCAUGUGAUUUAUGAUGCAUUUUUUAAUAAUGUUUCAUGCUCGACUAAUAGAAUUAACAUAGAGAGUAAUGUUCAGUCUAUUUACUUGCGAAAUAUUGGAUGAGCAUUAUCACACAAAGGCCUAUUUUGGACUAGUUAUUUGUUGGUUUUGGUCGACCUUGAUAACUAUCAUGGCUUGAAUUUGUACUCAUGGUGAAUUGGAGGUGUUUGAAUGAAGUCCGAACGUUUUGUCCCUUCCUGUUGGUUGUUAAAAUUCCUUCCCAUGAAAUUUUUUUGGUAUAUUUUAAUCUUUUGUUCUGUCCCUCAAUAAACUUUUAUUUAUGGUCUUUUAUAGGUGAGAAGAUAACCAACACGAGGAUGAUAACAACAGUAGAGAUGAAGAACUUACUGGAUAUAUUUGAUUGGAAGUUGGAGAAUCCUAUUAAUUUAGCUCAACUUUUUUGCUUCUUGACAUUUUGAGACUUUUGUUAAGCAACAGUCUUUUGUUUUAAUAUCUAUUAGUAUGGAAGUGCAAACGAUUGAAAACAUGUGUUUUGGUAUGUUUUACCUUUAUGGAUAUUGUGACUAGGAUAUUUCGAAUUAUAUAUAUAUAUAUAUAUAUAUAUAUAUAUAUAUAUAUAUAUGAUUCCACUAUAUAAUUAGUCGUUUUCUUUCGUGAUUUGAUUUAGAGAACUUUUUUAUGAAUUAUAUAUAUAUAUAUAUAUAUAUAUAUAUAUAUAUAUAUAUAUAUAUAUAUAUAUAUAUAUAUUUUGCUUAAGAAACAUGAACUAUUGUAACAGGUUGGGAAAAUCUGUAUAUUCAUAUAGAUUGGUUGCUAUAGAAAAUAAAACUAUUGCAAUAUCAAUAAAAACUGUUGCCAUAUUAUUUAAAAAAGUGUUGCGAUAUGAACAAGCUAUUGCAACGGACUUUAUUGCAACGCUAUGUAACAAUUACCACAACCCCUAAUUCAACAGUUGUUAACAGUUACAAUUAUUUUAAUAUUAUAGUGCCUAUAAAUAGAAGGAAAACCGUUACAAUAGAGACCCUUAUAGCAACACUUUCGAGAAUCGUUACAUUACCUAUUACAGUAGAGCUAUAGUAACGCGAGCAAAUGAGACGGUUCAUAAACCGUUGUUGUAGCUCUACGGCAACAAUUUGUUGUCCUAUUGCAACACAUAUGGAACUGUUAGGCCUAAUUUCUAGUUGUGUCAACAACCUAAUCUUUCAAUCAUUAAUUGUUUCUGCUUAUAUUUUGACCAAUCAUCACAUCACAUCUGCACUUAACACUUUUCAAUUUUUCACACCAAAUUCGUGUGGGUAUAAAAAGGACUAACAAUUAACCUCCUUAUUCUUAAACACUCUAAUUCUGAAAGUUCUAGGAAAAAACUUUGCUAACCUGAAACGCUUCUUCAAUUUGCUCUUGACAAUCGUUCGACUCCUUUUUUUUUUUUUUACACAUUAGCUAUCACCCUAAUUGUAUACGUUAAAAUUAUAAAAGUAACAAAAGUGACCCACUAUAAAUUUUAAAGUUAUCUUCUUUAACCAUCAACUAAGCAUAUUAUUAAAACUACCCCACUAGUUGUAACUACAAAUAGUCCAAAAUACCCCUAUAGAACCUAUGAGAAAGUAUUUUAUGCAAUAAAAAGUUUUAGUACUCAAAACGACCAAAAAAGGUCGUUACAAUAACCUAGAUUCGAACUCAUGACCUAUAGACUAUUCAUUUAAGUUUUAACAAUUCACGUUGCAAUAUCAUUAGUUACAAUUACGACAGAAAAGUAUUUAUUCUCUUCAUAUAAGUUGUUAAUGAAUAUUACUAGAGAAUUUAAAAUGUGAUAUAUCAAUAAAUAUAGUCUAAUAACUCCUAAUACGUGAAGAUAAAUUGAUCUAAGAUUGACAUGUAUCAUAACUAAUUGUAUCAUCCGAUUAUAACUUGAUCAUGCAUAUAUAAUCACAUUCACUUGAUUUAUAUUUGUGAGGGAGCAUAACUCAUAUAAUACUAUAUCUAUUACAUUUAUUUUCAUCAUAAUGAUUCAACUUAUAAUAGUGAUAAAUCUUUAAUUUUUGUGAAAUAAUCCAAAUAUAAGCUUUUACAAUCAUAUUUACCAAAAUAAUAUAAAAUUAAAAAUUAUUUAAAUACUAAUAGCUUCAAAUAGUCUCGUUUUUUUUAAAAAUACCUAAAAUUGGGACCUAACCUAGAUUCGAACCCGUGACCUAUACACUGUUCGUUAAAGUUUUAACCAUUGGCGAUGCAAUAACAUUCAUUCAUAAUUAUCAAAGAAAAUUUAUUUAGUCUCUUUAUAUAUUACAAGGAAAUUUAAAAUGAGAUAUUGUCUAUGAAUAUAGUCUAAUAACUCCUAAAAUGUGAAGAUAAAUUGAUCAAAAGUUGAUCACAUUCAAUUAACUUGUAUUUGUGAGGGAGCAUAACUCAUAUAAUACUAUACCCAUUACAUUUAUUUUCAUCAUAAUGAUUCGAUUUAUAGUAAUGAAAAAUCUUCAAUUUUUGUGAAACAAUCCAAAUGUAAACAAAUCCAAUCAUAUUUACAAAAAAAAAAAAUUAAAAAUUAUUUAAAUCCUAAAAACUUCAAAGAGUCUAUUUUUUUUUACAAAAAUACCUAAAAUUGGGACCUAACCUAGGUUCGAACUCUUGAACUAUAAAUUAUUCGUUUAAGCUUUAAUUAUUUGCGCUUCAAUAACAUUCAAUCAUAAUUAUGAAAGAAAAUUUAUUUUAUCUUUUGAUAUCAGUAGUUUAAUGAAUAUCACUAGAGAAUUUAAAAUGAGAUAUUAUCAAUAAAUAUAGUCUAAUAACCCCUAAAAUAUGAACAUAAAUUGAUCAAAAGUUGUCAUGCAUCAUAACUAAUUAUAUUACAUAAUUAUAACUUGAUCAUGCUUAUAUAAUCACAUUCAAUUGGCUUAUAUUUGUGAGGGAACAUAACUCAUAUUAUACUAUAUCCUUUACAUUUAUUUUCAUCAUAAUGAUUAGACUUAUAAUAAUGAAAAAUCUUCAAUUUUUGUGAAGAGGAUCUAAAUACAUACUUUUACAAUCUUAUUUACCAAACAGACAAGAAAUUAAAAUUAUUUAAAUCUUAAAAGCUUCAAAGAGUCUAAUCUUUUUAAAAAUAUGCUCAAAAUUGGGACCUAAUCUAGAUACGAACUCGUGACAUAUUGACUAUUCGUUUAAACUUUAACCAUUCGCGUUGCAUUAUCAUUCAGUCAUAAUUAUGAAAGAAAAUUUAUUUAGUUUUGUUAUAUCAGUUGUUUAAUGAAUAUCAUAAGGAAAUUUAAAAUGAGAUAUUAUCAAUAUAUAUAGUUUAAUAACCCUUAGAAUGUGAAGAUAAAUUGAUCAAAGAUUGACAUGUACAAUAACUAACUGUAUUACACAAUUAUAACUUGAUUAUGCAUAUAUCAUAAUUUAUGUGUUCGUUGAUAAAAGAUUGGACAUUGAUUUUUUAGGAUGAAUUUUUUCAUUCUAUUAUUUAAUUAAUAAAUGGUCCGUAAUGAUUUUAUAUAUAAACCUUCUCCAAAAUUGCAAAAAAAAAUUGUUCCCUUUGUAUAGUAUUCAUGUGUUUUUCGUUAUAAUAAUCAAAUUUUAUUGCAUUUACUUCGUAGUUUAAUUUUGAUAAUGUUAAUAAUGCAUUUUCUUGUUGAUAUGUGUAACGACCUGUUUAGUCGUUUUGAGCAGCAGACUUCAAUUUUGGAGAAACUGGCAGAAACGACGGACCCCACGACGGACCGUCAUGGGCACGACAGACCGUCGCAGGGUCUCGUUUCAAAACACUUAGAAAAUCUGAAAUUGGGUACUAAAAAUCGACUCUCUGAACUUCGUGACAGAAUGGCAGGACGGACCGUCACAGGUGUAACGGACCGUCACAGACCCUUCAGAGAAAUUGAGUCUCUGAACUCUGUGACGGGCAGCAGGACGGACUGUCGCAGGCGCGACGAGCUGUCACAGACUGCGCAAUCCCAGUCUGGGUCGGAUUUCUUGAUACGUUUUAAGGGACGUUUCUGAAUAUUCUUGCCUUAAUUAUAAAGUUAGUGGGUUAAUGUUAAUAAGUCUAAUUACUUGGGGGUUAAAAGAGGUAACCUUAAGUUAAUUAGUGGGGCAUUAUUGCCAUCUUUUAUUCUUAAUUAUAUACUAAUUAGGGUAAAAGAAAGAGAGUUGGAAUAAGAAAAGAAAAGAACAGAAAGAGAGAGAAGGGAAUCGAUAGAGAGAGAGAGAGACGAUCGAGAAGGGGAAACACAAAGCUUUGGAGAAAAUUUGCUUGCUUGAUCACUAAUCUUCGGUGGAGGUAGGUUAUGGUUAUUUCAUGCUAUUCGUAGUAAACUCUUAAUAGCGAAUGAUAUGUGUUAGUAGUAUUGUGAACCUUCUAUAUGCUUAAUUGUAUGCUUGCAUGAAUGAUGUGAGUAUGUAAUUAUGAAUAAAUAAGCAUGAUGAAGCUAUUGAAUCCCAAAUGUUGAAAAGAAAUCCUAAUCUACUUUGUUAAUGAUGAUGCCUUGGUAUAAAAGAAGGCUUGAUGAAUGAAAGUAGUGAGAUUAGGGGAUCGGGUGCCACGUUUCGGUACCAGGAUAGUAUAUGAGGAUCGGAGUGUCACGUUCCGACACCAGGAUAGAAUAUGCAUCGGGUGCCACAUUCCGGUACCAGGAUAGAAUAUGGAUCGGGUGUCACGUUCCGACACAGGAUAGAAUAUGGAUCGGGUGCCACGUUCCGGUACCAGGAUAGUAUAUGAGGAUCGGAGUGUCACGUUCCGACACCAGGAUAGAAUAUGGAUCGGGUGCCACAUUCCGGUACCAGAAUAGAAUAUGGAUCGGGUGUCAUGUUCCGACACCAGGAUAGAAUAUGGAUCGGGUGCCAUGUUCCGGUACCAGGAUAGUAUAUGAGGAUCGGAGUGUCACGUACCGACACGAGGGGAAUAAAGAUAAAGAAUCUUGAAAGAUGUUAAUAUAUUCAAUCUAAUGAACCUAAUUCCCAAAUGAGUAUGAUGAGGAGGCGUGAGUCCUCAUUGAUGAGCUUGGUGUUGUAACCAAGGGCUAUGGUAAUUGUAAAUGCUGCAUGCUAAGGAUAUUAGUUGAUUUUAUGAUAUUAUCUAUAUAUACUGUUUUCUAUUUUGAGUUGGCCGAUGAUAUCUACUCAGUACCCGUGUUUUGUACUGACCCCUACUUUUAUGUUUUCUUCUUGUUUAUUUGUGGAGUGCAGCAAACGUGCCGUCGCCUUCGACUCAACAGUAAUUCAAGCCAGUCUUACUACACCGGAAAUUCAGGGUGAGCUAAUGCUUCUAGCUUGGACUGGAUCUUCUUCUUCAAGUCUUGAUGCCUUGAACUUCCAGCAUGGACUAGCUUCUUAUGUAUUUUUAGCUUUUAGAAUACUCUUAGUUUAGUCAUUUGAUCGUAGAUGUUCUUGUGGUGAUGACUUCCAGAUUUUGGGGAUAAUAAUAGUUAUUGAUUUUAUUUAUGAGUUUAAGUCUUCCGCAUUACUUUCUGUUUAUAUUAUAUUGAAAUGUUAAGGUUUAGAUUGGUUGGUUCGCUCACAUAGGAGGGUAAGUGUGGGUGCCAGUCGCGGCCCGAAUUUGGGUCGUGACAAACUUGGUAUCAGAGCAUUAGGUUCGUUGGUCUCAUCACACAAGAACGAGUCUAGUAGAGUCUUAAGGAACGGUAGGGGGACGCCUUUACUUUUCUUUGAGAGGCUAUAAGACUUUAGGAAAAUUCCAUUUUUCUUUCUUUCUUUCGUGCUACUACUUGAAUCCAAUUGGUAUCUAGGUGAUACAAAUUGGUGUCUGACCAUCUUCACUCUCUUUCGCAGAUGGUUAGAACUAGAGCAACGACUACGCCAACACCAACACCAGCACCGGCGGGACAGGGUGCGUCUGAGCCAGCCACUGGGGCUGUAGCUCGAGGAAGAGCAGCGGCAAGAGGCCGUGGUAGAGGUCGUGGGAGGACGUCCUCUAGGGGAAGAGGACGAGCACCUAGCCCAUCUGAUACUAGGGCAGUGACUCCUCCACCGACUGAGGAAGUAAUAAGAGAAGGGGAGGAUGGGGAAAAUGAACAAGUGCAGAAUGAGGGAUUGCCACCCCAACCUACCCCAGAGAUGAUCAAUCAGGUUCUCGCCUAUCUCAGUGGGUUGUCUGAUCAAGGUCAGGCACCUCCAGUGUUUUCUGCGCCAACACCUCCGGUUUCAGAAGUACAAUAUGCAGCCACUAUGGCUCCUCGUAUGGAUGCCUCAUUGGACAUAGGCACAUUUCCACGUCUGACUACUGGGCCUAUAAUGACAAAUGAUCAGCAUGAAUUUUUAGUAAGUUCUUGAAAUUGAAACCUCCAGUCUUCAACGGUGCUGAAUCGGAGGAUGCUUAUGAUUUUCUGGUUGACUGUCACGAGCUACUACACAAGAUGGGUAUAGUAGAACGGUUUGGUGUGGAGUUUGUGACUUAUCAGUUUCAAGGGAACGCCAAAAUGUGGUGGCGGUCGCAUAUUGAGUGUCAACCAACAGAGGCACCACCUAUGACUUGGGCCUCAUUCUCUAACUUGUUUAUGGAGAAGUAUAUCCCCCGGACGUUGAGGGAUAGGAAAAGGGAUGAGUUCUUGAGCCUAGAGCAAGAUAGGAUGUCGGUCAAUGCAUAUGAGGCUAAGUUCCGUGCACUAUCCAGAUAUGCCACCCAACUUUGUUUCAGUCCACAAGAGCGGAUUCGUCGUUUUGUGAAGGGGUUGAGGUCAGAGUUGCGGAUUUCAGCCUUACAGGUAGCGGCUACGGCAAAAUCCUUCCAAGAAGUGGUAGAUGUCGUGGUAGAGGUGGAAGGAGUGAAGCCAGAUGAAUUCACCAUGGCAUCGACAUCAAAGAGGUUUCGAAAGGGAGGUGAGUUUAAUGGUUCUUACUCUAGAGGACAGGGUUCCGGAGGUUACGCAGUUCGGCCCAUUCAGUCUUCACCACAGACUGUAGUUGGGGGUCCACCUCCGACCGGUCAACACUUCUCUGAGAGACCUAUGCAUGAAUCCAGAGAGUGCUAUGGAUGUGGGGAGAUUGGACAUAUUAAGAGAUAUUGUCCAAAACAGAGUUACAGACCUCCAAAUGUUAGAGGUAGAGGUGGUCAUGGUAGAGGCCGUUAUUCUGGAGGACGUGGUGGCCGAGAUAAUGGUGGCCACCAGAACGGCCGAGGUGAUGGGCAACCUGUAGCCACUACAUCACAACAUUGUAGGGGCAACGGACAGACGGGUGAGAGGGCCCAUUGCUACGCUUUCCCUGGGAGAUCUGAAGCGGAGGCAUCUGAUGCUGUCAUCACAGGUAAUCUUCUGGUUUGUGAUUGCAUGGCUUCUGUAUUGUUUGAUCCUGGAUCCACAUUUUCUUAUGUAUCUUCCUCAUUUGCUAAUGGUCUAAAUUUACAUUGUGAAUUACUUGAUAUGCCUAUUCAUGUUUCUACUCCGGUGGGUGAGUCUGUGGUAGUUGAAAAGGUAUAUAGGUCCUGUUUGGUGAACUUUGUGGGGAGCAACACUUAUGUAGAUUUGGUUAUCUUAGAAAUGGAUGAUUUUGAUGUAAUUCUGGGUAUGACUUGGCUUUCUCCGCAAUUUGCGAUCUUGGAUUGUAAUGCUAAAACGGUGACGUUAGCAAAGCCUGAGACAGAUCCGUUAGUGUGGGAGGGUGACUACACUUCCAAUCCGGUGCGUAUCAUCUCCCUUCUUCGUGCUAAGAAAAUGGUUAGUAAAGGGUGUUUAGCUUUCUUGGCACAUCUCAAGGAUGACACUACCCAAGUACCUUCGAUUGAGUCGGUUUCGGUGGUCCGUGAGUUUCGGGAUGUGUUCCCUGCAGAUCUUCCUGAUAUGCCACCAGAUAGGGAUAUUGAUUUCUGUAUUGACCUUGAACCGGGUACUCGCCCCAUUUCUAUACCCCCUUAUAGAAUGGCUCCUGCGAAGUUAAGAGAGUUAAGGGCACAACUUCAAGAGUUGUUGAACAAAGGCUUCAUUAGACCAAGUGCAUCCCCUUGGGGUGCUCCGGUUUUGUUUGUGAAGAAGAAGGAUGGGAGUUUUCGGAUGUGCAUAGACUACCAGCAGUUGAACAAGGUAACCAUAAAGAACAAGUACCCUCUUCCUCGCAUUGAUGACUUGUUCGAUCAGUUACAAGGUGCUUGUGUCUUCUCUAAGAUUGACUUGAGAUCCGGUUAUCAUCAAUUGAAAAUACGGACAACGGAUGUGCCAAAGACUGCUUUUCGAACGAGGUAUGGGCAUUACGAAUUUGUAGUGAUGUCUUUUGGUCUUACGAAUGCCCCUGCUGCGUUCAUGAGCUUGAUGAACGGGAUUUUUAAGCCAUAUUUGGACCUCUUCGUGAUCGUAUUUAUUGAUGAUAUACUUAUAUACUCAAAGAGCAAGAAAGAACAUGAGGAGCAUUUGAGAAUGGUAUUGGAAAUGUUGAGGGAGAAAAACUUUAUGCCAAGUUCUCUAAGUGUGAGUUUUGGCUAGAUGCAGUGUCCUUCUUGGGGCACGUGGUUUCAAAGGAUGGAGUGAUGGUUGAUCCUUCUAAAAUUGAGACAGUGAAGAAUUGGGUAAGACCUACUAAUGUGUCAGAAAUAAGGAGCUUUGUUGGGUUAGCUAGCUAUUACCGCCAAUUUGUCAAGGGAUUCUCUUCUAUUGCUUCCCAACUGACGAACUUGACUAAGCAGAAUGUUCCAUUUGUAUGGUCGGACGAGUGUGAAGAAAGCUUUCAGAAGCUCAAGACUCUGUUAACUACUGCACCAAUUCUCACCUUGCCAGUGGAGGGUAAGAAUUUCAUUGUUAAUUGUGAUGCAUCCUAUUCGGGUUUGGGUGCAGUGCUAAUGCAAGAGAAGAAUGUAAUUGCUUAUGCUUCAAGACAAUUAAAAGUGCAUGAACGUAACUAUCCAACUCAUGAUUUGGAAUUGGCUGCGGUAGUGUUUGCAUUAAAGCAAUGGAGGCACUAUUUAUAUGGGGUUAAGUGUGAGGUCUACACGGAUCAUCGUAGCCUUCAGUAUGUCUUUACUCAGAAGGAUUUGAACUUGAGACAAAGGAGAUGGAUGGAACUACUGAAGGACUACGACAUCACUAUUUUGUAUCAUCCGGGGAAGGCGAAUGUUGUAGCGGAUGAUUUAAGUAUAAAGGCGGGAAGCAUGGGAAGUCUAGCUCACUUGCAAGCUUCUAGACGCCCAUUGGCUAGAGAGGUUCAGACUCUAGCUAAUGACUUGAUGAGAUUAGAAGUAAAUGAGAAGGGAGGAUUGUUGGCUUCUAUGGAGGCAAGAUCUUCCUUUCUUGACAAGAUUAAGGGAAGACAGUCUGAUGAUGAGAAACUGCGCAGAAUCCAAGAUAAGGUAUUGCGGGGAGAGGCUAAGGAAGCACAAAUCGAUGAGUAAGGUGUUUUGAGGAUCAAGGGAAGGGUAUGCGUACCCCGCGUCGAUGAUUUGAUCAACACUAUUGUGACAGAGGCUCAUAGUUCAAGGUAUUCGAUACAUCCGGGUGCAACCAAGAUGUACCGUGACCUAAAGCAACACUUUUGGUGGAGUAGACUGAAGCGUGAUAUUGUGGAUUUUAUUGCCAAAUGUCCAAACUAUCAACAAGUAAAGCAUGAACACUAAAGGCCCAGAGGAACACUUCAGAGAAUGCCCAUUCCGGAAUGGAAAUGGGAGAGAAUCGCAAUGGACUUCGUGGUUGGUCUUCCAAAGAUGAUGGGUAAGUACGAUUCCAUCUGGGUGAUUGUUGAUAGGUUAACUAAGUCUGCUCAUUUCAUUCCGGUCAAAGUGACUUACAAUGCAGAGAAGUUAGCCAAAAUUUACAUCUCGGAAGAGGUGCGAUUGCAUGGGGUUCCACUCUCCAUUAUAUCAGAUAGAGGUACGCAGUUUACUUCUAAGUUUUGGAAAACACUGCAUGCGGAAUUGGGUACUAGGUUGGACCUUAGUACCGCGUUCCAUCCUCAGACCGAUGGUCAGUCUGAGCGAACGAUUCAAGAGUUGGAGGAUAUGCUUCGCGCAUGUGUGAUAGAGUUUGGUGGCAAUUGGGAUAGCUUCUUACCCUUAGCGGAAUUUUCAUACAAUAAUAGCUAUCACUCAUGCAUUGAUAUGGCUCCAUUUGAAGCAUUAUAUGGUAGGAGAUGUAGGUCCCCCAUUGGUUGGUUUGAUGCGUUUGAGGUUAGACCUUGGGGUACUGAUCUUUUGAGGGAUUCGAUGGAGAAGGUGAAAUCUAUUCAAGAAAAGCUUCUAGCGGCGCAAAGUAGACAAAAAGAAUAUGCAGAUCGAAGGGUUAGAGACUUAGAGUUCAUGGAGGGAGAACGAGUCUUGCUGAAGGUUUCGCCCAUGAAAGGGGUGAUGCGGUUUGGUAAAAGGGGUAAGCUAAGUCCAAGGUACAUUGGACCAUUUGAAGUACUUAAGCGAGUAGGGGAGGUGGCUUAUGAGUUAGCCUUGCCUCCAGGGCUAUCCGGAGUACAUCCGGUAUUCCAUGUGUCGAUGUUGAAAAGAUACCAUGGGGAUGGAAACUACAUUAUCCGUUGGGAUUUCAGUUCUGCUUGACGAGAAUUUGUCUUAUGAGGAGGAACCUGUUACCAUUCUAGAUAGGGAAAUUUGCAAGUUGAGAUCAAGGGAGAUUGCAUCCAUCAAGGUGCAAUGGAAGAAUCGGCCGGUUGAAGAAGCAACUUGGGAGAAGGAGGUCAAUAUGCGAGAAAGAUACCCAUACCUGUUUACAGAUUCAGGUACUCCUCUUCGCCCUUAUUUUCCUUCUUGUGAUCGUUCGGGGACGAACGAUGGGUAAAUUGGUAUCUAUUGUAACGACCUGUUUAGUCGUUUUGAGCAGCAGACUUCAAUUUUGGAGAAACUGGCAGAAACGACGGACCGUCAUGGGCACGACGGACCGUCGCAGGGUCUCGUUUCAAAACACUUAAAAAAUCUUAAAUUGGGUACUGAAAAUCGACUCUCUGAACUUCGUGACGAAUGGCAGGACGGACCGUCACAGGUGUAAUGGACCGUCACAGACCCUUCAGAGAAAUUGAGUCUCUAAACUCUGUGACGGGAAGCAGGACGGACCAUCGCAGACGCGACGGGUCGUCACAGACUGCGCAAUGUCAGUCUGGGUCGGAUUUCAUGAUACGUUUUAAUGGACGUUUUUGACUAUUCUUGCCUUAAUUAUAAAGUUAGUGGGUUAAUGUUAAUAAGUCUAAUUACUUGGGGGUUAAAAGAGGUAACCUUAAGUUAAUUAGUGUGGCAUUAUUGCCAUCUUUUAUUCUUAAUUAUAUACUUAUUAGGGUAAAAGAAAGAGGGUUGGAAUAAGAAAAAGAAAAGAACAGAAAGAGAGAGAAGGGAAUCGAUAGAGAGAGAUAGACGAUCGAGAAGGGGAAACACAAAGCUUUGGAGAAAAUUUGCUUGCUUGAUCACUAAUCUUCGGUGGAGGUAGGUUAUGGUUAUUUCAUGCUAUUCGUAGUAAACUCUUAAUAGCGAAUGAUAUGUGUUAGUAGUAUUGUGAACCUUCUAUAUGCUUAAUUGUAUGCUUGCAUGAAUGAUGUGAUUAUGUAAUUAUGAAUAAAUAAGCAUGAUGAAGCUAUUGAAUCCCAAAUGUUGAAAAGAAACCCUAAUCUACUUUGUUAAUGAUGAUGCCUUGGUAUAAAAGAAGGCUUGAUGAAUGAAAGUAGUGAGAUUAGGGGAUCGGGUGCCACGUUCCGGUACCAGGAUAGUAUAUGAGGAUCGGAGUGUCACGUUCCGACACCAGGAUAGAAUAUGGAUCGGGUGCCACGUUCUGGUACCAGGAUAGAAUAUGGAUCGGGUGUCACGUUCCGACACCAGGAUAGAAUAUGGAUCGAGUGCCACGUUCCGGUACCAGGAUAGUAUAUGAGGAUCGGAGUGUCACAUUCCGACACCAGGAUAGAAUAUGGAUCGGGUGCCACGUUCCGGUACCAGGAUAGAAUAUGGAUCGGGUUUCACGUUCCGACACCAGGAUAGAAUAUGGAUCGGGUGCCACGUUCCGGUACCAGGAUAGUAUAUGAGGAUCGGAGUGUCACGUACCGACACGAGGGGAAUAAAGAUAAAAAAUCUUGAAAGAUGUUAAUAUAUUCAAUCUAAUGAACCUAAUUCCCAAAUGAGUAUGAUGAGGAGGCGUGAGUCCUCAUUGAUGAGCUUGGUGUUGUAACCAAGGGCUAUGGUAAUUGUAAAUGCUGCAUGCUAAGGAUAUUAGUUGAUUUUAUGAUAUUAUCUAUAUAUACUGUUUUCUAUUUUGAGUUGGCCGAUGAUAUCUACUCAGUACCCGUGUUUUGUACUGACCCCUACUUUUAUGUUUUCUUCUUGUUUAUUUGUGGAGUGCAGCAAACGUGCCGUUGCCUUCGACUCAACAGUAAUUCAAGCCAGUCUUACUACACCAGAAAUUCAGGGUGAGCUAAUGCUUCUAGCUUGGACUGGAUCUUCUUCUUCAAGUCUUGAUGCCUUGAACUUCCGGCAUGGACUAGCUUCUUAUGUAUUUUUAGCUUUUAGAAUACUCUUAGUUUAGUCAUUUGAUCGUAGAUGUUCUUGUGGUGAUGACUUUCAGAUUUUGGGGAUAAUAAUAGUUAUUGAUUUUAUUUAUGAGUUUAAGUCUUCCGCAUUACUUUCUGUUUAUAUUAUAUUGAAAUGUUAUGGUUUAGAUUGGUUGGUUCGCUCACAUAGGAGGGUAAGUGUGGGUGCCAGUCGCGGCCCGAAUUUGGGUCGUGACAAUAUGACUCUUACUUUAAUUGAUUAUUUUAUUUAAAUAAAAAAUUAACAAGAUAUCAUAAUAUAUCGUCGUUAAAUCUUUAAUAUUAUAAGAAAAUAUUAAAAUUGUUGGAAUAAAUUAUCAUCUUUCCUUAAAAUGAUUAAAUUCUUAGAUAAUGCGUAAUUUUUUUUUGAAGGAUCCUAUAUAGAUGUACCUUAUCAAAAUUUUAUUGUAUCAUAUAUUUUUGAGAAAUCCACAAAAAUCAAAUAGCAAGAAAAAUAAAAAAUAAAAGUUAGAGAUAAGGGUCAAAAACACAUCUAAACUAUUCACUUUUUUGAGCUUCAUGCCUAAACUAUUGAGAGUGUAAGUUUCAUAUCUAAACUAUCACGUUUUAGUUUGAGAAACAUACCUUAGUGGUGUGUGUAAUGCACCCUCUCUUUUAUUUGAAAAAAUCUUGACACAUGACAUUUCACAUAAAUUAAAUUUUUACCUAGAUAAAAAUUGAAUAAUAAAAUAUUAGUAUUGAUUAAAAAUUAAUGAUUGAAGUGUUACUAUCCAUAUAAAAAAUUAAAUUAUUUUUCUUACCCCACUCCACCAGCUCCUCCACAUACCCCCGCCCGACAAACCCCAUCCUUUUUUUUUUCAAAAAAAAAACACUAUAAAAUAUUCUUAAAAAAUUUCAUAUUUCAUCCUCCCCCCUCCCCUCAAACCCCCCCCCCUCCCCAUGAUAGAAAUUGACGUAAAUUAUUUUUAAAAGAAUUAAAAAACUACCCCAUCCUAUUUAACCACCCGCUUCUAAUUUUUAUUUUUUUACGUUCUUCUCAUUUUUGUGUUAGAUAUGCACGUACAUAUAUUUUUACGAAAAAAAAUUCUACUAGUGUACCGAAUAUAACAUAAAUAAUUAAUAAAUUUUAAAAAGUCUUGUGGAGGCAAGCAAAAAUAAUUUUUGAUAUGUAUAUCUAAACAUUGGAAAAAAAAUUUGAAAGCGGAGGGUUAAGUGAGAUGGGUAGAAUUAGUUUUUAAAAAAAAUAAAAUAAUAUCUAAAUUAGUAUUUAAGGAGGGGGAGUAGAUGAAGUGAACAAAAAGAAAAUACUUUUAUAUGAGAAAUUUAAAGUAAAUAAAAAACUUUACAAAAUGGACGGGUUGGGAUGUUUUUUUUGGGGAGGGGGGGGGGGUGAAAGGAAGUUGCGGCGUGGGGUAAGAAAAAUAUUUUAUAUUUUAUUUUAUAGAGAAAAUAUUAUUUUUUUAUAAUAGUUUUUAAUUUUAAAUUUUAACUAAUACUAAUAAAUUUAUUUAUUUAUUGUCAAGAUUCAAUGUGUUGUCCAUAUGGAAUGUGAUGUUGAAAUUCUUUAAAAUGAAAGAGAAUGUAUUUCACAUACCAUGAUGAGAGUGGUAUAAAAGAAAUAAGUGUGUUUCUCAAACUAAAAAGCAAUAGUUUAAGUAUGAAACUCAAACUUUUAAUAAUUCAGGUAUGAAAUUCAAAGUAAAUAUGUAAUUUAAGCGUGUUUUUGACACUUAUCUCAAAAGUUUAAGUGAUAAAAAAUUUCAACUAGCUUCAAUUUCAAGAACAAAAAAUAUCAUGUAAAUUGACGGAAAGAAUAUGUAUUUAUAUAGGUAUUUAUGGACGCUUUCUGUUAUUUUAAUUUCAUUAAAUUUGUACUAAAACUUAUAUAAUUAUUUUUAAAAACAUUUAUGCUCUUUCCGUUAUAUUUCCUUUUUGAAAUUAGAAUCAAAAUUUAUGCAAUUUUUUUUUACAAAUUUCAUAAGAAAUCAUAAAUAAAAUAAUAAUUUUAUCAAUUUAAAUUUAAUUUUUUAAAAUUUAUAAAUUUUAUUUACACUUACAAAAAGAAAAAAAAAGUUGUAAUAAAAUCAAAAAAAUUGUAAUUAAUUAUAUUUUUUAAAUUUAAAUUAAUUCUAUCUAUCUACUUUUAGCAAUAUAAAUAAUUAAUUUUAAGCUGGAAAAAUAAUAUUAAGAUAUUAAAAAUAAAAUGAAUAUUUUCUUUUUGAAUUUCAUAUUUUCCAUGAAUAAAAUUAUAUAAGUAGAGAAAUUUGGAACAUUAAUUCAAAACAAAAGUCAGAGAAAAAGAAGUAAAAAAAAAGUAAGAAUUGAAAAAAUCGUCCAAAAAAGAGAGAGAAAAAUGGAUUUGGGUCAUUUUCUGAAAUAGGACCCAACACUUUUCAUGUGACACAAUAUAAAUGGAGCCUCAUAAACCUCAACCGCUUUAUGAGGCUGUAUUUAUAUUGUGUCAUGUGGAAAGUGUUGGGUCCAAUUUUAGAAAAUGACCCAAAUCCAUUUUUCUCUCUCUUCUACAAACGAUUAUUUCUCUUUCUUACUUUUUUUUCUUUGACUUUUCUUUUCAAAUUAGCGUUCCAACUUUCUCUAUAAGGGUUCAACUGACAAAAGAAGCCAAAUUAAGGACCUCCCAGGUCAUUCCGCGUUAUUUUACAGUUAUAGUAUCACGAAUCAAAAUCACAAGUAGUGAUGACACCUAUGAUUCCAACCGUUAGGCUUAGCCAACCCGAUAGGUUAACUGAUUGCACUUAAAAUAUGAAAAAGUAAGUAGCAAGCAAAUAUAUUGAUACUAAGUCUUUUAAAUAAAAUGCGGAAAAUUAUAAUACUAUCAUAAGAUUUAGUGUCAUAAGUACAAGAAUUUCUAAACUACGAGGCAUGUUUAGAACUAAAUAUCAAAUCUAGACGUUAGAACGCAAUAGUUUAAUUAUGAAACUCAAACUUUCAAUAGUUCAGGUAUGAAAUUCAAAGUAUAUGUAUAAUUUAAGCGUGUUUUUGACACUUAUCUCAAAAGUUAAAGUGAUGAAAAAUUUCAACUAGCUUGAAUUUGAAGAACAAAAAAUAUAGUAUAAAUUGAUGGAAAGAAUAUGUAUUUAUAUGGGUAUUUAUGGAUGCUUUCUGCUAUUUUAAUUUCAUGAAAUUAGUACCAAAACUUAUAUAAUUGUUUGUAAAAACAUUUAUGCUCUUUCCGUUAUAUUUCCUUUUUGAAAUUAAAAUCAAAAUUUAUGCAAUUUUUUUUUUUACAAAUUUCAUAAGAAAUCAUAAAUAAAAUAAUAAUUUUAUCAAUUUAAAUUUAAUUUUUUAAAAUUUAUAAAUUUUAUUUACACUUACAAAAAGAAAAAAAAUGUUGUAAUAAAAUAAAAAAAUUGUAAUUAAUUAUAUUUUUUAAAUUUAAAAUAAUUCUAUCUAUCUACUUUUAGCAAUAUAAAUAAUUAAUUUUAAGAUGGAAAAAUAAUAUUAAGAUAUUAGAAAUAAAAUGAAUAUUUCCUUUUUGAAUUUCAUAUUUUCCAUGAAUAAAAUUAUAUAAGUAGAGAAAUUUGGAACUUUAAUUUCAAAACAAAAGUCAGAGUAAAAGAAGUUAAAAUAAAAGUAAGAAGAGAAAAAAUCGUCCAAAAGAGAGAGAAAAAUAUAUUUAGGUCAUUUUCUGAAAUAGGACCCAACACUUUUCAUGUGACACAAUAUAAAUGGAGCCUAAUAAACCUCAACCGCUUUAUGAGGCUGUAUUUAUAUUGUGUCAUGUGGAAAGUGUUGGGUCCAAUUUCAUAAAAUGACCCAAAUCCAUUUUUCUCUCUCUUCUUCAAACGAUUAUUUUUUUUCGUACUUUUUUCUUUGACUUUUCUUUUCAAAUUAGUGUUACAAAUUUCUCUAUAAGGGUUCAACUAACAAACGAAGCCAAAUACAAGGACCUCCCAGAUCAUUUCGCAUUAUUUUUACAGUUAUAGUAUCACGAUUCAAAAUCACAAGUCGUGAUGACACCUAUGAUUCCAACCGUUAGGCUUAGCCAACCCGAUAGGUUAACUAAUUCCACUUAAAAUAUGACAAAGUAAGUAGCAAUCAAAUAUAUUGAUACUAAGUCUUUUAUAUAAAAUGCGGAAAACUAUAAUAUUAUCCUAAAAUUUAGUGUCAUAAAUAUCAAACAUAUAUGUAUCAACUUUUGGCAAGGUUAAUAAAACAUCUUUAUUUUCAUCUACGUUUAUAGUCAACUUCAAUCAUAUAAACUUUAAAAACAAGUAAAUUUAAGAACUACAUAAAUAAUAUUUAUGGAAAACUACAUAAAAUACACACAAUUGUGAAACUAUUCAGAACAAAUUAGAUCCAACCCAAGCUAUUUACCCUUAAUGAACUCAUGACCCAAGCUAUUUACCUGCCUACCCCACUUUCUCCUUCCUUAUUUCACACAUGAUGCCAACAUCAUUACUAUUGAAUUGAUCAUUUGUACUACUCUUUUGGUAUAUUGAUCGAUUUUUUAUAGUAUUAACUUAAUCUUCUGUGAUACUCCAUCAGUAUAUUGAUACUCUUUCAAUAUCAUAUAAGGCUGAACUUAAUUCUCUGUAAUACUCCUUCGGCAUAUUGAUACUUAUCAGUAUCAUAUAAGAUUGAGAUAUUUUUUAAAUAAAUAAAUAAGAAACAAUUAAGAGAAAAUUAUUAAAGUCAUAACCUAAAUUUAGUAAAAAAUAUAUUCUUUGUGAUACUUCGUCGAUAUAUUGAUAUCAUACUGGUAUCAUAUAGGACUGAGCCUAAUAAUCUAUAUUAAUCCAUUAGUAUAUUUUCACUCUAUCAGUAUCAUACGAUUGGACUCUUUUUUAAAAAUAAAUAAACGAUAAUUAAAUGAAAAUUAUUAAAGCCACAAUCUUAUUUAUUAAACACUAAUUGACAAAUAUAUAUAUAUAUAUAUAUAUAUAUAUAUAUAUAUAUAUAUAUAUAUAUAUAUAUAUAAAUAAUUAUAAUAUUAAAGAAUCGAAUAACAUCAAUGAUACCCCGUCAAUAUGUAGAUAUACCAUAAGAGUAUCAUAGAUGAUUGAGUAAUCUUAUCGAAGAACUGAAGCAAAUCUCAAUGAAAACAUUGUUAUGUUACUUAUUGAUGCCACCAUAUUAUGUUAUACUUUGAAGGUAUCAAGAAGGAAGAGUAAUCAUUCAAUGCAGAUACUCAGUUACUCGUUGAUACAAUCAAAGUAUAUUCAUCUACUAUAAUAUACUGUGAUACAAUCAAAGUGUAUAUUUUUGUGCGUAAACACCAUAGUAGUAAUGAAAUAUUUAGUGAAUAUGAAAGUCAUGAUAUGAUUAUUGAUGAAAAUGAUGAACAAUCGGCCCAAGGUAACAAAGUCACGUGCUUUGUUUACUUCACGAUGUAUGGAAUGAUAAUUUUUGCACUCACUCCGAACUACCAUAUUGUUGUAGUGUCAUAGACACCACUUGUUAUUUGUUGCAACAAUGAUCAAAUUGACUUUAAAUACAAACGUUGUAUGAUUAGUUUUAAUAAUUUUUAAAACUUAUGUGUAUAAAUUAUAUUUCCUAAAAAAGUUAAAUAUGUUUUCCAAAUACUAUAGUCAAGCAUAUGGUGAAAUUUUCCUCAAAUCUUAAUCUAAAUAAUAUUCAACAAUAUUUUUCAAAUGUAUAUGAAAAUUUUGGGCAAACGCUAGAUUAAUGUUAUCGGAUGAAUUAAUCAUGUUUAAAAAAGCAAGAUAUAUUUACAGAGUAAAUUUCACAUAUAGCAUUAUAUAUAGAGUAUUAUUAUCAAGUUAUGGCAUUAGAGUUUUAAUUUUAUGUUAUAGCAUUUAAUAUCUCACUCCAUAGCAUUUUAUUAGUAAUUAUAUUGUUAAUUAUAAUUUAUUGAAAAGACUUGUUAUUAAAAAUUAAGUGGACAAAGUGAUAAUGAGUAAUUAAUUUUAAUGAUUAGAAAUUCUGACAAUAUUUAUCAAGUUGUUUUUGACACUGCAUUUAUUGAAUGUUGCAUUCCUGAGAAUUUAAAGAGUUUACCUUUUUAUUGAGUUAAAUUAAAGCUAGAUAAAUUAUUAGCCUUACAAUUAUUCUUUCAUUCCAAAAUUUCUCUAUUAUUUUGAAAUUUCUUUCUACAUAUAAUUCAUUUCUUUCCCUAAGAAUUCAAGAUUAUUUUCAUAGCUGCAUAUUUCAGUUCUGAGGGAUAACUUUGUGUCAAUUUUAAUUAAACAUGGUGGAAAGUGAAAUUCUUCGGAUUAGUUUUUAGUUAUGAUUUGUUUCUUUUAAUUAUGAAUUGUUGGUUUUAUUUAGAUUUGUCGUUUUUUACAUUUAAAACAUUGUUAAAAUUUUUUUUAACUGUAUUAUCAGUUUAUAAAUUUUUUUACAGUUAGAAAAAGAAAAAAAUGUUGUAAUAAAAUAAAAAAAUUGUAAUUAAUUAUAUUUUAUAUAUUUAAAAUAAUUCUAUCUAUCUAUUCUUAGUAAUAUAAAUAAUUAAUUUUAAGAUGGAAAAAUAAUAUUAAGAUAUUAGAAAUAAAAUGAAUAUUUUCUUUUUGAAUUUCAUAUUUUCCAUGAAUAAAAUUAUAUAAGUAGAGAAAUUUGGAACAUUACUUUUCAAAACAAAAGCUAGAGAAAAAGAAGUAAAAAAAAGUAAGAAGAGAAAUAAUCGUUUGAAGAAGAGAGAAAAAUGGAUUUGGGUCAUUAUCUGAAAUAGGACCCAACACUUUUCAUAUGACACAAUAUAAAUGGAGCCUCAUAAACCUAAAUCGCUUUAUGAGACUCUAUUUAUAUUGUGUCAUGUGAAAAGUGUUGGGUCCAAUUUCAGAAAAUGAACCAAAUCCAUUUUUCUCUCUCUUCUUCAAACGAUUAUUUCUCUUUCUUACUUUUUUUCUUUGACUUUUCUUUUCAAAUUAGUGUUCCAAAUUUCUCUAUAAGGGUUCAACUGACAAACAAAGCCAAAUACAAAGGCCUCACAGGUCAUUCUGCGUCAUUUUUACAAUUGUAGUAUCACGAUCCAAAAUCACAAGUCGUGAUGACACCUAUGAUUCCAACCGUUCGGCUUAGCCAACCCGAUAAGUUAAAUAAUUCUACUUAAAAUAUGAAAAAGUAAGUAGCAAGCAAAUAUACUGCAUGCUAAAUCUUUUAAAUAAAGUGUGAAAAACUAUAAUGCUAUCCUAAGAUUUAAUGUCAUAAGUACAAGAAUUUCUAAACUAUGAGGCAAGUUUAAAACUAAGUAUCAAAUCUAGAUGUUAGAAAUAUCCUGUCAAAACACUAAUAAUAUAAUAAUUAAGACAUAGUGGGUGGUGGGGGACACAAACUUCGUGGCUUUGAUUAAAUUUGAUGUCGUUUGCAUUAUUAUGUUGAUUUUGAUUUCAUAUUGUAACGACCUGUUUAGUCGUUUUGAGCAGAAGAUUUUAUUUCUGGAAAAAACUGGCUGAGACAACGGAACCCACGACGGACCGUCAUGGGCAUGACGGACCAUCGAGGGGGUCUCGUUCCAAAACACUUAGAAUUCUGAAAUUUGGGUACUGAAAUCGAUUCUCUGUACUUCGUGACGAAGUGGCAGGACGGACCGUCAUAGGCAUGACGGACCGUCACAGACCCUUGGUAAAAAAUCUAGUCUCUGAACUCUGUGACGGAAGCAGCAGGACGGACCGUCGCAGGCACGACGGCCCGUCACAGGCUGCGUAAUCCCAGGCGGGGUCGGAUUUUUUUAAAUGUUUUAAGGGACGUUUUUGACUAUUCCUGCUAUAAUUAUAAAUUUAGUGGGUUAAUGUUAAUAAUUUAACUACUUGAGGGUUAAAAGAGAUAACCUUGAAUUAAUUAAUGGGUUAAUUCACCAUCUUUUAUACUUAAUUAUAUGCUAAUUAGGGUAAAAGAAAGAGGGUUUGAAUAAGAAAAAGAAAAGAAUAGAAAGAGAGGGAGAAACGAUCGAGAGAGAGGAGAAACGAAGAAGAAAGCAAAGAUUUUGAGGAUUAGCUUGCUUGAUCACAAUUCUUCGGUGGAGGUAGGUUAUGAUUUUUAUACUAUUCGUAGCAAACUCUUAAUAGCGAAUGAUAUGUAUUGGGUAGUGUUGUAAACCCUUCUAUAUGCUUAAUUGUAUGCUUGCAUGAAUGUGAUUAUAAAAUUGUGAUGAAUAAGCAUGAUGAGUCUAUUGAAUCUCUAAUCCUAAAUUUACCUUGUUAAUGAUGAUGCCUUGGUAUAAAAGAAGGCCUGAUGAACUAAAGUAAUGAGAUUGAUGAUGCCUUGGUAUAAGAGAAGGCUUGAUGAACUAAAGUAAUGAGAUUGAUGUGCCUUGGUAUAAAAGAAGGCUUGAUGAAUUAAUAGAAUGAGAUUAGUGGAGCGGGUGUCACGAACUGACACGUAGAAUUAGUGGAGCGGGUGUCACGAACCGACACGUAGAAUUAGGGGAUCAGAGUUUUAUGUACCGACACAAGAGGAAUAAAGAUAAUGAAUCUUGAAAGAUGUUAUAUACUCAAAUUAAUGAACCUAAUUCCCAAAUGAGUAUGAUGGGGAGGCGUGAGUCCUCAUUGAUGUGCUUGGUGUUGUGACCAAGGGUUAUGGUAAUUGUAAAUGCCGCAUGUUGAGUAUUGUAGUUGAUUUUAUGAUAUUAUCUGCUAUAUACUGUUUUCUAUUUUGAGUUGGCCGAUGAUAUCUACUCAGUACUUGUGUUUGUACUGACCCCUACUUGUAUGUUUUCCUUUUGUUCAUUGUGGAGUGCAGCAAACGUACCUUCGUCUUCAAUUCAACCGCAACUCUAGCCAGUCUUCAUUAUACCGAAUUUCAGGGUGAGCUAACGUAUCUAGCUUGGACUGGAUCUUCUUCUUCAUGUCUUGAUGCCUUGAAGUUCCGGCAUGGACUAGCUUUUUAUUUAUUCUAGCUUUCUAGAUACUCUUAGAAUUAGUAAUUUGAGGAUAGAUGUUCUUGUGAUGAUGACUUCCAGAUUUUGGGGAUAAUAAUAAGUGUUUGAGUUUGAGAAGUUGAUUAUUGAUUUUGUUAACGAGUUUUAAGUCUUCCGCAUUGUUUUCUAUCUAUUAUGUUUGAAACGUUGGGGUUUAGAUUGGUUGGUUCGCUCACAUAGGAGGAUAAAUGUGGGUGCCACUCACGACGCUUUUUGGGUCUUGACAAACUUGGUAUCAGAGCAUUAGGUUCGUUGGUCUCAUCACACAAGAACGAGUCUAGUAGAGUCUUAAGGAAUGGUAGGGGGACGCCUUUACUUUUCUUUGAGAGGCUAUAAGACUUUAGGAAAAUUCCAUUCUUUCUUUCUUUCGUGCUAUUACUUGAAUCCAAUUGGUAUCUAGGUGAUACAAAUUGGUAUUUGACCAUCUUCACUCUAUUUUCUAGAUGGUUAGAACUAGAGCACACACCGCGCCAACACCAACACCGGCAAGACAAGAAGCGUCUGAGCCAGCCACUGGGGCUGUAGCUUGAAGAGGAGUAGUGACAAGAGGCCGUGGAAGAGGUCGUGGGAGGACGCCCUCUAGAGGAAGAGGACGAGCACCUAGCCCAUCUGGUACUAGGGCGGUGACUCCUCCACUAACUGAGGAAGUGGUCAGAGAGGGUGAGGAUGGGGAGAAUGAACAAGUGCAGAACGAGGAAUUGCCACCCCAACCUACCCCAGAGAUGAUCAAUCAGGUUCUUGCUUAUCUUAGCGGGUUAUCUGAUCAGGGCCAGACACCUCCAGUGUUUUCUGCACCAACACCUUCGGUUCCGGAUGUACAACAUGCAGCUACUGUGGCUCCCCGCAUGGGUGCCUCAUUGGAAAUAGGCACGUUUCCUCGUCUGACUACAGGGCCUAUAAUGACAAAUGAUCAGCAUGAACUUUUCAGUAAGUUCUUGAAAUUGAAACCUCCAGUCUUCAAGGGUGCUGAAUCUGAGGAUGCCUACGAUUUUUUGGUUGACUGUUAUGAGCUACUACACAAGAUGGGUAUAGUAGAACGGUUUGGUGUUGAGUUUGUGACUUAUCAGUUUCAAGGAAACGCCAAAAUGUGGUGGCGGUCACAUGUUGAGUGUCAACCAACAGAGGCACCACCUAUGACUUGGGCAUCAUUCUCUAGCUUGUUUAUGGAGAAGUAUAUCCCCCGGACUUUGAGGGAUAGGUAAAGAGAUGAGUUCUUGAGCCUAGAGCAAGGUAGGAUGUCAGUUACUGCAUGUGAGGCUAAGUUUCGUGCAUUAUCCAGGUAUGCCACCCAACUUUGUUUCAGUCCACAAGAGCGGAUUCGCCGUUUUGUGAAGGGGUUGAGGUCAGAAUUGCGGAUUUCAGCCUUACAGGUAGCGGCUAUGGCAAAAUCCUUUCAAGAAGUGGUAGACUUCGUGAUAGAGGUGGAAGGAGUGAAGCCAGAUGACUUCACCAUGGCAUCGACAUCAAAAAGGUUUCGAAAGGGAGGUGAGUUUAAUGGUUCUUACUCUAGAGGACAGGGUUCAGGAGGUUACUCAGUCCGACCAAUUCAGUCUUCACUACAGACUGUAGUUGGGGGUCCACCUAAGACCGGUCAACACUUCUCUGAGAGGCCUAUGCUUGACUCCUGAGAGUGUUAUGGAUGUGGGGAGUCUUGACAUAUUAGGAGGAAUUGUCUAUAACAGAGUUAUAGACCCCCAAUAGCUAGAGGUAGAGGUGGUCAUGGUAGAGGCCGUUAUUCUGGAGGACGUGGUGGCCGAGGUAAUGGUGGUCACCAAAAUGGCCGGGGUGACGGACAAAUGGGAACUACUGCAGCGCAACAUGGUAGGGGCAACGGGCAAACAUGUGAUAGGGCCCAUUGUUACACUUUUCCUGGGCGGUCGGAUGCGGAGACAUCAGAUGUUGUUAUCACAGGUAAUCUUUUGGUUUGUGAUUGUAUGGCUUCUGUAUUAUUUGAUCCUAGCUCCACAUUUUCAUAUGUAUCUUCCUCAUUUGCUACUGGUCUUAAUUUACAUUGUGAAUUUCUUGACAUACCUAUUCGUGUGUCUACUCCGGUGGGUGAGUCUGUGAUUGUUGAAAAAGUAUAUAGGUCUUGUUUGGUGACUUUUGUGGGGAGCAAUACUUAUGUAGACUUGGUUAUCUUGGAAAUAGUUGAUUUUUAUGUAAUUCUGGGUAUGACUUGGCUUUCUCUGAAUUUUGUGAUCUUGAAUUGUAAUGCUAAGACUUUGACGUUAGCCAAGCCUGGGAUAGAUCCGUUAUUGUGGGAGGGUGACUACACUUCCAAUCUGGUUCGUAUCGUCUCCUUUCUUCGUGAUAAGACAAUGGUUAGUAAGGGUUGUUUAGCUUUCUUGGCACACCUCAGGGAUGAUACUACCCAAGUACCUUCAAUCGAGUCGGUUGCGAUAGUCCGCGAGUUUUUAGAUGUGUUUCCUGUAGACCUUCCUGGUAUGCCACCGGAUAGAGAUAUUGACUUCUGCAUCGAUCUUGAACCGGGUACUCGCCCCAUUUCUAUACCUCCUUAUAGAAUGGCUCCCGCUGAGUUAAGAGAGUUAAAGGCCCAACUUCAAGAGUUGUUGAGCAAAGGCUUCAUUAGACCAAGUGCAUCUCCUUGGGGUGCUCCGGUGUUAUUUGUGAAGAAGAAGGAUGGGAGUUCUUGGAUGUUCAUAGACUACCGGUAGUUGAACAAGGUAACUAUUAAGAACAAGUAUCCCAUCCCUCGCAUUGAUGACUUGUUCGAUCAGUUACAAGGUGCUUGUGUCUUCUCUAAGAUUGACUUGAGAUCCGGUUAUUAUCAAUUGAAAAUACGUGCAACGGAUGUGCCAAAGACUGCUUUUCGGACCAGGUAUGUGCAUUACGAAUUUGUAGUGAUGUCUUUUGGUCUUACGAAUGCCCCUGCUGCUUUCAUGAGCUUGAUGAACGGGAUUUUUAAUCCAUAUCUGGAUCUCUUUGUGAUCGUAUUUAUUGAUGAUAUAUUGAUAUACUCAAAGAGCAAGAAGGAACAUGAGGAGAAUUUGAGAAUUGUAUUGGAAAUGUUGAGGGAGAAAAAGCUUUAUGCCAAAUUCUCCAAGUGUGAGUUUUGGCUAGAUGCAGUGUCCUUCUUGGGGCAUGUGGUUUCUAAGGAUGGGGUGAUGGUGGAUCCUUCUAAGAUUGAGACAGUGAAGAAUUGGGUAAGACCUACUAAUGUGACAGAAAUAAGGAGCUUUGUUGGUUUAGCUAGCUAUUACCGCCGAUUUGUCAAGGGAUUCUCUUCCAUUGCUUUCCAAUUGACGAGCUUGACUAAGCAGAACGUUCCAUUUGUAUGGUCGGACGAAUGUGAGGAAAGCUUUCAGAAACUCAAGACCUUGUUGACUACUGCACCAAUCCUUACCCUGCCAGUGGAAGGUAAGAAUUUCAUUGUCUAUUGUGAUGCAUCUUAUUCGGGUUUGGGUGCAGUGCUAAUGCAAGAGAAGAACGUAAUUGCUUAUGCUUCAAGGCAAUUAAAGGUGCAUGAACGUAAUUAUCCGACCCAUGAUUUGGAAUUGGCUGCGGUAGUGUUUGCCUUAAAGCAAUGGAGACACUAUCUAUAUGGGGUUAAGUGUGAAGUAUACACGGAUCAUCGUAGCCUACAGUAUGUCUUUACUCAAAAAGAUUUGAAUUUGAGACAGAGGAGAUGGAUGGAACUACUGAAGGACUACGAUAUCACUAUCUUGUAUCAUCCGGGAAAGGCUAAUGUUGUGGAAGACGUCUUAAGUAGAAAGGCAGGGAGCAUGGGAAGUCUAGCUCACUUGCAAGUUUCUAGACGCCCAUUGGCUAGAGAAGUUCAGACUCUGGCUAAUAACUUUAUGAGGCUAGAAGUAAAUGAGAAGGGAGGAUUUUUGGCCAGUGUGGAGGCAAGAUCUUCUUUUCUUGACAAGAUCAAGGGAAAACAGUUUGAUGAUGAGAAACUAAGCCGAAUUCGGGAUAUGGUGUUGCGAGGAGAGGCUAAAGAAGCAAUGAUGGAUGAGGAAGGUUUUUUGAGAAUUAAGGGAAGGGUAUGUGUGCCCCGUGUUGAUAAUUUGAUCCACACUAUUCUUAUAGAGGCUCAUAGUUCCGGAUAUUCCAUACAUCCUGGUGCAACCAAGAUGUAUCGUGACCUAAAGCAACACUUUUGGUGGAGUAGAAUGAAGCGCGACAUUGUUUAUUUUGUUGCCAAAUGUCCAAAUUGUCAGCAAGUAAAGUAUGAACACCAGAGGCCCGGAGGAACACUUCAGAGAAUGCCCAUUCCUGAAUGGAAGUGGGAGAGAAUUGCAAUGGACUUCGUGGUUGGUCUUCUAAAGACAAUGAGUAAGUAUGACUCCAUUUGGGUAAUCGUUGAUAGGUUAACUAAGUCUGCUCACUUCAUUCCGGUCAAGGUGACCUACAAUGCUGAGAAGUUAGCCAAAAUCUAUAUCUCAGAAAUCGUUCGAUUGCAUGGAGUUCCACUCUCCAUCAUAUCAGAUAGAGGUACGCAGUUUACUUCUAAGUUUUGGAGAACAUUGCAUGCUGAAUUAGGUACUAGGUUGGACCUUAGUACUGCAUUUCACCCUAAGACCGAUGGUCAGUCUGAGCGAACGAUUCAAGUGUUGGAGGAUAUGCUUCGUGCAUGUGUGAUAGAAUUUGGUGGUCAUUGGGAUAACGUCUUACCCUUAGUGGAGUUUUCAUACAAUAAUAGCUAUCACUCAAGUAUUGAUAUGGCUCCAUUCGAUGCAUUGUAUGGGAGGAGAUGUAGGUCUCCCAUUGGUUGGUUUGAUGCAUUUGAGGUUAGACCUUGGGGUACUGACCUUUUGAGGGAUUCAUUGGAGAAAGUAAAAUCUAUUCAAGAAAAUCUUUUAGAGGCGCAAAGCAGGCAAAAGGAAUAUGCUGAUCGAAAGGUUAGAGACUUGGAGUUUAUGGAGGGUGAGCAAGUCUUGCUGAAGGUUUCGCCCAUGAAAGGGGUGAUGCGGUUUGGUAAGAGAGGUAAGCUAAGUCCAAGGUAUAUUGGUCCAUUCGAAGUUCUGAAGCGCGUGGGGGAGGUAGCUUAUGAAUUAGCCUUGCCCCCAGGACUGUCAGGAGUGCAUCCGGUGUUUCAUGUGUCUAUGUUGAAAAGAUAUCAUGGGGAUGGAAACUACAUUAUCCGUUGGGAUUCAGUUUUGCUUGAUGAGAAUUUGUCUUAUGAGGAGGAACCUGUUACUAUUCUAGAUAGAGAAGUCCGCAAGUUAAGGUCAAGAGAAAUUGCAUCCAUUAAAGUUCAAUGGAAGAAUCGACCAGUUGAAGAAGCCACUUGGGAGAAGGAGGCAGAUAUGCAAGAAAGAUACCCACACCUGUUUACAGAUUCAGGUACUCCUUUUCGCCCUUAUUUUUCUUCUUAUGAUCGUUUGAGGACGAACGAUGGGUAAAUUGGUAUCUAUUGUAACGACCUGUUUAGUCAUUUUGAGCAGCAAAUUUUAUUUCUGGAAAACUGGCUGAGACGACGGAACCCACGACGGACCUCAUGGGCACGGCGGACCGUCGAGGGGGUCUCAUUCCAAAACACUUAGAAUUCUGAAAUUUGGGCACUGAAAUCGACUCUCUGUACUUCGUGACGAAGUGGAAGGAUGGACUGUCACAGGCAUGACAGGCGGUCACAGACCCUUGGUAAAAGAUCUAGUCUCUGAACUCUGUGACGGAAGCAGCAGGACGGAGCGUCGCAGGCACGAUUGCCCGUCACAGGCUGCGUAAUCCUUGGCGGGGUCGGAUUUCUUUAAAUGUUUAAGGGACGUUUUGGACUAUUCCUUCUAUAAAUAUAAAUUUAGUGGGUUAAUGUUAAUAAUUUAGCUACUUGAGGGUUAAAAGAGAUAACCUUGAAUUAAUUAAUGGGUUAAUUCACCAUCUUUUAUACUUAAUUAUAUGCUAAUUAGGGUAAAAGAAAGAGGGUUUGAAUAAGAAAAAGAAAAGAACAAAAAGAGAGGGAGAAACGAUCGAGAGAGAGGAGAAACGAAGAAGAAAGCAAAGAUUUUGAGGAUUAGCUUGCUUGAUCACAAUUCUUCAGUGGAGGUAGGUUAUGGUUUUUAUACUAUUCGUAGUAAACUCUUAAUAGCGAAUGAUAUGUAUUGGGUAGUGUUGUAAACCCUUCUAUAUGCUUAAUUGUUGCUUGCAUGAAUUUGAUUAUAAAAUUGUGAUGAAUAAGCAUGAUGAGUCUAUUGAAUCUCUAAUCCUAAAUUUACCUUGUUAAUGAUGAUGCCUUGGUAUAAAAGAAGGCCUGAUGAACUAAAGUAAUGAGAUUGAUGAUGCCUUGGUAUAAGAGAAGGCUUGAUGAACUAAAGUAAUGAGAUUGAUGAUGCCUUGGUAUAAAAGAAGGCUUGAUGAAUUAAUAGAAUGAGAUUAGUGGAGCGGGUGUCACGAACCGACACGUAGAAUUAGUGAAGCGGGUGUCACGAACUGACACGUAGAAUUAGGGGAUCCGAGUGUCACGUACCGACACAAGAGGAAUAAAGAUAAUGAAUCUUGAAAGAUGUUUUAUACUCAAAUUAAUGAACCUAAUUCCAAAUGAGUAUGAUGGGGAGGCGUGAGUCCUCAUUGAUGUUCUUGGUGUUGUGACCAAGGGUUAUGGUAAUUGUAAAUGCCGCAUGUUGAGUAUUGUAGUUGAUUUUAUGAUAUUAUCUGCUAUAUACUGUUUUCUAUUUUGAGUUGGCCGAUGAUAUCUACUCAGUACUUGUGUUUGUACUGACCCCUACUUGUAUGUUUUCCUUUUGUUCAUUGUGGAGUGCAGCAAACGUACCGUCGUCUUCAAUUCAAUCGCAACUCUAGCCAGUCUUCAUUAUAUCGGAUUUCAGGGUGAGCUAACAUUUCUAGCUUGGACUGGAUCUUCUUCUUCAUGUCUUGAUGCUUUGAAGUUCCGGCAUGGACUAGCUUUUUAUUUAUUCUAGCUUUCUAGAUACUCUUAGAAUUAGUAAUUUGAGAAUAGAUGUUCUUGUGAUGAUGACUUCCAGAUUUUGGGGAUAAUAAUAAGUGUUUGAGUUUGAGAAGUUGAUUAUUGAUUUUGUUAACGAGUUUUAAGUCUUCCGCAUUGUUUUCUAUCUAUUAUGUUUGAAACGUUGGGGUUUAGAUUGGUUGGUUCGCUCACAUAGGAGGAUAAAUGUGGGUGCCACUCACGAUGCUUUUUGGGUCGUGACACAUAUAAUAUGAUGAUAUGGUCUCCUAUUUACUUUCAAGAGUGUAUUUGUAUGGUGUGCCUAUUUUCAUAAUUUUAAUUGAAGUACUUAGUUCACAUUUAAUUUCUAAAAUUUCAUACACAACAAAUUGAGUAUUCGUUGGAUCUUAGCACAAUUUUCAUUCACAAACAGAUGGUUAAUCCAAGAAAAUCUUGAACAAAUUAAAGACUGUGAUGAAGUUGAAUCUUGUAUAAAAUCGAAAGAUAACUGAUAGUGAUGCGAUCAUAGAGAUAAAAGAAAUAAUAUUGCUCAAUAAUUUCAGUGAAGAAAAUGGAGAGGAAAUAGUUGUAUGGAGAUUACUAUAAUAUGUAAUAGUGAUUAAAUGGAAAAAACUCAAUAGGAAGUGGAGUUUUUGGAAAAAAAAUCAUUUGCAUACCUUUAAUAUACAGGGUGGAAUAGAUUUAGAAAAAAAAAUAAGUUAGUGUCUUAAAAGAAAAUAUAUUUUAAUCUUGAACUAAAUUUUAACUCUUGUUUUCAUAAUUUAUAUUGGAUUAAUAUUCAAGUCACCAAGUUAUCUUUUUUCUAAUUUUAACUCACCAUUAUUGCAAUAUAUAUUUGUUAAAUAUAAGUAAAUUAUUAUUUUUCUAAAAUUUCCACUUACUACUAACUUCCUUCCAUAUUGUACUAAUCUCUGUUGAGGAUAUGAAGGGGUGAAUAUGGCGUAAUGCCGAAGCUUACAAAUUGCAAAUCAUAUUGUUUAUAUUAGACGAUAAAAAUUAAUAUUAAAAAUGAAAAUACUAUUAUAUCAAAACUAAUAUAAAGAAAAAACAUUAAAUUUGCAGAGAGAAUAGAGCUCCCCAUAAACAAAUGUCUCUAAAUGAUUACUUUGUGGGUUCUAUUGUUAUGUUAUGUUAGAAAAAAUAAGCCUAUAUUUAUAGAGUCCUAAAUCGGUUCCACCCUUAUUGCAAUGUAUAUUAAAGUAAUGCAAAUGAAUAUUUUUCCAAAAACUCCACUUCCUAUAGAGUUUUUCCAUUUAAUCACUGUUCCAUAUUAUAGUAAUAUCCAAAAAAAUUAUUCCAAUGUCCUAUAAAUACAACUAUUUCCUCUCAUUUUUUCUUCACUCAAAUUUUAAUUUUAUUCAAACAACUAUUUCCAAAACCUUUAGGGUGUGUUUGGUACGAAGGAAAACGUCUUUCAUGGAAAAUGUUUUUCUCGAAAAUAAGUAGAUUUUGGACUUAUUUUCUUAUGUUUGGUUGAUGAUAGAAAAUAAUUUCCGGAAAUGAUUUUUAGUGUUUGAUUUAUGAAUGAAAAUGUUUUUGAGAACAUCUUUUAUUUUUACUAGAUUAAAAAAUAAUUUAUGAAAUUAAUUUUUUUUAAAUCAAAAUUAUUAUUUUUUGGGGGUGGGGUAUGGGGUAGUGGGUUAAUUUUUUGGGGAGGGGUUGGGGUUCGGGUGGGUGGGUGGAGGGGUUAGGGAUCGGGUUAAAAAAUAAAAUUUUGGAAUUGAUUUUUUUUUUAAAAAAAAAUCGAUAUUUUUCCCAAAAAAAUGUAAUUUGAAAUUGGAGGAGAGUUUUGAAAAAUGUUUUUCCUUAAUUUUUGAAGAGAAGUUAUUUUUCUUAAAUUUGAGAAAAAUGAGUUGAUUUGGAAAAUAUUUUCCAUAACUUUUGUCCCAACCAAAUAUGAGAAAAUUGGAAAAUAUUUUCCAGAAAUUUUUUUCCUUCGUACCAAACACACUCUUAAUUGUUUCCCUUGUGUAUGCGGAGUGUGAUGCUGAGAGGUACAAUUAUGGAAUGAUGUUUAUUGUAUUAGCAAUUAUAUUCAUAAUUCACCCUGGUUGAAAGAGGAAUUUAAAUGUUAUCUUGAGUGAAGAGGAGAAGAUUAGUGGUCUGCGUUUAUAUCCUAAUAAGUAUGAGGAUUUUGCAUUUUGUGUGAAUUCAUGUGAUUUGGUGUAUGUGAGUUUUAAAGGGAAUCCUUUUACUUGGUGAAAUGGGAGGAUUGGUGAUCUCUGUAUAUUCAAAAGGCUGGAUAGAUACAUGAUGAAUCAAACUAGUUUUGGAUAUUUUGGGAUGGUGAAAUAUGAACAUUUGGCAAGAACAUGGUCUGAUCAUGCUCUUAUUCUACUUACAUGUGGACAGAAGACAAAUGUGACUAGGAGACCUUUCAGAUUUCUUAAAUUUUGGACAAUACAUACAAAAUUUAAGCAGAUAGUGAAGGAUAACUGGUUUUCAGAAGAUGAAGAAGAUAUGUUUAUUAGGAUGAAACAAAAGAUGAAAAAGACUAAAGUUGCUUUGUCUAUCUGGAGUGAAGUUGCUUUUGGAGAUAUUUUUAAACAAUUAGAUAUCUGGGGGAGGGUGUGAGCUUGUAAGGGUGAAACAGGUGUUAUUUUGAAGCAAGCCCUACAACAGACAAUAGGAAAAUAUUACAAAAGCCCAAUAGAAUUUUAAAAAUGUGUACAUUUUGAAGAAUAAUAUUUAAAGCAGAAAACAUGUAUUCAAUGGGUUACAAAAGGGGAGAAGAAUACAAGGUUCUUUCACAACUUUGUGAGAGGCAGAAGGAAAAGAUUAAGUACUAAGAAUAUUCAAAAUAUGGAAGAGAACUGGGUAGAAGGUGAAGAGCUAGUAGAUGUUGUUACACAAGAGUAUUAUCUGAAGCAAUUCACAGGCAUUCAGAAUAUGGAGGAAGCCUCCCAAUUGAGAUAUAUUAAAAAAAAUGUUACAAAUGAAGAGAAUAGAAGAUUAAAUAAUCAUCUUUCAAUGGAGGAGGUUAACAAAGUAGUGUUUGAAUUCAGUGGGAACAGUGCUAGUGGUCUGGAUAGGUUUACUGGAAAUUUUUCCAACAAUUUUGGGACAUAGUUAGGGAUGAUUAGUUUGAGUAAUUUUCUUAAGGGUGAUGAAUGAUAGAGUUGGAAUUCUUCUUCCCUCACUGAUUUCACAAAUCAAUUUGGAUUUGUGAAAGGAAGAAGCAUAAUUUAAAAUGUGUUACUUGCUCAGGAGAUCAUAUCCGAUAUUAGCAAAAGGGGUAAGCCAACAAAUGUGGUGUUAAAGCUGGAUAUGGCAAAAACAUAUGACAGGUUAGAUUGGAGCUCUCUAACAAUGGUGCUUGAAGGAAUGAGUUUUGAUGCUAAUGUUGUUGAUAAUGUCUGGAGACUAGUUGGUAACAACUGAUAUUCUGUACUUAUCAAUGAAAAUGCUUAUGGAUUCUUUCAAUCACCAAGGGGAGUGAAGCAAGGAGACCUUUUAUCCCCUGCACUAUUCAUUCUAAUUCCUUAAAUUCUUUCUAGAAGCUUAAAUGCUUUGAUUUGUAAUGAAAUUUACAAGGGUUUUGGAUUGCCAAAAUAGAGUGAUCUUACUAAUUAUCUUGCAUAUGCAGAUGAUUAUAUAAUGUUUACUUCAGCAAAUGUCAUUUCGUUACAUGUAUUGAUGGAAACUUUGACACAUUAUGAGAAGCAAUCAGGGCAGAUGAUAAAUAAAGAAAAGAGAUCAUUUUCAUAUUUCAUUAUACAACACAUGAUUUGCUAGCAAAUUUAAAAGUGAAAACUGACUUUGCUAGAGGCAAGAUUCCACUAAUGUAUUUAGGAUGUCCAACUGAUCAUGCCAAGAGGAAGAAGGUACACUUUGCAAAUUUGAUAAAAAAAAAGUGCAUAAUAAGUUGCAAGCUUGGAAAAGGAAAAUGAUGUCAUUUGGAGGUAAGGUUGUGUAACUCAUAAUGUGCAAAAUAGCAUACCUAUAUAUCUCUUGUCUGCUUACAAUCCAUUGAGGUGUGUUAUUCAUGAUUUACAUAGAGUUUUUGUAAUUUUUUUUGGAAAUUUUAGGAAGGAGGAAAAUAACAAGCUUUGUGUUGGAUGGUGUGAUUUAUGUAGACCCAAAGAAGAAGGUGGCGUGAGAUUUAGAUCUUUCUUUGACAUUUCUUAAGAUUUAUUAGCUAGAUGGAUUUUUAGAACAAGAAGACUAUGUGAUCUAAUUUUAUGAGGAACAAAAUUGUAAAAAUGUGAGACCUUAAGUGGUUGAGUGGGAAAAUGGUUCUUUACCUUGAAAGUAUAUGUUGGAAGCUAGAGACUUGAUAAAUCAACAAAAUUGGUGGGAACCCAAGUGUACACAUUCAAGUAUCUGGUAUGACAAUUGGUCAUAAUUAAACAUACCACAUUACAUAAUUCCUAUAGACUCUACUAGAAAUGUAGUGUCUUUUAGUGGAUAAUGAAAUUAUGACUAGAUACAAACAAGUUUUGGAAAAUAUAUCAGUAGACAGAUAAUAUAAGAGGAGUCCAGAAUAUGAAGAGUAGUGGGAUAAACCCUGCUGGAUGCUGAAGGUUGUUGGAAAUUUCACUGUGGAUUCUGCAUGGGAUUUUAUAAGGGAGAAACAUGAAGUCUGUACAAUAUAUAAGUCUAUCUGAUGUGCAAGAAUUCCUUUUAAGAUAUCUUCUUCAAUUGGAGACUUUGAAAACAAAGACUUCUUAUUGGAGAAGUUCUUGUCAGGAAUAAGAAAAGUGAUGGGGUAGUGUGUAGUUUUUGUAAUGAUGGAAUUGAGGACACUAUUGAAUACUUGUUUAUUAGAUGUUCCUUUUCUAAAUCUAUAUGGAGUUAUUUUGCAGGAACAUCAGGAGUAGAUAGUCCUUUCUUGCAGUUGAAAGAUACUAUGUAUAAAUGGUAUAAUGUAGAUGCUUUUUCUAAACUUAAACCUGUAAUAAUGGUAUUUGUUGGCAAGUGUGGAAAAGAAGAAAUGCCUUGAAAUUUGAUGAUUCAAUGUCUAAUCUAAGUAUGAAAGGAGGAAUAACAAAGAAUUUGAUUUUAUUAGCUAAUUAGUUGUACUCAUUGACGUAUAAUUUGCCUUAUAAUUGGCCUGAAUUGGUUAGAUAUUUGACAGAAUAUACUCAUAGGAUUAGAUGUAAAGUGGUCUAUUAGAAAUUAUCUUGACAAAAUACAUUUAAAUGCAAUACAGAUGAAGCUUUAAAAGUAAAUUGAGCACCAAUCUCUUCGAAUUUUAUAUUAAAGAAGAUCAAGGCAACUUUGUGUAUGCUAAAUGAAAUGUGGUUGGGAUAUCAAACAAUCUAAUAGCCGAAGCAGUCGCUAUCAAACUAGGGUUGAAUAAUUGUAGGAUCCACAAUCUAUUCCUUUUGAUUCUAGAAACUUAUUCUUUAUCUGCUUUGAAAAUGGUAGGAGAGGCUUGGUAUAUACCUUGGGAGGUUAAAAUAGAGGUCAGAAUGACACAGGUCUUGAAGGAAGGGCUUGAGGUGGCCAUUGUACACAGAAGGCAACAAACUGUCAGAUUUUAUUAUUUCUUUGGUAGGUAUAGAUUCUAUAAGUUAUGACGGUUUCCGAAAGUUACCUACUGAAGCUAAGACUUUACUAAACAUGGAUAAACGAAAACUCCUAAUCUAAGUAUAAGGAAUAUUCAUACUGCAAAAUUUUCCCCAGAUAGCUGAUACAAAUCAGAACAUACGAUAUGCAUACAAUAUUUUCUCAAGUUUAAGUGCAUAUAUUACGCAAACAAUACUCUAAAGAUUGCAAUAUAACAAGUUUCAUUCACAUUUGAAGAGGCAAUUAUAAAUUGCAAUGAGAAAUAUAUAGAACAUGAAAAAUACCUAGGAAGGGUGCAGUAAUUUCGUCGCCAGGUUUUCAAUAGUGGUAUUAGCUCCUUGAUGGGCUCAACCUGUCAAAUUUAAGUGAUGAAGGUUGCAAGAUCUUUGAAAUAGGUAUGUGCUGCACAAAAGGUGUUUAAUUUUACAAAGAAAGUGAGGCAUUCACCUGCUUCGAAGCUUCGAUUCAAGAACCCUAAGUUGGAGAAGUCCGUUAUGGGGAUGAUUUCAUGAUGUUGGUGAGACUAGGCAACGUUCGAGAUGAAAUACACCCCCAACUCGAUCUAUUGCUGGAGUGGUUUCAUCUUGCUGGAGAAUGCUUGUCUGAAUAGGAACGAUGAUGAUGGACGAUAAGGGAUGAUGUUCCUCCGAUAUGCUUUCCUCUUUCCCAAUUUCCCUUUUUGUAUCUGUUAUUUUUUUUCCUAUCGAAGUCUUUAUAGGUGUUGGAUCGGGUCCUCUUUGGGACUAGUCCUCUGUAAUGUGAUUCAAUAAACUGGGCUUGCGCAACUUUUUAUUUUAAAAAAAGAUAAUAUAUUCUUUUUGAUUAAAAAAAUAGACUAGUCCAUCCUGUCUAGGCUAGGCCAUAGAGACUUUGGAAUUCGAACAACUAGGUUGGGUUGACCUAUUUUUUGUGGGAAAAAAACAUUAAACCCAACCCAUUAGUACGUGGAUUGCGGGCUAUGUCAGGUUAUCCCACUUCUUUUAAAAGUCUUUUUUUUUAAAAAAAAUCUAUAAUUAUAAAAAAAUAGAAUAAAUAUCGGUAAGACAAGACAAUAUUACAUGGUGUUAGGAUUAUUAUUUGUUAACAAAUCUACAAUUAAAAUAAUCUUUACAAGGAUUAUAAAGUUUGACUUUAAGUAAAAAUAUAACUAGUUAAAAAGAAAUAUUAACAUAAUUAUUUUCGACUGAUCAAAUAAAGCACAAAAAAUAUGGUAAAUUCUACCAUUAAAAAGUAAAAAAUGAACUCUUAAAAAAUAUUCACGAAGCUUAUGGUGUAUCCUAACAUCAACACAUCAUUUUUAUCAAACAUAUAUGUAUCAACUUUUGGCAAGGUUUUCUAAACAUCUUUAUGCUAGGGAAAUAUUAUAAAAAUUUGACAAUAAUAAUAAUAAUAAUAAAUAACUUUAUUAUUUAUCAAAAAGUGGUCCUGAAAUAAAGUUGAAUAUUCCUACGAAUAUAUAUAUAUAUAUAUAUAUAUUAUCCGUUGAUGUAUAAUUUGCCUCAUAAUUUGCCUGAAUUAGUCAGAUAUUUGAGAGAAUAUACUCAUAGGAUUAGAUGUAAGGUGGUCUAUUAGAAAUUACUUGAACAAAAUACAUUCAAAUGCAAUACAGAUGGAGAUUUAAAAGUAAAUCGAGGAUCAAUCUCUUCAACUUUUUAUAUUAGAGAUGAUCAAGGCAACCUUUUGUAUGCUAAAGGAAAUGUGGUUGGAAUAUCAAACAAUCUAAUAGAAGAAGUAGUCACUAUCAAACUAGGGCUGAAAUAUUGUAGGAUCCACAAUUUAUUCCUUUUGAUUCUAGAAACCUAUUCUUUAGCUGCUUUGAAAAUGGUAGAAGGGGCUUGGCAUAUACCUUGGGAGGUUACAAUAGAGGUCAGAAUGACACAGGUCUUGAAGGAAGGGCUGGAGGUGGCCAUGGUACACCGAAGGCAACAAACCGUCAGAUUUUAUUGUUUCUUUUGUAGGUAUGGAUUCUAUAAGUUAUUAUGGUUUCCAAGAGUUACCUACUGAAGCUAAGACAUUACUAAACAUGGAUAAAUGAAAACUCCUUAUCUAAGUAUAAGAAAGAUUCAUAAUGCAAAAUUUUCCACAGAUAGCCGAUACAAAUCAGAACAUACAAUACGCACAUAAUAUUUUCUCAAGUUUAAGUACAUACAGUACACAAACAAUACUCUAAAUAUUGUGAUAUAACAAAUUCUAAUCACAUUUGAAUAAACAAUGAUAAAUUGCAAUGAGAAAGAUACAAAACAUGAAAAAUACCUUAGAAGGCUGCAAUAAUUUCAUCGCGAGGCUUUCAACAGUGGUAUUAGCUCCUUGAUAGGAUCAACCUAUCAAAUUUAAGUGAUAAAGGUUGCAAGGUCUUUGAAAUAGGUAUGUGCUGCACAAAAGGUGUUUAAUUUUACAAAGAAAGUGAGGCAUUCACCUGCUUCGAAACUUCGAUUCAAGAACCCUAAGUUGGAGAAAUCUCUGAUGGGGAUGAUUUCAUGAUGUUGGUGAGACUAACCAACGUUCGAGAUGAAAUACACCCCCAACUCGAUCUAUUGCUGGAGUGGUUUUAUGUCGCCGGAGAAUGCUUGUUGGAAUAGGUAGGAUGAUGAUGGACGAUGAGGGAUGAUGUUUCUCUGAUAUGCUUUCCUCUUUCCCCAUUUCCUUUUUUGUCUAUGUUAUCUUGUUUUCUAUUGAAAUCUUUAUAGGUGUUGGAUCGGGUCCUCUUUGGGCCUAGUCCUCUGUAAUGUGAUUCAAUAAACUGGGCUUGCCCAACUUUUAAAUUAAAACAAAAGAUUAUGUUCUUUUUUAUUAAAAAAAUGGACUAGUGUAUCCUGUCUAGGCUAGGCCAUAGAGACUUUGGAAUUCGAACAGCUAGGUUGGGUUGACCCAAUAUUUUGUGGGACAGAAAACAUUCAACCCAACCCCUUAGUACGUGGAUUGCGGACUAUGUCGGGUUAGCCCACUUCUUUUAAAAGUCUUUUUUUAAAAAAAUCUAUAAUUUAAAAAAAUUAGAAUAAAUAUCAGCAAGACAAAACAAUAUUACAUGGUGUUAGGAUUAUUAUUUGUUAACAAAUAUACAAUUAAAAUAAUAUUUGCAAAGCUUAUUAAGUUUGACUUUAAGUAAAAAUAUAACUAGCUAAAUAAAAUAUUAAUCUAAUUAUUUUCAAAGAUCAAAUAAAACACAUAAAAUAUGAUAAAUUAAACCAUUAAAAAGUAAAAAUGAACUCUUAAAAAAUAUUCAUGAAGCUUAUGGUGUAUCCAACAUCAACACAUCAUUUUUAUCAAACAUAUAUGUAUCAACUUUUGGCAAGGUUAAUAAAACAUCUUUAUUUUCAUCUAUGUUUAUAGUCAACUUCAAUCAAUUAAACUUUAAAAACAAGUAAAUUUAAGAACUACAUGAAUAAUAUUUAUGGAAAACUACACAAAAUACACACAAUUGUGAAACAAUUCAAAACAAAUUAGAUCCAACCCAAACUAUUUACCCUUAAUGAACUCAUGACCCAAGCUAUUUACCUGCCUACCCCACUUUCUCUUUCCUUAUUUCACACAUGAUGCCAACAUCAUGUCACGACCCAAAACGUGUCGUGAGUGGCACCCAUAUUUACCCUCCUAUGUGAGCGAACCAACCAAUCCAAACUCCAACAUUGAACCAUAAUGAACAAAAUAUAAUGCGGAAGACUUAAAACUCAUUAGCGAAAUCAAGUAAAUAACUUCUAAAAACUCAAACACCUAUUAUCAUUCCCAAAACCUGGAAGUCAUCAUCACAAGAACAUCUAUACUCAACUUACUAAAUCUAAGAGUAUCUAAGAAGCUAAGAUAACUAAAUAGCUAGUCCAUGCCAGAACUUCAAGGCAUAAAGACGUGAAGAAGUAGAUCCAGUCCAAGCUAGAAACAAUAGCUCACCCUGAAAUCUGACGUGAUGAAGACUGGCUAGAGUUGCGGUUGAGUUGAAGACGACGGUACGUUUGCUGCACUCCACAAUUAACAAAAAGAAAACAUCCAAGUAGGGGUCAGUACAAAACACAAGUACUGAGUAGAUAUCAUCGGCCAACUCAAAAUAGAAAGCAAUAUAUAUCAGAUAAUGUCAUAAAAUCAACUACAAUACUCAACAGGUAGCAACAACAAGUACAAGGAUCAUUGAUAAUAACGCCAAGUACACCCAUGAGGACUCAAGCCUCCAUACCAUACUCAUUUUGGAAAUAGGUUCAUUAAAUUUUGAGUAUAUUAAGAUAAUUCAAGAUUCAUUCUCUUUAUUCCUCUUGUUUCGGAAUGUGACACUCCGAUCCCCUAAUACUACGUGUCGGUUCGUGACACCCGAUCCCCUAAUACUACGUGUCGGUUUGUGACACCCGAUCCCUUAAUACUACGUGUCGGUUCGUGACACCUGAUUCAUUAACCUCAUUCUUUUAGUUCAUCAAGCCUUCUUUUAUACCAAGGCAUCAUCAUUAACAAAGAGGUUUAAAGAUUUAAGAUUCAACAGCCUCAUCAUGCUUAUUUUAUCACAAUUAUAUAACCACAUCAUGCAAGCACACAAUUAAGCAUAUAGAAGGGUUUACAAUACUACCCAAUACAUAUCAUUCGCUAUUAAGAGUUUACUAUGAAAUAGCAUAAACCAUAACCUACUUCCACCGAAGAAUUCGUGAUCAAGAAUCUACUUUUCAAUGCUUUGCUUACUUCUUCGUUCUCUCCUCUUGAUCGAUCAUUUCUCCCUCUCUCUGUUCUUUCUAUUUUUCUUAUUCAAUUUUUUUUCUUUUACCCUAAUUAGCAUAUAAUUAAGUAUAAAAGAUGACAAAAGUAACCCACUAAUUAAUUCAAGGUUAUCUCCUUUAACCCUCAAGUAAUUGAAUUAUUAAUAUUACCCUCUAACUUUAUAAUCAUAAGCACGAAUAGUCCAAAACGCCCCUUAAAACAUUUAAUAGAAAUCCGACCCAGUCAGGGUUAUGCAGUCUGUGACGGGCCGUUGUGCCUGCGACGGUCCGUUCUGCUGCUUCCGUCACAAAGUUCAGAGACUAACUUUUCACUAAAGGGCCUGUGACGGUCCGUCCUGCCAUGUCGUCGCGAAGUUCAGAGAGUUGUUCUCAGUACCCAAUUUUUCAGAAUUCUAAGUGUUUUGGAACGAGACACCCUCGACGGUCCGUCGUGCCCAUGACGGUCCGUCGUGGGAUCCGUCGACUCAGACAGUUAUUACCAGAAAAUAAACUUUACUGCUCGAAACGACUAAGAGGUCGUUACAAUAGAUACCAAUUUACCCAUCGUUCGUCCUCGAACAAUCACAAGAAGAAAAACAAGGAGGAAAAGGAGUACCUGAAUCAGUAAACAGGUGUGGGUAUCUUUCUUGCAUAUCGGCCUCCUUCUCCCAAGUGGACUCUUCAACUGGUCGAUUCUUCCAUUGAACUUUGAUGGAUGCAAUCUCCCUUGAUCUCAACUUGCGGACUUCUCUAUCUAAGAUGGCAACAGGCUCCUCCUCAUAAGACAAAUUCUCAUCAAGCAGAACUAAAUCCCAACGAAUAAUGUAGUUUCCAUCCACAUUUACCCUCCUAUGUGAGCGAACCAACAAAUCCAAACCCCAACAUUGAACCAUAAUGAACAAAAUAUAAUGCGGAAAACUUAAAACUCAUUAGCGAAAUCAAGUAAAUAACUUCUAAAAACUCAAACACUUAUUAUAAUUCCCAAAACCUGGAAGUCAUCAUCACAAGAACAUCUUCCUCAUCGAUUUUUGCUUAUUUAGCCUCUCCUCGCAACACCUUAUCUCAGAUCCGGAUCAGUUUCUCAUCAUUAAAUUGCUUUUCCUUAAUCUUGUUAAGAAAGGAAGAUCUUGCCUCCACACAAGCCAAAAAUCCUCCCUUCUCAUUUACUUCCAGCCUCAUAAAGUUAUUAGCCAGAGUCUGAACUUCUCUAGCCAAUGGGCGUCUAGAAACCUACAAGUGAGCUAGACUUCCCAUGCUCCAUGCCUUUCUACUUAAAGCAUCUGUCACAACGUUAGCUUUUCUGGGAUGAUACAAGAGAGUGAUGUCAUAGUCUUUCAGUAGUUCCAUCCACCUCCUCUGUCUCAAAUUCAAAUCUUUCUGAGUAAAGACAUACUGUAAACUACGAUGAUCCGUAUAGACUUCACACUUAACCCCAUAUAGAUAAUGUCUCCAUUGCUUUAAUGCAAACAGUGCUGCCGCUAACUCCAAAUCGUGGGUCGGAUGAUUACGUUCGUGCACCAUUAAUUGCCUCGAGGCAUAAGCAAUUACAUUAUUAUCUUGCAUUAGAACUUCACCCAACCCAGAAUAGGAUGCAUCACAGUAAACAAUGAAGUUCUUUCCUUCCACCGGCAAGGUGAGAAUUGGUGCAGUAGUCAACAAAGUCUUGAGCUUCUGAAAGCUUUCUUCACACUUGUCCGACCAUACAAAUGAAACACUCUUCUUAGUCAAGUUUGUCAGUUGGGAAGCAACAGAAGAAAAUCCCUUGACAAAUCGACGGUAGUAGCUAGCUAAACCAACAAAGCUCCUUACCUCUGUAACAUUUGUAGGUCUUACCCAAAUCUUCACUGCUUCGAUCUUAGAAGGAUUCACCAUCACUCCAUCCUUAGAAACCACGUGCCCCAAGAAGGACACUGAAUCUAGCCAAAACUCACACUUGGAGAAUUUGGCAUAAAGCUUUUUCUCCCUUAACAUUUCCAAUACAAUUCUCAAGUGUUCCUCAUGUUCCUUCUUGCUCUUUGAGUAUACCAGUAUAUCAUCAAUGAAUACGAUGACAAAGAGAUACAGAUAUGGCUUAAAAAUCCCGUUAAUCAAACUCAUGAAAGCAGCAGGGGCAUUCGUAAGCCCAAAGGACAUUACUAAGAAAUCAUAAUGUCCAUACCUAGUCCGAAAAGCAGUCUUGGACACAUCCGUGACCCGUAUUUUUAAUUGAUGAUAACCAGAUCUCAAAUCGAUUUUUGAGAAGGUACAAACACCUUGUAACUGAUCAAACAAAUCAUCGAUGCGAGAAAGAGGGUACUUGUUCUUAACAGUUACCUUAUUUAGUUGUUUGUAGUCAAUGCACAUCCGAAAACUUCCAUCCUUCUUCUUCACAAACAAAACCGGAGCACCCCAAGGAGAUGCACUUGGUCUAAUGAAGCCUUUGAUUAACAACUCUUGAAAUUGGGCCUUUAACUCUCUUAACUCAGCGGGAGCCAUCCUAUAAGGUGGUAUGGAAAUGGGGCGAGUACCCGGCUCCAGAUCAAUACAAAAGUCGAUAUCCCUAUCCAGUGGCAUACCAGGAAGGUCUGCGGGAAAAACACAUCCAGAAACUCACGAACUAUUGAAACUGUCUCAAUUGAAGGUACUUGGGUAGUAUCAUCCCUGAGAUGUGCCAAGAACGCUAAACAACCCUUACUAACCAAUUUCUUAGCACCAAGAAAGGAGAUGAUAUGAACCGGAUUGGAAGUGUAGUCACCCUCCCACACUAACGGAUCUGUCCCAGGCUUGGCUAACGUCACAGUUUUAGCAUUACAAUCUUAGAUUGCAAUGUUUGGAGAAAGCCAAGUCAUACCCAAAAUUACAUCGAAAUCAACCAUUUCUAAGAUAAUCAAGUCUACAUGAGUAUUGCUCCCCACAAACGUUACAAGACAAGACCUAUAUACCUUUUCAACUAUCACAGACUCACCCACCGGAGUAGAAACACGAAUAGGCAUGUCAAGCAAUUCACAAUGUAAGUUAAGACCAGUAGCAAAUGAGGAAGAUACAUAUGAAAAUGUGGAUCCAGGAUCAAAUAAUACAGAAGCCAUGCAAUCGCAAACCAAAAGAUUACAAGUGAUGAUAGUAUCAGAUGUCUCCGCUUCAGAUCUUCCAGAGAAAGCAUAACAAUGGGCUCUAUCACCUGUCUGCCCGUUGCCCCUACCAUGUUGCGCUGCAGAAGUCCCAGUUUGCCCGUCACCCCGGCCGUUUUGAUGACCACCAUUACCUCCGCCACCACGUCCUCCCGAAUAACGGCCUCUUCCAUGACCACCUCUACCUCUGAUUAUUGGGGGUCUGUAACUCGGUUUUGGACAAUUCCUCCUAAUAUGUCUAGUCUCUCCACAUCCAUAACAUUCUCUGGAUUCAAGCAUAGGUCUUUGUGAGAACGACGAAUUCUGGGCAUAACCUUCAAACUCAGAGAAAUGCUGACCGGUCUGCGGUGGACCCCCAGCUACAGCCUGUAGUGAAGACUGAAUAGGUCGGGCUGGAUAACCUCCUGAACUCUGCCCUCUAGAGUAAGAACCAUUAAACUCACCUCCUUUACGAAACUUCUUAGUUGCUGAUGCCAUGGUGAAAUCAUCUGGCUUCACUCCCUCCACCUCUAUCACAAAGUCUACCACUUCCUGAAAGGAUUUUGCCGUAGCAGCUACCUGUAAGGCUGAAAUCUGCAAAUCUGACCUCAACCCCUUCACAAAACGGCGAAUCCACUCUUGUGGACUAAAGCAAAGCUGGGUGGCAUAUCUGGAGAGUGCACGAAAUUUAGCCUCAUAAGCAGAAACCGACAUCAUGCCUUGCUCUAGGCUUAGAAACUCAUCUCUCCUCCUAUCCCUCAAGGUACGGGGUAUAUACUUCUCCAUAACUAAACUAGAGAAUGAUGCCCAAGUAAUAGGUGGUGCCUCUGUUGGUUGACACUCCACAUGUGACCGCCACAACAUUUUGGCGUUCCCUUGAAAUUGAUAGGUCACAAACUCGACGCGAACUAUACCCAUCUUGUGUAGUAACUCAUGACAGUCAACCAAAAAAUCGUAGGCAUCCUCAGAUUCAGCACCCUUGAAGACUGGAGGUUUCAAUUUCAAGAACUUAUUGAAAAGUUCAUGCUGACCACUUGUCAUUAUAGUCAACCGAGGAAAUGUGCCUAUUUCCAAUGACGCAUCCAUGCGGGGAGCCACAGCAGCUGCAUGUUGUACUCCCGGAACCUGAGGUGCUGGUGCAGAAAACACUGGAGGUGUCUGGUCCUGAUCAGAUAACCCGCUAAGAUAAGCAAGAACCUGAUUAAUCAUCUCUGGGGUAGGAUGGGUGGUAAUUCCUCAUUCUGCACUUGCUCAUUCUCCCCUUCCUCCCCCUCUCUUACUACUUCCUCGGUCAGUGGAGGAGUCACCGCCCUAGUACUAGAUGGGUCAGGCGUUUGUCCUCUUCCUCUAGAGGACGUCCUCCCGCGACCUCUACCACGGCCUCUUGUCACUGCCCCUCUUCGAGCUACAGCCCCAGUGGCUGGCUCAGACGCAUCUUGUCUUGCCGGUGUUGGUGUUGGCGCAGUUGUUGCUCUAGUUCUAACCAUCUGUGAAAUAGAGUGAAGAUGGUCAGAUACCAAUUUGUAUCACCUAGAUACCAAUUGGAUCCAAGUAAUAGCACGAAAGAAAGAAAGAAUGGAAUUUUCCUAAAGUCUUAUAGCCUCUCAAAGAAAAUUAAAGGCGUCCCCCUACCGUUCCUCAAGACUCUACUAGACUCAUUCUUGUGUGAUGAGAUCAACGAACCUAAUGCUCUGAUACCAAGUUUUUCAUGACCCAAAAUGUGUCGUGAGUGGCACCCACAUUUACCCUCCUAUGUGAGUGAACCAACCAAUCCAAACCCCAACAUUGAACCAUAAUGAACAAAAUAUAAUGCGGAAGACUUAAAACUCAUUAGCGAAAUCAAGUAAAUAACUUCUAAAAACUCAAACACUUAUUAUCAUUCCCAAAACCUGGAAGUCAUCAUCACAAGAACAUCUAUCCUCAACUUACUAAAUCUAAGAGUAUCUAAGAAGCUAAGAUAACUAAACAGCUAGUCCAUGCCAGAACUUUAAGGCAUCAAGACGUGAAGAAGUAGAUCCAGUCCAAGCUAGAAACAAUAGCUCACCUUGAAAUCUGACGUGAUGAAGACUGGCUAGAGUUGCGGUUGAGUUGAAGACGACGGUACGUUUGCUGCACUCCACAAUUAACAAAAAGAAAACAUCCAAGUAGGGGUCAGUACAAAACAGAAGUACUGAGUAGAUAUCAUCGGCCAACUCAAAAUAGAAAGCAAUAUACAUCAGAUAAUGUCAUAAAAUCAACUACAAUACUGAACAGUGUAGCAACAACAAGUACAAGGAUCAUUGAUAAUAACGCCAAGUACAUCCAUGAGGACUCAAGCCUCCAUACCAUACUCAUUUGGGAAAUAGGUUCAUUAAAUUUUGAGUAUAUUAAGAUAAUUUAAGAUUUAUUCUCUUUAUUCCUCUUGUGUCGGAACGUGACACUCCGAUCCCCUAAUACUACGUGUCGGUUCGUGACACCCGAUCCCCUAAUACUACGUGUCGGUUCGUGACACCCGAUCCCCUAAUACUACGUGUCGGUUCGUGACACCCGAUCCAUUAACCUCAUUCUUUUAGUUCAUCAAGCCUUCGUUUAUACCAAGGCAUUAUCAUUAACAAAGAGGUUUUAAGAUUUAAGAUUCAACAGCCUCAUCAUGCUUAUUUUAUCACAAUUAUAUAACCACAUCAUGCAAGCACACAAUUAAGCAUAUAGAAGGGUUUACAAUACUACCCAAUACAUAUCAUUCGCUAUUAAGAGUUUACUAUGAAAUAGCAUAAACCAUAACCUACUUCCACCGAAGAAUUCGUGAUCAAGAAUCUACUUUUCAAUGCUUUGCUUCCCUCUUCGUUCUCUCCUCUUGAUCGAUCAUUUCUCUCUCUCUCUGUUCUUUCUAUUUUUCUUGUUCAAACCUUUUUUUUCUUUUACCCUAAUUAGCAUAUAAUUAUGUAUAAAAGAUGACAAAAGUAACCCACUAAUUAAUUCAAGCUUAUCUCCUUAAACCCUCAAGUAAUUGUAUUAUUAAUAUUACCGUUUAACUUUAUAAUUAUAAGCAGGAAUAGUCCAAAAUGCCCCUUAAAACAUUUAAAAGAAAUCCGACCCAGUCAGGGUUACGCAGUCUGUGACGGCCGUCGUACCUGCGACGGUCUGUCCUGCUGCUUCCGUCACAAAGUUCAGAGACUAACUUUUCACUAAAGGGCCUGUGACGGUCCGUCAUGCCCACGACGGUCCGUCCUGCCAUGUCGUCGCGAAGUUCAGAGAGUUGUUCUCAGUACCCAAUUUUUCUGAAUUCUAAGUGUUUUAGAACGAGACACCCUCGACGGUCCGUCAUGCCCAUGACGGUCCGUCGUGGGAUCCGUCAACUCAGACAGUUAUUACCAGAAAAUAAACUUUACUGCUCAAAACGACUAACAGAUCGUUACACAUCAUUACUAUUGAAUUAUCAUUUGUAAUACUCUUUUGGUAUAUUGAUCGAUAUUUUAUAGUAUUAACUUAAUCUUAUGUGAUACUCCAUCAGUAUAUUGAUACUAUUUCAAUAUCAUAUAAGGCUGAACUUAAUUCUCUGUAAUACUCCUUCGGCAUAUUGAUACUUAUCAGUAUCAUAUCAGAUUGAGAUAUUUUUUAAAUAAAUAAAUAAGAAACAAUUAAGAGAAAUUUAAUAAAGUCAUAACCUAAAUUUAGUAAAAAAUAUAUUCUUUGUGAUACUUCGUCGAUAUAUUGAUAUCAUACUGGUAUCGUAUAGGACUCAGUAUGUUCAUCUAUAAUAAUCCAUUCGUAUUUCUACUCUAUCAGUAUCAUAUAUGAUUAUACCCUUUCUAAAAAUAAAUAAAAGAUAAUUAUUAAAGCCACAAUCUUAUUUAUUAAACACUAAUUGACAAAAAUAUAUACAUUUAUAUUUUAAAAUUAAAAUAUUAAAGAAUUGAAUAACAUCAAUGAUACCCCGUCAAUAUGUAGAUAUACUGUAAGAGUAUCAUAGAUGAUUGAGUAAUCUAUCGAAGAACUGAAGCAAAUCUCAAUGAAACAUUGUUAUGUUACUUUUUGAUGCCACCAUUGUAUGUUAUACUUUGAAGGUAUCAAGAAGGAAGAGUAAUCAUUCAAUGAUGAUACUCAGUUACUCUUUGAUACAAUCAAAGUAUAUUCAUCUAUUGUAAUAUAUUGUGAUACAAUCAAAGUAUAUAUUUUUGUACGUAAACACCAUAGUAGUGAUGAAAUAUUUAGUGAAUAUGAAAGUGAUGAUAUGGUUAUUGAUGUAAAUGAUGAACAAUCAGCUUAAGGUAACAAAGUCACGUGCUUUGUCUACUUCACGAUGUAUAGAAUGAUGUUUUUUGCACUCACUCCGAACUACCAGAUUGUUGUAUUGUCAUAGACACUACUUGUUAUUUGUUGCAACAAAGUUCAAAUUGACUUUAAAUACAAACGUUGUAUGAUUAGUUUUAAUAAUUUUUAAAACUUAUGGGUAUAAAUUAUAUUUCAUAAAAAAGUUAAAUAUGUUUUCCAAAUACUGUAGUCAAGCAUAUGGUGAAAUUUCCCUCAAAUUUUAAUCUAUAUUCAAUAAUAUUUUCCAAAUGUAUAUGAAAAUUUUGUGUAAACGCUAGCUUAAUGUUAUCGGAUGAAUUAAUCAUGUUUAAAAAAGCAAGAUAUAUUUUAAGAGUAAAUUUCACAUAUAGCGUUAUAUAUAGUAUUAUUAUCAAGUUAUGGCAUUAGAGUUUUAAUUUUAUUUUGUAGCAUUUAAUAUCUCACUCUAUAGCAUUUUAUUAGUAAUUAUAUUGUUAAUUAUAAUUUAUUGAAAAGAGUUGUUAUUAAAAAUUAAGUAGACAAAGUGAUAAUGAGUAAUUAAUUUUAAUGAUUAAAAAUUCUGACAAUAUUUAUCAAGUUGCUUUUGACAGUGCAUUUAUUGAAUGUUGCAUGCCUGAGAAUUGAAAGAGUUUACCUUUUUAUUGAGUUAAAUUAAAGCAAGAUAAAUUAUUAGCCUUACAAUUAUUCAUCAUUCCAAAAUUUCUCUAUUAUUUUGAAAUUUCUUUCAACAUAUAAUUCAUUUCAUUCCGUAAGAAUUCAACAUUAUUAUCAUAGCUGCAUAUUUCAGUUUUUAUUGAUAACUUUGUGUCAAUUUUAAUUAAACAUGGUGGAAAGUGAAAUUCUUCGGGUUAGUUUUUAGUUAUGAUUUGUUUCUUUUAAUUAUUAAUUGUUGGUUUGUUAAAUUUUUUUGUUAACUGUAUUAUCAGUUUACAUAUUUUUUUUUACACUAAAAAGAAUGUUUUUUUUUGUAAUAAAGUAAAAAAAUUAUAAUUAAUUAUAUUUUAUAAAUUUAAAAUAAUUCUAUCUAUCUAUUUUUAGUAAUAUAAAUAAUUAAUUUUAAGAUUGAAAAAUAAUAUUAAGAUGAAAUAAAAUGAAUAUUUUCUUUUUGAAUUUCAUAUUUUCCAUGAAUAAAAUUAUAUAAGUAGAGAAAUUUGGAACAUUACUUUUCAAAACAAAAGUGAGAGAUAAAGAAGUAAAAAUAAAGUAAGAAGAGAAAUAAUAGUUUGAAGAAGAGAGAGAAAAAUGAAUUUGGGUCAUUUUCUGAAAUAAAACUCAACAAUUUCCAUAUGACAUAAUAUAAAUGGAGCCUCAUAAACCUCAAUCGCUUUAUGAGGCUCUAUUUAUAUUGUGUCAUGUGGAAAGUGUUGGUCCAAUUUCAAAAAAUAAUACAAAUCCAUUUUUUCUCUCUUCUUCAAACGAUUAUUUCUCUUUCUUACUUUUUAUUCUUUGGCAUUUCUUUUCAAAUUAGUGUUCCAAAUUUCUCUAUCAACUAACAAACGAAUUCAAAUACAAAUACCUUCCAGGUCAUUCCGCGUUAUUUUUACAGUUAUAGUAUCACGAUCCAAAAUCACAAGUCGUGUUGACACCUAUGAUUCCAACCGUUAGGCUAAGCCAACCAUAUAAGUUACCAAUUUCACUUAAAAUAUGAAAAGGUAAGUAGCAAGCAAAUAUAUUGCAUACCAAAUCUUUUAAAUAAAAUGCGAAAAACUAUACUAUCCUAAGAUUUAGUGUCAGAAGUACAUGAAUUUCUAAACUACGAGGCAAGUUUAGAACUAAAUACCAAAUCUAGACGUUAGAAAUAUCUUGUCAGAACACUAAUAAUAUAAUAACUAAGACAUAGUGGGAGGUGGGGGACACAAACUUCGUGACUUUGAGAAAAUUGAUGUCGUUUGCAUUAUUACGUUGAUUUUGAUUUCAUAUAAUAUGAUGAAUCGUCUCCUAUUUACUUUCAAGAGUGUAUUUGUAUGGUGUGCCUAUUUUCAUAAUUUUGAAUUGAGGUACUUAGUUCAUAUCUAAUUUCUAAAAUUUCAUACACAACAAAUUGAGUAUUCGUUGGAUCUUAGCACAAUUUUCAUUCACAAACAAAUGGUUAAUCCAAGAAAAUCUUGAACAAAUUAGAGACUGUAAUAAAGUUGAAUCUUGUAUAAAAUCGAAAGAUAACUGAUAGUGAUGCAGAUAAAAGAAAAAUAUAUUGUUCAAUAAUUUUAGUGAAGAAAAUGGAGAGGAAAUAGUUGUAUAGAGAUUACUAUAAUAUGGAAUAGUGAUUAAAUGGAAAAACACUCAAUAGGAAGUGGAAUUUUUGGAAAAAAAUUCCUUUGCAUACCUUUAAAUUCAUUUGCAUACCUUUAAAAAAAUUCAUUUGCAUACCCUUAAAAGAAAAUAUAUUUUAAUUUUGAACUAAAUUUUAACUCUUGUUUUCAUAAUUUAUAUUGGAGUAAUAUUCAAGUCACCAAAUUAUCUUUUUUCUAAUUUUAACUCACCAUUAUUGCAAUAUAUAUAUAUAUAUAUAUAUAUAUAUAUAUAUAUAUAUAUAUAUAUAUAUAUAUAUAUAUAUAUAUAUAUAUGUUAAAUGUAAGUAAAUUAUUAUUUUUCUAAAAUUUCCACUUACUACUAACUUCCUUCCAUAUUGUACUUAUCUCUGUUGAAAAUAUGAAGGGGUGAAUAUGGCGUAAUGCGGAAGUUUACAAAUUGCAAAUCAUAUUAUUGAUGUUAGACGAUAAAAACUGAUACUAAAAAUCAUUUUAUCAUUAAAAAUAAAUAUUUAUUAGACUAUUGUUGAACGGCAAGACACUAUUUUAGUAUGAAUUGACAAGAUGUGAGUAAAUGAUCAAAUAACUCUUUGACUCUGAAAACCACUAGUAUUUUCCCUUCAAAAAAGAAAACACUCUUGAUUUUUUUUAUUUACUCUCUCUCUUACUUUACUUUUAUUCUUCUUCUUUACUACACUCAUCAAUUUUUAAUUUUAUUUUGUUGAUUCACUUGCUGUUCAAGAUUUUAUUUUGUUGUUAAAUUUAUACUCCCUUCGUCCCAUUUUAUGUGACACUAUUUUCUUUUUGGUCAGUUCCAAAAAGAUAGUCACAUUUCCUUAUAUGGUAAAGUAUUUAAAGGUACAAUUCCACUUUUACCCUUGUUGGUCCCACUUUAUUUUUAAUGGUACUUCAAUACAUUUAUGAGGAGAGAGAAAAAUGAGUCCAAUUUUGAAGUACAAUCUGGUAAAUAAUUCAAAGUCUUCAUUUAUUUCUUAAACUCCGUGUUGGAUCAAAUGGUGUCACAUAAAAUGAAACGGAGGGAAUAUAAUUUAACAAGCUGGAUCCGAACAAUCAGAAUAGUCAAUUAAAUGAAGUAUUGAAUAAUGUUUUGGGGUUAGAUGAGGAUGACAAUUUGUUGUCCCGAAAUCAUGAAGAUUUUAAUGGUGCUUACGAUAGGCCUGAGAAAAAAAACUAAAAAUUUCUCAUGACCUAUAGACUUCAAAAAACUAAAAAUUACCUAAAAGUGGGAACCUAAACUUAGAUUUGAUCUCGUGACCUUUAGACUAUUUGUUUAAGCUUUAAUCAUUUGCACUACAAUAAUAUUCAUUCAUAAUUACAAAAGGAAAUAUAUUUAUGCACUUUCAUGUCAGUUGUUUAUUGAAUAUCACAAGUAAAUUUUAAAUGAAAUAUUAUCAAUAAAUAUAGUCCAAUAAUUACUCAAAUGUGAAGAUAACUUGUUCAAAGGUUGACAUGUACCGUAAUUAUCUGUAUUAUCCAAUUAAAAUUUGAUCAUGCAUAUAUCAUUGCAUUCAACUAACUUGUAUUUGUGAGGGAACAUAACUCAUAUAAUACUUUAUCCAUUACAUUUAUUUUUAGCAUAAUGAUUCAACUUAUUAUAAUGAAACAUCUUUAAUUUUUGUGAAACAAUCCAAAUAUAAACUUUUACAAUCUUAUUUACAAAAAGAAAGUAAAUUUAAAAAUUAUUUAAAUCCUAAAAGUUUCAAAUAAUCUAUUUUUUUUAAAAAAAAACUAAAAUUGGGACAUAACUGUCAUGACCCAAAACGAGUCGUGAGUGACAACCACACUUAACCUCCUAAGUGCGUAAAUCAAGGAAUCUAAAUCCCCAACAUAUAUCAAUAAUUCAACUAUGAAUACCAAUAUAAUGCGGAAGCUUAAAACUUAUUAAAGUAACUGAUUAAAUAAACAUCUAAAGUCUAACACUUAUUAUCCCCAAAAUCUUAAAGUCAUCAUAUCAAGGACAUCUGUUUUCAAUUAUCAAGUCUAGAAGUAUUGAAAAUACCGAAAUAAGUAAAUAAGAUGGUCCAUGUCCGAAAUUUAAGGAUAUCAUGACAUAAAUGAGAGAAUCCAGCACGAGCUAGAAAUAAUAGCUUACCCUGAAACUCUGAUGUGCUGGAGAUUAUCUUGAGCUGAGGUUGAGUUGAAGUCGAUGGUACACUUGUUGCACUUUACAAAAGAAAAAUUAAAAAAAUACAAGUAGGGGUCAGUACAAGGAACACGUACUGAGUAGGUAUCACUGCCAACCCAAAAUAGAAACUAAUCUAUAUUGAAUAAUAAUAUAAAAUCAACUACGAUACUUGGCAAGUGGCAAACAACAAACAACAUAAACCACUGCCAAUAACACCAAAGUAGGUACACAAUCAAUCACAAUUAUAUUAAGUUAAUUCGAGAUUCCUUUCCUUUAAUGUUAUCGUGUCGGAAUGUGAUACUCCGAUGCCAUAUAUCGUGUCAGAUUGUGACACUUCGAUCUUAUAAUAUCACGUCAGAACGUGAAAUUUCAGUCCAAUAAUACAGUGUAGGAACGUGACACUCGGAUCUAAUAAUACCGUGUCCGAACGUGAAACUCCGAUUCAAUUAUAUAAUUAAUUUAUUUCAUCAAGCCUUCUUUAUUCAAGGCAUCACUUCGAUAGAUAGGGUUCAAGAUUAUAAAUUCCACUGUCUCAAGAUUUUAGACCAACCAUAAACCACCCUUCUUCUCUUUGACCUAAUUUUUCAUUCAUUUUUGCAGCUUAGCAGAAGUAGAACGAUGGAAAGUAGAAGUUGUGGAUCCUAGCAGAAGCAGAACGACGGAAGAUGGUAAGUUCUUCAUGUCUGUGAUUUUAGGACAAACAUAAACUCAUUUUUUCUUUGAAUCUAAACCCGUUUUUCUCUUCAAACCUUCUGUGAAAUCUAAUGAAAUGGAGGGUUCUAUGUUUUCUUGUAAAAUCUAAGGAAAUUGAGUUUCGUUCUUUAACUGUUGGAGGUUCUCUUCUUUAAUUUUUGAGGUUACAAUUGAAGAAACAACAAGUUUGAACUUGAGGUUUUCUUCUUGAAUCUCUUCUUUUGUCUUUAAUAUUUGGGUGUGGUUAGUGUAUUUGAUGUAUUUCUCUAUUUUUGGGUUCUUUUUCAUUAAAUUGUAGCUAUUGUGGGUUUAAUGUUUUGUUGUAUUUAUGGGUUAUCGAUUGCUCUAGACCUAUUUAACUUGAAAUUGAUGUUGUAUUUCUUGUCCAUGAGUUAUUCAAUUAGGUUUGAAUACCAUUGUAUUGACGACGUCUUCAUUGAUUUCACCACUCACUUGCACUAUUGUUGACGAUUUAUGUUAGAGCAACAAGAAACAAAAGAUAAUUAACAUGAAAGAAUAAUCUAAAAUUUGUGACUGGUUGGUACUAAAAUGUGCUACUGGUUAAUAUUAUGAUAAGUUCUUCUUGUCUGUAAUUUCAAGUUGAACUUUGGACCUCUAAUUUAUUGGAUUCGAAGUUGAAAUUCUUUUAGCGGUACUACUGUUUCUAUUGUGUUUUAAUAUGAUUUAAAUAAUUAACCAGUGAUUUAACAGAGACUUAUUGGUGACAAUUCUCAAAAAUGAAUUCUUUGUAUGUAUCUUUCUUUUCUGUAUACAUAUAUUGUUUGAUGGGUAUUUGAUUCAAUUAUCAGAAUUGGAUAAUUAUAGAGACAAACACUGAGUUUGGCUAUUAUUCUCUCUAGAAAUUGUUGUGAAAUCGAAGAAAAUGGAGGGCUGAAAGUUUACUUGUGAAAUCUGAGAAAUCUUGAUGUUUUUUUUUCUUCAACAACUGCAGGUUCUGUUCUAACAUCUUUGAGGUUAUAGCUGAAGAAACUUCAAGUUUGAGCUGUUGAUGUUUUCUUCUUGAAUCUCUUCUUUUUCCUGUAAUCUUUGAGUUGUAAUUAGUGUAUUUGAUAUAUAUAUAUAUAUAUAUAUAUAUAUAUAUAUAUAUUUUCUUAUUGUGGGACUUUCCCAUCAAGUUUUAGCUAUUGCGGGUUUAAAGUUUUGUUGGCAGUUCUGGUGAAAUUGAUACUCUAGAUCUAUUUCUCUCGAUAUUGAUGUUGGAUUUGUUGUUCCAUGAUUCAUCCAAUCGAUUUUGGUUACCCUUGCAUUGAUGAUGUCUUCUUUGAUUUCACCUCUCGCUUGAGUAGCUAUGUGAGAAAUUUCGAUUUCAUUUUGUUAAAGAGUUACAUAAAGCAACAGGAAACAAGAGAUACAUUAGCAUGAAAGUGGGAAAAAUUGAAUUUCACUGUCGGUCUUAGACUUUUUGACAUGAAAAUCUGAAACAUCCAAAAAUUCUAGAUCAAUAGUAUUUGCGUUAAAAUUCUGCUUUAUCACUUUUAAGGAAUGUUCUCCCUUGAUUUUUUACCAAAAGGAAAAUCAAUAGGGAUGGUUUUUUUUAAAAGAAUUGAAUCCUAGCGAUUCGUAUGUCCAUCGACCAUUUUUCAUUCCUUGAAUGUCCAUAUAAAAGUCGUUCAUAACAAAUUUGUAAUCAGAGAUUUUUACCAAAAUAAUUUAUUAUUUAAAUCAAUUUACAAUAGUAAUAUAUUUUUUCAAAAUUUUACAAAACUAGUAUAAACGUUGUUGACAGUAACGUAUUAGGCCAUCUAUUAAUUCUGCCAAGAAACAGACCAAAACUAACGGGGGACGGCGUUAAAGUUAUAAUACGUUACUACAAAUAACGUUUUAGAGUUUAAGUUGGAAUACGUUACUGAAAGUAACGUUUUAGAGUUUAAGUUGGAAUACGUUACUGAAAGUAACGUUUUAGAGUUUAAGUUGGAAUACGUUACUGAAAGUAACGUUUUAGAGUUUAAGUUAGAAUACGUUACUGAAAGUAACGUUUUAGAGUUUAAGUUGGAAUACGUUACUGAAAGUAACGUUUUAGAGUUUAAGUCGAAAUACGUUACAGAUGGUAACGUUUUAGAAUUAUUAUCUUAUAACCCAUUAGCCGCACUUCCCUCACCUUCUAACCUAAAUAAACCCUAUUUCAUAUUUUUCCCCUUUUUUCAUUCCCUCGCUAAGAGCUGGUUCUCGUCGUUAAUGUUGCCGGAAAAGGGGAUUCACAAUAUUUCAGCGCCAUAAGUAUUUCGAGAGGUAGUUUCUUUGCUUAAGGUAUGUUUUUCUUUACGAAGGAAUUGAAUUGAAUCGUAAGUAGGAUUCUAUCUUGUAUAAAUUGAAGAACGUGCCAACCAACUCAUGAAAUUGGAUUCCAAAAUAAGUAUAAUUAUAUUAAUCCUGAAAAAAAGAACUAUAAAGCCUUCAGAUUUGGAACCAUUUAUGAGUGUGUGACCAUAGGAGCAUAGACAAAUGAGGAAUGUCUUUAUACAGAUUUCAGAAUAUAAGAAUUAAUUUUCAAUACCCAAAAAUAGAAAAAAUGUAUUCACUCUUUUAAUUUUCUUAAUCUACAAUCCUCAAAUAAUAAAUUAGCUAUCAGAUCUUGACCAUAUGCUUAGAAAGAAUGAAUUUUUUUGCUAGUCUUAUGGUCAUUAAAGAUUUGAAACACUUUUUUUUUUAAUUUUUCUAAAAGAGUGAGAGAAGGGGGUUUUGUGGUUUUGUUGGGGAGGAAAGAGUCUUUAGAUUUCUGUUGUGAUUUGUUUUUUUUUUAAGUCCCAAAUAUAUUGCUAGUCUUAUGGUUAUUAAAGAUUGAAUUUUUCAUAAAGGAUUCUUGAAAUUUUGUACAUUUAAUAUCUGGUUUGUCUUAGUGAGUGAGUGAGUGAUUACAUUGAUAUGGGAAUUGAAAGAGUCUCCUUUUAUUGUGGGUCUGAUGAUUUACUUCCCAAAAACCAUAAGUAUUUCGAGAGGUAGUUUCUUUGCUUAAGGUAUGUUUUUCUUUACGAAGGAAUUGAAUUGAAUCGUAAGUAGGAUUCUAUCUUGUAUAUAUUGAAGAACGUGCCAACCAACUCAUGAAAUUGGAUUCCAAAAUAUGUUGUUAUCUAGUAACUUGUUUUGUUUAGUUCGAUUUAAGGAUUGUUUCAUGGUCACUGAACUCAGAAUUGUUAUUUAAAGUUGUAACAAUUGUAUAUUGUUGAAGAAGAUUGCGUAGCAGUGCAUUGAGAGAAUAGCUAUAGUCAUUGUUACAUUGUCUUUUAGAUUAGUAUAUGUUUGUUAGUUAGUUACAUAACAUAAUUAAUUUGUUAGCCUAAAUUGCUUAACUCAUUAGUUGGUUAACUUUGAUUAUUGUAAUUAGCACUUUAGUCAUUUAUAUAAAUAGCCUACUGUACAGAUGUAAACAUAUAAUGAAACUAUCUAAUAAUGAUAAUCUAUAUUCUUCUCUGUGAUUCCUUAAAUUUGUCUCAUCUAUUCAAACAAUUCUCUGUAAAUUUUGAUUCUUAACAUAUAUCAACAAAAAGAUUAUACUCAAGUUCUAUUGUUGCUUAGUGUAGUCUAAGAUGGUUUGUCUUAUACAACACACUUCCAAAUUAAAGAGAAUGACCUUAAAAUUUUUAAAUGUGAUUUCAUAACUUUACAUCACUUUUGAAGUAUGUCGCCAAGAAAAAACUACAUAAUAGUUCGGGCUAACAUUUAAGUUUACUUUCAUGUGUAUUUCAUAGGUAUUUUUUAUGGCUAAUGAUAGUGAAUACAAGUUGGAUCCCGGUCCAUUGGAAUCGAAUGUAUUAACAGGACAACUUACUCAUAGAUCACAAGAUAUAUGGGAAGGAAAUGUUAAUAUGAUUCUUAAUACGAGGAGAGAAGAUGGAAAUUUUUGGAAGCUCAUAGAGAAAUAUCCCAUCCUUCCACGAGUUCUUGAAGUAAUUAGGUUAUCUGGAUUAUAUGGUGUUUACAAAUCUAAUCGGCCUGCUAUUGACCGUAGUUUGAUCACUGCACUAGUUGAGCGUUGGCGUCCCGAAACUCACACUUUUCACUUUAGAACAGGCGAAGCAACAAUUACCUUGCAGGACGUAGAGGUGUUGUAUGGAUUACCUGUGAAUGGUGAUCCAGUACUUUCUUUAGAAGUCCGUUGAAAGACUCUGAAAGAUUUGUUGUCAGUACUCCCCAUCUUUUUCCAUUAUCAUGACUAACAGUCCAUUUGUCCAAUGGAAUUCGCAUGAGGUAUUCAUAUGCUUCUCUAUUUUCUUCUUGAAUUUCCCACAUCAAAGCUUCAAACUUCCUUACUUGAUGAGUUGUAGCAGCCCUCCACAUAAGAUUACUGAGGUCCCUAUUUGGAAAUUGAGAUUGAAAAUUACUUUUAAGAUGUCUCAGACAAAAUCGAUGAAAGGCCCGAGGUUCCUGCAAUCGCCACAACUCCGAUAAACUAGUCAAGAUUCCUUUUGCCUUAUCAGAGAUAAUACAAAUAUCUUCUCUAUCUUUUAUCACAUGUGCACUCAAUUUCCUAAAAAACCAUUUCCAUGCCUCUUUCGACUCUUUGUCAACAAUACCAAACGCAAGAGGAAGAAUGUUAUCAUUUCCGUCAACUCCAACAGCAAUUAACAAUUUUUUCUCAUAUUUACCAUACAUAUGAGUUCCAUCUACUGAAAUAACAGGACGACAAGUUUGGAACCCAUCAAUGCAUGGCUUGAAAGCCCAAAAUACAAACUUAAAAGUUUUUACCUCUGGUGAACUCAUUGACUCUUCGUGUUUCCAUUCCACAACUGUUCCAGGAUUAAAGUAUUGAAAAGCUGCAAAAAACUUAGGAAGCUCACUAAAUGAUUUCUGAAAAUCACCAUAUACCAAUGUAAAUGCGCGUUGACGCCCAAGCCACGCUUUUAUAUAUGUUACUUGAUGACCAAAUUUUUCAUGAACCUUAGACAUGACAUCCACUACCAACAAUUUUGGAUUUUUACUUAUUUGAUUUAAAAAUAGAGAUGCAAUUAAAUUGGUAUCUAAGUUAGUGUGACCUGUUGUAAGUCCUUCAGUCUCACAUCUAUGAUUAUUAAAAUACUUCCCUAUCUUCCAAAGGCUACAUCCAACCUUACGACCUCGAAGAAACCAUGGACAACCCAAAGAAUCAUAAAAUCUGCAUCUCACAGUCCAUACGCUCUUAGUUGAUAUUACAAUCUUAAAUUCUUUAUUUUUGCGCAAACUCCAAAUUGUCACAGCCCGUUUUAACUUAGUUUUACUACUAAAAUACAUAUUUUUUUCUAAAUCUUUUUUUGCAUCCUCGACCCAAACAGAACAACAUUUCAUUUCGGAUUCACGAGUAGAGAUAAAAAUAUCUUCCUCAGUCUCCAAUGUUGUAAAAUAAGGUAUAUCAUUAUUUUGCAUUUCAUCAAAUUGAUUUUGAAAAUUCACCGCACUUUCAUUUUGAGGUAAAUCUCCAAUAUCUUCAUCGGAUUCACUUUCAAUGACUUUACUCUCUCCAUCAUCUUCUGAAGGUUCAUCCUCCUCCGAAUUUUCAUCACUUCUUUGAGCAUGUGCAUCAUUACACAAAUCAAAGGUAGCUUCAUCUUCUCUGUAAAAAAAAAUUCAUGAAAUACAAAAAAAUGAAAAUAAUUAAUUAUUCAUGCUAUUAAAUAAAAUUAGCUAAAAAGAUUAUUCUACCUGAUUUCAUAUUGAUUGUGUAUACUCUCAAUAUGUCUUUGACUACCCGAGCCUUCAUCAAAUGAUUGAUGAAUACCAUGUGUUGCAGUGUAUGUAAAAUGAGGCUGACUGAAUGUGGCAAAUCCAUAAUUUUGAGCCAAUAAAUUCAUAUGAUAACCAUGUUGAUCAUUCAUUCGAAACAGAUUAUCUUGAUUUAUUGGUCUAAUCUUUAUAUACAUCUCCAAAAGAUUUAUAUCAAUCUUGUUCAAAAAUUUCUGAGGAAUGGCAAAAAAUUGUACCAAAGAUUGGUCAUUCUCAAUUUUGAACUCAAUAAAUCUUAUAACGUUACCUUGAAAUGAGCAUGGAUAUUUUCCAGAAAUAUCCAAUUGAAUAUUUUCUCCAUCAGUCCCCAUUUUCUCAUGCAACAAUUUAAUUAAUUCAACGUAGUUGGUCGAAAUAGACAUGCUAACAAUCAUUCUAGCACAUUCGUUAUAUCGAAAUCCGUUUAUUUCAGUGAUUAUUUCACCGCCCCAAUACAAAGCAAUCAUCACGUUAUCUUCAAAAUUAGCCAUCAAAAAAUCCUACACACAAAAAUAAGAUGCAUUAUAGUUAUUAAAAAUAUGUUAUAAGUACAUUACAAUAUAUUGACAAGCCAUACCUAUUGAAAUUUUGUGAGUAUUGAUUCAACAAUAGGGCAUAUACGCAGAAGCUUUGUAGAACAUUAUUUGAAUGUGCUAUACGUUCUACACAACCAUUUCUUAUAAUGUUCUGUGGCAACACUUUAAGAAUUUAUUUUAAAGUUAAAACGUAACAUAUAGUAACGUUUUAUUGGACGAUCAAAUCAGCAAGAAAUCUUCACAUACCCAUGACAUGAUAGAAUCGUUACUUAGGGUAACAUUUUAGUCUUAAAACGUGACUCCCAGUAACGAUUUAACGUCACAUUUUGUACAAAGAUUCUCAGGUGGCAGACCUGUGAUUUGAUUUGAUAUAAUCGUUACUCCAAGUAACGUUUUAUAUGUAAAACGUGACUUCCAGUAACGUCUUCGACGUCAAAUUUCGUACAGAGAUUCUAAGGUGGCAGGUGGCAGAUUUACAAAGAUACGUUACUGAUAGUAACGUCUUAAGCUUAAAAUGUUACUGUCAGUAACGUAAUGCUUCUUAACGCCGUCUACCAAAUACUUUUAGUCUGUUUAUUUUUUGAAAAUGAAAUAUAGCCUAAUACGUUACUACCAACAACGUUUAUACUACUUUUGUAAAAUUUCAAAGUUUCAUAUUAUUUUGGUGAAUUAAAUGAAAUAAUAGAUUAUUUUGGUCAUAAUCUCUUGUAAUCAUGAUAAACUUGUUAAAGUUAUUUCUUGACAGGUCAUGUAGAUCAGUGUUUUGUAUAUAUUUCUAAUUAUAAUGGGAACUUUGAUAUUUGUUUCAUAUAUUAAGAAAAACUAUGUAAUGCUUGUUGUAAAUUGAAUUGUGAUUGCUAUGAGUUUUAAUCUACAUAUACUCCAUGUACAUUUUGAGAUAUGUUUGUUCAUGUGUAAAACAUUAUUGUCUAUUCGUGUCAUAGUUUAUCAUAAAUUUGAUUUUUUUAGCUGUUUGUGUUGCUAAAUAUCAAAGGAUAAUUUAGAUAGAAGUUGGAUGAGUAUGAGACCAUGCAUUGAUAAAUACAUUAGUGGAGUGAAUGAUUUUCUUGAUAAGACAUUUCAAUGAGCUUCAAAAGGAAAUGAAAUAUUAUGCCUUGCAAAAAAUGCAUCAAUAGUUAUUGGCAUUACAAAAAUGUUGUGAAAGGAUCGCUUGAUUGUAAAUGAAUUUGUGGAUGAUACAAAAAAUGAAUUUUUCACGGGGAGAGAGUUUCCUCACGAAAUACACAACUUUAUGCAACCAUGAUGAUAUUGAUGGAAUACUUCAUGAUACAUUUCGAAAUAUAGAGGAUGAAAUAAGUCAUCGAGAAGGAGAGAGAGAAGGGCUAUCUGAAGAUGCAACGAGAUUUUUUAAAUUACUGGAUGAAGGAAAAAAGAGUUAUAUUUGGGGUGUGAGAACAUCAGUAAGUUGAGUUUCAUCAUUCGAUUAUACUUGCUUAAAUCCCUACAUGGGUUAAGUGAUGUGGCUUUUACUGAUCUGUUAGAAUUGUUAAAAGAAGUAUUUCCCUUUGCUCAACUACCCGAAUCUUUCAAUAAAGCUAAAAAAAUGAUAAAAGAUUUGGGUCUCGGCUAUGACAAAAUACAUGCAUGCCAUAAUGAUUGCAUGUUAUUUUCAAAUGAAAAUGCAGAUAAAGAUACUUGCUCUUUGUGUGGAUCUUCUAGAUGGUCCAAUAAGGGUGAUGACACGACUAGUGCAAGCUCUAAAACACCAGCAAAGAUUUUAAGGUACUUUCCUUUAAAGCCUAGGCUUCAGAGAAUGUUUAUGUGUCCUGAAACAACUGUUGCAAUGAGAUGACAUGAUUCUGAACGACCUAAUAAUGGGAAUUUAAGGCAUCCUGCUUAUGGAGAAGCUUGGAAGGAUUUUGAUUCUAUGCAUCCAAACUUCUCAAAUGAUCCUCGUAAUUUUUUAUUGGGCCUUUCAACUGAUGGUUUCAAUCCAUUUCGGACCAUGAGCAUUUUCCGUAGUAUCUAGCCUAUUAUGUUGGUAAACUAUAAUUUAUCACCAUGGAUUUGCAUGAAGCCAGAGUAUAUGAUGUUGUCGAUGAUCAUUCUGGGGCCAUUAUAUCCUAAACAGGAUAUAAAUGUGUACCUACAACCAUUAAUUGCUGAAUUGAAGGAACUAUGAGAAUUCGGGAUAAAAACAUAUGAUGCUCAUACAAAUCAAACAUUUCAAAUGUGUGUAGCUUUAAUGUGGACAAUUAGUGAUUUUCCAGCGCAAUCAAUGCUUUCUGGAUGGAGUACUAAGGGAAAAUUAGCAUGCCCCACGUGUAACUAUGACACAUGCUCUUAAUAUCUCAAACAUAGUCGUAAAAUGCGUUACUUAGGUCAUCAGGCUUUUUUGCCUCCUGAUCAUCCAUUUAGAAGAGACAAAAAAUCUUUUAAUGGAUGGGAGGAUCAUAGACCUGCACCUAAAUCCUUGUCGGGCAUAGAAAUUUUUGAAAAGUUGCAUGAUUUCAAUAAUGGUUUUGGGAAGGCCAACAAAAAAAGACUUCGAAAUAAUGAGGGUCCAUAGAAGAAAAGAUCCAUCUUUAUUGAAUUAACAUAAUGAAAACAUAAUAAGUUGAGGCACAAUCAUGAUUUGAUGCAUAUUGAGGAAAAUAUAUAUGAUAGUUUGCUUGGGUUUUUAUUAGAUAUCCCAGGUUAGUCAAAAGAUCACAUUAAUUUUUGUUAUGACUUGCAAGAAAUGGGAAUACAAAAGGAGCUUUAUCCGAGGAAAUAUAGUACAAAUGGAAAAGCUCAUUUAGCUAACUCUUGUUUUACCAUAAAGCUAGAAGAAAACGAUUAUUUUGGCUGCCUUAAAGAAUGAAAAAUUACCAAAAGGAUUUACCUAAAAAAUAUCAGGGUACAAAAGCCAUGAUGCUCAUUUUAUAAGCAUUGCUUAAUUCAAAAUUGCGGUUCAAAAAUGAUUACCGAAGAAUGUUUUAUUAGCCUUGAUUAGGUUGGGGAACUUCUUUAAAGCUAUAUGCAGUAAGGUAAUAAGGCGAGAAAAUCUUGAACCAAUGCAGAUUGAAAUCAAAGAAAGUGUAUGUGAGCUUGUAAAUAUUUUUCCUCCGUCUUUUUUUAAUAUAAUGAAAAAUUUGUCUGUCCAUUUGGUUGGUGAGACUACAAGGUCGACAGAGUGAAUAUGACGGCCAAUCAUUUGAUGCUUUUACAACAAUCAUGGCAAAGGAACACCCAGAGAGCAUGCGAUUGUAUGGACAAUGAGUUACCAAAACUACUUGAAAAGGGAAGCGCUUUCUGAACCUUGUUUAACUUCUAAUAAUGAGAGGAUGGAAAAAAAUUGAAGGAAUUAGAAGAGAGGAUGCAUCAAAAGAAUGACGAAAAAAUUAAAACAACAAAAAUUAACCAUUCACCAAGAAGUUAUAAAUGAUAUUCUUGGACGAAUUAAUUGUAUGUACCCAGGACUUCAAUUGAUGCUGCCACGUUGGCCUCAUUGGGUUCUCAAUCACGUUUAUUACUUUUCUUAUUCUUCACUUCAACACAAGCUUGGUGCUCAAUCAAGAAGAUAUGAAACCGUUAAAUCGUCCAUCUUUUAGCAAAAACAAUCAAGGUAUGAAGUUUAUUAUUUUUCUUAUUCUUCACUUCAACACUAGCUUGGUUUGAAUGUGUUGCCUAUGUCUAUGUAUCAAUGUUAUUUUUGGACUAUUUCUGCGACUAUUUGAAUGUGUUGCCUAUGUCUAUGUAUCAAUGCUGUUUCUGCGAUUGUUUGAAUGUGUUGCCUAUGUUUAUGUAUAAAUGCUAUUUUUGGACUGUUUUGGCAACUGUUUGAAUGUGUUUCCUAUGUCUAUGUAUCAAUGUUGUUUCUGGACUAGCACAAGUGUAACAUAAAUUGAAGUACUGGACUUUUUUUGCGACUUUAGAAUCUGAAUCUUUUGAUGUUGCUUGAGCAUGUCUCCAAUAUUCUAUUUUGUAUGUUUCAUGAGAACAAAUUCUUCUCUUUUUCUAAUAGGUGAAUUCGUUAUUCUGUCCUCAUGUGUUGACAAAGGAUUAAUUUUGUGAGCAUCUUUCAAAUUAUGAAUCCUCCUCGCUUGACUUGGAAAAUCUGAAAAAACUAUGAAUCUCAACCCUGCCUGGAGUCUAUAUGAUGUUCUGAAAAGUUAUAACUUGUGUGCUUGGUGUGUGCGUGCGAUUUAUGAUGCAUUUUAUAGUAUAGCAUCCAUUGCCAAGUAUAGUACUGGAAUUGGAACUUUAUCUAGCUUGAUUGUGUUGUCUUCUGUUGCUUUUUUUCUGUUCGUAGUUUGUUUCUUUCUUGUCUUCAGUUAUAAGUCGUAACAUCUAUUUCUGGCUAUUAUCUCACAGAGAUUUUCCCUGAAGUUGAGUUAGACUCUUUUCUUAAUUCAAAACAAUUGCUUUUAUUGAAAACAUAGGCAUAUUUCACUUCUUUUUCGACUUGAGAGUAAACCUAUUUUUUUUCUGGCCUACAUUUGCAAACCUACCUCACCUUGUAUAGCUCUUCUAGAUACUCCUUUUAUGUUGUUAUGUGGAAUUCGAAAUAAUACGAGAAAAUAUAAAUGCGAAAAACAAGACAACAGAUUUACGUGGUUCACCAAUAAAUUGCCUACGUCCACGGGGAAGAGGGGGAGCAGUUUUAUUAUGGAGAGGCAAGAACAGAAUACAGAAUAGGGUUUGCCAUAGCGUCUAUAUAUAGUGCUAAGCUACGCCCUAACAGGCUUGGACCCAAAAUACAGAAUUGACAGCGAGACCCCCAUUCUUUUUGUUGUAAUGGGUCCGAUUCAAGGCAUUCAACAUAUGUCUUUCUUGGUGUUGGUUCAUUUUUAUUCUUCUGUUAGUAUUAAAUAAUCCAUUCAAUUUCAAAAAGAGAAUAGGAUACUUGGAAAAACUUUGUGAUCUGAAAAGACUUGGUUUUCCCAUUUCUUUACUGGAUAUAUUAAUAACUAUUCUGUUUUGUUUUUCUUAAUGGUCUAUGUCUACUUGGUGAACAUAUGUCUUUCCUUCUCUUGCUCUUAGUGUUUUGACAAAAUCUCUUCUGUUGUGUUUUUCUUUUGCAAAGGUGCUUGUUGGUAUCUAUUUUCAAGUGACAUUUUUUGGGAUGACUUCUUUUAUGAGGUCAAGUGGAAACUGAGUGAUUAAAUUAAGCAUCAGUUAGAAUAAUUUGUUGCUUUGUGUGUGCAUGUGAUUUAGAAAGAGGCUUAAGUCAUCGCUUCCAAUUCGAUAAAGGGCUUUUUCAUUUUUCACGAUGAUGCAUUUUUGAAUAAUGUUUCAUGCUCGUCUAAUAUAAUUGAUGUAACAAAGUGAUUAAUAAUGAAUAAUAACAGUAGUUCUCAAAGACACCCUUGUAUUAAUAAACUGAACCAACUACGGCUUCUGUAAAUAAUAACAAUACUUGAUAAACUAUAUGUAAGGCAAUUUGGAAUACUAGAAGUAAUACUAGUGCUAGAUAGAUAAAAGAAAUAGGAUGAGAAGAUAGAAUGAAGAAAGAGAUGAGAAACUAGAGAAAUAGAGAUCAGCUAACAGAAAGAUCCAUCAUAAUUUUUUCUUGCCCCAUUAUGCCCAGUACUGUUCUGUUUAUACCUUUUGUUGCAGCAAACUCUGUCCUUUGUCACGUGACCUCCCACUCUUCCAAACGUAAUCGCCAAGUCGUUUAGGAGGAAUUACUCUUCUAGAGAUAUUACGUGGCAUAUCCAUGUGAUUACUCUCCGUGGCAGCCCCCAUGGCAUCCAUGUCAGCAACUUGACUCCUUUUGUUCACAACAAUUGACAUAGAGAGUAAUGUUCAGUCUAUUUACUUGCGAAAUAUUGGAUGAACAUUAUCACACAAAAGCCUAUUUUGGACUAGUCAUUUGUUGGUUUUGGUCGACCUUGAUAACUUUCAUGUCUUGAAUUUGUACUCAUGGUGAAUUGGAGGUGUUUGAAUGAAGUCUGAACGUUUUGUCCCUUCCUGUUGGUUUUUAAAAUUCCUUCCCAUGAAUUUUUUUGGGUAUAUUUUGAUCUUUUGUUCUGUCCCUCAAUAAACAUUUAUAUAUGGUCUUUUAUAGGUGAGAAGAUAACUAACAGGAGGAUGAUGAAAGCAGUAGCGCCGCCCCAACUUAUGAUCGCGUUGCAAACGCAGAGUAGACUGGUUGUAAGGUUUCAGCUUCACAAAGACCCAGUCCCCUACCUCAUAUGUAAUCUCAAUGCGAGAUUUGUCGGCGAAAGACUUCAUGCGAUUUUGAGCAUUUGCCAAAUUAAGUUUGAGUAAUUGUAACACUUUGUCCCUUUGCAGCAAAAAUGACUCUACUAACUCACUGGAUGUACUUCCCAAUAUAUAUCGUGAAACAGUAGGAGGCUCACGACCAUACAAUGCCUGAAAAGGGGUCAUGCCUGCGGAUGUUCGGUACGAAGUAUUGUACCAAAACUCAGCCCAAGGCAACAUGGAAACCCAAGUAGCAGGAACAUCAGCAACAUAACAUCUAAGGUACUGCUCAACACAUUUAUUGAGUGCCUCAGAUUGGCCAUCCGUCUGAGGGUGAUAAGUUGUAAUCAUAGCCAACGUGGACCCUUGUAAAUGAUGAAUCUCCUGCCAAAAAGAGUGAAGAAAGCAAGGAUCUCGAUCUGUUACAAUAGUUCGAGGGGUUCCGUAUAACCUGAUAACCCAAAUCACAAAUGCUUCAGCCACCGUAUAAGUAGAGAAAGUGGAUGGUAAGGGUAUAAAAUGCCCAUAUUUGGUGAGACGAUCCACCACAGUGAUAAUAGUAGUCUUGACUUUGGAGCUUGGAAGGCAAGUGAUAAAAUCCAUGGCAAUAUCCUCAAAGACUUGGUCCGGUAUUGGCAAGGGCUGAAAUAAACCUGCCGGGUGCAAGUGCGAGUCUUUCAUCUAUUGCCAAAUUUGACAAGUUACAACAAAAGAUUGGACAUCCUUGCGCAUAUGCUUCCAAAAGAAGUUGGAGGCCAAUCGAUGGUAAGUCCGAGCAACCCCAACAUGACCUCCAAUUGAAGUGGCAUGAAACUCAAACAUUAACUUAUGGCGCAAAGGUGAAUCAGUAGGAAUUACUAUCCGACAUUUGUAAAAUAAUAUCCCCUCCUUAAACUUGUAAUCAACAAAGUCCUCAUCCAAUUUUUGUUUAGCUUGUUGUAUUUCUAUUAACUCAUAGUGGUUAGUAUUUAGUUGUCUCAACUCUUGUUCCAGCUCCAGUGACGUAAUAGAGAUGCUCAUAUAGGCUGCCUCAAAGCUACGAGAAAGUGCGUCUGCAACAGCAUUUUGUUUCCCAGGCCUAUACACUAUGUGGAAAUCAAACCCCACUAACUUGGUGAGCCAUUUUUGUUGCUCAGGAGUUUGAAUAGUCUGAUUCGUGAGGCUCCUCAAUGAUUGUUGAUCAGUAAUAAUAGUGAACUUUCGCCCCAACAAGUAUUGCCUCCAUUUACUCACAGCUUGAGUUAUUGCAAACAUUUCUCUAUGGUAAGUGGACACCUUUUGCAUUCGGGAACUUAAUUGUUGACUGAAGUAUGCGAUUGGAUGACCCUUUUGAGAAAGUAUAGCCCCAAUGCCUUUCCCUGAGGCAUUAGUCUCAACCUGAAAUUCUUGGCUAAAGUCAGGCAGACAUAAGAUAGGAGUAGAAACCAGUUUGGCCUUAAGAGUGUCAAAGGCCUGCUGCUCUGCCUCUGUCCACUGGUAGGAGUCUCGCUGCAAUAAGUUAUACAAAGGCCCUGCUAUAGCUGCAAAGUGGUGAAUAAAACGUCGAUAAUACCCAGUGAGUCCAAGGAAACUGCGUACCUCUUUAACCGUUUUAGGAGGGAGCCAUUGUUGUAUCACCUCAAUUUUAUCUGGAUUCAGUCUAUUUGCUUGCAAAAUAUUGGAUGAAUAUUAUCACACAAAAGCCUAUUUUGGACUAGUCAUUUGUUGGUUUUGGUCGACCUUGAUAACUUUCAUGGCUUGAAUUUGUACUCAUGGUGAAUUGGAGGUGUUUGAAUGAAGUCUGAACGUUUUGUCCCUUCCUAUUGGUUGUUAAAAUUCCUUCCCAUGAAUUUUUUUGGGUAUAUUUUGAUCUUUUGUUCUGUCCCUCAAUAAACUUUUAUAUAUGGUCUUUUAUAGGUGAGAAGAUAACCAACAGGAGGAUGACGAAAGCAGUAGCGAUGAAGACCUUACUUGAUUGAAAGUUGUAGAAUCCUAUUAAUUUAGCUCAACUUUUUUGUUUCUUGACAUUUUGAGACUUUUGUUAAGCAGCAGUCUUUUGUUUAAUAUCUAUUAGUAUGGAAGUGCAAACUAUUGAAAACAUGUGUUUUGGUAUGUUUUACCUUUAUGGAUAUUAUGAUUAGGAUAUUUCGAAUUAUAUAUAUACGAUUCCCUAUAUAAUUAGUAGUUUUCUUUCGUGAUUUGAUUUAGAGAACUUUUUUAUAAAUUAUUGAUACACACGCGCGCACGCACAUACACACACACACACACACACACAUAUAUAUAUAUAUAUAGCUUAAGAAACAUGUACUAUUGUAACAUGUUCGGAGAAUCUGUAUAUUCAUAUAGAUUGGUUGCUAUAGAAAAUAAAGCAGUUGCAAUAUCAAUAAAAAUUGUUGCCAUAAUAUUUAAAAAAGAGUUGCUAUAUGAACAAGCUAUUGCAACGCUAUGUAACAAUUACCACAACCCCUAAUUCAAUUGUUGUUAACGGUUACAAUUGUUGUAAUAUUAUAGUGCCUAUAAAUAGAAGGAAAACCGUUACAACAGAGGCCCUUAUAGCAACACUUUCGAGAACCGUUACAUUAGCUGUUACAGUAAAGCUAUAGUAACGCAAGCUGAUGAGACGAUUCACAAACCGUUGUUGUAGCUCUAUAGCAACAAUUUGUUGUGCUAUUGCAACAAGAUGAAACUAUUGUCGUAGGCCUAAUUUCUAGUAGUGUCAACAACCUAAUCUUUCAACCAUUAGUUGUUUCUGCUUAUAUUUUAACCAAUCAUCACAUUUGCACUUAACACUUUUCAAUUUUUCAACCAAAUUCGUGUGGGUAUAAAAAGGACUAACAAUUAACCUCCUUAUUCUUAAACACAUACCAAUAUAAUAAUUUAUUCAUAUGAUCAACACUCUAAUAUUGAAAGUUGUAGGAAAAACUUUACUAACCUGAAACGUUUCUUCAAUUUGCUCUUGACAAUCGUUCGACUCUUUUUUUUUUCUUUUUUACAGAUCAGUUAUCACCCUAAUUGUAUACGUUAAAAUUAUAAAAGUGAUAAAAGUGACUCACUAUAAAUUUUAAAGUUAUCUUCUUUAACCACCCACUAAGCAUAUUAUUAAAACUACCCCACUAAUUGUAACUACAAAUAGUCCAAAAUAUCCCUAUAGAACCUAUGAGAAAAUAUUUUAUGCAAUACAAAGUUUUAGUACUCAAAACGACCAAAAGAGUCGUUACAAUAACCUAGAUUCGAACUCGUAACCUAUAGACUAUUCAUUUAAGCUUUAACCAUUCACAUUGCAAUAUCAUUAGUUCAUAAUUACGAAAGGAAAGUAUUUACUCUCUUCAUAUAAGUUGUUAAUGAAUAUCACUAAAGAAUUUAAAAUGUGAUAUUAUCAAUAAAUAUAGUCUAAUAACUCCUAAUACGUGAAGAUAAAUUAAUCAAAGAUUGACAUGUAUAUAACUAAUUGUAUCAUCCAAUUAUAACUUGAUCAUGCAUAUAUAAUCACAUUCACUUGACUUGUAUUUGUGAGGGAGCAUAACUCAUACAAUACUAUAUCUAUUACAUUUAUUUUCAUCAUAAUGAUUCGACUUAUAAUAGUGAAAAAUCUUCAAUUUUUGUGAAAUAAUCCAAAUAUAAACUUUUGCAAUCAUAUUUCCCGAACUAAUAUAAAAUUAAAAAUUAUUUAAAUACUAAUAGCUUCAAAGAGCCUCAUUUUUUUAAAAAAAUACCUAAAAUUGGGACCUAACCUAGAUUCGAACCCAUGACCUGUACACUAUUUCGUUUAAGCUUUAACCAUUGGCGAUGCAAUAGCAUUCAUUCAUAAUUACCAAAGAAAAUUUAUUUAGUCUCUUUAUAUAUUACAAGGAAAUUUAAAAUGAGAUAUUAUCUAUAAAUAUAGUCUAAUAACUCCUAUGAUUCGAACUCGUGACUUAUUGACUAUUUGUUUAAACUUUAACUAUUCGUGUUGCAAUAUCAUUCAGUCAUAAUUGCGAAAGAAAAUUUAUUUAGUUUUGUUAUAUCAGUUGUUUAAUGAAUAUCAUAAGGAAAUUUAAAAUGAGAUAUUAUCAAUAUAUAUAGUUUAAUAACCCUUAGAAUGUGAAGAUAAAUUGAUCAAAGAUUGACAUGUACAAUAACUAAAUGUAUUACACAAUUAUAAUUUGAUUAUGCAUAUAUCAUAAUUUAUGUGUUCGUUGAUAAAAGAUUGGACAUUGAUUUUUUAGGAUAAAUUUUUUCAUUCUAUUAUUUAAUUAAUAAAUGGUCCGUAAUGAUUUUAUAUAUAAACCUUCUCCAAAAUUGCAAAAAAAAUUGUUCUCUUUAUUAGUAUUCAUGUGUUUUUCUUUAUAAUAAUCAAAUUUUAUUGCAUUUACUCAUAGUUUAAUUUUGAUAAUGUUGAUAGUGCAUUUUCUUGUUGAUAUAACUAGUAAUUUAAUUGAUUAUUUUAUUUAAAUCAAAUAUUAACAAGAAAUCAUAAUAUAUCAUCGUUAAAUCUUUAAUUUUAUAAGAAAAUAAUAAAAUUGUUGGAAUAAAUUAUCAUCUUUCUUUAAAAUGAUUAAAUUCCUAGAUAAUGCGUAAAUUUUUUUUUGAAGGAUCCUAUAUAUUGUACCUUAUCAAAAUAUAUUUUUGAGAAAUCCACAAAAAUUAAAUAGAAAGAAAAAUAGAAUAAAAAAGUUAGAGAUAAGUUUCAAAAACAUACCUAAACUAUUCACUUUUUUUGAGCUUCAUGCCUAAACUAUUGAGAGUGUAAGUUUCAUACCUAAACUAUCACAUUUUAGUUUGAGAAACAUACCUCAGUGGUGUGUGUAAUGCACCCUCUCUUUUAUUUGAAAAAACCUUGACACAUGACAUUUCACAUAAAUUAAAUUUUUUACCUAGAUAAAAAUUGAAUAAUAAAAUAUAAGUAUUAAUUAAAAAUUAAAGAUUGAAGUGUUACUAUCCAUAUAAAAAAUUAAAUUAUUUUUCUUAUCCACUACACCACCUCCUCCACAUACCUCCCCCCCCCCACCCCCGCCCUCCUGACAAUCCCCAUCCUUUUUUUAAAAAAAAACAUUUAUAAAAUAUUCUUAAAAAAUUUCAUACUUCAUCCUCCCCCCUCCCCAUGAUAGAAAUUGAUGUAAAUUAUUUUUAAAAAAUUAAAAAACCACCCCAUCCUAUUUAAUCACCCGCUUAUAGUUUUUAUAUUUUUACGUUCUUCUCAUUUUUGUGUUAGAUAUGCACGUACAUAUAUUUUUAGAAAAAAAAUACUACUAGUGUACCGAAUAUAACAUAAAUAGUUAAUAAAUUUUAAAAAGUCUUGUGGAGGCAAGCAAAAAUUAUUUUGAUAUGUAUAUCUAAACAUUGAUUUUUUUUUUAAAGCGGAGGGUUAAGUGAGAUGGGUAAAAUUAUUUUUUUAAGAAAAUAAAAUAAUAUCUAAAUUAAUAUUUAAGGGGGGGGGGGUAGAUGAAGUAAACAAAAAGAAAAUACUUUUAUAUAAGAAAUUUAAAGUAAAUAAAACACUUUAAAAAAUGGACGGGUUGGGAUUUUUUUUUUUUGGCGGGGGGGGGGGGGGGGGGAUGAAAGGAAGUUAUGGCGUGGGGUAAGAAAAAUAUUUUAUAUUUUAUUUUAUAAAGAAAUUAUUAUUUUUUUAUAAUAGUUUUUUAAUUUUUAAUUUUAACUAAUACUAAUAAAUUUAUAUAUUUAUUUAUUGUCAAGGUUCAAUGUGUUGUCCAUGUUGAAUGUGAUGUUGAAAUUCUUUAAAAUGAAAGAGAAUGUAUUUCACAUACCAUGAUGAUGAGAGUGGUAUAAAAGAAAUAGGUGUGUUUCUCAAACUAAAAAUCAAUAGUUUAAGUAUGAAACUCAAACUGUCAAUAGUUUAGGUAUGAAAUUAAAAGUAAAUGUAAACUUUAAGCGUGUUUUUGACACUUAUCUCAAAAAGUUAAAGUGAUAAAUUUUUUUAAAUAGUUUGAAUUUCAAGAAUAAAAGAUACCGUAUAAAUUGACGGAAAAAAUGUGUAUUUAAAUAGGUAUUUAUGGAUGCUUUCUAUUUUUUUAAUUUCAUGAAAUUAGUACCAGAACUUAUAUAAUUGUUUGUCAAAACAUUUAUGCUCUUUCCGUUAUAUUUCCUUUUUGAAAUUAGUAUCAAAUUUAUGUUAUUUUUUUUUUACAAAUUUCGUAAGAAAUCAUAAAUAAAAUAAUAGUUUUACCAAUUUACAUUAAAUUUUUUAAAAUUUAUAAAUUUUAUUUAUACUUACAAAAAGAAAAAAAUGUUGUAGUAAAAUAAAAAAUUGUAAUUAAUUAUAUUUUUUAAAUUUAAAAUAAUUCUAUCUAUCUAUUUUUAGUAAUAUAAAUAAUUAAUUUUAAGAUGAAAAAAUAAUAUUAAAAUAUUAGAAAUAAAAUGAAUAUUUUCUUUUUGAAUUUCAUAUUUUCCAUGAAUAAAAUUAUAUAAGUAGAGAAAUUUGAAACAUUAAUUUCAAAACAAAAGUCACAGAAAAAGAAGUAAAAAAAAAGUAAGAAGAGAAAAAAUCGUUCAAAAAAGAGAGAGAAAAAUGGAUUUGGGUUAUUUUCUAAAAUGGGACCCAACACUUAUCAUAUGACACAAUAUAAAUGGAGCCUCAUAAACCUCAACCGCUUUAUGAGGCUCUAUUUAUAUUGUGUCAUGUGGAAAGUGUUGGGUCCAAUUUCAGAAAUUGACCCAAAUCAAUUUUUCUCUCGCUUUUUCAAACGAUUAUUUCUCUUUCUUACUUUUUUUAUUUGACUUUUUUUUCAAAUUAGUGUUUCAAAUAUCUCUAUAAGGGUUCAACUGACAAACGAAGCCAAAUACAAGGACCUUCCAGGUCAUUCCACGUUAUUUUUACAGUUAUUGUAUCACGAUUCAAAAUCACAAGUCGUGAUAACACCUAUGAUUCCAACCGUUAGGCUUAGCCAACCCGAUAAGUUAACUAAUUCCACUUAAAAUAUGAAAAAGUAUGUAGCAAGAAAAUAUAUUGAUACUAAGUCUUUUAAAUAAAAUGCGGAAAACUGAAAUACUAUCCUAAGAUUUAAUGUCAUAAGUACAGAAAUUUCUAAACUACGAGGCAAGUUUAGAACUAAAUAUUAAAUCUAGACGUUAGAAAUAUCCUGUCAGAACACUAAUAAUAUAAUAACUAAGACAUAGUGGAGGUGGGGGACACAAACUUCGUCACUUUGAGAAAAUUUGAUGUCGUUUGCAUUAUUAUGUUGAUUUUGAUUUCAUAUAAUAUGAUGAAAUCGUCUCCUAUUUACUUUCAAGAGCGUAUUUGUAUGGUGUGCCUAUUUUCAUAAUCUUUAAUUGAAGUACUUAGUUCACAUCUAAUUUCUAAAAUUUCAUACACAACAAAUUGAGUAUUCGUUGGAUCUUAGCACAAUUUUCUUUCAAAAACAGAUGGUUAAUCCAAGAAAAUCUUGAACAAAUUAGAGACUGUGAUAAAGUUGAAUCUUGUAUAAAAUCGAAAGAUAACUAAUAUUGAUGCGAUCAUAGAGAUAAAAGAAAAAUAUAUUGCUCAAUAAUUUCAAUGAAGAAAAUGGAGAGGAAAUAGUUGUAUGGAGAUUACUAUAAUAUGAAAUAGUGAUUAAAUGGAAAAAAACUCACUAGAAAGUGGAGUUUUUGGAAAAAAAUUCAUUUGCAUACCUAUAAUAUACGGGGUGGAACAUACUUAGAGAAAAAAAAUAAGUUAGCGUCUUAAAAGAAAAUAUAUUUUAAUCUUGAAUUAAAUUUUACCUCUUGUUUUCAUAAUUUAUAUUGGAUUAAUAUUCAAGUCACCAAGUUAUCUUUUUCUAAUUUUAACUCACCACUAUUGCAAUAUAUAUAUAUAUAUAUAUAUAUAUAUAUAUAUAUAUAUAUAUAUAUGUUAAAUGUAAGUAAAUUAUUAUUUUUCUAAAAUUUCCACUUACUACUAGCUUCCUUUCAUAUUGUAUAAUCUCUGUUGAGGAUAUGAAGUGGUGAAUAUGGCGUAAUGCGGAAGCUUACAAAUUGCAAAUCAUAUUGUUGAUAUAUAUUAGACGAUAAAAACUAAUGCUAAAAAUUAAAAUAGUAUUAUAUCAAAACUAAUAUAAACAUGAAAACAUUAAAACUGCAGAGAGAAUAGAGCUCCCCAUAAAAAAAUGUCUCUAAACGAUUACAUUGUGGAUUCUAUUGUUAUGUUAUGUUAGAAAAAACAAGCCUAUAUUUAUAGUGUCCUAAAUCUUUUCCACCCUUAUUGCAAUGUCUAUUAAAGUUACGCAAAUGAAUAUUUUUCCAAAAACUCCACUUCCUAUAGAGUUUUCUAUUUAAUCACUAUUCCAUAUUAUAGAAAUCUCCAAAAAAAUUAUUUCAAUGUUCUAUAAAUACAACUACUUCCUCUCAUUUUUCUUCACUCAAAUUAUUCAAACGAUAUACUUUUCUUUUUUUCUAUGAUUCCAUUAACACUAUCAAUUAUCUUUUGAUUUUAUUCAAGAUUCAAACUUUAUCAUAGUCUCUGAUUUAUCAUCAGCAGCGUGCAUUACUAAAUCUUUUUCAAGCAAUGAACUCUGCUGGUGAUAGAAUAGGGACUCUGUUAAAGUUUCUCACAUAAUUCUCAUUACUAAUUCUAAUUUGUUGUUAAAUAUGUUCAUAUUUUUGGAAAGGGUGUAAUUUUCUUAACUUUCUCUUUAUGAAUAUUAAAGAAGUGUUUCUGCAAAAGGACAUUUAUUAUUUAUCCAAAAGAUCAUUUAUUUUGUAUUUAAAAUUAGCAGAUAUAUAUGUGUUUUAGUUUUUAUUUAGAAAUGAUUAUAAUCUUAUCUUUUGAGUUAAAAAAGAUUAAUUAGAAGAUUUUUUUUCUUAGAGUUAAAGGCGUGAAACCUUUUCAAAAUGCUAAUAACAUUCAGAGAUACAAAAGAAGGUUGGGUAUGGAGUAUGCCAAUUAUAAUUGCAAUGGUAAAAUAUGAAGUAGAGGUUUUGGCUGAUACUGAUCAAAUGUUGACUCUUUGACUGUUUUCUGAAAAAUAAUCAAUCUUUAAUUGUAUCCUUUGUGUAUGCAAAGUGUUAGUGAAAAAACUUACAAGAUAAUAAAAUUGCAAGAUUACAAUUGAAAAUAAAAUGAAGAAAGUAAUCUCUUCAGGCUGAGGCGCGGAUAUCUCGCUCUCUUUAAGGAGAUUCAAGCCCACUGCAGCAAAUAUUUUCACAUGUCCAGCAGUAGUCCUCUUUGACUUGUCCCCUCGAGGAUACAACAGCCUUCACAAAGUAUAACUCAACAACUCUGGACAAGAGUUGAGUACAAAACUCCACAAAAAAGAACACCUUCCUUAAACUAAUAAGAACUCUCUUUUAGACUAACUCUUUCACUCUUUGUUUUCUCUUGUGUUUUGUGUGUUUUUAAAACCAAAUGAAGACUACCACUAUUUAUACUACAAGAAGUCUUCCUAGCAAUGAAUAGGAAGAUAAUGGAGGUAGUAAAUAGUGAAGAUAAUGGCACUUAGAAGUUUCAUAGGUUACAAUGGGAGUUACAUAGGUUGCAUAGGUUACAAUGAGAGUUACAUAGGUUAAAAAAGUUACAAUGGGAGUUAUAUAGGUUACAUAGGUUACAAAGAGUAAUGGAGGAAUUAAGAAUGAAAUACAUUGAUGGAUAACCAAUGCUAAUGGAUGAUGUAGAAGUCAUCCAUUCCAAUGUUCAUUCUUAUAACUCCAAAAUAAAGCAAUUUAAUAUGUUAAAUAUUAAUAUUAAAAUGCUAAUAACCUAACAAUCCCCCACUCAUUUUAAUAUUUAGAUAAGAGAGUAUACCAGUUGAAGGAAGACUACUAUGCAUAAUGAAAGUGUGCUCUGCAUUGAACCUCCACUUAGUGAAACAGUAACUUUUACUCCAGAGUCGUAGUGGUCUCAGACUUGAACUAUGACUGCUUAAGGGAAAUAAAUAUCACUGCUCACAUAUAAUAAUCAAGGUGUUGACAUGAGCUUUAACGGCCAGCACGUUAUGACCAUGUGCUAUUCCGGUUUCAUGAGUGCAUUUGAGAAUAAGCCUCAUUCUCAUAUGAAGCGACCUACUUCCACACAUCACAUAGGUGAAAUCUGUCGAGAGUGCUCCUGUAAGAUUAACACUCCACCCAUACGGGCUACAGAUAUUCAUUAAGAGUUUUAUUAACUCAACCUUCACAAACUACAGGAAAUAAUGCACUCACAUCAUAGGGAGGGAAACAAUAGUGCAUUUUUCACAACAUGUCAACAUAUGAUUAGUUUUUCCCUUUGAACCUGGUUAUAGGAUCUCUAGUCCCCAGGUUGGGUUUCCUCAUAUAUGACUCAAGGAUUUGUAGGAUUCAAUCCCAUCCCCCUUGAUGUGCUCCAGACCUUUUCUCUUGUUAAGGCCUUCGUAAGAGGAUCUGCAAGAUUAUCACAAGAUUUGACAUAAUCAACAUUUAGGGUAUCAUUUGUCAAAUACGAUCUUACAUUACUGUGUUUCCUCCUUAUAAUUCUGGAUUUACCGUUGUAAUAACGGUUUUGAACUCUACCAAUUGCAGCGGUGCUAUCACAAUGAAUUAAAAUAGGAGAAAUUGGUUUUUCAAAAUAAGGAAUUUGAAACAAUAAAUCUCUUAACCAAUUCGCUUCCUCACUAGCUGAAGCUAAAACAAUUAGUUUAGCCUACAUGGUAGAGUUAGCAAUUAUAGUUUGCUUUUUUGAUCUCUAACAAACAGCACCACCACCUAAAGUAAAGACAUAACCAGUGGUAGAACAGGAAUCACCUGACAAAGUGUUCCAAUCCGCAUCACAAAAGCCUUCAAGUACAGCAGGAUAUUUUUUAUAGAACAAACCACAAUUUUUCGUUCCAAUUAAAUAUCUCAUAACUCUUGUUAUAGCAUGCCAAUGUUCAGUACAUGGCUUGCUUGUAAACCUGCCAAGUACUCCUACUGCAUAUGCAAUAUCAGGCAUAGUGCAAUCAGUCACAUAUCUUAAACUUCCGAUUAUACUAGAAUAUUCCUUUUGAUUUAUUACAUCAUUUUCACUUUCAACAGGAAAUAAGUGAACACUUGAAUCAAAAGGAGUAGCAACAUGCUUGCAAUCAUGAAAGUUAUAUUUUUUCAAAAUUUUCUCAACAUAAUGUGACUGGUCAAGGAAAAUCCCCUCACAUGUUCUUGUUAUUUUUAUUACAAGAAUAAAAUUUGCCUCACCAAGAUCUUUCAUAUCAAAAUGGCUUCUAAGAACAUUUUUAGCUUCAUCAAUAACAUUCAUGUUAGAGCCAAAGAUCAACAAAUCAUCAACAUAUAGGCAAAUAAUCACAUAUGAAUUAUUCCAAGACUUAUGAUAUAUGCACUUAUCACACUCAUUUAUCUUAAAACCAUUUUCAAUCAUGCAGGAAUCAAACUUUUCAUGUCAUUGCUUUGGUGCCUGUUUUAAGUCAUAUAGGGAUUUAGUAAGUUUACAUACUUUGCUUUCUUGGCCUGCUUCAACAAAACACUCGGGUUGGUCCAUAUAAAUUUCUUCAUUUAGGUCUCCAUUUAGAAAAGCAGUUUUUACAUCCAUUUGAUGAAUUUGCAAAUAAAAAAUUGCAGUCAUAGCAACUAAAAGUCUAAUGGAUAUAAUUCUUGUUACCGGAGAAAAAGUAUCAAAAAAUUCUAGGCCUUCUAAUUGUUUAAAACCUUUUGCAACUAGCCUAGCCUUGUAUAUAUCAAUAGAACCAUCCGGUUUCAACUUUUUUCCUUAAGACCCAUUUGCAACCAAUUGUUUUACAACCCAGUAGUAAAUCAACUAACUUCCAAGUUUUAUUAGAAAUUAGAGAUUCCAUUUCAUCAUUUACAGCCUCUUUUCAAAAAAUAGAAUCAUGUGAAGAUAAUGCUUCUUUCAAAGUUAGAGGGUUAUUUUCAACAUUAAACACAUAAAAAUCAGGACCAAACUCUUUUUCUACUCUAGCUCUUUUACUUCUUCUUAACUCAAAAUCAACAACUUCUUUAUUUUUCAAAGUUGAAGUAAAAGAACUAGGUAGUGACAAAAUAUUUUGUUCAAUCCUUUGACCCCCACUAUUUUUAGUAUCAAAAGGAAAUUUAUUUUCAUGAAAAAUAGCAUCACCAGAUUCUAUUACAAUAUUAUCUUCAAGAUUAAAAAAUCUAUAGGUUGUACUAUUUGAAGCAUAACCAAGAAAAGCACAAGUAGUAGCUUUCUUACCCAACUUUGUAAUCUUGGGAUCCAUUAGCCUCACAAAGGCUAGACAACCCCAAACUUUUAGAUAUCCCAAACUUGGCUUGUAACCUUUCUACAAUUCAAAAGGUGUCAAUUUAGACUUUUUAUGAGCCACACGAUUCAACACAUAACAAGCACUUAAGAUAGCUUCACCCCAAAAAUUUAAAGGUGCAUGUGACUCAAUUAGCAUGGCAUUAGUCAAUUCAACCAAAGUUCUAUUUUUCCUUUCUGCUACUCCAUUAAACGAAGGAGAGUAAGGAGGAGUAGUUUCAUGAAUUAUUCCCAAUGAUCGAACAAAAGAAUUAAACUCAUUUGAUUCAUAUUCACGGCCUCUAUCACUUCUAAUUCUUUUUAUUUUUCUUCCAAACUAAUUUUCAACCUCAUUGAGAUAAGUUUUGAAAUUUUCAAAAGCAUCACUUUUAUUUUUCAUCAAGUAAACAUAUGUAAACUUAGAAAAAUCAUCAAUGAAAGUGAUAAAAUAUCUAUUACCUCCAUGAGUUAGAAUUCCACCAAGUUCACAAAUAUCAGUAUGAACUAAUUCUAACAAAUCAGUUUUUCUUUCAACAUGAAAAUGAGGCAUUUUAGUGAUCUUGGCUUUACUACAAGCCUCACACUUUUCAAAAUUCUUUUUAACCACUGGGAUUAAUCCUAAACUACUCAUGAUUCCUAUAUAACGAUCAUUAAUAUGACACAAACGAGCAUGCCAAAAAUUAGUAGAAGAAAGCAUAUAAACAGAAGUAGAAGUUUUAUUCAUUUCAACAUUUAACUUAAAAAUACCAUCACAUGCAUACCCAUUCCCCACAAAAAUACCUUUCUUUACUAUUACAUAUUGAUCAUAUUAAAUAAUCUGUUUAAAGCCUGCUUUAUUAAGAAGAAAACUAAACAUCAAAUUUUUUCUCAUAGAAGGAGUAUAAACCACAUCUUUCAAUGUUAAUAUCCUUCCAGAAGUAAAACACAAUUCAACAUCUCCCUUUCCAAGCACUUGAGUAGUGUGAGCAUCACCAAGCAUGAUAGUUUUGGGCUCUUCAAAAUGAGUAUAUUUUUUAAACCAGUCUUUGUCAUAACAGACAUGACGGUUUGCACCAGAAUCAGCCCACCAUACAUCAACAUUCUCAACCAUGUUUAUGUCGGUAAUCACCGCCACAAAAGGUUCUUCGGUAACGUUUUCCUGAGGGUUAGGACCACGUUUCUGGAAUCUGCAAAUCGAGCAAUAUUCCCACUCUUGCCACAAACAAAGCAUGGUCCCUUUUCUUUAACUUGUUGAUUUUGUGCUUGGUGAUUUUCACCAUUAUUAUUCUUGGGAGGUCUACCAUUAUUUUUCUUGAAUUUUUCUUCUUAGGCUUUAAAGAAGUAUUUUUGUGAGUUUCAGGAGUAGCAUUAUUCGAAGUAAUUAAAUUUACCUUUGAUGUGAUGUUGUUCUCUUCUGUUUGUAAAAGUGCAUGUUGGCCUCUUGCUUCUUCUUCCAUGCGGAUUUUCAUUAUCAAGCUUUCAAGAGAGGUUUCCUUUUGUUUGUGGUGCAUAGUUUUUUGAAAUUCCUUCCAUGAAGGUGGAAGUUUAUCCACUAUGCCACAAACAAUAAGGAUAUCUCCAAUUUUAACCUCUUCGGACCUAAGCUCUCCAACAAUCAUGAUGAAUUCUUGGGCUUAAUCUACCACUGAUUUGUUGUCCACCAUUUGGAACGAAAAAAUCUACUAGUUGCAUAUUUUUUCGCUCCAGCCUCUUCGGUAUCAUACUUACUCUGCAAUGCCUUCCAAAUUUUAUUUGCACUAGAGUAAGUUCUAUCAUAAUAAUCAUAAAAAUUAUCAGAUAGACAAUUAAGAAGAUAAUACCGACACUUAUAGGAAUCACCAUUGUACUUUUCCACUUUCUCUAGAUGAGAUAUAGUUUCAUCAUCAUUCAUAGUGGUGAUGUCUUCUUUAUUUGGAUUCUUCUCGGUCAAAACGUAAGAAACACCGAGAAGACUUAAGCAGAAAAGUACUUUACCCUUCCAUCUUUUGAAAUGGUUACCAUUGAACCGAAAUGGCUUGUUAAGAUCUCCCAUCUUGACAUCCGCGGUUUUUUCAAUUGUAGCCAUCUUUGAAUCUCCUUAAAAUUGUUAGUGAAAAAACAUACAAGAUAAUAAAAUUGCAAGAUUACAAUUGAAAAUAAAAUGAAGAAAGUAAUCUCUUCAGGCUGAGGCGCGGAUAUCUCGCUCUCUUUAAGGAGAUUCAAGCUCACUGCAGCAAAUGUUUUCACCGGUCCAGUAGUGGUCCUCUUUGACUUGUCCCCUCCAGGAUACAACAGCCUUCACAAAGUAUAACUCAACAACUCUGGACAAGAGUUGAGUCCAAAACUCCACAAAAAAGAACACCUCCCUUCAACUAAUAAGAACUCUCUUUUAGACUAACUCUUUCAAUCUUUGUUUUCUCUUGUGUUUUGUGUGUUUUUAAAACCAAAUGAAGACUACCACUAUUUAUACUACAAGAAGUCUUCCUAGCAAUGAAUAGGAAGAUAAUGGAGGUAGUAAAUAGUGAAGAUAAUGGCCUUAGAAGUUUCAUAGGUUACAAUGGGAGUUACAUAGGUUACAUAGGUUACAAUGGGAGUUACAUAGGUUACAUAAGUUACAAUGGGAGUUAUAUAGGUUACAUAGGUUACAAAGAGUAAUGGAGGAAUUAAGAAUGAAAUACAUUGAUGGAUAACCAAUGCUAAUGGAUGAUGUAGAAGUCAUCCAUUCCAAUGUUCAUUCUUAUAACUCCAAAAUAAAGCAAUUUAAUAUGUUAAAAAUUAAUAUUAAAAUGCUAAUAACCUAACACAAAGUGUGAAGCUGAUGAGAGGGUACAAUUACGAAAUGAUAUUUACUGUAUUGGCAAUUAUAAUUAUAAUUCACCCUGGUUCAAAGGGGGAUUUUAAUGUCAUCCUGAGUGAAGAGGAGAAGAUUGGUGUUCUGUCUUUAUAUCCUAAUAAGUAUGAGGAUUUUGUAUUUUGUGUGAAUUCAUGUGAUUUGGUGUAUGUGAGUUUUAAAUGGAAUCCUUUUACUUGGUGGAAUGGGGGGAUUGAUGAUUUCUGUAUAUUCAAAAGGCUUGAUAGGUACAUGAUGAAUCAAACUAGUUUUGGAUAUUUUUGGAUAUGGUGAAAUCUGAACAUUUGGCAAGAACUGGUCUGAUCAUGCUCCUAUGCUACCUACAUGUGGACAGAAGACAAAUGUGACUAGAAGACCUUUCAGAUUUCUUAAAUUUUUGACAAAACGUACAAAAUUUCAGCAGAUAGUGAAGGAUAACUAGUUUUCAGAAGAUGAAGAUGAUAUGUUUAUUAGGAUGAAACAAAAGAUGAAGAAGACUAAAGUUGCUUUUAGAGAUAUUUUUAAACAAUUAGAUAUCAGGGGGAGGGGGUGAGUUUGUAAGGGUGAAACAGGUGUUAUUUGAAGCAAUCCCUACAACAAACAAUAGGAAUAUAUUACAAAAGCCCAAUAGAAUUUAAAAAAUGUGUACAUUUUGAAGAAGAAUAUUGAAGGCAGAAAACACGUAUUCAAUGGGCUACAAAAGGGGAGAAGAAUAAAACGUUCUUUCCCAACAUAGUGAGAGGCAGAAGGAAAAGAUUGAGUACUAACAAUAUUCAAAAUUUUGAAGGGGAUUGGGUAUAAGGUGAAGAGCUAGUAGAUGUUGUUACUCAAAAGUAUUAUCUGAAGCAAUUCACAUGCAUUCAGAAUAUGGAGGAAGCCUCCCUAUUGACAUAUAGUAAGAAAAGUGUUACAAAUGAAGACAAUAGAAGAUUAAAUGAUCAUCUUUCAAUGGAGAAGGUUAGAAAAGUAGUAUUUGACCUUAAUGGGGACAGUGCUAGUGGUCUGGAUGGGUUUACUGGAAAUUUUUCCAACAAUUUUAGGACAUAGUUGGGGAUGAUUAGUUUGAGUAAUUUUCUUAAGGGUAAUGAAUGAUAGAGUUGGAUUUCUUCUUCCCUCACUGAUUUCACAAAUCAGUUUGGAUUUAUGAAAGGAAGAAGCAUAAUUGAAAAUGUGUUACUUGCUCGGGAGAUCAUAUCCAAUAUUAGCAAAGAGGGUAAGCCAACAAAUGUGGUGUUAAAGCUGGAUAUGGAAAAAACAUAUGACAGGUUGGAUUGGAGCUCUCUAAUAAUGGUGCUUGAAGGAAUGAGUUUUGAUGCUAAUGUUGUUGAUAAUGUCUGGAGACUAGUUGGUAACAACUGAUAUUCUGUACUUAUCAAUGAAAAUGCUUAUGGAUUCUUUCAUUCACCAAGGGGAGUGAAGCAAGGAGACCUUUCAUCCCCUGCACUAUUCAUUCUAAUUCCUGAAAUUCUUUCUAGAAGCUUAAAUGCUUUGAUUAGUACUGAGGUUUACAAGGGUUUUGGAUCGCCAAAAUAGAGUGAUCAUACUAAUGAUCUUGCAUAUGCAGAUGAUAAUAUUAUUUUUACUUCACCAAUUGUCAUUUCAUUAGAUGUAUUGAUGGAAACUCUUACACCUUAUGAGAAGCAAUCAGGACAAAUGAUAAAUAAAGAAAAGAGAUCAUAUUCAUCUUUCAUUAUACAACACAUGAUUUGCUAGCAAAUUUAAAAGUGAAAACUGGCUUUGCUAGAGGCAAGAUUCCACUAAUGUACUUAGGAUGUCCAACUGAUCAUGCCAAGAGGAAGAAGGUACACUUUGCAAACUUAUUAAAAAAAGUGCAUAAUAAGUUGCAAGCUUGAAAAAGGAAAAUGAUGUCAUUUGGAGGUAAGGUUGUGUAACUCAUAAUGUGCUAAAUAGCAUACCUAUAUAUCUCUUGUCUGCUAAAAAUCCAUCGAGGUGUGUUAUUCAUGAUUUACAUAGAGUUUUUGUAAUUUUUUUUGGAAAUUUUAGGAAGGAAGGAAAUAACAAGCUUUGUGUUGGAUCGUGUGAUUUAUGUAGACCCAAGGAGGAAGGUGGUGUGAGAUUUAGAUCUUUGUUUGAUAUUUAUAAAGAUUUAUUUGCUAGGUGGAUUUUUAGAACAAGAAGACUAUGUGAUCUAAUUUUAUGUGGAACGAAAUUGUAAAAAGGUGAGACCUCAAGUGGUUGCGUGGGAAAAUGGUUCUUUACCUUGAAAGUAUAUGCUAGAAGCUACAGACUUGAUAGAUCAACAAAAUUGGUGGGAACCCAAGUGUGAACAUUCAAGUAUCUGGUAUGACAAUUGGUCAUAAUUUAAUGUACCACAUUACAUAAUUCCUACAGACUCUGCUAGAAAUAUAGUGUCUUUUAGUGGGGAAUGAAAUUAUGACUUGAUACAAACAAGUUUCGGAAAAGAUAUCAGUAGACAGAUAAUAUAAGAGGAGUCCAGAAUAUAAAGUGCAGUGGGAUAAACCCUGCUGGAUGCUGAAGGUUGCUGGAAAUUUCACCGUGGAUUCUGCAUGGGAUUUUAUAAGGGAGAAACAUGAAGUCUGUACAAAAUAUAAGUCUAUCUGGAGUGCAAGAAUUCCUUUUAAGAUAUCUUUCUUCAAUUGGAGACUUUGAAAACAAAGACUUCUUAUUGGAGAAGUUCUUGUCAGGAAUAAGAUGAGUGAUGGGGUAGUGUGUAGUUGUUGUAAUGAUGGAAUUUAGGAGACUAUUGAACACUUGUUUAUUAGAUGUUCCUUUUCUAAAUCUUUAUGGGGUUAUUUUGAAGGAACAUCAGGAGUAGAUAGUCCUUUCUUGAAGUUGAAAGAUACUGUGUAUAAAUGGUGGAAUUUAGAUGCUUUUGCUAAACUUAAAUCUGUAAUAAUGGUAUUUGUUGGCAAGUGUGGAAAAGAAAAAAUGCCUUGAAAUUUGAUGGUUCAAUGUCUUAUCUAAGUAUGAAAGGAGGAAUAACAAAUAAUUUAAUUUUAUUAGCAAAUUAGUUGUAUCCAUUGAUGUAUAAUUUGCCUUAUAAUUGGCCUGAAUUGGUUAAAUAUUUGAUAGAAUAUACUCAUAGGCUUAGAUGUAAAGUGGUCUAUUAGAAAUUAUCUACACAAAAUACAUUCAUAUGCAAUACAGAUGAAGCGUUAAAAGUAAAUUGAGGACCAAUCUCUUCAAAUUUUAUAUUAAAGAAGAUUUAGUGUCAUAAGUACAAGAAUUUCUAAACUACGUGGCAAGUUUUGAAUUAAAUACCAAAUUUUGACGUGAGAAAUAUCCUGUCAGAACACUAAUAAUGUAAUAACUAAGACAUAGUGGGAGGUGGGGGACACAAACUUCGUGACUUUGAGAAAAUUGAUGUCGUUUUCAUUAUUAUGUUGAUUUUGAUUUCAUAUAAUAUGAUGAAAUCAUCUCCUAUUUACUUUCAAGAGUAUAUUUGUAUGGUUUACCUAUUUUCAUAAUUUUGAAUUGAGGUACUUAGUUCACAUCUAAUUUCUAAAAUUUCAUACACAACAAAAUGAGUAUUCGUUGGAUCAAUUUUCAUUCACAAACAGAUGAUUAAUCCAAGAAAAUCUUGAACAAAUUAGAGACUGUGAUAAAGUUUAAUCUUGUAUAAAAUCGAAAGAUAACUGAUAGUGAUGCGAUCAUAGAGAUAAAAGAAAAAUAUAUUGCUCAAUAAUUUCAGUGAAGAAAAUGGAGAGGAAAUAGUUGUAUGAAGAUUACUAUAAUAUGGAAUAGUGAUUAAAUGGAAAAAAACUCAAUACAAAGUGGAGUUUUUGGAAAAAAAUUCAUUUGCAUACCUUUAAUAUACGGGGUGGAACACAUUUAGAAAAAAAAUAAGUUAGUGUCAUAAAAGAAAAUAUAUUUUAAUCUUGAACUAAAUUUUAACUCUUGUUUUCAUAAUUUAUAUUGGAUUAAUAUUCAAGUCACCAAGUUAUCUUUUUUCUAAUUUUAACUCAUCAUUAUUGCAAUAUAUAUAUGUUAAAUGUAAGUAAAUUAUUAUUUUUCUAAAAUUUCCACUUACUACUAACUUCCUUCCAUAUUGUACUAGUCUCUGUUAGGUAUAUGAAGGGGUGCAUAUGGCGUAAUGUCGCAGCUUACAAAUUGCAAAUCAUAUUGUUGAUAUUAGACGAUAAAAACUAAUAUUAAAAAUUAAAGUACUAUUAUAUCAAAACUAAUAUAAAAAAACAUUAAGACUGCAGAGAGAAUAGAGCUCCCAAUAAAUAAAUGUCUCUAAACGAUUACAUUGUGAAUUCUAUUGUUAUGUUAUGUUAGAAAAAACAAACCUAUAUUUAUAGUCCUAAAUUUGUUCCACCCUUAUUGCAAUGUAUAUUAAAGCAAUGCAAAUGAAUAUUUUUCCAAAAACUCCACUUCCUAUAGAGUUUUUCCAUUUAAUCACUAUUUCAUAUUAUAGUAAUCUCCAAAAAAAAUUAUUUCAAUGUCCUAUAAAUACAACUAUUUCCUCUCAUUAUUCUUCACUCAAAUUAUUCAAACAAUAUAUUUUUCUUUUUUUCUAUGAUCACAUUAACACUACCAAUUAUCUUCCAAUUUUAUUCAAGAUUCAAACUUUAUCAUAGUCUCUACUUUAUCAUCAGCAGCGUGCAUUACUAAAUCUUCUUCAAGCAAUGAACUCUGCUGGUGAUAGAAUAGGGACUCUGUUAAAGUUUCUCACAUAAUUCUCAUUACUAAUUCUAAUUGGUUGUUAAAUAUGUUCAUAUUUUCGGAAAAAGUGUACUUUUUUCUUAACUUUCUCUUUUUGAAUAUUAAAGAAGUGUUUCUGCAAAAGGAUAUUUAUUAUUUAUCCAAAAGAUCAUUUAUUUUGUAUUUAAAAUUAGCAGAUAUAUAUGUGUUUUGGUUUUUAUUUAGAAAAGAUUAUAAUCUUAUCUUUUGAGUUAAAACAGAUUAAUUAGAAGAUUUUUUCUUUGAGUUAAAGGUGUGGAACCUUUUUGAAAAUGCUAAUAACAUUCAGAGAUACAAAAAGAAGGUUGGGUAUUGAGUAUGCCAAUUAUAAUUGCAAUGGUAAAAUAUGAUUAUUCAUUCAAAAACAUAUUCAAGUGGAUGUUUCAGAACAUAUUCAAUAGGCUGGAUAGGUAUAUAAUGAAUCAAACUAGUUUUGGAUAUUUUGGGAUGCUGAAAUCUGAACAUGGUCUGAUCAUGCUCCUAUGCUACUUAUAUGUGGACAGAAGACAAAUGUGACUAGAAGACCAUUCAGAUUUCUUAAAUUUUGGUGACAAAACAUACAAAAUUUCAGCAUAUAGUGAAGGAUAACUGGUUUUCAGAAGAUGAAGACGAUAUGUUUAUUAGGAUGAAACAAAAGAUGAAGAAGAAAAAAGUUGCUUUGUCUAUCUAGAGUAAAGUUGCUUUUGGAGAUAUUUUUAAACAAUUAGCUAUCUUGGGGGGGGGGGGGAGAUUGUAACGGUGAAACACGUGUUAUUUGAAGCAAGCCAUACAACAGACAAUAGGAAAGUAUUACAAAAGCCCAAUAAAAUUUAAAAAAUGUAUACAUUUUGAAGAAGAAUACUGGAGACAGAAAACAUGUAUUCAAUGGGUUACAAAAGGGGAGAAGAAUACAAUGUUCUUUCACAACUUAGUGAGAGGAAAAGAUUGAUAUAAUUACAAGUACAAGAAUUUCUAAACUACGAGGCAUGUUUAGAACUAAAUACCAAAUUUAGACGUUAGAAAUAUCCUGUCAGAACACUAAUAAUAUAAUAACUAAGACAUAGUGGGAGGUAGGGGACACAAACGUCGUGAAUUUGAGAAAAACUGAUGUCGUUUGCAUUAUUAUGUUGAUUUUGAUUUCAUAUAAUAUGAUGAAAUCGUCUCCUAUUUACUUUCAAGAGUAUAUUUGUAUGGUUUACCUAUUUUCAUAAUUUUGAAUUGAGGUACUUAGUUAACAUCUAAUUUCUAAAAUUUCAUACACAACAAAAUGAGUAUUCGUUGGAUCAAUUUUCAUUCACAAACAGAUGAUUAAUCCAAGAAAAUCUUGAACAAAUUAGAGAUUGUGAUAAAUUUUAAUCUUGUAUAAAAUCGAAAGAUAACUGAUAGUGAUGCGAUCAUAGAGAUAAAAGAAAACUAUAUUGCUCAAUAAUUUCAGUGAAGAAAAUGGAGAGGAAAUAGUUGUAUGGAGAUUACUAUAAUAUGGAAUAGUGAUUAAAUGGAAAAAACUCAAUAGAAACUGGAGUUUUUGGAAAAACAUUCAUUUGCAUACCUUUUAUAUACGGGGUGGAACAUAUUUAGAAAAAAAAUAAGUUAGUGUCCUAAAAGAAAAUAUAUUUUAAUCUUGAACUAAAUUUUAACUCUUGUUUUCAUAAUUUAUAUUGGAUUAAUAUUCAAGUCACCAAGUUAUCUUUUUUCUAAUUUUAACUCACCAUUAUUGCAAUAUAUAUAUAUGUUAAAUGUAAGUAAAUUAUUAUUUUUCUAAAAUUUCCACUUUCUACUAACUUCCUUCCAUAUUGUUCUAGUCUCUGUUGAGUAUAUGAAUGGGUGCAUAUGGCGUAAUGUCGAAGCUUACAAAUUGCAAAUCAUAUUGUUAAUAUUAGACGAUAAAAACUAAUAUUAAAAAUUAAAGUACUAUUAUAUCAAAACUAAUAUAAAAAAAACAUUAAGACUGCAGAGAGAUUAGAGCUCCCCAUAAAUAAAUGUCUCUAAACGAUUACAUUGUGAAUUCUAUUGUUAUGUUAUGUUAGAAAAAACAAACCUAUAUUUAUAGUCCUAAAUCUGUUCCACCCUUAUUGCAAUGUAUAUUAAAGCAGUGCAAAUGAAUAUUUUUCCAAAACUCCACUUCCUAUAGAGUUUUUCCAUUUAAUCACUAUUUCAUAUUAUAGUAAUCUCCAAAAAAAUUAUUUCAAUGUCCUAUAAAUACAACUAUUUCCUCUCAUUUUUCUUCACUCAAAUUAUUCAAACAAUAUAUUUUUCUUUUUUUCUAUGAUCCCAUUAACACUACCAAUUAUCUUCCAAUUUUAUUCAAGAUUCAAACUUUAUCAUAGUCUCUACUUUAUCAUCAGCAGCGUGCAUUACUAAAUCUUCUUCAAGCAAUGAACUCUGCUGCUGAUAGAAUAGGGACUCUGUUAAAGUUUCUCACAUAAUUCUCAUUACUAAUUCUAAUUGGUUGUUAAAUAUGUUCAUAUUUUCGGAAAAAGUGUACUUUUUUCUUAACUUUCUCUUUUUGAAUAUUAAAGAAGUGUUUCUGCAAAAGAAUAUUUAUUAUUUAUCCAAAAGAUCAUUUAUUUUAUAUUUAAAAUUAGCAGAUAUAUAUGUGUUUUGGUUUUUAUUUAGAAAAGAUUAUAAUCUUAUCUUUUGAGUUAAAACAGAUUAAUUAGAAGAUUUUUUCUUAGAGUUAAAGGUGUGGAACCUUUUUGAAAAUGCUAAUAACAUUCAGAGAUACAAAAAGAAGGUUGGGUAUUGAGUAUGCCAAUUAUAAUUGCAAUGGUAAAAUAUGGGUAUUCAUUCAAGAACAUAUUCAAGUGGAUGUUUCAGAAAAUAUUCAAUAGGCUGGAUAGGUACAUAAUGAAUCAAACUAGUUUUGGAAAUUUUGGGAUGCUGAAAUCUGAACAUGGUCUGAUCAUGCUCCUAUGCUACUUAUAUGUGGACAGAAGACAAAUGUGACUAGAAGACCUUUCAGAUUUCUCAAAUUUUGGUGACAAAACGUACACAAUUUCAGCAUAUAGUGAAGUAUAACUGGUUUUCAGAAGAUGAAGACGACAUGUUUAUUAGGAUGAAACAAAAGAUGAAGAAGAAAAAAGUUGCUUUGUCUAUCUAGAGUAAAGUUUCUUUUGGAGAUAUUUUUAAACAAUUAGCUGUCUUGGGAGGGGGGGGAGAUUGUAAGGGUGAAACACGUGUUAUUUGAAGCAAGCCAUACAAAUGACAAUAGGAAAGUAUUACAAAAGACCAAUAGAAUUUAAAAAAUGUAUACAUUUUGAAGAAGAAUACUGGAGACAGAAAACAUGUAUUCAAUGGGUUACAAAACGGGAGAAGAAUACAAUGUUCUUUCACAACUUAAUGAGAGGAAAAGAUUGAUAUAAUUACAAGUACAAGAAUUUCUAAACUACGAGGCAAGUUUAGAACUAAAUACCAAAUUUAGACGUUAGAAAUAUCCUGUCAGAACACUAAUAAUAUAAUAACUAAGACAUAGUGGGAGGUAGGGGACACAAACUUCGUGAAUUUGAGAAAAUUUGAUGUCGUUUGCAUUAUUAUGUUGAUUUUGAUUUCAUAUAACAUGAUGAAAUCGUCUCCUAUUUACUUUCAAGAGUAUAUUUGUAUGGUUUACCUAUUUUCAUAAUUUUGAAUUGAGGUACUUAGUUAAUAUCUAAUUUCUAAAAUUUCAUACACAACAAAAUGAGUAUUCGUUGGAUCAAUUUUCAUUCACAAACAGAUGGUUAAUCCAAGAAAAUCUUGAACAAAUUAGAGACUGUGAUAAAGUUUAUUCUUGUAUAAAAUCGAAAGAUAACUGAUAGUGAUGCGAUCAUAGAGAUAAAAGAAAAAUAUAUUGCUCAAUAAUUUCAGUGAAGAAAAUGGAGAGGAAAUAGUUGUAUGGAGAUUACUAUAAUAUGGAAUAGUGAUUAAAUGGAAAAAACUCAAUAGAAAGUGGAGUUUUUGGAAAAAAAUUCAUCUGCAUACCUUUAAUAUACGGGGUGGAACAUAUUUAGAAAAAAAAUAAGUUAGUGUCAUAAAAGAAAAUAUAUUUUAAUCUUGAACUAAGUUUUAACUCUUGUUUUCAUAAUUUAUAUUGGAAUAAUAUUCAAGUCACCUAGUUAUCUUUUUUCUAAUUUUAACUCACCAUUAUUGCAAUAUAUAUAUGUUAAAUGUAAGUAAAUUAUUAAUUUUCUAAAAUUUCCACUUACUACUAACUUCCUUCCAUAUUGUACUAGUCUCUGUUAGGUAUAUGAAUGGGUGCAUAUGGCGUAAUGUCGAAGCUUACAAAUUGCAAAUCAUAUUGUUGAUAUUAGACGAUAAAAACUAAUAUUAAAAAUUAAAGUACUAUUAAAUCAAAAUUAAUAUAAAAUACAACAUUAAGACUGCAGAGAGAAUAGAGCUCCCCAUAAAUAAAUGUCUCUAAACGAUUACAUUGUGAAUUCUCUUGUUAUGUUAUGUUAGAAAAAACAAACCUAUAUUUAUAGUCCUAAAUCGGUUCCACCCUUAUUGCAAUGUAUAUUAAAGCAAUGCAAAUGAAUAUUUUUCCAAAAACUCCACUUCCUAUAGAGUUUUUCCAUUUAAUCACUAUUUCAUAUUAUAGUAAUCUCCAAAAAACAUUAUUUCAAUGUCCUAUAAAUAUAACUAUUUCCUCUCAUUUUUCUUCACUCAAAUUAUUCAAACAAUAUAUUUUUGUUUUUUUCUAUGAUCCCAUUAACACUACCAAAUAUCUUCCAAUUUUAUUCAAGAUUCAAACUUUAUCAUAGUCUCUACUUUAUCAUCAGCAGCGUGCAUUACUAAAUCUUCUUCAAGCGAUGAACUCUGCUGGUGAUAGAAUAGGGACUCUGUUAAAGUUUCUCACAUAAUUCUCAUUACUAAUUCUAAUUGGUUGUUAAAUAUGUUCAUAUUUUCGGAAAGGGUGUACUUUUUUCUUAACUUUCUCUUUUUGAAUAUUAAAGUAGUGUUUCUGCAAACGGAUAUUUAUUAUUUAUCCAAAAGAUCAUUUAUUUUGUAUUUAAAAUUAGCAGAUAUAUAUGUGUUUUGGUUUUUAUUUAGAAAAGAUUAUAAUCUUAUCUUUUGUGUUAAAAAAAAUAAUUUGAAGAUUUUUUCUUAGAGUUCAAGGUGUGGAACCUUUUCAAAAUGCUAAUAACAUUCAGAGAUACAAAAACAAGGUUGGGUAUCCAGUAUGCCAAUUAUAAUUGCAAUGGUAAAAUAUGGGUAUUCAUUCAAGAACAUAUUCAAGUGGAUGUUUCAGAACAUAUUCAAUAGGCUGGAUAGCUACAUAAUGAAUCAAACUAGUUUUGGAUAUUUUGGGAUUCUGAAAUCUGAACAUGGUCUGAUCAUGCACCUGUGCUACUUAUAUGUGGACAGAAGACAAAUGUGACUAGAAGACCUUUCAGAUUUCUCAAAUUUUGGUGACAAAACGUGCAAAGUUUCAGCAUAUAGUGAAGGAUAACUGGUUUUCAGAAGAUGAAGACGAUAUGUUUAUUAGGAUGAAACAAAAGAUGAAGAAGAAAAAAGUUGCUUUGUCUAUCUGGAGUAAAGUUGUUUUUGGAGAUAUUUUUAAACAAAUCGCUAUCUUGGGAGGGGGGGAGAAGAUUGUAAGGGUGAAACAAGUGUUAUUUGAAGCAAGCCAUACAACAGACAAUAGGAAAGUAUUACAAAAGCCCAAUAGAAUUUAAAAAAUGUGCACAUUUUGAAGAAGAAUAUUGGAGACUGAAAACAUGUAUUCAAUGGGUUACAAAACGGGAGAAGAAUACAAUGUUUUUUCACAACUUAGUGAGAGGAAAAGAUUGAUAUAAUUACAAGUACAAGAAUUUCUAAACUACGAGGCAAGUUUAGAACUAAAUACUAAAUUUAGACGUUAGAAAUAUCCUGUCAGAACACUAAUAAUAUAAUAACUAAGACAUAGUGGGAGGUAGGGGACACAAACUUCGUGACUUUGAGAAAAUUUGAUGUCGUUUGCAUUAUUAUGUUGAUUUUGAUUUCAUAUAAUAUGAUGAAAUCGUCUCCUAUUUACUUUCAAGAGUAUAUUUGUAUGGUUUACCUAUUUUCAUAAUAUUGAAUUGAGGUACUUAGUUAACAUCUAAUUUCUAAAAUUUCAUACACAACAAAAUGAGUAUUCGUGUGAUCAAUUUUCAUUCACAAACAGAUGGUUAAUCCAAGAAAAUCUUGAACAAAUUAUAGACUGUGAUAAAGUUUAAUCUUGUAUAAAAUCGAAAGAUAACUGAUAGUGAUGCGAUCAUAGAGAUAAAAGAAAAAUAUAUUGCUCAAUAAUUUCAGUGAAGAAAAUGGAGAGGAAAUAGUUGUAUGGAGAUUACUAAUAUGGAAUAGUGAUUAAAUGGAAAAAACUCAAUAGAAAGUGGCGUUUUUGGAAAAAAAUUUCAUUUGCAUACCUUUAAUAUACGGGGUGGAACAUAUUUAGAAAAAAAAUAAGUUAGUGUCCUAAAAGAAAAUAUAUUUUAAUCUUGAAUUAAAUUUUAACUCUUGUUUUCAUAAUUUAUAUUGGAUUAAUAUUCAAGUCACCAAGUUAUCUUUUUUCUAAUUUUAACUCACCAUUAUUGCAAUAUAUAUAUGUUAAAUGUAAGUAAAUUAUUAUUUUUCUAAAAUUUCCACUUACUACUAACUUCCUUCCAUAUUGUACUAGUCUCUGUUGAGUAUAUGAAGGGGUGCAUAUGCCGUAAUGUCGAAGCUUACAAAUUGCAAAUCAUAUUGAUGAUAUUAGACGAUAAAAACUAAUAUUAAAAAUUAAAGUACUAUUAUAUCAAAACUAAUAUAAAAAAAAUAUUAAGACUGCAGAGAGAAUAGAGCUCCCCAUAAAUAAAUGUCUCUAAACGAUUACAUUGUGAAUUCUAUUGUUAUGUUAUGUUAGAAAAAACAAACCUAUAUUUAUAGUUCUAAAUCUGUUCCACCCUUAUUGCAAUGUAUAUUAAAGCAAUGCAAAUAAAUAUUUUUCCAAAAACUCCACUUCCUAUAGAGUUUUUCCAUUUAAUCACUAUUUCAUAUUAUAGUAAUCUCCAAAAAAAAUUAUUUCAAUGUCCUAUAAAUACAACUAUUUCCUCUCAUUUUUUUUCACUCAAAUUAUUCAAACAAUAUAUUUUUCUUUUUUUCUAUGAUCCCAUUAACACUACCAAUUAUCUUCCAAUUUUAUUCAAGAUUCAAACUUUAUCAUAGUCUCUACUUUAUCAUCAGCAGCGUGCAUUACUAAAUCUUCUUCAAGCAAUGAACUCUGCUGGUGAUAGAAUAGGGACUCUGUUAAAGUUUCUCACGUAAUUCUUAUUACUAAUUCUAAUUGGUUGUUAAAUAUGUUCAUAUUUUCGGAAAGGGUGUACUUUUUUCUUAACUUUCUCUUCUUGAAUAUUAAAGAAGUGUUUCUGCAAAAGGAUAUUUAUUAUUUAUCCAAAAGAUCAUUUAUUUUGUAUUUAAAAUUAGCAGAUAUAUAUGUGUUUUGGUUUUUAGUUAGAAAAGAUUAUAAUCUUAUCUUUUGAGUUAAAACAGAUUAAUUAGAAGAUUUUUUCUUAGAGUUAAAGGCGUGGAACCUUUUCAAAAUGCUAAUAACAUUCAGAGAUACAAGAAGAAGGUUGGGUAUGGAGUAUGCCAAUUAUCAUUGCAAUGGUAAAAUAUGGGUAUUCAUUAAAGAACACAUUCAAAUGUAGGUUUUGGCUGAUACUGAUCAGAUGUUGACUCUUCGACUGUUGUUUCUGGAAAAUAAUCAACCUUUAGGUUGUGUUUGGUACGAAGAAAAAUGUUUUUCUGGAAAACAAGUAGAUUUUUGACUUAAUUUCUCAUGAUUGGUUGGUGAUAGAAAAUAAUUUCCCGAAAUGAUUUAGUGUUUGAUUUAUGAAUAAAAAUGAUUUUGAGAACAUCUUUUAUUUUCACUAGAGUAAAAAAUAAUUUAUGAAAUUAAAAAUAUUUUUUAAAAUUAAAAUUAUUAUUUUUGGGGGGUUGGGUGGGGGGUAGUGGGUUAAUUUUAUGGGGAGGGGUUGGGGUUCGGGUGGGGGGUGGGGGGUCAGGGAUUGGGUGAAAAAAUAUAAUUUUGAAAUUGAAAAUAUUUUUUUUAAAUCGAUGUUUUUCCCAAAAAAAAAUAUAAUUUGAAAUUGGAGGAGAGUUUUGGAAAAUGUUUUCCUUGAUUUUUGAAGGGAAGUCAUUUUUGUUAAUUUUGAGGAAAAUGAGUUGAUCUGGAAAACAUUUUGCAUAACUUUUGUCCCAACCAAACAUGAGAAAAUUGAAAAACAUUUUUCAGAAAAUAUUUUCCUUCGUACCAAACACACUCUUAAUUGUUUCCCUUGUGUAUGCGGAGUGUGAUGCUGAGAGGGUACAAUUAUGGAAUGAUGUUUAUUGUAUUAGCAAUGAUAUUCAUAAUUCCCCCUGGUUGAUAGAGGAAUUUUAACUCCAUCUUGAGUGAAGAGGAGAAGAUUGGUGGUUUGCCUGUAUAUCCUAAUGAGUCUGUGGAUUUUUGCAUUUUGUGUGAAUCCAUGUGAUUUGGUGUAUGUGAGUUUUAAAGGGAAUCCAUUUACCUGGUGGAAUGGGAGGAUUGAUGAUUUCUGUAUAUUCAAAAGGCUGGAUAGGUACAUGAUGAAUCAAACUAGUUUUGGAUAUGGUGAAAUCUGAACAUUUGGCAAGAACAUGGUCUGGUCAAGCUCCUAUGCUACUUAUAUAUGUACCGAAGACAAAUGUGACUAAGAGACCUUUCAGAUUUCUUAAAUUUUGGAUAAAACAUACAAAAUUUCAGCAGAUAGCGAAGGAUUACUGGUUUUCAGAAGAUGAAGACGAUAUGUUUAUUAGGAUGAAACAAAAGAUGAAGAAGACUAAAGUUGCUUUGUCUAUAUAGAGUAAAGUUGCUUUUGGGGAUAUUUGUAAACAAUUAGCUAUCUGGGGGAGGGGGGGGAAAUUGUAAGGGUGAAACAGAUGUUAUUUGAAGCAAGCUCUACAACAGACAAUAGGAAUAAAUUACAAAAGCUAAAUAGAAUUUAAAAAAUGUGCACAUUAUGAAGAAGAAUAUUGGAGGCAAAAAGUAUUCAAUUGGUUACAAAAGGGGAGAAGAAUACAAGGUUCUUUCACAACUUAGUGAGAGGCAGAAGGAAAAGAUUGAGUACUAACAAUAUUCAAAAUAUGGAAGGGGACUGGGUAGAAGGUGAAGAGCUAGUAGAUGUUGUUACUCAAGAGUAUUAUCAGAAGCAAUUCACAUGCAUUCAGAAUAUGGAGGAAGCCCCCCUAUUGAGAUAUAUUCGUAAUAGGGUUACAAAUGAAGACAAUAGAAGAUUAAAUGAUCAUCUUUCAAUGGAGGAGGUUAGAAAAGUAGUGUUUGACCUCAAUGAGGACAGUGUUAGUGGUCUCGAUGGGUUUACUGGAAAUUUUUCCAAUAAUGUUGGGACAUAGUUGGGGAUGAUAUGGUUAAUAUGGUUAGUGAUUUUUUUAAUUGUGCCACCCUUAUUAAGUCUAUUACACAUACUAAUUUGGUGUUAUUACUUAAGAAAGAUAUAUGUCAAUCUUUUACAUAAAUGAGACCAAUUAGUUUGAGUAAUUUUCUUUACAAAGUGAUUCAAGGGUGAUGAAUGAUAAAGUUGAAGUUCUUGUUCCCUCACUGAUUUCACAAAUCAGUUUGGAUUUGUGAAAGGAAAAAGCAUAAUUGAAAAUGUGUUACUUGCUCAGGAGAUCAUAUACGAUAUUAGCAAAAGGGGUAAGCCAACAAAUGUGGUGAUCAAGCUGAUAUGGCAAAAUCAUAUGACAGGGUGGAUUGGAGCUCUCUAUUAAUGGUGCUUGAAGGAAUGAGUUUUGAUGCUAAUGUUGUUGAUAAUGUCUGGAGACUAGUUGGUAACAACUGAUAUUCUGUACUUAUCAAUGAAAAUGCUUAUGGAUUCUUUCGGUCACCAAGGAGAGUGAAGCACGGGGACCUUUUAUCUCCUGGACUAUUCAUUCUAAUUCCUGAAAUUCUUUCUAGAAGCUUAAAUGCUUUGAUCUGUAAUUGAGGUUUACAAGGGUUUUGGAUUGCCAAAAUAGAGUGAUCAUAUUAACCGUCUUACAUAUGCAGAUGAUACUAUUAUUUUUAUUUUAGCAGAUGUCAUUUCAUUAGAUGUAUUAAUGAAAACUCUGCUACAACACAUGAUCUGAUAGCAAAUAUAAAAGUGAAAACUGACUUUGCUAUAGGCAAGUUUCCACUAAUGUACUUGGGAUUUCCAACUGAUCAUGCCAAGAGGAAGAAGGUACACUUUGCAGAUUGGAUGAAAAAAGGGCAUAAUAAGUUACAAGCUUAGAAAAUGAUUCAUUUGGAGUUAAGGUUGUGUAAUUCAUAAUGUGCUAAAUAGCAUACCUAUACAUCUUUUGUCUGUUAUCAAUCCAUCGAGGUAUGUUAUUCAUAAUUUGCAUAGAGUUUUUGUAUUUUUUAUUGGAAAUUUUAGAAAGGAAGGAAACAACAAGCAUUGUGUUGCAUGGUGUGAUUUAUGUAGACCCAAGGAGGAAGGUGGUGUGAGAUUAGGGGUGUGUUUGGUACGAAGGAAAAUAUUUUCCUAGAAAAUGUUUUUCUGGAAAACAAGUAUAUUUUGGACUUAUUUUCUCAUGUUUGGUUGGUGAACAUAAAAUAUUUUUCGAAAAUAAUUUUUAGUGUUUGAUUUAUGAAUGAAAAAUAUUUUUGAGAGACAUAUUUUAUCUUUAAUAGAGUAGAAAAUAAUUUAUGAAAUUGAAAAUAUUUUUUUAAAAGAAUUUUUAUUUGGGUUGUGGUGGGGGAGGGGGUAGGAGUGAAAAAAUAAAAAUUUGAACUUUAUAGUAUUUUUAGAAAACAAAACUAAUUUUUCUGGGGGUUGGGGGUGGGUGGGGGGCUGGCCGGAGGGGGGGUAGGAGUUUAAAAAUAAAAAUCUAAAGUUGAAAGUAUUUUUAAAAAGCAAAUUAUUUUUGGAGGGGGGGGGCCUGGCCGGUGGUGGGUGGGUGGGGUCAGGGAUCGAAUAAAAAAAAUUAAAAUUGAUUUUUUUUAAAUUGUUGUUUUUCCAAAAAAAAAUAUAAUUUAAAAUUGGAGGAGAGUUUUGGGAAAAAAUUUUAAUUUGGAAAACAUUCUCCAAAACUUUUGUCCCAACCAAACAUGAGAAAAUUGAUAAACAUUUUCCAGAAAAUGGUUUCCUUCAUACCAAGCACACUCUAGAUCUUUGUUUGAUAUUUCUAAAGAUUUAUUUGCUAGGUGGAUGUUUAGAACAAGAAAAACUAUGUGAUCUAAUUUUAUGUGGGAUAAAAUUGUAAAAAGGAGAGACCUCAAAUGGUUGAGUGGGAAAAUGGUUCUUUACCUUGAAAGUACAUGCGGGAAGCUAGAGACUUGAUAAAUCAACAAAAUUGGUGGGAAACCCAAGUGUGGUUCAAGUAUCUGGUAUGAUAAUUGGUCAUAGUUGAAAGCACCACAUUACAUAAUUCCUAUUGACUCUGCUAGAAAUAUGCAAUUGAAGGAAUUGAAAUAAUGUCUUUUAGUGGGGAAUAAAAUUAUGAUUUGACACAAACAAGUUUUGGGAAAGAUAUUAGUAGACAGGUAAUAUAGGAGGAGUUCAGAAGAUGAAGAGCAGUGGGAUAAACCCUGGUGGAUGCAGAAGACUGUUGGAAAUUUCACUGUGGAUUCUACAUGGGAUUUUGCUAGGGAGAAACAUGAAGUUUGCACAAAAUAUAAGUCUAUCUGGAGUGCAAGAAUUCCUUUUAAGAUAUCUUUCUUCAAUUGGAGACUUUGGAAACAAAGACUUCUUAUUGGAGAAGUUCUUGUCAGGAAUAAGAUGAAUGAUGGGACAGUGUGUGGUUGUUGUAAUGAUGGAGUUCAGGAGACUAUUGAACACUUGUUUAUAAGAUGUUCCUUUUCUAAAUCUAUAUGGACUUAUUUUUAGCAGGAACAUCGGGAGUAGAUAUACUAUGUAUAAAUGGUGGAAUGUAGAUGCUUUUGCAAAACUUAAACCAGUAAUGAUGGUAUUUGUAAGAAAGUGUGGAAAAGAAGAAAUGCCUUGAAAUUUGAUGGUUUAAUGUCUUAUCUAAGUAUGAAAGGAGGAAUAACAAAGAAUUUAAUUUUAUUAGCUAAUUAGUUGUAUCUAUUGAUGUAUAAUUUUCCUUAUAAUUGGCCUGAAUUGGUUAGAUAUUUGACAGAAUAUACUCAUAGGAUUAGAUGUAAGGUGGUCUAUUAGAAAUUAUCUAGACAGAAUACAUUCAAAUGCAAUACAGAUGAAGCUUUAAAAUUAAAUUGAGGACCAAUCUCUUUGAAUUUUAUAUUAAAAAAGAUCAAGGCAACCUUGUGUAUGCUAAAGGAAAUGUGGUUGGGAUAUCAAACAAUCUAAUAGCUGAAGCAGUCGCUAUUAAACUAGGGCUGAAUAAUUGUAGGAUCCACAAUCUAUUCCUUUUGAUUCUAGAAACUUAUUCUUUAGCUGCUUUGAAAAUGAUAGAAGGGGCUUGUCAUAUACCUUGGGAGGUCAUAAUGGAGGUCAGAAUGAUACAGGUACUGAAGGAAGGGCUGGAGGUGGCCAUGGUACACAGAAGGCAACAAACCGUCAUAUUUUAUUGUUUCUUUUGUAGGUAUAGAUUCUGUAAGUUAUUAUGAUUUCCAAGAGUUACCUACGGAAGCUAAGACUUUACUAAACAUGGAUAAACGAAAACUCCUAAUCUAAGUAAAAGGAAGAUUCAUAAUGCAAAAUUUCCCCAGAUGGGCUCAACCUGUCAAAUUUAAGUGAUAAAGGUUGCAAGGUCUUUGAAAUAGGUAUGUGCUGCACAAAAGAUGUUUAAUUUUACAAAUAAAGUGCGGCAUUCACCUGCUUCGAAGCUUCGAUUCAAGAACCCUAAGUUGGAGAAGUCUCUGGUGGGGAUGAUUUCAUGAUAUUGGUGAGAGUUGGCCAUGUUCGAGAUGAAAUACACCCCCAACUCAAUCUAUUGCUGGAGUGGUUUCAUGUCGCUGGAGAAUGUUUGUUGGAAUGGGCACGAUGAUGAUGGACGAUGAGGGAUGAUGUUUCUCCGAUAUGCUUUCCUCUUUCCCCCUUUCAUUUUUUUGUCUAUGUUAUCUUGUUUCCUAUUGAAAUCUUUAUAGGUGUUUGAUCGGGUCCUCUUUGGGCCUAGUCCCCUAUAAUGUGAUUCAAUAAACUGGGCUUGCCCAACUUUUAAAUUAAAAAAAAAAGAUAAUGUUCUUUUUGAUUUAAAAAUGGACUAGUCCGUCCCGUUUAGGCUAGGCCAUAGAGACAUUGGAAUUCAAACAGCUAGGUUGGGUUGACCCAUUUUUUUGUGGGACAGAAAACAUUCAACCCAACCCAUUAGUACGUGGAUUGCGGGCUAUGUUGGGUUAGCCCACUUCUUUUAAAAGUCUUUUUUUAAAAAAAUAUAUAAUUUAAAAAAAUUAGAAUAAAUAUCAGCAAGACAAGACAAUAUUACAUGGUGUUACGAUUAUUAUUUGUUAAAAAAUCUACAAUUAAAAUAAUCUUUACAAGGCUUACUAAGUUUGACUUUAAGUAAAAAUAUAACUAGCUAAAUAAAAAUAUUAACCUAAUUAUUUUCGAGUGAUCAAGCAAAGCACAAAAAAUAUGGUAAAUUCAACCAUUAAAAAGUAAAAAUUAACUCUUAAAAAAUAUUCAUGAAGCUUAUGGUGUAUCCAACAUCAACACAUCAUUUUUAUCAAACAUAUAUGUAUCAACUUUUAGCAAGGUUAAUAAAACAUCUUUAUUUUCAUCUACGUUUAUAGUCAACUUCAAUCAGUUAAACUUUAAAAACAAGUAAAUUUAAGAACUACAUGAAUAUUAUUUAUGAAAAACUACACAAAAUACACACAAUUGUGAAACUAUUCAAAACAAAUUAGAUCCAACCCAAACUAUUUACCCUUAAUGAACUCAUGACCCAAGCUAUUUACCUGCCUACCCCACUUUCUCCUUCCUUAUUUCACACAUGAUGCCAACAUCAUUACUAUUGAAUUAAUCAUUUGUUAUACUCCUUUGGUAUAUUGAUCGAUAUCAUAUAUUAUUAACUUAAUCUUCUGUGAUACUCUAUCAGUAUAUUGAUACUCUUUCAAUAUCAUAUAAGGCUGAACUUAAUUCUCUGUAAUACUCCUUCGGCAUAUUGAUACCUAUCAGUAUCAUAUAAGAUUGAGAUAUUUUUUAAAUAAAUAAAUAAGAAAAAAUUAAGAGAAAAUUAUUAAAGUCAUAACCUAAAUUUAGUAAAAAAAUAUAUUCUUUGUGAUACUUCGUCGAUAUAUUGAUACCAUAUUGGUAUCAUAUAGGACUGAGCUUAAUCAUCUAUAAUACUGCAUUAGUAUAUUUCUAGUCUAUCAGUAUCAUAUACGAUUGGACUCUUUUAAAAAAAUAAAUAAGAAAUAAUUAAAUGAAAAUUAUUAAAGUCACAAUCUUAUUUAUUAAGCACGCUAAAUGAAAAAAAUAUAUACAUUUAUAUUUUUAAAUUAAAAUAUUAAAGAAUUGAAUAACAUUAAUGAUACACUAUCAAUAUGUAGGUACACUGUAGUAGUAUCAUAGAUGAUUGAGUAAUCUUAUCGAAGAACUGAAGCAAAUCUCAAUGAAAACAUUGUUAUGUUACUUUUUGAUGCCACCAUAAUAUGUUAUACUUUGAUGGUAUCAAGAAGGAAGAGUAAUCAUUCAAUGAAGAUACUCAGCUACUCUUUGAUACAAUCAAAGUAUGUUCAUCUACUAUACUAUACUGUGAUACAAUCAAAGUAUAUAUAUUUUUUUACGUAAACACUAAAGUAGUGAUUAAAUAUUUAGUGAAUAUGAAAGUGAUGAUAUGGUUAUUGAUGAAAAUGAUGAACAAUCGGCCCAAGGUAACAAAGUCAUAUGUUUUGUCUACUUCACGAUGUAUCAAAUGAUGUUUGUGUACUCACUUCGAACUACCAUAUGUUGUAAUGUCAUAGACAUUACUUAUUAUUUGUUAUAACAAAGAUCAAAUUGACUUGAAAUACAAACGUCAUAUGAUUAGUUUUAAUAAUUUUAAAACUUAUGUGUAUCAAUUAUAUUUUCUAAAAAAAAAGUGAAAUAUGUUCUCUAUAUAUUAUAGUCAAGCAUAUGGUGAAAUUUCACUCAAAUUUUAAUCCAAAUGAUAUUCAAUAAUAUUUGCCAAAUGUAUAUGAAAAUUUUGGGCAAACGCUAGCUUAAUGUUAAAGGAUGAAUUAAUCAUGUUUAAAAAAGCAAAAUAUAUUGGAAUUAUUACUUAACUACACAACUUUACUUUACCUAUUCCUAAUAUUUCCCUACUCUUUUAUUAAAAUUCAAAAAUCGCUUUAAUACACUCAAUGAUACUUAACUUACUUUUUAAGUUGGAAAUCAAAACUUGAACUUCCCAUCCCCAAAAAUUUCGCUCAAAUUUUUUCCCACUAAAAUUUUCGAAUAAAAUUUUAAACUAAAUUUGGAAUUCAAAAAAAUACAAUCCCUAUUUUUCUGCUUUAGAGUUUUUCAAGUAAUUUUUCUUCGUUUUUUUUUUUGUGUGUGUAUGUAAUGUUCUGCAUUUUCUAAAAUAUUUAUAGUUUUCUUCUCAGAAUCAAAAGUUUCAAAGAUUUGAGUUCUAUAUUGUUCCAUGACCCUAACAAGAUCGAAAUAACAAUUCUUAUUCAUCCGAUUUAGAGUUCAGAAUUCGUUUAUCAUCUUCUCCAAUAAGUUUACUUUCCUUUUUUUUUUUUUUUACAUUUCUUGUGUAUCUAAUGUUCUUCCUUUUCUAAAAAAUUUGUUGUUGUUUUUCAGGAGCGAAAGUUUCAAAGAUUUGAGUUCUAAAUCGUUGCAUGACUCUAUAGUCAUGACAAAUUCAAGUUCUAGCAAGAGAUCUUUUUCAAAGAAUAGACAUGCGUCAACUUCGAGAGACCCAAAAAUCCCAAAGAAAAGGGGUAGAAAGGCAGCACCUCCGAUCAUUCGAGCAACACUACCUACGGUAUCAACAUUUGUAUUCCUAUCCGUCCUGAUUUUUGUAUCUUUUUCAGUAGUUGGAUGAUUUCUUUUUUUUUUAAGUAUCGUUUAUUUCAUUGCACUCAUGAAACACAUAAUAUUGUUGAUACUUUUAUGUCUUACACAUUCCUUAAUGUUUCAUAGAUAAAAUUUUAAGUAUCAAUUUAUAAUUUUUUGAUAAUAAAAUUUUAAGUAUCAAUUUAUAAUUUUUUGAUACCUUAUUUUUUUUUUUUGUAUAUUUAUAUAACGGCAAAUGAAAUAUUUAGGUAUUUUUGUAUCUAUUAUUUGUUAGACAAGAACAUUUACGUGUCUAAUCUGUUCUAGUUGGAUGUAUUGUUGAUAUUUAGUAUAAAAUUGCAUGAACAUUAAUGUAUAUAAUAUUAUUAUUUAAGUAUCAUAUUUGUAUGUAGGGACGAUUCUGUGGCGAAAAACAAUGUUGGUCCACAAUACAAUUUUGGUAACUUCGAUCAACAAACGAUUUCACCCAUGCAAAUGGAUUUUGCAUAUGUUGAUGAUGUUGAUGAACCUGUCGUGGAUGUUGGAAAACAAAAGGUAUCUGUUACAAAUGUCCCAAAGGUAUGUAGGUAUCUAAUACUUAAAUUAGUAUCACAUGCAUUAUUAUGUUAUUUAGUCCAUUAAAUAAUUUAACAAUGUACCUUUUUGAUGAUUGAUACUUUAAUAAUGAAUUUGUUGUCGCUAUUUGUGUAUCACUAAUUGCACCUUAUACAUUUUAACUGUAUAUGAUACUUUUAAUCUUGAUUGUUAUUUAUAUUUUAAUUUAUGAAAUAGAUAUUGCUAUACUUAAAUUGCUAUUUUAAGUAUCACUGAUACGGAACACUGUUAUGGAAGUAUCGUAUGGACAAAGUCAAGGCUGGAUAUGUUAGCGAUACUGAAGAUCCUACAAGGUCAAAGAAGUGGCUACACAACACCAGCAGAAGGUGCACUGAUUAAUGUAGAAUAGUUAGGUUUUUAUUGUGUUGAAGUUACGUUAUUAGUAUUUUGUAUUAUCACUUCUCCUUUCAAUACAAUCUUACUAAGUAAUUAUUAAUUUGAAAAAUAUUUUUUGUCAAGAAAUGUAUUUCAAUGUUAAUUUUUGUCUCCAAGUAUAUAAUUUAAUUUAUAGUAACUUGUUAUAAAUUAUUUUUUUAUAAGUAUGAUUUACACGAAAUACUGAUGAUACAAUAUAACAAUUGUACAUAGAAUAUCUGAUAAUAUAUUUUAUACACAUGUUAAACAAACUGAUUAUCAAUUUAAAUAGUAUACAUUAACAUGUGGUACUCUUGAAGUAAAUCACAACGUGUGAUACUAUAUUAUCAUCAAAUACACAAUAUUCAUAAAUUAUGAGGUAUUUAAUACACAUCAUAUUAUCUUCUGUGUAUAUGUGACAAUUGAUACAAAAUAAUUUACUUAAUAUAUUAGUAUCGUUUACCACGUUGAAUUAUAUAAGUUUGAUUAAAAUCAUAAUAACCAACAAAAGUUUGUUGUCAGAUACAUAAUAUAUUUGACUUUUAAUGUAAAUGAGAUUAAAUAACUUAUCAAUAUAGCUUAGUAUAAUUACACGUGAUAUUAAACAAUGAAAUUCGAUAUAUUAAGUAUCAUUCUACAUUUUGAUAAAAAAUUAAAAAAUGUAUCACAUUAUGAUACUUUAUUGUAUACAGUAAUAACAAAUUUAAUCUUUAUCACAAUUUAAAAUUUUAAUUUGCUGAAAUCGUUAGAGGUUUAAGCAGACUGGAUGCUAAAUUUGUUAAACGUUCGCAUAAUUUGUGGAAUUAAUUUAAUGCUUUUUUUUACCAUGUAACUGAUAACAACAAAUAAAAAAUUAAAGUAUCCACCCGCUUUAAUUUAAAUAUCGUUCUGUAAUACUAUAUAUCCAAAAUACUAUAAAAAAGAAAUUUUUGGUAAAGAGUGAAAGAGAAGGGAUAGAAAGUAAUUUAUCGCUUAGACCAUGUGAUUUGUCUAAUUUUUACAAAUAUAUUUUAAUCUUUGAACUCAAUUUUAACUCAUGUUCUCAUAAUUUAUAUUGGAUUAUUUAAGUCACAAAGUUAUCAUCUUUCUAAUUCUAACCCACUCUUAUUACAAGUGGAGUUCAUGUAAAAAAUAAAUAAUAUUUUCUUACCUUUAAGAUAUUGCAAUUCGGAGUUUUUGAAAGAAAAAAAAUUUACUUUUACCUUUAAGAUAUUGCAAUAUGGAGUUUUUGAGAAAAAAAAAUUGCUCCAGGAACUCCAAAUUGUAACAUCUUAAAAGUUAGUAAUUUUAAAAAAAUUCAAGAAGACCACAUCAUAUUAAGUCAAAAAGUUAUCUUCUUUCUAAUUCUAGCCCACCUUUAUUGCGACUUAAAUUACUGGAUAAUUAUAUAAAAUGACAAAUUAAUAAUAUAAAAUAAAUAUAAUAAUUAUUAUUUAAUUUAUUUGUGUUUCAUAGCAAAUUUUUUCAGUCUCUCUCCCUCAUAUUCUAGCUCGCUACUCUCCCUCUCUCGCUCGCUUCCUGUCGCUUGCCUCUCUCGCUUUAUACAAUAAAUAUAAUUGUAUAAAUUGUGUUUUCAAUUAUAUAAAGCGAGAGAAAAUUGUAUAUACAUAUGCAAAUACAUAUAUUUUUAUUCUAUACACUUAAAAUUAUACAAUAAAAGUACUCAUCUGCCCAAGUCUCUUUUGCCUCUCUCUCUCUCUUUUUCGUUUAUACAAAUUCAGAUUAUAUAUAAUUUCUCUUUUUCUCGUUUUAUACAAUUCAAUUCAAUUUUAUAUUUCCUGCUCAAGUCUUUUUGCCUUUCUCUCUUUCUCAUUUUAUACAAAUUCAAAUUGUAUAUAAUUGUCAUAUAUACUUAUAAUUAUACAAUUAGUUUUAUACACUUCGUUUUAUAUAAUUCUCUGUCAAAGUCUCUUUCUCUUUCUCGUUUUAUACAGUUCGCUUUAAUUGUACAUGUAUAGCGAAUUAUACAUAUAUGUUUGCUAUGAAACACAAUUAUACAAACUUUGCUAUAUCAUACGAAUAUAAAUUUUAUAUUUAUUUAUAUAUGAAAGUUACCCUUAAAUUAAAGGUAAGUAAAUUAACUUUUCCCUAAAAACUCCAUUUGCUAUUAAGUUCCUUCCAUCUAAUCACAAUUCUAUAUUGUAUUAAUCUCCACAAUGUUUUUUAAAAGUCCUAUAAAUUGAACUAUUUCUUCUUUCAUUUUCUUACUUCUAAUUACUCAACAAUAUAUUUACUUUUUCUCUAUAAUCUCACUACAUCAGUAGUCUUUUAAUUCCUCUCAAGAUUCAGGCUACCACCAGCAGAGGCCAUCACUAAAUCAUUUUCAAAUUAUGAUGGAUUACUCGUGAAAUAAUUUUUUAAAACAAAUCUAAAUUUUAUCAGUGACAGAAUAGAGAUUCUGUUAAAGUUUGUCACCUAAUUCUCGUUACUAAUUCUAGAUUGUUGCUAUAUAUAUGUUCAUAUAUUUCCAAAAGGUGUAAUUUUUAAUUUUAUUUUUAUUUAUUAACUUUUCUAUGUGAAUGCUAAAUUUACUUUUCUAAAAUAUAUUUAAUUUAAGAUUAAUGGUAGAUUUAUUUCAAAAAAAAAAAUUGUGGGUUGACUUACGGUAUUUUGACUUCAUAUGUUUCAAAAAUGAGUGUCAUGACACUCGUCUUAUUCAGUAGAGACAAGUCAAAUUAAAAUUCAAAUAUAACGAUAAGUUCGAAAUUAAAGCGAGAAUAAAUGUCUAAUGCUAUAAAUUAAUGCAGAAAUUCAUAAUUAACUUAAAUACAACUUCAAAACUUGAUUAUCACGUGUACAUGUCUCUAAUGCAUUACAAUACAUUUGAAAGAAAAACACAAGUUUCAAAAUGACGUUAUUAAAGUAGAACAAAAUCGUAAAUAAGAGUAAGAGGAUCCGCUCAGAUACAAUCAACAAUAUUACAAUCUCCACAGGAAGCCUCGUAUCAUGAAGAUCCGGAAUAGUAGCCUGCAAAAAUUCUCCUAUUGACUAUAACAUUUAAUUUGAAUAAAAUAUUUUCGUUUAUUUUUAUAACAAUAUAAAUGCUUAGAGAUUCAUUACUCGCCUAGAUUUCAUAUUUGAUUGGACUAAGGUCGUACAGAGGCUUUAAAAAAGAGUAAAAUCGUAAUUUAACUUAUUCGGACUCCUAGUUGAGACUUUCUUUGAAUCUUUAUAAAGAGUUAAUGUAUUAUAUUAUUUAAUUGAAUACUCCUAGUUGAGACUUGAGACUUUCUUUGAAUCUUUAUAAAGAGUUCAUGUAUUAAUAUUAUUUAAUUGAAUAAAAUGUUAUUAAUAAUCAGUCCCAUAUAAAUGAAAUAACGAAUAUUUAUGCACAUAUCGAUAUCAUGUUAAGAUUUACAUGUUUAUUUUUUCAUGUUUAAGGUGAUUUUUGGACUCGAAUUUUGCAUCACCGCCUCACCGACCCUUGGGAUUAAAUAAAAUAAAGUAGUCUUAAGGGGGUGCAUUUAUUCUACAUCACAUGACUCCAAAAUACAAAUUAUUUAUAUUUUAUAUUAAUAUUGUCAGUGUUGAUUUUGAAAAGCCAAAUUACAUGAAUUCAACGACUCUACCAAAUAUUAUAAUUGAUUAAGAUUUGGAUGCAUGCACAAAAAGUGUCGUCUUUUACUAGCUAGGGACACUUCAUGUGUUGUAAUGUUUUUGUCUUUUUGACUCUCUUAGUGUGAUAUUUUACUCCUAUACGAUAGAUCUCUUUUAUUAAUUAGGGAAAAAAAUAUUUAAAUUUUAAUUGAAAUUAUUAUAAUAAUAUUAAAUUUUGAAAAGAUUUUUUUAUUAUUAUUUAAUAGUGUAUUUCGAAGACAUAUAUAUAUGUCCAUAUAUAAUAAAAUAAAAUAAAUAUGUGCUUACAUGAGCUAUCAUGAAUAUUGCAUCAUUAUAAAUAGUAAUGUGUCCAUGUGGAUGUAUAUAUACCUUUAAAAUAUACAAUUGAAUAGUGUGAGUGCAGGGAGGGGGGGGGGAGGGAGUAAAAGGUCCUCCACAAAGUUUGGUAUCGUUACAGUAAUUUCGCUCAAAUUUGAAGUAUUUUUCAAAUAUUUUUUUCCUAUUAAUUUAUUAUUUUAUUGUAAAAAAUAAUCUCCGUUUUAAAAGACAAAUUAUGAAUGCACAUGACGUAUUUGAGAUUAUAUAAGAUUAAAAAAUAUUCUAAUAAACUUUUUGUCAAUUUGAGAUUUUUUUUUUUUUUUGUAAAACUCCGUAUCAUGUUAAGACUAAACAAUCAACUUGAGACGGAGGGAUCAUAUAUAAUCGUAAGCUAGACCAAUUCAACAAGCCAAUUGACAUGCUUUGAAAGUGUAGCUUAUUAUAAAUCAUGUACUUUAAAAAGUUGCAAGUAGAAGUCAUUAAAAGCGUUGUUAUAUAUUAUGAGGUGCUAGAAGUGUGAUCUAAUUUGUACCUUUUUUAAAAGCAUGACAUCUAAGACGAAAAAAACACAUGAAAAGCAUAGCCUAAGGCCAAAAUUUACGUUAAUUUAGAUCACAUCCAAGAAAGUAUUGCCUAACAUAAAAAGAAAAUGUAACUUUUUUAUUAAAGGUGUCACACUUUUCAUGAUGGAUAUAAAGGCCUAGAAUGUUGAAUGUUAACCAAGAAGAUGUAUAUUAGCUUGAAGUAUUGUUUACACACUAAUUAGAUCUAUAUAUAGUGAAUAUAGUGAGAUUUUUAUUUAUUUCCUUAAAGAAAUGAUUAAAAAUAACUUAUCUAAAAGUAUCACGUUUUUAUGAAUUUUAAUCUAAACUGUAAUGUAUUUUUUUCUAUAUAAAUAUCAUCAAACACCUAAUAAUUCAGACAUAUAUAUAUAUACAUAUAUUUUCUUCCUUUUUUGGACUUGUCAACUUUUCUAGUAUAGAGAUAUAGUUCAAUUAUAGAUCAAAGAUAAUGUUUAUAUAUAUUUUAUUGUUUAUAUAAGUGAAUGUCAACUCUUUUCUCUCUCUAGCUAUAAUAAUAACUAAGUUAUCUGCAUUUUAUAAUAUUAUUAGUCUACAUGAUGAUGCUUAACACAACUUUCCCUUACCUCAACAUGUCAUACAAUUCUCCUAAAUUCAACUUUAUUUUGAAUUUUAUAAUAAUGAUUUUAAAUAAUAUAUAAUAACUAAAAUUUAUAUAUAAUAUUUUUUAAUAUAUCUUAAUAAUUUUUUUAUUAAUAUACCCAUAAAAUCUAUUAAGUUCAUUCGAAUUUAUAAGCAGACUACUAACUCCGCACCUGAGGUCACACAUACAUAUAACAACUAAAAUCAAGUCUCUUGCAUAUCCUCAACAAACUUAACCUCUCAAAAUCCCUUCUUCUCUCUAUCUUCUUAGCUAAAAAAAAUGUCGGAGACGACUCGAUCUCCGAUGCCGUUAUCGGAGACGAGGUCUCCGAUGCCGCUGUUAUUCCGACGACAUUCGAGUGGCGAAAUCAGAAAUUUAGCUUCACUUUCAAGUAGCUUAUUGCCAGCUUUUGGAACAGUGAUGGGUGAAAGCUCAGUUAGGCUUAAGAGAUUUCUUAUUGCUCCGUAUGAUCGUAGAUACAGGUAAAUAAUUUACUUCCUUCCUAUCGAAAUUAUUUAUCGAUCAGCUAAUACUUAUUAUCUUCGAAAUAUUUUUAAUCAACGGAAAAUUUGAAUCAAGAAGAAAAAUUUCAGUAUAUUUAUUUUAUUUUUUAUCUUUUUAUUUUUCGAUAUAAAAUUUAAGAAAAAUAAAGAAAUUUUUUGACUUUUAUGAACUUAAACUAAAUAAUAUUAAAAAAGUAUUUGAAUCUGAUGGUCAGUGAUUUGUUUUCUUUAUAUGAUAUUGGGUGUAAAUGAUUACUAGAUAUAAAGAAUAAUAUUAUUUUUUUAAACCGAUUGAAAGUAUAAGUAACUUUAAUAAAUUAAAAUGGAGAGAUUUUGAUAUCUUAAUUUUACGUGAAGUUGUAUUUGAUUGAGCAUAAUAUUUAAGAAAAUAAUAUUUUUAUAAAAUAAUUUAAAAUAAGCUUGAGAAAUUUCUAUAGCAAUAAAUCAUUUUAUUAAAAAUGAAAUAUAAAAUUUAAAGUCGAUCGAUUUAAUAACCAAGUGUCAUUUUUUUGCCAAUUAACUUAAAAUAAAAAAUCGUCAAAUAAAUCGAAACAGAGGACUAUUCAUAUAUGCAGAUUUCUUUGCAAGUAUGAACAUCGUAUCAUCAUAGCAAGUUUUAAAAAGAGGAAAAUUAUACUUGUAAAUAGAGUGAAAAAUAAGAUUUAUAUUAUAAAUUCAAAUCACAAAGUGUGAUACUUUCUAAUUUGUUGUUUAGCUAAGAAAUUAUGUAAGAUGAUAAUUUUUUAAUUUCCAAUGACACAUGACACCAUUGACUUUUACGAGUGGUAGUUAGAAGUUAAAACUAAUCUACUGAAUACAAAUUUAUUUAUUUAAAACUUAAUCGACAUAAAAUGAAAAUUUAACCCAGUCUCGUUAAAUAUUGAAUAUCGAAUGAAAUGAAGUGUUAUUACUACUUUCUUUAUCUAGAAUUGUUUGUCAUGUUGCAUUUAUCUAAAGUUAAUUUAACUAAUUUUCAAAGAUAAAUUAAAUCACAUUAAUUUGAUAUUUUAAACAAAAAAAUUAGAUAUUCUAAAACUAUAUAAAAAGUACUAUAAAUUAUAAUUUUUGUAUAUUAAUAUGAUAAAAAAAAUAUAUCUUAAAAUAUUAAUCAAAAUUUUUAUAGUUUAACUCUAAAAAUAAAAAUCAUGAUAAAUAAUACCGGACGGAGGAAGAAUUUGUAACAUGAUUACCCUAAAUUUAAGGGACUUCAAUGAAGCUUAAUAGUGAGUAGAGCUUUGACUUUAUGUUGAUUAUAAAAACCAUGUUCAAUGGAUCUCAUGGAGUCUUUUGACAAUAUUGAUUCAAGGGACAAAACUUACUUCUUAUUGACGUUUAUAUUUUUGGAACUUGAGAGAUCACAAUUAUUCUAAUCUAUUUUUUUUCUAUUUGUGCAUCUAAUUAUUUUUUUUAGGACGACACCAUAUAAAUAUAUAUAUUUUUUUAGCUUGGUUCGUGUAAACUCAAUAUUUAUGACUUAACCUAGCAUUGUUAUUCUUCUUUUUAUGUCUAAAAUAAAAUCGUAAAAAUAAUUCAUCAUUAAAAAUUAAUUUGCUUUCGCUCGACUCACUCCCACUUGUUUUCUUUCUACUAUAGUGAAAGAUUCUUUUUUUGGUAGGAAAAAAAGGUCUUUUACUUUCCCAAAGCAGAAUUAAUUCUUAACAUUACAAUUUUUUGUAAUUAUUAGUACAAUUUUUAUCUUUAUUGAAUUCUCGUCAUUAAAUAUCCAUAUUCAUUUUUCCACUAACGUACGCAGGCAGCUCUUACUUUUCCGUUCACCACGAUGAUGAAUCAAAAUAAAACUAAAAUUAUUACAUCAAAAAUAGCUUUAGUGGCGCUAAAUAUGUAUUUUAGUAACAAUUAAUACUUUUUGUAUAUGUUUCUAAAGACGUUAGCGACAUUAGAUCUAACGACACUUAACUAAUGUCGUUAAAGAUACUAUCACUCUUUAUUAUUAUGUCAAUAAAUUAUCGCUAAAAAUUAUUUUUAUUAUAAUAAAUUAACCGUGGGUAAAUGAAAUGACAGAAGAAAAUAUAAACUUUUGAAAAAUAUUUUUUCUAGAAAAAUAAUUUUUUAAUAAAUAAAUAACUUCCUCAUAAUCGUUUCACAUUGAUUAUCUUCUCCCACCCGCAUAGCCCUAUCCUCAUUACCCAAACUUCACCUCCCAUAUUAUUUGCAUAUAUUAAACACAUAUAUGUUUUAUUUUUCACGAAAAGAAGUAAGUUCACAUGAAUUAAAACAGACGAAGUCAUUCUAUUAUAACAAAAAAUAUUAUUCUUAUUUUUUUGAACCUUUGGCAAAUGUAGAUUGUGGCAAGCAUUUCUUGUUGUACUAGUGGUGUACUCAGCAUGGUCAUCUCCCUUUGAGUUAGCAUUCAGCAAGGCAUCUACUGGAGCACUCUUGCCUGUUGAUUUAGUGGUUGAUGCCUUCUUUGCUAUUGACAUUAUACUCACUUUCUUUGUUGCAUACUUGGACAAAUCUACUUACUUACUUGUUGAAGAACACAAGAAAAUUGCUUUAAGGUACGUCACAUCUUUCUAUAACAGUCAAUUUAAAAAUAAUGCUUCAUUAUAACGAUCAAAUUUUCUUCAAAACGUAUGUUCAUGUUAUGUUCCAAUUUUAGUAUGUUGUAGUUUGUCUUCACACAAAUUUUAAGAAAGUACCAGUUUUGAAAUUUGUGGUCUGAAACAAAUGAUAGAUAUGUGUCGAUUUUCUUGGGAUUGACUAAUUAAAAGAAAAAUGAAUUAUAUAAAUUGAGAAAGGAGAAUUAUAUAUUUCAUAUAAUAGUAUUCGCGUUAAUAACUAAAAGUUAUCGAGACAAAUGUUAUUAUUAUUGAAAUGUUUGACGGUAUACGUACCCCUAUUGAUACUAAGAAUUGUAUAUUUCAUGUAACUAAUACUUAUUAAACUUGUUUAAUAUUUUUUUAGUACUUUUAAAUAAUUACCAUUUUCAUUAUAACUUGUUCAUUUGCAACAUUUGUUUUACGUGAUAUCAUUAUUAUUUUUUUGUUGGAUAUUUUAGUGUCGUUAAUUAUAUCAUAUUUUAUAUUAUUUUCUUAAGAUACACCUUAUAUAGUUGUAUUUUGAUAAAUUUAAAGAAAUAUUUGAAGUACAAAUAACUGAUAUGUUUGUAUGAAUACUUUAUCGUAAAAGAACUCGAAAAAUCCAAAAAAUUCAAAUUUUAUUGGUUUGAUUUGGUUUAUACAUUUAAAAAUUGACACAAAUAAUUUGAUUUGAUAUUUGAAAAAUCCGAACUAACCCGGUCACGUGCACAGUACACCACUACUUUUUGCCAAUAUGGAGAAUACAAUUAAUUUCAUUAUUUUUCUUUUGUUUGUAAAGGUAUGUCACACAUCUAUGGUUUCCAAUGGAUGUAGCUUCAACUCUACCAUUUCAAGCCAUAUACAGAGUUGUCACUGGCAAAACUAGUAGAGGACAAGUAUUUGGCUUCCUUAACUUGUUAAGAUUAUGGCGACUCCGCCGUGUUAGUAAAUUCUUCUCGAGGUAUAUUUCUUUUAUUUAUGUGACACAAUUUAAAUUGAUAAAUUCGGUUAUGAAAUUUUUAUUUUUAUUAAAAUAAGUUUCACGUGACACAAUUUGAUGACUAACUUCUGAUUUUACUUAUAAAUAGUUGAAAAACAAGUUAUUGACUUUUAUCGAAUGAGUUGAAAAUACUUAUAAAUCAGUUUGACCAACUUAAUUAAUAACGCGCAAGCAAGCAAACACCAAUCAACUAAUUUUUCUUCCCUUGCGUUUUAGGUUGGAGAAGGAUACUAGAUUCAGCUACUUUUGGACGAGAUAUUUUAAACUUAUUUGUGUAAGUACUCAUAAUCUUAGCUAUAUAUCACAUUAAUUAUUAUUUUUUCUAGAUCAUAAAUAUAUACUUUUUCAGCCUCAGUUAAUGUGAGAUAUAAAUUUUAGAUUUACCCUUAAAAAAAAAUAUGAUUAAAAAAUAAGUAAUUUAAUUUAAAUUUUGUUUAGACGAUGAACUUUUUUUUACAAAAAAUCUUCUUUCUUAAAUUUUGUCAAAUAAUGUCACACAAAUUCAUGAGAUGAAGGGAGUAAUGGAGUUUAAAUAUUCUCUCAAUUUUAAUUUAAAUAUCUUACUGUCUAUAUUUAAACGAAGAAUAUUUCUUUUUAUUUUUUUAUUUUGUGUAAUCUGAACAUAUUAAGAUUCAAGAUUACAAGUUUUUUUAAAAAAAAACUUUGAUACAUUACAUAUAUCUAUAGUUUAAUUAAGACUACACAAUUUGAAAUAUCUUCAUUAUUUUCCUUAAUUUUGUGUCUUAUCAAACUAAAACACACUUGAAUUGAAACAAAAAAGUAUAUAUAUAUAUAUAUAUAUAUAUAUAUAUAUAUAUAUAUAUAUAUAUAUAUAUAUAUAUAUAUAUAUAUAUAUAUAUAUAUAUAUAUAUAUAUAUAAAGAAGCAUAUAUAUAUAUAGGGGAACUUUCACAUAUAACCACUCAAAACAAACUGACUUUUCUCUAUAGUUAUAGUUUAAUAAUAACAAUUCGAAGCUAUAUGUUAUAGGGAGGAGAGAAACGAGCGAAAUUGGGAGAGAGAGGCGAGAGGCGAGAGAGAGGGCAAAAAGUGAGAGAGAGAUGAAUUAUAUAUGUAUAUCAGUUAAAUAAUUGUAUAUUAUACAUAAGCAUUUGUAUAUAUGACAAGCGAGAUUAGGAGAGACAGGAGAGAGGCGAGCAAGAAUGGGAGAGGACAGAUAGUGGAAGAGAAGUGAAUUGUAUAUAUAUAUCGAUUAGAUAAUUGUAUAUUAUAUAUAUAUGUAUUUGUAUAUUCUGACGAAUUAUACAUAUACAAAUGUGGCUAAUUAUACAAACUCGAAAUCAGCCCACGUAAUUAAUGCAUAAUGUUAGUCGUGAGUAGUAAUUAUAGAAAACUAUAGCCAUGAUUAGUACUUAAGUAGUAUAAGUAUGUUUAACCGCAUAAUUUUCCCUAUAUAAUAUAGACAUUGAUCGAUAUUCAUAUACAAUCAAACAUUGGACAUAAUUGUUAUAACAAAAUAUUAUUAGAAAAUAUUAUUAUAGAGAAGUCUGACUGUACGAGUGUGUUAUUGUACGAAAAGGUGACACUAUUUGCAGUGCAUUCAGCUGGUUGUUUCUAUUACUGGUUGGCAACACGUUAUCAUAAUUCAGAAUCAACAUGGAUGGGAGCAAAUAUACCUGAUUUCAAAUCAAGAAGUAUAUGGCUAGGAUAUACUUAUUCAAUGUAUUGGUCUAUUGUUACACUUUCAACUGUUGGCUAUGGUGAUCUUCAUGCUGUGAAUAUUGAAGAAAAGAUUUUCACCAUUUUUUACAUGCUUUUCAACAUUGGCCUUACUGCAUACUUGAUUGGCAACAUGACUAACCUUAUUGUCCAUACCGCUGUCCGAACCUUCGUCAUGGUACGUAUUAUUUCAUCUAUCUUAAUUUAUGUGAUAUUAUUUUCUUUUUUAAUCGGUUUCAAAAAGAAUUGAGAAUCCUCAUCACAUAAGCAUUCUCAAUAAAGAAAGCUCGGAUUACUGAUUUAAUCCUCGAAUUUAAAGAACCAACCUGAUCAGACUGACCUAGUGGAUAAAUAAAAAAUACAGAAAUGAAAACAAUAAUUGAACUAGAGAAUGUGAUUGCAUUAUAAAGUCUCAAUUGAACAGAUCAAGUAAGCUCGAGUUGUCAUAACAUGCAACCUUACAGGCCAAAAGUUUUAUAAGAGCAACAAAAGUCUGCACGCCGUUCAAUUCAGUGGCUGAUUCAGGAUUUUCAUUAAUGAAGUUCGGAAAAAAAAGAGUAGUGCCUAAGAUUUGAUCUUGGAAUCUCAAGCACUAAGCCACACAACAACAAAAACAACUUUUAGUGACAUUAAAUAUUGAUAUUAAUAAAGAGUGUUAACCUCUUUACCGGCAUUGGUUAAGUGUCAUUAGAACUAAUAUCACUAAAGGCUUUAGGAACAUAUACAAAGAGUGACAAUUGCCGCUAAAAAUACAUAUUUAACAGCAAUUAAGAAUUUAAUGCCGCUAAUGGUCAUUUUUGUUAUUGUGUCAGCCUCUAAUCUUACAUUCAGGAGGUUCAAAAUUAAUAUAUAGACAUAAAAAAUUCUUAAAAAUACCUUAAAUAUACAACAUAAUUUUUUAAUGAACCCCCUCGGCAAUCUCUAAGUCCACCCCCGGUCCAAUUGGCACCAACAAGUAAAAUUAUAUUCUUAUGCUUCAUGAGUAUACUACCCCAUAGUAACAACAACAAAUAUGUGAAACUAUUAGCAGGAUGAUUAGAAACGAUCGAGAAUGACAUAUUUCUAUAUUUAUUAAAUGUGCAUGUAGAGGGAUGCUAUCAAUGAGAUUUUGAGGUAUGCAAAAAAAAAUAGACUUCCAGAAGGGCUAAGAGAACAAAUGUUGGCACAUUUAACACUGAAAUUCAAGACAGCAGAACUACAACAAGAACAAGUUUUAGAAGACUUGCCAAAGGCUAUUAGAUCUAGCAUUCUACAACAACUCUUUCGUACCACUCUACAAAAUUCCCAUCUAUUCAAAGGAGUCUCCGACGACUUUAUCGUCCAAUUGGUAAUUUCUUUCUCAAUUUAUGUGACGAUAUUUGAUUGGAUGACACAAAAUAUAAGGGAUAAGCUAGAAGUAUCUCCUUAGACUAUGAUCCAAAUUGCAGAGACACAUCCGACCUAAACUAAGGUCUUAUUAUCUCCUGAACUCAUUUUCUUUUUAAUUUUGUACACUAUUUUUGCUUACGUGACAUCCAAACAUCUCCACGUGCAUCAACUCCGUGGGGAGUCAUGGAAUGUGCCACAUAAGCCAAAAGGUGUACAAUAUUAUAUAUAAAAUAAGUUCAGGGAUAAUAAGACCUUAAUUUAAUUAAAAUGUCUUUGAAAUUUCAAUCAUAAUCUAGGAGUACUUGUGUCUUCUCCAAAAAUAUAGUAUUUUCUUCUUCUUAUUUUUUUUAUAAUGUAGGUAUCAGAAAUAAAAGCAGAAUAUUUUCCACCAAAAGUGGAUAUUGUCAUACAAAAUGAGAUACCAACAGAUUUCUACAUUAUUGUAUCUGGGGCUGUGGUACGUUACAUUCAUUCCAGCAGUCAAGUUUUAAUUAAUUCUAACUCUUUAAAAAUGUCAUCGUGUGUGUCGAAUCCUUCAAAAAUAGUGGAUUUGUGAAGGAUUUGACACUAAUACGAUAACAUUUUAGAUAGUUUGAACAAAUAUAUUUUCUAACUUACUAAAUAGUUAAUUGACCAAUGCAGGAUGUUGUAACAUACAAGAACGGAAUGGAACAAGUAUGUACCUAUAUCUCUUUCUCUUCGACUUAACUCAAUAACUUUAAUUUGAAUUUUGUGUUUGUGUUAAUUCGUCACUUUUCUUAAAUAUCAAUGUUAAAAAUAAUAAUAAGGUGAAACAUUCUUGAUUGAUUGAGAUAAAACGAUUUUCUCGGUAUAGCUUCACUCCGUCAAAUCUGUACGAAUAGUGAAGAAGUUUAGAUUUAGUUGGUUGUAAAAAAAUUCAUUAAAAUAAGCAUAGAAAUUCAAUUCAAAUUCCUAAAACUAGCAUUGUUGGUUGUAUUCUCUAAUCGCGAACACAUAAACUUCAAAUCCUGACUUCACAUCCAGUGGCGGAGUCAGAAAUUUCACAGUAUUAUUUUAACAGAUAGGAUUCAAUUGAACCCCUUUUCUCUGCCUAGCACGAACAUAUCAAAAUAAACCUCUUAGACUAUUCACAUAUAAUUAAUUGAUUAUAUAUGUUUAAUAAAAAAAAAUUUCUACAACUUUUUUGUUUGACAGUUUUUAUCCAAGUUGGGAUCUCAACAAAUGUUUGGAGAAAUAGGUGUAAUAUUCAAUAUCCCUCAACCUUUCACAGUGAGAACUAAAAGGCUUUCUCAAGUUGUUCGUAUUAGUCAUCAUCAUUUCAAGCAAUUGGUACAACCCCUUCAUGAAGAUGGAAAAAUAAUUCACACUAAUUUUAUUCAGGUGCAUUAUACAUUAAUUUUCUCCCGUAAUAGUUAUUAUCUUAGAAAGUCGAUUUCUUUGAUGAAGAAAAUUAGAAUCAAUGAGAAAAAUGACUUUCUGAGAUAAUAACUGGUAGUUACGUGUCGCAUUUGUUACUUGUUGAUGUUAAUUUUUGGUGUUAUAUAUCAGCAUUUGAAGGGAUUGAAAAAUGAGGAGCUAGCUGAGAUGCCGCUAAUAUCAGAAUUUCUUGAUGAUUUAAUUAGUGAGGUAAUUUACUUUUUGUGGUAAACUAUAUAUGAAAUCAAUUACACAGAAUAUAAACUUAAUUUCAUACAGUAAUUAAUUUGAGGAUGUGUUGUUAUGUUAGUGAGAAAUGUUAGGCUAAAUACGUCUGACGAUCUUUUAAAUUUGUCAAUAAAUUUCAUGUUGACACUCAAUUUAUGACAUGUUUUUAUUAAACUCGUGUCAGUUUCUUUAAUUUGAUUAAUUAUACAAGUAAAUAUCAAUUGGAACAAGUAUAAUGAUAUACGAUUUGUUGAGGCUAAUGUAUUUAUAUAAUUAAAUGAAUUGAUAUAUUUGAGUGUUUAAUGUAUCUGUAUAAUGGACGCUUGAAUACACACGGUAUAAUCUUUUUCAAAAUAUAGUCAGAAUUGUCUAAUUGAAACACUUUUAAGUAUAUAUAUCUUAAUGAAAUUUAAUGACAAAUUUAAGAGACGUAGACUAUCAAUAUAUUCAGCCAAAAUGUUACUAUGAUUUUGUUCUUUUAUAACAUAGUUAAUAUAUGCAAAACAAACUAAGUUUAUAACUGCAAUCAAAUGGAGAUGCAAAGACCAAAUUUUUUGAAUAACUCUUUUAUGUUUGUUUCGUUUUCUUGCAGGAAGCCUCGAUGAAUGAGGCCGGAGCUCAAGACCAACAAGAAAACGGUAACCUGUCUUAUUUUCAAGAUUACAAACCUCACAUUUAAUAAGGCAUAAAUAUUAUGUGUUUACUUCUUCAUAUUAUAAUCCCUCAUUUCGUAUGCAGAGUUAUCGGCAACUACUUCUUCGUUAUCAAAAACACCUUCUACUAGAGUGAUAAUUCACGGAUAUCACCCGGAUCAUAAGCCAAAAUCAGGAGGAAAACUUAUACAUCUACCUGAUUCAAUUGAAAAUCUUCAUAGUAUUGCAGGUGAUCAUUAGUACAUUCAAUUUGAAAUAUAACAUCUUGUAGCAGGGGUGUCAAAUCGGCUGGUUGGGUUGAAAUUGAAAAUAUCAUAAUGCGUUGAAUAGAAAUCGGGUUAGGUCUUGACCCGUCCAAGUUUACUUUGGGUUCAAAUGGGCUAAAAAACGGGUUGGGUCUUGAUCCGCCCAAUUCGGCCUGAUUAAUCUCAAUAAUAUAACAUAUUGAUAAUUAACUUUAAUAAUCAAAAAAAUAACAAACUGAUAGAUAAAUCCUAAAAGAUGUUUAAUAGAUAAUAAUUCAUACCUUCAAUAUAGUAACAUAACUUAAUAAAAAAAAUUAAAACGGGCUGAAUGGAUUGAGAUUGGACCCAAUUCAAAUUAUAUUGAACUCAACCCUUAAAAUUCUGGGCAAGUUGGGCGGGUUACAUAUGUUUUGGUUCAUUUUUAACACUCCUAUCUUGUAGCAUUUCAACAAUUUCAUUCCCAUUGAUCCGAUCAAAAUCCGUUGUUAAUCCUAUAUUUGGUGUGGAUGCAGAAAGUAAGUUUGGGAGAAGAGGAAGUACGAUUCUCAUGGCGGAUGGUUCUCAAGUAGAGGAUUUGGCUGCUCUGAGAGAGGAUGAUCACUUGUAUAUUUUUUGAGGAAAAAAAAACAAAUGUACUGAAAAUAUUUUGUGUGUUGAUAUACUCAUAUUGAAUCUGACAGUAAAUAUAUGGUAAUGAGAUUGAAUAUAUAUAAUAGAAUAAAUAAGAGUUCGGAGCUUAAAAGGUAUAAAAUAUUAAUAAAAAUUUUAAAAUGGUUUAUUAAAUUUUGUAUUAAUCAAAAUGACAAAAUCACUGAAAAACAGCGAUUUUCUCUACCGAAAAAAGCAAAAUCGCUACUACUGCAGCGAUUUUGCAAAAUGUGAUUUUUUUUAAAAAAAAAAAAUCAAAUCGCUACCUAGGGAGCGAUUUACAAUUUUUUUUUCAUUUUUUUAAAAAAAUUAAGAAAAUGAAAAUCGCUGCCUAGGCAGAGAUUUUCUUUAAAAAAAAAAAAUUUAAAAAUGAAAACCGCUGGCUAGGUAGCGAUUUGAAUUUUUUUUUUAAAAAAAAAAUUACAUUUUGCAAAAUCGCUGCAGUAGCAGCGAUUUUGCUUUAUUUGGUGGAGGAAAUCGUUGUUGUUAUAGCGAUUUCACCGUUUUGAUUAAUAUAAAAUUUUAUAUAUCAUUUUAAAUUUUUUGUUAAUAUUUUAUAUCUUUUAGACUCUGAACUUACGUAAAUAACUCAUUGUAAAUGAUAUGUUAAGGGGAUGGCAAACAAUGUUUUUCGUGUAAGGAUGGUGUUAAAACUUAUAAUGAUGCAGUGGAUUUCAAUAACGAAUGGACUUUAAUUUGAUAUCACAUUAAAAAAUAUGGUGGUUUUAAAGAACUGACAACAAUAAAAUGUUUUUAAUAAAAUAAAUGUGAGUUUAAAGUAUCAUGAUGGUUCUUCGAAGACAGAUCAAAGUAUUUUUUCAUUUAAUUUAUUUAUCUGAUUUUAAUUUAAUACGAAAUUUAAGAAAAUAAAAAAAAAUUUAAAUUUUAUAAUCUUAAAUUAAAGAUAUAUAGAAUGUAUUAUAAUGUUAUUUAAUCUUAAACAUGUUAUGUUGAAACUAAAAAAUAAAAGAAUAACUAUUUAAUCGAACUAAAAUAAUCAAAUUGAAACGGAAGAGUAAAUAAUAACAACAUGAAUUCAAUUAUGAACAUCGUAUGAAGCAACACAAAUAAUCAAGAAUUGAAUAAUUGCCGAUUAUUCAAUUUCUUUUUAAAUUAGCAUUUGAUUUCAUACAUAGCAAAAUUAAGACAACAUAAAUAUUACUACAUAAUCGGUUGAAACUUGAAGUAGAUGAUCUUGUAACAAUUUAGGACCAUAGAGUUUAUAUUUUAUAUACUAUCGAUACAAAUAACUUAUACUAAUAUAAUUUAUAUAACUUAAACUCGAAAUAUUAUUAUUUAGCAGCACGGAAAUGGAACGCAGUAGCAAUUUUUUGUUGGAAGGCAAACUGGAAAUCCACUAUUAAAAAACGUACACAACCCUUUGCAAUCAACAUUAUAAUUGCAUUCGUAUUGCUUUGCGCCUGUAUCCGAGUGUGCUAAAACUUUCAUAAAUUUAGUACCUGCAAAAUAUUAUAAAUCACAAUAAUUAAUAAUAUAAUUUAAAAUAUUUAAAAGACAUGAAAAUUCACACCAAAUAAAAAACUCAUUUAACUUUCAAAAUAUUAAAAAUGUAAUAUAAAUUGAAAAGUGAGAGAUGAGGGUGGGUGGGUGGCACCAAGGGGGGCGGGGGGGCGACUAAAAAUAUUAAGACCUAAAAUUUCACAUACGUUACAUUACAAAAUUCUCAAAAAAAUAAUAAUCAAGUUUUGCAAGAUUUUGUGUGUAUUUAAAAGGGGAUUCAAAUUUUAGUUACAAAUUUAUGUUAUUUCAAUAGUUUUUGUUAAUACCUGUUAUAUGUAUUGAAAAAUUCCCUAAAAAUAUUCAUAAACAUUCGAUUGUUAAUUCAAUGAUAUUAUAAGUUAAUUUGAAAUUACUUGUAAAAGAUUAUGAACUUAAAAUCUUGAAUUCGUUUUUGUGAACGUGUGUGAGAGAGAGGAGGCAUACUUGUAGUGAAAAUAAGAAGAAGAGUGACCACCAAAGCCAACUUUGAAUAACAAAAAAUCAUGUCUUAAGCUUUGAAUUUGCAAGAGGCAAUGCUAUUUAUCUAGUUUGUGUUGAAAGAUAGACCUUCAACAAGCAAUAUAUAUACCCCAACCCCCAACCACCACCACCACUAUAUAUAUUCAAUUAGUAUCAGAUGAAUAAAAUUUAAUUCAUAGUCAUAUAUAGAAAAAAAUGAAUUUUUGUUGUAACAAGUGACAAAUGUAACAAUUAAUAUCUUAUUCAGAAAUUCAUUUAAUUCUUAUGGGUGGAAAUUAGAAAAUUCUUUAAGUGCUUCUCCUUUUAUGGCCUUUGAUGACUGAACACUCUAAAAAACAUUAUUAAUUACUUUCUCCGUUUAAAAAAAAUGUCUAUAUUUUUUUAGUCCGUUGCUAAAAGAAUGAUCCCUUUCUCUUUUUUGGCAACACUUUAACUUUGACUUUCUGUUUGACAUGUUUAAAAUCACAAUAUUAAAGAAUAUUUUAAUGCAUUUGGCAUAAUUUUAAUUUAGAACCAUAAGAUUAAAAAGUUUUCUUUCUUUUCUGUUCCCAGUCAAACUACGUCAUCCUUUUUAAAACGAAUGAAGUAUCUUUUAUUGAAAGAAUUCAUUUUAUUAAUGAUACUUUGAAAACUUUGGAUUUGAUUAUUGUUAUUUUAUAUAAUUAUUUAAUAUUAAAAUCAUAUGAAAGAAAAUAUUAAAACACUUGAUUUGUUAAAACGGACGAGUGAAAAAGGGGGAAAUUUUUUAAUGGAAGUGAAUGAAAUGAAGAAGUUAGUAAAUUCUAUUACUCCAAUGUAAAUGCAUUUAAUUUGAUUGAUUAAUCCAACCAAAUGUAUAGUUGUGCAGUUACGACUUAGGGGUGGGCAUUCGGUUUUUCGGUUCGGUUCGAGUUUUUUUUCGGUUUUUUCGGUUUUCGGUUUUUAUAAAUUGCGUACCGAAUACCGAACCGAAAUAUUUCGGUUCGGUUCGGUUUUUGUUAAUUCUGUUCAGUUUUUAUUAAUUCAGUUCAAUUUUUUAAUUCGAUUUUUUAAUGGGCCUGUUUAGUGGGCUUUUUGAAAUUUUAAAGUUUACAAUUUUUUGUUUCAUUUUUCAACUUAAUGGGCUAAAAAGUAAAAAUAUACAAUAAAUCAAAGAAGUGCAUUACUAAUUUACUACCAAAUUUCAAUAUAUCAAUUAUCAAUGAUUCAAAUCUUCAAUAUGUCAUUAGGCUUUAACACCGCAAAUUUUAAAUUCACAAUAUCACUAAAACACACAAUUUGAAAUUCACAAUGACACUAAAACAAAAGUUGCAUUGUAGAUUUGUAGUUAAUGUCUUCACAAAUACAACAUAAUAACAAUCUAACAAGUAACAAUAAAGUCUUUCAUGAACUCAUAAUAAACAAUAAUAAGCAACAAACAAUGUAUUUUGAACUUCUUGUCUUCUUCCAUGAGAUUACUUUCAACAAUAACAAACAACAAUAAUGAGUUUCUUGACUUUCUUCCAUGAGAUCGCUUUCAACUUUCAAGUGUCACGUGCCAACAAAAUUAUUUCUUCAUUGUCUUGACCCUUGGACCUUUUAAGAUAAAAUCAAAUAUUAGAAACUUAGAAUACUACUUAAGAUUAAAAAAUGAUAUGAUUAAAUAAAUGAUGUAUUAAACUCACCGCUUGCAAGUCAAUCAUAGAUCAACAAUGGAAGAGCUUCUUCCACUAUUUGCCAUCUCUAUAAUUAAUAAAAGGAAACAUGUCAUACAAGAUACAACACAAUAAGUAUUUUAUUUUUUUCAUAAAUAAAUAAAAAAUAAAAAGUCUUACCAAGUUCAAUUUUUUCAAGAAACUCCAAACUUUCUUCAACAAAAAUAGGCUUGGUUUCUUGUCUAAGCCAAUCUUGGACACAAAUAAGACAUUGCACACAUUUGGGAGUCAAUGAACUUCUAAAGGGAUCUAGAAUUCGACCACCGGUGCUAAAUGCACAUUCCGAUGCCACACUCGACAUAGGAAUAGCCAAUACAUCUCGAGCCAACUGUGAAAGUACUGGAAAUCUAGGAGAAUUAACUUUCCACCAACUCAAAAUAUCAAAAUCUUCAGAUUCUGGUUCUUGGUCUUCAAGAAGAUAUUUAUCCAACUCAGAUUUAACACCUACACUUCCGGAAUCAUUCUUUUGUUUCUUCAUGUGCAACUUAGUUCUCAAAGAAUUUUUGGACAUAUUUUGAGAAAUGCCACUACCAGAAGAAUCAGAUGAGUCAGAUGAAGAUGGUUGACUUUUGGAACCUUUUCCAUACUUACUUACAUAUAUCGUAAACAAAUCCCUCAAGUAAGCCUCUACUUUCGUAUUCACUACAUUUCCCGUUUCUUCCCCAAGUAAUUCUUCAAGAGCAAAACUAACAUAGACAAAUUUAUUGCGAGGAUCCAAAACAGAAGCAAUAAAAAUCAUUUUGUUCAUUUUUUCAGGAGUCCCCCAAUAUUUCUUGAAUUUUUCUUUCAUUCCCGAAGCCAUUUUACUCAAAUCAAGGUCAUCACUUGCAACACAUAAUUUCAAAUAAGCAUCAAGUUCACAUAUAUCUUCAAAAUGAACAUUACAAGUACCAUACCGUGAACCUGAAACUUUCAAAGUGAGUUCAUAAAAUUUUUCAAGAAACUUUGUGACAUUCCUCACAUUAGCCCAAUCUUCAUAUUGAAUUGACCCUGCGAUACUUCCAUCUUCACAAACAUCAGUAGCAAGAAAAGAAUUAAAAUUACCAUCAUAAAGAUCAAACCUCUCAAAAGCCUUCUCAAACUUUUCUGCUGUGUCUAACAUCAAAUAGGUGGAGUUCCACCUAGUAGGCACAUCUAAAGACAACAUCUUAUCACAUUCUAUCUUUUGCAUUCAACACAUUUCAAGAAAUUUCUUGCCCUUGAAGAAGAUGAUCUAACAUAUUUCACCAUUUGUCUCACCUUUUUGAUAGAAGGACCAAUUUCUUUCAAACCAUCUUGCACAAUUAGAUUAAGUAUGUGAGCCAUACAUCUCACAUGGAGAUGCUUACCUUCCAUCAAAUUAGUUCCCCACAUAUCUAACUUUUUGGACAACUCUAGAACUGCCACAUCAUUUGAAGAGGCAUUAUCAACCGUAACAGUAAAAACGUUAUCCAACUUCCAAUCAAGUAAACAAUUACUAAUAGACUCAGCCAAAUGCUCACCUUUAUGACUAGUGAUAGGACAAAAAUUCAAUAUUCUUUUAUGAAGCACCCAAUCCCUAUCAAUAAAGUGAGCAGUCAAACACAUAUAAUUGAUUCUUUGCACUGAAGUCCAUGUGUCUGUUGUGAGACAAAUUCUUGGUUGUAUUUCUCUUAAAGAUUGUUUCAAAUUUAUUCUCAAUUCACCAUAAACUUCAUAACAAUCCCUUGUUAUGGUUCUACGAGAAGGAAUAUGAAACAAAGGCUGGACUUUACUCAUAAACUUCUUAAAGCCUUCUUUUUCAACAAAACUAAAAGGUAGUUCAUCCAAAAUAAUCAUCUCAACUAAAGCUCUCCUACAUACCUCUUGCUCAAAUUUCCAACUCUCUAAAUUGUUAUUUUGAAUAUUUAAUAAAUUUUGAAUACCGGGUGCAACAGUCGGAGGUUUAUACACUUUACACCGAUAAGUCAAAUGUUGUUUUAGUCCACUUGUUCCAUUUCUUGUUGUAUUGGCAGCGUAAUAUUGUUUACAAUGUAAGCACUUUGCUUUAACUAAUACACCAUUUUCAAAAAUCUUUUCAAAGUGUUGCCAAACAAGAGAUCUAGGAUCCAUUUCUUUUCUUUUUUUUGUUAUUUCUGUGCCAAUCGACAUAUCAUUGCUAUUACUAGGUGUAUUAUCCGUAGAAUCAGCCAUACUUAUUCGACUUUGUCUUUGAUCAGCUACACCCAUAUUUAAUUCUGUUUGUUCAGCCAUCUAUAUAUAUAAAAAAAGCACAAUAAAUUCCCAAUAAAGGCAAUAACCAGUGUCUAGUAACAAAAACAAAAUUACAAAAUCAGAAAGAAAAAAAAUGAAAAAAAUCAAGAAAAAAAAUUAAAAAACGUAAAAACUAAAAACAUACCUGCUGACUGCUGCACGUCCGGCGGCUGGCUGACUGCUGCACGUCCGGCGGCUGGCUGACUGCUGACUGCUGCACGUCCGGCGGCGGCUGGCUGCUGCUGUCUGCGGCUGGCUGCUGCUGGCGGGCGGCGGCUGGCUGCUGCUGUGUUGCUGGCGGGCGGCGGCUGGCUGCUGGCUGCGGCUGGCUGCUGCUUCCCUUGUUGUGGCUGCUGCUUCCCUUGUUGGUGCUUCAGGGAAGACAAGAGUGGUUGGAGACUUGGAGUAGAAGAGGAAGAGAGAAAUGAAGAGGAAGAAGUCAAGAAGAUGAGGAGUGAAUUGAAAAAAUCUGGUAGAAAGAGAAAGAGUCAAAAGUAGGGUAUUAGGGUUUUUACUUUUUUUUUAAAAAAUAUUUAAUAUUAAUAAUUAUUAAUUAAUAUAAUAUAAUAUAAUAUAAUUUAUAAAUUAUUAAAUUAUAGCAUAAAAUUUCGGUUUAAACCGAAAUACCGAAUUCCAAAGUAAUAUGUACCGAAAACCGAACCGAAAUACCAAAAAAUACAAAAAAUUAAACCGAAUACCGAACCGAAAACCGAAAUACCGAAACCAAAAUUCUAAAAAAAUUCGGUUCGGUUCGGUGUUUCGGUUUUUUGGUGUUUAUGCCCACCCCUAAGUUACGUAGUAAGGAGAAAUUCUUUUGGAUAGAAAAUUUGAUCAGAAUAAUAAAAUAAUAUAUUUUACACUAUGUUAUAUUACUUUUUAAAAUAUUUUUACUUUUUUUAACUAUAUAUCUUUUAAUUUAAAAAUAGAAAAAAAUAGUUUAUUUUAAAAUAAAAAAAUAUUAGGGAUAAUGCACAAGUACCCCCUUAACCUAUGCCCAAAAUCUAAGAGACACACUUAUACUAUACUAAGGUCCUAUUACCCCCUGAACUUAUUUUAUUAAUAAUUUUCUACCCCUUUUCGACUUACGUGGCACUAUCUUGUGGGCCCAACACAUGUUGACUUUUUCUUUCAACCUAGUGCCACGUAGGCCUAAAAGGGGUAGAAAAUUACUUAUAAAAUAAGUUUAGGAGGGUAAUAGGACCUUAGUAUAGUAUAAGUGUGUCUCUGAGAUUUCGGACAUAGAUUGAGGGGGUACUUGUGCAUUUUCCCAAAAUAUUAUAUACUUUUAAAAUUUGUGGUCAAUCGUUUGAAGGAGAUACUAGUAAGUAAGUGGAGAAUGACCAACAAAAGUAGCCUACUAUCAUUUUACUCGAAAAACUUAUGAGCAACUAUGAUAGUUGAUUCUUCUAUGAUCAUUAAUCUCUUGAGGAAAAAAUAGCCUUUUUGUGUUAUGUAUUUAUCAUCAAGGCAUUGCACUAAAAUUCAGUUUUAAACUACUCUAAGUCUCAAUAUUUUUACCUGUAAAUAUCUAUGUCCUCUAAUUUUUUGUGUACGCAAGUAGAUACUUAAACUUAUUUAGAAUUGAAUAGGCAGAAUUCACGCGUCCUACGUGACGUUCUUAGUGGCAAUUCAAAUCCUACAUAGUGUCCUAUGUGUUUUAUGACACAUAGAAUAUAUGUUUUGUCUAUCUGUUCAACUUCAUACUAAUUUAAGUGUUUACUUGUACUCACCAAAAUCAGAGGACAUAAAUGACAGUUUAGGACAAGUUAAAAAGCAUAUUUAUGUAUUAUGACAAUAUAUUAUCAAAUUCACGAUGAGUAAAAUCUCCCCAUCCCAAGACGUAAAUCUGCAUGAAAAUAUGACUUCUUGUUGUCUGUCCUUCCAUGUUGAAUGAGAUUGAAUGAUAUGACUCUUCCAUUCAUCUUCACUUCGAGAUUAUUCUAAAACAAGCAAGUGGAUAUAUUCAUGUGUGACUUCUGCUAGUUUACUUUUCACCUCUAUUAACUCGUAAUGGUUCUACAGAGUUGCAUUAUAUCCCCAAUACAAGGAAUUUGAAAAUUUCAAAUUUAACAUCAAAUCCAGCUAUAACAUAUUCAUUAUGGAAAGCUAUCUUAUAGAUAACUCCAUUGAAGUAAACCCCAUGCUUUAUGUAACUUCCUCGAACAUGAUUUGUUGUCGCAAUAAUUUUGUAUACUUCUUUUCUUUAGGCUCAAACCCAAACGAAUAAUAUCAAAGAUGAAAAAUCAUCAUUUAGGAUGGGAAGCAGGGGCAGAUCUACGCGGCCAUGUGGGGGUGCCACGGCAUUCAGUGAUCUCCGAAAAAAUGUUAUAUAUGUGUGUGUGUGUGUGUGUGAAUUGUAUAUAUAUUAGUUUUGCCACCUAAUAAUUGUGUUGCAUAAUAGCUCAGCAGGCAAAGGGGUUGAUCUCCCACUAGGCUAUGUAGGUUUGAACCUGGCCGUCACACACUUCCUUUUUUGUUUGCUCCUUUUUUUCCUUUUCUUUUUUUUUCUUUUCUUUUUCUCUAUUCAUUCUUAUUUAUUUAUGCGUAUUCUUUAUUAAUUCAAAUUGAUCCCUAUAUUUUCUUUUUUCUUUUUUUUCUACAUUUGUUCUUAUUUAUUUAUUACUAUUUUUUUAUUAAUUACAUUGAUCCCUUUUCAUAAUUAAUUUUGAGUUUUUUUUAUUUUCUCUUGCAUUAAUUAUUAAUCUCUUGAAAUGAGUGUAACAUGUUUAUUUUUUUUAUCAAUUAGUGAGUACUGAAUUAUGAGCAUCAAAUAAAUAUUAUGAAAUAUAUUUAAAUAGUAGUUUUAAAAAAACAUAAGUUUCAAAAAUGACUUUUUUUAAUUCAAAGAUUCUUGCGAUCUUCAUCGACAUUUUUGCUAUGUAAGAUGACUAGGCUGAAACUACAAUUUUUAUUCUUUCUCAACUAUAUAUUUUCAAUAACACAUAAAUUCAACGGAAGAUGAAUAUAUUAUGUUCAUACUAUUAGAUGGUUUAUACAAACUCAAAUUUUAAUGUGAAGAAUCUUUUUUUUCUUAAAAGUUUCAGCGAAGAAGAUAUCAAAUUCCAAAAAGAAAAUAAAAUUGAAUUGUUUAGUUAUAUCUAAUUACAUAAUAUCUAAAAGAAAAUAUUACUCCAUGUAUACUUGAUCGAAUCAUUUAUAAAAUAAAUAAAAUUAAUAACCGGAGUUGUAACCCAAAAUUAAAGCAACCGUUCCUUUUAUCUUGAACGUUGUGGCACUCCCGACCUCCAAAUCCUAGAUCCGCCUCUAAUAGAAAGAAAUCGGACUUCUCUUUUACUAGGGUUCAAAAUUGCAGCAGGUUGAUUGGAUGAUGUUCCCCAAAUGCAAAAUAAACCAUUUACGCAAUUCAAACGAGGCCAAUUCAAAUUAGGGAUAUUGAAGUGGAUUACAUCAAAACUCUGAAUUUGAAUAUAGUAUUUUUCAUGUUCUUUUAGCUGAACGGACGUGUAAUAAAUUCCGCUUAUUUGGAAAAUGAAUUUUGUUCCACCAGGACGGGUCACAGAUCAACAUCUAUGGGUAUCAAUAAAAUUUAAUUCGGAAAUAAGAGAAUUAAAGAAUUUGGUAACACAAUUAAAACACAUUUAAGACUUAACAGGAAGCCAUAAAAAUAUUUCAAUGAGUAUUUCUUCGGAAUGGAUGGAUUCAUCUUCACACAUCAAAGCUAUUGUUGUGCAUAGACAACAAUAUGACUAAUAGAAAACGUAUAGUUAUUUUUGUACACAUUAAUAAAUAAAUUUGAGGCGCGAAUAUAAUUGAUAUACAUACUUAAAAUAAAAAAUAGAACUCUUAAAAAUAAGGGAAAAUUAUGCGGAUAAAUAAAUUUAUACUAUUUAAUUACUCAUUAUAGUUAUAGUUUGUUAUAAUUACCACUCACGACUAACAUUAUACAUUAAUUACGUGGGCUGAUUUCGAGUUUGUAUAAUUAAUCAUGUUUGUAUAUGUAUAUAUAAUUCGCCAAGAUAUACAAAUAAAUAUGUAUAAUAUACAAUUUUAGCCUAUACACAUAUACAAUUCACCUCUCUCCCACUCUCUAUCCUCUCUCGCUCGCCUCUCUCCUACCUCUCUCAAUCUCGCUCGCCUCUCUGCUACCUCUCCCAAUCUCGCUUGCCGUUUAUACAAAUGUAUAUGUAUAAUAUACAAUUAUAUACAAUUAUAUACAUAUACAAUUCACCUCUCUGCCCUCUUUCUCUCAACUCUCUCCUCCCUAUCUCGAUUUCACUCACCUCUCUCCUCUCUCCCAGUCUCGCUUGCCUCUCUCCUCCCUCUCUCAAUCUCUCUUUCUAUAUAUACAAUUACAUACGUAUAAUAUAUAAUUAUCUAAACAAUAUACAUAUACAAUUCACCUUUCUCCCACUCUUUUCCACCUCUCUCUCGCCUGUCUCCUCUUUCUCCCAGUCUCGCUCGACUCUCUCCUCCAAAUAACAUGUAACUAGAAAUUGUAAUUAUCAAAGUAUAGCUAUGGAGAGUAAUUAAUUAUUUUUAAGUGGUUAUAUGUGAAAGUUUAAUAAAAGAUAACUUAUUCUCCUAACAUUAGUAGAAAACGUAUAGUAUAUAAUAUAUAUUUUUAAUUAAUAAGUCAAAUAAAAAAAUGUGAACGGUUUUAGACAUAAAAAAAAGUGGCGUCCAAUGUUUAGGGGCUCAGUGUGAAGAUGAAUCGAUCGAUUCCUUAAGAUAUAGUCGUUGAAAUAUUAUCAUGGCUUCCUGCUAAGUUCUUAAUGCGUUUUAAGUGUUUUACCAAAUUAUUUAGUAUUAUUUUCAAAUCAGAUUUUAUGGAUAUCGAUAAAUAUCGAUCUUUUAUCCGUUCCGAUGGAACAAAAAUCUUUUUGCACGGUAGUGAUUUUUAUCGCACCGCACAAAACUCUGCCUCCAUUCUUCAAAUUGAGAGUUUUGGUGAAUUCCCCUUUCAUAUCCAUGUAGAUACUCUUUUGAAUUGUGUUAACAUUUAUUUUUACUUUGGCAACCAUUACCUGUGCAACCAGCUACGAUUUUAAACCCUAGUACAAGAGAAGUCAUAUUUCUUCCCAACCUAAUCGAAGGUUUUUCUUGGUGUCACUAUUCAUUAGGUUUUGAGCCAGAAGAAAAGAAGUACAAAGUUCUUUCGACAACAACAUAUGAUCAACAAGGUUACACAAAAAACAUGGUUUUCACUUUUGGCAUAGAUGAGUCAUGGAGAGAGACUAAACGUGUUCCCCCUCUUAUUUUGUGUAAGCCCGGGAUUUGCAUCAAUGGAGUUAUCUAUAGGUUUGUUUUUCAUAGAGGACUUGCUAUAGUUGCAUUUGAUAUUAAAACUGAAAAUUCCAAACUUAUUGCAUUAAGGGACAUCUCUCAUGGGUGGUCUUACGAGUUAAUAGAGGUGAAGGGUAAACUAGUUGUCGUAGAAUAUGAAAUAUGCUCAUGUGAAAAAAUCCACUUGUUUGUUUUUGAACAAACUCGAAAAGGAGAAGAAUGGAAGAGUUCUGCUAUUCAGUUUCCUUCUACAUGGAAGUAUAUACAACAAGAAAUCAUACUCGAUGUCAGAUUAUCAUGCACAUCUUGUGAUAGGAAGAUCUUAUUCAUUACGAAUUUAAAGUCUGGUACUUUAUGUUUGUGUCAUGAUGUUACGAGACAGAGUUAGAGAAAAUUAGAAAUUAAGGGGCUUCGUAAGAACCACUGCAUCAUAGGCAUUUGUAGUUACGUAGAAGGACUAGUUAUGUAGAAAUUAAAGGUCUUUCUAUUUGAGAUUUUUUGCAAUUCAUAUGUUUUUUUUUUUUUUUUGCAUCUGUAUGUCAAGCCCAUAAGAUUUUAGUGUAAAAUAGCAUCUCAACAAUAGUAUAUGACAAUAUUUACUUAUUUAUUUACGGGGGAUGAUUUUAAUUUUCUGUUUUAUUAAUAUCGAAUGCCUCUGUACACCAUACACAUACGAGGACAGUGUGGCUAACCUCAUUGUCGACUACAACAACCAAGGGUACCGCAAAACCUGGGCUUCAUUUGUUUGUUCAAAUUAUUUGCUUCAGUCCCAAUAUGGAAUGAUAUGGCCUUAUAAUCAUGGACCAAAGUUGCAAUAGUCUGCUAUUUAAGGGGUCGUUUGGUACAAAAAUAAAUGAUGCAGGAAUUAGCAAUGUAGAGAUUAGUAAUGCAAGAAUUAUUUUUAUCAAGUGUUUGGUUCAUUGUUUCUUAUCUAAUUUUGUGUGUGGUUUAAAAGUUUAAAAAAAAAACAACCAAUUAUACCCUAGAGCUAUUAUGAAAUUUUGUAUUUCAUGUAAUUGAGUCAAAGUAGAUACUUAACGGAGAAUAUUAUUUUUUUAUAACAUUUUUAACUAGUUAGGAGAAUAAAAUUUUUAUUGUCAUGUUCACUAUUUUCUCACUUAAAUUAUUUGAAUUAUUUGAGAGUAAAUAAUUGUUAUCUUAAUAAAUUAGAGUUAAUAACUCAAAAGGUCAGAAAAUUUAUUGAACUUUGUUUUGUAUCAAUAAAUUUUAAAGAACUCUUUAUCAUAAAAUAAAAUAAAAAUAUAAAAUAAAUAUAGAAAAAUAAAUUAAACUAUUUUUAUACUCGAGAUGUGUGUGUAUAUAUAUAUACACACACUCUUGUUUUAGACUACUUGUGUAAUGUUUAAUGAACUUUCAUUAAGAGACAAUAUUUUACUUAUGAAUUGUUCUUAAAUUCAUACAUCAACAUUAACAUAUUAGUCGGAUUAUAAUAUUUUAUAUUAAUAAUAAAUAGAUUAAGUAAUUCAUAUUUUAGAAACAAAAAAUUAUAUCUAAUUAAUAAAAUUUGUAAGCUAAUUUAUUUAAAUAACUUUAUUAGUAUAAAUUUAAAAUAUAAAAUAUAAAAUCAAAAAAAUAAAUAAAAUAUUAAAAGGAUUUGAGGGGUAUUUUUGUCUUUACCUAGAAUAGUCUCAUGGUAUUAGAUCUAAUACCUCCAAAUGGAAGGUAUUAGUAUACAUCCUAUAAUACCAUGUUGGAGGUAUAACUAAUUUAUGGAUUAGUUAUACAUAUGCUCAAAUUCCUACCAAACAUAGUAUUAAAUAAUACCUUACAUAAUCCAUGGACUAUUUCUUCUAAUGCAGCCUACCAAACAACCCCUAACUGUUUUCAUUGAAAUACAACGGACGUAUCAUGCGAAAGAUACUAUGAUCUCAGAAGAUUCUUACUAUGAUCAAUGAUAUAGCUACAGAAAAUUACUGAUUGAUGAGUCAAGAUUUGUCACGACUCGAUUUCUCUAGUCAUGAUGGCACCUACUAUAACUCACCAGCGGGUAAGCCAACCCAUAAUGAGAUUUCAUCGACAACUUUGCAAAUAAAUGGUGUUGUAGUUGUCAGCUUUAACAUUGCAACAGCAUGAUCCCAACUCUCUGCACGCACCAGCAUAAUUGCACAUAUCGUCCAGCAUGAUUAGGUUGCGAAUUAACCACGCAACUGUAAUGUUCCAACUUAUUUGGUUGCAGCCCCUUUGCUCUCAUCUUGACAUACAUGGUUAAUGCCUGCUUCUCUCUUCCAUACAGAGCUAGGUAAAAAAUCAUAGCAUUUCAAGAAACUUAACAGCAACCAAUAUACAUAUACAAUUCACGUCUCUCUCACUCUCCGUCCUCUCUCGCUCGUCUCUCUCCUUCCUCUCCCAAUCUCGCUUGCCAUAUAUACAAGUACAUAUGUAUAAUAUACAAUUAUUCAACCAAUAUACAUAUACAAUUCACCUCUCUCCCACUCUCCGCCAUCUCUCGCUAGCUUCUAUUCUUUCUUUAACAUGUAUUUACGAAUUGUAGUUAUCAAACUAUAACUAUGAAGAAUAAUUAGGUUAUUUCUGAAUAGGUAUAUGAGAAAGUUCCCCUUAAUUUUUAUGUACUGACUCUUGAAAAUGUUGAGUAGAUCGAUUUUUAUUAUUAUCUAAAAGAAAACUAAACCAAUUGAGUUGGUUUUUUAGCGGAAAAAGGUUCAAAUAUAUUUAGAGAAAAGGCUCAUCUGUACCGUACAUUUAGUGUUUGCGCCAUCUAUGUCAUAUCUAUUUGAGAAAAAUCUUAUAACUACCAUUAUUUGUUAAAUAAAAAAGUUUUACUUUUGCAAAAUUAUUUUUUACACGUGAUCAAUUAUUUUUGGUCCAUGUCAUUAAUCAAAUCUUUUUCUAAAAGAAAAAAAAUAUUCGGAUUUACUAUGGAACUUGAAAAAAGGCUCAUCUAUGUUAUCAAUUUAGAUUGGGUCAUCUAUAAUCUUGUCAUUGUUCAUGAAUUUGUAUUGGUUUUAUUCACGACUUUUCGGCAUCUAGUUUCCAAAAAGAAAAAAGAAAUAUAUGUUUUAUAUUAGUGUUAGGAGAAAAUAAAUAGUAAUAUUAGUAAUAAGUCAUUUUCUAGGAGUUCUAUUUUUUAUUUUUAAGGAUAUAUUUCAAACAUUAUUUUAAAUACUGAAAUUUUUUAGAAAAUGUCUCCUCGCGUCGUCGCUCGGCCUGGCUUCGGUUUCCAAAUGAUUGAUUGAUUGUUUUUAGGUUUAGUUAAUCAACCACAUUAAUUAUUUUUUUAAAAAAAAUAAAUUCAUAAUGUUAAUUAACGGAGUUAACUUCGCGUAACAGAAUUAUUUUGGAAAAUUUGUGUAAUGGUAAAGUUACUUAGAAGGGACAUGUUCCUUCCGAACAUACACUUUUUUCCCAAAGGCACAAAUGUUAUGAAAAUACAUAUCUUUUCUGAAUAAGUGUGUUCACACUGUUGUCUGAACGGUGAGUCCAACACUUGUUCUUCAUAGAAAAGUCCGGUAAUAACAGGGAAAACAGUGGAAGUAGUAGUAGUUCUGCACCAUUGCCCGUUAACAGAAAAACAUCACGAGAGCUUUUAAGCAUCGAUAGAGAAUUGAGUAUCGAAUUCAAGAAUGUGAUUACAUUCUAUGGGGGUUCACUUGAAUCAGUUAAAUUGGUGGUGAUUGAAAAACGACUCUGAUGUUAAACCAGCAGAAGGAAGGUUUUUAAUCCCAAAAAGACACAUGAGUAAUCAGUUUCGAGUUUGUUCUCAAACAAGCAAGUGGAUAUAUUCAUCAUGUGCGCCUUCUCCUAGUUUACCCUUCACCUCUAUUAACUCGUAAUGGUGCCACGAAGUUGCAUUAUUCCCAAUACAAUUAUUUGAAAAAUUCAUAUUUAACAUCAAAUCCAGCUAUAACAUAUUCAUUAUGGAGAGCAAAUCCUGAACACAUUAUGAAGGAAACUUUUAACCUCUCUCCAUGAUUCGUUUAUGCCUAAAGCGAAAAUUCACUACUUUAUGUAACAUUCUCCAACAUGAUUUGUCGUCGCAAUAAUUUCGUACUUCUUUUCUUCAGGCUCAAACCCAAACGAAUAAUAACAAAAGAAGAAAACCAUCAUUUAGGCCGGGAAGAAAUUGUACUUCUGUUGUAAUUCUUCGAAAAUCGAAUGACAUGUCUCUCUUCCAUUCUCUUUUUGGAGAAUGCUCUAAAAAUCCACAAGUCGAAGCAGUAGUUUAUCAUGUGAUAAUUCACAAUAGCUAGGUUUCCAUUCAAUCGCACAGCCAGUGAGAUUCAUUCCACAAUGUAAUCAUUUUGAAUUUUUCAGAUUUAACAUCAAAAUGCUGCAAUAAAAGAUUUGUAAGCACUAUUAGACUGAUAGAUAACUCCGCUAAUGCAAACAUUAGGCUUAUCGUAUAGAAGAGAAGGGAAAAUGCUUUGCGUCUUUCUCCACGAUUCAUCUAUGCCUAAAGUUAAAACUCAUAGUUUAGAUCCUUUAGAUCAGCCGCACAGCUUUGUUCCACUGGACCGACGACAUCUAUGGAUAUUCAAAAAAUCUGAUUCGAAUAUCAGAGAAUUACAUAAUCCGGAAACACACUAGAAACGCAUUAAUGAUUUAACAGGAAGCCAUGAGAAUAUUUCAAAAAUUAUUUCAUCAGGAAUGGAGAAUUUCAUCUUCUCCGUAGUUUUUAAUGCUAUCAGAAACUCGCUUUUUACCUCUCCACACGUUUAUUUUUUUCAUGGUGAGUGUGGAUUGGGGGUUUGAAUUGUCUAUAGGUUCAACAUUGAAAUGUUUAAUUAAUCAAAACGUCAAAAGUGUUAUCAAUAACUACUUAGAAAGGUGGUGUUCAAUUUUAGAAAGAAAAAUAAAAUAAAAUGGAUAUAACAUUCAAAUUUCUAACAUCACUAAGAGGUACACGCAAUUAUCGUCGUAUUGUAAGAUACUUUGGAUGUGGGUUCACACGUAUAUUUAAAUAAAAAUAUAAUAUUACUAUAUAUGAUUUCGGGAGAGAAGCAUUGGUUCAUGUGAACUGGGUGACCCCCUCCUGCAUACGUCUAUGUGUACUGUUGAAAAAGUGAAAAAACUAAUUUUAAAUUUUCUUUAAAAAAUCAUGUAUUUGAUGUUCUUUACACAAAUUAUUUUUUGGCUUCUUUGAUUAUUAUUAUUUGACUAUUUUGUUUUUUUUCCUCUUAUUCAUUAGUGUAAAAAUAAGAGAAAUAAAAAGAAAGAAGUAUAAAUGAAAAAAGUUUAAAAAGUUCCAAAAAAAAAUGGAGAUUAUAUUGUAACUUUAGUUUUAUAUUUGUAAGAAAAAAUGGGCAUUUUUAGCCCCUAAAAGUUGGACGCCCCUUUUAUUUAUGUCUAAAACCCUUCACAUUUUCUGUUUAUGACUUAUUUAUCAAAGAAAAAAAAAUAAAGUAUACGUUUUCUGUUAGUGUUAGGGGAAGAUAAAAAGGAAAUUAUUACUGUCAUAUUUAAGAGUUCUAUUUUCCAUUAAUUUAUUCAAUAAAUAGUAUAUGCUUUCUAUUAGUAUUAGGAGAAGAUAAAGUGAAAAUUAAUAAUAAGUUAUUUUCUAGGAGUUUUCAGAAAACUUUUUCUUCUUCUUUUUUUUUUUUUUUUGCGUAAUUUUCCCUCAUUAAGUUGAUAAAAUAUUUUAAAGGAAGUGAUGAAGUUUUGGUUUAUGGAUGAAACAUUGAUGUGAUCAUUUCUUGUUAUACGAUCUAUCAACUAAACAUAUGUUUGAAGUCUCUAUGUAUACAAAUCACUCUAGAUACAGACAAGAUACAUGUAUUAUGUGUAUCUGGUGUGAUUGUCAUGUAUAUGAGAUAUUAUAUACAUAGGAGAGUGGCGAGCGAAAUGUCAUGAAGACGAUCGAGAUUUCUUAUAUAUUCCUAAUAUAUACGAAUUCAUAUGGAAAAAGUCACAAAUAAGGCUGGGCAACGAAACGGGAUGUAUCAGUAGUUGGUUCGGUAUUGUUCCGGUUCUUUCGGUUCGGUUGCCUACGGGGCAGAACGGACAUCCUGAACCGGGACAGAAACGGAACGGAAUCGAGGUACCGGUACCGUAUCUCGAUUUAUUUUGAUUCUGAUCCAAUCCAAUUCUGAUUAAUUAUUAAUUAAUUUAUAUUAUAUCUUUAUAAAUUAUAAUUUAUAUUUUAUAUUAAAUAAUAAAUACUACCCAAGUAACCCAACUACCCCUUAUUAGUAUUACAUUCGAGACUUAGUUGAAACAGAACUCUUCCUAGAAGGUGGUUGCGUAAACUCUGCACUCUACUAAUAGUUCUAAAUUGAAAUUGUAAUUUGUAAUACAAAUUUAAAUAAAUUAAAUUGAUGUUUUUAAUUUGUGUAAUUGUUUUAUCCUUAUUUUUAUUUAAUUUUUUAAAAUUACAAAUUUAAUUUAUUUAAAAUUACAAGUUAUAAAUAUAACUUAUAAAUUAUAACAUAUAUACACACACAUAUAUAUAGGAGGAUCAUAGAGAAGGUGAUGUGGCACCUCUCUAUGGCCUCCAUUCCUUUUUUUCCCUCUCUUUUUCACAUUUUUUCUUCUUUCUUUUCAUUAAAUAAUUUAUUUAUUAAUUAAAAAAAUUCAAGCAUACUUAUUAUUGUAAUUAUAUAUGAGUUAUAAAAAAAUCUCCAUCUAUUGAUAUUCUUACUUAAAUAGCAUGUCUUUUCAAUUUCCUUCUAACUAUUUUUAUAGCUUAUCCAAUCUAUAAAUAUCAAUCAUCUAUAGAGAUAUUGAAUGUUCAUUUUCAUUUUUUCAUUCUUUCUUUUUAGUAGUAUAGGUUUUUAAUUUUCUUUUCUUCGUCUUUUUAUACAUCAAUCACAUACAUAAUAAAAAGAAGACAUAGAGAAGAUGACGUCACAAAAUGACCUUCACUUUGACUAAGAUCAUAGAUAUAUUCUUCAAAAAUUCAUGGGAUAAUGCCCAAGUACCUCCUCAACCUAUGCCCGAAAUCUCAGAGACACACUUAUACUAUACUAAAAUCCUAUUACCCCCUUAACUUAUUUUAUUAAUAAUUUUUUACCCCUUUUUAGCUUACGUGACACUAUCUUGUGGGCCCAACGAUGGUUGACUUUUUUUCCGAACUAGUGCCACGUAGGCUAUAAAGGGGUAGAAAAUUACAUAUAAAAUAAGUUCAGGGGGGUAAUAGGACCUUAGUAUAGUAUAAGUGUGUCUCUGGAAUUUCGGGCAUAGGUUGAGGGGGUACUUGGGUAUUUUCCCAAAAUUCAUCACAUUAUUUGGUAUAAAUUCAACAAAAUAAAGAAGGAACCAUAAUUAUCUUGGAGAUUCCGGAAGAUAGAGUCAUAGUAGUAUAAAUUUAUAAAUAAUAAGUAAUAAUUUAUAAACUUCAAAAGAUUUAAAUCUUAAAAACUUAAUUAGACUUAAUUUGCAAACUUAAUAAAUAAAAAAAUUUAAAAAUAUAUUUUUAAAAUAAACUUAAGUAAAAAAUUAUAUUAUAAAUUUAAAAACUAAUAAUUUAUACUUAGAAAAAUAAAAAAAUGUUCAUAUUUUUAUAAUUCGAAAAAAUCAUUUUUUGAAAUAACUAGAUGUGUCAUCCCGUUUAUCCCAUCCUGUUCCAUUCAGGUCAAAUUCUAAUCCAUCCCGGUAUAUAGUGGGACGGGACGAAAUCGAAUAUCCAUCCUGCUAAUUUCGGUACAGUUCAUCUCGGUAACGGACAAUGAACCGAUCAACUCGCUCCAUUUCGAUUCGAUACCGGUCCGAUGGUCUCGUUCUGGUCCGUUGGUUCCGUUCCGGUAUGUUGCCUAGUCUUACUCACAAAUUACACCUAGUUGUAACCUCACGUAUGUCGUGAUACAUGUAUUUGAACUUAUUUGAACGCAUCAAAAUCUACUAAGAUUCGCAAUAUUGAAAAUUAGAAUAUAACUAAGUAAUCAGCUUCUAAAUUAGUGUGAUUUCUAUAAGUUUCAUUUUUUUUUUUUCAUUUUAUAGAGGUGUGUGGAACUUUGAGAUGUUGUUGACUACGGGAAGGAUUAGCCCAACAACGGUCAAAAGUAGAUAUUUCGAUCGAUAAUUAUUAUCAUUGCAAAGUACUGCAAGUCCAAAUUGAUGAAUAGUCCUACAAGGGUCAAAAGUAAUGUUUUCAACUACUUCAAUUACGCAAGAUUAUUGAAUAUUCAAUUUAGAGUAUUUUCUUGUGUUUGAUAUUUCAGCAACAUACUGUUUACAUUCAAAUACUUAAUUGAUGAAUUUAUGCAAUAAACAAAAAUAAUUAUUCUCUAUUAAUGUAACAUUUCUUGAAAUGUCAAAAAACAUAGAUAGUUUAUAUAGUAAGAGAAUUUCAUAUUUCAAAUUGUUUACUAUUUAACUUUAAUUUAACACAUAUUUUAUAAGAAAAUUUAAAUUCAAGAUACCAUCUAAAAAGUUCUUCAUGGAUAAUAAUGUUUUCACGUCUUUUUUUUUUAUUAAUUUAUUUCCCUUUCUUUUAUAAUCUUCUUCUUUUGUUAUCUUUAUAAAAUGGAGUUUAUAUUUUUGCGCAAUUUUUUGUGGGUCGUAAUAUAAAGAAAAACUAUGUGUACAUAGAGCUAUUAAGAUAGCCACAACAAAGACUCUUCUGACAUUUUAUCUAUAAUAAUGUAACUAUAAAAUAGACUUGUUAUUACAAGUUAUGAGACUUGAUGCAUGUGUUAUUACAAGUGGUGGAACUGAAUGUUGUAGCUGUUAAUUGACUAUUUAUAUGGAUUAACUUGAGAAUAUGAGCUAUUGAUAAGCUUGAUGUAUUCUUUUGAUAAUAAUUAUUAAUAACAUCAAUCUGACCUAUUAUUAAAAUAAAAUAUCAUUCUUUUAUUUAAAAUUUAUCAAAAACAUGUGAAUUUCUUACAUGUAUUUUUAGGAAGAGAAAAAUGUAAAUUGAUUCUUGAUUGCGCAGGGAAAGCAAUCAAAAACAUUUUAAAGAUAAAUGGGAUAAUACUCAAUUACCCCCUAUCCUAUACCCAAAAUCUCUGAGACACACCUUAUCUUUGAUGAGGUCCUAUUACCUUCUCCAACUUUUUUUUAAGUAAUUAAUUGUCACUUUCGUACCUAUGUGACAAUAAUAAUUAGAAAGGUUGAUGUGUUUGUUCAACACGCGUCGGGCUCCACUUUUGCAGAUUUCUAAAAGUGACUAUCAGCUACUUUUACACUUCCCAAAUUCGAAAAAGCUGGUCAUUUAUGUUUUCAAAAUUACUUUAUCAAAAAGUAGAUAAAGGAACAAGGAAAAGAAAGAGGGAAAGUUUAUUUGUUUUCUUCAUUUUCAUCCCUUUCAUCUUUUUCUUGUGUUUCAAUUCACCCAUUUCUUUUACGUUGUCAACCUUCUCCUUUGAAUUGAUGUUCAGAUUUUCAUAACGAUUUUGAAGACUUUCACCUUCAUCCAAAGGAAUUUUCUCUAGUUUUGACUGUUCAAUGUUGGAAUUAUCAAGCUGUUCCAGUUGCAUCUUCACACGCUCAUAAUUUUUUUCUAACUCGUUAAUCCUAUUCACCAAUUUUGGAAGAAUAAAACGAGAUCUUUCAUCAACUCUCUCCGUGUCUCUCCAUCUAAAGAAAUUACAGUUUGUGGCCUCAUAGUGAGGACAAGACCAAAAUCGUCUUUCAGGAUCGCGAUUUGAUCAAGACGUCUGUAUUUGCAGUAAGAUUCCAUGAUUGCAUCCCACUUCCGCGUUAAACAUUGAAUCAUUCUCAUCCAUACACAACUUAUUCAACUCGGAUUUUGUCAUAACCCUAACUUUAUAAACAUUGUCAAAAAAAAAUAAGAAUUACUAAUGACAUAAAAAGAUGUAAAGAAUAUAUCAAAUUUUACUUUGCCUUUUCAAAUCAAGGAUCUAUUUAACUUGAAUGAUAAUGGAUGGAGCUUCUUUAAAAAUGAAGAACCAUGAAAAUGAGAAAAAAAAAAUUUCAAAAGAGGAAGGCAACUGCAUUGGAGAGAAACAUUAAUAUUUAUAUUUGAAUUUUUUUCAAAUUACUUUGACACGUGGCUAACUUUUAUUGGUCAUUGUUAAUCAAAAUCUUCACUCAUGCGCCCUACAUGGGUGAAUUCACGUAUAUUGUCACGUAGUUACGAAAGUGGUAAUUAAUUACUUUAAAAAAAGUUGGAGGGGGUAAUAGGACCUCAUCAAAGAUAAGGUGUGUCUCAGGGAUUUUGGAUAUAGGCUAGGGGAGUAAUUGAGUAUUAUACCAAAAUAAAUUAGUCAAACACAUUAUAUUUUUCAAAAAUAUAUUCUGAAAAGUUGUUUUUUAAAAAAAAUGUCUCUAGAAAUUAAAAUUUUAUAUUAUUAAUGUUAAAUAGGCUCUGAUACUCAUAUAAACUUUUUUUUUCUCUAAGAAUUUUAAUUGAUAAAAUAAUUAUUUCUUAGUUGACUAUUGUUAUAUUAAAUUGUCUUCAUGCAUAUUGAAAUAUUAAAGUUUUUUUAAUCAAAGUAUAUACAUUAAUUAUCAUUCUUAUAGAUUUUUUAUUUUAUCAUGAAAAAAACAGUUCCGCAUAUAAAACAUUUCAAGUUACGAGUGUUUGAAGUGACCUAUGGUAAUACGUAACCACUUUUUAAAUGAUAUAUGACUUUUACUAUUUUAAUAAUAGUUUAAAAAACAUUUUACAUUAAAAUUUCACCAAAGAGUCAAUACGGUAUUGGUAACUCAAAAUUUGAUUGAAAGUGACUAGUUGAUCUUCUUAGAAAUGAUUAUUUCAAAAAAUAGUUAUAGACUUUUCUUAUCUUAAUUUGUGAUUCAUAAUAUACCUCAUCAAAAUUACACUCAAUCUAUCACAUCAACUGGCGAUUCACUACUUUUAUUUAUGUGGACAUAAUGAAUCAGACCCACCAAAACUUAAAGUGAUUUUUUAUUGGAUUUCUUUUUAUCUUUAAGUCAAGGUCUAUUCAUCAGUUAACACUUUUAUCUUAGCUCUAAGCAUGAAUAAAAUUUUGUUGGGGAUGUCACCUCUAAAAUAAAUCUUGUAGUGUCCAUUCCAGAUUACUACGAGUCAAAUUGGGCCAUCGAACACCGAAUGAAAAACAAAACAAAACUCCUAUCCUGACUAAAGUAAAAAAAAAUUGAAUCUUUAACUUAAGUUUUCUUGUCAAGGCUCAUACAUCACCUUAUACUCUUAUACACUUUUUUUAAUCUAAAAAUUUAAAUUGAUUAAAUAUUUUUACAUUAUAUCAGUAGUAUUUUAAAAAACAUUUGAAUUGAGCAUGAUAUAUUUGUUGAAAAUUGACUUUGUCAACAAACAACGAUAAAUUACUUACAUGUGUAUUUUUGGGAGAGGAAAAAUGUGAAGAAAAAUGUAAAGUGAUUCUCGAUUGUGCUGAGAAAGCAAUUAUAAAACAUUUUCAUAUAAAUUAGCUAAACACAAUUUAUUUAUUUAUUCUAAAGUCUUUUUCUAAAAUAUUAUUUUAAAAAAAAUUCUUCCAGAAAUUAGCAAUUUUUAGUAAAAAUGUUAAACAAGUUCUGAGACUCUUACAUACUUUUUUUAGUUAAUAUUGUUAUACUAAAUAGUCCUUAUGCAUAUUGAAUGAUUAUAUAUAUUUUUUCUUUGUUAAAAUCUAUACAUCAAUUAUCAAUCAUCACUCUUAUGUACUUUUCUUCUCUUUUCAUUAAAAAAAAAGAUCUGAUGCUUAAAACAUCUCAUGUUAAUAGUGUGUGAAGUGACAUAGAGGUCAUACAAAGACAUUUUCUAAAUGAUCUGACUUUUACUUUUUUCAUAACGAAAAAUAUAUUUGACAAGAAAAUAUUUUGGCACGACUCGACACGAACAACAAAUUUUAGAUAUUUCAUAAUUUAGCUUAAAAAUUAAGAUGGAUAAGUUCAUUUAUUUCUUGUACCCAAAUUACCCUCUAACGUAAAAUCACUACUCUUUAAAAGUGAAUUCGCUUCUGAAAAGUCCAACCUAUAAUUAUUACUUUUCAGUUCAUACUGCCCAAGAGGUGGCUGACAAUACAUAUAUGAGGCUCUAUUUAUAUUGUGUCAUGUGAAAAAGUAUUUGGUCUCAUUUCAGAAAAUGACUCAAAUCUAUGUUUUUUCUCUCUUAUAUUAAUGAUUUUUUUCUUUAUUACUUUGAUGCAUUCUUUUGAUAAAAAAAUUAUUAAUAGUAUCAGAGCUAUUGUUGAAACAAAUUAUCAUUCUUUUAUUGAAAAUUAAAUUUUUUAACAAACAAUGAUAAAUUACUUACAUGUGUAUUUUUAGGAGCAGAAAAAAUAUGAGAAAAAAUAUAAAAUGAUUCUUUAUUGUGCAAAGAAAGCAGUAAAAACACUUUAAAAAAUAAAUUAGUCAAUCACACAUUUUAUUUUUCAAAAAUCUAUUCUGAAAGGUUAUUCUUUUAUAAAAAAUGCUUUCAAAAAUUAAAAAUUUUAGUAAAAAUGUUGAAUAGGCUCUGAUACUAGUUUAGACUUUUUUUUCUAAAAAUUGAAUUUGAUAAAAUAAUUAUUUCUUAAUUGACCAUUGUUAUACGGGAAAAUUGUGGAGAAUGGCAAACUAAGGAAGGUAAUUAUACUAAUUAAAUUCCCUUUCAUUUAUUUUCUUUAAAUGGCAAACUUAAAGUUAAUUUGCUAUACUAGGUCCCACGUUUUGUAUAAAAAAAUUUCCCCAAUAUAAAACCCUCUUUUUUCCUCUCUCUGUCCAUCCAUUUUAUACAAUUUGGUCUUCUUCCUUCAAUUUCUCCACACUUUUCUCCACAAUUGCAAGUUGAAACUUCCAACUUCUCCUAGCACGCACAUUAGGGCGGUUUUUCAAAAUAUUUCAAAAAUAUCAAGGUACUGCUUAAAACCUACUUACAUUGUCAGUUGUUGUUUAUUUUUUUUGAAUUUUUUAAAACUAAUUUUCACUUCAACUGUUAAUCGCUUCAGAAUUUUGGUUUGAUUAAUGGAUGCCCAAUCUCCAUCGAAGAGAUUUACAAGAGGUAUACCAUUGCAUGUUCAAAUUGAUGUUGAAAAUCCAUCGUUUUCAUUGGGUCUAACUCAGGAAUUUGGGGAAAUUUCAGGUUCAUUGUCUAAAUCUACUAACAUGCAAGAUAUUAGAUCCAAUUCCAAUAAUGACCCAAAUAGUUUUGUUGAUGGAAGUUUGAAGAAUACUGUUAAUGUUGUUACUGGGUCUAAAAAGAAAAGAAAACAUAAAACUGAUGUUCAUACCUCUCACAAUGAUAAAAAUGAAGGCGUUGGUUCUGGGUCAAUUGAGCAUAAGGUAUGUGUAUAAUAAUUGAUCAUAUGUUUAGUUUUUACUGUUAAUUCAUGUCUUAUACAAUUAUAAAUGUAUAAUAUAUAUUCGUACAUGUUUUUGUGUUUCUGUUGAUUUGUGCCUUAUACAAUUUUUUUUAUAAAUGUAUAAUAUCUUAAUACUUGAUUUCUAUUCAUGUCUUAUAAUGCCUAAAUUACUGUCUCAUUAUACAACUGUGUCUAUAAGUGUGUAAUUUAGUCUGUCUAAUUUACUGCCUCAUUAUACAAUUGUUUUAAAAGUGUAUAAUUUAUUCUGACUAAUUUAAUGCCUCAUUAUACAAUUGUUUUAAAAAUGUAUAAAUUAAUCUGUCUGAUUUACUGUCUUAUUAUACAACUGUGUACAAGUGUAUAAUUUGUUCUGACUAAUUUAUUUCCUCAUUAUACAAUUGUUUUAAAAGUAUAUAAUUUAGUCUGUCUGAUUUACUGCCUUAUUAUACAACUGUGUGUAUAAGUUAUAAUUUAUUCUGACUAAUUUACUGCCUCAUUAUACAACUGUGUGUAUAAGUGUAUAAUUUAUAUAUAUUUGUGUCUAAUACCACUAUUUUUUUAAGUAAAAUAUAUAUGCUUUUUUUCAGGAUGUUAAGUAUUUAGGUCAAAGAGAACCAACAAGAAUUCUGAACAUGUAGUGUUACACAAAUAUUGACGUUAUGAAUGUUCUAUCUUCGAAUCUUACUGAGUCACAGUACAGACAAUUCUGUGGAAAUACAUGUUUUGCUCAACUAUGCAGCAUUCGUAGGUUUCACGUUCAGGCACAACUAAUUAGGUGCAUGUUUUAUAGAGAAAUUGAAGGUAGCUCAAAAGAUGCAAUCCUGAUACAUGUCAAUGACACUACUCUGCAUUUCACCAUUCGCAACUUUACCUUAAUAACUGGGUUAAAAUGUUCAGAUAAUGAGAAUGAUUUUGUAUUUAAUACUGAUGAACCAAAUAGGAUUAUUCAUUAGUAUUUUGAAGUUGAAAAACCCGUCACCAAGAGUCAAUUGAUUGACAAGUUUGAUAAAAAAAUUUGGGUAGAUAAUGAUGAUGAUGCUGUUAAAUUUGCAAUAUUGUUCUAUAUUCAUUCAUUCAUCUUUUCUGAAGAACCAACUGGUACUGUAAUUGAUAGAAAAGAUUUUGAUUUAGUUGAAUCAGGCAGAUACAUUAACAAUCCUUGGGGUAAAAAGGCUUUUGAUAUAAUGAUUAUGCAUUUGCAUAGUAAGAUCAAACAUGAUCGGAAGUAUUUUAGGUUGUAUGGUUUCCCACUUGCUUUGCAAGUGUGGUUUUAUGAAUGUUGUUCGAAAUUUGAUGAUGAAAUUGCUGUUAAAGUAUCUGAUCACAUCCCUAGGAUACUCAACUGGGAGACAAAAAAAUAUUUCCCUCGUCUAAGCUAUUUCGCUAAGGGCAUAUUCAGAGACGACAACAAUCCGGUACGCACUGCAUAAAUAUAUGUAUCAUUUUAUGGUUCAUUUAUAUAGUUACAUAUUUAUACAGUUCUAUAAAAUUAUAGUAGAAUAUAAUACUGUAUAAAUAUGUACCUGUAUAAAUACAUGUAUCAAUUUAUUUCAUUUAAAACUAUAUGUAUAAAUGUGCUCCUUGUAUUAUAUUAUGUAUGAUAUAAGUUUCUUAAAAUGUAUAAUUAUGCAUAUAAUUAUACUAAUUGUAUAAAUAUAUCCUUAUUUGUAUAUAUAAAAAUUUAAACUGUAUAAUAAAACAUUUAACUGUUUGGAAUGUAUAUGUACAGACUUAAUUGUAUAAAUAAGUUUAUGAACUGUAUAAUUAUACAUAUAUGAACAUGUAUAUAUUUUGCAGCUUGUGUUUCAGAAUCUGAUCCCAACUGAAAUGGAACUCAGUAUUCUUGAAUUACCCCCUGAGUAUGUUCAAACAGAGCAAUCGCCAAUAGAAACAACAGCUGCAAAUGAUUCGGAUGAUGAUUUUCAGGAUCCUCCAAGUCCAAUAAACAAUCGUGGAAAAGAAAAGGUUGAUACUUAUUCGUCUCCUCCUAAGAAGCAAUCAAGGCGCACAAUCAGUCAUAUUCAGAAUAAGUCACCACCCCGAGUCAUUUCUAAGCAACGCGGUUUGGCAAAGUCUCCUCGAAAUGUCAGUAUUGCAAAAAUAACUAAGGCACCACAUCCCAAAAAGCAGACCAAAAAAUCUGCUAAGGUUCCAGCAAUUGCAGGCUUUAAGAAAAAUGUUGAGCUUAAAGAAAGUGUUGCUUCUAAAAUUCCAUCCACCAGCAAGUCACAGGAUUUCAACAUAUCGCGUGAUGAGUUUGAUCGAUUCAAAAUUUCGAUAUUUAUUUAUUAAAAUAUUUUUUAUGAAAAUUAUAUAUAUCGUUAAUGUUAAUUAUACAUUUCAAUGUCAAAUGGAGAAAAAGUUUACUGAUUUAAGGAACUUCAUUGAAAUCAACUUCAAAGUUGUGUUGGAUUCUAUCAAAACCAAGAAUGCGGAAGAUAAGGUUUUGUUAAUAUUCAUCAAUACAUGUAUUUUAUAUAUAUAUAUAUAUAUAUAUAUAUAUAUAUAUAUAUACAGUUUUUCUUUUCUUUUCAGGGUGACGGUGUAGAAGUACCACGUAAAGUUUCAACAGUCGGUGUCGAUCAGUCCAAAGAACCUUAUCUGAAUUUACCUUCUAAAUUGAACUGUCAAUCUGUUUUGAAUGAUCUAAAUGAUCAAGAGGUAAUAUACUUAUUUUAUCUUCUUUGUAAUCCAAAUUUUUAUUGCGUUUUGUAUAUACUGUAUAUUUUAAUAAUAAUUUUUUGUAGAAUUUUGUUCGAGUAAAUGUCACAUCAUCUAGUCCUGAAGUUACAUUUCAGCAGUCAUCUUCACGCUCUCCAGCUGGUUAGCCCUUUAAUUCAACAAUUCAACACUCCCGAGCCACAGGUAAUUUUUUUUUAUGAACAACAUUCUCAAUUUUGUAAAAUAUAUAUAUACUAAACAUACAGAUAUGAUCAUUAUACAUAUACAAUUUAGUACCCAUCUAAAAUAUAUAUAAUAUUUUAUUGUAUAAUGUAAUAACAAAAUUCAACUUGCAACAAACUAUACAAUAAUGUAUAAAUAAGUAAUAGGCAGUUCCAAUGUUCAAAUCAACCAAGAUGUUCAAAACACUUUCAAUAUUUCUGAGUUUCAAAACAAUUUUGAGGUUUGAAUUCUUGAAUAACAUUUUUUAUUUUUUAUAAUCUAUGUUUAUAUGUGUAUAUUACUAAUAUUAUACAUUUAGACGGAGAAAUGUGAAGAUGUUUCAGUAGAAGUGGACAAAGAAAGAUCCCAAUUCAUGGAUGAUCAAGCAGAAUUCAACAAUCCUUCAUUUGUAUGUUAUUGUCUUCGUAAAUUAAAGGGGUUAAGUUGUAUAUAAUAUGAUCAUUAAUUUGUAUUUUUUUGUCAAAAUUUUGUCUAUUGUUAUAUAACAGCAGGAAUUAUUGAAUGUUAUAUAUGAUCAAACUGAAAAGAUGGAGCAAGAAGAAUUGGGAGAUACAAACAAACCAGGAUCAUCCAACGCCGAUGAAUUAGUUGUUGAGGAAGAUUUCAUCUUUCCAAAACCUCUUCAGAUUGUAGAUGAUAAUCAAACAAAAAUUAAUACAGAAAGAAGCAUUGUGUUACAUACUUUGUUAGUUGUGGACGAACACACACCGUUACCAAUUUCAAGGGAAAGGCGUCCAGGCCCAUUCAACACGUCGCCUUAUGUGACAACGUUCAGUUUUGAAUCUGGUAUAACAAAUUAUACAUUUUACAUAUUAACACAGUUAUAUCAAUAAGUGUUUUACACACCUAAAAAUAAUAUGUCUUUAUACAUUUCAGGUAGUUCAUCAAGGUUCCACUACGUGUUUGAACUCAAACAUCCAUUUGUUGCAAUGUCGGAUGUGGAUCUUACAACUUUAUAUCUGCAUUUCUUGAAAUGGUUAAAUGAAGGGCUUCUUGUCAGGCAUAGCGCAAAGUAAAUUAGUUAGUAAUUACUAAAUAUAAUUAUUUAAUCAUAUAUGUGUGUAUUUGUAUAAAAAUUUCUUUUUAUUUGAAUUUCGAUAGGAUAGGUAAAGAAGAGCGAUACAAAAAGAACAAGUCUCGCUUACAGAUGUGGUUUUAUUUUGGAAUUGUAACUGUCCAAAACAAGAACUGGUUCUAUAGGCUUGCAUACAAAGAUCAAUUACUUGAUGACUCGGUAAGCUUUACACAAUUCUGUUUUUUAUACAAUUUACAGAUUUAGUAUUUAUACAAUUUAUGAUUAUGUAUUUUUACAGCACAUAGAUGUCAUUUUGUAUUACAUACGCAAAAGAGCCAAGUACUUCGACUCCGAUAACAAUGAAGUCAGCUUUAUUACUGUGGAUUGCCAUUUCAAUAAACUAAUUGCAAAUGUGUGGGAUGCUUAUUACAAUUUGGAUAGUAUAGUCAACAAGGAGAGUACAGAGGAGUCCAUUAUUGAGUACAUUAAUGGAUACAGAUUUCAUGUUGCUGCACCUUGGCAUACCGUUGAUAACAUCCUUAUCCCUGUUAACAUCGAGCAGAUAUUUCAUUGGGUUCUUAUUGUUGUGUCCUUUAAUGAGAGAUGUAUACAUGUCUAUGAUUCUCUUAGGGGUGGUUCACUACACAAUUCGUCAGUUUCAAAUGAGAUCAAGAAAUAUGCACAACUGAUUCCCAUGUAUUUAUCUAAGUCUGGUUUUUACAGGAAGAAAAGCAUUAACAUAUCGUCAUAUCCGAAGUACAAGUCGCAUUCUGAAGUUGACUCUUUUGAAAUUAUACAUGUCAAUGAUAUAACACAACAACAUGAAGGAAGCCUGUAAGUCUUAUUAUUACUCUUAAUCAAAUUUUUAAUUUUAUUUUUACACUGAUCCUAGAACGGUUGUGUAUAAUUUCAGCGAUUGUGGACUAUAUGUUGCUGCUUAUGCAGACCAUAUCAGUAAGGGAAAUUUGGUUCCAAUAUUUGAUCCAUAGUUUACUCGUAUUCAAUACGCGUCUUUGUUGUAGAAUUAUGGAAUGUAAAAAAUCCAAGUUGAUGCCACCAGUGACAGUGACGCACCAGAAAGGCCAGUCAGGAUUCAUAGGAUGUUGAUAUCAGUGACAUGAUCACAAUUUAUUAGAACCGUAAUACUAGAUUUAUGUAUUUUUGAAUAUACAAAAGACAUAACAAUUUAUGAACUUCUAUGUUUUUGUAUUGUAAUAUACUUGUUUGUUCAAUUAAGUCUUUCACUUCGUUAUUUUUGUUUACAAUUUAAUACUUAUACAAACUACAUUACGCAAUAUAUAUUUAUACACUAACUGUAUAAACCUAGUGUAUAUUUCACUUUGUACUUUUUAUAUAAAAAUUGAUUAUUAUACACUUUUUAAUAAUGAGACUAUACACAUUAACUAUAUAAAACUCAACAGUUUAUUUUACUUUCUGUAUGAUUAUACAAUUAAUUGUAUAAAUCUCGACAGUUUAUACAAUUGUUAAUUUAUUAUGAACUGUAUAAUUAUACAUUACUAGGAUUAUACCAUUGUUCAGAAAUUUCAAAUUUACAAAUAAGCUUAUACAAUUAAUAGUUAUACACUAACAAUAUAAAACUAGGAUUACAUUUAUGUUGGAUAUAUACAUAUACAUUUCAAGGCUUACAAAAUAGUUCAUAAAGCAUACAUAUAUAUUCAACUUAAACAAGAACAUAUAUUUAUACAUUAAUUGUAUAAAUAUAGACGGUUAUACAAUUGUUAAUUCUUUAUGAACUGUAUAAUUAUACAUUACUAGGAUUAUACAAUUGUUCAGAAAUUUCAAAUUUACAAAUAAGCUUAUACAAUUAAUAGUUAUACACUAACAAUAUAAAACUAGGAUUACAUUUAUGUUGGAUAUAUACAUAUACAUUUCAAGGCUUACAAAAUAGUUCAUAAAGCAUACAUAUAUAUUCAACUUAAACAACAACAUAUAUUUAUACAUUAACUGUAGAAAUAUAGACUAUUAUACAAUUGUUAAUUCUUUAUGAACUGUAUAAUUAUACAUUACUAGGAUUAUCCAAUUGUUCAGAAAUUUCAAAUUUACAAAUAAGCUUAUACAAUUAAUAGUUAUACACUAACAAUAUAAAACUAAGGUUACAUUUAUGUUGGAUAUAUACAUAUACAUUUCAAGGCUUACAAAAUAGUUCAUAAAGCAUACAUAUAUAUUCAACUUAAACAACAACAUAUAUUUAUACAUAACUGUAUAAGUAUAGACAGUUAUAUAAUUGUUAAUUCUUUAUGAACUGUAUAAUUAUAGAGCUAAGUAUCUGUAAAAUUUAUACAAAAUGAUUAGCACAAUUAAUAAGACAUAACCACUUUAUUCCAUAUUGAAAAUACUAACUCAUAAUGUUUUAACACAAAACUACUUCAGAAUAAAAUUCAAUUGUAUAUCAAAUCAAAUUUAAAUUUCAAUAGAAUUGUAAAAACUUGUUAAACUUCUUGAGGUCUAUUUCUACAUGAACGCCUAUUGUGACCUGCAAAUCCACAUGUACUACAUGUAUGCUUUCCUUUUAGUCCAAGCAAUUCACGUUUAGUUUUUGAACGGGAUUUAUUUUUAGGCCUUCCGGGAGGUCUUUUGAAUUUUGGAGGUCGGGCUUCAUUAUACAUUAUGGCUUCAGGUAUAACCCAUUCUGAAAAGGAAGGCAAUGGAUAGAUCGAUAUCUCAUAAAUCUUCAAAACCGUCUUUGGUUUAUACAAAUCUGAGCAAAAUACAUCGGCUACUAGACUUCUCCGCUUCAAUACAGCCCAAACAUGUUCACAAGGAAUUUCUUCAUAUUGAAACUUCCCACAGCUACAUGUUUUGUUCUUUAAACAGACCACAAAACUCCUACCAUCAUCAGUCAUAUUGUAUAUGUAUUCAAUUGACGGCACAACUUGCUUCACACAAAUAGAUUUAUGUAUAUGUAUAAGUCUAUACAAUUUCUAUCCGUGUGCAUAACUCAUUAAUUAAUAAUUUAUGUACAUAAAACAUACCCCCAUUCAUGUGCUCAAUGCUUCAUAUUCUAUUAGUAAACUUUGAGCUUUUCCAAUCAACGGAGUAAAUGUGCAGGCUGCCUCGUGUUUGUUGUCAUGAUUCCAUCUCCCAAACAUCAGUCUUACCUCUUCCAGAAAAUUGAAUAUUGGUAAUUCCCUAGCAGAUACUAAUGCAGCAUUUAUACUCUCUGCAAUGUUAGACGUCUUAGCCCAUCCCCGAUGAGUUUCUGCAUGACACCUUGACCACUUAUCAUAUCCAGCUAGCUCCAAAUACUCUUUAACACCUACAUCAACUUUUUUUACAGUAUCCAUCAGCCUGUCAAAUUCAACUUUGUUGCAAGUCUUUGUCUUUGUAUAAUACACAGGACUUAACUCCUUGGAUGCCUUCCUAAAUUUCUUCUCUACAUUACCCCAUAAGUGCCACAUACAAGCCUAAUGUGACACAUUUCUAUACACUUGAGUCACUGCCUUUAUGAUACUUUCAUUUCUAUCUGACACUACACACAUAUUAAUCCUUUCACCAUAAGCCUCCUUUAGUUGUAGAAAAAACCAAAACCAAGCUGCAUCAUUUUCCGAAUCAAUGAUACCAUAUGCUAGUGGAAAAAUGUGUCCUGCAUUUUAAUUUACUCACACAUUAACAUUUUGAUAAAAAUUGAACAAUAAAAAAAAGUAAUCAUACCUGCUCCGUCCGUUGUACUUGCAGCAACAAAUGUUCCAUUAUACGGUCCUCUUAGGUGACUUCCAUCCACAACAAUUACAGACCUGCAAUGUUCAAAGCCUUGUAUAAAACUAUUCAAUGCAACAAAGACAUACAAGAACUCAUUUUUAUCUGUUUUCUUUAGACGUAUAUGCGAGCCUGGAUAUGUUAUAUUUAUCAUAUACAAAUAUGAUGGAAGCUUGCUAUAAGAUGCAGCUACAGUCCCCCUUAAUGCAACUAGAGCCUUUUCUCUAGCCCUCCAAGCCAACGAGUAAUUUACAUCAACUCCCAAAUAUAUCUUUACAUCACUACGAAUAUCAGAAGGUGUAUAUUUUCUCUUGUGAUCAACAAGUUUGGGUUUAACGAUCCCUCCAAUCAGCAUGCUUGUGGCAUGUUUUUGUGAAUACACUUUAUCCUUCAAAAGACAAGUAUGGUCUGUAUUAAAUGUUCUUAUUCUAGACAUACCAGAGUUGUUGACAUGAGAUGCUUUCAUUAAUCAUUCACAUUCAUCAGAAAUACACUCCAGCGUAUAACUACAUUAGCAAAAACAACACAACACAUCAAUAUACAAAUAAUUAAAACAACUUAUACAAUUACAUAUUUGUAUGUAUAAAGCAGGUACCUGAUUGCGUUUGACCUCACUGUUCCAUAUUGAAAUCUUUUUUCAAUUGCAUAUUUUUCCAUCACAGAUUUCAAUAUGUCUUUGGUCUUAUACACUUGGUCUACCUCCACGAACUUAUUACAAGGAUUUGAAAUAACUCCAUCGCAGCUCUCUGACCACAAAAUAUGAAGCGGCUCUACCAAUUCACCAAUACUCAGCUGCCUAUUAUCAAAUUCAUCAUUUUCAUUGAUGCUGAUAGAUGUUAUCAUAUCGCUAUCCUGAUUUGAACUUCCACACAGUUCAUUGGUACCAAUUAUACUAGGCAGUUUGCUAAUACACAGUGGAUACUUGUUGAACUAAUUUUCAGACUUUUUAAGCAUAAUAUACACUCUAACACCCAUGUCGUUGUGAAUCAACAUGGGUGUCUUGCCUUCCUUCAAUAUUAUACUCGAUUUUGAGUUUAUUCAUAUUCGUAUCAAUCCCUAGUUGCAUUGCAAUGACAUUAUACAAAUCAUUAUACGAUAAACUUUUUUAAAAAAUCAUCCCCUCAAUUGUAUAAUCAACGUAACAAUUUUCAUUAUCCCAUCUACCAGAAUGCUUAACCAAUAUAGCUAGUGAAGCCAUUUUCAGAAUUUCUGUAUACAAAAUCAAAUUAUAUACAUAUACAGUUAUUAGCUAAAUAAAUGCAGUAACAAACAGAAUAUGUACUUAUACCUAUUAUAGAAACUUCAUUUUUAAGCUUCUACACAUUUUCAAAUUAUACAAAAAAAAUCUCUGUAUACACACAAUUAUAGCUUUAUAGAAGUAUGCAAUUCAAUAGCAACAACUAAAAAGUACAUGAAUACAAUGGACAAAUUCGUAUGUAAUAGACAACAGUUCCAUUCAAUUAUACAAUUUACAAAAUAACACUAAAUAUGAUAGAUUCGAAGAUACAAACAACAAUCUAAUACACUUAAACACUUAUACAGUUUCAAAUGCAAACAAUUCUAUGAAUUGGAGCAAAUCACAAAUCAGUAAUUUCAAAUUAACAACAAUUUUUCACAAUUUUUUUUAUAAUUCACAUUAACUAAUCAAAUCAAUUACGGACAUAUAUUCACAUCUCAAUAUACAUUCAACUGAUUUGAUGAAAUUGAAAAACAAAAUUUGAAUUUUAAACACCAUUGUCGACAAAAUCAAAAACACAAUCAGAAUUACCUCUUAUUUUUAUCUCUAAAAACAAAUUUAUCUUGCUUGAUUGCUUAAAACCUUCAAUAGCUUGAUCAAUUUUUUGAAUUGUCAACAAUGGAGUUGCUUCGAUCGAAGGAGAAGAAGGGAGACUGAAACUAAAAUUGAUUUGGCGUGAAUUGUGAGAUUUUUUCCUUAUUUAUCUGCCGCGUUUUGUUUUUUUUUUUAAAUUGAAACUAUAUAAAUGGCUCAAUUAUACACAAAAGAAGACCCGUAGCUACGGAAUGCAAUUUUAUAUUGUUUGCUAAAAUAUAAAAUUAACAAUUUUUUCUUUGCUAUAUAUAAAAUUUGUCGUUGUUAUAUUAAAUAAUCUUCUUACAUAUUGGAAGAUUAUAUAUGUUUUUGUCAAAGUUUAUACACCAAUUAUUACUCUUAUAGCCUUUUCUUCUUUCUCCUCUAAUAUUUCAGUCUAUUAUUAUUUAAAUCAUAUUAUAGUUUUUUUUAUUUUCAUUGAUAAACAGUGAAAUUCUCUUCCAAUUGCUUAUUUAAUGGUGAAUGUUCACAUGUCAAACUUUUAAUAAAAAUUUCACAUGCAUAUCUAAAAAAUAGAGUCUAUUCACAUGUUACACUAGAAUUUUCUUAUAAAUUAAUUCAAGUCUUAAUUCAAAUCAAUUAUAAUUUUUCAAUUUUUCUUUUACACUUUUUAAACUUUUUUAAAGUCUUUUCUCUAUAAGGUGAGUUUAAAUUUAUUUUAUUUAAUUAAUUUUAUACUUUUAUAUAAUAUUGUGGUAUAUCCAUCUUUAGAUACUUAUAUUAAUGUUAACAUUUAUUUUUAUUUUUUGUAUAUAAAUAUGCAUUCGUCAAAUAUAUACGUACAUUCUGGUCCAGUAGAUUAUGAUAUAUUAAAGAUCAAAGUUCAUCAUUGUUCUGAAGGAAUUUGAAAUUAUAGCUUCAAAGAAGACAAGUCUUGCUAUAUACGCGUCGCGGUAAUACUAAAUUUUGGCAAUAUAUAAAAUAUCAUCCAUUACAUUUUGGCAUUCGAAAUCGGUAUUUUAAAAAUUGUAGAUUUAAAGGAAUUCUUGAUGUAGGAUGUGUGUUGUAUGACUCCGAAUUAAUUUAUGAUUUAAUUAAAAGGUAGCGUCCAGAAACACAUACCUUUCACAUGCGAACUGGCGAGGCUAACAUAACUUUACAGGAUGUUGAAAUUUUAUUUGGAUGGUAAUAGAUGGUACUCCUAUAAAUUUAAAUGGCUCUGAUGCGUUAGGGAUUUUAGGUAGACAAGAAAUGAUGUUUGAAUUAUCGGGAUGAUUACUCGAUAAUGAUUGUUUUACUAGUGUUAGUAGAUUGUUGACAUAUAAAUUAAUUGAGUAUAUUGAAGGUUUAAGUGAUAUUACUGAUCACUCAACUGAGCAUGAGGUGCAACAAAGGUUAAAAAUAUAUUUAUUAUGGUUAUGUGGUGGAUCAAUAUUUUCAAAUAAAUCUAAUAAUAAGAUUAAUUUGGACUUUUUGAUUGACAUGAGAAAUUUAGAUGUAAUGUCAACAAAAGCAUGGAGAGCAGCCGCAUUAUCAUAUUUGUAUAGUUGCUUAUGUCGUGCAUCAAUAAAAAAAAAUUCAAAUGAAGUUUGUGGAUUUCUCUCUUUAGUGCAUGUAUAAAUAUUUUUUAAUUAAAUAUUUUUAAUAUACUAGUAAUAUGCACUUCUAAAUUUAAGUAUACUCUAAGUAAUGUUGAAUUUUAUUUAUGGUAGAUUUAGGCAUGGGAACGAACUAUACCUCUGCAAUCAUUAUCAAAGCCUCUAAGGACCAAUCAACAUGAGGUUUCAAUUGCGCUUUCACGUAAGUGGACGCGACGUAGAAAUCAUCAAUAUGAGGCACGAACUGUAAUCGGUGUGAUUAGGGAUGUACUAGAUAAUCUAACGGAUGAUCAGGUAUUUAAAUAUUAUUAGUAUUUUAAAUUAUUUAUAUUUUUAUUCCAUUCUAUUUAAAUUAUUUACUAUUCACACUUAUGUUUCACUAUCCAAGAAAAUCAUGUGAAUAAAAUGACAUAUACAUAUAUUUUUGGUAGGUCCUUAAAAUAAAAUAUUAUAUGACAUAAUAGUACCAAAAAAUUAUUUCGUAAGAUUGUUCAUUUUCAUGUACAUAUUUUUUUUCUACCAAUUUUCCUUUUAUAAUUAUCUUAAUUAAUUUUUUUUAUAGUUUAUUUGACAACCUUAUUCGGAAGACAUUAUCAAUGGAUUGCCUGAGUGGUUUCGGUCAGGACAACAUGUCUGGAUAUCACAUUUGCCACUUAUUUAUGGAAUUUAUCGUGAGUGGCACAUGGUUGAUCGUGUUGUGAAACAGUUUGGUUAUUUAUAACAUAUUCUUAGACCAUGUACCCAAUUUUUUAAUACCAUUUUAAGUGUGAUAAACGAUACAAAAUAUAACAAGAAGAUAUAGAUGCAUUUAACUACAUACAAUAUUUAUGGGAACAACGUCAAAAUCAUAUAUUUCGACCUCCAUUUGUAAGUGAUGAAGCAUCUUACUUUUGUUGGUACAUGAGGCAUACACGUAUAUUCAUUGAAAAUCCAUAACUUGUACUAAAAGGGUAUCAACACAUGAAAGGAAGACAUGACACAGUAGUAUAUAUAUUAUGUAAAUUUUAAAUUACUAUGUCAAUGUUUAACAAUUUUUUUGUUAUUUAUUUUUUUAUAUUCAUUAUAGGCUAGGGGUCAUAAAAUGCAGUAUCGUCGAUUUAGGAUGAUUGAAAAUGAUGAAAAUCAAUCUAAUGAAAUGGGACAAUAUGCAGAGGAAGUUGCUCGUAUUUCGAUGGUGUCAAUGAAUGCGGCCUUCCAAGGAACGCGAUUGAGCUUUGAUCCUAAUUACAAUCCUCUCACUCAACACGAUGAACCACCACCAACACAAGUAUCUCACCGAUCACGACAAACAACACGGAGAGAGCAUGCACGUCGAGGUAGAGAGAGCGCUAGUGAAACAGUUGAUUUUUCUGCAGGACCCUCUAACACUAAUGUGGCGACUUCCGAGCCUUAUUAUCCCACGUUUGAUUUUUCUGCAGGACCCUCUAACACCAAUAUUAAUUUUUCUAGUCAAAGGAAUCAGUUGGUUUUUUAACUCCACAUCUUAUAUAUCUGAUUUUGCGCAAUUCAGUCGAUCUCAAUAUGGUAUGUAGCAUAGUAAGCAGGAAUUUUCUAUACAUAAUUCUCCAUAUGGUGGGAGGUUGAAUUUUUCUAAUGUAAGUAUGAUAAUUUUCGUAGAAAUUUUUUAUUUUUUAUAACUUUUUUGCAUAUUUAUUUAAUUAUAUUAUAUUGUAUCGUAUUGUAUUAUAGGUAUCUAUGUCCGAUGAUUCAAGAUUUAAUGAUGAAACUUCACAAAAUUUAAUUUUUAAUAGAGAAAAUCCACCUCGGAGAACAUCUAUGUUAUAUAAAUCAACUACACGUGGAAUAGGCAGUCACUAUCAAAUUGAGAAAGAUUUUAAUAAUGAAGAGGUAGAAGAUUCGAAUUCAGAAGAAAAUUUUUUAUGCACCUUUAUUCUAAAAGACUGAAUAGUUUUAUGCAGUAAAUCAAAUUUUUAUGUGUGUUGAAUUUUACUGUUUCGUGUAAUUUGAACAAAGAGUGAGAAAUAUAUAUUAUUGCAGUGAGAUUCUUAUCUUUAUUAUAACUUGCAGUCAACUUGUAGGAUAUUUUUUUUUCUUUAUGUCAUAGAUCAAAUCAUUACUUUAUAAUAGAGGUCAAAUCAAUUAUAUAAUUAUAAUAUAAAUAUAUUAUACUUGCAAUAUUUAAAAUGCAAUAAGACAAUUAAAUUCAUGUCAACAAAUAAUUAUAAAAUAUAUAUCAUAAUAUUAAUAACAAUACAACAAAAAUGCAUUCACCUUAAAACAUAGACAAUAUAUUUAAAAUCAAGUAGGAAAUUAUGUCUUUGUGUGACUUAUCUCCUUAAAAACACUAUAUUUUCUAGUCAUGCGAGUUGGUCAUUCUUAAGUCGACUUCUUAUUUGUGUACCACAUGUCCACAAAUAUUUAGUAUUUGCAAUUAAAUUAAAAGGAGCUCGUGGCCAAUACAUUUCAUCGCCUACUGGGGUAGAUGUCUCUGUGUAUAUUUUUUAUAAUAUUUUGUACUUUAGAAUUUACUUACAUAAGAUUUUGCUCGAUUCCGCGAAGUCCACAAAAUUAAUGGCAUGCGAGCAAGGCAUAUGAUAGUUUAUCCAUUUUCCACAAGAACAUUUCUUACCUUUUGAUAUAGCCUUGUGGACAUUUCCACUAAACCAUCAUGAAAAAAAGUAGGAAUUUCAAAAACUCCGUCACUAAUGUUGUAAGUCAUCAUAUUUGUGUGCCCUUGAGCUCUUUGAUAGUAACCAUUAAAUUUUUUAUCUAUCGCAAGAGGUCAUGACAUUAACUUUGAAGUAAUGCAACUGCAAGAUUGUUUCUUUCGACAAAAUGAUCAACAAGAUAUUUGAACGUCAUUCAAACCAUGGCAAUCACAUCCCCCAAGCUUUUUUCAAUAAACCAUUAUAUGAUUCAGACACAUUCAUCGUCAUGGCACCCCAUCUACGAUCACCGUCCUUAUACAUCGUCAAUUUUUCCAAAUGAAAUUCAUUUAACCAUUCAUAUGCUGGAAGAGACAAUAUUUUGAUUUGUUGCAUCCGUUGCACAAACUUUUUCUUUGGAUGCUCAGUAGCUACAAUCACAUUAGUUUUUCGAGUUCACUAUUUACAAAUUUUUUAUUAAAAUUUUCUUUUAAGAAUCAAACAUAAAAUCUAUGGUAUGUGUUGGGUGGACCUAAUCAAUCAUACGAUUGAAUGCAUUGCAAGAUUCCUUGAUGACGGUCAGAAAUGAGACCAAUUCCUUGUCGUUCACAAACAACAUGUGUCCAUAAUAACUUGAGAAAUCCUAACCAAGACUCAAAACUCUCACGUGCAACUAAAGCAUAUGCAAGUGGAAAAAUAUUUUCAUUCGCGUUAAUCUCAACCGCAAUUAAUAGUUUGAUAUCAUACAAACUAUAAAGAUGUGUGCCGUUGAUUGAAAUGAUCGGCCUACAACUUUUGAAACCAUCAAUGCUCUGUCUAAAAACCCCAAAAAAAAAAUUAAAAAUUUGCUCACCUUGCACUGUUGUAGAAUGAUGCUCUCAUUCAAUAAUAGUGCUUGGAUUGAAUAAUUGUAGUACAGUCAUGUAUCGAGGUAAUGUCUGAAAUAAACUUUCAAAGUCACCAUAAAUCAUUUGAAAUGCUUUUCUUCGACCUUUUUUUGCUUUUCUAUAAGUAGGAGUAUAGUGAUGCUUUCCUUUGAUGAUUUCACGGAUCAUCUUAUUAUUUAUAUCUGAAUUUUGCAUAAUAUAUGGUAUUAAUGAAGUGACAAUCAUGUUAUCAUUCCAAUUGAAAUGAUCCUCCUUAUAAUUAUCUGUAACACAAGUUUGCGGUUCAAUUAUUUUUCAUGUCUUUCACAUAACACUUGAAAUCUCUCUAAACCGAAUCAUCCAAUCACAUCCUAACUCAUGAUGCUUGCAAAUAACUCUCCAACUUUUACUCUUAGAUUGAUCACAAAGAAAUUCUUUUUUAAUAGCAAGACUAUAUACUUUUACGGAAGAUUUCAUUUGCAUCUUAUUCAUUAAAAACAUUACUAGUUGCAUAUACAAAUUAAAUUUAUUAAUAUAAAAUAAAUAAAUAAACAACUAUAAAAUAUUUAUUUUGCAACAAUCAAACCUGACUGGAUAUAUUUAGGAUUGCUUGAAUUCCAAAGUGUUGUUCGAAUGGAACCAUCAUCUCUCAUAUAAAUAAAAUCUUCUGCAUUUUCUUCAGAGUGAUUUAAGUAUGGAAUCGCUGUAGAAUGAUAAUUAGUACUUUGAUCUUCAACGGAUGCAUUAGGUGCACUAUCCACAUCAUCGUCGUCAUCAUCGUCAUCAUCAUCAUCAUACAUUUCAUCACUGUCUGUUAAUCCAUGCUUCAAAGGUUCCUCAUUGUGCAACUCACCAACUCGUUCGUCAUCCAUAACAUUAUUAUUUACAAUUUGUCUACAAUAAUUCAUUGCAUUUUGAAUUUGAUCAUUCCUAUAAAAAAUAAUAAUAUAAAUAUAUUGUAUAUAAGAAAAAUAAUUUUAGGAAGAAAAAAAAAACAUUACUUUAUUUACCUAUCAGUUGACUCCGAUGGAAAAAAAUUCAAAUGCUUGAAAUUUUAUCUAGACUCUCCCAUAUUGUAAUAUGGCACACUUCAAUUCAAGUAAUGAUCACGAAUAUAUAUGUUCAUUUUUAUGCAUGAAAUCACUGCGUGAAAAGCGAUAUUUAAAAAUGUUAAAAAAAAACCUUUAGUAAAAUCGCUAUCUUGGCAGCGAUUUUGAACGAAAAUAAAUAAAUUAUUUUACCAUUAGAUAGAUGUGACUAGUUGACCGAAAUGUUAGAAGAAAAAAAUUCACCAAAAUUUGAUAAACCUCGUUUAAUAAUUUUAAAAUCAUAUAAAGAUGGUAUUUUCAUUUAUACGUGUAGUUUUUUCAUUAUUUUAAUGUUCUAAUUUUUUUUUAAAAAAAAUUCAAACUAAAUCACUGGCAAAGAAACUAUUUUUACUUAGAAGAUUUUUUAAAAUAUAUUUAUAUUUAUAUAUUUAAUAUAUAUAUAUAUAUAUAUAUAUAUAUAUAUAUAUAUAUAUAUAUAUAUAUAUAUAUAUAUAUACACACACACUUAAUAAAAAUUAUUUUUAAAACUAGAUGUGACAAGUUAACAGAAAUUUAAGAAAAAAAUAAAAAAUCAUUAAAAUCAUGCCUCAUCUUUUUUAAAUAUAUAUAUAUAUUCCACCAAAAAUCGCUGCAAGUGCAGCAAUUUACUAUUAAAAAAAAAUUGAGGCAGUGAUUUAAUAUACACAAUUUAAAUUUUUUUUGACUAAAAGCAGCGAUUUACUAUAAAAAUAAAUUAAGCAAAAUUGCUGCAAAUACAACGAUUUACUAUAAAAAUAAAAAAGUAAAAUUGCAACUUUGAUUUCUUGUCUAUCAACUUGAUUAGUUUUGAACAUUUUAGUGUAGAAGAAAUGAGAUGUAAAAUUUGUAAUUUUUAUGUUAUUUAUCUUUCUCUGACAACUUGCUUUAUCCUCAUCCUUUUAUCUCAUUUGUGAUCAAGUUCUUGCUUAUCUACAUUUUUCAAGUACAUGUUCACUAUAAAUGUGUUUGUUUAUUCAAAAACAUUAUCAAGGAACAAGAGCAUCAAUUGUUGCUCAUGGGAUGGGAUGGAGUUUAUUGUUACGAGGCGACAUGACAACAGUUGAUUAUUGAGCUUAACUUCACUUGCAGCAGACUUCAUGACCAUUUUUCAUUCCAAUGUAGGUUUUUAACCUCUCCAAUCUCAAAAGACUUAAUUUGUCUAGUAAUAAUUUUUCGGAAUCGUACAUUCUCCUAAAGUUGGUAGAUUUUUUAGCAGGACUCAUAUUUAGAUUUUUCAAGUCAAAUCCAUUCUGAAAUAUUUACAACUACAUUACGCAAGCCCCGCCGAUACCUACCUAUAGAGUAAAAUUCUAAUAAAAAAGUAUCAGUGACGGCGACUUUCUAGAUUUAUAGAUUCAGUCAGCUAAACUCCAUCAAACUCCUCAAUCAAUAUCAACAAAAUGUCGUUAUCUUUCUAAAGUACACGUUCUUUUAUAUUUAGAAUUAUGAUCCAUAUGGGCUUAGAGUUGGACUUCACAAUAUUUAACUACUCCUUAAGAACUUGACCCAAUUAAGAGAACUCCGUGGACAUCUCUUCCACCAUCCCUUUGAAUUGGGACAGUGUGCAUUUUGCAAUACUCUUGGUUGUUGUAGUUUACACUGAAGUUAGCCACACUGUCCACAUGUGUGUUGAUGUAUAAAUAUUUGUAAUUAAAUAUAAUGGUUAACUACCUGCAACAUCAAGGAUGUUGUAACCAAUGAUUCAAUAAAACAAUAUAUGAAAGUGUAAGAGACUUAAUUUCUACGUAACUACAAAUGUCUAUGAUAAAGUGGUUCUUAUGAAGCCCCUUAAUUUCUAAUUUUCUUCAAUUCUGUCUCGUGACAUCAUAACAGAAACAUAAAGUAUCCGAUAUUAAAUUCGCGAUGAAAAAAAUUUCCCUAUCGCAAGACGUAAACCUGCAUAAUAAUAUGACUUCUUGUUGUAUCGGCAUAUAUUUUUAUUGAGAUGCACUAAAAUAGGCUUGAUAUCGCAAUGCAAUAAAACAAAACAAUCUAAAUUCCAGUAGUAAUUCAUAUUAAUGUAUGGAUAUUUGACCAAACCGCAGAACAAGCUAUAAAUAAAAAAUCUCAUACACCUUACUGAGACUCUUAACAUAUACUGAUCAUAUGUAUAAAGUACGUUGUGAUUGAAAUUAUUAUGUAUUUUCAUAUAAUUUUGUUAAGCAUGUUGAAAUUUUAAUAUAUUGACAAACUUUUAAGUUUGAAUUUAGAUUAAAAAUAAAAUUAUUUAAAAAAUGAAAGAAAAAAAGGGCUAGUCUGCUCGAGCUUGAAACCCUUCUAGGUUUGGACAUUUCAAGGUCCUUUCAAAUGAAGGAUCGACCUGUCCUAGCCCCUCAAAUUUAUUGGCAUGUGAGACUCGGACUGAGUGGGGUUAGAUUGGCUGUUUUGACAGCUCUAAAGAUGAGUAAUGUUGGUUAGAUAAAUUUAAUACUCAAACAAUUAAAUUAAGAAUUCAGUUGAUAUUAAAUUUAACUAGAGAAUGUGGUUGGUUAUUAAAUAAGAUAAACUAAUAUUAGUUAAUAUUUUCAACCUCCGGAGGUUGAUAAUUUCUUUUAUAUGUAUAUUAAAAUGGGCCAUGUUCAAAUUAACUCAUCAAAAUUAAUUGUUUCCGUCACGAUCCAAACGAGUCGUGAGUGGCACCCACCCUUAAUCUACUAGGUGAGCGAACCAACAAAUCUAAACCCCAACAUUUACCAGUAAAUCAAUUAUUAAUAGUAAAAACAAUGCGGAAGAUCCAAAACUCAUUAACGAAAUCAAGUAAAUAAACUUCUAACAUUUAAUACUUAUUAUUCCCAAAACUGAAAGUCAUCACACCAAGAACAUCUAUCCUCGAAUUUCUAAAUCUAAGAGUAUUUAAGAAGCUAAAAAUAGUAAAAAAAAUGGUCCAUGUCUGAACUUCAAGACAUCAAGACGUGAAGGAGAGAAUCCAGCACGAGCUAGGAAUAAUAGCUCACCCUGAAUUCUGAUGUGCUGAAGACUGGCUAGAUCUGAGGAUGAGUCGAAGUCGGCGGCACGCUUGCUGCACUCCACAAAUAACAAAGAAGAAAAUUACAAGUAGGGGUCAGUACAAGGAACACGUACUGAGUAGGUAUCAUCGGCCAACUCAAAAUAGAAAGCAAUAUAUACUGAAUAAUAAUAUAAAAUCGACCAUAAUACUUAACAGGUGGCAAUCAACAAGUGCAAGAACCAUUGGCAACAACACCAAGCACACCUAUGAGGACUCAAGCCUCCAUACCAUACUCCUUUGGGAAAUAGAUUCUUCGAAUUUGAGUAUGUUAACAUAAUUCAAGAUUCAUUCUCUUCAUUAUUAUUGUGUCGGAACGUGACACUCCGAUCUCCUAAUAUGUGUCGGAACGUGACACUCCGAUCCCCUAAUAUGUGUCGAAACGUGACACUCCGAUCCAAUCCUACGUGUCGGAACGUGACACUCCGAUCCAAUACUACGUGUCGGAACGUGACACUCCGAUCCAAUACUAUAUCAUUAUUCUAUUUCAUCAAGUCUUCUUUAUGUUAAGCGUCAUCUUAAUAAAGAGGAUUUAGGAUUAAAGAUUCAACAAUCUCAUCAUUCUAAUCCACCAUAAUUACACAAUCACAACAUACAAACACACAAUCAAGCAUAUAGAAGACUUUACAAUACCACCCAAUACAUAUCAAUCGCUAUUUAGAGUUUAUCUAUCACAUAGAAGUAAACCAUAACCUACCUCCACCGAAGAAUCGUGAUCAAGCAAGCUACUUCCUCAAUGCCUUUGUUGUCCUCUUCGUUCUCUCUUUCUCUCUCGUUCUCCCUCUCUGUUUCUUUUUGUUUUUCUUCUCCAGAUUCUUUUUCUUUUACCCUAAUUAUCAUAUAAUUCAUUAUGAUAAAAGUACCCCACUAUUUAUCUUCUUAUUAUCUUCUUUAACCCCCAAGUAAAUAAAUUAUUAAACUUACCCCACUAAUUUCAUAAUUAUAAUCAUGAAUAUUCCAAAACACCCCUUUAAAACUUUUAGCAAAAAUCCGACCCAGUCGGGGUUACGCAGCUUGUGACGGUCCGUCGUGUCUACGACGGUCCGUCCUGCAGGUCCGUCACAAAGUUCAGAGAGUUAAAUUUCAGUAGUGAGGUUACGCCACUUGUGACGGUCCGUCCUGCAAGUCCGUCACAGAGUUCAGAGAGUCGAUCCCAGUACCCAGAUUUUCAGAGUUGAAGUAUUUUGAAACGAAGGCCCUCGAUGGACCGUCGUGUCUAUGACGGUUCGUCCUACCUGUCGUCGAGGGUAAUGAGGAGAGCAGCAGAAAAAUUUACACAAGUAUGGGACGACAGAGUCCAUCACGGUCCGUCGUGACCAUGACAGUCCAUCGUGUGAUACGUCGAUCCAGUCAGUUUUUAUCAAAAAUAGUUCUACUGCUCGAACCGACUAAACAGGUCGUUAUUCAUAGUCACACAUGUUUUAAAUCACAAAUUUAAAAACUCUCUUAUUUUUAGUCUGGUCGAAAUCAAAGCAAUCUUUUUAUAAGUGAAAAUAAAUUAACGUUAAAAUUUAUCUUUCAUCCUCAACAAAAUGAUUCGUAGUCACACUAAUAUCUAUAGUUUGUUUUAAAUUACAAAUUCCAAAAGUCUUUAUUUUUUAAAACUUUGUGCCCAGUUAAACAAUGACAUAUACAUCGAAUGAGAGGGACUAAUAUCAUAAUUUUGCAUUGUCCAACAUAGGAUAAGUGAAUUGAUUGUUCCUUUGCAACUUUCAAUAAAUAUGAAAAUUAAAACAUACUCCCUCCGUUCGGAAUUGUUUGUCAUGGUUUCUAUUUUUAGAGUCAAACUAUAAAAAAUUUAACUAACAUUUUAAGAUGUAACUUUUCAUCAUAUUAAUAUGUAAAAAUUGAAAUUUAUAGUACUUUUCAUAUAGUUUUAGAAUAUCUAAUUUUUUUUUAAAAAAUAUCGAAUUAAUGUAAUCUAAUUUAACUUUAAUAACCAGUAAAAUUGACUUUCGAAAAGCGCAACAUGACAAAUUGUUCAAAACAUGUACCUAUUAGAUACAAAAUGCUGAUAUGGUAAAAAAUGUGAAUUGCACUUCUCAGAAGUGCGUGAAAAGACUUAAAAUAGUGUCUUUUUAAAUUUUUUUAUAUUUUUUCUUCUUUUAUUGACACUUGGCAUUAUAAAUAACUUAAAAAAUAUUUUCUUCUUUAUUUACACUUUUUUCAGAAAAAGAAAACAUCACACUCCCUAUCUAUCAUCUUCUUCAUAAUUUAGUUUUAAAAACUUUUUUCAUUUUAGCUCUAACACUGUUUUUUUUUCUUUUUUUAUAUACAAAAAAUUUAUAUCUUCCAAAUAUGAAGAUAAAUGAAAAUCAACUACAAAGAUUCAGAUUUGAAAGAAAGUCUUCGUAUUAUUUAUUUCAAAUCUCAUAAAAACAAGGAACAAGUAUGAAGAAGAUGAAAAAAGAAAUGAUUUUUAUGUAUAAAAAUAGUUAGCCGAUAUUUAUUUAUCACAAUUUUCGAACAAAGAUUUUUAUUCAAAUUCAUAUGUGGUCAUUAAAUUUAUCAAAAAUGAUAUAAAAAAUUUGAAAGAAAUAAUUUUGGAGCUAUCAAUUUCAUUUUGUCAUCGAUGUAGAGUUGAAUAACUGCCAACAAAAGUCUCUUUCUUCUUCACUCUUAGUAUGAAAAAAAAAUAAUCUUGAAGUUAUUUGAAAAGAAUAAGAUUUUGUAAUUUGAGAAAGAAUGUGUUUUGGGGAAGAAGAUGAAGAUGAAAGGGGUUGGAGUAGGGUGUGGUAGAAUAGGUUGACAUUUUUAUUUUUAUUUUUAUUUUUUAUAAAAUUAGAUAUUAAAUAUGUGUGUUUUUAUAAUUUUUGGGCCCAAUGCCAAAUGUUAUUUUUUAAUUAGACAUGUUGCCACGUCACCGCAAGUGUAUCAUACACUCUUCACAUUUUUUGUUGAUUAUCGAAAAAUAUCUAGUAGAAACGAUUAUUAUAUAGAUAAAAGUGUUCAAUUAGUACUAAUAUUAGUUGAAGUGUCUAAGUGAAUUAUGCGGACAACUUAAAGAGACCGCUGAUGACUAAGCCUUUUUUCUUUAACGUUUUAUCUUUCAAAAAGAGAAGUGUUUGGCCAAGUCUUUGUGGAAAAAUAGGUGUUUUUAAAAUUAGAGAGAAGUAAAAAUUGUUUUUGAGUAUUUACCUUGGAAGUUGAAGAGAAGUGUUCCAACACAACUAAGAGAAAAAAAUAUCAAAAAAGUCAAAAAGAAAAAAGGCAUUUGCGGGAUGGGUAUCAACCUUGAAAGUUGGAGAAAAGUACUCUAAUACAACUAAAAAAAAUAUCAAAAAUAAUCAAAAAGAAAAGGCGUUGGUGAGAAGGCCAAUAACCUUAGAAAUUAGUGAUAUGUGCUCCAGCACAAUCGAAAAAAUAUCAACAAAAAAAAAAAGGUGCUAAUGGAAAGGGCAUCAACCUUGUAAGUUGGAGAGAAGUGCUUCAACAUAAUAAAAAAAAAAUCGUGAGUUGAAGAGAAAAUGCUCUAACACUUUAAAAUUGGAGAGAAGAUGCUCCAACACAAUCAAAAAAAUAAAUAAAUGAAAAUUAAAGCGAAGUACUCUAAUAAUUGAAGAUUGAACAACAAUUAAAAGAUUUAAAAGAAAUGCUUCAAAUAAAUUGUUUUUUUGUCAAAAGUGUUUUUUUUAUAAGAAACACUAUUGAAAAGAAUACAAUUAAAAAUACUUGGUAAAAAUUUGAUCAAACACAUUAUGUUGCUCAAGAGUGUUUUUUAAAUAUAUUUACUAAAUACAAAUUGUUUUUCAUCAAAACUAUUUAUUUUUAUAAAAAGUACGUACUUUUGAAAAUAAUAUUUUUUAAGAAAAAAUUAAAUACAAAUAUACUCCACAACUUUGUAAUUUUAAUGGAUAUAUCCCUCGUUAAGAAUAUAAUUAAGAGGUAUAUAUAUCGCGAAGUUAAAGGGAGGUAUUUGCUCCUAAGCUGAUUCUGAAAAAUUGGCCAAACAAACAUAUUUUUGACUCUUAUCUCCUUUUAGUAAAUAUCAAGUGUAUAGGACUCGGUUGAGAAUUUUAACUAAAUACUAAAAAUGUGAUUUUUGUAAUAGCUUAAGUUUCUAAAUGAAAUAGUGAUACAGUCUAAUAUGACAUAUUAGAACAACGAGAGAUCCUAAAAUUUGAAUCUUGUUAUUAUUCAUUAUAUUAGAAAGAAAGAAAUACACAACAUACUUGACCAAAGUCUUCAGAACAGAGCUAGAAAAUAUAGGGUUUAGUACGCCUCACCCUAGCAAACGGCCAUAAUUCCAAAAUUCAAAUCUACACAUCAAAAACAUAUUAAAAAUUUAAAUAAAUAAUAAAAAAGUGUUCUCUCUAAUUUAUUUAUCCAAUUAGCAUGCAUGAUAAUGAUGAAUAAAAAAAAGUCUUCAACUUCAUUCAAUUUAUGAUAUUUCAUCAUUCAUGAGAUUGGAAUCUAAUUUCGUAUUUUUUUCAAUUAUAUUAUUUUUGUAUUUGUCAAUGGUCUACUGAAAUCUUCGAGUAUAAAUUUUCUAUGUUUACAUAAGUAAAACAGGCCAAUCGACCCGUAAAUCUAAAAAUAUCUAGUCUUUACCUAAUAUUAGUUCUCAAACCACAUUUGAUGUCCACCCAAAAUAAUAUGAAAAACACUCAAUCCUUAAAUGAAAAAGUUAUGAAGUAUAUUAUAUGCAAACUAAAAAGAUCUUAUAAUAUGUCAAACUCUUAAAGAGUUAAACUAUAUAAAUAUUAGCCAACAUAUAUAAGCAAAACAACGUGCAAGAAAAAGCAUGAUUAAGAAAGAGUACCAUCACAAGCAAUGCAAAUGACUAUUGAUAAGAAAGACUAACUUAGCCUAUUCUAAAUAUAUGUUUUAUUUUUUAUGGAUGGAAGAUACUAAUCAUUCUCAUAAAAAAGUGAUUAGACAUCCAUCUAACCUUUGUCAAUUAGAUCCAUUAUGUUUUCAAGAAAACUAUAGAUUCAUCUUUUCCUUGAUGGUAAUUUAAAUUAAAUGGAUCGAAAUAUCUCAUAACGUUCUGAAUCUAGCUUAUGUAUCACUUAAAUCAAUUGGUAAGGUGAACAAUUCAACCGAUAGAACAUACUACAAUUCCAUGUGGCAAGGAGCCAACAUCAACGUGUCAAAUCUUUCCGUUGGGUUAAAUUUGGAGCUAAAAUUCCUUCCGCGCCUUUAUUACCAUUUGAAAGGCCUAUGCUUUAUACAUAAAAAUUAUCUAUCUGAGACUGUCCUUUUAAUUUGUAGAUUCUAAUAUAAGAUUAGAUCGAAUUCUAAUUUUUUUAGAGUGGUAUCUCAUUUAAUGGCUCGAAUCCCGCAUGUAUAGGUUUAUAUUUUAAAAAAAAUGUUUUUGUGUAAACUCAAUAAUCAAUCACAAAUAAUUGAAUUACUAAGAUAAUCUUAAAUCCAUGUGAGUAGUAGGUUUAUGAUGGUGACAGAAGUCCUAAUAAGCAGGGCCAGGACGUAACAUCUUUGCAUGCGCAUGCAGAAUAAAUGUACCGAAGAAAGGACUAAAAUGAGCGUGUUUGAAUCAAUUUAUUUUAUUUUAAAUCGAAAUAAUUUUAAAGCAAUUUCAUAUCAAUAAAAAAAAAAUUUAUAAGUUUAUCUAAACAGACUACAAAUAUCGAAGCAUCUAUCAUUUUCUCUCUUUUUUCCCUUCUAAUUUGUCCUCAAGUAUUAUAAUAUAAUGUAUACCAUGACCAUGAGAUAGCAAAAUUAAAAUGUUAGAAUUCAUUAUAUAUAUAGUGAUGAGUCAAAUAAACAACAGAAAAAGUUACAAUAUGUAGUAUAAUCACUUAAAAAAUAAUCAAAAUAACUUUUAUAAUUGAAAAAUCACUUAAUUUUCUCUAAAUAUCCUUUUGAUUAAGAAAUUAUGUCACAUGAUGACAUGAGCAAGAUAUAUAUACAAAAGAUGAAGGGGCUUGCCUCGUCGUUCCUUUUUCAUAAAUUAAAUUAAUCAGUAAUGGACCUACAUUAAUGAAUGUUUGAAUAUAUAUCCAUUGAAUUUUAAUUGAAACAUUUAUUUUUAUGUUAGAAAAUCAAUAAUUCAAUAAUAUAUAAGAUAUUGACUGAGCAUCCAACUUUAAAAGAUAAUUUUUUUUAAAGAAAAUAUUUAAGCAACCACACUUUAAAAGUGAUAGCUAGCUAGGAAUUAGUCCCAACCUAUAGAGGAAUAAUCAAGAAUAAACUUACAUGUUUAACUUGUAUUUUUUAUCUUAUAUGUGCCAACUAAUUAGAAGUCAAUCAUUGGUACCUGAGCUGGUGGAAAAAUCUAGAAAUACACAACCCCCCACCCCCCACCCCCAAAUCUAAAAUGUCCAACAUUAUCAUGCUUAUUUUUGAAAUUUAUCUUUUCUGUUUUUAUCUGGUAUCUGUUAUCUCCGUUUGAAAUUGUUUAUCAUGUUACAUUUAUCGAAAGUUAAUUUGAUUAAUUUUUAAAGAUAAAUUAGAUUACAUUGAUAUUUUAAACAAAUAAAUUAAAUAUUGUAAAAUUACAUGAAAAGUACUAUAAAUUAUAAUUUUAUUUUCCAUAUUAAUAUAAUGAAAAAAUAUAUUUUAAAAUAUUAAUCUAAAUUUUUAUACUUUGACUCUACAAAUAAAAAUUAUGACAAAUAAUUUCGGACGAAGGAAUUAAUAUUCAACAUCUGUUCUGAAACUCAACAAUUCAAGUUUACGUUGAAAAUCACACUUUGAGAUGUUGUACAUUAAAGGUAACUUUGUUUUAGGAUUUAAAUUCGUUAUUUUUGUUGGAGAGAUAUAUAUUUACUAUAUACCCACAUCAAAAUUUUUGCGGUGUAACAGAAGAUUUAGAAUAAAAUAUAUCGAUUUAUGGCAAUUUAGUAGCUUUCUUUAUGUUUUAUAAUGUAUAUAUAUUACAAUAUAUUAUAGUUUUAUAAAUAUUUGCUUGUGAAUAUUAUUGUUAUUAGUAUAUAAUAUUAAUAAAAAAUUAUUAUAAAAAUCAUAAGUUUUAAAUUUUAAAAUCUAAUCUCUCAUGUUUGAUGUAUAUGUUUGGUUUUAUCUUUGCUGUAGCCUUGUGUUAGGCACGUGAUAUUUUGCUCAAUUCAUAUUUUUUUUAAAAAAAAAUAAUCGAGUUAUUCUAUCCUAAAUUAAAAUUUUUAAAUUUGAGCCUUUGAGUUUUUAAGUAUGAAAAUUUUCUUGAUAGGAAGAGUUUUUCCAUGAAUAGAGCUUCAUACAGUGUAAAUUUAAAUUAAUUAAAUUUCAAUAUGCAUUUCGUACGCUAGAAGAUAAAAAAUAAUAAUGAAUUGUGGAACCAAGUCUGAAAAUGCUGGCUCUAUUAGUCUUCAUCAACAGACAAUUUGGUCCCCAUGAGUAUAUAUAGUAGUAUAUUCAAUGUAUACACGACCAAUUUUGUAUAUAUUUCGAUGGAUCGUGUCAUAUUUUCUUGUAACAAAAGAACUACUCCCUCUGUUUAAAAAAGAAUGGUCUAGUUUGACUUGGAACGAAUUUAAAAAAAGAAAGAAGAUUUUUUAAUUUUGUGGUUUUAAAUUAAAAUUAUGUCAAAUUUAUUAAAAUGCCCUUUAAUUUUGUGGUCUUAAAUAUAUCACGUGAAAAAUUAAAAUUAAAUUAUUACCAAAAAUGGAAAAAAUCAUUCUUUUCUAAACAGAUAAAAAGAAAAUAAGGUAAUUCUUUUAAAAAUGAAGGAGUACUUUUUUUUUCUCCUACUUUUUUGGGGCAAAAUAAUUACUACUUGAGCUUAUUAUUGCAAUAUUUCUUGAUGUUAUCUUUUAAAUUCUAGAUUUUUAUGAUUUACCUAUUAAUUUAGUUUUUAAAAAAAUUGAUUGGCCGUUUAUGCAAGGGAUAAAGUGGUCUUUUUUUACUCCAAACUCAAAAAAUACAUAAAACAUUUCUUAUACACUCUAGUAUAUAUUUAUACAAUUUUAUAUAAAUAUGUAUAGUAAGUGUAUAAUGUUAUAUAAGCAUUGUUGCGGAAAAAAUGUGCUAUGUGGGUAUAGUGCAAAAUAUGACUAAAUUAGACUAUGUUUCUGAAAAUAUUCUUUUUUUAUAUGGUUCGAAAUGAAUAAAAUUUUUAGAGUUUAAGGUUAUAUUGAGUCUUUCGGAAAUAAUAUCAAAAAAUAAAGGUAAAAUAUGCCUAUGCUUUAUUCUCGUUAAAUCAAUUUAUAAAAUUAUACUGAAUAUAUCAUUAUCUUAAAAUUUAAGCAUCUAUUAUUCAUCAUUUUUCAAUAUUACUUUUUUUAAAUGAAAAUUUCAACUACUUUUAAAUCCCAAAUAGUAAUUAUCUUUACUUUCAAGAAUAAUUCAAAAGAAUCCAAAGGAAUAUUAAUAAGAGUUCGGAGCCUAAAGGAUAAAAAAUAUUAAUAAAAAUUUUUAAACGGUAUAUGAAUUUUUAUUUUAAUCAAAACAGCAAAAUUGCUCAAGAAGUAGCAAUUUUGUUUAUCGAAAAAAGUAAAAUCGCUGCUAUAAAUUUGAAUUUUUUUAAAAUAUUUUUUUUUAAAGAAAGCAAUAAUUUCCAAUUUUAUUGUUUUUUAAUAAAUCACUGCCUUGGUAGCGAUUUAGGCUUUUUAUUAUUAUUAUUAUUUAUUUGCUAUUUUUUAAAAAAAAUUUAAAAUAAAAAUUGGAUAAAAUCGAAAAAAAAUUCACAAAUUUUACUACACAAAAAUAAGUAGGAUUAUUUUUUUGAGCGAUUUACUUAAAAUUUUAAAAAAUUAUAAAUCUAAUUUUGGAGAAAAAAUUACUUUGGAAAUCUUUGCUUUAAAUUUUUUUAUUUAUUUUGGUAAAAAAAUCUAAUUUUGCAAAUCGUUGCUAUAGCAACGAUUUUAUUUUUUUUGGCAAAUAUAAUCGCUAUCUUCGUAAGCGAUUGUGCCGUUUUAAUUAAAAUAAAAAUUUAUAUACCGUUUUAAUUUUGUUAACAUUUUUCACUCUUUAAACUCCGAACUCACGUUAAUAAAUUAUCCUUUGAUUAAUUUCUUCUACUACCAAAAUGGUAAUAUUAACAAAUGACCCAUUUCAAAUUGUUUUAGAUACUAUUUUCUAGAGUUGAUUUUUAUUUUGAAACAAUUUUUCUAUCUUAUAUAAAAUCUAAUAAAAAUAAUAGUAAGAUUGCGACACUCCAUUAAUCUCAGAGCUCAUUAAAAUAUUAUAUUGAAUAUAUUAUAUAUCAUAAAGUUGAUUAUGUUAAUAUUGCAUUAAGUUUAGAAAUGGAAUCUUCAUAAAGCUCUCAAUAAAAAAAAUUAAAUUUCUGAUGUAGAUCCAUCACCAUCAAACCAGCAAGAUCCAAGAUUUUGUUUCCAGACAAAAUAUAGUUUAGAUUACAUAAUAAUUGUUUUCAGUUAAUUAGGAGAAUAUACUAAUUAUUAUUUUAAAGAAGAAACUCUCCAUAAUUUUCUUUAUUGUCGGUUAUAUAAAAAUAAAUAUAAUCUUUUUUAUUAGUACAAAUAACACUUCAAAAAAAUAUUUACACAUUAUAAUAUGUGUCAAUCCGAGGUUUUCUUAUUGGAGAAAAUUAAUUACUAGAAGGAAUCUAAUCAUUCUUUGUUUAUUAAUUUAUCAUAUUAAUGAUAAAUUAAUUAUUUAUUACUCUUAUAUGUCAUAAUUAUAAUUUUAUCCUUGACCUUUAUUUAAUUUUUGUGAAACUCAAGUUUUUAAUCAAUAGAUAUGGAUUAAUUUUUUUGAUUAAUUAAUUUAAUCAAUGAACAUGAAUCAUUAUCAUUAUAAAAAAAUUGGGAACUACAUGGGUAUUUUUCGGGAGAUUAGUAUGAAAAUUCGCAUAAAAACUUAUUUUUCUGCAACUUUUCAUACUAAUUCUCAUGAAAAUCCCUAUAUAAUUUACAAUUUUCUUGUAAUACUUUUAAGUUGGUCAAAUGUAUGUUUUCAAAAAAUAUAUAUAUAUGAUAAUUUAUGAAUUGAUUUUAUGAAAUAACAAAUAUUAUAAAUCAUUAUUUAUAGAAAGAGAUAAUAUAUAAAAUAAGAGAGACGAAGUAACUUGUCAAGAAAAUUUUAUUACUAGAAGGAAUUUAAUCAUUCUUUGUUUAUUAAUUUAUUAUAUUAAUGAUAAUUACUUAUUUAUUAACUGCUUGGACUAUUCUCUCACGGGGUUUUGCUCGUAAUUUGUUGGAUAUGAUUAAUAUUUCUUUUAUUUUAAUUUAUAUGAUAAUAUUAUAAAUUUAAUUUAAUUAAGAAUGUUAUUUUUUAAAAUUAAAAUGAUAACACAUAAAUUAUAACAGAAGAAGUAUUACUCUGUUUGUAAUAUUUUAGCUGUCAUUUAAAUUUAACAUAAUUGUUACUUUAGAAUCGAACUUCAAGACUAAAAUGGGUAUUAUUUUCAAUUAUACUUUUUUAAUUAUUUUGAGUUAUCCUUUUUGAAGAUUUAAAAGAAUGCACGGUAUUAUAUUAAGAGUAAACAAACAAUUUUUUUGAUGUAUAAUAAUAAGUUUAAGUAUAUCUGGGCAAAGUAUCACGUAAGAUAUAUGUGUAACUUAUUUAAUUUUAUAUUAAUAAUUUAAGUGUAUAUUUAUGUAAAUUUAAAAGUAAAGAUUAUAAAUAUCAGUUAAAAUUAAGUUAAAAAAAUAUUAACGCAUAUCACCGACGGGUAUGAUUUAUUGAAUCUAAUACUUUUUUCUUAAAAAAAGCUCAAUAAUUCCAAUCCUAAAUAUAAAAGAAUCAUAUAUACAUAAAUAGCACUUUACUAAAUAAAACUCUACAAAACAUUAAAUUUAAAUUAAUUAAAUUUUAAUAUAAAUAUAAAAUAUCGAAUAAAAACUAAAUACUAAUACUAACAUAUAUUAAAACCAACCCAAUCAAUGCAAAUCAUUUUCUCCUCUGACCCAUCCUAUUUUAUUACUCAAGUUUUAAUAAUUCUUUAAGCUUAAGGAUAGAUUAUUUAGGAAUUUUUUUAGUAAAGUGUGAAAAGAGAUCUCCAUUAUUUUAAGGUUAAAUUAGGUCUGUGAUUUCAAGUACCAAGGCCAGCUAAUAAUCACUCCAUGAGAGAGAGCAAAAAAGGACAGUCCAUCAGCAUAUAUUAAUAAAUAAUAGAAUUGCUAGAGUAUUAUUUAAUAAUAAUAAUAAUAAAUUAUGUCUAAAAGCAUUUUUAAACAUGAGUCAACUUCGAAAAUAAAAUGGAGAGGGCAACUCACACAUUUAAUCGAUCGACUAAAAAUAAUUAUAUUAAUAGAAAAAUAUUAUUAUUAUAUAUAUAAAUUUAUUGACUAUUAUUAUUUUGAUGACGAAAUACACGAAGUAAAAUUUCUUUUUUUAAAAAAAAAAAAAUGUUAGUUAGCCUUCUACACAAACUUAAAAUUUACUCAUAUUAUGUUGUUCUUUUAUGUCAUGUUAUAUCAAUUAUUUUAUGAUAAAGUAACUUCGUAAGGUAACUUUAUAAAAUAGGUAAUUAUAUUAAGAUAAUGAAAAAUUAUUUGUAAACAAUAUUAUGUACUUAUUAAUUUGAGAGAGAUAAUUUCCAUAGAUAUGUGACAAGCAAUUUUAGUCAUUUGUAUUUGUAACAAAACUAUAGAUGAGUUAUCAUUCAACUCUAAUAUUGUAUUGUUUUGGAUUAAAAUGAAAAAGAUAGUUGUUUAGUAAUCCAUAUAUAGCAAUUUAUAUAGGCCAAAAUCCAUUUAAUUAGUAGUAUUGUUUUUGCAAUUUAAUUAUAUUACAGCCUAUGGUUUCCUAAUUUCUCUUGCGUUUAAGAAGGUAAUUUUACAACAUAACGUAUCACAAAAAAGAUAACGAAUAAGAAAAAUAAUUUUUACCAUAAAGAAAAUAUAUAUAGUAGUUUAAUUAUGAUAAAGUAAUAACUAUUAAUUUUUAUUCAAAAAAUUGAAUUUGAGUUUCAUUGGGUUAUUUUUGUUAGAAGUGCUAGUUUUUAAAUUUAAUUUUUUCAUAUAAAUUUAAAUUUUAUCGAAUUUUAAUAUAAUAUCAAAUAAAAAUUCAAAAAAAAUACUUUUUCAAAAUUUUCAAGAAUGAUAUUCUAGUGGAACUACUUUAGUACUUACGAUAACUUCCUUAGACUUAAUAUAUACUAUAUGAUAUAUCAAGCUUUUUAAAAGUUUCUGACAAUACCAAACUUUUGAUUCGAUUUGCAUUAUUUGACAGAAAGAUUACUUAUUUACUCCUUAUGUUUAUAGGAGGGAUAUUAUAAAUUUUGGGAUAAUGCCCAAGUACCUCCUCAACCUAAAUCCAAAAUUUCAGAGACAUAUUUAUACUAUACUAAGGUCCUAUUACCCCUGAACUUAUUUUAUUAAUAACUUUUUACCCCUUUUUAAUUUACGUGGCACUAUUUUGUGGGCUCAACGAUAAUUGCCUUUUUUUUUCAAACUAGUACCACGUAAGCUAAAAAGGGAUAGAAAACUUAUGCAUUUUCCCUAAAUUCUUUUAAAAAAAAGAAAUAUUGCGAGAGAAAAAAUAUGUUCUAAGUCACCUACAUUUUUUUGGUUAAUUUUAUAAUUAUUUUUAUAAGAGAAUUUCAUUUUCAUAGCUAAGAGAAUUACAAUUUUUUUUGUUCUAUUGAUCUUAAAAAUUCAUAAAAUAUGUAUCCAUUGUUAAUUUAAAACAUAAUAAAAGGCAAUAGAACAUAAAUAAAUACUUAAAUUGAUCUUAGUUGAUAAGUAAACUCUCAGUUGUGAGUAUACUUAUAUAGACAUAUUAACAACUUGUCUUCAAUUAUCCAACUCAUUCCUAUUGUGUCUAUUGGAUAUUUAACGCCAACCUGAUAAAUAGAUUUUGAAGGUGUUCAGAUAAUUAUUUUGUAAAUUAAAGUAUUUAUACGCAUUAAAGACGAAUAAAAAUAUCUAAUUAUAAUAUUCAAAAUAAAAUCCUUACUAUUAGCUAUGAUCAAAUUUAAAUAUAUAUUUAUACUAUAUCUAAUUUAAAUAAACUAAAAUCUCGUACUUACGAGCUUCAAAUUAUUACUUAGUUCUAAAUAUUUGUGUAACGAAGUCUUAGGGACCACCAUUUCGUAUACCAACCAUUUUUGAUAGUUUUGUUUUUGGAAACCAAGUCUUUUUACAUUAAAAAAAAAGUAUCUUUCUUAAUUAUUCUCUCUUUUUUUUUAAUCACAUUUUACAUGAUUUUUUCCCCAAUAAUAUUUAUGAGUUUCAUAAUAUAUUUUUUUUGUUUUUAAUUACUUAUUUAUUUUUAAAUAGGCACAUUUAUUAAGACACAGUAAUUGACAUAAUAAGUUUAUCAUUUCUCUAUUAAUUAUGAAUUGGAUAUAUUUAAAAUUUAAAAUUUUCAAGAAAUUCUAUCUUUUUUAAAGUAAUUAAUUAAAAAUAAAUAUAUAAAAUAUUUUUACCUCUUUUUAAAUUAUCAAUAUUAAUAAACAAUUAGAGACAAUUAAAAAAACAGUGGCUAAUAAGUAUGUCGAUAGGAGUAUUUUCAUUUAUGAUUAUUGAAGGACGUAAAGACGAUAAUUUUCUUUCCAUAUUUUUUUUAUAAAGGGCGAUUUAUUGAAGAUAUUUCUUAAAAUUGUCCCUACAACAUAAAUGUGACAUGAACCAAUCACAAAUUCAUUUAGUAAAUUUUUUAAGGGAUUAUGCACGAGUAUCCUUAUUUAUGUUCGAAAUUUUAAAGAUAUAUUUAUACUAUUUAAAGAUUUUAUUAUCUUUCAUAAAUUUAUUUUAUAAAUAAUUUUCUACCCCUUUUCGUACUACGUGACACUAUCUUGUGGGUCUAGAGUAUGUUGAUAUUUUCUUUCAAACUAGUGUCACGUAUGCCGAAAAGAGGUAGAAAAUUAUUUAUAAAAUAAGUUCAGGGGGGUAAUAACACCUUAGUAUAGUAUAAGUGUGUCUCUGAGAUUUCAGACAUAAAUUGAGUGGAUACUUAUGCAUUUUCCCAACCUUUUAAUACUCAUAUUUUAAGCGAUUCACACAAUUCAAGUUAUUUUUUUAAGUUUCAUUCUUACUCAAUAAUAAUAUUUAUUGUAUCAUAUCAUAUUAUCAUUAUGCGUUAGUUUGAGUUCUUUACAUUUGAUUGGUGGCGGAACGAGAAAAUUCACCAUCUAAAAUAUGGUAUAUAUGCUUGUAUGGUUAUAGAUAAAAAAUAUGUGAAUUUUUAGAUUUAACUUAAUUUUAAAAAUUAAUUUAGGAGAUGAAAAUUAUUCUUAAUCCGUAUUUUUUCUGUUAUUAAUUAUCUAUUCACUUUUAAAUUGACACAUUUAUUAAAAAAUAAUUAUUGAUAUAAAAAAUUUACUAUUUUAUUCAUAUUAAGAUUUUCAAAAGUUUCUUUCAUUUUCCAAACAACUAAAUAAAGCUACAAUAGAUAAAAAAUUAUCCUAUCUCGAUCUAUUAAAAUCAACAUAAUUAAAAAUAAUUAAAAAAGAGAAAGUGAACAACCAAUUAAUGACCGAUAAAGUAUUAAAUACACCAUAUUAAUAUGGGAUCUGUUCAACUGUUCAACACUACGAAAUCAUGCUAUAAAAAUUAAGUAAAAAUAAAAAAAUGAUAAGUCUUACUAUUUCUUUUUGACAGAAUAAAAAAGAAUAAAAUGUGAUAAUAUGUAAGAAUUGAAGAAAUUAUUUGUUUAAUUUGAUAAAUAUAAAAAUGAUAACUUUUUUAUAUCUCCAAUUAAUCAGUUUUGAAAAGAGUAAAUUUUUUUUGAAAAUUUUAAUUUUUUAAUUCAUCUACUUCAUAAUUAAGUAAAAUGAUACUCCCUCUAUUUAAUAGUAGUUGUCCACUAUUAACUUGAUAAAAUUAUAAAUAAAAGAGUAAUUUUACAAUAUCAUCUUUUCAAUAUAAUAAAUAUAAUGUCUUGAAAAAUGUAAUUGAAAAUUAUUAUAAUUAAUGAAUAAAAUAAAUUAUUCACUCCAUCCCUAAUUACUUGUCCACAUUUUCUUUUUCAGUGGUUCCUGAAAAUUUGUUACAAAUUUUUUUAUUCAUUACACCCUCAAUUAAUUACUUUAAAAAUAAUAGAACUAAUUUUUAAUUCAUCCAUUUUAUAAUUAAUUAGGAUAAAAUAAUAAAUUCAUUAUAUCAAUUAUUAAUUUCUUAAUAAAUCUGUUAAUUCAAAACAAAUAAUUAACGACAGACGAGUAUAAGCUAAGUAUAAAAUUAUUAUUGUUGAAUAUUUAUUUUUAAUAUAAUAAACAAAUAUUAUUAGAAUAUGACAGUAACAAUCAUUAUUUUUGAGAGUGAACAAAUAAUUAGAAAAAUUUAGGGAAUUUAAUAUUAACAGUAGGGGUGGUUAAUGAUGAAUAAGCUCAUAUUUUGAUGCAGGCGUGGGUAUAAAUGCAGAGAACCUUUGUAUGUAAGCUUUCUUUUUUAGUUCCUUCAAAUACCUAACUCUUCUCUCUUUUCCAAUAUUUGUGACUCUAUCUUUAUUACUUUCUGUUUGUUUUGUUUCUCCUAUAAUCUUCCUUAUACUAACUACUAUACAUUGCACUUUGAAAAAUUCAAAAAGUUAAAAAUAACAACAAAAAAGACAUUGUAUAACAUUUAAAAAAAAAGAAAAAAAGUGUGUACUGUGUACAGACUACAGAGUAACAGCAAAAUAAGGUAUCUUUCUUCUUUUCUUGCUACUUUUGGGUCUUGUCCUUCUCAGUUUCAGAGCUGGGCUUAGGAAGUUGAGUCUCUGAGUGAGUAUUUAUGAUGCUCAAAUUAAUGUUUCUCAUUAUUUUCAAUUUGCUGUACUUCUGAACAUUUAUUGAACUGGGAUUGUGUUUUCUUGGACAUUGGUGGAGCUUCAAAUUUUUUUUUUGAAGCAUAGCUUGGGACUUUGUUUCUCCCUUUGUGUGUAUAUUGAGCUGAGAUUGUGUUAUUUUGGUAAUUUUGAAGGAAAGUUUGGAACUUUGGUUCUUCCUUUGUGUGAAUUGAAUUGGGGUUGGGUUUUCUUGGACAUUGGUGGCACUUUUUUUUAAGGUUAUUUUGAAGCAAAGGUUGGAACUUUGUUUCACCCUUUGUGUGAAUUGAACUGGGAUUGUGUUUUCUUGGACAUUGGUGGCACUUAAUUUUUUGGUAAUUUUGAAGCAAAGGUUGGAACUUUGGUUCUUCCUUUGUGUGUAUUGAACUGGGAUUGUGUUUUCUUGGACACUAGUGGCACUUUUUUUUUUCUUUUUUUUGGUAAUUUUGAAUCAAAGUUUGCAACUUUAGUUCUUCCUUUGUGUGAUUUGAACUGGGGUUGUGUUCUCUUGGACAUUGGUGAUACUUUUCUUUGUAAUUUUGAAGCAAAGCUUGGAACUUUGUUUCUCCCUUUGAGCAUAUUGAACUGGGAUGAUAUUUUCUUGGACAUUGGUGAUACUUUUCUUUGUAAUUUUGAAGUAAAGCUUGGAACUUUGUUUCUCCCUUUGAGUAUAUUGAACUGGGAUUGUGUUUUCUUGGACAUUAGUGGCCCUUUUUUUCUUUUAUUUUUUUCUGCGGGUAAUUUGAAGCAAAGCUUGGUACUUUGGUUCUUCCUUUAUGUGAAUUGAACAGGGGUUGUGUUUUCUUGGGCAUUGGUGACUUUUUUCUUGGUAAAUUUGAAACAAAGCUUGGAACAUUGUUUCUCCCUUGUGUACUGAACUGGGGUAUUGUUAGCUACCUCUUCUCCAGUUGUUUGGGAGCAGGUAGCUUGACUGGUUUCUCUGUCUGCUUUUUUUUACCAAGCUUGUUGGAGGAAUUCUCCUAAAUUUUCUGGUGUAGUUACUUUCUUAGUUUUAUUUUCAUCUGUUGAACUAGAUUUUUUGAAUUAUUUUUUAAUCUUUAGGCACAAAACUAUAAUCUUGUUCCUUCAAUUUCUCUACCUGUAUGGAUGUGUAAUGAAGUGGAGGCAUUUCACCAGCUGAACAAUCGAUCCCUCUCGUCGGAUCUUUGAAAGUGGCCAAUUGUUUGAUGUGUAUCUUAUAGAUUGUUAAUCUUGAGGCAAGGGGAUUUUUUUUUUUUAGUUUAAGUUUGAUUCAUUUCCCAAAUAAUGGAUAUGGGUAGCAAGAAUGAUACUCAAGGACAAAAGAGGAACAAGGAUGCUACUAAUUUUCAGUCACCAAACAUAUCGUUGGACUGGCAAUUAAGUGGAAGCAACUUGACAAAUGCAUCAAUGGGGAUGAUCCCUAAUAGCAAUCCUUUAGUAGAUUCAGUUUUUCCCACUAUUUGGGAUCGGCCUCCCAAUUCGUCACACUUAGGUUUCUAUGGUAAUAAUAAUGCUAAUGCUCAAAUCAGUCCUUGCAUUAUGAAUCAGCACGAGACUGCAGCAAUUGGCUCGGUCCCUACGAGAGGUAGUAUGAGUUGGAAUCCACUGAAUUCGAUGCUGAAAGGGGCUAUGUUUGUACCACCUAUUCCUGGAAUGAUUCCUCAAAGCUUAGCUCAGCUUCCAGCUGAUUUGGGUUUCAUUGAGAGAGCUGCAAGGUUUUCGUGCUUCAGUGGAGGAAACUUCAAUGAUAUGAUGAACCGGCCUUUAAGCGUCCCUGAGUCUACUAAGCCUUGUUAUAGGGGACCGGCACCAACGUGGAGAACCGAAGAGGUUCUUGCAAGCAGCGGGUUAAACUCACCCUCUGCUGUGGACCCUUGGAAGCAGAACAUACGAAGUGGUGUUGAUGGUUCCAAAGAUGUUUCUUUACCUCAUGAGAACAAAACUCAUGAGCAAAGCCCUCUCAAGAUUGAGAAGAAGAAUGAAAUAUUUGCGAGGUCUCGGGAUGAAGGAAAAGAAUCAGUUGGAUUGUCUGGAAAUGAGUCUGAUGAAGCUGAAUGUAGCGGCCGUCAAGAGGAAAUGGGAAGUGCCGGACUGGAAUCUUCCCCGAAGAGCCUUGGCUCAAGGAAAAGGAAAAAAUAUAGUCAGGUAGGACAUCGUUAGUAUGUCUCUUUCCACCACUAUAGCUCAUAAUGAUUCUUUGCUGAGUGUUCUUAUAAAUUUUGUCAGGGUACCGAGCAUGAUCGAAUGAAGCGAGUACAACAGCUGCCAGCUGAACCUGAUAAAGAACUAAUUGAAACUCAGAAAGGAGAUGGACGCUUACAUUCACCUUCUAGCAAGCAUGGCGGAAAAAACAGUAAACAGAGGUCUCAGUCUUCAGAUCCACCUAAAGAAGAUUACAUACAUGUUCGAGCUCGAAGAGGCCAAGCGACGAACAGCCAUAGUCUUGCAGAAAGAGUAAGACUUCAUAGUAGAAGCUUUAAGUUAGGGGAUUUUACUUGUUCCAGAAAUGAUUUGCGUUGUGGUGAUUCUAGGUAAGGCGAGAGAAAAUAAGUGAAAGGAUGAAAUUUCUGCAGGAUCUUGUACCUGGUUGUGACAAGGUUAGUUUUUAUCAUUAUACAUAUGGAGAACUUCUAACAGGCAUUUGUUGUUCAUGUUAUCUCGGGCUUAAAUUUUCAGGUCACUGGUAAAGCUGUAAUGCUGGACGAAAUCAUUAAUUAUGUUCAAUCUUUGCAAAGACAGGUUGAGGUAUGAAAGCUAUAAAUUGCUGGCUCAUUUUUUCGAAAUCGUAUCUGUUCUUCCCUCAAUGCCAUGUGAAUUUUUCGAUUGCUUCACAAUAUGCUAUUCAUUGUAAAGGAUUAAACGAUUCCCUCCCCUUACUCCUAUUUUCUAAUCUAAUGCUGAAGUAAUUGUCAUGAAAAAGUUCAAGAAAUGCUGUUCAUUGCUCUUAUGUGCUUAUAUCAUGACUCUUGUUAUUCUCGCAGUUCCUCUCGAUGAAGCUUUCAACAGUAAACCCAAGGCUAGAUUUUAAUCUUGAUGGGGUCCUUACAAAAGAUGUAAGAACUACUAUAACCUUCAGAACGAAAAUUACACAAAGCAGAGUUCGGUGCAUAAAUUCCAGCUGCUAAUGCUGGUAUAUACAUUUGCCUUUUAUUGCAGUCACAAGCAGGUCCUUCGUCCGCACUUGCGUUUUCACCUGAUAAUAUGACCAUGACUUAUGCUUCUUUGCAUGGAUGGCAAUCUGGUCUGCUUCAAUCAGGUCUUCCUGGUGAUGGAAAUUACAUUGAUGCGUUCCGUAGAUCCAACACCCAACUCUCCUCUAUGAGUGGUGGCUAUAGAGAUCCUUCAUCUCAGGUAGUAUUUGGAUAGCUACACGUUUCUGGUUUUAGGUUGUAUCGAUCACAGAGGCGGAGCUAGGAUUUUUAGUUUAUGGAUUCUGAACCAAAGUUCUUGAUAGUUUUUUGUGAUAAAUGGAUUUUAAACACAUAUACGGGGUUUGAGCCAAAGAUACUAGUUUUUUCCGAAUCUAUAGGCACCAUUGUGUGUUUGCCCUUGAUUUUGUCAAAGUUAUAGGAAAAAUACGUGGCAUAAUGAGUUGUGAACCAAAGGAACCUUGCUUCAUGUUCUAACCAUUUGCCUUGCAAUUCAUAUCGUCUUCAGGUACCUAGUGUAUGGGAUGAUCAGCUGCAUAAUGUUGUGGAUAUGGGAUUCACUUCAACUGCACCCCUCGAUUGCCAGGAUUUAAGUAAGUGUUUUACACUAUCCUGCAUAAAUUUUUCUUUCUGAAGUAGGCAUCAGCUACCCUGAUAAUCACCAAAAUCUCUGUACUUAUAGGUUCUUUGCCACCCGACCAAAUGAAAACAGAACCUUGAAAUGUUUCAAAUCGUCAACCGGAUACACUUUCUGUUUCUAUGGGGAGUAAGUUGCAUAGAUCAUCGUAGCACUGAGUGAGUUCACAUGUUUGGGGAGUUAUCACGCGGUGAUAUCCCCAUCUUUCAAAAAGUGCUCCCUCCCCACAGUCGAAGGAGUUCUGAGUUCAGUUGUACAGCAAGUCCACAAAAUGUUCCCUUUUUUAUGCUCAUUCUAUAUAGGUUACAAAAAGUGAAGAUUUAUACAACAUGUUUGUGAGAUUAUUCCAUCAACACAUGCAAAUGAGGGUUCAAGAAUUUAUGCGUUCCGGAUACUAUAUGCAAGCCUCUCUACCUUCCGUGUACACUCUACACUCUCCAGACCGUACUUUGUGAAAUUACAUUGAAUAUAUUGUUGUUGUUGGUACUAUUUACAAGCUUAAUGGAGAAUAGCCAUUCAUGUUUUAGUUAUAAUUUGUUGUGUCAUUGAAAGGCGAAAUGGUUGUAGUACCCUUAAUCUGUAUUGGAAGUAACUUGAAAAAUGUGUGCUUUGUAUAAAAGAAAAGAAUGAAUAUAUUUAUGUAGUUCUUUGAAUUUUCACGUUAUCUGAAUUAGUCGAGUCAGUAAGUUUAUAAUAUGAUUUUGUUAUUUUUGUUUGUAAAGCAAAUUAUAUGGUAGAAAGAUGCCAUAAUGAUAUGUGUACUGUCUUUAGCUACAUUAUCACAUCAGUCAGUGAAAUGGGGUCAUGGAAUUUAUAAACAACUGAGUUGAUAAGAUUCUCUGUACCAGAUGUCUAAUAAUCUUACAAGUUUCCAGGAAAAUGAAAAAUAAAAUAAAAUUUAAGUCUUGGUGGGGUAAGAGGAAAUGGAAAAGUACUAAAAAUCUUCCAAUAUUCUGUCUGAAAUGGAGAAAAGAAAAUUUCUUUUAUUUUUUCAUGUUUGGAUGGAUAGACUUUUUGGAGUAGGAAAUAAUUAUGUUAAUAGAAACAACGAAAAUAAGUUUUAUAAGUGACUUUCUAUGUUUAAUUGCAUCAACCCACCUAUCGAAUGCCCCUACCCCUUUGUUAGGAAUUUUCAGAUCGAAAAAAAAAUGAAGAAUUCGUCUUUUAUAUGAAUUUUAACAAUCUUUCACUAAUAAGUUAGUUUUGAGGUUAAAUUAGACCUAAAAUAUAUAUUUUCAUGGUAUCAUGUCAGACUUAUUCCAAUUUCUUAUUCAUCAAUGUUGAGCUAUCAUAUUAUAUUGUUCAUGCUCUGGUUCACGAGGUUGUUGGGCCACCUUAUUAUAUUGUCUCCGCUAUUCAUGAUUUUGAGAUGAUAGGUGCACUAAUACAAAAAAGUAAAUCUAAGAUAUAAAUCUGAUUGUUUUAACAUUUAGGUUCUUAUCACUAAUAGUCAUUAAAAUUAUAGGUCCACAGUUAUUUUUAUCUAUCAAAAUCAUUUAGAGAGAAUGUUACCCAAUUUUAGAAAGUAAAUAAGAACGAGAUAAAUAAAAGAUUCAAAUUUCUAACUUCAAUUAGAGAGGUGCGUCCAAUCAUGAUUGCAUAACAUUAUAUGAUACUUCAAGUGUCGGUUCACAUAUCUAUAUUUAAAUGUUUUUAAAAAAAUCUAACACUACUAUAUAUAUAAUUUCAGGAGGGGAGCAUGAGUUCACGUGAAUCCGGUGAUCUCCUCCCGGGUGCGCCUCUGACCUCCGAGGCCUACCCCACUUACCUCUCACCCUUAUAGGCUUUUGCUAAAUUACUUAUAAAUUUUUUUGAGUUACUAUUUUUUUUUUACUUAUUAAACAGAAGAAAAUAAAUAAGAAACAACCUACUUUUUCAAAAAAAAUAAUAUUUAUGUAUAUAUUUUCUAGAAAAAUAAUCAGAAAGUUUUUCUAUGGUACCAAAUACACAGUUAUAGAUUUAGGAGUUAAAAAAUUUCACAUUCCAUUAUUGUGUUCAGCAAAAAAAUUAUAUUAUUGAUUAUUCUAAUAGUUACACUUUAUCAAAAGGAUCCAAAGUUGGUAGAAAGAUUUGUUUACAUUUCCAUCAGAUCUCUUAUCAUUUACAAGGUCAUAAAAGCUAUCUACUUUAUGAAUGUUUAUGUAUAUGUUAGAUAGGGUUGUGAAUUAAAUUAUUUAAUGUGAUUUGUUGGCAUCUGAACAUCUCCUUGAUAGUUUCAUUUUCUUUUUGUACUUUUUUUUAUUUUUUUUAAUAUCUGAAUUGCAAAUCUUUAUCCCAAAUAUAUUAGUCCAUUCUUGAUAGGAAACUGUUUUUUCCUCUUAUUAUGAAAUAUGUGAUCUUCUUUCCUCUGAAAAUAUUAAAAUUAUCACUUAUUAGUUUGAGAAAUAUAUUUUACUGCUAACACAAUUAAAUGUGUAUAUACAUACACUUUGGUUUGUCUUACCUUUGAUUUUCAUUUACCUGGCUUCUUUUUUUUUGCUGACACAUUUUUUUGUUUUCUUUUUAAAUGUAUAUUUUUAUCGAUUUUUAAAGAGUGAAGUUAUGUGUUCUAGUUUAUAUUUUCAAUUGAGAUUUUUACAUGUGUUAAUUGGGUUUGUGUUGCCACUUUUUGCCUAGGUGAAACUAUUUCGCUCGCCUCUCUCCUCCCUCUCCCGAUCUCGUUUGCCAUUUAUACAAAUGUAUAUGUAUAAUAUAGUUAUAUACAAUUAUAUACAUAUAAAAUUCACCUCUCUCCCACUUUAUGCCCUCUCUCGCUCGUCUCUCUCCUCUCUCUUUCAGUCUCGCUCGCCUCUCUCCUUCCUCUCCCAAUCUCUCUUUCCAUAUAUAUAAUUACAUAUGUAUAAUAUACAAUUAUCUAAUCAAUAUACAUAUACAAUUCACCUUUCUGCCACUCUUUUCCCCCCCUCUCUCUCCUCUCUCUCUCUCUCUCAAUCUCGCUCGCCUCUCUCCUCUAAAUAACAUGUAGCUAGAAAUUAUAAUUAUCAAACUAUAGCUAUGGAGUGUAGUUAAUUAUUUUUAGGUGACUAUAUAUUAAAGUUUCCCUAGAAAUAAUAAGCGUUCUGAAGAUAAAAAUACACGUAAUUUCAUUUCAUAUUUAUAAAGCUAACAGACGUUACAAGGUGUAAACUUUAAUUUCACUUGACAUUGAUGCAAAUGCUUUUGUACAUUUUAUUCCCCGAAAGUUUAAACUUUAAAUCGAAGUUUAGAAUCAUUUUACUAAAGAGGAACUAUCUAAUUACACAAAUAUUUUUAUCAUAUUUAUAUUUUAUUUCAUUAAUUUAUAAUUUCAUAUUAAAUUUUAAGUCUGAUACAUCUAGAUACAUGUUUUAUUUAUUAAUAUAUAUAUAUAUAUAUAUAUAUAUAUAUAUUCUUUUUUUUUUUGGUUACUAGAUAAAUUGAAAUAGGGAUAGAGGUGAUUAAGAACUGGAGGUAGGCGAACAAGAUUUAUUUAUAUAUCUUAGAUGCAUGUAAAAUCAUACUAUAUAAACACUAGGUACAUAUAUCUGGUGUUAUUCACAUGUAUCUGAGAUACUAGAUACAUAGGAGUUUGACGAGUGAGAUGGGAAGGAAGGUGAUCAAAAUUUGUCUAUGUAUAUCAAGUACAUGAGAACCCACUUGUAUAUAAUGUAUGUAAAGCAAAUUACACCUAAUUUUGACCUAAUAUAUUCCAUCAUACAUGUAUAUUUGAACGCAUUGAUAUCUGAUAAGAUUCUAAGGAGUCUUUUGGGAGACCGCAUUAAAACAAAUAGUUCAUGUAUUAUGUGUGGUAUUAUUUAGUACUACGUUUGGUAGGGAUUUGGACUUACGUAUAACUAAUCGAUGGAUUAGUUAUACCGCCUACAUGGUAUUAUAGGAUGUAUUACUAAUACCUUACAUUUGGAGAGAUUAGUAAUAGAUAGGAUAUAAUACCAUGGGAUAAGUGUAUGUAAAGGCAAAAAUAUCCCUCAAAUUAUUUUAAUUAUUUUCUUGAUUUAUGAUUUAUAUUUGUACUAGUAAAUUUAUUUAAAUAGAUUAGCUUACAAAUUAUUUAGAGAAAAUUUGUUUGUUACUAAAUAAAUCCAUACAAAUUGAUACAAUAUUUAACAUGUGAGUUGUUUAACAUUAACUAAUUAAAAGCACAAAUAUAUCAUCACAUGACGUUUGUGAUCUUAAUUGAAUGUAUAUAAAUAUUUGUGCUAUAUUUGUAUUUUUAACAAUUUAUAAAAUUGCAUACAUAUAAACAAAUAUGACUUGUAAUUUUUAUGUAUAAAUGUAGAUUAUUUAUUUAAUUUUUCUAUUUUUUGCCGUCUUUUCAAUUUUAGAAGUUGAUAGAUUAUCUUUUUUUUAAUUAAAAAUUGACAUUUUGUAAGUAAUCAAUACUAAGAUGACAAUUAUUUAUCCUAAAAUAAUUUAAUUGGUAAAAAAAGAGGAAAACAUGACAACAAGACUAUUCUCUCAUAGUUAGUUAGAAGGUCAUAAAAAAUAAUAUUGUCCGACAAUUAUUUAUCUUAACUCAAUUUUAUAAUAAUUUAACGGUAUAAUUAGAAAGAAGUUUUUUAUAAAGUUUCAGUCCAAGCACAAGAUGAGUUGGGAAACAAUGAACUAAACACUUUGAAAGAAUAAUUACCGCACUAUUAAUCCCUGCAUUACUACUAUCAGUAUUACUAAUCCAUGCAUUAUUCAUCUUUGUACCAAGCGACCCUUAGUAAUACAAUCAUAUAACACCAUAUAGGAGAUAAUAGUUAUGCAUAGACCCAAUUUUCUACCUAAUAUAGUACUAAAUAAUACCAUUCACAAUACAUAAACUAUUUGUUCUAAUGCGCCCUACUAAACGACCUCUAAAACUAUAAUACCUCUUAUUUUUAGACCUCUAAAAUAGACUUCAUGGGUAUAUAUUACUAAAUAUAAUAUCAGCAGUGCAGAAGCAAAUGAAAAGAAAGCUGAAAAAGCAAAAGCAAAUAAAAUCUCAAAGGAGGAAAAAAAGAAAGCAGAAAAAUAGGGACCAAGUGUGUGUUUGAUACGAAAGGAAAAUUAUUUUCUGAAUUUUUGUUUUGGUUUUCAUAUAUUUGAUUGGCUUAAAUAUUUUGAAAAAUACUUUUUAAAUCAACUCAUUUUUCUUAAGAUUUAAGGAAAACGACUUUCCUUCAAAAUUAGGAAAAUCAUUUUUCAGAACUCUACUUCAUCCUUCAAUAUUUUUUUCUUACCCUCCUAUAUCGUAUCCGACCCUCCCCAUAAAAAAAAAAAUUAAUUAAGUUUUUCUAAAUUUUCUUAUUUUUAAAUUUCAAAUAUUUUUUUACCCUACUCCCAAACCAACCCCCUUCUCCCAAAUAAAAAAAUUAAUUUCUUUUUCAAAUGUAGGAAACUAAUUCCUAUUUAAGGAAAUCUAUUUAAGAAAAUUGUGUUUUCUUAUUUAUUUAAGGAAUUGUGCUUUCUUAUUUAUUUAAGGAAAUUAUGUAGAAAAGUUCUUUUUCCAAGACGAGUCCAACGAGGAAUUCUACGUGGAGAAGCAUUUCGAGUUACGCAAGGAAUUGAAGACAUGACAAAGUCUAGUUCGAGUUGAACAAGACUUUGAGGAGAUGUGAUCUAUAAAUAGCGUGAUAGAUUCACUUGAAGAAAAUUGCGCACUUACACAAAGAGAAGAUCAAAAUACGAUCAAGAGGUUUGAGAGAGUUCUGAGAUUUAUUGGAGUGUUGCAAUUUGUGAAAUAAAACUGUAAAAUUGUAUUCAAGAAUCUUGUUUAUAAUCUGAAUUUUGUUAGUAGGAGUUGUUCGACAAGUUGUAAAACUUGAAGAACAUUAGAAAAUAUAAAACUAGGGUUUUUUGUGUUUUUGGGUAGCUAGAAAUUAGAGUUUAUAAUUUCUUAGGUAGGAAUUAGAGUUUAUAAUUCCUUGGGUUACAUAUCUUUGUAAUCGUUUGUUGAGACUUGAAGUUUAAUAAAGUGGAGUUAAAUUCUACAGAGGUAUAGGUCACAAUUUUUACCCUUAAGAGUUGGAAUUUUCCGCGAUAAAAUAUUGUGUUAUUAUUUUAUUUGCUUCACAAAACAUAACUACUGUAAUCUGCAAAGGAACAUAUAGAAUAAACCUAUUCCUCAGACAAUUUUGGGGGUCAGAAUUUCAACAAUUAACCUUGAGCCCUCAAGGGCAAAACAGUGACUUUCUUUCAAAUUUAGGUUACCCAUACAUUAAGAAACUCAAAUUUAAAUUUUCUUUGAAAUUAAGUUCAAUUCGACUUUUAAAUAAUCAUAAUACAAUUUCACAACUUUGGACAUAAAAUCUCCAUUUUUUCCAAUUUAAAAGAUCGACCUAAAUGUGAAAUCGAUAAUAAAUUAUUGGGGAAUACAUAAAUAAAUGUUUAGAAGCAUAUUCAACAGUCAACCCCCCCCCCUCUCCCCCCCACAUCUCAGAAACGUACCUCUGUUAAAUUUAAUGUACAUGACAGUAACAAAUAUAUUUGAAAUAGAUUUACCAAGGAUCAAGAGGCAUACUUGUUUACCAAAGCAUUACGAAAUGAACAAGCUAGGAGUGUUAUACUUGUUCGCACUGCCAAAUCUGUCGUGAAUCAAGUAGAUUUUGUACGGGCUUAUGUGUUAGAAGUGGUGAAUGGGGCUGAUUUAGAUGGGACUAUUGGGUCGAAUAAAAUAUUAGAGAGUUUUAUGGAAAACUUACAUAAAUAUACUAUAAUUAAGAAAAUAUUUACCAUUUAUAGCAAUAUUUUUUUUCACUUGAUCAUUUUUAAUUCAUUUAUAAUACAAGUUUAAUACAUAUUACAAAGAUAAAUUUCAUAUUCAAAUAUAAUACAAGUUUUAAUGAUGGAUAAUACAUUUAUCACACAUUUUAAUACAGUUAUAAUAUAAUGUGACAAUUUUUUAUCAAAUAAACAUAACAUAUUUCAAAAACAGUUAUAAUUCAAAUAUAUCACAUACAUAAUUCACUUUUAGUACAUAUUACAUAUUUAUCACAAUAUUGCUAUAAAUGAUAAUAAACAAAAAAGUAUCGCUAAAAUCAAUAACUAUUUUUAAAAAUGUAUUAAUUCAUGUAAUUUUUUCGAGUUUUAUUUGGUAUCCCGGCCCAAUUAUCAAUUAGUUAAAUAUGAAUAAUGACUAGACAGAAGAGUUAUGCAUAUUGUGAAGAAACUGGCCUCUCAUCUUCUUUUUAGACUCUUAACUUCUCAUCCCCUUUCUCAUCUCUAUCUUUUAGUUACUUGUUAUUUCGGUACUUCUCUUCGUAAUUCAAGUAUUGAUAUUAUAAUUUGGUUAUCAAUGAACAUAUUAUUCAUGUAUCCUUGAAAUUUUUAUAGUGCUUAAUUUUAUUUUAUUUUUCUUUUUCUAGACAAUCAUCUACCUAAGGUUGAGUAAUUAUUUUUUUUCGCCAAACACACAGUAAAAUUAUAAACGAAAAUAGAACUCUUUUUUCUUAAUUUUUUAUAUGUCGAUUCUUUUAUGUUUUGACUAGUAAAAUUUCUGACUCACCACUAAGUCAAGGAAAUUGGUUCAUUCAAGACUAAAGUUCUGUAUAUAUAGUAAAUGACUAUAUAUGAACGCCCAAUAUAGUGUUCCAAUAUAAGCUACUAUUAUUUAAUAUCAUAAAUUGAUUGACCAAACUUUACCAUCAAGCCUUUAAAUUUUCUUGACGUUGCAUAGCUUCAAUCAAGUUGCAUGUGUAAUUCCUAUAGGGUAUAAAAUAGAUACAAUCAAAUACUUGAAGGAGGAAAGGUUUUCGAGUGGGGUAUGGUGUUUUUAAGCGGUGGAUCUCUGACUUGGUCUUCGAAUCCUAAGUCUCAGCCCCUUCCCGGCUUGCCUCGCUCUCAGGUUGGCCUUUCUACUUGACUAAGUAGUAUUCCACUCUAACGGUAGGGGCAUAAAUAGCUAAAAAGUAUAAAGGAACUAUAAACAAAAGUAGUGGGGUAUAUCUAAUCCUCUUUCGUAUUUUUUCUAUUUUGACUAGUAAAAUUUCUGGCUCGUCUACUGAGUCAAAAGGGAAUUGACUCCAUCCGCCACUAACAAAAAUCAACAGGUGCAAGUAUACAUCAUGAAAAUAAGGAAGCAAAGAUGUAACUAUGUAAGAAAAAAGUUUCACAUUUGAUAUGUUCAGCUUUUAAGACCACAAAUAUGACUGUCUAUAGUUUUCAAACUACCAACUCUAACAAAAGAAAAACAGUCAAACGUCUCUAUAACAAGAUCGUUUGUCUGUAAUCUUUUUGGUUGCUCUAGCGAACAUAAUAAUAUAACAGCAACAAAAAAGAUCAGUUUCACAAAAGCGUUUAUAGUAUAAUGUUGUAAUAAAGGAUGACUGAUUGAUCCAGAGAGAUCUGCCUAAUGAAUAACAUUAGAAAUUGCAACAGAGUAGCCCCCGCUUCCAACGUCUCUGUUUCCGAACAUGAGGGGUGGUUUCUACAUCCUGCACCAUUCUAACUGGACUGCUGUACCAUCCCGGAUUCAAGCUGCAAACACAACGAAACAAGGAUGAUGUCAGAUAAUGAUUCGAAAACUGAAAGAAACUAGUACAAGAUGAUGUUGCAGAAUAGUACAGUGGGAAAGCAAACGAUCCGUUGCUAGCUGUGCUGCUAUCUGAUCCAAUAGAAUGUCUCCCAAAACUUGAUACACGCCUCGCGUUAAUAGCAGGACCUGAUCCACGUCUUAAUCUAGAAAAACUUGCCUCCCCAUCAGCUAAAUAACCUUGACUAUAAACAAGGAAAUCUCCCAAUGAUCUACUUUCAUGAUUUUCCACAUCUUUUGGUUCAACAACAUUUUCGACACCUUGGCCUAAGUUGAUAGCUGAUUCCGGCUCAGUUGAGUUCAAGCAGGAAACAGUAGCUUCUGUUGCCAAAUCGGUAGCUGGCACAAUUUCUGCAUUUUGAAUUUCCGAAGCUGUUUCCUCAAAAGGAAUCUAAAGUUCAAACGAAAAAUCAAUAUGACAACGCGGAGUAUACAUGAACAUAUUAAGUAAAACAUCCAUAAAGAUAACGAAAAUACAAACCUGAUCAGGCUGUGUAGAUUGUUGAGAACUCUCAACACCUAACACGUUCGGACUAGCUAUAGCAUUAGGACUGUGUUUCCACUUUGCAGUACCUUUUGAUCCAAAAAUCAUUACCAGAUCCUCCAGAUAAUUAUCGUCCGAAUCAUUCUCAUACCUGUAAACCUCUUCAGGUGAUCCAGGCAUCGGAUCAUUUGGAACAAGUAACUCAGUCUUUUCGUUUUCAUAUUCAACAGAUGAUUUAGAUCCAUCUGCAGACGACAACAAUUCAGUAUCAGCACUUUCUGUACUAGUGUUGCUCUGCUGGUCUUCGUCGUCUGGUAUAGAAACGUACGCGCCUGAAUCGUCCCUACACAAGUUUUUAGCAAUGUUCUUAUCACCUUCUUUAUAGAAAACAACCAAUUCAGGCAAAUCAUAUUCCUUAGCACGUUUCUCGCUAUAUAGCUUCGCAUCAUUCUCAGAGAACUUGUAGCCUGAGGUGAAUUGAGCAUCAGAAACAACAGAAUCAUCUUUUUUCUCAUCAAUCAAAUCAGGAAUUAUCGAACACUCAAAUUCUGGAGUGUUCCAUUUUGCAUCCCUAUCUUCCAUAUCACAUUCAAUUGCAUCACUCUCUACACUCGUCAAAGCUCUAACUUCAGUGUCAUUUCUUCUAGCUAUAUCAUCAGAAACAACAGAUUCCUCAUCCACAGCUUUCGUGUCAUCUGCUAACGCUUCCUUAGAGCUGGCAUCGACAAUUGGAUCAAGGAAGUCUAGUGUCGGAAAAGUGAAAGAAUCUUCUUUCUUAUGGCCAUCAGAGUGACUCGACAUCCCUUUCUCAUCUUCCUUCAUUUCAGACUUUUCUUCAGGUGCGUCUAAGACAACGCUGUUGUAGCAUUUCAAAUGUUUUAGUAACAUGAACAGAGAGGCAAGUGAUAUUGAAUUACGAAACUUCAUCAGUUUUUGAAAGUUAACAACUUUAAUCAGAUCAGGUUUAGAUGUAUUUGCCAAUAAACAUAAAAUAGAACACGAAACAUAGAUAAUAAUUAGAACAAACUGUGAUAUGUAGAUAACAUGAAACGUUUACACUCACCGUUCUCCAGGCUCUUCAUCGGAUGGCAGAGCAUCUAGUAUAUCCAAAAGCUUUGAAGCAAACAUCGAUUCGUCAGGGCAAGAGAUAUAACUUUGGAAAUCUGUUAAGAGAAAGUCAGGUAAGUUAAACUCUUAAAAAAUCGCUUAUUGUAACCAUAAAGUAGGACUAAUAAAACACAAUCAUACCCGCGAAAAGCCAAAUUGUAACAACAAAGCAAAUUUAGCAGAUUGAUCACAAGAUUUCAAAUCUCAGCUCCCUUUUUAUAACACAAAAUGUAAAUAAAAGAUACAUGUAACUCACACAUUAAUGAAUAAAGAAGUUCAAAUACAUUUCUACUAUCCAUUUUUGUAAUAGUCAUGAAUGAGUUCAAACAUGCAUAUAGGUUUAAAACCACUUGAAAGUUAUACAAAGUAAAUAUCAACUAUUAUUAAUCGAAGAAGUACUACUUAUACUGCUUCCUGCAUAUGACAUAAUAGAGUAUGACACGAAAAAAAAAAACACGUAUAGUCAAUGAAUAGAGAGAAUUACAUGUACCUUAGCUCCGCGCGAUAGAACAAAAGACAAAGAGAGAUAAUAUGAAGUUUGGUUGAUUGAUUCAUAAGAACUGAAUGUGAAUGAAUUAGAGUAUCCAUGUUGAACAAGAAGAAAAAACAGAAAAAUAUAAAGAAAAUGCAAAGUGGGAAGCAAGCAACAUUUUGACAAGUCAACUGUCUUUCAAAAUAUAAUAAAAAUUCACUUGUUUUUUAAUUACAUAAAUGUAAUAAUAUUAUAUAAUAUAUACACUGUGUGACAUGCAGGUAGAAGUGUAUAUAUAUAUAUAUAUAUAUAUAUAUUAUCAAGUGCAUAGCACGAAGGAAAAAACUCUAAAAGGUAUUUUAUAUUAGUUAUCUAGAAAAAAAUAAUAUUCUCAGUUUGAGUUAAGAGUAUUAUACUAUAGUAUUUAUAAGAACAAAUUAUUCAUAAAGUAAUUACAACUAAUUUUUUAUGAUAACAUCAAAUGGUACUCCUAUUAGAAUAUUAAAUUAAAUAUAAAAUAAGGUUGAUCGUGCACAAAACAUUCCUAUCAUUCACACAAGAUAUCGCUAAGGGCCUAUCGUCUAUCCUAAUUCAAGUAUGAGUGACUUAUUUUAUAACUGUAUCGUAUUUGUAUCUAAUGAAGAUAUUAAUAUUAAUGAUUCAUAUCACAAUUUUCAGCCAUUAAGAGAUUUUUUUUUAAAAAAAAUUAAUAAUUCAAAUCUUACUCGUUAAGUGUACGUAAGUUUCUUAUUUUACAACCACUUAGGGUGUCUAUACAAAUAUGAACUAUUAAGAUUUAAGAAUAAAGUUGUCAUGUAAUUAUGAUCGAUAUAUCAGAAUCAAUUACCUCAAUCCACUAUCCAGAAUUAUCACCAUCGCUAAUCACCACAGUCAAUAGUCACCAUUAGCCAAUAUUUACCACCAACUACAAUAGCCGCAUAGCCAUCAAUCAUUAGUAUAUAUAGUCAAUCACAUCCAUCGCUAUCAUCAUAAGUCGUUACUAUCAUUUACUAUAAUUGGUAAUUGUCACCACCAACUACAACCAUCUAGUUGCUAAUGUUAUUCACUAUUGUCAAUCACCAUCGCUACUACUACUACCUCUUACCACAUAGUCAACCAACUCUAACACUAACACCAACACCAAUCACUACCCUAGUCGAUACCUACAAAACCUACAUUAUCCGUCACUAUCAUCAAUUACCAUGUUAUGUUUAUUAUAUUGAACUACUAUUAAAGUAAUUUGUAUUUUAUUCAAAUUUCAUAGUUAUCAACUUUUAAAUAAAAUAAGUUUCAUGUUGACAAAAUAAAUUAUUUUAAUUACUUAAUAUUUAGAUGUUAAUACAUAUUUUAAUACUUCGAUAUACAUUUAGAUUCAAACUUCUAUGACCUAAUAGAAGACAAAGACUAAGGAAAACAAGGAUUUGAGCUAAUCAAUUUGAAAUCUUACCUAUUAAGAACAAAACUGUAAUAUCAAAAAGAUGGUUAGUAAAUCACAUUAUAUUAUAUCUUUAAAUAUAUAUCUAUAUUUAUAUAUACAGUUUAAUCUAUAUACUCCCCGAUAAAUGAUUAAUAGUCAAAUUCAUUCUUAUUUAGAUUUGGUUUUAAAAAGUGGAAGCGCAAAACAAGACAUUUCAGACGUCAUGUGGAAGAGGGUAAGUCUCUAUGCAAAAUGACGAAUUCAUGAUUUAAAUUUGAUUAAAAAAUUUAAUCUUUUAAGGUUCUGACCAAUUGCUUACUUUUAAAAUUAUAAGUUGUAAUUCAAUAUCAAUUGGAAUUUUAGUGAUUUUUCGCACACAUACAAACAUAAAUAUUUAUUGAAAAUAUUGAUUUUAGUUGAGCCAUAAAGCAUAAGGAUUAUUUGUAGAAAUCAAUUUCAUAACGAUGGUCUUGAACUUUUGACCACUACUUGACUAUAUAUAUUUUUUAAAAGAAGGUCGACAUUCUCUUUAAAAAAUCACAUAGAAUUAUAACUUUUACUCUUUUUUUUUGUCUAAAUUAUUGUAUGCCCUUAUAAAUGUAAUCAUGACACAAAGCUUAAAAAAUAAAAUUCAGGUAAAAGGCUAGAAAAUAAUUUCUCUUUAAGAGAAAAAAUCAGCUUUACAAAGAUGAUUUUAAAUUUUUGACUACUGCUCGACUAUUUUAUUUUUUAAGAAUGACAUCCUCUUAAGAAAAUUACAUAAAAUUAUACCUUUUUUUUGGAUCUAAACAAUUGUAUGCCCUUACGAAUGUAAACAUGACACAAUUUUUUAAAAAAUAGUGUAAAAGUCUAGAAAAUUAUGUCUCUCUAAGAGAAAAAAUUAGCUUCAUAAAGAUGAUCUUGAACUUUUGACUACUGCUUAAAUAUUUUUUUUAUUUUUUAAAUUACAUCCUCUUAAGAAAAUCACAUAUAAUUAUACCUUUGUAAUUUUUGUCUAAACCAUUGUACGCCAUUAAAAAAUGUGACAUGACACAAAACUUAAAAUAAAAAUUGGGUAAAAGGCUAGACAAUCAUUUCUCUCUUAGGAGAAGAAAUCACCUCCAUAAAGACGAUUGAGCUUUUGACUCCCGCUUGACUAUUUCUUUUUAAAAAAUUACAUAAUCUCAAGAAAAUCACAGAAUUAUAUCUAUACAAUUAUUCCCUUACAAAUAUAAACAUGACAAAUUUUUUUUUUUUAAAAAAAAUGGUUUAAAAGCUAGAAAAACAUUUCUCUAUAAGAGAAAGUGAAAUCUCUUGUCCCCUUACAAUUUAAAUAAAUGACAUUUUCAGUUAUAUCAUGUGCAAAAAAUGAAGCUUUUUAUAUGUAAAUAUAAAGAUCUCCAAUAAAAAGAGACACAUAACUAUAAUUUUCUUUUUGUAAAAAAUAAGAAAAUCAUGUCACUCCUUCAAGAGAAUAUAAAAAUCUUUUGCCCUCUAACAAUCUAAUUAGAAAAAAUUGACCUUCUAAAAUCUUUUAUGUAUAAAUUGAAGAUUUCUUAUGCGUAAAUGUACUAUAGAUCUAUAGAAAAAACACAAAAGCUAUAUCUUUUUAUUGUAAAAGACUAGAAAAUAUUUUUUCCGUCAUAGAAGCGUUAUAGAUCAUCAUACCUUAUAUGAAAUUUUUGGUCAUGAACCAGAAACUCUAAUUGAAAUCCAUCUCUGCCUCCUUGCUCUAGCUUACCAAGGCCGUCACUGAUCGAAAACUGCAGAGAAUAUAUGAUAACCCUAAUGAAUGAAAAAAAUGAAUUUAUAAAAUUUGAUAUACAAUUUAGCACGUCGAUGAAGUACAAAUCUAAUGGAUGAGAUUUGUUUUCCAAUAAAUAUCAACUAUGGGUUUUACACUAAUUAGGAUGCACAUAUAAUAAAAAAGUCAAACAUUCUUUUAAUGAUAUAUUCAUUAAUUGCGCAUAAAAAAAUCUAUUCUAUAAUAUCUAUCAUAAUAUCACAAUAUGCCAGAUCAUUAAUGUGAGUUAUGAAUAUUAUACAUAUUUUGCACUAUAUACUCCCUUCCAUCAAUAGCAACUUAUCUUAUACUAGAUUUCAUAAGGUAUGACAUUAAACAUCAUAUAGUUCACAAUAAUAUCUCAAUAAAAUUUGUCAUAUAAUAUCUCAAAAUAAUAAUGUGUACAUACAUAUAAGAAAUAGGAAUCCAUUAAUGUUUAUUAGAAAUCAUAAUUGAGCUCAUGUCUCAAAAUAUGAUAAUCACAUCAAUCGUAAGUCAAAUCGAGACUUAUUAUAUGUAUAUAUUCUUUAAAUGUCUUUGGUUGCAAACAUUUACUAAUAAAACUAACAAUCAUGACAUCAUUUUAGUUGUCACUAUUUAUUUUUGGAUCUUUUCUUUAAUGAUAAAACACUUUAUUUUAUAAGUUUUGAUUAUUAAGAGUAUUUUUCAUUCUUGGAGAAGAGCACACUACAUAAUAAACAUCUUAAGGUUCUGUCACGUCUGAGUCUACACCUUGUACAUGAUCGGCACUUGAAGAGCAUUGUUGGUCCUUAAGCGAACCCUUGGUCUAGCUAACUACUUAGCAGGAUAUUAAAAUAUACAUAGAUACAUAAACUGAUGAGCAAUUUUUUUUUAAAAAAUAAGGCGAAUCUCAAAUGCCCUAUGAAAAUAUUGAAUAUAAGAAGUUAAAGUUUUAGCAAAACAACCAAACGAAAAAUGCAUGACUUUAUCUAUGUCUAUCCACGAAGCAUCUAUAGUUUAGAGAUGAAUGUCGGGACAUGACCCAUGACAACCUCAAAAUACUGCUCCUAAAGCAACAACACUGGAGUUGUCUCAUCAAAAGCCAAUGACUAGAUGGUAUGAUCUCAAUAAUUACUUAAUAUUUAGAUCUUAAUACAUAUUCUAAUACUUCGAUAUACAUUAAGAUUCAAACAUUCUAUGACCUCGAUAGAAGAGAAGGACUAGGGAAAACAAGGAUUUGGGCUAAACAAUUUAAAAUCUUACCUAUUGAGAACAAAAUUGUAAUAUCAAAAAGAUGGUUGGUAAAUCACAUUAUAUUAUAUGUUUCAAUAUAUAUCUAUAUUAUACAGUUUAAUCCAUAUACUCCCCGAUAAAUGAUUAGUAGUCAAAUUCAUCCUUAUUUGGACUUAGUUUUAAAAAGUAGAAGUGCAAAAUAAGGCAUUUUAGAUGUUAUGUGGAAGAGGGUAUAAGUCUCUAUACAAAUUAACGAAUUUAUGGUUUAUAUUAAUCUUUUAAGGUUUUGACCAAUUACUUACUUUUGAAAUUAUAAGUUGUAAUUCAAUAUCAGUUGUAAUUUUAGUGAUUUUUCGCACCCAUACAAACAUAAAUAUUUAUUGAAAAUAUUGAUUUUAGAUAAGUCAUAGAGCAUAAGGACUAUUUGUAGAAAUCAAUUUCAUAAAGAUGGUUUUGGACUUUUGAUUACUGCUUGACUAUUUGUUUGUUUUUUUCUUAAAAAAUGACAUUGUCUUAAGAAAAUCACAUAGAAUUAUAAAUUUACUUUUUUUUCCGUCUAAACUAUUGUAUGCCCUUAUAAAUGUAAUCACGACACAAAACUUAAAAAAUAAAAAUUGGGUAAAAGGAUAGCAAAUCAUUUCUCUCUAAGAAAAAAAUCAGCUUUAUAAAUAUGAUCUUAAACUUUUGACUACUGCUUGACUAUUUUUUUUUAAAAAAAUCACAUCCUCUUAAGAAAAUCACAUAGAAUUAUAACUUUAUUUUUUUCGUCUAAACAAUUGUAAUCCCUUGCAAAUGUAAACAUGACACAAUAUUUUAAAAAAAUAUAGGUAAAAGGUUAGAAAAUCGCUUCUCUCUAAGAGAAUAAAACCUCUUCAUAAAUAUGGUCUUGAACUUUUGACUACUGCUUGACUAUUUCUUUUUAAAAAAUGACAUCCUCUUGAGAAAAAUCACAGAGAAAUAUAACUUCACUUUUUUGGUCUAAACAAUUGUUACAAAUUGUAAACAUGACAAAAAAACUUUUUAAAAAAUUGGUAUAGAAGCUAGAAAAUCAUUUUUCUCUACGAGAAAAAAUCACAUUCAUAAAGAUGAUCUUGAACUUUUGAUACUCCUUAACUAUUUAUUUUUUAAAAUGGCACCCUCUUAAGAAAAUCACACAGAAUUUUAACUUUGUACUUUUUGUCUAAACAACCGUGUGCCCUUACAAAAAUGUUGUAAACAUGAAACAGAACUUUAAAUAAAAAUUGGGUAAAAGGCUAGAAAAUCAUUUUUUCUUAAGAGAAGAACUCACAUUUAUAAAGAUACUUUUGAGCUUUUGACUAUUGUUUAACUAUUUUUUUUUUUAAAAAAAGACAUCAUCUUAAGAAAAUUCCAUAGAAUUAUAACUUAAAUUAUUUUGUCUAAACAAUUGUAUGACCUUACAAAUGUAAACAUUACAAAAAACUUUUUUUUAAAAAUUGGUUCAAAAGCUAGGCAAUUAUUUCUGUCUAAGAGAAAAUGAAAUCUCUUUCCCCUCUUACAAUUUAAAUAAAUGACAUUUUUGUGCAAAAAAUGAACCUGUUUAUAUGUAAAUAUAAAGAUCUCCGCUAAAAAAGGCCACAUAACUAAAAUUUUCUUUUUGUAAAAAUUAAGAAAAUCAUGUCACCCCUUCAAGAGAAAAUAAAAAUCUUUUGCCCUUUAAAAAUUUAAUCAGAAAAAAUUGACCUUCUAAAAUCUUUUAUGUAUAGAUCGAAGAUUUCUUAUGCAUAAAAGCACUAUAGAUCUAUAGUAAAAAACACAAAAACUAUACCUUUUUUUUUUAAAAGUCUAGAAAAUAAUUUUUCCCGUAUAGAUCAUCGUACCUUAUACGAAAUUCCUGAUCACGAAGUGACAACUGUAAUUGAAAUCCAUCUAUGCCUUCUUGCUUUAUCUUACCACGGCUGUCACUGAUCGAAUUCUGCAGAGAAUAUAUAAUAACCCUAAUGAUUGAAAAAAGUAAAUUUAUAAAUUUGAAAUACAAUUUAGCACGUCGAUGAAGUACAAAUCUAACAGAUGAGAUCUGUUUUCCACUAAAUAUCAACUGUGGGUUUUACAUUAAUUAGGACGCACAUAUAAUAAUAAAAAAGUUAACAUUCUUGUAAUGAUAUAUUCAUUAAUUGCACAUAAAAAAAGUCUAUUCUAUAAUAUCUAUCAUAAUAUCAGAAUAUGUCAGAUCAUUAAUGUGAGUUAUGAAUAUUAUACAUAUUUUGCGUUGUACACUCUCUUUCAUCAAUAGCAACUUAUCCUAUACUAAAUUUCGUAAGCUAUGACAUAUUAAACAUCAUAUAGUUCACAAUAAUAUCUCAUUAAAACUUAUCAUAUAAUAUCUGGAAAAAAUAAUGUGUACACAUUUAUAAGUAAUAGGAAUCCAUUAAUGUUUAUUAGAAAUCAUAAUUGAGCAUCAGUCGUAACUAUAAUCAAGACUCAUUAUAUGUAUAUAUAUUCUUUAAAUGUCUUUGGUAGCAAACAUUCACUAGAUCUAACAAUCAUGACAACAUUUUAGUUAACCCCAUUUAUUUUUUGAUCUUUUCUUUAAUGAUAAAGCACUUUAUAUUAUAAGCUUUGAUACUUAAGAGUAUUUUUCAUUCUCGGAGAAGAGCACUAUUACAUAAUAAUCAUCAUAAGUUUUUGUCACGUUCGAGUCUACAUCUUGUACGUGAUCGGCACUUUGAAGAGCAUUGUUGAUACUUAAGCGAAUCAUUGAUCUGAAUAACUACUUAGAGGGAGAUUAACAUAUCAUAGACGCUUAAACUGAUGAAUAAUAAAUGACGUAUGAAAACAUUCAAUAUAAGAAGUUAAAGUUUUAACAAAACAACCAAAUGAAAAGUGCAUGACUUUAUCUAUGUCUAUCCACGAAGCAUCUAUUGUUUAGAAAUGAAUGUCGGGAUAUUGACCCAUGACAAUCUCAAAAUGCUACUACUAAAGCAACAACAUUGGAGUCGUCUCAUCAAAAGCCAAUGAUUAGAUGGUAUGAUCUCAAUAAUUACUUAAUAUUUAGAUCUUAAUACAUAUUCGAAUACUUCAAUAUACAUUUAGAUUAAAACAUUCUAUGACCUCGAUAGAAGACAAGGACUAGGGAAAACAACGAUUUGGGCUUAACAAUUUAAAAUCUUACCUAUUGAGAACAAAAUUGUAAUAUCAAAAAGAUGGUUAGUAAAUCACAUUAUAUCAUAUGUUUAAAUAUAUAUCUAUUUUUAUACAGUUUAACCCAUAUACUCUUUGAUAAAUGAUUAGUAGUCAAAUUCAUCCUUAUUUGAACUUAGUUUUAAAAAAUAGAAGCGUAAAAUAAGGCAUUGUAGAUGUUAUGUGGAAGAGGGUAAAUCUCUAUACAAAAUGACGAAUUCAUGAUUUACAUUUAAUCUUUUAAGGUUCUGACCAAUUACUUACUUUUGAAAUUAUAAGUUGUAAUUCAAUAUCAAUUAAAAUUUUAGUGAUUUUUCGCACGCAUACAAACAUAAAUAUUAAUUGAAAAUAUUGAUUUUAGUUGAUUCAUAAAGCAUAAGGACUAUUUGGAGAAAUCAAUUUCGUAAAGAUGGUCUUGGACUUUUGACUUCUGCUUGACUAUUUGUUUUUUAUAAAAAUUAGGGAUAAUGCCCAAGUAUCCCCUCAACCUAUGCUCGAAAUCUCAGAGACACACUUAUACUAUACUAAGGUCCUAUUACCCCCCUAAACUUAUUUUAUUAAUAAUUUUUUACCUCUUUUUAGCUUAAGUGGCACUAUCUUGUGGGCCCAACGAUGGUUGACUUUUUUUUUUGAACUAGUGCCACGUAGGCUAAAAAGGGGUAUAAUAUUACAUAUAAAAUAAGUUCAGGGGGUAAUAGGACCUUAGUAUAGUAUAAGUGUGUCUCUGGGAUUUCGGGCAUAGGUUGAGGGGGUACUUGAGUAUUUUCCCUAAAAAUAAAAAUGACAUCCUAUUAAAAAAAUCACAUAGAAUUAUAGCUUUUACUUUUUUUUCUAAACUAUUGUAUGCCCUUAUAAAUGUAAUCGUGACUUAAAACAUUUUAAAAAAUUGGGUAAAAAGGCUAGAAAAUCAUUUCUCCUUUAAGAGAAAAAAUAAGCUUUAUAAAGAUGAUCUUAUACUUUUAACUAUUGCUUGACUAUUUUUUUUUUAAAAAAAAUGACAUCCUCUUAAUAAAAUCACAUAGAAUCAUAACUUUUUUUUUCCGUCUAAACAAUUGUAUUCCUUGCAAAUGUAAACAUGACAUAAAACUUUGUUAAAAAGAAUGGGUCAAAGGCUAGAAAAUCGCUUCUUUCUAAGAGACGAAAUCACCUUCAUAAAUAUGGUUUUGAACUUUUGACUACUACUUGACUAUUUGAUUUUAAAAAAAUGACACUCUCUUGAGAAAAAUCACAGAGAAUUAUAACUGUCUAAACAAUUAUAUAUCCUUACAAAUGUAAACAUGACAAAAAAACUUUUAAAAAAAUUGAUAUAGAAGCUAGAAAAUCAUUUUUCUCUAAGAGAAGAAAUCACCUUCAUAAAGAUGAUUUUGAACUUUUGACACUGCUUGACUAUUUAUUUUCAAAAUGGCACCCUCUUAAGAAAAUCACAUAGAAUUAUAACUAUUUUACUUUUUUUGUUUAAGCAAUUGUAUGCCCUUACAAAAAUAUAAACGUGACACAAAACUUAAAAUAAAAUUGGGUAAAGGGCUAGAAAAUCAUUUUCUCUUAAGAGAAGAAAUCACCUUUUUAAAGAUGAUUUUGAGCUUUUUACUAGUGCUUGAUUAUUUCUUCUUAAAAAAUGACAUCAUCUUAUAAAAAUUACAUAGAAUUAUAACUUUGUUUUUUUGGACUAAACAAUUGUAUGCCUUACAAUGUAAAACAUGAUAAAACUUUUUUUAAAAUAGUUUAAAAGCUAGAAAAUCAUUUCUCUCUUAGAGAAAAUAAAUCUCUUGUCCUCUUACAAUUUAAAUAAAUGACAUUUUUAAAUAUGUCAUGUGUAAAAAAUGAAGCUUUUUAUAUGUAAAAAUAAAGAUCUCCAGCAAAAAGAGACACAUAACUACAAUUUUCUUUUUGUAAAAAUUAAGAAAAUCAUGUAACUCCUUCAAGAGAAAAUAAAAAUCUUUUGCCCUCUAACAAUUUAAUCAGAAAAAAGUUAACCUUCUAAAAACUUUUACGUAUAGAUUAAAGAUUUCUUAUGCAUAAAAGUAUAUAGAUCUAUAGUAAAAAACAGAAAAACUAUACUUUUUCUUGUAAAAGGCUAGAAAAUAGUUUUUCCCACAUAGAAGCGUUAUAGAUCAUCGUACCUUAUAUGAAAUUCCUGAUCAUGAAGUGGGAACUCUAAUUGAAAUCCAUCUCUGCCUCCUUUCUCUAGCUUACCACGGCUGUCACUGAUUGAAUUCUACAGAGAAUAUAUGAUAACCCUAAUGAAUGAAAAAAAAUAAUUUUUAGAAUUUGGAACUUAAUCUAGCACACCGAUGAAGUUCAGAUCUAACGGAUGAGAUUUGUUUUCCAAUAAAUAUCAACUAUGGGUUUUACAUUAGUUAGGACGCACAUAUAAUAAUAAAAAAGUCAAAUAUUCUUUUAAUGAUAUAUUUUUUAAUUGCACAUAAAAAAGUCUAUUCUAUAUUAUCUAUCAUAAUAUCAUAAUAUGUCAGAUCAUUAAUGUGAGUUAUGAAUAUUACACAUAUUUUUACGCUAUAUACUCCCUCCAUCAACAACAACUUAUCCUGUAUUGAAAUUCGUAAGCUAUGGCAUAUUAAACAUCAUAUAGUUCACAAUAAUAUCUCAUUAAAACUUAUUAUAUAAUAUCUCAAAACAAUAAUGUGUACACACUUAUAAGAAAUAGGAAUUCAUUUAUGUUUAUUAGAAAUCAUAAUUGAGUUCAUGGUGUCAAAACAUGAUAAGCACAUCACUCGUAAGAAAAAUCAAGGCUCAUUAUAUGAAUAUAUUCUUAAAAUGUCCUUGGUUGCAACAUUCACUAAUAAAACUAACAAUCAUGACAUCAUUUUAGUUUUAACCAUAUAUUUUUGAAUCUUUUCUUUAAUAAUAAAGAAUUUUAUUUUAUAAGUUUUGAUACUUUAAGAGUAUUUUUCAUUCUUGGUGAAGAGCACUAUUACAUAAUAAUCAUCACAACUUUCUGUCAAGCUCAAGUCUGCACUUUGUACGUGAUCGGCACUUGAAGAGCAUUGUCGGUCCUUUGCGAACUCUUGGUUUGACUAACUACUUAGAGGGAGAUUUAUAUAUACAUAAAGGCUUAAACUGACGAGCGAUUUAAAAAAUAUAAGUUCAAAUGCCCUAUGAAAAUAUUGUUAGGACCGAAAAUAAACAGGUGUAAACGUGAAAGCUAGCAAAGCAAACCUCGAAAGAUCACGAGUAAGAAGACAAACGAGAAAUAUAUCAAAAGACACAAUUUAACGUGGUUCGGUCAAUAAACCUAUAUCAACAAAGGAGAUGAACAAUCCACUAUAAAUAUGAGAGUACAAAAUACAGAGAGAAACAACCUCAACCAGUUCACUCGGAAUACACGGGAGGUACACACAAGUGAUAACGUAUCAAACUUGUGACCCACAAAUUCUCCCCCUAUCCAAAACUCUCAAAGGCAUUAAGACUACAUUGUGAAUGUUGAUUAAAUUAGAAGGAAUAUUCCUCUAAUUAUAGAGGCCUAAACUAUUUCCUACCAGAAAAAGGAUUAGUCAAUCCAAAACCUUUUCCUAAAAGGAAAACCCAUUUAUGGUAAGAAAUCAGGGCAAAUAAAAUCCAACAAAUCUCCCCCUUGGCCUGAAUUUCUGACAAAAUAAAUUUGUCCAUUAAUCUUCAACAACUUGCUUCUCCUCUCCAUAAUCUCCUUUGCAAAAUUUAUGUCUCAACACAGAGAACCUCUCUGAAACAAUUUCUCCAACAAAAUCUUCACUACUGUUAAAAAGGUUGCAGCUAGAACUACAACCAUCAAGAUGAACACCUCCUUCUAACCUGGUUCAAUCAUCGAUUAUCGAACCACUAAACCUGACUCCAUAAUUGAAUCUGGCUCUGAUACCACUUGUUAGGACAAAAAAUAAGCAGGUGUAAACGCGAAAGCUAGCAAAGCAAACCUCGAAAGAUCACGAGUAAGAAGACAAACGAGAAAUAUAUCAAAAGACACAAUUUAACGUGGUUCGGUCAAUAGACCUACAUCCACAAAGGAGAUGAGCAAUCCACUAUAAAUAUGAGAGUACAAAAUACAGAGAGAAACAACCUCAACCAAUUCACUCGGAAUACAUGGGAGGUUCUCACAAGUGAUAACGUAUCAAGCUUGUGACCCACAAAUUCCCCCCUAUCCAAAACUCUCAAAGUCAUUAAGACUACAUUGUGAAUGUUGAUUAAGUUAGAAGGAACAUUCCUCUAAUUAUAGAGUCCUAAACCUUUUCUACCAUAAAAAGGAUUAGUCAAUUCAAAACUUUUUCCUAAAAGGAAAACUCAUUUAUGGUAAGAAAUCAGGGCAAAUAAAAUCCAACAAAUAUUGAAUAUAAGAAGUUAAAAUUUUAGCAAAACAUCUAAACGAAAACUGCAUGAGUUUAUCUAUGUCUAUCCACGAAGCAUCUAUUGUUUAAAGAUGAAUGUCGAUACAUGACCCAUGACAACCUCAAAAUACUUGAAAGUAAGGAGGUCUCAUCAAAAGCCAAUGAUUAGAUGGUCUGAUAUCAAUGAAACACAUGUUGAUCAUCGUGAAUACUUUUAUUUGAAUCAUAAAAAGAUUCAUUGGCGAAUGAAAUUAUUAUAUGAAAUGCAUGGUAUGUAAUAAAUUGAAGAAAACAAAUAACUGAACUAAAAGACUGAAAAUAACUCAACUGAAGUAAAGCAUGAUCAUGGAGUAAAAUCAUUUAAGCUUCACAAUAAAAGUGUAAUGAUAGCACUUCCUACAGACCGUCUUAUUGUUCCAUCGGAACACAUCUGGGACUUGAAAUUUUCCAAUUUUUAGGAUUCAACCUACGACUAGUUUCUAUGGUCCGUUGGAUCCUCUAUGGUUUGUAUGGACCCGUGGGGAACCAGUAUUUCAAUAACUUUCUAAAAAAUUUCCUAAGUUUAACUAAGUCAUGAAUUUCUGGGAUGUUAUAAUAUCUUUUCCUUGAAACACUCAUUCUCGAUGAGAUCCCACUAGAUAUAAUAUGUGGGUAGAUAAAGAUCUAAUCAGUCCAAUUCAAUCGCAAUAAUACACAAUAACAUGCAAAAUUCUUAAAACUGAGGAAAUGACGAAUUUCAUACUCUCUCGAAGUUGAGAGAAGUAAAAACUGAGUGCAUGAAUAUGCAUACAUACAAAUAGCUUCAGAAUGACUUAAAUGCAUGAUUUUGAAUGAGUACUUAGAGAUAGUAAUAACUUGAAGUGAAGUUGGAUUGGAGGAAAAGAGACAUGGGAUAUAGCUUUCAUAUACUCUUGAACUUCCUAUUUAGCCUCUUCCACAAACGGAAUACUUCAUAGAACUUUGACUAAUGCAAUUUCUUUGGUUCUCAACUUGCGACUCUGAUAAUCAAGGGUUUGAACUGAAGCUUCUUUUUAGGUUGUACGGUCUUUCACACUAAUACUCUAUGUAGGCUCAAUGAGUGAAGGAUCACUAGCACUUCUAAAGCAGGUAUAUAUGAAAUAUCGGAUGGACAAUCACUAACUCUGAUGGUAGCUCCAAAUCAUAAGCCACAUUACCAAUCCUAUCUAAUAUCCGGUAACGAAUAAUAUAUCAAAGACUGGACUUCUCUUUCUUACUAAACUUCGUAACACCAUUUAUAGGUGAAACCUUUGAAUAAAUCCAAUCAUUUACGUCAAACUCCAAAUCUCUUCUUCUACAUCAAUAUAGAAAUUUUGAUGACUUUAUGCUUGAUUAAGUAAAGAUCUGACGGAUGAAAUUUAUUGUUCAUUAAAUAUCAACUAUGAGCUUUACAAUAAUUAGGUUGCACAUAUAAUAAUAAAAAGGUCUAACAUUCUCUUAAUAUCAUAUGCAUUAAUUGCAUAUUAAAAAAGACUUUUAUAUAAUAUCUAUCUUAAUAUUAUAAUAUGACGGGUCAUUAAUGCGUUAAUGAUUUUAUAUAUAUAUUGCUUUAUACUCCUUCCAUCAAUUGGAACUUAUUGUAUACAAGAUUUUGUAUAUUAUGAUAUAUUUAACAUUAUGGUUCACGAUAAUAUAUCAUUGAAACUUAUCAUAUAGGAUCUCAAAACAAUAAUGUGUACACACUUAGAAGAAAUAGGAGUCCAUUAAUUUUUUUAUCAGAAAUCAAAAUUGAGCUCAUGGUAUCAAAAUAUCAUAAGCACAUAUUCAUAAGUAAAAUUGAGACUCAUUAUAUGUAUAUUUUUUAAAUGUCUUUGAUUGCAUACAUUCACUAAUAGAUCAAACAAUUAUAAGAUCGUUUCUUUUUUUAAUAAUCUCUUUAAUGAUAAUGUACUUUUAUUUUAUAAGUUUGAUACUUUAGAAUAUUAAUCAUAAGUUUUUGUCAAGUUUGCCCCGAGCCUACACCUUGUAUAUGGCAGACACUCAAAGAUUAUUUUUUAUCCUUAAGUGAAUCCUUGGUCCGAUUGACUACUUAACAGAAGACUAAAAUAUAGACCCAGAAGCUUAAAUUGAUGAGCAAUUUAAAGAAUUAAGGUGAAUCUCAAAUGUUAUUCGAAAAAUAGUAAUUAUAAAAGUGUAACAUCUCAAAGAAUCUCAAAUGUUAUUCGAAAAAUAGUAAUUAUAAAAGUGUAACAUCUCAAAUUUUGAAAAAGAAUGAAAGAAAAAGUUUCUUACAUUGCAGGUUGGGUCUAUGGGCCCCAUCUACAAAUAGUAGAAUAUUCUAGGAGCCGCAGAUUAAAACCAUAGGAAGAGGGAAAAUAAUUUUCUGAAUCAAGUCUCUAUACCUCUUUUUACGCUCCACCUGCAGGAAGACCCAUCGUUCUUUGUAUGAGUCGUAGGUAUUAACUUUGGCAGGCAGGUCCCAGGCUUAGACAUAUUUUUUAGGUUAAGUUGGUUUGUAUGGUUGGUGUCUGCGGACUGUAAGAAGACCUUAUGAGGCGUAAACAAGUCCAUUAAAAGCUGGUCUAAAUAAAAGGUUUCUGAACUUUUCUAUGGAUGACCAUUAUGGUAUGUAGGAAGUCCAAACCGUAGAUCUACGGACCGUAAGUCCAAAUCGUAGAUGGUCUACAGUAAUUAUUCUAAGUGGUUUUGAGUUUUUUUCAAAUUGUUUAGAUCAAAACUAACUCGUUUUGACCUUCAUCCUAAAACCUAUACAAAAAUUUUAGGUCCUAAAACUACCCAUUUCAACUUAUUCUCCUAACUUUUCAAAACCUAACUAAAUACAUCCUCCCUAGAUUCUCUCAAGGCUAAGGAAGGAGAAGAAGUUAGGAUUAAUUCAAUUUCAUAAAUCCUCCAUUAUUUUUUAGCUUCAAGUGACUAAGUAUAAUAUUCACCUAGGGACCCCAUUGUCCCAGAGUUUCUAAUUUUUAAAUCUCAAAUUCAAUUAUUUAAAUUAGAGUUUCAAUUCAAUCUUUAUGGGUUCCAUUCAAUUGUGAUUUAUUAUUGUUAAUUAAGUUUCAUAAUGCAUGAUCCAAUAUUAACACAUGAUAUUUAGUAGAAAUUAUGUUGGCCCAAGCUUAAAUUAUGAUUUUCCACUAUGAACCUAUGAUGAACUUAUGAACCUAUAGAUUAUGAAUUUAUGCAGAUAUGAGUGUUUUUAUGAAGUUAUUGUGAAUGAUUUGGGGAUACUUUGAAAAUAAGGUAUCAAUCUUAUUGUCAAAGGUUUUCUCACAUACUACUAAGAUCAUGAUUGUGAAAGGUAUUUAUCACUUAUGAGUUUACGUUGGUGAAAUAAACUCAUCUAUGUUGAAUUAUGCUUAAAGAGCUAUUCUAUGUUUUGAUUUUAAAAGUGUGGAUUGGUAUUUAUCAUUGAUCUUUCUAUUUUAUAAUGAUAUUUGACUCGUAUCUAUUCCAUUGAGAUUUAUUCGUAGCACCGAGAGUGCUUUGAGGUCAACGCUCAAUUAGGAUAGUCUCUGAUAGCAACCUUUAGUCUCAAACUAUGUGACUCUGUAGAAACGUCUUAAAUGACCUAGCUAGUGAAUUUACUUUAGAAAAAGAUGAUAUGUACAGUUUCUACCUUUAUAAGUAGAUUCUCCUUUUUCGGUAUGAGGAAUAUACUGAAUUCCAUGAUAUAGCCCUCGUGAUCUUAUUAUUUGUUAAAGCUAAAACCCACAAAAUGACCAUGUUUCUUCAAAACUUUUCUUAUGUCCUUUAAUUUAUGUUAAUGUAUUUGACUAUAUUUCAUGAUUUACAUGUCUAUUCUUAUUUAAGCUUUUAAAAUAUUCAAAUAUUGAUCAUGUCUUAAGCCAUUCAUGUUAUCAUGUCUAUUUUAUGAAUACUGUUUCAUAUUUAGUACAUUUCAUGUACUAACAUAUAUUUGUGCAUACAUUAUUUCACUAAUGUAGGGUCUGACACUCCUAUUAUCCAUACUCGGUGCUAAUUGGUUUCAUUGGCUUCCAAGAUUGGUAAUUCUUCAUGAUAUGAGGACCAAGAUGCUUUUAUAGUUUAAUGUCAUUUUAGUUUUCUGAUUUUGAAUGUGAUAUAUGAGUUACGUCUCAAUCACUUUCCUUAUUAUGUACAAGAUGGCCUAUUUAGACUUAUAUUAGACUUCCACUUUGUCAAACUCUUGAUAUAUGAAAAUGUUAUAUUUUAACAUCUUUAUUUUUACUAUCUUGUAUGAUGUAUUCUAAGUGACUUGUAUAGAACCUCUCGAGAUUUUGUACGUCAUGUUACGCCUAGAGUCUUGGAUUGUGAUAAAACAAUAAAGUUUAAGUAAAACAUCUAAACGAAAAUUGAAUGAAACUACCUUUGUUUAUUUAUGAAGCAUUUAUUGUUUAAAGAUUAGACUUGGAACAAGACUCAUGACAACCACAAAAUAUUACCACUUAAGCAAUAAAAUUGAAGUCUUGCAAGGAGCAAGGAGGCCUCACCAAAAGUUUGCAAAUGGAUUAUAUGAUCUCAACAAAACGCCUAUUGAUGAUCCUGAAUACUGAUUCUGCAUCAUAAAAGAUUUCAACGAUGAAUGACAUCAGUACAUGAAAUGUAAAAUAUGUAAUAAAGCUUCAAAAACAAAUAACUCAACUAAAAGACUAAAAAUAACUCUAACUCAACUAAUAUAAAGCAUGAACAUGAAGUAAAAUCAUUUAAGCUUCACAAUAAAAGUCAUUAUGAGUCUCAUGAUGAUAUAAUGUCUUACCUACAUUUUCGGAGAUGCCUUAUAGCUUGUUGUAGAAUAAAACACAACUUUAAAUAAUGAAUCCACUAAAAGUCGUCUUGAGGUUGUAAUCUUGCACACUCAUAGACUCCUGCUUCAUAUUAAAAAAGUCUCUGACCUUUGCUUCUCUUAGCUCUCGAGGAAUGAAGCACCCUAAGAAAGUACUUUCCAACACAGCCUAACUCAAAAGUGGUGCUCCAUCUGCCUUGUUCUUCUUCCAUUGAUCAUACCAUAUUUGUAACACCCCACUAUUUGAAAGAGAUGCAAGAAAGAAUCUUUUUUGAAAAGAAAAAUAUGAAAUUUGGCAAGUAUGUUAAGUAUGAGUUUUGGGUAAACAUCAAAUAACCAUAAGUCCUGGUACAAGAUGAGUUAAAUGAUCUACAGAUAUAAAAUGAUAGAUCUUUGAAUUAUCUUUCCAACGCCACCAAGUUUGCUAAUUUUUAGUUCAUAUGAGGGAUAUGUACCUAUUUGAAUAAUGGAAGUCAACAAGAUUUUAGAGUGGUAUUUUGGUCUUUUUAUUAUCCAAUUAAAUUAUUCUGUUUUUUGCAAGUUAUUUAGGGUCUAAAUUGAGUUAGUUCAAUUAAGAAUUACGCUAGGGUUUUGAGACAAGAGAAAAGAGGAGAAAAGUCAAGGUGUUCUUAGAGAUUUCUUGCGAAAUCGAAGUCGGUUCACAAGGGGAUGAUCCCUAAAGAGAUAUGUGAGACUUUCAUAGCGUUGAUUUUGUUCAUCUACGCAUCAAUCAUGUUUAGUUCAGCGAAAUUCGUUCUAGAAAGUUGAAAGUUUGAUUAUUUUUAAUUGUAUUCUUGAAAUUAGCUUCCGUAAAUGAGAUUUGAUGGGAUCGUUGAAUUAUUUGUGAAAUCGUGUGGAUUUUAGAGUCAUUUAGGAGUAUAUUCUUGUGUUCAUAGGCUGGGUGCUCGCAACAAAUUUUCGUACGCGCGAAAAAUUAACUGCAAGUAAAAUAAAUAAAAGAAAAAUGUGAUUUUAUUAAUGAAUCUUGUGAGUAUAAUUUUGUUGUUCUCUUGAUUCUUCUCUCCUAAGUUUCUCCGUGAUUCGAGGACGUAUUUCUCGAACGUAGGAUGAUGUAGACUUCCUUGAGAUGUAUAUGAUCUCCGAGAAUGUUGGGAAGCACUUCAUCGUUGCACGUCGAUCUUCGGGAAGAACUCCGUUGAUCAAUCCUUUGAAGAGUUAUGUAGUUGAUGUUGUAACUUAUGUAGAACUCGUUCAGAUGUACUUGAUCUCUGAAAACGUCAGGAAGAACUCUGUUGAUCACUUUUUCAAAGAGUUAUGUAGUUGAUAUUGUAACUUUCUCCAAUUGCAGAAUGCUUGUUGAAGUGUUUCUUUGUAACACCCCGUAGCCAAAAUAGACCAAAAACUAGUUUUUCAGAAAAAUCUGCAGGUGCUACCAACGGUUGCAUCGACGGACCGUAGCCUGAACCACGGUCCGUCCUACACAAUCGUCGAUGGGAUCAGACACUCCCAAAAAUUUCAGCCUAGAAAAAUUAUUUUAAGUCUUGGACGAUGGACGGACUUACGGUCCGUAGGUCAAACGAAGGUCCGUAGUCCGUGACUAUCGAUCAAGACUCCCUUCAACCACUCUCUAACAAGAUCUAUGGAUGACCAUCAUGGUUCGUAGGUGUACCUAUGGUCCGUAAUUCUGACCGUAGGUGGAAAAUUUGCAGCCAGUUGAGGGGAAAUGCAGUUGGGUCAACUUAAAAUGAUCAUAACUCUUAUCAAAAAAUGAAUUAGGUCUCUCAUGACCUACCCACAGAUAUAUAAUUUAAUUAUCUUUGCAUAGCCACCGACCUUAAUAAAAUCAAACCUCUGAGUAAAAAGUUAUGCCCAUUUUAGUAAAGGCCUAUCGAACAGGCCCUCACGACGGACCCAAUGACGGGGCGUUGGGCGCACGACGGACCGUCAGUCCAAGCCAUCGUGAGGCCCGAUAGCAACCUUUCCUGGGGUCUUUUUGACCUUUCCCACUCCGUUUAAACCCUAAGUUACGUUAUUUUGACCCUAAAUAAUCAGAUUUUAGUCAGUUUAAGCGUAGAAACAUAAUUAAAACAUAUCCAAGUCAAAUCAUUAAAUCAAAACUUAGAAAAUUAGAAGCAAGAAAGGAAAAAAAAGCUCAAGAGCCCUAGUUCAAGAAUACCACAAGCUCCAGCAGUUCCAGCCCCAAAACUUAAGUAUUUUUCAGUGGAUUUCAUCACCAGGUAUGUGAGAUUUUACUAGUGGGUUCCUUUCACCCAUUGAGUCCUUAGUUUCAGUCAGUUCUUGAUUCUCUUAUCAUAAUUAAACCUAGGGUUUCUCGAACUUUGAUAUAACUUCAUGAAUUUAUUAAAUAUAUGUUCCAAAUUAGAUUAUCAUGUUAUUACUCAGAUUAUCGAAUGAAUUUCAGAACCCUAGCUUUGUAUUUCUUUAGUUUUGAAUUACACAUGCUAGGUCAUAUAUUUCAGACACUUCAGAUAUACAUGCCUCAGUUAUAAAUGCAUAAUUUCUAGAUUAAUUGUUGCAUUCUCAGUUUUCAUUUUCAGGUUUGAGCUAUCCAGUAUUUACAGAAAUUCAGAUAUAAUCAGUUAAUCUAUAGAAUUCAUUGGGAGUAGCAUAAUACCGAGUUGGACUAGGGUUUAGUGUACCCAAUAGUCCCAGAACUACUAGCCUAGUAGGUUGUAAGUCCCCUCUGUGGGAAAUCAGUUUAGUGAUCACGCCAGCAUGUUUUUAUACCUCUGGCAGGGUAUAUUGGGUUCUCUCGAUGGGGCGUAUACAUCGGACUCCAUAUUUAGCUCAUAUGAUUUUAUUAUCGGUUAUUAGUAGCUCCCACAGUUCAGUCAGACUCUCUGCAUUGACCAUUUAUCAGUAUAUUCAGUAUUUAGUUUCAACAUGUUAUAAAUUGGUCAUUGCAUCCAGUUAGCUUAGAAAUCAGCACAUCACGUUCAGAUUAUUAUACUUGUUUUGUGCUUGUUCAAUUAUGUUUUAUUUCAGCUUUACUCUAUCCUACAUGCUCAGUACCUUUCAAGUAAUGACGCAUACGUGCGCUACAUCUUCUCGUGAUGUAAGUUCAGGUUCACAACAUCCAGAUCACACAUAGAUCGAUAAUCUGAUCUUCAAUUUAGCAAAUUUAGUGGUGAGUCCUCAUUCUCCGAGGAAAACAAUCAUGAGUUUCAUUUCAGUCUUUAGUCAUUUACUUUCAGUUUUUGCUAGAUUUAGCUAGGGCUUGUCCCAGUAUUUCUAGUCUAGUUUAGAGGCUAUUUUCAGACAUAGUUAGAUUCAGCUUAGUAUUGAGUUAAUAUUUCUUUUGUAUUAAACUCAUAAUUUUAAAAUAUCUUAGUUAUAGAAUAUGGGUAUUCCCCAUCUUUUCAUUUUAAGUAUGAUUUAGCUUCCGCAACAGUUUGUUUUCUUUAGUAUACUCAUGAUCAUGCCAGCAGGGUUGGCUUGCGAUCACUUGUGGUCCUAGGUUUCGUGUCCGCAUCUCGGGGGUAUCUUGGGGCGUGACAUUUUUCUCUCUCUUGAAUGUCUGUACAUCCCCUAUUUAUAGUUGUAAGAGGUGGACAAGGUUGGUUGUGAUUGGCCAAAGAAUGUCAUUUUGACACUUGGCGCAUUGUGAUUCGUUCUUGCAUUUGACUGGGAUUAUCACCUCAUUUGGACACAUGGUGUCACCUUGUUAGUCUUAGAUGUCUAGUCACUAUGACACGUGGCAUGAGUUUGGGAUUCAAGGUGAAAUGUACCUUGCAAUUGAACUUAAUAAAAAUGGACUUAUUUAUUUGAAAAGCCCAAAUUAAUCAUUCAACUCAAAUAAACAUGGAUUUAAUCCAAAUUUUGUAUGAAUUAAAUUAAAUAAAAUUUGUGUGUCUACAAGUGCACCCUACUUCAAGCCUUGUUGAAGAGUAGGUCUGCCAACACUUGGUGACAAGACUUGAAGUAUCCAUGUAUGUGUAUUUUUUUUAGACGCGUCAACAUGUAGGCUUGUAGAUUUUGACAACGAAAGUUGAAGUCUUUAUGAAGGCAUUAUUGAGACUUCAAGAGUAUUUGUUUCUAGUCAUCGCAUUCUAAUUAGGUCACUACAAAUGAUUUGUUUGUAGUGAUCUCAAAAAAAAUUAUUUAAACAUUCUUGCUUAACAACAACGUGGACCUUCUAUAUUUAUUUCAAAUAGAUAGGUCUAGUGAGUAGUAACAUUGUGUGAUAUUCCUUGCAAGGUGUGAGAAGAACAAGAAGAUUGAUUGGAUCUUUACUCAAAUAAAAGGAAUAUUGACUUUCCUUUGGUUGAUUUUGUAAGAAUCAUUCUUGACAUCGCAAGACUUAUUGCUUUCCUUUUGAGUGCUAGCAACUUCCAUUUGUAAAAUUAGGUCUUAGGCCUAACUCACACCCCAAAAGCUAGCUCAAAGAGACGAGGAUUGCCCAAGCCUUAUAAAGAGUCCACUCAUCUCAUUAAUCACCGAUGUGGGACUUUUUUGUGAUUCUUUAACACCCCACCUCACGUCCAGUGCUUAGCAUCUGGAGCGUGGGCAAAUUUAAUUUUGGGGACCCCAACAUCGGGUGAGACGGGCCCUGCUCUGAUACCAUGUAAAAUUAGGUCUUAGGCCUAACUCACACCCCAAAAGCUAGCUCAAAGGGAGGAGGAUUGCCCAAGCCUUAUAAAGAGUCCACCCAUCUCAUUAAUCACCGAUGUGGGACUUUUGUCAUUCUUUAACACCAUUUAGAUGGUAGGAAUUGCUAUGAUUUGAUUCUUCCAAUUUACCAAAAAUUUCCUUGUACAAGAAAUAACAAUUAUUCAAAGGAACUUCUAUAUAAGAAUCUCCCAUUACAAAGGAUUGAUCAAAGAAUCAUUGGAAAAAUAAUUCUUCUAACCAAAUCAAUGUGGAGCUCCAAAUUUGGUGUCUUCUUUUCUCAAUCUCGUGCAGUCCCAACAAAACUUUGUUUUCUUAGUUUAGAAAUGUCCAAAUGACGAGUGGAUUGGUUUGGAAGAAACAAGGUUCGUAGUACUUCAGUCUAUCCAAAAAUGAGCCUUAAAAACCUUCCAGAUUGUCGGGAAUAUAUUUUUGAAGUUGGAUCCCAAAUCUGUCAGUUCUUCUCACAACUAUGUGCGAUCUCGUCAAAACAUUAGUUUCUUGGUGUAGGAAUAUUAAAACGAUGAGAGGCUUGAUUCUAGAGAAACUAACUUCGAGUACUACGAUAUAUCCAAAACAAACAGUCAGAAACCUUUUGGAUCGACGGGAAUCAAUUUUUGGAGUUGGACCCUAAAUCUGGAUGUUCUUCUCACGGCUAUGCGCGAUCUCGCCAAAACAUCAGUUUCUUGGUGUAGGAAUAAUCAAACUAUGAGCGGCUUGAUUCUUGAGAAACUAGACUUUGAUUCUAUGACAUAUCCAAAAUUCACAGUUAGAAACCUUUUGGAUCGAUGGGAAUCAAUUUUUGAAAUUGGACCCUAAAUCUAGAUAUUCUACUCACGGCUAUGCGCGAUCUCGCCAAAACACCAUUUUCUGGUGUAUGAACAUUCAAACGAUGAUCGGAUUGAAUUUGGAGAAACUAGACUUCAAGUAUUACAACAUAUCAAAAAAUUAAAAUCACAGUUAGAAACCUUUUGGAUCGACGGGAAUCAAUUUCUGAAGUUGAACCCCAAAUCUGGACGUUCUUCUCACGGCUAUGCGCAAUCUCGCCAAAAUAUCACUUUCUUGGUGUAGGAGCAUUCUAAUUAUGAUAAACUUGAUUAUGAUGAAACUUAACUUUUGGUUAUACGACAUAUCCAAAAAUCAACGUUAAACUUCUUUCGAAUCGACGGGAAUAAAAUUUUGAAGUUGGUUAUCAAAUCUGGAAGUACCCCUCACGGAUUUGCGUCUUUUGGAUUUUUCUUGUUUCUCUUUAUUUGAAGGUAAUGGUUGUGGUUUUGCAUCUUUAUUUUGCAUAGACAUGUUUCUUAAACAGGAGAUAUUGAUUUUCAAGAUCCAAUUUGAUUGUAAUUCAAAACCUCAUGCUAUUGGCAUCGCUAUGUCGAACAAGAUUGUUGUGUUGCUGCUCAUGUUUGUCAUGUCAUAUUGAAGGGUCAUGCACUUGCUACAUGUGUUAUCAGAAGUAUAUCAACCAAGAAAAAUUGAAAAUUUCGUGCAGUUGGCACCGAUGGCUUCAUUUUGUAUUCUUUUUUUGUUUCAGGUUUCCAAAGGAGCGUCACCAAUCUCGUCAUCUUAUCAAGAAGAUGUAACUAAAAUUCGUAAUUGAAAAGGAACACAUAAUUUACCUACACUUAUGAUUGCAGUUUUUGCAUAUUACAAUUUAGCGCGACAUCUACCUUUUCAAACGAGGAUUUGGCAAACAAUCAUUUAGUGUUUCAGCUUAAACCUUCAUCGCAGAGUUGGUUGAGAAAAUCGACUUCUUUAGAUUUCAUUGGAGACUUGGCGAGAAACCACUUAGAGAAUUCACCUUUCUUGCAGCAUUGGUGGAAUCAACUUGUCACCUCGAAAUCAGCUCACAGUUUUAUCCUUCUCGACUUUCAGCUUGGCGCGUCUGUAUAAAAUUCACAACUCAAAGUAGGAGUAUUGACAUUGAGAUUUUCUUUUUCCGAUGGAAAAACAACUCAAAGAAUUACACUAUGUGUAAAAAUCACGGCCAAAACCUAUACGAAUUUUUACAAAUAUGUCUGCUGAGUUUAGUUUCGAAAUCUGAUGGUCUAUUUUGCACUUUGAGAGGUUGUGGUAGAAACUCCAUAACUUGGCAUAGAAACCUCUAAAUCACAAGCCGAUUUUUACUUUGCGAAGCGGACUCCAAGAAUUGCAAUAUAUGUUGAAAUAAUGGUCGAAAUCUUUAUGAAUUUUUAUAAAUGCGUCUUUGAAGUCAGCUAAAAUGUCUAGCUCAACUCUUCUCUUUUGCUCAUCUGUGACACAUUUGAACUCAUAUGCUAGCUAUUAAUUUUAAAGAGCUAGUGUGAUGAUCCCACAAUGCCAUCAAUUUUUACUUUUUACUCAUUUGACUGAACUUAGAGUGAUUACUCCAAGCACCUAUGUACCUCGGUGAAGAGAAUCAAGUCAUAUCAUAGUUCAAGAUGAUAAGUUUUUUAGGCCGUCCACAGUUUAUACUCUUGCGGGCCAGGAGUAACAUGCAGUUUAUGCUCAUACCUUAAAUAGCAUUGUAACUUGCAUUUUAGGCUCGUAUGCCGAGGAGCAUUUCAGGGAAGAAUUCCAUCGAUGUAACUGAUCUUCUAACCUUCUGUGAUGAAUCAUUAAUGUACUUCACUUUGGAGUUAAAUUUCAUGCUUUCGCAUUGCCGAAGUUGAUUCAUAAUUGAUUUUGUGUCAACUUUUAAAAGUCGGAGUUUAGAAGUACCUUGAUGAUUCUGCCUUUUGCAAGCGACUUAAGUCCAAGUGUUAUCACCCUCUUCAUUGAAGAAGGCAUCUACCUUGGAUGUGUUUGUUAUUUUCUUCAAGAAGGAAACUUCAACUGGUUCAAAGCUCCCAAACUACAGUAUGAUGACAUCUUCUUCAGCUUUUUGCGAUGCCACAGGAUGUAGAACUUCUGAAAUUGAAUCAUAAUCUAGUUUGACACUAGCAUGGUUUAUCUCAACUGUCUCACCAUCGUCAAUGAUGAUUUUUCCCUCUCAUAACAAUGCCAUGAUCUUUUCCUUUAACGUGAAGCAUUUUAUGGUGUGAAGACCUAUGAUGUGGUGAAAUUUACAAUAUAUAGGAUCAUCGACUUUAUUAGAUUCUUCGAGUCGCUUUGAAUCUGGGAGUGCAAUGACUUUCUUGGUUAGCAGCUCGUCAAGAAUCGCAGGAACGUUAGAGUCCAGAAAGAGAUACUCUUUUGCUUGUAACUCCUUCAAAGUAGAUUGAUUUUUCACUUCUCGCAUCUGCUGAUGUGCUACAAUCUCUUUGAAGUUUUGUCUCCCGGAGGCUUUCAUAGAAAUUGUGGUUACCGCCAUUUACUCAUUAGUUGUGUAGUCUAAUGACUCUUUGAAUUGUAUGUCUUUUUUUUUUGGAUCAAAGACGUGAUAUCUUUCCAUGGAUUUCAAUGCUCAACUUCAUGUCAUGAGCGCGUGUAGCUAAUUCUUCAAAAGUUCGAGGCUUAAUCACUUGAAGGAUAUAUACAAGGCCCCAAUGCAUUCCUUGUAUACAAAUUUCGACUGCAUAAAUUUCAGAAAGUUGAUCCUUGCAAUCUAAGCUAGGCAUUCACAACGAUUGAUGUAGUCCACAACGAGUUCAUCCUUACCUUGUUUUGUGUUUGUCAAUUCCAUCAUGCUCAUUGUACGGCGGGUACUGUAGAAACAAUUGAGAAAUUGAUUUUUCCAGGUGUCCCCAACUAUCAAUUGAUUCAGGCUCCAAGUCCAUAUAUCAAUCAAAGGUGUUUUAUUUUAAAGAACAGACAAACUGCUUGACAAGAAGAUUAUCAUGUGUACCAGUACUGCUAAGUCUCGACGAAAUGGGCAAUAUAUUGCCUUGGAUUUCCCCUUCUCUCAAAUUGCUGCAAUUUUGGUGGUUGAUAUCCAAUUGGCAUUAGUAAACCCUCGAUUUGCUUAGAAUACGGCUUUGAAUAUCCUAAGGAACUUUGUGACGGACCACCAUAUUGAGCUUUAAUUGUGUUUCUGAUCAUAUCUUGUAAUUGUUGAACUAUUAGAAUGGCAACUGAAGUAAACUACUUUGAGCUUUGAUAGUCAACUUACUUGUUGAGAGAAUCAAUAUCAACUUUUUCUUGAGUGUUUAGAUUGUGAUGUGACCCUCGAGAGUUGUAGAGAUUUAUCUUGCUCAUAAGUUGCGCAAUUUGAAGAUUUUUGUCAUCAAUAGACUUCUUCAAGGCUUCAAUAGUUUGCUCCAUCAUAGCGAACUUCUCGUCCAUUUCAGUUGCGUCAACCAUAAAGGAGUUAGCCUUUGUUGAAACUGAAGAUUCUGUUGAACUUUUAGAUUCACAAAAGUUGAAUCCAGGGUAAGAAAGUUCAUCAAACAACUUUGUUGCAAUGUUGCCCCCAGGUAUUGCAGUUUUGAGUGUCAUUCGAGACUUUCUCUUUCUAGGCAUCUCCAAGGAGGUGAAAUAUUCAGAUCCAUUCAAGGCACUUGUCUUGAACUCUUGUCGAGUGAUUGGAUCAACGUCACUAAAAUCAACAAAUGUGACAAUAGUAGAGUACUUGCAUGAAACAUCAUUGAUCUUCUUGAAAGUCAUUGUAGAGUUGAACUUGUUGUUUUAUUUGUAGGAGGAAGAUAUGAAGAGCAGAAUUGGUCCCACUUGGUGUGUUAAAUUUGUUCGCAACAAUUUUCGUAAGCGCAGAAAAUUAACUGCAAGAAAAAUAAAUUAAAAAUGUGAUUUUAUUAAUAAAUCUUAUGAUUACAAUUCUGUUGUUCUCUUGAUUCUUCUUUCCUAAGUUUCUCCAUGAUUCAAGGGACUUCAGUAGCAUAUUUCUCGAAUGUAGGAUUAUGGACCUCCUUGAGAUGUAUAUGAUCUUCGAGAACGUCUUGAGUCACUUCCUCGUUGCAAGUCGAUCUCCCGGAAGAACUCCGUUGAUCAAUCCUUUAAAGAGUUAUGCAGUUGAUGUUGUAACUUAUGUAGACCUCCUUGAGAUGUAUUUGAUUUUCGAAAAUGUCGGGAAGAACUUUGUUGAUCACUUCUUCGAAUAGCUAUGUAGUUGAUGUUGUAGCUCUCUCCAAUUACAGAAUGUUUGUUGAAAUGCUUCAUCCCUCUCUUAAAUGUCAUGUCCAUCCCCUAUUUAUAUUUGUAAGGGGUGGACAAGGUUGGUUGUGAUUGGCCAAAGAAUGUCAUUUUGACACUUGGCGCAUUGUGAUUCGUUCUUGCAUUCGACUGGGAGUACCACCUCAUUUGGACAUGUGGCGUCACCUUGUUGGUCUUAGAUGUCUAGUCACUAUGACACGUGGCAUGAGUUUGUGCUUCAAGGUGAAAUGUUCCUUGGACUUGAAUUUAAUAUAAAUGGACUUAUCUAUUUGUAAAGCCCAAAUUAAUCUUUCAACCCAAAUAAACAUGGAUUUAAUCCAAAUUUUGUAUGAAUUAAAUCCAAUAAAAUUUGUAUGUCUGCACUGGGUAUCUGAAUCCAAAGAGAAAUUGAGAAAAAUAAUCGAAUUUAGGUGAAUUAGGGUUAGAAAAUGAAGAAAGAAAAAGCCAAGCAGAAACUGGGUUCCAAGUCCGCGUCGCAGAUCUGUUCCUAAGAAAUGGAAAUUUUCUCUUUGCAUCGUGGAGAGGUCACGUACCCCUCUACCUCAAAAAUUAUUUCACAACCAAAUAUUAAAAUGCAUCUUCAUGUCGCGGACUUGCUUUCAGAUAGUUAUUUCUUGAUUGUUUCUCAUGUUUAACUAUCUAAACACACUCCAAAACAUCACGAGAUCAUUCCUAUUACAAAUUACAAGGAGAUUGGUGUAAGUGUCUGUCACGACAAUUUAGAUCAUGAUACAAUGCCCUUUACCUCUAGUUGGGAUUCGAGGAUGUGUAACAUGUAGUAUUUAAUCAUAUGGAAUAAAAUAUUUUAUAAACACGAUAUAAUUUUUUGAUGAAAAAUAUUUGUUUGACUGUCCUUAAAAUAUUGUAGCUCUGCACCCUACUACUAGUAGAAGAACUACACUGAGCAAUUAGUGAAUUUGUUGAGCAAAAGAGUUCCUUUUUCCUUGUCAAUUGACCCUAAUGCACUUAUUUAUCUCCAAUAAAAGGAUCGAUUCGAUACAUUAUAACAUUCCAUCAUUCACCAAAAUCCAGGAGAAGGUGGGAAGCUAUCUACGAGCAUUCGUGGUUGAUUUCAUAGCUCGAUCCCCUGCUAAGCCACAUCGUAGUAUCUAACAACCGUCUUAUUUGAGUUCAAAGCGUAAUUGAAAAAUAUCAUAAUUUAUGAAAGCAGCGUUGAUUUAUCAUCACAAUUCCUUCUAUAAAUAACUUCGAAUUUCAUACUAUAAUAGUUCUUAAAAAAUUCUCCUUGAUCCUAAAUUAAUAUUUACUUUAUAUUUUUCUCAGAUUAUGUCAUCAUAUAAAGUAUAUUCAUAUUUACUUCACAUAUAAAUAUGAGAAGGAGAUGCCUCUAAUUGAUUUUCAAUGUGUAUAUGUGUAUAAUGGGCGAAUUUUAAAAUAUUGGGCAUGUAAUUUGGUGGUCUUUUUAUAAAAUUAGACAUAUUUUAAUGUGUGUAUUUUUUAAAAAUUGGUAUAAUAUAUUAUUUGUAUACAUCCAUACUACAAGUAGAUUGGGAGUCUGUUUGGCUCAGCUUAAAAGCUGGUCAAACUGACUUAAAAGCUGGUUUUUGACUUAUUUAGCUGUUUGGCAAUACUCAAAAUAACUUAUUUUAAGUUUUAAAAAACUUAUUUUAAGCCAAAAGUUAAAAGCCGGGGUAGGGGUGCUUUUUUUUUUUUAAGCUUAUAAGCUAUUUUAAGUUGACCACAUUUUUACCUUUUUGCCCUUAAUAUUUUUAUACAAUCUCCAAAUUACCCAUAUAACCUUAACAUCUCUUUCUUCCAUUUUUUCCUUUUCACGUGUGGAUGAUAGACAAUUAUUAUUACUAAUGAAUGAAAAUAAGAUAAAUCUUAAAUCUUUCUAGUGAUCUAUUCAAAUUAUAUAUUAUUAAAAUGUAAAAUAAGUUGCACAUAUAACUUAAAUAAAAAUUUAUAUUCCUCUUAUAAAUAAUUUGUGAUAAUAAAGAAAUAUGUGAAUGAUAGACAAUUAUUAUUACCUAUGGAUGAAACUAAAUAAAAUCUUAAAUCGUUCUUUAAUCUAUUCAAAUUAUAUAUAUAUCUUUAAAAUCUAUAAUAAGUUUAUAUUCCUCUUAUAAAUAAUUUCUGAUGAGAAAAAAAUAUGUGAAUGAUAGCAAAAUAUAAUUAUUUAUGUCUGUUAAAUAUAAAUUAAUUAACUUUUAUUAUGUUAACAACUUUUAAGGGUAUUUCAUAUAUUUUUAUUUAAAAAGCUGUUUAUCAGCACUUAUUUGUCAAACACAUCAACAAUUUUUUUUAACUUCAGCACUUUUAUCCAAACGCGUAACUGCUUAUUUUAAAAAUAAGUUUCAGCACUUUCAAAAAUACUUUUUUAAAGCUAUUUUUAUUAAGCACAUUCAAACGGGCCCUAGAUAGUGUGCUUUCUUUGAUAUUUGGUUAUUUACUUGUAGAUUAAAAAUCAAUUCCUACUUAGUAUAUUUUUUUAGUGAUACUCUCGUAUUUUAGAAAUUCUAGAUUUACCUUUAGUAUUGCAGGACCAAGAUGGUACUUGUAUGGUUUUGUUGCAUGUAUAUUUUUGUGGCUUGUCAUAUCGUAUAACAAUUUAAGAAUUAUUUAAAAUAAAUUUAGGUGUAAUAUUAUAAGGCGGGAAGUUAAAUCUUUAUUAAAACAAUGAAAAUUCAAAUAGUUAAUCGAGUUACUAAUGUUUUUUUUCCUCCCACUAUUAGUGAACCCUUAUAACAAUAUAUAUGAUAAAUAUUUAAAAAUGAAAAUUUUUGAGUUUUUUUCCUACAUAUGCUCUGAAACUUCUUUUUUCUUAUUGAGAUUAACAAAUAUAGUAAGAGAAAUUAAUGGUUUAGAACUAAAUUAUUAAUACGAAUAUAGUUAUAAACUUGACUAGAGCUCUACUUUAGAAUAAAAAAAUCAUAACAAGAACAAAUCUGAAUAUAAUUUUUACAAAAGAAAUAGCAAGUCUAAAUGGAAACAAGAGCUUUUGGGUUAAGAUUGGCAGCAGUUUUUAAGAAGAAAAAAAAUUCAAACUGAACUGAUUUUUAAGUCAAAAAUAAAAUAAAAGUAGUGAUAGAUCUAUUUUUAAUUUUUAAUUUAUUUGAAGUUAUUUUUAAUUUUUAUUUAAGCUAUUUUAAACCUUGUCAAACAGUUACUAAUCUAUUUUUAAUUAUUUUUAUAUUUGUUAAACACUUUUAGAAAUCAAAACGAAUUUAAAAGUAGAUUUGACCAAUUAUUAAGUCAAUCUAAAGACCAUCAUAGUCUACUUUGCUAAAUAAUUAAUUAAUAAGUAGUUUAUUUGAUCAUAAUUACAAAUUAUUUAAUCUCAUAUUUGGGAAGCACUUAGUUGAGUCCACCCAGAAUUUAUAAGUAAUUAAUUGACUUUUUCAACCAAAAGGAAAAAAAGAAGAAAAAAAAAGAGAUUCUCGAGAAGCACUUCUUUGGCUGGGAAAUUAAUCAAAAAAUAUAUAGAGGAUUAAUUAAUAAAAUUAGGGACUUGACCAAUUUAGAAUAUAUAAUUACAUAAGAUAAAAACAGUAAUUAAUGUCACACAAACAAACAAAAGGAAGCUAGUUAUGCAACUCCAACACUUUAGGGGAAAUUAAUAACUUGUUUGGUCAAAUUUAUUUUAGCUUAAAAUAUUUAUUUUUUUAAAAGUGGGGUAUUUAAUCGAGUUUUUAAAAAAGAAAAUAAGAGAUUUUCAAAGUGUAGAAAUAAUUAAUUUUUAAUUUUAAAAAUAAUUUUUUUCCUAAAAGAAGUUAUCUAAAAAGUAUUUUUGAGAAAAAUACACUAAAAAAACUUUUAAAAACUUGAUAAAAACUAAUUAUUGCUAAAAAUAAUUUUAAUAUAUUAAACAUAAAUUAUUUUUCAUCAAUUUCUUAAAACACUUAGAAAAAAAAUAUUUAUCAAAAUGAGUUGAUGUGAUGGAUUAUGUUAGAGAUUCAACACUGGAAUCUUUAAAAUUAGUUGUUAUGGGAAAGUAACGUCUAAUAUAUAUGUUUUUUUAAGGAAAAAGACAUUUUCUUUAAAAAAAAUUAUAUAAAGUUGUCAAAUCGAGAUAGUUACAUUUUCAAAAUAUUUCAACGCCAAUAGAAAUGAUUAAUAGGGUACUAGGUUAGUAAUAAAUGUUUAAGAUUUCAUAUUCUAUAUUUAAAGAGGUUUAUAUAUGAAUAUUAUUUUUAUGAACUAAUAGUGAAAAAGAAUUAUUUUAUUUAUAUAGAUGAUGUAUAAAUUUAAAUUUAUAAAACUUUAUUAUUUCAAGAAUCUAAAAAUGCUUCAAAAAAUUGAUGAAGAAAAAAAAAAUUUCGAAGAUUAAAAUAUCUCUUUUGUAUAUAUAUGUUUAUCAAUGUAUCCCUUAUUAAUUAAUUAUCAUAUCUCAUAAGUUUGGUUAAGUUUCAUUCAGAAUUGAAUUUUUUAUUUUUUGUUUUUAUAUGAAUUUUUUAGUUUUAUUUUAUGUUUGUCACGAUCCAAAAUUGGUCGUGAUGACACUCGUCUUAUCUCAACAAGACUAGUCAGCCUAAAACUCAAUCAUUACAAUAAAAUGCGGAAAAUUUAUAAGUUACUUAUAAGUACCUCAAAAACCUUAUUGUCACGUGUACAAGCCUCUAAAGUAUUACAAUUGAAUAAAAAAAAUAUAAGUCUCAUAUGAUAUUGUUUCUAGAGCAGAACAAAAUCAUAAACAGGAGUAAGGAGGUAUGCUGAGAUGACCAACAACUACCUCACAAAUCUCCAGGAAGCCUCGGAAAAGAAGAGAAUGUAUCAUAAAGGUCCGGGCUAGUAACCUAUAAAAAUAUUGUAGAAGCAAGGGGUGAGUACCAAAUCACACGGUACUCAGCAAGUAAACCUCUAAACACAAGCUAAGGAGAUAAAAUAAAGGUACUCCUACCACCCCAACCGAACCUCCACAAUUACAACUUGCAUACAAAUCAGCCCAACCUAACAGCUCACAGUUUACAUAGCACGUAGAUCAACAAUAACAUUUAGACAAAUUACAUAUCAUCGACAACAACACUUUAACAAAUUACAUAUCCUCAACAAAAAUAAUUCAACAAAUUACAUAUCCUCGAUAACAACACUUCAACAAAUUACAUACCCUCAACAAUAACAAUUCAACAAAUUACAUAUCCUCAAUAACAAGCUCAGUAUAUGUUAAAAGUGAUAACAUAUCCUCAAUAACACCCCAAGCUUGUGGUUUCUCUGGUUGAGCCAAAUAUACAACAGAACCCACGAAACAUGUGAUUCUUUAGAUACAUCAUACAAGUACAAAUAUGUUCAUAUGCAAACCUAUUUUCCCCCCUCAAAUUAUUGAAGUUCAACUAUUUUACUUUGAACUUCAGUUACAUAUAACUUUAAAUAUCAUAAUUGAAAUUUAAUUUUGUCAAACCUACGUGUUUGAAGUGGAUAUAUAUAUAUAGGUGUAAGUUGAAUGACAGUGUUAGAAUAAGUUGUCCCUUUAAUUUUUAGAGCAAACAACACUAAUUUUAUUAGUUUAGGGCCUAAUUACGUUUGCUCUGAAUUUUCAAAAUGAAAAUUCAUGUUAGAUUUUGAUCUCUAGAUAUAUGUAUCUGACGCGUCUAAAUACACGAAGUCAAAAUUAGGUAUAUUUCAUUUCAUGUACAUUGUAUCGGAUCCAAGUGGAUGCACGGACUCUUUCGAUUGUAUCUCUCCUAUCUCGCUUGCCUCUCUCCCAAUGUAUUUGUAUUUCGUAUUUGUAUUUCGUCUCUCUUCACUCUCGCUUGUCUCUCUUCAAAUGUAUUUAUAUUACAUUGUGUAUCCUAUAGAAAAAAUACAUAUAUCUAUCAUAAAAUAUGAUAUUCAAUAAUUAAUUACAAUGAUACAAUAGAAAGUCAUUGUAAUUAGGUUGUUUUUCCUAAUUUUUAACAAAUAAACUAGGUGUCCCAUCCCAUUUGGACUUGUAAGUGGGUUUGACCCAAGCUCAUGGCCCUAUGUAGUUGGGCCAAAUGAACAACUGAACCCAAAAAACUUUUGCUUCUCUAGAUAUAAAAUACAAGUACAAACACAUCCAAAUGCAAACCUGUUUUUGACCUUUUCAAUAAUUUGAAAGUUUUCACAACACAAAGUGAUCCAACUAAUUUCAAAACAAAACAAUUUUUUCACUAUCUAUUGCUCCUGAAGUUAUAGGACUUGUUUUCUCUAAUUUCAUUAGCGAAAUCAUCGUGAAAUCCUAGAAAUAUUUGAUCAAUCUAAGAUGAAUAAAAUUGAAAAAUAUUUUUUCAUACCAAAAACACCCUAGACGUAAUAUUCGUGACUUAAAAAAAAAUUAAAAAUUGAGUGUUGCUGCCCAGGAUCGAACUGGGGACCUUCAGUGUGUAAGACUGACGUGAUAACCACUACACCACAGCAACUUUCAUGUUUACAAUUGUUAUAUUAUAUUAUUAUAAUUAUCUUACAAAGUAUCUUUUAUAUAUCUUUCAAGUUUAUCAACAUUUUGGAAAAUAAUAAAAAGAAAAAUUUACCUAUUGUCAUUGUAAGAAAGCUCCUUAAUGAAAUGGAAAAUCAAUGAAUCUCCAUGUUGUUCGUAGUUUUCGAAAAUGUUAUUGAAUAUGUGUUGAAUUUUUGUAAAGUAAUGUAUUUCUAAAAGAAACUGAUACAAAUACGAUAGCCUAAUAUGUUAUGUCUUAUUAUUAUUAAAACUAGAAACUUCAUAUUAUAUAUCCAUUUCAUUGUUUAUUUCCUAUAAAGAAAUAAUUGCGACCUAUAUUAUUAAAAUUUGGUAGUUCAUAAGGUUAACUUUGUAAAUUACCUAGCAGACUCCAUUUAUAAUUUUUUCAGUAAGAUGAGCUGUAUAUGUUAUAUGUUAAAAUAAAAAAGAAGAGUACCAUAGUAAAAGGAGGUGUAAAUUAAAGUACAUUUAUUGAGGGGAUUAUAUGAUGAAAAAAAUUAUAAGUUCAAAAAACGUGUGCUUUUGGUGGACCAUUAAUAGCACUCACAAAAACUGAAAAUUCAUAUAGAGUAUUUCCUCUUUCACAUAUUAUUUAUUCACAUUAUUAGAAAAAAAUUAAAAUUAAUUAAAAAAAUUCUUUUUGCUGAAAUUAAUUCUUGUAAAGGUAUAAAUAUUGUAAGUUUCAAAAAGGCUAAGGUAUAAAUUAAUAGAAAUAUAUUGAUGGAUAAGAUAAAAAAGAGAAAAUUACGCAAUAAAGCAAAUUUAUAAUAUUUAAUUAAUCAUCAUAGCUAUAGUUUGUUAUAAUUACCAUUCACGACUAGCAUUAUACAUUAAUUAUGUGGGCUGACUUCGAAUUUGAAUAAUUAUUAUGUUUGUAUUUGUAUAAUUCGCCAGAAUAUACAACUACAUAUUUAUAAUUCGUCAGGAUAUACAAAUACAUAUUUAUAAUAUACAAUUAUUUAACCUAUAUACAUAUACAAUUCACCUCUCCAACUCUCUACCCUCUCACGCUUGCCUCGCUCCUCUCUCCUCUCUCUCCCAAACUCGUUUGCCCUAUAUACAAAUGUAUAUGUAUAAUACACAAUUAUAUACAUAUAUAAGUCACCACUCUCCCACUCUCUGCCUUCUUUCGCUCGUCUCUCUCCUUCCGUUCCAGUCUCGCUCACCUCUCUCCUCUCUCUCCCAAUCUCUCUUGCCAUAUAUACAGAUACAUAUGUAUAAUAUACAAUUAUCUAACCAAUAUAUAUAUAUACAAUUCACUUUUUUUCCACUCUUUUCCUCCUCUCUCUCGGCUCUCUCCUCUCUCGCAAUCUCACGCGCCUCUCUUCUCCAUAUAACAUGUAGCUACAAAUUAUAAUUAUAAAAUUAUAGCUAUAAACAGUAAUAAAUUAUUUUUAAAAUGGACAUAUAUGAAGUUUUCCUAAAAUAAAUAUAUAGAAUGUAUUAAAAAAAGGCUAAAGUAUAAAUUAAUAGAAAUAUAUAUAUUUUUGGGUACCACGUUCCAAAUAUGCUUCCACGAGUUUCUUCUCUCUCCCCAUCCCCAACUCACAUGUAUACUUUAAUUAUCAGUGUGAGUUUUAUAUUUAAUUUUAUUUAUUACAAAUAUGAGUUUCAAUUAAAAUAAUCACGAAUAACGUUUUAUAUGAAUAAAAUAUUUCAUCUCGAUAAAAUUUAAAUAAAUUAUUAAUAUUAAUUAAAAAUUAAAAAUUAAAGUAUCAUUAUCUGAUCAUAUUAUAUACAAAUAAUUUUAGGUGAGUUUAUUUUUUGUUUACCGCAAGAUUUUUUAAAAAAUAAAUUUUAUUUUUAUUAUAUUUAAUACGCAAGUAGGAUAUUAUUUAUUCCCUAAAAACAUAUGUGUAUAUGUUACACAAAUCAUAGAAAUGAGGAAAAGAAAUUAAGAGCAGAGAGUUAGAUUGGAUGGGAUAUAAUUAUUUGGAGUCGGUGGAUUGGAGGUAAAAAGAAUUUUAAAUUUUAUUUUUUAAAAAAUUAACUACUUUUGUUUUAAGAUAGAUAUACUUUAGUCUUUUAACUUUUAACUAAUAUCGAUAAUUUAUAUUAAAAAAAAUGUCAAGGUAAAGUGUUUCAUUCAUCUCGAAUAAUAAGAUUUUUCUUUUAAGUAAAAGAAAGAAUAUAAUACACAUACUAUUGAAGUAUGUUUCUCAAAUUAAUGUGUAAUAAUUUAGGUAUGCAUUUUUAAUAAUUUAGAUAUAAAAUUUUAAAAAAAAGACAAUUUAAGUAUAUUUAUGAUGCUUUACUUUACUAUGGUUAUUUCGAAUCCUUUAAAAAUACUUCCCAAUAUACAUGUAUCAUCCAAAAGUAUGGAAAUACAAAAAAAAAAAACAAAAAGAGUUCGAGCUAUUGAUGUACAAAAAAAAACAAAAAGAGUUCGAGCUAUUGAUGUACCAAUGCUUUUUUUGGUAAAAAAAAAAGACUUGUUAAUAUUAUUAUUAGGAUAUCACCAAAAGAAUAAGUUUAAUAGGAGUAAUAAUUUUAGGGGAAAUUUGUAUAUAAUAGCAAACUAAUAACCUAAAAUAAAUGGAGUAACUAGUGUUUGAUUUAAUUGUGUUCCAUAGCAAACGUUAGCCAAAGUUUGACAGGCGCCUCUCUCCCAAAAAUCUCGCUCACCACUCUCCCAUUCUCGCUCGCCUCCCUCGCUUUAUACACAGAAGUGUAUAAUUUCUGUUUCUGUUUUGCAUAAAGCGAGAGAAAAUUGUAUAUACACAUGCAAAAACAUAUAUUUUCGUGUUAUACACUUAAUUAUACAAUUUACAAACAUUUUACUUCAAUUCAAUUGUAGACAAAUGCAAUUUUUAUACAAAUAUUGCAGAGAAAAAGGUCAACGAAUUAUACAAUUGCGAAUUAUACAAUUGCAGUGAAAUACAAUUUUCUCUAGCUUUAUACAACAGAAGUGUAUAUAUUGUGUUUCUGUUUUUGUAUAAAGCGAGAGAAAAAUAUAUAUCUUCUUGCUAUACGCUUAUAAUUAUGCAAAAUACUUACAUUUUAAUUCGAUUCAAUUGUAUGCAAAGCAAAUUUUAUAAAAAUAUUGCAGUGAAAUAGGCAGCGAAUUAUACAAUUGUGCAUUAUACAAUUGCAGUGAAAUAGGAUAGCGAAUUAUACAAUUGCAGGGAAAUAGGCCAGCGAAUUAUACAAUUUAGGCCAACGAAUUAUACAAUUGUAUAUGUAUAGUGAAUUAUACAGUUUUAUGUUUGCUAUGAAGCGUGAUUAUGCAAACUUUGUUAUAGCAUACAAAUAUAAAUUUUUUAUUUGAUAUAUGUGAAAGUUGCCCUAAUUUUUAUUUCAUCAUUCCCAUUUUCGUGUGCUAGAACUAUGUCUUUUUUUUUUUGAAAAAAAAAAUGUACUAUAACUAUGUACUGACUCAAAAUUUCAGAAAAAAAAAUUAUUUUGAAAUUUGUGGUUAAAUUAUUUUUAAAUAUAAAUCGAUCUCAAUUUUUGGGGUAAGCAAAAGUUUUCGCAUAAAAUGUGACCUAUUGAAUUAUCUUUAAUAAAAUUUCUGCAACAUAAUUGAUAUUUGUUGAUUCUUUUAUCUUUCUUUUUUAAUAGAAUUUCUGCAACAUAACUGAUGUCUUAUUACUUCACUCAAACCCAUUUUUUAAAAUUUUGUGAACUUUUUUUUAUCCAUUCUACUAAAUGGAGUCACAUAGUAUAUCGCAUAAAUCAAAAUAUGUAUAAAAUUACAAAAGAAAAAGUGAGAUCAAGAGAUAAUAGGAUUUUAGUGUAGUUCAAUUGUGUUUCUGAAACUUUGGUUUGUACCAUAUCCCUAUUUAUAUUUAUAAUCUAAUCUGUCACCAACAUGAUUUACAAUUAUAAAUCUUCGUAUAACGUUCUGAUUCUUUUGAACCAAACAGUGUUAAAAGAUGAAGAAAGUGGGAGUAAGAGUAGAGUAGAACAGGAGUAUGAGAUCUGGAGAAUCCAAAGUGUCUACUGAGAACAUGAUAUCUUUCCAGAAUAUUAAAAAAAAAAUUGAUUUUGUUUGACAGUUUAAAGAAGUACUCCACAUGGUACGUACGGCUUACUGAAAUAAUACUUACCAACUCUCCCAUCAUAACCUUAACUUUGUAAGUUGCAACAUGUUAAUGUAUAUUCAUUUGCCAUUAUUCCUUUUGGUCAUUUGUGAGGAUGUUUAAGUAUAUUAAGCGAGAUAAGAUUAUAUAUAUAUAUAUAUAGAAUUAUAUAUAAAAUUAGGUUAGAGUAAUUUUUGUGAUGGAUAAAAUGAGAUAGGUGAAACUAAGAUGCUUCGGCAUGUAGUUGUGAAAAGGAGAUACUUAGAGGCAGAGACGAAACCAUAUAAUUAUAUAUAUAUAUAUAGAGAGAGGUCAGAGUGAUUUUUGUGAUGGAUAAGAUGAGAUAGACGUGAAAUUAAGAUGGUUCGGGAUGUAGUUGUGAAAAGGAGAUACUGACGAGGCAGAGGUGGAACAAGGAUUUUCAAUUAGGGGGUUUAAAAUCUGCAAAAAUUGAUAGCCGAAGGGGGUUCGACAUCUACUAUAUAUAUACAUAUAAAUUUAUUUUAACCAUACAUAAAUAAUAUAAUUUUCUGUUAAAGGGGAUUGAGAUGAACCCCUUCAUACAAGAUAUUUCCGCCCUUGCUUAGAGGUCAAGCAAAAAGAUAUCAGAGAUUGGCUACGGUGGAUAUGAGAAGAAGUAUUAAGGAGGAUGACUAGAUAUGAUUUGAUACAUGAACCUUAUCAUUGUCAUGACGAUAGAUUAGGAGGAUAUGAAGAUCAAGAAUUAAAAUAGAAAAUUAGUAUGUAUAUCAUCAUGUUCUCUAGUUUUUCUCAUUAGUGGUAUUAAUUUUUUUUUUAAAAAAAAAUCCUAUCUUCUAAUUAUUAUUAAUACAUGUAGUGUUUUUUGCUUCAUUUAUGGUAUUGUUUGUUAGUAUUAAUGGUAUUCUUUACUAUAUUUUCUUUUCUUAUUUGAUUGUGUAUGGUUUACUUAAACAAUGGCUUAUUGAAAACAAUGUCUCUAUCUUAAUAAAAUAAGAGUAAGAUUGCGUACACAAUAAUCCAUCCUAAUUCUCAUUAUGAAAUUUCACUAUAUAUGUUAGUGUUACUAAUCAUUUACGAUCUAUACUCUAGUAAUGAACAUCAUAUCUUAGUUUCAUGUCUUUUAGUAGGAGCACAAUCGAGCUCUUCAAUAUGAAUUCAAUUAAACUCAAUAAUUUUAAUUUAAAUUAUUAUAUUUUUCUUCAAAAAAUCAUUCAAUAUAUGUAAAUUAUUAAUUUAGAACUCAUUUGAAAAAAAAAACUAAAAUAAAGAUUUUUAAAAGUGGAGGAAAUGCAUGAAAUUAGAUAGUUGAGGAAAAAAAUUGUUAAAAAAGAACAUAAUCUUAUAAAUAGUUAGACAUCAUUUCAAAGUACUAAAAGUCACUUAUAAAUUAGACUAAAAAUGAGAAAUAUAUAUUAUUAUUUUUUUACUGAGUAGAUGACAGUUGAAGAUCUUGUCUUACUGUACUGAUGAGAAUCUUUAGACUUUGUGGGGACUAAUGAAGGAGAUGGGAACAUGGCCUAGUAGUGCCUGCCUCCUCCAACUCUCCAAACUAAUUAAAAAACGUUUUAGAAUCUAGGCCGAUUUGAUGCUCGAUAUUCAUAUAAAAGUAUGAUUAUAGCUUAAUUUAUAAUAAAUCUAGCGCAUCUAGAUAUAUGUAUCUCAGGUAUAUAAGGUUGAAAUUAAGUAUAAUUUGUUUUAAGCACACUGUAUUCAAAUGAAUUCGCAUGUAUAUAAGUUUUUUGCUCGUCUCUUCCUUUUUCGCUCGCCACACUAUCCUCUUUCACUCACCUCUCUCUCUAUAAUUGGUAUCUAAAAUACAUUUAUCUAGUGUGAUUCACAUGUAUCUGUGAUUUAUAGAGUAACUUGCUCGCUUCCCUCAUAUCUUGCUCGCUUCUCUUCUGUUAUAGAGUAUCUGAUAUUAAAAAUAUAUAGAUAUCUUUGACUUAUAAUCUGUAUGAAAUUAUUAACUAGUGAGACAAUAUUACUUAUUUCAAAGUUAUAAGGAAAACUAAUAUUAUAAUAUGGUAAAAACGUUUGCUAAUUAGAUAGAUUCUCCUAAUUUUACUCGGUACAUUUUGCAAAUAACUAUUGAUUUCAAAUCAAAACUUAAAAUUGGGGUCACAAGUCCUACAAUCAAAUACCUACUUGAGACUACUCUAGAUACAACCCUAAUAAAGUCAAAUAUUCAAGACUCAGAAUUUCGAAAAAUAUCUCAAAUAGUAAAUUCAAACUAAAAUAAAUCUUAAUAUGUGCUAAAAUAGAUCAUAUAGAAGAUUAUACUUUAAAUCUAAGUUAUGUUAAGAUCAAACUAAAUCAACUCAACAUGAAAUUAUAUUAGCUUAUACUUUACUCAUAAAAGUUUGAAUGAAUUAAGUGGACCAUCAAUUUUUGAGCAUAUUUGACAUCCCUCCUCGCAAUCAUGGAGUAAUAUCUAUAUAAAUUAGGCUAAAUUAAACGUGUAAAAUAAUAAAUCAAUUUUUAAAAAUUUCUUUAGUUGAUUCAAUGUAUAUAUAAUUAAAGUAAGAAAACAUAACAAUGAUGAAACUUAUUUUCCCAUUGAUAUAGCAAGCUAGUUAGUUUCCUCAAGGUAAUAAUGAAACUACCACAUUAAGCAUUAAGUGACGUGGCUGAAUUUUUUUUUUUUUGGUGAAAGUAUAUACUAUUACUUUUUGUAUUUGCUAUAUUAAAUUUACCUCCUCUAUUUGGAUUUCUUUGACAAAACUUUUGAUCUAUUUAUUAUUAAUAAUAUAUAUUUAUCUUUGUAUUAAAAAAAUGAACUAAUUUAUUCGAAACUCGAAAGAGCAAGCGAGGCCUACUCAUUAUCUUUCAAAUAAUUAAGAAUAGGUAGAUCACCACUAACACCUUGUUUGGAUAGUUAUUACAUGUUGUAUUGUAUUGCUAUUUUAAAUACAGUAUUUAUUUUAGGUGUUACUUAAAUUUUAUUAUACCGUGUCGUUUAAAUCUGUCAUUAUGUAAUCAUGAAAAGACUUAUUUUAUGUAACAACUGAUUUGAUGUGGUUGCAUCGUUACCUUAAUAUUUUCUUUCUUUUUUCUUUAAUAUUUAAUAAUCAUAAUUUUUUAUCAUACACUUUCAUAGUAACUCUACCUUGUACACUAUUUUUCUUAUAGAUUUAUCACUCAAAUUAUAAACAUAUAGCUUUAUACAACGAUGCAAAAUGAUAUAAUCUAUUUAAAUAUUACAUUUAUUAAAAUAAUAUAAUAUAAUAUGAUAUAUUAUGAAGUAAUAUGUAACAAUCCAUAGGACUAGAUUGGCGUGAUGUGUAUAAUGUCAGCUUUGAAAAUAAAAAAAUUUGAAAGCUACAUAUCUAAUUAAUCUACCAUCAAAAUAAAAACAUGAAAAAUACUCUAGAGAAUCUACCAUUAAUAAUUCAAAUAUAAAAAUAAGAAAAGGACACACCAAAAUCAACAGAUGCAUGCACGGAUCAUAAUAUUUUCGUUGAACACAAAAUGUUAUCGAAGACUAAGUUUUCGAUUAUAGUUUUAAAAUUUGUACAAUAUAUAUUUUAGUUUUUAAGAAAUUGAAAUAUUCUGAAUGGAAAUGAAACUUUUCACUAUUAUAUUUAAAAAACAAUUUUUAAAAAAAGUCUAAUAAAAUUUCAUGAACAAAAAAAUAUUUAAAGAUAAAAUUUAAAAAUCUAAUUUAAAAUUUAUGAUCAAACAAUCGCUUAAAGAACUAGAAUAAAUUUUCCCCACCCACUCCAUCUCCAUCCAAACAAAAAUAUUUUUUAUUUUAUUUAGGGUAAGGUUAAAUGGUCAGAAUAAUCUGGCCAGAAUUUGAUCAGAAAUUUGAAAAGUCUAUAAUAUCCUUUUUAUUUUAAAAUAAAUUAAUUUUUUUAUUUUUUAAUUUAAAAAUAUUAAAAUUAAAAGAUAAAAAUGUUCCAAAAAUAAAAUAAAAUGUGAAAUAUGUUAUCAUUCUGACCAAAAUAGUUUUUUUAAUUAAUUAUAAUUAAAAAAUAUAAACUAGAAUCUUUAUAUGUUGGUAAGGAGGAGGAAUGUGUUAGGUGGAGACAUGUACUGUAAACACAUGUUUUUAAGCAUUUGUACAUGGAAAAUAAAAAUAUUGGUCUAAUAGGGAAUUUAUAAUUUUUAACCUAAAAUAUAUAUAGUUAAAAAUAUAUAAUAGAAAGCUAAAUCGUAUUUAAUAUUCCUUCUGCAAUUUAUAUGUCUUAUAUUCUGUUUUAGUUCCUUCGAAAUAAUAUAUGUAUUGAUUUUUAUAUUUUAUAUUUAAGUUCACAAAAUUAAAAAUUAUUCAAAUACAUUAUUUUAUAUAUAGAUAGUUUAAAAUUAUAAAAUUCACACACACACAAUGCUCAAAAUUGUAUAUUGGACUCUUUAUGAAGUUUUAAUGUGUUGAUUAACUUAAGAAUAGGUAAUGAUCAAUAAUGUGUCCCCUAUAAGUGAUGAAUAUUUCUAUGGAUACCCAUGCCACGAUAUUAGCAACUUGACUCUAUUCUACUUAUUAAACUCGUGAACACACCUAUAUAUUAGUAUAACUGAUUGAUGCAUAACUAAUCUUAUAUGUGCAACUUGACUCUAUUCUACUUAUUAAACUCGUGAACACACCUAUAUAUUAGUAUAACUAAUUGAUGCAUAACUAAUCUUACUCAUUUAAAUGUAGAAAUGAUACUACAGCGGGAUGGGAGUAGGGUAGGGCAGAUUUCAUUGUUCGAAAUAGUUAUAGUUAUGAUUGAUAUGAAAUUACUAUUCAAGCUAGGAAAUUAUUAGAACUAAAGCUAAAAUUGGAAUGAAUUCUAUAAAUUAAGUAAAUCAUAAAUAUGCCUUAAUCAUAUGAUAUUGAUAUUGUCCAACAAUAUUAUAUUUAUGAUUUAAUAUGCGAACACAUCAAAUUGGUUGUUCCACAAAAUAAGGAUUUUCAUUGUUACGUAAUAACGAAAUUUAAUAAUACAGUACAAUACAUUUUAAGUAACAAUCAAAAUAAACGUUGUAGAUAUAGUAAUGAUACAAUACAAUAUAAUGGAUAACAAUUAUUCAAACAUAGUGUAAGUUUAUCGCACACAUUUGUGGUUUACUCCUUUAUCUCUCUAUUUAUUUGAUACUCCAUUUUCUCGUUUUUAAUUGAGGAAAUUACUCUAUAAUAUAGAAGCGAAUAAAGGAGCUUGGAGUCAGUCGGUCAAUUGAUCGAUUUGUUUUUUUCUUUAGAUUACUCUAUUUAUAUUUAGUAUUAUAUCCAUUUUAAUUUAUUUACCUUGUUUUUCUUUUGAUAUGUUAUGUAUAUACAAAAAAUGGUACUAAAAGUAAAUUUAAAAAAUCUAAAUUCUUAGUUAACUUUCGAAAUUUUAUAUGUACUGAAUUGGAAUAGAGAGUAACUUAUAUUAUUUAAAAAUUAUACUAAAAGGAUUAUAAAUCACAAUAUUAACUACUUAAAAUAUCAAAAUUAUAAUAGAAGAGAAUAGAAGUGAUUAGGGUCAGCGGGUCAAUUGACUGUUUUGCCCUUUCUCCUACAACGUUCUCUAUUUAGAUUUAGUAUUAUAUCUUACUAUCUUAUUUUUAUUUUAAUAUAUUAUGUAUUUAUGAAAAUAGCACUAAAAAUCAAUUUAAAAUAUUAAAAUUUUGGUUAACUAUCAAAAUUUCACAUGUACUGCAUAAUUAGGACGAAUGGAUUGAAGUAACAUAGAUGAAAAUUACUUUAAGAGGACUAUAAACCAUAAUCAAACAACUAAAAUAUUCAAAAACAUAUUAUGAGAUGAUUGGCUCUCGAAAUUCCUACGUGUCAUAUAAAUUAAAACAAGAGAAGUAGUAUAUAUUUUUUGAAAAUUACGUUAAUAGUAUUAUCAAUAAUAUAUAUAUAUUAAAAUUUUAAUUAGCUCUCAAAAUUUAAUACAUGCCACAUAAAUUGAGGCAUUGAAAAUAACAUAUAUUAUUUAAAGAUUGCGUUAAUUCAAAAUAUUAUAAUUCACAAUAAUUUAAAAUUUAAAACUUUUAAAAACCAUACCAAAAGAAAUUGAUUGAGUUCAAAAUUUUACAUGUGCCACAAGAGCGAGUAACAUAUUUAAAUAUUUUCAAAAAUAUAUUUAAAAUUUGAAACUCAAAUAAUUUAACAUGUGCCACAUAGAUCACAAUAAUUAACAAUCUAAAAUAUUUUUAAAAUAUAUUAAAAUUAAUUAGCUCUCAAAAUAUCGCAUGUGUUAUCAAUAUUAUUCGAAAAGUACAUUAAAAUAUUAAAAUAUAAUUAACAAUAAAAAAUAUAUUAAAAAAAAUUAGUUGACUCGCCUAAUUUUAUUUGUUUCAUAUAAAUUAAAACAAAUAAAAUAAUAUAUAUCGAGCCCAAAUUUGUCCUGACUUUUCUAUCUAGUACUCCCUCUGUUCACAUUUAUUUUUAAUAUUCCAUUUUUUGAAGUUAAUUUUACUAAUAUUUUAAGUUAAAUUUAAUUACAUUAAUUCGAUAUUUCAAACAAAUUUUUUUUAAAUAUUCAAAAACUAUAGCAAAAGUAUUAUAAAUUGUAAUUUUUUUGCGUAUCAAUAAUUCAAUGUGACAGAAAAACAUAUUGUAAAAUAUUCGUUAAACUUUUUUAUAGUUUAAUUCUAAAAGAGAAAACUGUGACAAUUAAAAAUGAAUGGAGAUAAUAUUAUAUAGAAAUUCUAAUUAUUCACUCCAUAUUUUACAAAAUUUUCUGUCUUUUGUAGGAUGCUUUUUUUGGUGAUUGAGAGAUUUAUGUGCAUCACAUCUAAAUGUACUUUUUUAUUUCUAUAUAUAUGUUAAAUUUAUUUCUUAAAAACUUUUUGUCCAAUCAAAUAAAGCAAAUUCAGGAAAAGAGUACAAUAUUCGCAAACUCACCUAACUUCCCCAACCAAUUACUAAAAUACGCCGGGUGGUGACAUACCCCUCUCUUUCCUUUUCUUAAAUGAAUUAUUUUUAAAAAUAAAAUAAAAAAUUAAGGCUAUGUCCUUUUAAAAAAUAAUUUUUUUUUAAUUAAAAUAUGGUCAAAACUAAUUUUCAAGUUUGGAGAACUCAUGUUCGAGAAGAUAUCAAAAUAUCACACCUAACAUAUAAUUAAACAUUGAUGCGAAUAAAAAGAAAAAUGUGCGUGGAUAAAGUGAGGUAAUGUAGAUUUAAAUUUAGGGACAUAAUUUAAAUUAUGCUUUUUUAUUAGUGUUUUAGUAAAAUUAUGAAUAUAAAUUUAUUAAUAAUGUAAUUUAUUAUAUAAAUAUAUCAAAAUUUAUGUUAAAAGAAUAUAUAUAUAUAUAAUAUUCGUAGGAGUGUAUGAAUUUGUUGUCCAUUCUAAUAGCCGUAGUGUUGGCUUGUUUCUCAUUUUUCAAUUUAUAUUAUUAUGUACAACAUUUUUUUUAUAUUACAAUAUUAUUUUGUUAGCAUUAUUUGUUAUUUUGUUUAUCGGCAACAAUUGCUUUACCUGAGGUAGUGAUUGACGUGUGUGUGGGAUUUUAACGAAGAGGUAUUAAUGUUCUAGUAAGAAAAUAAAACAAAUAAUUAUGGGGUCAGUAGAGAUUGAAUACACAAUCGUAAGGAAUUUGCAACUCCUUAAUCACUAGAUUAAAUUUUUGCUUAUAUCAAAAGUGCUUUUAUAUAUAUAUAUAUAUAUAUAUAUAUAUAUAUAUAUAUAUAUAUAUAUAUAUAUAUAUAUAUAUAUAUAUAUGAUGUUAAGCUAAAAAUAGAUAGAAUGUAUCAAAAUAUCUUUAAUUUUAUUUUUCAAAAAUAUAUUUUGAGCAAAGUUUUUACCAAAAAAAUUAUUUAAAAAAAAAAGAGACAAUUUUUUUAUUUUGUUUUAAAUAAAAAAAUAAAACAAAUAAAUUGAGACCGAGGACUAUUUAGAAAGAAAAGAAAAAUUGCUUGUAAAUUUUUAGGUUUAGUGAAUAUAAAAAUCAUAUUUGUAUACCAUAGCUAUACUUAUAUAUUGUAUUCUUUUUGAUAUAAUUUGUAUUUGUAUAAAGCGAGAAAGAGAAAAGAAAAAGGGAACUGGCUGAAAAAAAAUUGUAUUGUAUAAUCAUAAGUGUAUAACACGAAAAGAUAUGUAUUUAUAUUUAUAUAUACAAUUUUCUCUCGCCUUAUAUAAACACAAACACAAACACAAACACAAAAAUAAUUUAUAUAUUUUUUUGGUAUAAGGUGAGAGAGAUCAGAGAAGUGGAGAGCGAGGAAUCUUGGGAGAGAGGCAAACGAAAAAAUAUGUAUUUGUAUUUGUAUUUGUAUUUGUAUACACAAUUUUCUCUCUCUUUAUACAAACACAAAUACAAUUUAUAAAUUUGUGUUUGUAUAAAGUGAGAGAGGUGAGCGAGAUAUCGGGGAGAGAGGGGAGUGACAAGUGUUUGCUAUGGAUUAGAAUCAAAUGAAACUUUGAUUAUAAGCAUUUAAUUUUAAUUAAUAGUUUGUUAUUUUAUAUAAUUUUCCUAUAAUUUAUGAUAAAAAGGAAAAUUUGCUUGUAUAUUUUAUGAAACUUUUUUGAAAAAUUGUAUAUGAUUGACAAACUAUUAAUUGAAACUACAUGCUAUAAUCACAGUUUGAUUUAAUUGUGCACCGUAGCAAACUGUUGCCAAUCGUCUCCCUCCACGAAAUUUUCACUCGCCAGUCUCUCUUUCCGCUCUCUCGCUUUAUACAACUAGAAAUGAGCGAGAGAAAAUUGUAUAUGCACAUGCAAUACAUAUAUCUUCAUCCUAUACCCUUAUAAUUAUAUAAUACAAAUAUUCUCCCGCCCAGUUCUAUUAUAUCUUUCUCUCUUUCUCACUUUAUACAAAUACAAAUAAUACAAAAUACAAUGUAUAAUUUAUGUUUGUAUAAAGCGAGAGAUUGAUUGUCACGACCCAAAAAUGGGUGUGAUGGCACUCGUCUUAUCCCACCAAGACAAGUCAGCCUAAAACCAAAUAUCUAACAAAGUGCGGAAGUAAAUGACAAUCCAACAACAAUUCCUAUUAUGAAACCAAGUUAUAUUAAUCCAAUCCCCAAAAUCAGGUUGUCACGUGCACAAGCCUCUAAUGUAAAUACUAGAAUUGAAAUAAAGUAGAAGUCUGAAUGAAGUUGUCUUUCAAGUAAAAACAAAGUCAUAAACUGGAGUAGGAAAGUUCGCUGAGAUGACAAGCAGCUACCUCACAAUCCUCCACAAGAUGCCUCGGAAACGAAAAGAAUGACAAGUAUCACGAUGAUCCAGGCUCGUAUCCUACAAAAAUUUGUAGAAGCAAGGGGUGAGUACCAAACCACGCGGUACCCAACAAGCAAACCUCUAAACACAAGUUAAGUGAACAAAAUACGGGCACUCCUUACACCAUAUCUAAACCUCCACGAUACAGUCUAAUAGGUUACAGUUUACCAAACACACAACUCAAUAACCACACUCUAUCAGUUUACACAUUCUCAAUAACAACUCAAUAUUCAACAGUCACAAGCUUCACAGAGAAACACUCACAGGAUCAACAAAACACAUGUUCAAGUUCAUCAAUAAUAAAAUGUGUAAUGCCAUGAGAUGCAAUGUCAAAUAUAGUGAUGCAUGUCUUCCUUAACGAUACACACCCGCUGUCUCUCAGUCCGGGACCCAUGAGGGACAUAUCUGUCCAUGCAUCUGUCGCGGCGCACGACACGACCCUCGAUAAGUAGUAAACUUCGCGGCGCGCGAUACGUCCCUUGAAAUAUAAUAUCCGUCGCGGCGCGCGAUACAACCCUCGAAAAUAGUACACCAUCCUCUUACCACAACAAUGUCUCAGAUACAAUGCAAAUGACAUGCUCAAAUGAAAAGGGAGGAGAUAACCAUUUGAUAACCAAACACAAUUUACAACAAGAAAUACAACACCAACAAAUAAACAACAAGUCUCUAAAUCAUUCUCAACAUCACACAAGGAUAUACACGAAUUUCGUACGCUUAACAAGAGUUUAGAAAUCCACUUGCCUCAAAUAGUCGAACAAUCACUCUGAACUUGAGCCUUUUCCUUUCGUUGUACUUCCAAACCAAUACAAUCUAUUCCUAUUAACGAUCACAAUAAGAUUUUAAACCUAACAACAUCCAUAUCACUACGUGUCUAACAUAGACCAAAAAUCAUAGAGCACAAAUUUAUAAUCAAGUUCUUAACUUUUGAUGUCAUUUGACAUGUCAACUCUUUUAACUUUUCUCCAAUUUUCAAGUUUACGAUUAAGUCUUAAUUCCUCAAAUAUCACAAGUCUAAUGCUAUUCACAAAAUACAUUACACUUUAUAUUUAUUUACCUAUCUCAAUAUAUCAAAACUUAAAUUAUAUGUGACAAUUAUAACAAGGAAUUAGAGAAACACUAAAAAUCAAAAUCAUGGACAUAAUAUUUUAGUUACAAGAAAACCCAAAAUUUUUCAGAACUCAAAUUGACACAGGUUAUAUUCUUAGAAACUAUCCCUCAACAAUUAAUUAUCUUUACUGAUCGAUAAUUACCCUCAAUUUUUUUUUUAAUCGUCAUUAACAUUACCACUAUGAUAAAUAUAUAUAUAUAGAAAUUACGUUCAAGUUGGUACAAUUUCAAUUCUGAUCCACUGUAACUUGCAAAUAAUAAUAUAAUUAAUAAAGUUAACAAUUUGAUUCCUUACUCAUUUUCACACAUUAUUAUAAUGAUAAUUAUGCUUGUACUACAUUUGACCUCAAUAUUUUCAAUUGCAUAAUGAAUGAAAAAUUCAUGAACAUUACCUGAUCGUGAAUUGCAGUUCUACGCCAAUCGUCGCUAUACGCAGGUGUCUCCUUUUCUUUUCUUAAAGUUAUAAACUAAAAACUCUCUAACCCUAAUAAUUUAUUUCCUAUAAGGGUAAUUGGUAUAUGGUAAAAAUUUUUUUUUUUAUAAACUUAACCAUAAUUAUUAAUUACAAUUAGUUAUUUAAUAAUUACUCAUAAAUUAAUUUAUUCUUAAUUAAAUUAAUAUUUAAAAUUUUCAAAAAUGACCUUUCGGGUCAUUACAUUAUCCACCACUAAAAACCAUGUUCGUCCUCGAACAUAAGGUGAAAGAAAGUACCUGAAGCCUCAAAAAGUUGAGGAUAUCUGGCACGCAUGUCAGACUCAGUCUCCCAAGUUGCCUCUCUCACUGAUCGGUGCUUCCACUGCACCUUCACUGAAGCAAUCUCCUUGGUUCUAAGCUUUCGAACCUGCCUAUCCAAAAUAGCUAUAGGCUCCUCUUCAAAUGUCAAGUCUGGACCCAACUCCACAGAAUCAAGUGAAAUCACAUGAGAUUCAUCCGGAAUAUACUUCCGAAGCAUAGAGACAUGGAAAACAGGAUGAACUGCCGACAAACUAGGUGGCAAGGCCAACAUAUAGGCCACCUCUCCCACUCGGCUCAAAAUCUCAAAAGGUCCAAUGAACCUAGGGCUAAGCUUGCCCUUCUUUCCAAACCUCAUUAGUCCCUUCAUGGGUGAUACUCGGAGCCAAACAUGAUCACCCUCCAUAAACACCAAGGCUCUAACUCUCCGAUCUGCAUAACUCUUCUGUCGACUCUGAGCUGUCAAUAAUCUAUACUGAAUCAUACGGACUUGCUCCAUAGCAUCUCUAAGCAAGUCUGUAUCCAAAGAGUCCAUCUCUGCCGAAUCAAACCAACCAAUAGGAGAUCUACACCGUCUACCAUACAAUGCCUCAAAUGGGGCCAUUUGGAUACUAGAGUGAUAACUGUUAUUAUAGGCGAACUCCGCUAAGGGUAAAUGUCGAUCCCAUCUUGCACCAAAAUCGAUUACACACGCUCGAAGCAUAUCUUCCAAUACCUGAAUGGUCCGCUCAGAUUGACCAUCUGUCUGAGGGUGAAAUGCCGUACUCAUAUCUAACUGAGUACCCAGACCAUGUUUUAAUGCCUUCCAGAAGUGAGAAGUAAAUAGUGAACCUCGAUCUGAUAUGAUAGAAACAGGAACUCCAUGUAGUCGCACAAUCUGACUGAUAUAUAGUUCGGCUAACUUUUCUGCUGUAUACUUUACCCGAACCGGGAUGAAGUGGGCAGACUUGGUCAGCCUAUCAACAACAACCCAAAUAGAGUCAUAACCACCCACUGUGGUAGGCAAACCCACAACAAAGUCCAUAGUAAUCCGCUCCCACUUCCAAGUAGGAAUAGGCAUCCUUUGAGAUACACCACCAGGCCGCUGGUGCUCACACUUGACCUGCUGGCAAGUCAAACACCUCAAAACAAAGUCUGUAAUAUCUCUCUUCAUCCCACACCACCAGUAAUGCUGACUCAGAUCAUGAUACAUUUUCGCCGCUCCCGGAUGGAUAGAAUAUCGAGAACAAUGGGCCUCCUCAAGGAUCAAUCUAAUCAAAUCGCCUGUCUUGGGCACACAAAUCCUGCCUCCGAUCCUCAAGACACCAUCAGAAUCAAGGACAGCCUCCUUAGCUUCCCCUCUCAAUACUUUGUCUCGAAUGAGACAUAAUUUUUCGUCAUCAAACUGGUGUGCACGAAUCUGCUCGACUAAAGAAGAUCGAGCCUCAAUAAAAGCAAUCAUCCCAUCACUCUCCUCUGAGAUCUGUAAUCGGACAAGACUGUUAGCUAACAAUUGAACAUCUCUAGCCAAUGGUCUCUCCUCAACACUAAGAGAUGCAAGACUCCCCAUGCUAUGAGUCUUCCUACUCAAAGCAUCGGCCACAACAUUGGCCUUCCCCGGAUGAUACAGAAUGGUCACAUCAUAGUCCUUCAGCAACUCAAGCCAUCUUCGUUGCCUCAAGUUCAAAUCCCUCUGGCUAAAGAUAUACUGAAGACUCCGAUGAUCAGUGAAGAUCUCACAAUGCACUCCAUACAAAUAAUGACGCCAUAACUUAAGUACAAAUACCACAGCCGCCAACUCCAAAUCAUGAGUAGGGUAGUUCUUCUCAUGGGAUUUCAACUGCCUAGAAGCAUAAGCAAUCACUUUCCCCUUCUGCAUCAACACACCACCCAAACCAACUCCUGAGGCAUCACAAUACACAGUAAAGUCUACACCUUCCUCAGGUAGAGUCAACACAGGAGCAGAAGUCAACAAAGUCUUGAGCUUUUGAAAGCUCUCCUCACACUCAUCAGACCACUGAAAACUCACAUCCUGUCGAGUCAAUCUAGUCAAUGGAGCUGCAAUAGUAGAGAAACUCUGAACAAAUCGUCGAUAAUAGCCUGCCAAUCCCACAAAACUCCUAAUCUCAGUAGGUGAAGUAGGUCGCGUCCAGCCUCUAACUGCCUCUAUCUUGGUCGGAUCUACUCUAAUACCCUCCUUGGACACCACGUGUCCCAAGAAUGUCACAGAAGUAAGCCAGAACUCACACUUUGAGAACUUGGCAUACAACUUCUCUUCUCUCAACCUCUGAAGUACAAUCCUCAGGUGUCGGACAUGGUCCUCCUCAGUCUUAGAGUAAACCAAGAUGUCAUCGAUGAAAACAAUCACAAAAGAAUCAAGGUAUGGUCGAAACACCCCAUUCAUCAACUCCAUGAAUGCUGCAGGGGCAUUAGUCAAUCCGAAGGACAUCACUAGAAACUCAUAAUGCCCAUACCGGGUCCGAAAAGCUGUCUUAGGGAUAUCUGAUGCCCUAAUCUUCAACUGAUGAUACCCAGACCUCAGAUCAAUCUUAGAGAACAAUGAUGCUCCCUGUAACUGAUCAAAUAAGUCAUCAAUACGCGGAAGAGGAUACUUAUUUUUAACUGUUACUUUGUUCAACUGUCUGUAAUCAAUACACAUUCUCAUAGUCCCAUCCUUCUUCUUCACAAACAAUACAGGGGCACCCCAAGGUGACACACUAGGGCGAAUAAAACCCUUACUCAAUAAAUCCUGCAACUGAUCCUUCAAUUCUUUCAACUCUGCUGGAGCCAUACGGUAUGGAGGGAUAGAAAUAGGCUUAGUGCCCGGCUCCAAAUCAAUAGCGAAAUCGAUGUCCCUAUCGGGAGGAACACCUGGAAGAUCAGAAGGAAAUACAUCGGGAAACUCCUGAACCACGGGAACAGAAUCCAUGGGAGGUGGUUCAACGCUAGUAUCCCGAAUAAAAGCUAAGUAAGACAAACACCCCCUCUCCACCAAUCUCUGAGCACGGAUAAAAGAGAUGACCUUGCUAGGGUAAGAACCACUAACACUCUUCCACUCAACCUUCGGAACACCAGGCAUAGCUAAAGUCACAGUCUUAGCAUUACAAUCAAGGACAACAUGAUAAGGAGAAAGCCAAUCCAUACCCAAGAUAACAUUAAAGUCCACCAUCCCCAGAAUGAUUAAGUCUACCCAAGUGUCAUACCCAGCCAAAGAAACAAGACAGGAUCGAUACACUCGAUCCACCACUAAGGGUUUACCCACGGGUGUAGAAACACGAAUAGGUACAGUCAUACUAUCACAUAUCAUAUCAAAUUUAGCAGCAAAAUACGUAGACACAUAAGAGAAUGUAGAACCUGGAUCAAACAACACAGACGCAGGUCGAUGGCAUACUGGGAUGAUACCUGUAAUAACAGCAUCAGAGGUCUCCGCCUCAGGUCUCCCGGGGAAAGCAUAGCAGUGGCCUCCUCGUCCACCUCCAUCCUGGGUGGUACCUCUACCCCCACUCUGCUGAGCUGCAACACCACUACUAAAAACUCUAUCACCUCUACCUGACUGAACUCUGCCACGACCUCUACCCUGUGGUGCUGGUGGUCUAGUCUGGAAUGAAGAAUUAGGUCGAGGACCACCACGACCCCUUUGUGAAGUACACUGCCGCAUUAGAUGAUCGGGAUCUCCACAAGUAAAACAAAAUCUCUGACCUGGGAACUGUUGUGUGGACCUUGAAAACCCACUAUAAUUUCCUCGCCCUGUAGGUCGCUGCUGUGAACCGUACGAGCUCUGACCCGGGCUAUAAGAACCCCUAGAUGUCUGGCCACCCUCAAAUGUCGGCAUAGAUGCAUGAAUAGGUCCCCGCUGCUGAAAAGAACCACUCACUCUCUGUGAUCCCCUACCUCCAGAUGAGGCACCAUGAAACUGUCCUGAUAUACGGGCUCUUUUAGGGUCCCCAAACUCCUCUCUCUCCAUCAAUUCUGCCUCUUUGGCGGCGCUCACAAUGGACUGAAAAGAAGCCCCCUCCCUAGAUGCCCGAAACACAGCUGACCUGAUAGAGAAAGUUAAUCCCCUCACAAAUCUGCGGAUCCUCUCUGUCUCAUUCGGAAUAAUGGCCAACGCAUGCCUAGACAACUGGCAAAAACGCGCCUCAUACUCUGUGACCGAUAAACCAUCCUGUCUCAAACUCUCAAACCUCAAGCGACUCUCCUCUCUCACGCUCCAUGGGAUAAAACGAUCUUGGAAUGCACUAGCAAACUGCUCCCAAGUCACUGGAGGAGAUCCAACUGGCAAAACCCCCGAAUAAGUCCUCCACCAGUCUCUCGCUGGUCCACGAAGCUGGAGUGUAGCAUAUCUAACCCCAUGUGACUCAGCUAAUCCAACCACCUCUAGUAACUCUCGGCAGGUAGUUAGAAACUCAUGAGCGUCCUCGCUCUUCCCACCCUGAAACUGAGGUGGGUCCAUCUUUCGAAAUCUCUCAUACCUACGCUGCUCAUCCUCUGUCAGAACAACCAUCGAUGCAACUUGACCCCCAACUGCUGGUGCAAUAUCAUUCUGAACCGCGGGAUCUACUGGUAGUUGCCCCACCGCAUCCUGAACAACCGGAGCUUGUUGCUGCUCUUGGGUCUGAGCCCCCUCUCUAGUACGAGAGUCAUGUGGUGUGGUAGUUGCACCACCACCCUGAGAAAAUCCCUCUAGCACACUUAACACCCUCAAUAGCGUAUCCUGAAGCAAAGGUGUGACUACGGGAUCUGGAGGAACCUGGUCCUCUAUGUCAUCAAUCUGAGGUUCGGUAGAGACCUCUCUAGCACUACCUCUCAGUGGUGCUGCUCCACGUCCACGACCUCUGGCUACUGUCGUACUACUAGCACGACCUCUAGCUCGAGAUCUACCCCUACCCCUAGCUGGGGCCUCAACAACUGCCUCGGGAAGUGCCUCCCCUCUACCACCAGUAACAUUAGUUCUAGUCCUCGUCAUCUGUCAAAAGAGUAUACAACAACUCAGUACUAACGAAGGUAACUACGCACGAUGAGAAACAAUGAACAAAAGGAAGUUUCCUAGUAAUCUUUAUAGCCUCUCAAAGAUGAGUACAGACGUCUCCGUACUGACCCUUGAGACUCUACGUAGACUCGGCUUGUAGACACGUGAAACCUAUGAACCUUGGGCUCUGAUACCAUUUUGUCACGACCCAAAAAUGGGUGUGAUGGCACUCGUCUUAUCCCACCAAGACAAGUCAGCCUAAAACCAAAUAUCUAACAAAGUGCGGAAGUAAAUGACAAUCCAACAACAAUUCCUAUUAUGAAACCAAGUUAUAUUAAUCCAAUCCCCAAAAUCAGGUUGUCACGUGCACAAGCCUCUAAUGUAAAUACUAGAAUUGAAAAUAAGUAGAAGUCUGAAUGAAGUUGUCUUUCAAGUAAAAACAAAGUCAUAAACUGGAGUAGGAAAGUUCGCUGAGAUGACAAGCAGCUACCUCACAAUCCUCCACAAGAUGCCUCGGAAACGAAAAGAAUGACAAGUAUCACGAUGAUCCAGGCUCGUAUCCUACAAAAAUUUGUAGAAGCAAGGGGUGAGUACCAAACCACGCGGUACCCAACAAGCAAACCUCUAAACACAAGUUAAGUGAACAAAAUACGGGCACUCCUUACACCAUAUCUAAACCUCCACGAUACAGUCUAAUAGGUUACAGUUUACCAAACACACAACUCAAUAACCACACUCUAUCAGUUUACACAUUCUCAAUAACAACUCAAUAUUCAACAGUCACAAGCUUCACAGAGAAACACUCACAGGAUCAACAAAACACAUGUUCAAGUUCAUCAAUAAUAAAAUGUGUAAUGCCAUGAGAUGCAAUGUCAAAUAUAGUGAUGCAUGUCUUCCUUAACGAUACACACCCGCUGUCUCUCAGUCCGGGACCCAUGGGGGACAUAUCUGUCCAUGCAUCUGUCGCGGCGCACGACACGACCCUCGAUAAGUAGUAACCUUCGCGGCGCGCGAUACGUCCCUCGAAAUAUAAUAUCCGUCGCGGCGCGCGAUACGACCCUCGAAAAUAGUACACCAUCCUCUUACCACAACAAUGUCUCAGAUACAAUGCAAAUGACAUGCUCAAAUAAAAAGGGAGGAGAUAACCAUUUGAUAACCAAACACAAUUUACAACAAGAAAUACAACACCAACAAAUAAACAACAAGUCUCUAAAUCAUUCUCAACAUCACACAAGGAUAUACACGAAUUUCGUACGCUUAACAAGAGUUUAGAAAUCCACUUGCCUCAAAUAGUCGAACAAUCACUCUGAAAUUGAGCCUUUUCCUUUCGUUGUACUUCCAAACCAAUACAAUCUAUUCCUAUUAACGAUCACAAUAAGAUUUUAAACCUAACAACAUCCAUAUCACUACGUGUCUAACAUAGACCAAAAAUCAUAGAGCACAAAUUUAUAAUCAAGUUCUUAACUUUUGAUGUCAUUUGACAUGUCAACUCUUUUAACUUUUCUCCAAUUUUCAAGUUUACGAUUAAGUCUUAAUUCCUCAAAUAUCACAAGUCUAAUGCUAUUCACAAAAUACAUUACACUUUAUAUUUAUUUACCUAUCUCAAUAUAUCAAAACUUAAAUUAUAUGUGACAAUUAUAACAAGGAAUUAGAGAAACACUAAAAAUCAAAAUCAUGGACAUAAUAUUUUAGUUACAAGAAAACCCAAAAUUUUUCAGAACUCAAAUUGACACAGGUUAUAUUCUUAGAAACUAUCCCUCAACAAUUAAUUAUCUUUACUGAUCGAUAAUUACCCUCAAUUUUUUUUAAUCGUCAUUAACAUUACCAUUAUGAUAAAUAUAUAUAUAUAGAAAUCACGUUCAAGUUGGUACAAUUUCAAUUCUGAUCCACUGUAACUUGCAAAUAAUAAUAUAAUUAAUAAAGUUAACAAUUUGAUUCCUUACUCAUUUUCACACAUUAUUAUAAUGAUAAUUAUGCUUGUACUACAUUUGACCUCAAUAUUUUCAAUUGCAUAAUGAAUGAAAAAUUCAUGAACAUUACCUGAUCGUGAAUUGCAGUUCUACGCCAAUCGUCGCUAUACGCAGGUGUCUCCUUUUCUUUUCUUAAAGUUAUAAACUAAAAACUCUCUAACCCUAAUAAUUUAUUUCCUAUAAGGGUAAUUGGUAUAUGGUAAAAAAUUUUUUUUUUUAUAAACUUAACCAUAAUUAUUAAUUACAAUUAGUUAUUUAAUAAUUAGUCAUAAAUUAAUUUAUUCUUAAUUAAAUUAAUAUUUAAAAUUUUUAAAAAUGACCUUUCGGGUCAUUACAUUGAUAUUUUAUAUACAAAUAUUUUAUUUCGAUUCAGUUGUAUACAAAUUUAAAUUUCAUACAGAUAUACAAGCACAUAAAAUUUAAUUGAGAGGCUACCAACAAUUUAUACAAACGAGAGGUUGACAACAAUUUAUACAAAUGACCUGCCAACGAAAUUAUACAAAUCUAAAAUGGAGCCAACGAAUUAUACAAAUGCUUCUUUUGUAUAUAUGUAUGACGAAAUAGCCUAAUUUCUCUUGUAUAUGUGUAUAGUGAAAUAGCCAUAACAUGUUUGCUAUGCAACACAAUUAUACAAACCAUAUAUGAUAUAUAAAUAUAAUUUUUGUAUUUGUGUACGUGAAAGCUGCUUAACUUUUUUUGGUCCCCGACUUCCUGUUGCAUAUAAGGCAAAAAGAUACAUAUUUCAUCAUUUCCAAUAAAUAUAUAUAACAGUUUUUGGCUUGAUAUAAAUUUAAAUAAAAAUAAUUUUUUUUCCUAAUUUAUAAUCUAAAUAAACUUUAAAUAUUUAUAUACCUAAAAUUAUUUCAUUCUUUUCCUAAUUGAACUUGUCAAUUAAAGGAAAGUUUAUCACAAAAAUUAACUAUAUAGUGGAAGCAAUAUUUUUGGUAAAAUAAUAAAUUUUACUAGUAGAUUACUAUUUUAGAGUAUUUUAUUUAUAGUGGGGGCUGGUCAAGAUUCAGUUACCAUGUAGUUGGGAGAGAGAUCCUGUCAUAAGACCACUACAAUCCUCUUGUUUUUCUCUUUCUCUCUGUGUUUUUUGAGAGAUUCAAGAAAAUCUUGGUGACCCAAUUCAAGAAUCUUCAAGAAAUUGUAAUGGGUACUUACCAUUUCUUCUCCUCCUUUUCUGUGGGGGUUUUGGGGGUGGGUAAAAGUUGUUAUCUUGAGUUUGUUUUUGUUAAUUUCAAUACAUGAAUGUUUUUAUGUUGAUGGGUCAAUCUUGAGUUUUCUUGUAUUUUUUUUCUUAGCUUUGUGUGAUUUGGUAGAUUUGUUUAGUUGUCUGAUUUUGUUUGGUGUCUCCAACUACUGAUUUUGUUUGGUGUUUUUUUGAGCUGUUUCCACACAUACAUAACACAAUUAGGAGUUUUGAAUUUUUAAAUUUUCUUUUCUUUCGUUUCGUUCUCACUGAGCUGUUAAUCAAUUUUGUUAAUGACUCAUCGUGAUAUACAAAAAAGCUAUCGAAACCCCCACUUAGCUCCGCCUUUGUUAUAAACAUAUAGCCCCACCAACACACACCCAAAUAUAGGUAGAGUGUACAACUACCUUUUAGCCUUCUUAAUUAGCCCUUCUUUGGUAUUAUUUGGUUAUAUUUACUCUUUUUCUAGUCAAAUUUAAUUUUGCCCCUUUCCUUAAAAAUACUUGCUUUACAUUCUUGGUUGGUAAUGCUGAUUCUCUCUGUUUGUGUUUUUAUCUUUUUGUUUCUAAAGCUACAGUUAGCUAUUCUCAGAACAUCAUGGAUGAUGAAUAUGAAAAAUUUAUCAGAAGAAUGAAUCCACCAAGGUAUUAUUUCUUCAAUUUGUUGGUUUUUUUAACUUUUAAUGAUCACUAAGGCUUUGCAUUUACAUUAUGUUUUCGUUGUCUUUAUGUUAGAGUGGUGAUUGACAAUGAUUCUUGCAAAAAUGCUACUGUAAUACAGGUUUGUGUGAGUUUAGGUUAUUUGUUGUUUUAUUGCUAGUGAAAAGGGGGAUCUUUUAUAAUUUUGUUUAACUUUCUAGGUGGAUAGUGCUAACAAACAUGGAAUACUUUUAGAGGUGGUACAAAUUUUAACUGAUCUUAAUCUUGUUAUCACUAAGGCUUAUAUUUCAUCUGAUGGUGGAUGGUUCAUGGAUGGUAAUCAUCUUUGUCUUUACUUUUCAUUUCAUCCUUUGUCGCUCAGAUUCUUGAAAAUUGAAAAAAAUGUGUUGACGGGUGUGUGUAGAUUCUCCAAAAGUAGUGCAUUUUUGGAGAGUUUGAGUAACAUGUAACAUUUGUUGUUUUCACUUUGAAAAAGGAAUUUACGACUCUUGUGUUGCUCAGACUCUUCAAAAAUGUGUUGACGGGAGCGCGUUAGAUUCUCUAAAAGUAGUGCAUUUUUGGAGAGUCUGAGCAACAUCUAGAAUUUGUUCCUUUCACUUUGGAAAUGGAAUUUACCUCAUUUUUUAAGGGGUGAUUUGUAAGUUGAUACACUUGUUGCAGUUUUCAAUGUGACUACUCAAGACGGGAACAAGAUUACAGACGAAGCGAUGUUGGAUUAUAUCAUGAAGGUGAGCUGUAUCCUGUGUGCCAAAGUUUGGCACUUGUGCUUUUGCAUUGGUGUGGAAAAGCAACUUAAUUUGUUUUUUUGUGGUUGUCAUUUUCAGUCUCUUGGUCCGGAUUCUAGUUUCGCGUCAUCAAUGAGACGAUCAGUUGGACUUACUACAGGAAUGGACUACACUUCAAUUGAGUUGAUCGGAAGUGAUAGACCGGGGCUAUUGUCUGAGAUGAGGGCUGUCCUCACGAAUCUCAAAUGCAAUGUGGUUAAUGCUGAGGUGUGGACUCAUAACACCCGAGCAGCAGCUAUAAUGCAAGUUACAGAUGAGGAAACGGGAGGUACAAUUAAUGAUCCGGAAAGGUUGUCUAUGAUGAAGCAACUUUUGUGUAAUGUACUUAGAUGUAGCAAUAAAUUAAGGGAUGCUAAGACAAUAGUAUCUGACGGGGUCUCUCAUACCGAGAGAAGGCUUCACCAGCUAAUGUUUGCAGACCGAGAUUAUGAACGUGCUGCUGGUGAAGUAUCGGAUGAAAAAGGAAGGCCUAAUGUGAGUGUUGUUAAUUGGCAAGAUAGGGACUAUUCCGUUGUGACAAUCCGGUGCAAGGAUAGACCAAAGCUUCUAUUUGAUACAAUUUGUACGCUGACCGAUAUGCAGUAUGUGGUUUUCCAUGGUAAUGUUGAUGCUGAAGGACCAAUAGCCCACCAGGUACUAGAAUUUCCUAUUCGUUCCGCACGUUCUAGCAUUGUUUUUUUUUACGGAAAAUAUGUGAACUAAAACUAUAAACUCUGUUCUCAUUGAAGGAGUACUGCAUACGACAUAUAGAUGGUUCCCCGGUGAAAUCAGACGCAGAGCGCCAACGAGUGAUUCAAUGUCUUGAAGCAGCUAUAGAAAGAAGGGUAUCUGAGGUUAGCAUUACUGAUUUACUUCCUAAAGUCUUUUUAUAUCCAUUAUUCAACAUUUAUUCAGCUCUAGCUAGCUUUUUCGUGUGUAAGAACACGAAUCUGGUUUCGUAAUUGGUGCUUGAAUUCACUGGUGUCAAUUUAUAUCGUUUACCUUGUCUUUGUUGAUCAAAUUCUGUUUCCGGAUCCUUAUAGAACGUCCACAGACCUUACCCUUCCAUAGAAGUUGUUUUAGAUAGACUAUCGACUCAAGGAAAAAUAAUCUAAAGCAACAUAGCAAAGCAAAUACUAUGAUAAUCGAAGUACAAGAAACAAUAUCGAAGGACAAGAAACUAUAGGAGAAAAGACAAACGUUGAAGUAUAUUUUAUUUAUCAGAGUAAAUGUGUCUCUCUUAGCUUGUCUAGUGCAUGCUUCUGGCAAUCUAUUUGUCUAUUAGUUGUCUGAUGAUGUCUUACAAUUUUAAUGUAUUGCUUCAGUGAUGUCAGAUAGAUUUGGAAAUAUCCUCUUGGAAGAAAAUAUUGGAGUCUUAUAAUGUCAUUUUCUUGUCUUGUAGACUUUGGAUUACGUUGUAAUCGAACAUUGUUUUUCGUUCUUUUCUCGUUUCUUUCCAGGGAUUGAAACUAGAACUAUGUACCACGGACAGAGUAGGACUACUCUCCAAUGUUACUAGGAUCUUCCGCGAGAAUAGCCUCACAGUCACCAGAGCAGAAGUAACAACUAGAGCUGGCAAAGCUGUUAAUAUAUUCUAUGUUCGUGAUUCGUCAGGGUAUCCUGUUGAUGCUAAGAUCAUAGAAUCUGUUCGUCAGACAAUCGGACAGACGAUACUUAGAGUGAAAGGCAACAUUGGAGAGUUAAAUCCAGUUCCACAAGAAUCUCCAACCAGGUUCCUUUUUGGUGGUUUAUUCAAGUCUAGAUCCUUUUGUAAUUUCGGGUUGGUUAGGUCGUAUUCUUGAAAAACACACGAUCUAUUCCUCGUCGCGUGUACAUCUGAUCCCCUCUGCAUCAUCAAACCUACAUUGGUUCUUGCUAGGUUUUAAAGGCAUGUCAUUUGUCUGUAAAUAUGCUUUCGUAGUCGUUUUGCUAUGGUCAUUGGUUGUGGUUCAAUACCAUGUUGACCCAAUGGAUAAGCUAUGUUUAAAGUCAGUUUGAUCAGCUUAUAAGCUUUAGUUAAGUGCUCUUAUGGUCUUUUGUUUUUAAUAUAUUUUCGUGAUCAUUUAGCUUUGUCUAUUUGAUUAUGGUUCAACACCUCGAUAGUUCACUAAUAUGUUGACACGUGUUUAUAAGCCAAUUUGACCCGUUUAAUCAAAUGCCCUUUUUACUCUCUUAUAUCUCUUUAAUGUCUACUAUAGUUUUUGUGUUGCUUGUUUAAAUCUUUGUAUCCACUUUUUCUAUUGAAUCUAAUAAACAUGAAAUGUUAAAUAUCUAAUUGGAGACUAAACAUACUUUAAAAACAAAUUAUCUUAAGCUUAUCUUCAAACAUGUGUUAUGAUUUUUGUCAUUUUCUUGAUUAAACAUUAUAGUUAAAAAAAUGUUAUAAAAGACAAUGUCAUUAAUCACAUUAAUUUUUUUUUCCUUAAUAAGUGGAGUCAUCCACCUUUGACUAGUAGAUAAAAUAUUUUCUUUGUUUUAUUGUCCAAGAGAUCUAGACGGCUUGUCACUUUUGAUUUUAGUCAUCAUUAAUAAAUGAGCUUAGCAUAAAAAAUUAAUUAGUUUAGUUGGGUUGUCAUGGAUUAAUUGGAUUGCUUCUAGUUUUAUGAUUGGAGCAUUCUAGCUUCUUCCUUUUUUCCUCUUUAAAAAGAUAGAAAUGGAAAAGGUUUAGAAUAUCAUUCAACUAUUGAAAAUAGUAUAAAAUUUGUCUUCCGAUGAGCUUAUAAAUAUCUUCGAUGACCACCUUUAGGUUUCAUAUUGCCCUUUAUUUUUAAUACCUCUAAGUGAAUUUAUCAAUGAUGUGGCGGUUAAUGGUCAUUAUUAAUUGUCUUUUAAACAAGGAAAAAAGGAUAAAUAUACCCUUUUUGGUUUGCGGAUAUUUUCCAUCAUACUCUAGGGACAUUGGUGUUCUUAUCGUUCAAAAACUAGAACAUAUAUUACCCUUUAUACUAACGGACAUACACGUGUCAUAAUCUUAUCCAUCGACACGAUAUUGAAUUGAUGGAUAAGAUUAUGCCAUGUGUCCCUAUUUAGUCUUCCGUUAGAUUGAAGAGCGUAUACACUCUAGUUUUUGGACAACAGUGACACCAAUGUCUCUAAAGUAUAACUAAAGAUAUUUCUAUACAAUUUACGAUAGUUCGGAGUAUACUUAUUUUUUUCCUUUAUAUAAUACAUUGAUGUUGGCAAAAUUGAUCAUAAAAAGAUUAAUUUCACUUUCUUUUUCUUUUUUUUUGAUAAUUUGAGAGACUAAAAAUGGAUGGAUAGAGUUGGAGCUUACUCUUAGUGACAUUAUUGUUCUAUUUCUCCCAUCUACAUCCCCAUGGAGUAAACAUUUUUGCAAAUUUAAAAAGUCUUAAGGCCCGUUUGGAUGGGCUUAAUAAAAGCAGCUUUAAAAAAGUACUUUUGAAAGUGAUGAAACUUAUUUUUAAAAUAAGCAGUUAUGCGUUUGGAUAAAAGUGCUGAAGUUGUUAUGCCAAACGUGAAAAGGGAAAAAUGGAAGAAAGAGAUGUUAGGGUUAUAUGAGUAAUUUGGAGAUUGUAUAAAAAUAUUAAGGGUAAAAAGAUAAAAAUGUGGUCAACUUAAAAUAGCUUAUAAGCUAAAAAAAAAAAACACCCCUACCCCAGCUUUUAACUUUUGGCUUAAAAUAAGUUUUUUUAACUUAAAAUAAGUUAUUUUGAGUAUUGCCAAACAGUUAAAUAAGUCAAAAAUCAGCUUUUAAGUCAGUUUGACCAGCUUUUAAGCUGAGCCAAACAGGCUCUUAUCCUAAAAAUAGAAGAGAAAAUAAGUCAAAUGGUAAAGUGAUCCAAUUGAUUUUCUUUUUGACCAAACAAUGCCAAAAGGAAAGGAAAUUGUUGUUAUUUGAAUAUCUAAUGUACACAAUUAAGAAAAGACAUUCUAAAAUGGUGAAAGAAUAAGUGGAAUGAGGAGAGGAAUGGAGACCUCUUUCUAGAGUGACAAUCCUAUCUAACCAAAAAAGGAAAGUCAAUUCCCAUCUUCAACUUGUGCAUGAUUGAUCCUUAUUAUAAAAAUAAUAUUCAUAUAUAAUGCUUGCUUCGUUUAAAAAAUAAUGACCUCAUUUCUUUUUUAAUUUGUUUCAAAAAAAGUGAUCUCUUUUCUUUUUUUUGUAACAUUUUAAUUUCAGGUAUCCACGUGACAUGUUCAACACCACAAGAUUAAAGGAUAAUUUUAUACAUUUGACAUAACUUUAAUUUAGAGCCACAAAAUUCAAAAAUCUUUUUUUUACUUUCUUAAACUCGUGUCAAGUUAAACCAGAUUACUUUUUUGAAACGAAGAGAAGAUUGAUUAAACAAUUGUAUAUAGACCACCUAAAAUAAGUAUUUAUUAUUUGAUUCAUAUCCUGAUAUUAAAAGUCUAUGACAAAGAGCAAUACAGAAAAUGACCAUUUUAUAAAUGAAAAACAACAAUACUAAGAUCAGCUAGAACAAAUGAUCACCAAAAAGAAUUACUGAAUAAUUUAGGAAAAUAGAUAUUAUUGUUAUGAAUGAUCCAUUACUGAAUAAAUGAGUAUAUCUCUUUUAAUGGAAUUCGAUUCUCUUUCGAAAAUAAUUUUUUCAUAUGUAUUAAAAUUUUGAAAAUUUUCUAAAAGACCAACAUUUCAAAUCUAAUACGUUAUUAUAUUCAGAUAUAUUUCUCUUUUUAACCAAUCAAAUAUAUAAUAAGAAAAAUUUUUGAACUUGGUAUUGUAUUAUUGAAACUUAGAGCAAUUUUAUCAUCCAUUAAUUUUUUGACACCAUGGUCUUGUCUUUAUUAAAUCAUUUUAUAUUUACUCUUUCCAUUAAAAGGAAUUUGGGCAAUUUCGUAUGGUUGAAUUACACAAAUUUUGUUUUCGUCUGGAAAUCCAAUAUAUGCCGUCAUGAUUAUGGUUGUCUUACGUAUGAUACAUUUUAUUUAUUUCUUACCCUACAACAAAAAUAUGAUUAUUAGCAGUAAUUAAUUUUUAAUUAUCGUUAAAUAUAUAUGUUUAGUGGUAAUCAACACUCUUUGUAUAUGUCCCUAAAGUCUUUAACGACAUUGAUUUUAAUAACACUUAAUUAAUACUGGUAAAGACUUUAGCACUCUUUAUUAAUGUCAAUGUUUAAUGCCGCUAAAAGUUAUUUCUGUUAUAGUGUUAUCAAUGUUGUCAAAAAUAAUUCAAGAAACGAUUUGCAAAUAGACAUAUAAUAUCACAAAAAAAAGAAUGAAAUACAUGAGAAUUUUUCUGGGGAUUAAUAUAAAAUCAUUUACAUUAACUAAAUACAUGAAAUAAGUACAGAUAAAAUCAUUCAAAAUAGAUUAAAGCCUGAGUGAUUGACUAAUUUAUGCUAUGGAGACGACCAAUAAAACUUAGCAUAACAUGAAUUUUUGAAACUACAAGAUAUUGAGCAUACGAUAUCCAUAUAAUACAUAUGUGUAAGAUUAUUUAAACGAAAUUUCAUGGAAUAAAAAGGGUUAUCAGCAUGCAUACCUUAAGGGUACAUUAAUAUUUUUUUUAACCAAAGAGGUAAAAUCGCUAUUGGCGUCGUUAAAUUUAAAAUUGCUAAUCCACGAGCAAUUUUCUGCAUUUUUCAUUUUUUAAAGAAUAUCGCUACAGAUGUCGCGAUUUUGGCCAAAAAAGUUUUAUGUUUUUUAUAAAAUCGCUUCCUUGGCAACAAUUUUGGUAAAAAUAAAAAUAACAAAAAAAUAUCUUUAAAAUGUAAAAAAGUCGCUACCUUAACAGCGAAUUUAGUGAUUUUUUUAUUUCUUUUAUAAAACAAUGCACAUAGUACUACUAAUCAACUCCUCCUCACCUCUUCCUAUUUAUGGUGAUUAAAAAAACCCACCAAAAGUACUGCCAAUGCAAUCAAUAUUUUGUUAUUUUUUAAAAAAAAAUCACCGCUUUAUGAAAAAGAAAAAAUUGUUUUCACCAAAAUAGCGAUUUUUUUACUUUUUAAAGAUACUUUUUUGGCCAAAAUCGCUAUAGGUGCAGCGACAUUCUUCAACAAAAAAUGAAAAACAUUUUGGAGAAAAUGGCUCGUGAGUCAAAAAAUUUUAAUGGCGUGAAAAUAAAAUCGCUAUGCUAGUAGCGAUUUUGUCCCUCUGGUUAAAAGAAAAAAUUAUUAUGCCCUUUUAAAAUUUUUAUCAAUUUUUUUAACCCUUUAGACUUCGAACUCAUGUUCAUUGAUAGUGAUUCAGUUAUUCAUCCUGUCACCAAAAUUCAUUGAAGCAUGUCCACACAUAUGAACACAUCAAACUUUCAUGGAUCACAUUGUUGACAAUUUUUUUCUUGAGUCAAAUGAGUGGUGUGGGUAAAGUAUAUGUUGCUUAGAAUCAAGUGUAAUGUCGUUAGUGUCGUGAGUUAUUAUUUUUUAAAAGUUCGACCAACAUAGCUAAGAAUCCUCAACUCUCCAAAUUUUGAUAGCUUCUCUCUAAGAACAUAAUCAGAAGGAAUCACGAUUCAAAUUUGAUUGGACCUUAUGUACACAACUUAUUAGCUUCAAAUUUGAUUAGAUCUCUAAUGUAACUCAACUUAUUAGCUUAAAUUUUUUUUAGCGGUUAUGUAACCCAAGUGACUUUCCACCGGAUAUUUAUUGUUACACCUAUUGCACACAAACCUCAAAUCUUAAUCUUUUUUCCACAUUGCUAUACUUUAAUGAAAUCAAAUAAAAACUAAGAUUAACUUAAAUAAUUUUGACAUCAGAAUUCUGACUCUACUAUGUUAUUUUUAAGGGUGAAUUAAAGUGGUAAUAAAACUUGGACCAUGUUCUUUUUAUUUGUCUUUUUUUUAUUAUAGACUAGUUUCCAAGUAUUAAGCAGUUAGCAAUUAUACAUUUUUUAUUUUUUUUAAUAUAAAAUCUACUCUUCUAGUUUUUUAAGAUGUAGAAUUGUUAAUAUAUUUAAAAUUAUUUUUGAUAUAUAAAAUUAUUAUUUUUUCUUAAUUAAAAAGGUUAGUUUUCUAUAAAUAGUAUUCUAUAAGUUUUAAUCUUUUGCCCAAUUUUGAUUUGACAUGAAACUUAAAAGGUAAAUAAGGAUUUUCAAAUCUUGUGGUCUUAAGCUAAAUUAUAUAUAUAUAUAUAUAUAUAUAUAUAUAUAUAUAUAUAUAUAUAUAUAUAUAUAUAUAUAUAUAUAUAUAUAUAUAUAUAUAUAUAUAUAUACACACACCAAAAAAAAAUUUAAUCUUGUGGUCAUAAACAUGUCAUGUGGAAAGAUUAAUUAAUUAAAAUUUGACAAAGAGGAAACAAAACAUUCUUUAAUGUUUCAAAAUGAACUAAAAGACAGUAUAAUUUUAUUUUAUUUUUUUUUAAAAAAUAACUUGUAAUAAUUCUUGUUACUAUAAAAUGGGAUCCCUUAAAUUUUGGGCCUUAAACCGUCCAGGAGUAUAUAUAACAUGAUUUUCCAACGAAGGAGGUUUGCUGAUUAGAAUGUACAGGGAGGACUCAACUAGCACAACACACUACUAAGUCUUUACUCUGACUCCUAAAAAACUCAAAAUUAGCUCAAAAUGCCUAUCUUGAGCUUGUUUGAACGGAUGAUCCAAUUGAAUUUGAGUACAAAUUAAUCACAUAAUAGCAGAAACGGAAGUGAUCGAGCAAUAACAGAACUCGUAGGAUAUACCAAACAACCUAUGUAUGAGCAAACUGAGUGGAACCUAUUGGAUGACAAUAAGAUAUUGUGAAAGAAUAAAUGUUUGUAUACAUCGUGUUAUGCCUUUUUAUGCGUGGAACUUAAGCAUAUAUGGUGCUUGUAUGUAACAUGUAUCAAUUUAAGCAAAUUCUAGGAAGUUCUUGAACCAGUUCACAGAAUCUUUAGGAUAUCUCUUGAGGUUGUCCUUGUAAUCCACAUAAUAAAGACCAAAUCUCGACGAAAAUCCAGCUGCCCAUUCCCAGUUAUCUAUCAAAGACCACACAAAGUAUCCUUUCACAUUGCAACUAUCUUCUCUGCAUAUUCACCAAUAUAGAUAUCAAAUGAAUAUGUUGUGCUUUAAAAUUUGUUGAUCAAGUAGGAUUUUAGACACGAAUAACUUACUUGAUAGCAGCUAGCAGAUUAGUAAGAUAGUCAUUGUGAUAAUUGAUCCUUUUUGUAUCCUUAAGAGUAUGUUCUCGCGAUGUAAAUAUGUUAUUCGAAUCAUCCAUUCAUGUAACAGUUUAAUAAAUCAAAAUAAGAGGCUCAAACCAUAAGAAACUUAUUUUUCUACAAAUUUUUAUACUAAUCCCCAAGAAAAUCUCCAUGUAAUUCACACUUUUUUUGUAGCUACAUUAUAGAUUAAGAAACUUACCAUUUUCAGUGAUUAUGAUUAGAGGGUUCUCAUACUUUUGCUUGAUGUAGUUAUUGGAAUUACAUAGUCCAAUAAGUAGUUAAGUUUGUUAGUUCGUUAGGAGUCAUGAAAGUAGCUAGGCCACUUGUAGUUAGUUAUAACUAACUACAACUCCUAAAGUGUGAAUACAUAGCAUAAUAUGAUUCCUAUAAUAGGAACUAAAAUUGUAUUCAGUGCAUAUGAAUAAUACUCUCUGUUUCUUCUUCUAGAUUUUUCAUCUGUAAACUCCUUAGAGUUGCAGAGAUCUGCAACAAUGGAUUUUAGCUCCAUGAUCAUAAGAAAUCUAUUAUGGUAUCAGAGCAGGCGAAACUUGGACUAGAUUGAUUUCAAAUUUUUCUUUUCGCAAAGUAAUUUUUUGAAGUUCAGAUUAUAGCCAUGGCAGAACUUACUGUAGCAACGCUUGGACAUAAUCAUCCACUUCAUCUGCAGCCUUCAGACAUGUUUGGUGUAGCAUUGAUCACAACAAAACUCACAGGACCUGAGAAUUAUGGUUUUUUGAGCAGAGCGAUGAGAUUAGCACUGUUGGUGAAAAAUAAGAUAGGCUUCAUAGAUGGAACUUGCUUGAAGAGCAUGUACAAGGAUGAAUUAGCAGUUCAAUGGGAAAGAUGCAAUGAAGUAGUUCUUUCAUGGAUUAGUAGCACAGUAACAAACAAUAUGUUGACAACAAUAGUAUAUGCAUCUAAUGCAAAACGAGUUUGGGAAGAUUUCAAGGAGAGGUUCGAUAAGUCUAAUCUCACUAAGAUCUAUCAACUCUGGACAGAAGUGGCCACAUUAAAGCAAGGUACGAAUUCUGUAACAGAGUAUUAUUUAUUAUAAAUUGAGGGAUUUAUGGGAUGAGUUUGAUGUAUUAGUACCCUCACCAUCAUGUAAAUGUGAUGACGCUAAGCCUUAUAUUGAGCAUCUACAUCAACAAAGAUUUAUGAUGUUCCUGAUGGGGUUAAAUGAGUCUUUCAGUCAUGUGAGAAGUGAUUUGUUGCUGAAAAGUGAAGUACCUAGCAUUAACCAAGCUUAUGCAACUGUUAUUCAAGAAGAAAGUCAAAGAGUAUUAGGUGUAGUGGAUUCAAACAAAGAGCCACUUACUAUAAUGGCAGGAAGAGGACAAGGACAAGGAUUCAAAGGGAAGAAGGUGUUACCAGGCAAUAAUAAUACUGGAUGUGAGAUUUGUGGUUUCAAAAAUCAUGUAACUGAAAAGUGUUACAAGCUGGUAGAUAUCCUUCUGACUUCAAGACCAAGAGGAAGCAAUCAGAUUCUUGUGGAUCAUAUCAGAACAAUACUGAAGGUUUUAGAUCACAUGGAACUUAUAACAGUAAUGUUUACAACAACACUGGUAAUUUCAAGCCAUAUGUUAACUAUGCUUCAGUAGAUAAACAGAAGGAGGAGUCUGAAUUCACAAAGAAAGAGUACAAUCAAAUGAAGAAUUUAUUACACAACAAAGAACAAAGUGACUGCAAGGCUAACUUGAAAGGUAAUACUUCUUUACAGACUAAAUCCUCAGCAUAUGACUGGAUAAUUGAUUCAAGAGCUACUCAUCAUGUUGCUUCAUAUGAGGAGCUCAUGUAUGAAUUGAAAAACACAAGGAAUGAACACCCGAGUACAAUUCAGUUGCCAACAGGAAGCAAAGCUCAAGUGAAACAUACAGGCAAUUCAGUCAUAUUUGGAAAUCAGACAGUGAAGAAUGUACUUCAUGUACCUGACUUUAAGUUCAAUUUACUAUCUGUGGCAAAACUCACCAAGGAAUUAUCUUGUAGUGUGAGUUUCUUUCCUUACUUUUGUGUAUUGCAAGAACUUUACAGUGGCAAGGUGAUUGGGAUUGGUAAAGAGGUUGAUGGUUUAUACUUACUACAAGGUACUAUUAGAGCAAGGGUUAAUUCAGCUUCAACAUCAAUAAAGGAUGCAAAUUUGACUGACUUGUGGCACUUCAGACUUGGACAUCCACCUAUCGAGGUUAUGAAACAAAUACCUUCUCUUAAGAAGUACUUCAACAUCACCACAUACAGUUGCUGUCAUAUAUGUCCAGUGGCAAAACAAAGUAGAUUGAGUUUUCCUACAAGUAAUUCUAAGUCAACUCAUAUUUUUUUAGCUUCUUCAUAUUGAUCUCUAGGGACCCUACAAAGUUCUUACCCAUGAUAAUAAGCAAUACUUUGUGACAAUUGUUGAUGAUUUCAGUAGAUUUACUUGGUGUUAAAGUACAAGUUGUAAGAACUGAUAAUGGCACUGAGUUUUUUAACUCUAAAUGUAGUGUUUUGUUUUCUUCUCUCGGAAUAGUUCAUCAAAGUUCACGUGCUUAUACACCUCAACAAAAUAGUGUUGUUGAAAGAAAGCACAGACACAUAUUAAAUGUAGCCAGAGCACUGAAGUUUCAUAGUGAAAUGCCUAUCAAAUUUUGGGGAAAUUGUGUUAAAACUGCAGCUUAUCUGAUUAACAGAAUGCCUACAACUGUACUGUAAGGGAAGUCACUAUAUGAACUUCUAUAUAAACGAGCACCUAAUCUAGAACAUUUGAGAGUGUUUGGAUGUUUAUGUUUUGUAUCAGUUUUGCCAAGGAGAGAUAAAUUUUCUCCAAGAGCAAAAAGAUUAGUCUUCAUUGGUUACUUAGAGACACAAAAAGGAUACAAAGUCAUGGAUUUGGAGACUCAUGUUAUAUCAGUAAGUAGGGAGGUUACAUUCAUGGAGAAUUCAUUUCCUUUCAAAGAUUUUACUACAGAAGAAGUAUCAUCAUUCACAGAUCAUACUGUUCCCAUACAAAUGGACGUGUUUGAUCAUGCAGAUGCUAAUAUAUCUCCAAAUUUUGUAGAUUCUGUUGAGGAACAUGUUGAGGAGACACUGAUCAAUCCUAUACAAUCUAAGUUGCACAUCAUGCUCCUUCUUUUGAGAAUAAUAUGUUGGAGCCACAACAUAAUGAUAUCACAAGUGAUGGUGAUCUUGCACCAGCUAGAAGGACUGCCAGAUCUUCUAAGCCUCCUCUUUGGCAUAAGGACUACUUAGUUUCAACUAAGUCCAAUAUGAAUUGUUUAUAUCCUAUUGCUAAUAAUUUGUCCAAUAAACUCUUGACACCAUCUUAUCAUAGCUUUAUCAAGGGAUUCUCAGUUAUAGUGGAACCCACCAGCUUCAAGAAAGCAUCCAAACAUCAACAAUGGGUAGAUGCAAUGCAGUUUGAAGUAGCUGUUUUAGAGCAAAACAAUACCUGGGCAAUAGUGGAUUUUCCAUUUGGUAAACAUCCUAUUGGUUCAAAAUGGGUUUAUAAAGUUAAACUUAAGGCCAAUGGUGAGGUGGAAAGAUAUAAGUCUAGGUUGGUUGCCAAAGGCUAUAAUCUACAAAAAGGAUUGGACUAUUAUGAAACCUUUUCUCCAGUGGCUAAAAUGGUCAUUGUGAGAACUGUGAUUAGUGUUGCAGCAUCCCAUGGUUAGCCUCUUUUUCAAAUUGAUGUCCAUAAUGAUUUUCUUCAAGGUGAUCUCACCGAAGAAGUAUACAUGGACUUGCCUCAGGGAUUUCAGAGGCAGGGGGAGAACAAAGUCUGUAAAUUGUUGAAGUCUUUAUAUGGCUUGAAGCAAGCUUCUAGGCAAUGGAACCUUAAGCUAACUGAGGAUCUAGUUAUUGCUGGUUAUUCUCAAAGUUCUUAUGAUCAUUCUCUUUUCACAAAGAGAGUUGGAAGUGAUAUUGCAGCAAUGUUGAUCUAUGUAGAUGAUCUUCUUGUAACUGGAAAUAGUAGUGUUUUGAUUCAGGAUCUAAAGGCUACAUUACAUAGUAACUUCAAAAUGAAAGAUCUUGGUGAUCUAAAGUAUUUUCUUGGUAUUUAAAUACUAAGAUCAAAAAAUGGUAUUGUUCUCAGUCAAAGAAAGUAUGCACUGGAGUUGAUUUUAGACUGUGGUCAUGGAGGUUCAAAACCAGCAAGCACACCUCUAGAGUCAGGUGUCAAAUUAACUACUGUUGAAUAUGAUGAAGUCAUUGCAAAGACAGAUGAUCCUUUAUAUUCAAAUGUUACUACAUAUCAGAGAUUAAUUGGUAGAUUGUUAUAUUUGACAACUACUAGGCCGGAUAUAUGUUUUGCAGUACAAGUUUUAUCACAGUUCAUGCAAAAACCUAAGGUGUCUCACUGGGAAGCUGCAUUAAGAUUGGUUAGAUACAUUAAAGGAUGCCCAGGAUAAGGAAUACUACUUAGCAGUGAAGAUAGCAAUGAAAUGGAGGCAUUCUGUGACUCAGACUGGGCAUCAUGCCCAAACACAAGAAGAUCAGUAACAGGAUAUGUAAUCAAGCUAGGGAAUUUACUCAUUUCUUGGAAAUCCAAAAAGCAACAUAUAGUCAGCAGAAGUUCAGCAGAAGCUGAGUAUAGGAGCAUGGCAGCUGCAGUAUCACAAAAAUCAUGGUUACUUGGAGUACUAAAAGAACUUAAUGUGAAUGUGAUAAUUCCUGUAAAAUUGCACUGUGAUAGUAAGGCUGCAAUUCAAAUUGGAGCUAAUCCUAUUUUUCAUGAAAGGACCAAGCACAUUGAGAUUGACUGUCAUUUUGUGAUGGAAAAAAUCAAAAGUGGAAUGAUACAAACAGAAUAUAUUAACACAAAGGAACAACUAGCAGAUCUUCUAGCCAAAGGACUGGGAAUUACUCAACAUCAUGGACUGUUAGACAAACUUGGAGUCUUCAAUGUCUAUAGAGAUUCCAGCUUGAGGGGGGUAUUGGAAUUACAUAGUCCAAUAAGUAGUUAAGUUUGUUAGUUGGUUAGGAGUCAGGAAAGUAGUUAAGACACUUGUAGUUAGUUAUAACUAACUAUAACUCCUAAAGUGUGAAUACAUAGCAUAAUAUGAUUCCUAUAAAUAGGAACUAAAAUUGUAUUCAGUGCAUAUGAAUAAUACUCUCUGUGUCUUCUUCUUCUUGUUCUUCUAGAUUUUUCAUCGGUAAAUUCCUUAGAGUUGCAGAGAUAUGCAACAAUGGAGUUUUAGCUCCAUGAUCAUAAGAAAUCUAUUAGUAGUUCAAUAAACUUCUAAUACCAUGAGUAACUAUGUACAACCAUAUUGAACUUGCCUGUAAUAUAAUAUCAUCAUUAUUGCACGUACACUUUUUGGAUAUUAUAGAGAACAUAUAGUAUAACAGAACAUAAAUAUCGUUCCAAUUCAAGAUAUAAAAGAUACAAAAUUACAUACCCUGUCUGCUAUUGGCUUUAUACCUUUGAAUGCUGCAAGAUACGAUAGCACAACCAAAAAAUAUUUUUAGUUUUUAAUGAACAAUGAAUUUCGCGAUAAGUAGAAUGAAUCAUGAAUCAGUUAAUAGAGUUGUCAACGACAUACGAAGGGUAAUAACACCAGAGUCAGCAACAGUCAUUGAGCAGAACAUCAAUUAUGUUGGUUUUGUUUUUGCUAGCAUACCAUGUAGUAUAGUGAUUGAUGUUUAUGAAAUCGUAGGAACGUUUGACGAGUGCAGACUCAGUUGGCAAAAAUUUAGGCAACCGGCUUCAUACUCUCUCUACCAUUGAACUCGGAUACCUUCCAAGAAUCACAGGCUCAAGAUACCUGAAUUCAGUAACAAACCAUUUCACCAUCAAAACAAAAAAUUGAGUGAGCAUAUUUACUAUUACAACAAAAUCCUUACCAGUCUAAAUUAAACUCAAUGGCCCUUUGUGUUGCUUCAAUGUCAUCUUUGGAGUUUAGCUAUCAAGGGAUAUCCCAAUUGAUCCAUGUUGUGUUGGCUGCAACUACGCUUGAUUACAAAAAAAACUCUGCAGAUGUAUAAUAUAUGUAUAUUCUAUGUAUAAUCAUGUACAAUCAGUGUAUAAGCUUUGUAUACUGACCAGGAAAAUUCUCAAUAUUUUGUCUAAGAGAAAAAUAGAUUGUUUAGAGGAGGGUGCACUGUAAAAUGGGGUGGAAAGCUAUAAAGACAAACAUGGCAUAGAGCUAAAUAUUUUUUGUCUAAAAGAAAAAUGGAUAAUUUUUUAAUUAAAAUACUUUCUUCAUUCUUUAUGUGUUACACAAAAUCUAAUUGUUUCAGGGUUCUACUUGAUAGUUACUUCUGAAUUCCAUCUUUACGAUGUAAUUAAAUAUGAGAGUCUCUUCUCAUCGCGCUUCUUAAGAAUCUUUCUCAGUGCUAGUGGCUGCCUUCCCACUUUCAAAGUCGUUAAAGGUAUCUAUAAGUAUUGUCCAAUAUUACAAUUAAAAAGCAUGCACGACUUAUACACGCAUUACCCUAACCAGCUAAACAACCUACCAAAUAAAUUAAAACAACAUUUGUUUAUAAAUUAGUACCAAAUAUGCAAUUUUAUCAACAUUUAGACCAUACUUAAAGGUAUCAUAGGUCCAUAUAUGUUGGACCAUGUUCCCAUUAAUAUAUCACAUAAAUUUUGCCUAGAAGUAUGGGGGCAUACUGAAAAUAAGAAAACUCCAAAUAAUUUUUUUCGUACUAACACAUCCUUAUUGGUCCCCCCCCCCAUAAAUUCUUGGGGACAGCCCCUCAUGAAUCAUCUAGAGUGAAGAUAAUACUAAUAAUACUCUGAAAGAGACUACGAUUCUCGUAAGAAAUCAAAAUCAUGGAGGAACGUGUUGUUGAUGAACAUGAGUUUCCUGGUUUCCAAACUUUAAUUACACCAAAAGAUGAAUUUGCAAUAAUAAAAAGGCCACUUAGCAGGUUGCAAAGGCGCGCGCCUCGCCCUCUUCAGCUCAAGCCCACGAACAAGAGCAACAACUCUCUUGAUUAUAAAGGUGCAUUGCUAAAUAAGCUAAUGGAUUCAUCUGAAUCUUUUUCUAGUUCGUAUUCGUCUUGUUGUCAUAGUAAGAUCUAAUUCUUUUGUUUUCUCCCCUUGUGUAGCCUUCUUUGUUUAAAUCUCCAACAAAAACUCAUUGAUUUUAGCUUUAAAUAGUUAUGUACAUUGAAUAGAUUUUUUCAAAUUGUUGAUAUAUAUUGAGAAUAUUAUCUAAUUUUACUUUGCAUGUUUGUUAAUUAACAUUUGUUAGAGUUAGUUACAAAUUAGUUACACAGUUUUUUAAUUUCUUUUUGUACAGAAUCAUUUAAAUUUGUUAUUUCUUAUAGAAUCAUUUUUAGCUCUAUAAAUAGGAGUUGUCACAAAUGUAAUUGCAGUUAGUUCAUUCAAUCCAAUUCAGAAAAUCUCUCUGUUAUUCCAUCUUCAUCUUCUCCAAUGAAGUCUCCAUGAAUCUCUUUUCUGUAAUUGAUCUUUUGUGUUCUUAAUCAUCAAUUCGACAUGGUACCAGAGGAAGGUUGCUCUUAUGGGAUCCUUUAAUUUGCUGCUCCAUCUUUAAUUGUUCAUUGUAAAUAUGUAACCAAUGAUCUUAGAUCUCCAUGUAUAAUUAAUCUGUAAUCAGUUCAGCAUGGUAGAAGUCACUGAGCAUAGCAACAACUCUACAAAAAACAACUCUUCUGCAGGAAACAACAUUAUCAUGUAAGUAAACCUCUGUAUAUUCAUCCAUCUGACAGCCCGAGUCUACUCCUAGUUCAAGCAACAUUUGAUGGAGUGGGUUAUAGAUCUUGGAGGAGAGGUGUGAUAAGGUCCCUCUGUGAAAAACAAGUUAGUCUUCAUCUCUGGGAAAUGUCUGAGACCAAAUCUCAAUUCACCUCAAUAUCGACAGUGGGAAAGAUGUGACAAUAUAGUCAUAUCUUGGAUUCUCAUUCUCUUGGAAAGGAUAUCGUUAACAGUGUCGAGUAUGCUCGUGAUGCUUUGGAGUUAUGGAUGCAGUCGGAAGAUCGUUAUGAUCAAACAAAUGGGGCAAAGCUGUUUCAAAUUCAGAAGGAGAUCAAUGAUUUAAGUCAAGGUGUGCUUGACAUUACUGUAUACUACACUAGGAUGAAGAAGUUGUGGGAAGAGUUAAGCAAUGUGAACACUAAAAAUCAGUGUAGUUGUGUGUGCAAUUGUGGAGGGAGGGGCUAAAUUAAAUCUACAUUAUAAUUAGAGGAAAUAUACAAAUGAUGAAUCUCUUGCCAUACAUAGCCAAAGCUUUUGCUCUAUUGGUUCCAGAUGAAAAACAGCGAGAAUUCAAGUCUGACAAUCAAAUGUUUACUGAAGCAAGCUCAAUGAAUAGUGCCAGUUCAUCAGGAUCUUCAGAAGGAAGGCAGCAGUUCAAAACAAACUUUGCGUCCACUAGCAGUCACAAUGGGAGACCAAGAAUAUUCUGUGAUUAUUGCAGAAGGUUAAGGCAUAUCAGGGACAAGUGCUUUAAACUUCACGGUUAUCCCCAAACCAACACUCAUGGCAAUGACCAAACCAGAUAUAAUAAUUCACAGAAUCAAAGGUUUGAACCUCACAACAAUCAACCCCAUAGAUCUGCCAAAGGGAAAGGCAUUGCAGCAAAUGCAUUUGGGAUUGAUGAUGAGACCACUGCAGCACACAUUGAUGAACAUCCACACAUUUCAAGUCCCAAUCUUAUUAAGGAUCAAUAUGGACAACUUCUUAGCCUGCUACAACAAUUUCAAAGGGGUCCUACAGGGGAAACUAAUGAAGAUCAGGGUGCAAGUGGAUUUCAGGUAUGAUAACUUGUAACUCUUCUUUUGAUUUUGACAAACCUUCAUAUGAAUGUCUUAAAACAGGAUUUGAUUUGUGGAUAUUAGAUUUAGGGUCUACACACCACAUGACUUUAAUAAAAAUCAUUUUUCAGACAUUAUUACUUUACCAUAUCCCAUGCUAGUAAACUUACCCAAUGGAUACAAGGUAAAAGUGACUGAAGUCGGAACUGUAAAACUUGCUCCCAUGAUCACAUUGUACAAAGUACUCUUCAUCCCCUCUUUCAGAUACAACUUGAUCUCAAUCAAUUCCUUCACAAUCCACGUCAAGUGUAUUGCUUCAUUCUCCAAUUCCACUUGUGUUUUGCAGGGCCCUUCAAUGAUAGGCCACUGGAAUUUGGUAGAGCUCAAGAUGGACUCUACUUUCUUUGCUCAACAUAUCUACAGAAGAAAUGCUUUGCUUCCAAUAAAUGUCCUACCUCUAAUGAUAGUAAAGUAUGUAGUAUGUGUCAUUCUCAUUCAUGUUCCUAUACUCCUUUAUCAAAUGUAAAAUACUCAUCUACUCCAUGUCCUUCCAUUCCUAAUGUAGUGACAACUAUUCAGAAUAAUAAAAUUGUUGCUUCCCAUUCUCUACAUUAUGUGCCUACUUUACAACCAUCUCAUGAAAGCAAAACAUAUCGUCCAUUCUUGUAAAAGUUUUUGUCAAACAACCUUUUUCUUGUGGUAUCUGCCCUAUGGAAAGACUAUCCAAACUACUAUUCCCAAUCAAAUCACAUAACACAACCAAAAUAUUUGAAUUACUCCAUGUUGAUCUAUGGGGCCUUAUCAUGUUUCCACUCAUGAUAAUUUCAAAUAUUUUAUUACACUAGUAGAUGAUUUUAGCAUGUCUUGGACACAUUUGUUGAGCUGUAAGAGUAAUGCACUGCAUAUCCUUAAAGAUUUUGUUAAUAUGGUUGAAAAUCAAUUUCAAACGACAAUUCAAAUUACAGAUCCGACAAUGGUUUGGAGUUUGUAAACCAAGAAUCCAUUCUUUUCUUUUAAUCCAUGUUGACACCCAAUUUUGACCCACGACGGUAUAAAUUAAUUAUCGAGCUUCCUAAAUUUUCCAAAUAAUUUAAAUUAAUUAGUUUUAUAAUUUUGUGAAAAUAUAACGAUAUAGUGUUUACAUAGUUGUGUAUAUAGCCGGUAUAUCUUGUGUAUAUUCGAAAAUCAUCCCAAAAUAUUUUGAUUUUGAUAAUCAGUCCAUCUUAGUUUAAAAUUGUGAGUCACUAUUUUUAAAAUUUUAUUACUAGGUAAGUAAGCUCGUUAAUGAAUUUACGCCGAAUUCGUCUUACUUUAAAUCAAUUGGCCAUCUUUUAAAUUCAACUCUUUUUCCCUUUUAAUUCAUUUUGAAGAACCAAGCCCAUUUCAACUCAAAUCUCAAAUUCCUCCACUCUUCCCUCCAGCCCAACCCAAACACAACCCAACCCUUUCUUCCUCCCCCAAAUCCCUACACACCCGACCCGCUUCCCCUUUCUUUCCCCUUUCCCCACCACGCGACCCCAUUCCCAGAAAAACAGACGCCAAUCUCCCUCCCCCCCCCCCGCGUCUCCCCACGCUCGCUCCCUCCUCUCUCUCUUCUCCUCUCCCCAUCGCGCGUGGAUGGGAAGAAUUCGCAACGGACACCUGCUGCUGCAGCCUCGUACGCAGCAACGCAGUGAGCACAAAACGACGCGUGAGAAAUCGGAUUAGCAAUUUUCGGUUGGAAAAAACUUCUUUGGUUGUUCUGUUAUUUCUGAGAGAACUAAAGACUCCCCAUUUGCGGUUGGAAAGUGGAAGAAAUAAUGGUCCGCUUCUCCUCUUAAUUGGUGUUGGCUUCCCUGUUAUUGUGUUUGUCAAAACAAACAUGUCUAAGUUGUAUUUAGAUGGACUACGCCAACCUAACAAGCCCCCUGAUUGCAUCCAUACCUUCAAAAUGAAUUGUUUCAAUUUUGCGUGAGUGGUUUGUUCGGUGAAUGUCCAGCAUGUUAUUAAUAUGGGUGUGGAGGAUCGGUCUCAUUAGCCUUUGCCUCUUUUGUCUUUUGUUAGUCACCGACUUUGGCUUGUUAACUUAAAAUAUUCUGUUGCUUUUCGACACAUGUGGAGCCUUGCUUAUUUUAAUCAUUUGUCUUUUGGUUUUGCAUGAAAAUUUGUCCGAGUCCUAUGGACUUCGCCCCUUUGCAUUUUCCUUGGGCCAUGGAGGCCAGAAUUAUUUCCUUCAUCGAGUCAACCUAUCAAGACGGAAGUGCAGAUUCGAAAAUCCAUGGAGAUUGAAGAAAGUCCAAAACAAACUAGAAGACUUGCCUUAUUUUGUCGUGUAUUUACUUUGUAAUGGGCAUAAGCCCUUGUUGUUUCUAUUUACCGCAUUUAUUUUCAUAUGCUUAGACUAGGACAGGUACGAAAGAGAAAUGGGUCGAAACCCAAUGGGUCCAAGUUUCGGUCAAGGCGAACAGAACCCGAAAACUUGGACCCAAAUCUCUCUCCUUCUCUCUCUCUAUCUCUCUUUGCUACUUGUUUACUUUUUGUUUUGAGUGCCGUUAGUCUAGGAUUAGAAAACUCCAACCCCGCCGAACACCUUUCGCUUUAUCGAACUCAAAAAUUAAAACUGAAUCUCAAAACAAUAAAAUGUCAAAUUCACAAGUUUGCUUAGAGUUAAAAUUUAAAAAGUUUAACUUUAACGGAAUAUUAAAACAAUAAAUGUUGCAAAACUCGUAAUUUGUCUAAAUGAAACUUUAAUAAGUUCAACUUCAAGAUUGCAAAAAAUAAAAAUAAAUAGUCAAAUUGUUAAUCGCCGGAUAAUCGUAUUUAACGGAGCGUCUUAGGUGCCUUCAACACCUUCCUAAGACGCUAAUAUGAAUCCCGAACCCCCUAAAAUAUUUUUAAAACGAUUUUUCCUUUUUAAGUUGUUUUUGAGAAUAAGUUUUCUUAAUCUUUUCAAAAUUAAGUGGCGACUCCUAAAAGUCGAAAAUGUCUCUAAAAAUAAAACAAACUCUUUUCGAAAUUAUUUUUUCGAUAAAACAAUCCAAAGGUAUAAUUCACCAAAAAUCAUGUCCGUACACACCACAACAAAAUGGUGUAGUAGAGCGAAAACACAAAUACCUACUAGAAACUUCUAGAGCAUUACUUCUUCAAUCCAGAUUACCAACAAAAUAUUGGGGAGAGUGCAUACUCGCAGCAACCUUUAUUAUUAAUAGACUACCAUUUGUUGUAUUGCAUAACAAGUCCCCAUUUUCAAUAUUGUACAACAAAGAACCUCAAUAUUCAUACAUGAAAAUCUUUGGUUGCUUGUGUUAUCCCACCACACCUAAGUCACACAUAACCAAAUUUGAUCCUAGAGCUACUCCUCAUGUGUUUAUAGGAUAUCUUUUUGGUACAAAGGGCUACAUUGAAUCUGGUCACUCACAAAAUCCAUAUGUCCAGGGAUGUUGUGUUUCAUAAGACUGUAUUUCCUUUUUCUCUCCCUGAUAAAAUGAAUCCUCCUAAUUCUCCCAGUCUAUCCUUUCCUGUGUUCGACCACUCUCCUUCUUAUGUGGUUAACAUUACUAAUGAUAAUUCUGCUACUAUGCUCAAUCCACAUAAUGUACAAUGUGAUCAUGACAAUGAAUGUGUUACAACUCCAAUCCAGUUACCAGAUCCUUCACUUCAUCCUGUUGAACAACCACCAAUCAGGAAAUCUAUCAGGCCUCACAAACCACUAACUUACUUAAAUGACUAUGUUUGUACUAAACCACAACCUACCAUCACCACUCCAAUCUCCUAACAUGGUUCCUUCUCUAACCAUCACCAUGAAACUUCUACUUUUCUAUAUCCUGAUAGUCAGGCUCUUGUUUUAAGUGUCUCAAAUGAUUGUGAGCCAUCAUCAUAUGAAGUUGUUGUUAUGAACCCUGCAUGGCAAGCAGCAAUGACGCAAGAGGUAUCUGCUCUCCAUGACAACAACACUUGGGAUCUCAUGCCACUUCCUCCUGGGAAGAAGGUCAUUGGUUGUAGAUGGGUGUACAAAGUCAAACACAGAGCUGAUGGGUGCAUAGAGAGAUACAAGGCUAGGCUGGUUGUGAAGGGUUACACCCAACACUAUGUCAUUGACUACACAGAAACAUUCUCCCCUGUCAUCAAAAUGACUACUGUUAGAGCUUUGAUUGCCACUGAUGUGAAGAAGCACUGGAACAUUUACCAACUAGAUGUGAAUAAUGUUUUUCUACAUGGAGAAUUACAUGAGGAAGUUUAUAUGACAGUCCCACAAGGAUUACAGGUUCAUAAUACUGAGUUGGUUUGAAAGCUCGAUAACUCUUGAGUCUAGGGGUCAUACUCACUCUCUCAAUGACUACUCCUUGUUUUACAAGAAGAAAGGCUCUUCUAUUGGGUUUAUUGUAGUUUAUGUAGAUGAUAUUCUACUUAUAGGCACUGAUCUUGAAGAGAUUAACAGUCUAAAGAGCUUUCUACAGAACCAGUUCAGAAUUAAAAAUCUAGGGAAGCUGCACAAUUUCUUAUUUCUGGAGACUCUACACACUAAAGUUGGAAUUCUUAUUUCACAAAGAAAAUUUAUCCUUGAUCUCCUCAAGGAAUAUCAUUGUUCUGAAUACACCAGUGUUGCCUCUCCCUCUUGAUGCAUCGGUUAAGAUCAGGGCAAAGAAGGGCAGCCUAUUUCUGAUCCCAGUUCUUAUAGAAAAUUGGUUGGGAAGUUGAACUUCCUCACUAAUACUAGGUUGGAUAUUGCCUAUGGGGUUCAACACCUUAGCCAAUUCAUGCAAGAUCCUAGGGAACCUCACAUGAAAGCAGUAUACCACAUGCUUAGGUACCUUAAGAAGGAUCCAAUAUUGGGCUUACUCAUGACUUCUACUGAUGAUUACAAGGUUCAAGCUUUUUGUGAUUCUGACUGGGGUGCUUGCCCAGAUUCGCAAAAAUCAGUACAUGGUACAUUGUGCUACUAGGUUCUAGUCCAAUCAGCUGGAAGUCUAAGAAACAAGAAAUUAUUUCACUUUCAUCUGCUGAAGCUGAAUACAAAUCCCUUCGGAAAGUAGUUGGAGAAUUGACUUGGUUAAAUCGAUUGUUUGCCAGGAACCCCGUAUUACACGAAAGAACUAAACAUAUUGAAAUUAACUGUCAUUUUGUGCGUGCUAAGCUUCAAGAAGGCCUGUUUUCUUUGCAUCAUAUUGGAACUAAUGAUUAGUUGGCUGACAUACUCACUAAGGCUCUUACAGGGAUUAAACAUUCUGAUGUUCUAGACAAGUUGGAUGUGCUCAGUUCACCUCCAACUUGAACGGGGACAUUGGGAAUAUUAUCUAAUUUUACUUUACACGUAUAUUAAUUAACAUUUGUUAGAGUUAGUAAAAAAAUUAGUUACACAACUUUAUAAUUGCUUUCUGUACAGAAUCAGUUAGAUUUGUUAUUUCUUCUAGAAUUAUCUUUAGCUCUAUAAAUAAGAGUUGUCACAAAUGUAAUUGCAUUUAGUUCAUUCAAUCCAAUUCUGAGAAGCUUUCUGUUAUUCCAUCUUCAUCUUCUCCAAAGAAGUCUCCAUGAAUCUCUUUUCUAUAAUUGAUCUUCUGUGUUCUUAAUCAUCAUCAAACCUACAUUGGUUCUUGCUAGGUUUUAAAGGCAUGUCAUUUGUCUGUAAAUAUGUUUUCGUAAUCGUUUUGCUAUGGUCAUUGGUUGUGGUUCAAUACCAUGUUGACCCAAUGGAUAAGCUAUGAAGUGCUUAAAAAUCAGUUUGAUCAGCUUAUAAGCUAUGAAGUGGUUCAGUUCAUGAUCAUUUAGCUUUGUCUAUUGAUUAUGGUUCAACAGCUCGAUGGUUCACUGAUAUGUUAACACCUGUUUUAUAAGCCAGUUUUACCAGUUUAAUCAAAUGCCCCUUUUACUCUCUUAUAUCUUUUUAAUGUCUACAAUAGUUUUUAUGUUGCUUGUUUAAAUCUCUGUAUCCACUUUUUCUAUUGAAUCUAAUAAAUAUGAAAUGCUAAAUAUCUAAUUGGAGACUAAACAUAGUUAACAACUAAAUUAUUUUAUGCUUAUCUUUAAACAUGUGUUAUGAUUUUUGUCAUUUUCUUGACUAAACAUUAUAGUUAAAAAAAAAUGUUAUAAAAGACAAAUGUCAUUAAUCACAUCAAUUUUUUUUUCCUUAAUAAGUGGAGUCAUCCACCUUUGACUAGUAGAUAAAAUAUUUUCUUGGUUUAAUUGUCCAAGAGAUCUAGACGGCUUGUCACUUUUGAUUUUAGUCAUCAUUAAUAAAUGAACUUAGCAUAAAAAAAAAUAAUUAGUUUAGUUGAGUUGUCAUGAUUAAUUGGAUUGCUUCUACUUUUAUGAUUGGAGCAUUCUAGCUUCUUCUUUUUUUCUCUCUUUGAAAAGAUAGAAACGGAAAAAGAUUUAGAACGUUAUUAAACUAUUGAAAAUAGUAUUAAAAAAUUUUUUUUCACCGAUGAGCUUACAAAUAUCUUCGAUAACCACCUUUAGGUUUUAUAUUGAUCUUAUUUUUAAUAUUUCUAAGAAAUUGUUUGGUGUGUGGGAUUAAAAAUAAUAGUGAUGUGAUAAAAAAAAUUAUCUUGUUUGGUUGCCAUGUUUGGAAUAAUUUAUUCCACCAUUUAUAUCAUAGUUAUUGAAUAAGUCAUUUCAUAUACAUGUGGGAUAAGUUAUCUUAGAAUAGCUAACCCAGAAUAACUUAUACUGCUGCAACUUGUUCCUAACCAAAUGACACCUAAAUGAAUUUAUUAAUGAUGUGGCGGUCAAUGGUCAUCUAUGGAUUGUCUUUUAAAGGCUUAAGUUCUAUUCAGCACCCUAAAGUUGUCUGCAUAUUUCACUUGAACACCUAAAUUGAGAUUUGUACCUAUUAAACACCUCUAGUAGUUUAAAUUGAUAUCACUUAAACACGUUUUGCCUACAUGGCACUUUAAAUGUGAUUCACGGAAAAUGAGCGCGUGAAAACAUAUCUUUAGACAUUUUAAUUAUUUUUUUUAAAAAAAAAAUCUCUUUCUUCUUCCUUAAGAAGGUUACAGUCACUUUCUCCGACAGUCACCAUUGCUGCCGCCACCAUACACCUUCUUCUUCAUACAUUCUUUUAUCCCUCCUCAUUUAAGUCGUUGGCACUAUCAUCUCCGCCAUUAACGUCGCUGCUCAGUCAUUUUUUUUCUUCAAAUCUAUAUGCUUGGUCGUGUUUUUUCUUCAGUUUUAGAAUGAAUUGGUUGUGUUUUUCUUCUUCAAGUCUUGGACUAAAUUAUUUUUUAUGGAUUUGUGAAAGAAAGCAAGGUUACAACGCCAUUAACGUCGUUGCUCAGUUGUAAUUUUAUUUAUUUUGAAUCUCAAUCUUCCGGAAUUGAUUUAAGUUAGAAGAGAAAAUGAUGGAUUGUUUCCAAUGGAUGGCAGCACCGUGGUAGGGGAACACUAUUUGGUGGGUGGAUGGUUGGGUUGUAAAGGGUUACCUAACAAUUAUUUUUUAAACUUUAAAAUAUAUUUUUUUCUUUUUCUUAUUUUUUUAAUAAUAUUUUUGACCCACAUGACAUAUGUCAUAAUUUAAUUUGUUGUUGUGCCAUGUCAUCGCGAGUGUAUCUCACUCACUUAAUAUUUGGGGCUGAUUAUUAAUAAAAUGUCAAAUAGGUAUCAAUCUGAAGUACUAGAGGGGUUCAAUAGCUACAGAUCGUAGUUGAAGUGUCCAUGUGAAAUCUCCGGACAACUUUAAGUGGCCGCAUAUGACUUAAGCCUCUUUUAAAUAAUAUAUUGAUGUUGGCAAAAUUGAUCAUAAAAAGAUUAAUUUCACUUUCUUUUUUUUUUGAUAAUUUGAGACUAAAAAUAUGGAUGGAUAGACUUGAGCUUCCUCUUUGUAACAUUAUUGUUCUCUUUCUCCCAUCUACAUCCCCAUGGAGUAAACACUUUUGCAAAUUUAAAGGUCCUAUCCUAGAAAUAGAAGAUAAAAUAAAUCACAAAUGGAAAAGUGAUCAAAUUGAUUUUCUUUUUGACCAAACAAUGCCAAAAGGAAAGAAAAUUGUUGUCAUUUGAAUAUCUAAUGUACACAAUUAAGAAAAGACAUUCUAAAAUGGUGAAAGAAUAAGUGGAAUGAGGAGAAGAAUGGAGACCUCUUUCUAGAGUGACAAUCCUAUCUAACCAAAAAAGGAAAUUCAAUUCCCAUCUUCAACUUGUGCAUGAUUGAUCCUAAUUUUAAAAAUAAUAUUCAUAUAUAAUACUCGCGCCGUUUCAAAAAAGAAUAAUCUCGUUUUCUUUUAGUUUAUUUUAAAAAAAAAGAGUUAUUUUUUGGUAACAUUUUAAUAUUACAUUUCCACGUGGCAUAUUUAAGGCCACAAGAUAAAAGAAUAAUUUUAUAUAUUUAAUAUAACUUUAAUUUAGGACCACAAGAUUCAGAACUCUUUUUUACUUUCUUAUACUCCAUGUCUAGUUAAAACAUGUCACUCCUUUGAAACGAAAGGAGUAUUGAUUACACAAUUGUGUACGGACCACCUAAAAUAUGUAUUUAUUAUCAGAUAUUAAAAUCUAUGACAAAGCGCAAUACUUAAAAUGUUUUAUAAAAGAACAACAACAAUACUAAGAUCAGCUAGAACAAAUGAUCACCAGAAAGAAUUAAUAAAUUAUCUAGAAAGAUAGAUAUUACUGUUAUUAAUGUUUGUCUCAUAUGCUAUAACUUAGAAGAAGAUUUUCUAAAGGACCAACAUUUCAAAUCUAAUACGUUAUUAUAUUUAUAUAUAUUUCUCUUUUUAACCAAUCAAUAUAUAAUAAGAAAAGAGUUUGAACUUGCUAUCGUAUUAUUGAAACUUUGAGCAAUUCUGUCAUCCAUUAAACUUUCAACCCCAUAGUCUUUUCAUUAUUAAAUCAUUUUAUAUUAGCUUUUUUCAUUAAAAGGAAUUUAGGAAACUUCGUAUGUUUGCGUUACACAAACAAAUUUUGUUCUUGUUUGGAAAUCCAAUAUACGCCAUCGUGAUACAUUUUAUUUUUCUUUAUCAAUGUUGUCAAAAAUAAUUCAAGAAACGACUUGCAAGUAGACAUAUAGUAAUUGAAAAUAAGGUGAAUUACAUGGGAAUUUUUCUAAGGAAUAGCAUGAAAAUUUGCAGAAAAAAACUUUUUCACGAAUUUCCAAAAAAAUUCCUAUGUAAUUCACACUUUUCUUGUAGAUACCUUUUAAUUAGAACACAAGCAACAUGUAAUUUAUCUAUUUUUAGUUUUGCUCAUAUAUCUUCUCAUUCGACUUUAACGUAUGAAAUCAUUUACAUCAGCUAAAUACAUAAAAUAAGUGCAGUUAAGAUCAUUCAAAGUAGAAUAGAGUCUGAGUCAUUGAAUAACUUAUGAUACGGAGACGACCAAUAAACUUAUUAUAACAUGAAUUUUUGAAACUACAAGAUAUUGAGCAUACGAUAUACAUAUAAUACAUAUAUGUAAGAUUAUGUAAACGAAAUUUCACGGUAUAAAAAGAGUUAUUAGUAUGCAUACCUUGCGGAUUGAAGAAAUUGAAAUCCAUAGUUGAUUAGAAUAUCAUGCUAAUAACGUGUUUUAAAAUUUAUAGCAAAUAAAAUAAUAUAAAAUAAGAUCUCUUUAGACAAGGGUAUUGGAGUGUCUUCCAACAAAUAUGAAGAAUAUCUUGUUAGAGAAUAUACAAAUCGUAGUUAGAUAUAAAAAUUAAGUCAUGCCUUAAUCCGAUACAUGUAUGCUAUAGAUUCAUUGAAUGAACUAUCCACACAAUUAAUAUUAUUUUUAAAUUUUUGUGAUAGCUCUCUAUCAUGGUAAGGAUAUACAUAAUCGGGUUGGUUUGAAUUUUUCAAAUCAAAUUAAAUUAUUUAUGUCGAAUUUUUAAAUUUAAAAAUCAAAUAAAACCAAUAAAAGUCAUAUUUUCAAUCUCGGAUUUUUUCGAGUUUUUUGGUUUCGGUUUUGGUUUUUCUCAUAAAGGAUUCAUACUAACCUAUUAUAUACUUGUACUUUAAAUAUUUCUUUAGUCCUACAAAAUAAUAACUAUCUAAGGUGUUUCUUAAAAAAAUCCAAAAUAUAAUAUGGUUAAUGACAACAACAACAACAACAACGACAACAACAAGGACAACAACAACGACAACGACAACGACAACAACAACAACAACAAUAACAACGACGACAACAACGACAGCAACGACAAUAACGACAACAACGACAAUAAUGACAGCAAUGACAACAACGAUGACAACGACAGCAACGACAGCGACGAAAGCAACAACAACAACAACAACGACAAUGAAAAUAACCACUACAAUGCCAACAACGACGACAGCAACAACGACAACAACGACAGCAACGACAACAACAACAACAACAACAAAUUUAAAAUAAGUUUAAUAAGUAUUAGUUACAUGAGUAAAUAUUAAAGUAAAUUAAAAUUAGAUUAUGAAUUUUAAUUGUCUAAGCCAAUGUGAAACUAAAGAACAAAUAUGCAAUAUUAUUAUUAUUUGUUUAAUUGAUUUUCUUUUAUUUGCAUUAGUAUUACUUUGAUUUUGAUUUUGAUCUAAGCUUUAUUAUAAUUACCAACAUUUAUCGGUUAUAAUCUUUAUUGGAUCAUUCAAAAUUCUAAAUUUCAAACUUGAAAUAAUAAAUUAAAAGAUAAAAACUAUGAAAAAAUAUAAGAAAUAUUUUCAAGUUAUAUCAAAUAUGUGUGUGUGUGUGUGUGUGUCGGGUUUGUUUGAUCCGGCAUUGGGUUUUUUAGUUAAAAUCAACCCAAUUCAAAUAUAGUCGGAUUUUUUUUAACACCAUACCAAGUCAAACCGAACACUAAUUGAAUGUUUUUUCGUUUUCACAUAAUUUGCGGUUUGAUUGUGUGUGUGUGUGUGUGUCGGGUUUGUUUGAUCCCGCGUUGGUUUUUUAGUUAAAAUCAACCCAAUUCAAAUAUAGUCGGAUUUUUUUUUAACACCAUACCAAGUCAAACCGAACACUAAUUGAAUGUUUUUUCGUUUUCACAUAAUUUGCGAUUUGAUUCAAUUUUCGGUUCAAUUUUUUUUCGGAACAACCAUUAACGUGAUUCAACUUUUUAAUAAAAAUAAUGAUCUCCUUAAACCUACUAUUAAUUUGAGUCCAAGUUUAUAUACUAUGUUUGUCAUAUUGAAAUUUGAUUAAACUUAAAAUUAUGUUAGAAAAAUUUCAAUCAAAAGGUAAAGCGAUUUCUAACAUAGCCAACUCCGAGACUAGUAAGACUCGAAUAUGAAAUCUUUGUAUAAGAAUUAAGGGGUACUCAUUAUUCUAACACAACCUUUUGUUGAUUGAAUCUAGUUAUUCUAUUAUUCCUUGUGCUUCAAUACACGAUAUGUUCGAAUCUAAGAGAUAGACUUUUUAAUUUUUAUUAUAAUAUAUUUUAAAUUAAAUAAAAAUACGAUAAGUUAUAAUAAACUAAUAAUAACAUAAUUUAAUAAGUUGAGUCUGAUGAAAAAGAUUAAAUGUAUGCAUAUCUUAUUUUCUUUUUAUAUGAUAGACAAAUUAUUUUCGAUAAAUUCUUGACUAAAAAAAAAGAAGUAAUCAAAACAUGAUUGAAAGAAAAAAAUAUCACUAAAACAACAAUUCUGAUAAAAUAUUUAUUUGUCUACAUUUAAAAAUUUAAACAAUGUCACAAAAAAUAAGGCAAAACAAUUAAUUUCCAUCCUUUCACAAGUUUUAUUUUUUCUAAUAUUUACAUUAAAUUUUAAUUAAUUUAAAUCAUCAUAUAAAAUUCAAGAAAGAAACUCCUCAUCUUGAAUUGGCACAGAAAUAUUUGCAAUUAAGAAAGAUCAUGUGCCAACUUGUGGAGUCUUCAGACUAAUCUAUCUUGGUAAUUGUAAAUAUGUGCUGAUUACACUCCCAAUAUAGAUUAACUUAAUCAAAUUUUAUUUGAAAGUAAGUGAUAUUUUAUUUUAUUUUGACAUAAUGGCCCACCAUCAUUGAGAAUCUGAAAAUCUCGAGCUUCAGAGUAAGUUUGAAAAAAAUGACAUGUCCAGAAAGGUAAAAUUAUUGCGUAAAAGAUUAUUAACACUUAUAGCUCUUUUGAAAGAGGGGUAUCUCAACCUCACUCAAGAAAACACAACUGUGAAAUGUAGGGAUCAGUUUGUCUUGUGUAGGAGAUAAAAUUUUCACAAAGCAUGACAGUCGUCUAUUUGAAUAGUCAUCUCUUUAAAAGAGAGUAAAAUGUCAAAUAUAACAUGUAGAGGAGAAUUCUAAAAUAAUUGAUCAAAUUAUUUUUCAAAAUUAUCCUUAUUUACCUAAUCGAGAAUCAUUAAUUAUUUUUUAUGUUAUUAUGAAUAAGUUAGUAAAAACGUUUCUUCUAUUUAUAUCUCUUUUACAAAUAUAUAGUUUUCAAAGGAUAUGAUCAAACUAAAAACACCACUUAUUUUAUAAUCUAUACCAUUGAGGUGUAUAUGAAUGUGUUGGUUCGGCUUUUUAAAUAUCAAAUCAAAUUAUUUAUAUAAAAAUUUUAAAUCUAUAAACCAGAUCAAAUUAAUUAAAUUUGAGUUUUUAUUUUUAUUUUUUCAACAUUGAAUUGGUUAAAAAAAAUUAAAUACCAAACCAAACCAUUUGUGUUGAAUUUUUUUAAUUUUUAGAUCAAACCAAACUAAUAAAUUUCGUGUUUUUAAAGUUUGAUUCGAUUUUGAAUUUACCCUUUUAUUAUUGAAAUGAAGUGUAAUAUGUGAAUUUAACAAAUGUUGUUAGUUAUUAGAAAACAUAUUCCAUUUCCCUCAAAUUUAGACCCCCACCUAUAGUCACCACCUACAAUUUCCUCUCGUAACUCUCUAGUAAUUGAAGUUAUGGAGUCUUGCAAUGCAAAAUGAAGACAAUGGAUAAUAUUUUGUCUAAGAGAAAAAUGGAUAAUUUAGAGGAGGGUGCACUGAAAAAAUGGACUGGAAAGUUAAAGACAAACAUGGCAUAGAACUAAUUUUUUGUCUAGAGAAAAAAGAAUAAUAUUCGAAUCAAAAUAUUUUCUAUCGGAAUACCUUCUUAUAUAUAGGUUAAUACUACAUUUUCUUAGAUAAUUAUUAAUAUGAAGGUUUUCACGCAUAUCUCAAUAAGAUAUUUCAUUCAUUCAUCAUGUGUUGUACACAAAAAUAGUUAUUUCAGGGUUUUACGUUGAUAGUUACUUAUGAAUUUCACCUCUACGACGUAAUUAAAUAUGAGAGUCUCUUCUCAUCGCGCUUCUUAAGAAUCUUUCUCAGUGCUAGUGGCUGCCUUCCCACUUUCAAAGUCGUUAAAGAUAUCUAUAAGUAUUGUCCAAUAUUACAAUUAAAAAGCAUGCACGACUUAUACACGCAUUACCCUAACCAGCUAAACAACCCUACCAAAUAGAUUAAAACAACAUUUGUUAAUAAAUUAGGACCAAAUAUUCAAUUUUAUCAACAUUUAGACAAUACUUAAAGGUAUCAUAGGUCCAUACAUGUUGGACCAUGUUCCCAUUAAGAUAUCACACAAAUUCUGCCUAGGAGUAUGGGGCAUACUUAAAACAAGAAAACUCCAAAUAAUUUUUUUUAUACUAACAUAUCCUUAUUGGUCCCCCCCCCUACUUUAUAAAUUCUUGGGGACAGGCCCUCACGAAUCAUUCAUAGCGAAGAUAAUACUAAUAAUAUUCAAAAAGCGACUACGAAUCUUAUAACAAAUCGAAGUCAUGAAGGAAUGUAUUGUUGGUGAAAAUGAAUUUCCUGGUUUCCAAACUUUUAUUAUACCAAAAGAUGAAUUUGCAAUAGUAAAAAGGCCACUAAGCAGAUUGCAAAGGCGCGCGCCUCGCCCUCUUCAGCUCAACCCUACAAGCAAGACCAACAACUCUCUUGAUUAUAAAGGUGCAUUGUUAAAUAAACUAAUGGAUUCAUCCGAAUCUUCUUCUACUUCAUAUUCAUCUUGUUAUCAUAGUAAAGAUCCAAUUCCUUUGCUUUCUCCCCUUGUGUUGCCUUCUUUGCUUGAAUCUACAACAAAAUCUCAUUGAUUUUAGCUUUAAAUAGUUAUGGACAUUGAAUACAUCUUCCUAAUUGUUGAUAUAUGAACAAAUUUUUUACUUUUGGUGUUAGUCAUGUACUUAAAAAACUCCUUAUGUUACAUUAUUUACUCUUCCAUAUCUCUCUUUGUCAAUAACUUUAUCUUAAAAAGAUUGGUAGCAUUGGCUUACAACAAUGGUAAGGGAAAGUCCCUCUUACACAUUACAGGAAUUAGUGACAAACAAAUUCUGUAAUUAUUACCAUACAUCCAAAUUCGCUGCUAAUCCUAUUUAGUGAUGAAGUGAAAAAUUAUAUUAACUACUAACAAUUUAGUGAUGAAGUAAAAAAAAUUGUUAAUUAAAAGGGUUCAUUGUUAAAACCAAUGGACUCACCUGCAUCUUCUUCUUUAUAUCAAAGAGGUAAUCCUCAUCUAGUUGUUAGUUUGAAAUGUUUAUUUUCUAAAUGUUGUAGAUUUCAUAUCAAAGAAAUUAUUUUCUACUCUUAUUAAAUGUUUUAUUACUAGUAAUCCACCAAUUGGGAUUAAAGCCAUCUAAUAGAAAGUUACACUUCUCUCUAAUUGCAUGCCACUUGUUUGAAAUGUACAUCGAAAUCGUGAGCAUUAACAUGUAGGUUUUGGAUUAAAGUCGCUUUAACUAGCUCUUGAGAAAUGCCCUAGUCUUAAGGCAUUGCUCAGAAAAAAGUUUUUACGGGAUUUCUAUCUUCCAAACUUUUGAAGUAUAUUUUUAAUGAACGAAGAAUCAUUGUAUCCUUUUUUUUUUUUAAUCAAUACAUACAAAUUAAGGAGAAUCCAUUCGUAAAUUAGUAAAUUUUUGAGAUAGAGAUAUUUCUAUAAUUAGUUUGCUUAUUCUUUACUUUUUGUACCUCAUAUUAUCUUUUUUCCCUUUAGAUGAAACUAAAGAUCAGAAAUGCCUCUAUGACAUAAACAAACAAGGAUGAUAAAUAAAUCAGAUACUUCAUCCGUUUUGAUUUCUUUUUCCUAUUUUUUUUAAUCCGUUUAAAAAUGAAUUUCUUUUUCCUUUUUUUGACAACUCUUUAUUUCUAACUUUUUAUUUGGUCUGUUUAAGACAUUGAAUUGAAAAAUAUUUUGAUACAUUAAUUUAACAUCACAAGAUUUAAAAUUCUUUUUUACUUACUUAAACUUCGUGUCAAUUCAAAAUCAGAUAAAUAAAUUGUAACAAAAUAGUAAUAAAAGAGAAAUAUACAAAAAAAAAUGCAAUAUUUAACAUGAUUCAAUCAAGGGAUAUAAAAAUGAGUACAAAAAUAUCCAAAGAAAUAAUGUGACAACUCAUUUAGAAAAAAAAAACUCACGUGACUAGAUAACACUUGUGUCUGAGAAGCUAGUUAUAUAAAAAUGAGAUGCACAUAGAUAUAUACAUCAAAAUUAUAUUGAUUCCUCUUUGAAUGAAAUGAUACGCAAUACACCCUUCAAAUGUAAGAGCAUCAACCAACCAAUUAAAUCAUGAAAAAAUUACAUAAAUUAAUAUAUUUUAAAAAUUAAUUACUGAUUUUAGUGAUAUUUUUUUUGUUACCAUUUAUAGUAAUGCUUUGUUAAAUCUGUAAUAUGUAUUAAAAGUAAAUUAUAUAUGCAAUAUAUAUGAAUUAUAAUUGUUUUUUGAAAUAUAUCAAAUUUGUUUGGUAAAAAAUUAUCACAUUGUAUUAUAAGUGUAUUAAAAUGUGUGAUAAAUGUAUUAUUCAUUAUUAAAAUUUGUAUUAUAUGUGAAUAAUAAAUUAUUCUUUGUAAUAUGUAUUAAGUUAUAAAUGAAGUAAAAAUGAUCAAGUGAAAAAAAAAUAUUAUUGCUAUAAAUUGUAAAUAUUUUUUUAUUAUAAUAUAUUUAUGUAAAUUUCACUUAAAUCAUUCUCAACGAGCCCGGCCUAAUGGACUAAACAAAAAAGAGAUACGGAGAGACAUAAAUUCUUGUUGAAUUCUGAGGAAACACCUAUAAUUGACAAAAUGUUCUUAAGGACAAUGUCAUAACUACGCCUCAAGCUAUAACAAUUUUUGUGAUUUCAAAAUCAUCCAACAUAUCUACACAUUUGAUUGUAAAAAUCUCACACUACCAUACAAAGCAAAUCCUCUAUUGCAUACACGAUCAUUUCUAAUCAAAAUCGACCUCGAGGUUGUUUCUAAUGAAUCAGCCCCAGCCCAAAGGAAAACCAACAAGAAUAUCACAUAAAUAAAUAUUGGGCCAAGUAAAAGCGUACUAGGCUAUAGGGCUUAGUUUAAUGUUAACACCGCGUUAAAAUUAGUUUUUAUCCGCUAAUUAUUUUAUGAGAAAAUUGUAUAUAAUAGCAAACCAAUAACCUAAAAUAAAUGGAAUACUAGGGUUUGAUUUAAUUGUGAUCCAUAGCAUACGUUAGCUAAAAUUUGCCAGCGUCUCUCUCCCAAAAAUCUCGCUCGCCACUCUCCAUUCUCGCUCGCCGCUCUCGCUUUAUACACAUAAGUGUAUAAUUCUGUUUCUGUUUUGUAUAAAGCGAGAGAAAAUUGUAUAUACACAUGCAAAAAUAUAUAUCUUCGUGUUAUACACUUAAUUAUACAAUUUACAAACAUUUUACUUCAAAUAUUGCAGAGAAAAAUGCCAACGAAUUAUACAAUUGCGAAUUAUACAAUUGCAGUGAAAUACAAUUUUCCCUAGCUUUAUACAACAGAAGUGUAUAUAUUGUGUUUCUGUUUUCGUAUAAAGCGAGAUAAAAACAUAUAUCUUCUUGCUAUACACUUAUAAUUAUGCAAUAUACAUACAUUUUAAUUCGAUUCAACUGUAUACAAAGCAAAUUAUACAAUUGCAGCGAAAUAGGCCAGCGAAUCAUACAAUUUAGGCCAGCAAAUUAUACAAUUGUAUAUGUAUAGCGAAUUAUACAGUUUUAUGUUUGCUAUGGAGCGCAAUUAUGCAAACUUUGUUAUAACAUACAAAUAUGAAUUUUUUGUGUGUUAUAUGUGAAAGUUACCCUUAUUUUAUUGUAUUUAUCGAACUAAAAUCAUAUGGACAAAACCAAAAAUUGUAUAGUCAAGCAAGUCUACUAAUAAGUAACGUGAGCAUUAUCUUCUAGCAAAGAACGAUUUGAUAUAUAGUUGACUGACAUUUCCCAAGUCUCUAAAACUUUGAAUGGGAAAAUUAAAUAAAGUGUGGAAAAUGAUAACCAAGUGAAAUAUAAGGUGCUAAUCCGAAAUUAAAAUGAAAUUUACAUAAAUUUCAUAGCUUACAGAUUAAAUUACAUUCUGCCCUUAUUGUUUUAUUUAAUUACAAUAAUCUCUUAAAAUUUGUAACUUUCGAAUACACUAAAAAGUAUCUCGAAUACAUUAUAACAUAAAUUGAAUACAUAAUAUGUACCUCGUAUACAUAAAAAUUAGCUCGAAUAGAUAAUAUGUAGUUUAGUUUCAUUAAAAAAAUAGCUCAAAUAUAUUAUAAAAUAAACCUAUAGAUACAUAAUAUGUAGCUCGAAUAUAUUAAAUACUGGUUCAGAUACAUUAAUAUGUAAUUAGGAUACAUAAAUACAAUUAGGAGAGAUAUAAAGGACUUUAGAGGUUUUAAGAAAUCAAAGGGGAUAUUGGAGAAAAAAACUCACAUAUAGUCAUUCAAAAAUACUUAAUUAUUCUUUAUAACUAUAGUUUGAUAAUUAAAAUUUGUAGCUACACAUUAUAGGGAGGAAAGAGACGAGGGAGACUGGGAGAAAGGGGAAAGCGACGAGUGAGAAAGGACAAAAAAUAGGAAAAAGGUGAAUUAUAUAUGUAUAUUAAUUAAAUAAUUAUAUAUUAUACAUAUAUAUUUGUAUAUUCCGAAGCAAUUUUAAUUUCAUAAUAGAAGUAAAUCAUGCAAAAAAAACUAAAAGUUACCGACUAAUAAAAGAGCCUAAAUAACCCUUAUCUAAUCUUAACCGCCAAUUUUAGAGUUGUAAAUUUCUUUCAACUUUCGUGAUAUUUAUGACGACCCCUUUGUUUUAAUUUCAUAAAUCAUGCAAAAAAAAAUCUAAAAUCCACCGACUAAUAAAAGAGCCUAGAUAUCCCUUAUUUAAUUUCAACCACCAAUUAUAGAGUUGUAAAUUUCCUCGAACUUUGUUGGUAUUUAUGACGACAUUUUAAUACUCCCUUUGUCAUACCUUAUUAUUAAGCUUUAGAUCUUUACUAGUUCCAUAAUUUCAACUGAAAAUUCAAUUUCAAAGGUAGAUAUGGAGACCAUCGAUUUCAAGUCUUUUGUGAAAAAAAUGAAUUCCAUGGUAGCCAAUUCUCUUGCGACGGACGGCAUCUCUAUAUCAGAUUCAAACAUGAUAUCACGACUUUUAGCUAUUUGUGAAAAGAAUGGAUAUUCAUUCAUCAAGCAAACAAUAUCAUCAUUCAUCAAGCAAACAAUAUCAUCAAAGCGUCGUCUCCCCACUUUUGAUGAGGUUUGCUACGUCUUGUACAGGUACCUCAAGGUACGAGGCAAAUUGAAUAUUUAAACUUUUUAAAUUAUCAAGCUAUAGUUUUAAAAUUUAUUGUUUAGAAGGGAUCUGUUUAUGAAUUGAGCUUAAUGAAUAUUUAUAAAUUAAUGACAGGAUCCUCGCGGUAUUGUUGAUUCAGACCCAUCGUCGGAGCAUCGUCUCCGUGGUGCGCUAGAAAAAAUGAAUAGGUUUGGUGAUGUGGUUGGUGUAACAUGUAAUGUGGGUGAUAUAAUAGAUAAAGCAGCUAAAUUCAAUGUUCCCAUUUCCACGGCAGUGGGCUCAGUGGCUUCUACGGCAGGUGCAUUUGGUCAUUUGGGCCUUGCAAUUAAGGCAAUGUGCCUUGUCACUUAUGGUGGAUUUAAACUUUGGAAGGGACUCUCACGCAAGUAAUGUAAUAAUUACAUUACUCAAAAGAUUAAAUACAAGUGAACUCUAGUACUAGUAUAAGCUAGGGCACGAUACAAAUAUCUAUCGUAUUGUAUAAUGUUAUGUUGUAUUGUAUUGUGUUUUGUUGUGUUGGAUGAGAUUGUAUUGUAUAAUGUUGUGUUGUAUUGUAUUGUGUUUUGUUGUGUUGUGUUGUAUUGUAUUGUAUUGUGUUGUAUUUUAUUGUGUUGUGUUGGAUGAGAUUGUAUUGUUCUCCGUUAUUACAUAAGGUAACAUAUUCAUAAUUUGAAUUAUAAACCUACUAAAAAGUAGGAUAUUGGGUAGAGCUACUUUGAAAUAUAGGAUAAAAAAAUAAACGGACAAGGGCAUAAAAUACCCUUAAAGUAUUGAAAAUGGUACAAAAUUACCCUUCAUCCACCUAUUGGCUCCAAAUUACCCUUCAUCCAUAUAUUGGCUCCAAAAUACCCUUGUCAUCCACCUUUGCGUUCAAAAUUGACCACUUCUUUAAUUGUUUUUAAAUUAAACUCUUUAAAUAUUUUAUAAAAUACUUGGCGUUCAAUUAUUGAUUAUAAUUAUAAUUUAUUAAUAUAAUUUAUAAACCAACCCACUACACACUCAUUACUAACUAAACCUCACCCAAUUAAUAAUCCAAUUAUAAUAUCAAAAUCGUCAUAAACACUACUAAAACACAAUGAAAUUAUAGAUUUCUGAAAAUUACAUUCAAAAUUAUUCGAGUCCGAAUCGGAGCCCCAAUUAAAUUUAGGUUGAGCCGCUUAUUUAGGAGGACACUUUCUUUCAAAAUAGAAUUAGAAAUGUAUGAUUAAAGGUAAAGAAGUAAUACAUCCCGAAUUGAUUCAUGCACUUUUUUUAAAUAUAAUUUUAUAGAUAUUAUGAUUUGUUUUAAAACUUUAAUAUAUUAUUUUGAAAAAAAGUUACCUAUGAAGUAACAUCACAUAAUUGAAACGUAAAAAUAGUUAAGAUAAACAUAGUCAGACUUUUAAGUUUAUUGAUGAUUUUUAUUUAGUCACUUGAAUGUAUGAUAAUUACUUCUAUAAUUUUUAAAAACACUCAAUUGGCAGUAGCUUGCAUUAAUAAUGUGACAGGUUCAUUAAUUUAAAGGAAUUUAAUUAUUAAUGGGGUGGGUAGUGGAUUGAUUUAUAAAUUAUACUAAUAAGUUAAAUUAUAACAUAUAGUUGAGCACCACGUAUUUUAAAAAAUAUUUAAAUAGUUUAAAUAUAAAACCGUUAUAUAAAUAGUUAAUUUUGAACCAAAAGGUGGAUGAUAAGGGUAUUUUGGACCCAAUAGGUGGGUGAGAAGGGUAUUUUGGAACCAAUAGGUGGAUGGAGGGUAAUUUUGUACCAUUUCCAAUACUUUGAGGGUAUAUUAGGCUCUUUUCCGAAAAAUAAAAUAUGAUUAUUAAAUAAUAAACAGAAACAAAAUGUGAGACGAAAAUAUUAAGGUGAAAAUGUCAUCACACCAAAUUGAUUGUUACAUAAAAUGAGUCUUUUUAUCGUUACCUAAUGAUAAAUUAAUAGAAUUUAAAUAACAAUCAAAACAAACAUAGUGUACCAAUAGGGCGGGUAAUAUUCAUCCAAACAAGGUGUUACAAAACUUUAUGUCCCAAGUUCAUAUACAUAAAUUCAAUAGAUAUAACUUGUGCUUUGGAGAGAGAAACUCAAUAGGCAUAAUUUGGGUCUAAAUUUAUGUCAUGUGGCGUAGUUUGUGUCACUAAACUUAUAUCUUAGGAUAUAACUUGUGUUUUAAAACAUAACUUAUGCUAGUAUGCUACUAAACUUAUUGAAUUUGUCCAAAUUCAUGAACCUCAAGUUAGCUCCGCCAUUACUUAUAUCACAAAAACUUAUGUGUUGCAAACUUUUAUUUUGGAACAUAAGUUCAUAGGUAUCUAAAUUCCCAAGACAAACAUUUUACAAAACAGAGUCUUGAGGUAUAAGUUCAAUAGACACAACUUAUAUGCCCCAAGCUCAAUAAGCACAAAUUCUAGGUAUAAUUGACAGAGAUCGAGUUAGAUGGGUUCACAGUAGCUUUUCGUAGAAUUUAUAUUUGUACUAAAAGAUUAUAUAUAUAUAUAUAUAUAUAUGAAUCACUAACAAAAUUGAUUUUAUUAAAGAAAUUUUAAGUUUCAAAACUCUUAAUCCUGAUUUCGCCCGUAAUUACUAAUGUCUUUCAAGGUACAAGUUCAUUCAGUCUUUUCCCAUAAUCUCAUUUAUGACUUCUUUUUAUUAAAAAAAUUAAAAAAUAUAAUAAAAUUAUAUUGCAAACUUCUAAUUUCAAUAGUACAAACAUUUAAACUGCAGAAGAAUCGUACAUAAUUCACGUGAAUAUGAGACUAAUGCAUAUUAGGGAUUACAAAAUCAAAUCGAAAAUUGAAUUAAAUCACAAAUUUCAUCAAAUUAGAAAAAAACUUAUUUAGUAGUUUGGUUUGAUUUGGUUUGGUGUUAGUAAAAAAAUCGAUUAUAUUGGGUUGUUUUAAUUUUAAGUAAUAAAAAUCAACUCGAAAUCAAACAAACCCGACAUUAUAUAUAUAUAUAUAUGUGUGUGUGUGUGUGUGUGUAAUUUUAAAAUUUUAUUUUAUACACAAAAAUAUUUACUUUUAUAUUAUUUUUUAAAAAAGUUAUACUAUUUAAUAGUUUGUAUUUUUUAAUAUAUUAAUUCAAGUUUAAAAUUUAGAAUUCGGAAUGACCCAAUAAAGAUUAUAGUUCAUAGAUAUUGAUAAUUAUAAUAAAAGUUAAAUCAAAAUUAAAUUAAUAUUAAUGCAAAAAGAAAAUCAAUUCAACACUAAGAAUGAUAAUAAUAUUGAAUAUUUGUUCUUUAGUUUUACAUUGGUUUAGACAAUUAAAAUACAUAAUCUAAUUUUUAUUUUCCUUAAAUAUUUAGUAAUCCAACUAAUACUUAUUAAACUUAUUUUAGCAUGAUUUAGUAUUUUUAAAUUAUGAUUAUUUCAUUAUGACUUUACAAUAUUUAUUUUAUAUGAUGAUUUCAUUAUUAUUUUUAUUGAAUAUUUUUGUGUCAUAAAUACUCAUCUCAUAUUUUGUGUUUUUUUUUUUAAAAAAAAAACUUAGAUAAUUAUAUUUUGGUUGGACUAAAGAAUAUUUGGAGCACAAGUUAAUAAUAUGUUUAUAUGCAAACUUUACCGAAAAAAUUCAGAGUUUAUUAGUUUGGUUUGAUUUAUAAAUUUAAAAAUUCGAAAUAAUGGAUUAACCCGAACCAAGCUGAGGUUGAAAAAUCCAAAAAAUUCAAAUUUUAUUAGUUUGGUUUGAUUUAUAAAUUUUAAAUUUUUAUACGAAUAAUUUGAUUUGAUAUUUGAAAAACUCAAAUCAACCCAAUUAUGUACACCCCUACUACAUAGUGUCGUUUUCAUUUUAAGCAAAGAUUAGAAAGGAAAAGCUAGAAGUCAUAUAAGUUAGGAGUGAAAAUAACCAAAAUGUUCCUAAAUGUAUGACUACAUUUAAUUUAAUAUUUUCUUUAAUAAAUUUGUUAAGAUUAAGACAAAAUACCAAAAUGAACACAUUUAUAAUUAAGGAUCAUUUCAAUUAAGUAAAAUAUAUUAAGAAUCAAAAUUUAUUAUACAUUGAAGAUAAUUUCAACAAAUAAAAUAUAUUAAGAACCAAAAUAAUUCAUUGCACGUACAUUAAGAAUUAUUUUGAUCAUUUUUUCUAAUUUGGGACAUUCAACUUUUGGCUUUGAGUUAAUAAUUUUAAAAAACUCUUAAACUUACAUAAUUUAUUAUUUGCAUAUCUAAACAAAAGAAAAAAAGGCUUAAUUACCUCUUCGAACAUUGAUUUUUGGAACUACUUACCCCUAAAUUAUAACAAAUCUUAAUUAUCCCCUUAAGUAUGGAAUUUUGAAACUAUUCACCCCUAAAUUAUAACAAAUCUUAAUUAUCCCGUUAAGUAUGGAAUUUUGAAACUAUCUACCCCUAAAUUAUAACAAAUCUUAAUUAUCCCCUUAAGAGUGGAAUUUUGAAACUAUUUACCCUACAUUAUAACAAAUAUUAAUUAUCUCCUUAGGAAUGGAAUUUUGAAACUAUUUACCCCUAAACUAUAACAAAUCUUAAUUAUCCCCUUAAGUAUGGAAUUUUGAAACUAUUUACCCCUAAAUUAUAAGAAAUCUUAAUUAUCCCCUUAAGUAUGGAAUUUUGAAACUAUUUAUGUCACAUGGCACAAAAAACUUGCUUCAUCCCAAUUUAUGAAUUUCACCUUCCUUUUUAUUCAAUCCAUCUUCUACUCAAUCUUAAAAUAAUUUUGAUCAUAUUUAAAAAAAGAAAAUGAAGAAUUGUGUGUUUCUUUUUUUAAUUGGUUCAGGUCUGGAUGCAUAAAAUGGAUGAGAUAAUCUUUUUAAGCCAAAUGACAUUUUGAAAAUUUAAAAACCAACUUUAAGAGAUAUUUCUUAAUUCAGUCUAUUAACGUAGAAAGUAAAUAUGCAUUAUUUGUUAGAGAAUAAAAAUAUAUAUAUAUAAGCCUCAUUUGUUAGACAUUACGGGGUUGUUUAUUUCAAAGAGUAAUAACACAGGGAUUAGUAUUAUAUGGAUCAGUAAUAUAGAAUUUAUUUUUGUUAAGCGUUUGAUUCAUUGUUUCCGACUUCAUCUUAUAUUUGGUUUAAAACUCUAUAACAAGUUCUUUUUUCAAUUAUACCCUUGAUUUAUUAUGUAAUUGACUCAAGAGAGAUAAUUGUUGGACAACGCUUUUUUAUGGCCUUCGAACUAGGGUUAAUAUUUCAAAAGGUUGCUCAAACUUGGAUAAAUAUCUAGCAAGAUCAUUGAACUUUAUUUUAUAUCAAAAAAAUCACUCAACUUAAAUUUUUUAAUACAAAAUCGAUUAUCUAUAUUUAUCAUUAAGUAGUUUAAGCUUUUAAAAUUUUUGGUCUAUACUCUCUACUGUUGACGACAAUUGAAUUAAAUUCACCUUUUAAUAUUAUUAUGUUUAUCACUUCCCUUAUUGAAUUCCAGUUAACUCAGUAGUGGAAAAGAUAUGUGUAUGUAUACGCACGGUAUAAUUUACUUGAAUAACAAAUUAUAAAGGAAUCAAUAGGCUUUAGAUCCUAAAAUUGAAUACACAUAAAUUCUAUACUUUACACAUAAAAAUUGGAUAAAUUAUUUACAUUUACACAUAAAAUUGGAUAAAUUAUUUACAUUUACACAUCAAAUAUUGUUUAUACUAUCGACUUUGAGUAUUACUUAAAUAAAUUGGAAUACAUAUGAAUGUAUAUGGAUCAAAGUUUAUUUUCAAUUAAUUUUGGUAUUGUCGAUAAAAUAAACUAAGAAGAGCAAAGUUGAAGCAAUGGAAGCAUCUAUCCAAAAACUUUUUCAUGUUAGAAAGAAGACUUAAUAAGUUAUUAAUAAUUUUUUUUUAUGAAAUCAAUUUGUUAGAUUUUUUUUAUUAAAAAAAAAGUAAAAAGUUAUCAUUGAUGAUUGUCUCAAAUUGCUUCAAUGGUGUUGACGGGAAAUGAGGUAAAAAUAAUGAGUAUAGGAAAACAUUGCAAAAAAAUCUUCUUAUCUUUGGCAACCAAGAAAAAUCCUAAACAAACUCAUACAAUUAAUUUAGAGUUCAAAUUAUCAUAUAAUACUUUUAUUAUUAUUAUUAUUAUUAUUAUUAUUAUUAUUAUUAUUAUUAUUAUUUAAAUAUUAAUAAUAAGUAAUAUAUUUUUAAAAAUAAAUAUUUCUAAAAAUGAGUUGAUGGUGUAAUUUGUUUUGUCCAUUGCCAGUGGAUACAAGUUAAUCUCAAUUUUAAUAUGCAUGUAACUUUUUAAAUUGUUAAAAAUAUAAAUAAUUAGAAAACAUUGUAUUUUGAACAAUUUAAGUUGUAAUUUUUUAUAUAUUUAUUUGUAUUGGAUUCAUUUUGUAACAAACACUUCUCUCUAUAUAAUUUGUAACGCCAAUUUAUUUAAAUCAAUUACUAGUAUAAAUAUAAAUCAUAAAAUCAAGAAAAUAAAUAAAAUGAUUAAAAUGAUUUGAGGGAUAUCUUUGCCUUUACAUAGACUUAUCUCAUGGUAUUAUAUCAAUAUAUUACUAAUACCUUCACCUUCAAAUGGAAGGUAUUAGUAAUACAUCCUAUAAGACCAUGUAGGAGGUAUAACUAAUCCAUUGAAUAGGUAUACAUUAGGCCAAAAUUCCUACCAAACAUAGUACUAAAUAAUACCUUACACAAUACAUGGAUUAUUUCUUCUAAUGCGGCCUACCAAACGACCCCUAAGGGUGUGUUUGGUAUAAAGAAAAAUGUUUUCCAAUUUCUCAUGUUUAAUUGGGUCAAAUGUUUUGAAAAAUGUUUUUCAAAUCAACUUAUAUUUCUCAAAUUUAUGAAAAAUGAAUUUCCUUCAAAAUUUUAGGAAAACAUUUUCAAUACUCUCUUCCAACCCCACCCUACCAGCCCCUAGAGGUGGGCAUUCGUAAUUCAAUUCGGUUUAAGGUUGUUGUUUUUUUUAAACUUUUUUGAUUUUUGGUUCUUGUACAACGUGUACUGAACACCGAAUCGAAAUAAUUUGGUUCAAUUCGAUUUAUAUUAUUUCGAUUCAUUUUUUUAUUUCGGUUUUUUUAAUGGGCCUGCUUAGUGAACUUUAUAAAAUCUAAAAAUUUACAAUUUCUUUUUUGAUGUUUCAGCUUAAUAGGCUAAAAUUAGUUACAUCAAAGAAUUGUCUUUUACUUUUUUUUAUUUUAAAUUAUAAUAUUUAUUAUUUAAUAUUAAUAAUUAAUAUAAUAUAAAUAUAUAUUAUAAUAUAAUAUAUUUCGAUAAACCAAAAUAUCGAAUAACACAAAAUUACAUAUCGAAAAUUGAAUUAAAAUAUCAAAAAAUACAAAAAUCUAUACCAAAUAUCGAAUCAAAAUAUCAAAAAUAAUUUGAUUUGGUUCGAUAUUUCGACUUUUCGGUGUUUAUGCCCAGCCCUACCGUCCCCCUACCCCUAAAAGGAACUUAAGUUUAUGUUUAAAAAAAUAUUUUCAAUUUCAAAAUUUUAUAUUUUUCACCCCUACCCUUGAUCUCCCUACCACUCUGCAUCCCAAAAAAAUAAUUUAAAUUAGCUUUUUACAAAGGGAUAAUGCCCAAGUACCCCCUCAACCUAUGCCCGAAAUAUCAGAGACACACUUAUACUAUACUAAGGUUCUAUUACCCCUGAACUUAUUUUAUUAAUAAUUUUUUACCCCUUUUUAGCUUACGUGGCACUAUCUUGUGGGCCCAACGAUGGUUGACUUUUUUUCGAACUAGUGCCACGUAGGCUAAAAAGGGCUAAAAAAUUACAUAUAAAAUAAGUUCAGGGAUUAAUAGGACCUUAGUAUAGUAUAAGUGUGUCUCUGAGAUUUCGGACAUAGAUUGUGAGAGUACUUGAGUAUUUUCCCUUUUACAAAUAUUAAAUUCAAUUUUUCACCCUUACCCUCCACCUCCGCCCACCUCACCCCUCCCCAAUCCUCCACACCCCCAGAAAAUUUAAAUAAAUUUAAGUUUGUUUUUUAAAAAUAUUUUCAACUUCAAAACCUCGCCCCUCACACACGCACCACCCCCUACCCCCUACCCAAAAAAAAAUACUCCCCUUAUUACACCAUCCACAGACCAGAAUAGGUAGAGAAAGUUCACACUAAAAGUAGUGAGAAAAAGAAAAUAUGAAUACUCCAUCAAAGAAAACUGGUACUUCUUCUUCAAAUUCAAAAGAUGAAGCAAUAAUUAUAUAUCAGCAACGGAAAAUGCAAUUUCACGGCACCAGAAAAGGGGAUCUCGAAACCAUAGAUUCAUAUAUCAAAAAAUUAAAAUCCGCAGCUGAUUCUCUAACGGCAAUCGGCAAUCCAAUUUCAGAUCCAGAUUUGGUUUUGCAACUUGUAGCUGGUUUGCCUCAUUCUCCAUACUUGCUCCUCAAAAACACGAUUUCGUCUCAGUUACCUCUUCCAAAUUUCUCAGAGGCUUGUUCCAUGCUUUACGAAUACGAGAAAACGACAUCAACUCCUCCUCCUCCACCUCCAUCCAGAGGAGAAAACAGUACUAGUAAUACUGGUAAGAGUACUCUGGAGAUGAUCCAUGAUAUAGCAAAUACUGUGACGAGUGUUGUUCCGAUAGCAAGCGAAAUUUGUAAUGCGAUAAGUAGACGCUGGUCUGUUAGUGGUUCUUCAGGAACACCAACAAGGGCGACUCCAGGUCCAGGAAAUACGAAAAAAGGAUCUACCGGAGGAAGAGGAAGGGGAAACAAUAACAGAGGCAGAGGCAGAGGCGGAGGCGGAGGCAGAGGAGGAUCUUCUACUCGCAAUUCUACUGGGAAAUAGUAUAUUUGCUUGGAGUUGUUUGGAAAAAUUCUAUCUAUACAAACUUGUCUUCUUUUUUUUUCCUAUUUAGUUGUACACUUUAGAAAUGACACGUAUUAAGAUAGCAAUAAUCAGUAUCGUAAAAUUAUAAUAUUAUCCUUGUUAAUUAUGAUUUCAAAAAUGAUGGAUUAAAACUUAAAAAUUUUCAAGAAGUUUAAAACUUUUUAGCAGUUGGGUUUAUAGGACGGUUCAAAAUUGAACUGCAAUUGAUAACUCGAAUUUGAAAAGAAGUUAUUGAUUUAUUAGUAACAAAUUAUUGAUUUAGUGAUAACGGUUUGAAUAUUUAUGUUAUUGAGUUAUCGAUUUUUAAUGAUUUAAAGUUUUUUCUUAACGGGUUAACCGAUGACCCAAUAAUAAAAUAAAUAAUUAUAUUUAUACCACUUUGUAUAUGAAGUUCUUCGGUUAGAGUUUAGUUUCAUACUUUUAUUUCUUGUUGUCUCAAACUUUUGGUUAUUCAACAAUGUAAAAGUGUUGGUUUUUGAAGCAAAAUGUAACUUGUGAACUCAUGUUCUUGGUUCAUUUGAUUUGUCACCUUGUUUUUAAGUGAUUUUCAAUGAGUUUUUUUUGUGUGUCAAAAUUUUAACGGCUAAAUUAAUUAACCGAACUGAUAACAAUCAAUAACCGAUAAUUCAAUAUCUUAAUGAUUUUAUAACGGUUUAUUAUCUUUACAAAUCAAUAAUCAAUAAGGCAAAUCGAUAAACUUUUACCGAACCGAUCAAUACACAACCCACUAAUUAGAUCCAAGUAAAUAUGGGUAUCUUAAACCAAAAUUGACAAAUAGUAGGGGCAAAAAUGCCAACAAAUCCUAAAAUAAAUGAAACUAAGGACGAAAUGAAAAUAAUUAAAGACAUAAAAAAUAAAAUCAAAUCAAGAUAAUUGAGAUGGUUCAAAAAAAAAAAAUCUAAAACCUUACUUACAUGCAAUAAAUAUAUAUGAUAUAAAGUUGUUGAUCCAAGUCAUUCACAUCUUCAUGAUGAAAGACUACGUUUCUUAGCACCAAAGUAAUCAAAGGAAUAAUUAGGAAAGCACUAAUCCAACAGAAAAGUUUUAAUGGGGUAAUCCACUAGCUUUUGCUACAUAGAAUUAUACUAAACCUUGACCUUAAUAGAAAAACAAAUAAAUAUUGGUGUGUUCAGUAUGAUCGUGUUUUAUUGAUUAAUUUAUUUUAAAAUUAAGUUUACAAGUAAUAUUUGAUAGGCAUAAUACAUAAAUAUGAUAAUUAACUUGGUGUCAGUUGACAAUUAUAAUAUUUAAUUUUGCGUGUGUAUAAAUAGACAUUUUAACUUGUAUAAAAUUGAGCAAUUAAACAUAUUCGUCCUACAUGACACUUUACAUGACAAUUUUGUGUCCUACAUGCAGUAGCGGAAUUAAGAUUUUCAAUAAGGAGUUCAAAAUCUCGAGAAAUAAACACAGAAAGUAGCUUAUGGGGGUUCGAUAUCUAUUAUAUAUAUUUAAAAAAUUACUUUAACCACGUAUAAAUAAUAUAAUUUUCCGACGAAGGGAAUUCAGAUGAACCCCCUUGCAAUAGGCUAGCUCCAUUCCUGCCUACAUGGCAAUUCUACGUAUAUUAUAUUAUGCAGGAUAUGUGUGUCUAUAUAUUCAAUUUUAUACAAACUUAAGUGUUACUUGUGCACACCCAAAAUUAAAAGGCACUAUUAUCCGUUGAACACAAAUUAAAAAUCAUAUUUAUGCAUUAUGUUAUUUUAUAUUAAUUAUAUCCUUUUCUACCUUACUUUCACGUCCAUCCAUUGUAGCCCCCAUCGCAAUCAUUCCAUACCCACAUCUUUUAUAAAUAAUAUUAAUCUAAAUUCUACAUAAUUAACUUUAACCUAUUAUUCUUUUACAUGUAUAUCAAACAUAAAGUAAAAUAAAUUACUUUUUUUAAAGUAUAUCUUCUAAACCUAACAACUUUUUUUGCUUUAGGAAGCUGUACGGAGCCAAUACUAUGUAAGGCUGUUUGGGUCUCAUCACGAAUUAAUUUUCUUUUUUAUAUGCGAUACCUUAUAGUUUAUUUUUUCAUGCGAUAUUCGAAGCUCCUAUUAAAUCUCGAAUUAAAUUUAAAAUUUAUUUUACAUGAUCUGUUUGAGAGUGACACUCUCAAUAAUUUUUUUUUAAUUUUCAAAGUUUAAUCUCAAAAUUUCUAAUUAAAAUUAAUGACUUUCAUCAAUAUACCAAAAUUCACUUUAGCACGAUAUUUUAUCGUUAAAUAGAACUUGGGUUCCAAUAUAAAAAGUAGAUGGAGCAAAAAGACAAAGAUAUGUCUAUUUCAUUAUAGUUUUCAUAUUCCCUUAGAUCUGAAGACCAAGUCAGCUCAUUUUCUAUCAAUCAAUAUGAGUUACUUCACGAGUAAGCUAAUUCAUAUAUGUAUUAUUCUCCUUUUUCGAUUUAUAUCAUAUUAUUUGAACUCCUAAAGAAUUUAAAAAAUAAAUAAAUACUUUAAAAUUUAUUAUAAAUACUUUUAUAUUUUUAUCUCAAUAUAAAUAGCAAUAUUGCAUUCUGUAAAAAACUUUAAAAUGAAAAUAAUACAUUAAAAUUUACAGUUUUAAAUAAAUAUUAGAUAUUUAUAUAGAUGAAAAUCAUUUUAUUAAAGUUAUAGAUAAAAUUGAAGUUAAGAUAUUUCUUAUUAUAUAAAAAUGAUUUAUUUUUUAAAAAUGAUUCUCCAUCUGUUUCAAAUAGAAUGACCUCUUUUCUAUCACAUGAUCCAAAAAAAUAAAAAAAUUAAAUUUUGUAUCAAAUCAAACUAGACCAAUUUUUUUAAAUAAAAAAAACUAUCAUCUUUCUUUUUGAUGGGUAGAAAGAAAAGAGCAUCACGUAAAUUAAAAAUAAAAAAAAGUGAUAUUAUCAACGGUACAUUACUUGACUUCACCCACCAAUAAAGUUGCCAAAAAAUAAAAAGUUAAACCAAUAAUGUUCUCUCAUCGUACUACUUUAAAUCUUUUAUCGUAAAAUACAAAAUAUACCAAUAAAAUGUUGCUAUCCAGUCCCUCAUUUUCUCCCUAAAACUUUUUCAUAUAUAAUUUUAUUGUGCUGAAGCACUUAACUAGCUUUGUAGUGGUAUAUAUCAAAUUAUAAUAUUUUAUCAAAAUUUUUAAUAUCGUCAUUUUAGUUAUUGUAUUUGAUAUGAUAUAUGGAUAUCUAAAUUUUUUUAAUAUUUGAUAUUAAGAAAUAAUAUAUAUAUAUAUAUAUAUAUAUUAAAAUAUUAAAAUUUUAAUUUGUUAAAUUUAUAAUUAAUAUGAGUAAAAUAAUAAAUUCACUUUUUAAUAGAUGCGUCAAUUUAACCAUUAGUUAAAUAUUUUGUUCAUUUAUGUCAUUACAGUUCAAGAAAAGACUCAUUCAUACCAUUAUUUUAAACAAUGACUUUGCAAAAUCAUUUUUGACACGUGACUAAUUAUAAUUCGGUAACAUCAUCAAUUCUAAUAAAAAAAAUAAUUGAAUUUUUAUUCGGAAUUUUGAUUUUUUAAUUAAAAAAAUUAAUGGUUAGGCCAGUUAUUAUUUGGCCACGUCAUUAAUUCUUUUGAUUACAAAAAUCAAAAAAGUUAAUUCAAAUUUUGUUCAAAAUUAUAAUUUUUUUAUUUACGGCUCACGUGUCAAAAAUGAUUUUGCAAAAUCAUUAUUAAAAAAUAAUUGCAUGAAUUAUUAUUUUCUUGAACGAUAAUAACAUAGAUAAAAUAAAUUUUAAACGAAUAACAUAAAUGAUUUUUUUCAAAAAAUUUGAUAAUAUAUUUAAAACUUUUUCCAUUUAAAAAUAAACAAGUAAUUAAGGAACGACAAGAUAAAAGUACUCCAUAAUUGAACAAAUGGUUCAUAUAUUUUAAUGGGUUUCAGUCUACUCAGAGAAUAAGAAAAACCAGAGAAAAUAUAGAAGCAGAGUUCACUUCAAUGAGUUUUCGAAAAGAUGAAUCUAAUGGUUCCACAAAUCCAGAUGACGAUAAUAACAUCAAGCGGACUCAACUUAAAAUUCAAUUUCACGCUACAACAAAAGAGGAUCUCGAAAACAUCGAAUCCUAUGUGAACAAAUUGAAAACAAUAGCCAAUUCUCUAGCAGAAAUCAACAGUCCCAUCUCAGAUUCAGAUAUGGUAUUGCAACUUCUUGCUGGUUUGCCAAUUCAAUAUUUACCCAUCAAAAACACAAUAUCAUCAAAGUGGCCUCUUCCAAAUUUUGAAGACGCUUGUUCCUUGGUCUACAUGCAAGAAGACAUAUUACUAAAGGUAAAAAAUCGAUUCAAAAUUUAAAUUUAUAUUUUCAUGAAAUAAUUUUAUCGUUGUUAGUAGUCACAGGAUGAAGAGAAGCAGUCGUCUAGUUUUAUCAGCGGAGAGAAUUUUGAUGCUGCGGUAAAUGCAAUUGGAUCACUUAGUACUGUUGUUGGCGCAGUGGGUGUUGUGGCUUCGGCUGGCUGGAAAAUUUGGCAGGCGAUAGCACGCAAGUAAAUUAUUAUUAUUACAUGUAAUUAAAAGUCGACGUUUAGACGUGCAAUUUUAUUUGGAGAUUUGAAAUUAUUAGUAUGAUACUAAUAUGGAUAGAGUUUAUGUAAUUGGAUCUUCGGUUUUCUGUAAUCAAAGUUAGAGAUGCUAUCAAGUAUUUCUUUCCGUUUAGAUUUAGAGGGUGUUUGUAUUAACUUAAAAGUUAAUUAAAUAUAUUUUUAAGUCUGUUUUUUAUUUUUGAAAGUAUUUGAUAAAUAUAGAAUUAGCUUAAAAUAAAUAGAAAUUGACAAGUUACAAAGUGUUUUACAAUGUUAAAAUGAUUUAAAAUAAAUUGGAAACCAAGAUUUGCCCCUAAUUUUUUUUUCUGACUUAAAAAUUAUUUCAGUUUAAUUUUUUAUUUUUGACUUAAAAAUUACCUUUUUGCCCAUCCAAAUAGAUUCUUAUUUGUCUUACUUUUUUUUGUUUUUGUUUUUACUUACAAGUUUUAACUUUAUAUCAAGUUAAAAUAUGACCUAAAUAUUGAAAUUAAGGGAAUAUUAUGUAUUUUGAGAUGUUGUAUUUGACAUGUUUGAUCAUGAAUUUUUUUCAGAGUUUUACUUUGAAAAAUACGUUUGGCUAUAAAACUUUAAAAUUUAACUUUUGAGGAAAAAUACAUUUAAUGUUCUACAAAAACUCCCUUUAGUUUCUCUUUUGGGGGUUAAAGUUUCACUUUUCAUUUCAAUAUUCUUAUCGUUUAUAUAUGAAGUGGAAUAUAGGAUAAAAACCAAUAUGAAUAUUAUAAAGACAAUAAAAAAAAUUGUUACGUUUCCACCUUAAAGUGAAAUAUAGUAUUUAAUUCGUUCUUUCAUUUAAUGCCUAUUGAUGUUCCAAGAGUUGUAUUCCGAAAUCCUGGAGAUCCAAUUUCAUAUUGGGUUGACAUAUAGUGCGAUUUGUCAGAUAUAUUGGGUCAUAUGGUAUUUCCCCGUUCUCUCCCCCGAUCGAGAUAUCCCCCGUUCCGCCUCAUUCCUGAUCUCCUCGCUAAGAUUUUAUUCUCUCUCUAGGUUCUAUUUCUUUGAUCUUCUCUGCUUAUUUUUUGAAUUUCCUUUACCUUGGACUAGCCAUUCAAUAGAUUCAAAAGGACCGGAGUCGUUCAAAGCGAAAGAAGUUCCGAUCACAGCUUCUCAAACAAAAUGAAUUAGGGAAAAAAGAGCAUUCGUAGCAUCCAUUCCUUUUCCUUGCUUGCCUCCGUUGAUUAGACCUCAUGAUCCUAGUCCUACUCCUUUUCCUUCAGUCCUAGUGCUAAGAGGGCAUAUCCCUUAUACUUAAGCAUUCAGUUCCCUUUCAACCGGUAAAAGCUUGGUCCCAAAAAAGCAUGAGAGAGUAGACUUAAGAAGAGCAGGGAAUAUGGAAAACAAAGACCCACUCCGUCUAAUUGCUAAAAUGUCCUUCAACAAGAAGAUUCAAUAGCACCCUUUCUUCCUAUUCCGGAAAAACUAGCUGCUGACUAAACCUCCCCUCGGGUCUACGCACUUUUUAUCUUUGUUUUUAGCAUCGGCGAUUGAAAGAGAGUAGGAGCCCAUUCUAUUCUAUCUAUCUCAGAAAGAAAGUCUCAACCCUUUGGUACAAAAGUAGGCCCUAGCUUCUCAAUAAGUCAUUCAAUGAACUAACUAUACUUAAGAUGUGAGCUAUACCUAUUCCUUCUUUUCUUAUCUCUUCCCUUUCGGGCCGGAUCGGAUAAAGAAAGGAGCUAAAGAAUGAAAUAUUCAUCAAAGUAGUGCUUACAUCCCUCCGCAAGCAUAAGAAGAGUCCGAUAAUGGCUGGUCUUUAAAGGCCAUUAAGAAAUUACAUAAGUCAAGUUCUUGUGCUAUGUCAAAAGUGAAGUUCUCCCCGCCCUGGAAUCACUUCACUCCCAACCAACAAGCUUCAAACUAUAGGUCGCCAAGCCCAUCAUCUUUCAAUAGUUCUAGACUUCUCACUAUCAGUCUCUAAAGCUCUAUCAUCUUUCAAUAGUUCUAGACUUCUCACUAUCAGUCAGUUUUCCCACGUCCAGUAGACUUUCUUUCAUAAACCCUGACUAAUAGAAUAGUGAAAUUGGAAUAGGCUGAGAAAAGGGCUAAGAGAGAAGCUUAGGAUAUUACUUAAGUAAAGGGGCGUAGCAGUUCUUCCGUGAUCAAUCUCGUUCCUUUCUCUUUGCUUAAGCGACUACGUACCUUAAAUUGUUUUUACUCAUUUCGUUUAGGUCAACUCGUCACGUCAAUCCGUAUCUAACAGCCGCGCCAAAGCUUCACUUCAGGUCGAACUCACUUCCAUUUAGAAUUCCCCAAUUCCACUUUUAUGGGAGUUUACGCCCUUUCUCGACCCUAUCGAGCUCUUCCCGAACCUCCGCCUCUCCUCAACGAAGUCAUUAAAGUGGGGCAACUCGUAUUCGCUAACUAACUUAGGGAACUUAGGCACGUCACCCCACUGUGAAUCUAUCUUUCUUUAUCGCGCUUUUGAUCCUCUCGGUGGGAGAAUGAAUUAGUGGAAAGAUCUGUUGUUCGAUCUGCUGGGGGGCGAUGAAACCAAUAUAGUAUCGUUAAUCCCCCUGGCCUGCCUUUCGAAUGAAACAGUUAUGAAAUAUCCGGGCCGGGUCUUGGGUCCAACAGCCGGAUCGAUUACAAGUCAUCUCUUAGCCUUCUUUCCUUGUUUUGUUGCACUCAUUCACUCCGAAAUUCCAUGCCCUAAAGUAAAGGGCAGGAGAGAGGGCAAAAGAAGGAAAGUUGCUUGCCCGAAGGGGAAGAAAGAGGGGCUUUUCUUUGCUGGCCUUUUCAUCGAGAGAUGCGGCCGUUGUUGUCUCUAUGCCUUUUUGCCUAUCUUACUCUUUCUCAAGGGACAGAUGUCGACAAUGCUAUCAUUAACAUCUGAUCUUUUUUAUCUUCUCGAGAGAAGCCCAAGAAUUCCGGCUCGGAAUUUGACUCCUGCUUUUGUUAAAAAGUCCAUACUUAACUUCAUUUCAUGUCUGAGUUCGUCAUUGUCUUACCUGCUUUCCUGCAGCCUACUUAAGCCCGGAGGAGAAUGCUUGCUGUCAGCUUCUAUUCUCUAUUCCUAUCCGAGUCUAUCUUUCAUUGAGAACCUACCCCUGCCACGGUACCCACCUUCAAACAAACUUAUACUAAUGAAAAUGAAGUAAAUAUGUCAAUCUUGAUCCUCGCCUAACUCAGUGUACUCUUGAGCCUUUCACAAAGGGAAUUCAUGCAGGCAGUUCAUGGAUAGUAUAAACAUUAGGCUCCGGUUUGCCCUGCCUUUGUCUAAUUCCAAAGAGUUUAAAGUAGAUUUCAGAAUUCAAUAAGUUUCCCUCAAUGAAAGCGGGGAUUUCUGCCUAGCAGUAGAUGUCAGGUGAAGGGGCAGAGACGUCCUCUUUCUACCAGACAUGUCUCAUUAAUGUGAAAACUGGCAAGCCUACGGAGCGGUGCCGGUGCGCUAGCUUAAGGAAAGCAGUUCGUUCAGGAUGUUAAACUUCGUAUUCAAACGGGAAACCUUUAACACAUUCUUCUUUUUUCUCUCUAUUUGUGACCAUUCCCACUUCAAAGUCAAAGAUUAGGAAGAUUCUCCUGAUUUUUGAUGUUAAGGCCUCCUACAAAACUAAUAACGAAUUGGCUUAGCUCUCAAAACUACCGGCGAAGGAAAAAGUUGUCCGCAAUUCAUUACCUAUUUUGAGGCUAUAAUUGUAAUGAAAAUAUCAGAUGGGAGAAGGAGAACCGGUUCGGCAAUAAAACCUGGGAAGGGAGAUGACAUGGCCGGUCUGCGAAGAACAAUCAAAGGAGUUUUCACUUCCUCAAUUUAGGGCAUUCUAGUUAGACAUGCUACUUUCUCGAUGUAUCGAUUCUUGGUAGACAAGGCUGGUUUAGAUUGAGACGCCCACCUUUCGGUCCGGGGCUGCAGUUUUCUCUUUCAGUCGUAAAACGAGCUUGGCUUCUGGCAAAACAUCGGGAGGAAGUGCUACUGCUUCCUUAAUUCAUCAAUUCCCAUCUAUGAAAGGGAUCCAAUUCGGUAUCUUACGUACGAAUUCAUGUUGUCAACGAGGAUCUUAGCCCCUUUCCUUGUUGUUUUCCUGUAAAAUGGACAAAAAAAGGAAUGCCUUUGAGUGAGAGCAGAAUGUAGGAACGAAGCUUCCCGGAGUCCAUCGAUUCAUUCCCAAUCCCGUCCCGUUCUCUCACCAACUUGAAUAGCUUAUUUUCCUUCUCAACUCAAGGUGAUCUAAAUAUCAUGUCUACGACCCUCACCUCCUCGGAAAGCGCCUUCGUUCCGCAUCAAUUGUACAAUAAAAAAUAUCUCGAUUGGACUAAGGAAGAACAAAAAAUCUUCGCUCGAUUAUUAUUUAGUUUCUCCUGUUACCUUGUUCAAAGCUAGCGCCCCUGCUCUUUCUAUGAGUUGGCUACUCCGUUGUAUGCUAUCUUUCUCUUCACACCUGGCCACCCACCUGGGGAGUCGGCGUGGCGUAAAGUGAAGAUUGAGGGGAGUAGAAAAAAUUCCCGGUUCCUUUCUGCUUUUUUUCUUGGUACGGGAUUAGCCUGUUUGGCGUGGUUUGUUACCUAAAAACACCAUCCUUUCUUAUUGGCGUUAGGAAAAAGUAGAAUUUCUUUUUGAAUCCCUGGGGAGUUUCACGCUCGAGACCAAUCAUCUAUGUAAAAUAGAUGAGAGCGAGAAAGAAGGCUCGAGAGACCUGUCUGGAAUCAAUCAACAAAAGUUUCACUUCACCUGCAGGAUUAAUUAAUUAGACCUUAAUCAGGUUUAGAUGUUAGUUAACAUGUUGAAUAACGCACAUCGACCAUAAUUAUGUCAACAUUAUAGAUAAUUACAGAUUAUAUUCUUUAUUUACUAAGCUAAUCGAUCAUGUGACAAAUGAUUUACCUAAAUAUGGAUAAAGCUGCUAUUUUCAAGACUUUGUUCAUGUACAAUCAGAUUCCUCUUGCUUUUAUAUUUUUUCUCUAUUAACGAGAUCGAAUACAAAAAAUUUUCCCCAAAACUAAAAAGGUCGAUAUAUUAUUUAAUGUACGUAAAUAUUAGAAAUUGUGAGAACCAUCAAUAUAAUAUUUGAUUCACAUUCCUUGCAUGUUGAUUCAAAUUAAAUAAUUUAUCGCCUGACACCUGCUCUUGUGUUUAGGAGAUUUGUGAGUAGUUUUACUGAUUAUCGAAAAUCCUCACGAAACAGAUGAAUUCCUUUGUUUACAACUUAAAUAUCUUCUUGAAGAUGCAAAGUAUUUUCUUAAUAAACCCUAACCGUCAAAUUAUGGUUAAAAAAUAUUCUUUUUACAAUGUUUAUAAUGAUGUAUUUAUACAUUUUAUUUAAGAUAUAGGAAGAAGACAAGUAUAAAGACUAACAAAAACUAAUUAAUUUUUGUUUACAUGGGUAGAUCCAAAUCAAUAGCUAUUUCUAACAGUCUAAGUAAUGUUAAUCAACAAUAUUAUCCCCUUUACCAUAAUAAAUAACGUUAAAGAAUGACAAAAGUCCAUAUCGAUGGUUAAAGAGAUGUGUCGACUUCUUAUAAGGUUUGGGCAAUCCUCCUCCCUUUGAGCUAGUUUUUGUAGUGUGAGUUAGGCCUAAAACCUAAUUUCUACAUGGUAUCAGACAUCAGUGGUUAAUGAAAUGAAUAGACUCCUUAUAAGGCUUGUGCAAUCCUCCUCCAUUUAAGCUGGCUUUUAGAGUUUGAGUUAAGCGUAAGAACUAAUUUCUAAAAAUAAUCUUCAUUAUCAAUUUUUAUUUUAUUUUACAACUUUCACUUUUUUUUUUCUUUUUUUUUUCUUUUAGAAACAUCAAUACAAUUGUUUAGCAAAGUUGGUGCUUGGUGGGGACUACAAUUGAUUAAAUUCAUUCCCUUAAUUUCCCAUUCACUUGGAUAAGGUUAUUCUUUUGAUUGCUUCUGUUUUAAAGAUUAUUCUUGCCCGUCUUUUAUACAAAAAUCCGGACAAACUAAGGUUUAAUAUAUGUUAUUUUUUGUUUUAAUUUUAUGAUUUUAUUAUCAGCUAUUUUAUAAUAUUUUUAUAAUAUUUUAACGUAUUUUUUAAAUAAUAUAUGUGGCACAUGUGAUAUUGUGAGUCUUAGGAUCCGUUUGGUCAUGCGAUAUAAUAUUAUGAUAUGGAAUCAUGAGAUGAAAUUAAAGUUUUGUUUAGACAUGCGAUAUGGAUUUUGGUGUUGUAUAUUUUUUAAUAAACAUAAAAACCUCAUAAGUUCUAAAACCAUUAAAAUAACUUCAAUUAUUUAUUCAAUAUUAUCAAAUAAACAAAUAAUCAUUAAAUCGUAUAAUAAAUUAUUAUAAAGUUAUUUGUUCUCCACUUAAGUAAUUGUUCAUCAAUAUAUUUGUAAAAAUGAAACACAUUUCAUGGGCUCUUCAAGAUUUUAUUACUCAACAAUCGUGAAGUGUGAGUUAAAGUGAUUAUAUGUUGGUAAAAAUAAUAAAUUUUAUGUCGCUGAGAAUAUUAAAUUUUUAAAAGUAAUGAUGUGAUAAUAAAUUUUAUUUACAUGUGAAAUAAAUGGUUAUUAGAUAUAAAUGUGGGGUUGUUUUAACAAAGUAUAAACUUGUGGAUCGAUUUUUAUAUUAAAAUAACUCAAAUCAUGAUACGGUAUUUCCAUAUGAUUUCAUAUCAUGGUUUUUGAAGAAUAUGAUAUCACAUUCAUGAUAUGGAAUCAUGAGAUGAAAUCAGUGUAAAAUCGUAUGCCCAAACGUUGAUUUCAUCUCACGAUAUCAUAUCGUGAUAUGUAUCACAUGACCAAACACCUACUUAAUUUACAAGCCGUCACAAUUAGCCUUAAAUGACUUAAUUGCCCUAGAACUUAGUGGAUAUUUUUGGAAAGCACACACGUCGAUCGAGACGUGUGUGCUUAUUCACUCUUCCAUAUUAGUAGAGGAUGCAUGUAACAAGAAGGUUUUAAGGUGUAAUUGAUCCUUUAAUCAUUGAUAAUACAUGUCUUAAAUUCACUUGCAUUAUUAAAUUAAAUUAUGUGGUUAAGCGAACUUAUACUAUUUAAUUAUUCAUAAUAGCUAUAGUUUAUUGUAAUUAUCAUUCACGAUUAACAUUAUACAUUAAUUAUGUGGAUUGACUUUAAAUUUGUAUAAUUAGUCAUGUUUGUAUGUAGUAACAUGAUGAUUUAAAUAUAAUUAAAAUAUCAAGCAAAUACAUUUAAAAACUAUUCCACAAAUUAAAUCACUAUAUACGAAACAUUCACCACAAAAAUAAAUAAAGCCCUUCAUUUUUUUAAUCCCACAAAAAUAUUGUUACUAUUAUUUUUAUUUCUAAUUCUGUAAAAUAAAACAUAAAAUAAUAUAUAUAAUAUAAAAUACAAAAUAUUAAUAUAUAAACGUAAAUAAAAAAAAUUGAAUGAAACUUAAUCAAACUGAAGAUAUCUUGAUUAAUUGAUAAGGAAUAUAUUAAUAAACAUGUAUAUAUGGAAGAGCUAUUUUAGUAUUCAAAAAAAUAAUUUCCUCCUUGUGUUAGUUUUUUUUUUAGAAACAUAAGUUUUUCCUUUUUUUUCCAAUAGGAAAAUAAAACUUAUUCUAUUUCCAUUUAAAAGCUAUUUUUAAAGAUUUAUCAAUCACUUUAUUUUUUCAAUAAAAGUAUUCCUUAUUAAUGUAAUUUUAGGUCCGUAGGACAGUGUUAAAUAGGCUCUUAAACAAUUUUGUAUAAAGAUAAUUUUAAAGAAUGAUUUGUUAUAUCUCAAGGUGAAUGAAAUUUACUAGUAAGAAUACAAUAGACACAACAUGAUUAGUUAUUCAUUGAUUUUAUAUAAUGGAUAAUAUUGUUGGAUAUCUCAAAAUUUUAUAGUAAACAAGUAAAAGCGGAUAAAAAAAGUAUUCAUUUUGUCAGUGUUUAAAUGACUUGCAUUGAAAUGAGUCAUUUGGUAAACUUAUCUUAUUUUCUAGGGAUAAUGCCCAAGUACCCCCUCAACCUAUGCCCGAAAUCUCAGAGACACAUUUAUACUAUACUAAGGUCCUAUUACCCCCUUGAACUUAUUUUAUUAAUAAUUUUUUACCCCUUUUUAGCCUACGUGACACUAUCUUGUGGGUCCAACGAUGGUUGACUUUUUUUUUCAAACUAGUGCCACGUAGGCUAAAAAGGGGUAGAAAAUUACUUAUAAAAUAAGUUCAGGAGUAAUAGGACCUUAGUAUAGUAUAAGUGUGUCUCUGCGAUUUCGGGCAUAGAUUGAGGGGUACUUGUGUAUUUUCCCUAUUUUCUAACCAAAUGAACCUUUAGCGACUUUCUUGAUAUUAACUCAUACUAACACUUUUUAAAUUUUAAAAAUUAAACAAAUUGAAUAUUUAUAGUAAAUUUUUCAUAGUAUCUUUUAAAUAUUUUGAAUUAUCAAUUAUUACGACUUAUAAUAUUUUCGCAUAGUUUGUAAAUAAAUAAAAUCAUUCAAUUUUUUUAAAAAAAUUCUUAAAUAAAUUUUUAAUCAAACUUAAAUUAUUUAAUGGUCGAAAGGGCUACUAAACUUGACCGUAUGAUGAUAGUGAAACUAUUUUGAACCUACUAUUCAAGCAUAAGUACCAUUUUGUUCCUAUGGUCUUCAUUUUACUUAGCAAAUCAGAAAAACCAGAUAGAGAGAGAAACUAAGGAAGAAGAGUGAGAAGCAUUAACAAUGAGUUUUCGAAAAGAUGAAUCUGAUAACAGUUCCACAGAUAAUGGUCAGAUCAUGCAAAUUCAACUUAAAAUUCAAUUUCACAGUACCAUAAAAGGGGAUCUCGAAACAAUCGAAUCCUAUGUGCAAAAAUUGAAAUCCAUAGCCAAUUCUCUAGCAGAAAUCAACAAUCCAAUCUCAAAUUCAGACAUGGUUUUGCAACUCCUUGCUGGUUUACCAACCCAAUACUCACCCUUCAAAAACACAAUAUCAUCAAUGUGUCCUCUCCCCGAUUUUGAACAAGCUUCUUCCAUGUUAUAUAUGCAACAUGACUUAUUAUCAUUACAGGUCAGAAAGCAAACAAUUCUUCGAAAAAUUACAUUAUAUAUUUAAAAUUAAAGUGAUAUACAUUUUUUUUCUCUAAUUGCAGGAUCGUGAGGAGGAGAAAUUGAAAGCUGAAGCUGGUGCAGAGAAAUCGUCUGGUUUUUGUACAGCUGAUACGUUUCAUACUGUAAUUGAUACAUUGAGUAUUGCUGUUGCUGCUGUUGGUGCAGUGGGUACUGUCUGUGCUGCAGCUAGUACAUUGGGUACUGUUGUUGGUGCAGUUGGUACUGUGACUGCAUCCAGGGUGAUUGUUGUUGGUGCAAUUACUGCUGUUGCUGGCUGGAAAAUUUGGCAAACGGUACCUCGCAAGUAAUUUAUCGAGUUGAUUUCUCGUAUAAUCACUUAAAUAAAUAGUAGUAGUCGAAUGUUUUACGUGAUUUGAAGUGGAAGUUCAACACAAAUUUUGCUUGUGUUUUUCAAUAUUUUGAUUUUCCUUUGGAUGUGUGUAUGGUAUGGAGGCAAAGACCGAGCCGGUUAAUUAUUUUUGUUAGGAUUUUACAAAUUAGUACAUAAUUUUUUUAUAAAUAUAAAGUUUACAAAGAAAUUAUUGGCUUUAGGCUUUGUUCGAAUUCACAAACUUCACCUAGCUCCGCGUCCUAUAUGGAGGGAUAUUUUUUGGUGAAAGAUCAAUUACUCGCAAUAAGAGACUCAGAUUAAUUGAAGAGAAUAGUCCUCAUUUGAUGUUCCGAUCAAACUUUGAUUUAUUGCAUGCAUUCACACAAACAUAGGUAAGAAGUGUGAAUAAUAUUAAAAAGAAAUGAUAUGAGUAGUGAUUUAUUUCGAUUUUUGACAUUUCACUUAAUUGAAAUGAUUUUUAAUGUAUAACAAAUUAUGUUCAUUUUGAUUAAUUACGGUAAACCUAACAAAUUUAUUUUAUAAAAUAUUGACUAUGGAUCUUAGAUCUUAGGUUGCUAAUAAAAUUUAUCGUUAUUAUUUUCUUUGUUAGCUUUACUGAAAAAAUAAAUGAAAUCUUACAUUAUUAUCUUUAUUUUCUCUAACAAAAUUUACUAUUUUCUCUUAUUUAAAACAUAAUUUUUUUUAUAUAUUAAAAAUAAUUUUGAUUAAGUAAAAUAUACCAAAGUUCAAAAUAAAAAGUUCUAUAAUACAUAAAGGAUCAUUUUAAUUAAUUAAAAUAUAUUAAAAAUCUAAAUAAACCAUCACCCAUACAUUCAGAGUCAUUUUUCUGAUAGAAAUUAAAUAGACAAACCACAAGGAUAAUAAAAGGAAAAGGAAAUUUUAUUCCCACAAACCAAAAAAGUAUAGUGCCAAUUUUACUUGAUUCACUUUGCCCUAUGCAUCUAUACUUUUCUUCCACUAAUAAAGCUGGUCCUUAAAAAAAAAGGAAAAGAACAGUGUGUCAUCUCUCAUCGUACCACUUUGGAUCUUUAAUUGUAAAGUAAAGGAUAUUAUAUUUAAUAUAUAAGUUUGUUGUCCAGUUCCAUUGUUUUUAAAAUAAUUAAAUUAAAGGUAUAUUUUAUUAAAUUAUUUUAAAUAAUAUAUUAAACCCCUAACUAGUAUUUGAAUAUAUAAUAAUAUAAAGUUAAAGAUUUCAAUUUGGUAAUUAUUUGAGACGAUAUUCAAAUUUUAAAUUCGCCAAAAGAAAUACUGAUUUACGGCUCGUUUGGCUAUGCGAUAUGGUAUCAUGAUACGGAAUCAUGAUAUCGUAUCAUGAGAUGAAAUUGAAGUUUUAUUUGGACAUGCGAUAUGAGAUUUUCGUGUUGUAUAUUUUUUCAUAAACAUAAAAAUCUCAUAAGUUUUAAAACUGUUAAAAUAGCUCCAAUUGUCUAUUCAAUCUUAUCAAAUAAAAAAAAAUAUUUCGUAUAAUAAAUUAUUACAAAGCUAUUUGUUCUCCACUUAAGUGAUAUGUUUCAUCAAUAUAUUUGAGUAAAAAUGAAACACCUUUCACGGGCUCUUCAAGAUUUUACUACUCAACAAUCGUGAAUUGAAGUGUGAGUUUAAAGUGACUAUAUAUUAGUGAGAAUAAUAAAUUUUAUAUCGGUGAGAAUAAUGAAUUUUAAAAAGUAAUGAUGUGAUUAUUAAUUUUAUUUGCAUGUGAAAUAAAUUGUUAGUAGAUAUAAAUGUGGGUUUGUUUUAACAAAAUACAAAUUUGUGAAUCAAUUUUUUAUUAAAAUUUCUCAAAUCAUGAUAUGGUAUUUCUAUAUGAUUUUAUAUCAUGACUUUUGGAGAAUAUGGAAGAACAUCACAUGAUAUGAAAUCAUGAGAUGAAAUCAAUAUAAAAUUGCAUGUCCAAACGCUGAUUUCAUCUCACGAUACCAUAUCGCAUGACCAAACGCCUACUUAAAAAUUCCGAAUCACAAUUUUUUUUAACGUAAAACUUUAUUCAUAAGUUUAUAUUUCUUUAAAGACUUAUUAUUUUAAAUUUUACCAUUUCAACAUAAAAAAAAUUGUUUGUGUCAUGUAAAAAAAUUAUGUUAAAAAAAUAACCAUUACUACUAUUAUUAGUUAGUAAUUUUUAUAAAAUUAUGUAUUGAAUAUUUAUAAUCACAAAUGUUUAUUUACAAAAGAAACAUAAGGUAUACAAUUUAUCAAUAUUGUGCCUUCAAAUAUACCAAUAUCUUAAUAGCAUUAACAUCAAUUGUAAUAAGAUAUUAGUGAUCAGGAGUGGAUCCACAUGCACUCAUGCACUCGAUAACUUUUUUUAAAAAAUCGCAUAUAUAUAUAUAUAUAUAUAUAGAAUUAAUAAAAUAAACAUAUAUUUAGUUCAACACUCUAACAAUUAAAAGUUGCUUUGGGUGCACUGAUUGAGUGUUCUAGAUCUGUAGGCGACUGCGCGAGUUCGAUCCCCUUUGGGUGCAACAAUUUUUUAAACUUUUAAAUUUGUAGCCUUUUCUCUGAGAAAAUGGUCCUUAAAGUGUUUUUUAACUUUAAAUUUGAAGUCUUUUCUCUAAGAAAAUGACCAAAAUGGUCCUUAAUGUACUUAUUUUGAUCCUUAAUAUAUUUUUCAUGAUUUAUAUAGUCCUUAAUAUAUUACUAUAAAAAAGUACUCAAUUUAAUGUUUUGCCCUAAAAGUCAAAAGUCAUCAAAAUUUUUUGUUAAGUUUAACCUUGAGUUUCACUAAAAACUAAAUCCAAAAAUUUUCUCGUUCCCCUUCUAAGCCAUAGCCGAAAAGCUUAUCCAAUUUUCUCCUUCUUCAUCUCAAUCAAAUUUCAUUGUAUAUAGCAGUGAAAUACAUUUCAAACUUUCUUAGAAAUUCCAAAGAGUGUAUAUAUAUAUAUAUAUAUAUAUAUAAAGAAAAAAGUGAUUGACAAAGAAUCAACUCCGAAUUAAAAUUCGUUUUUGCCGCCUCAUUUAAUUGAAUUUAUAAACAAAUAAUCUCCUCUAACACAAUUAUAAAUAAAAUAUAAGAGUCCAAAAUUAAAGUCCUACUCUUAUUAUCUGUAUGUAAAUUAUUAAGUUUUUCUUUAUAAGUUUUUUUUUACAAUAAUUUUGUUGUUGAUUAUUGUGCUUUGAGAUGGAUAGAUGUUUGAAGAAAAAUAGUUCUUCUCAACCAAGUGUUAGUUUUAGAGACAAUUCUUUGCGUUUUACAGAUAAGUUUGAUUUUCAGUCAUUUAAACCGGAUCCUGGAGAAAAAAUAUCUAUUGCUAAACAUAGCACUAGAAUACAAGAUGAAGUAAGAAGACAUUAUAUUCAACAAGCGUCUUGUCAACCAGAUAUUAAUGAUAAUGAAUAUCUUCAAACUAGACUCGAAACGAAAAUAUAUCGAUUUUGUAAGACAUGGUUUAAGGAUUCAUUGUCUAGAUGGUUAGAGUAUAAUAUGAAGAAAAAUGUUGUAUUUUGCGUAUGUUGCUAAUGUUACCCUUGUAUCAAUCCUAGCCUUAUUCUUGAGUCAUUCAUAGUAGUACACCCCCUAUCGUUAAAUCAUGGGUUUGCCUCUCUUUGAGAUUACUUUAUUUUUGAUUAGAAAUCUCAAAUAUAAAACUUAAGAUGGGAUAUCGAAUCUUCUAGAAGUAACUUUCAAAAUCUUGAUUGAAUUUUAAUAUCAAUAUCAGAUACUAUUAUAUAUAUAUAUAUAUAUAUAUAUAUAUAUAUAUAUAUAUAUAUAUAUAUAUAUAUAUAUAUAUAUAUAUAUAUGUCGUUCUAAUUUUCAUCGAUAAAUAAAUUUAAUAGUAACAAUAAAAAAUACUCUAUUGUUACUCACAUUCAAGAGGUAAGUAAUUAAAUAUUCCUUCCUUGCUUGCUAAGUAGGGUACCACCAUUUAAUUGAGUUAGGUUUCAAUGUUUUCGAAGAAGACCUAAGUCUACGGGAAGUAGUCGAGUACUUUGACUUUGUGUUACUCUAUUUUAGUUGAGUUAUAAUAAUUACUGUCGACCUCUACUUCUAUUUAUUUAUUAUACUAUUUUAGAAUAUUAAAUAUUUUUUAAUUACUUUUAAUUGCUAUAAAAAAAUUUAGGGUCAAAAUGAUAAAUUUUUUAAUAUUUUAUGUUGUAUUGUUUUAUUAUAUUAAUAUGUAAAACAUAUCAAAUUACAGUAGUUUUCAUAUAGUUUUAAGUAUUUAUUUUUUAUUUCAAAUAUCGAAUUAAUAUUAUCUAAUUUGAUUUUAAUAAUUUAUCAAAUCGACUUUUCAAAAGCGAAAUAUAAUAAUUAAAGGUGGAUGGUUUGAGUAAUACUUUUUAAGUUUAUAAAAAUUAAUGAAUAAUUUAUCAUUUCGGUCUAUUUUACUCAUACUAUUAAAUAUUAUUUAUUUUUUAAUGUUUAAAUAACUAAUAGUUAAUAAAGGUGAUUUAAUAAAAUUAUUGUUAUUAUUUAUUGAAUAUAGAUAGUAGCACAUAAAAUCUAACUUCACCUCUUGUCCAGUUUAAAUCUAACUUCAGUCGCAAAUUUAUUUGGUUUAAAAUAAUAAAGAAUAUUUUAUUUAUAUAUUUAAAUAGUCUAAUUUUUCAGUGAAUGGUAUUCAAUUGAUGAUUGAUAUUUACUUAUAAUUUUAUCCCCGAAUGUGUGAUAUUGUAUAAAUAUAAAAAAUAUAUAAUAUAUUCGAAAGAUCUAUUCAUUAAAACAUACUAUACAAUAUAACACAAAAUAACGGAAUAUUGGUGGGUACAAUCAAUUUGAAAUACUUUUACAAUGUGUUAAAUCGUUUGUUUUGUCUGAAUAUGCAUAAUUGUAUCUUAUCUAAGUUUUGAGCUAUUAAUUUAAAAUUUCUGUUCACACAAAUAUAAUAUAAAUUAUAAAAUAAUACAUAAUAACUAUACAAAUAAAAUCAUAACACGUUCAAUUUUAUAUGAUACUAUCGUCAGAGAUAAAUUCCUCACCGUAGUUACUCGUUGUAAUCCUUGUUCAAAAAAUAAAGAAUAGUCUCAAGAAGAAACAAGAAUUUGGCUCAUAAAAUGGUGCAACUAUAAAAACUAUUAUACAACUAUCUUUGUGAACACACACUUUAAUUCUACAACUGAAAAAACAGAUAAAUCUACUUCAAUUAAUAAAAUUUAUUUUAAAAAUAAAUCAUCCCGUUAUAAUUUCUCCCAUAUUUAUAUCGACUUGAGGAAUCGAAAUAUUGAUAAUCAUUUUGGUCUUCAAUUGCUCAAGUCACAUGGAUGAAUUCUAUGAACGUUCUACACUAUUCUAGAAAAAAUAAGGUCAUUUUUGUCAUUAACAAUGUAACUAUUCCUUUUUUUUUCUUCCAUUUUAUUUUUAACCGUUAGUUAAACAUUCUGUUACAUAUAAAAUCAAUCUCACGAAAAAUAUUCAUUUCAACAAUUCAAUGGAAUCAACAACGAGUAUUCCAUUUCCAUCCUCGAUUACCGAUUCGAGUUCGAAAGAUGAAAAAGCUAUCACAAUUCAACAACUGAAAAUGCAAUUUCACGGCACCAGAAAAGGGGAUCUGGACACCAUUGAAUCAUACAUCAACCAUUUGCAAUCAAUAGCCGAUUCUCUAUCCGCUAACGAAAAUCCUUUAUCAGAUUCAGAUUUGGUACUGCAACUUCUCGCCGGUUUGCCUUCUCCUCAAUACUCGCCUUACCAGAACAGAAUCUCAUCGCAGUCACCUCUACCUGAUUUUUCAACUGCUUCUUCUUUGCUCUACAUGUACGAAUCGUUAUUAAAUCAUACUUCGAAAGAUCAAAAUUAUGAUAAUAAAGAGAUGCUGCAUAAGAUUGUUGAUGUGUUUAGUACUGUAACUAGUGCUGUUGCUACAGUAAUGGAUGUAUGGAGUAUGUUUGGAAAAUCUGCUACAACGACAAGUAGUACAGGAAACAGAAGAAACAGUAGAAGACGUAAUCGAGGAAGAGGGAGGAGGUAGAAAUUUGUUUCGAGUUUUCGAAGAAAUUAGAAAAUGUAAUCUAUAAGUAUUGUGUUGCUAUGUUUUAGAGUUUUUUUUUUUGUGUGUGUGUGAUUUUUCAUUUUAUGUAUGUAAAAUAAGAAUAGACUGUUUUUGCUUGUUACGACUGAAUAUGGUGUAGAAUUUGAUUAUUUGGUGGUCGGAUAAGAAAUAUGUGUUUUUGAAAAAUGAGUUAAUGGUAUAUAAAAUAAUCAGAUGUGAUAUUUAUUUAACAAUUUUGUAUAGUGUAGUAGGGGAUGUUUAUAGUUUAAAUUAAAAUCUAUACAAUUAGAAAAAUGGAACUAAAUCGAAUAAUUUUAUUUGGCUUAGGUUUGGUUUAAUUUUAAAAUCUUAAAAAUUUAUAACGUUUCCAUUGGUUAUUGUCUUGUUCGAAAGUGAUAACUAGAAAGAAAUAAUUUGGGAAAAUUGUUGAUAAAUGAAUUAAGAUCUAUUGUCAAAGGGAGGGUUUAAUUAAUUAUUUUUAAAAAAGUUAUAUCAUCUCUUUUUGAGUAUUUUAUAAUAUAUAAUAAAAGUUAAAUUUUUUUUAAAAUCAUCUUAAUCAUAUUGAUUUUUUUUAUAUUUGUACGAUUUAAUUAAUUUUUAAAUUUUCCUUCAAGAUUUGGGGUCUGCAAACUUUUAGAGUAUCAUCUCAAAGUAUUUUACUAUUAAAAUAUUUUUCUUUCACAAGUAUGUCACUUGAAUAUAAAAUUAUGUUACUUUAUUAUUUGACCAUAUAUAUUUAGUAGGAGUGCUUGCAAGCAUAGAUUUUAUCGUAUUGUUUGAUAAAGUAUCUAUUAUAAUAUUUAGGAUCUAGGUUAUAUUUAUAUUUGAAAAAUGUUGAAAACACAUUUAUGUAUCAAAUUUUAUAUAUUGUUGGUGUAUAAAAUAUAUUCACAUGUAAAGUUAUUCGUUUUGGUUUGAAAACUUUUUCCACUUUUAUUGUAAAUUAGUAGGGUCAUCCCAAUUAUGCGAUACAGCUAUACACUUAAACAAAAGUCCACAAUUUUUUUUAAAAGAUAAUAUAAAUUAAUUCGUACAAUUAUAUUCGAUCUAUUUCUUAUACCCAUAAUUUUAGUCCCCAUCAACUUUAGCUUAAUAAUAAUUUAAGUGAAACUUAGCUCCUAAUAUAAAAGAAAGACUACAAAGAAGUCUACAAAUGAACUUAGGAGUAUUUUCUUUUACUCUCACUUUUGGAAUCUAAUAAAAAUUGAUCAUUACGAAUGUUAUGAUUUAUUCGAUUUCUUAUCUUCUUGUCUAUGACCGUGAAAAUUUUCAAAUUAAAGUAACUCUUUGCUACACAGAAAAGGGCAAAGAUUAUUCUUAACAAGAAGGUAAUUAUUUUAUUAUUAUAUAUUUAAAGGAAUAAUUAAAAGAGCAUUAACCAAAAGACAAAAAGGAAAAAAAAUAAUUAAUAAAUGGACUAAGAUCAAUUGCAGUCCCCAUCAACUUUAGUUUAAUAAUUGAAGUGAAGCUUCGUCCUUACAUGUAAAAAAGAAGACCGCAACAGAAGUCUACUAAUCAAAUAUUACUUUUUUUCGUUUAAAUUUAUUUGACUUAUUUAAUUUAAUUUAUAUGAAAUUUAAAAAAGUAAAAAGUAUUAAAAGGUAUUGUCUAUGAUCAAUGAAGCAAUUUUCCGUGGCGGUAGAAAAAAUUAUUUGAUACAUAUUGGUGAAAAAUGUAUCCUUCAAAUUAGUAGGGGUGCUAAAAAAAACCAUCCAAACACCAUAAUCAUAAAAAAGAACAUAAAAAAAAUUUGAUUGUUGUAGUUUGAGAAUAAAAAUAUAUUAAGAUAAUUUUUCAUUCUAUAAUCUUAAAGAAUAAAAAUAUAUUAAGAUAAUUUUUAAUUCUAUAAUCUUAAACAUGUCGAAGAUAAAGUGAAAAUAAAUUAAUAAACAAAAUAGAUUAUAAAAUAGUGAUUUUUUUUUGUCUUUUAAUGAAAUCGUACGGAGCCAAUGUUAUUGGUAGUUCCUUUUUUAUUAUUCCAGAAGUUAGUUGAAAUAAUUGGUGGGUCUUGAAAACUUCUUAAUUAAAAGAGUGAUAAACAAAGUGUUAUGAUAAAUUAAUAGUAUUCGAAAAAAAAUUAAAAAAAAUGUAAUAAACAAACAUUAUUGUGAAAUCUCAGCAAUAGCUAUUCGCGCUCAUCAUUUGAAUAAAAUCUCAGCUAUAACUAUUCUCGUUGUCAAUCACCAUUACCUGUCAUCCUUAGUCCAAUCACAACCAUCAAUAUUAUCGUGAUCAACACAUAAUCAUUAUCGUUAAUCGUUACUGUCAUCAAUUGCCCAUAUUUUUAAAUAAAGAUAUUGAAGUGGUGCUAUUCACGGGACUUUAUCCCUGAUAUCCCUUUUCCAAGUCCUUGGUUAGUAAUAGCUAUUCGCGCUCACCAUUCUGUUCUACAUUAAUUUUUAUUUUGACGCUAUUUUUACUAAAAUAUCAGCUAUAAUUAUUCUUGUUGUCAAUCAUCAUUAUCUAUCAUCCUUAGUUAAACAUAACCAUCAAAAUCAUCGUGAUCAAAUUGCAACAUCACCAUUAACAUUGUUACGUCCACUAAUCACUAUAGAUAAUUAUUACUAUUAAGUAUAUUAUAUAUCGCUAACCCAAUUUACCAUCCCAAUUAGUUAUUAAUAGUAUUAUCCUAGAGCUAUAUAUCAACCGUCACCACUUGUAACUAUGAUUUAUUAUUACUGUCUACGGUCAAUAAUCAAUAUUAUCCUAGAUCAACACAUAAUCAUUAUCGUUAGUCGUUAAAGAAAUUGAAGUGGUGCUAUUCACGGGACUUUAUCCCUAAUCUCCCUUUUCCAAGUCCUUGGUUAGUGCUUCUUGGAAAGUGCUUCACUUGAUUUGAGGUUAAACGUGAUUGGAAAUGACCAACAUGUUGGUUGGUUGGUCCAAUUACAAAGAAGAUAAACAAAAAUAAAUACUUACUCAACUAUAAUAAUAAUUUACGGGUAAAUUUAUCAUCAGUUUCACAUCAAGUGUAUACAUUAGGUCAAUAUAUGUAUAUUAUGUAUGUAAAUUUAUAAUUUAUUUUAUUUAAUUAUAAUUAAUUAAUAUAUAUUUUACUUUAUUAAAUUACGUGAUACUGAAAAUUAUACUAAUUUAGUAUAUACAUUAGGUGCGAGUAAUUUUUUUCCCAAGUAUAUCAACCAUUGAUAAAAAAUCAAAUAAAUCAUAAGAUUUAUAAUAAUUGAUAUGAUGAAGAUUUUAUUAAAUCCCAAAAAAAAUAAUGUUCGUAAUGAUCAAUUUUACGAAGAUUCGAUUGAAUUUUUAAAAGUAAAAACAAGGAAAAGACAAGAAAAAGCAUCUUAUAGCAACUUGGGAGGCCCCUCCCCACUUUACUUUCCUUCGUUAUAAAGAAAUGGUAGAAAGACUAAAUAGUACUAUAUACACUAUAAAUAAAAAUAGGUGGAGCUUUAAGUUAAAUGCCUCUUCUACAAUAAAGUUUCAAUUUUUAUGGUAUAUUUUAGAUUUUGAUAUUUAAAGAAAUUUUUAUUUUAUAAAAAUUGUUAUAUAUAUUUUUAAAUAUAUCAAAUUAUUGAAUGUUACGUGGGUUAAAUUACAAAAAUCAUAUACUUUUAAGGUAAAAUUACAAUUUAUCCCUUAAAAGUUUAUAAUUACAGAAAUUCCUCAAACAAAUAUAAUAAUAUAAGCACAUAUAAAUUAAAAGAGGGUCGGAUACAUUAAUGGCCAAAAAAAUUAAAGCGCUGAUACAUUAAAAAAGGGUCGGAUACGUUAACGGAGAAUACAUUAAUGGAGGGUCGAGAUACAUCAAUGACCAAAAAUUCAAAGCGCUUCUACAUUAAAAAGAGGGUCAGAUACAUGCGUUGAUACAUUGAAAAUAGCUUCGAAUACAUUAAUGACAUUUUUGACUUAAGAGAAAAAUAAGGAAUUUUGAAAAUUUGUAAAACUUAUAGAUGAUAAUGGUAAUAAGUAAACUAAAGGGUGAUAUUUAUGUAAUUAUUUUAUUAUGUUAUUAUAUAGUAAAUUUUACAUAGCAAAUAAAUAGAAUUUAUUUUAAAAAUCUAAGAUUUCAUAAUUCACAAUUAAAAUUAAUAUUAAUAUUAAUCACUACCCUCUUUGUCCCUAAUUCACUUCUAUCAAUAAUAAGUUCAUAUAAGAUCUAAAUAACAAGAGAUUAUUUAACUUUGUUUUCGUAUUUUCACAACACAAAACCAUACAUACAAUACAUAAUAGUAGUAAACAUGAAAAUUACAAAAAUUAAAUAACAUAGAUUAAAAAUUUUAAAAACGAAAAAGUUACUAGUUCAAUAACAAUCAAAACAAAUCACACAAGUUGAUCACCAGGAUAAGAUCGUAGAUUUCGAAAAUAAUCUCUUGGAUUACUCUCAAAAGUGCUUCUAGGCAUCCUACAAUUUCUUCCAGGAGCUUUCAUCAUUCGUCCACGUCCACGUCCACGACAACAGCAACAACAACAACAAUAACUAAUGAGGGCGAUAAAUAUUGUGAUGAUAAGAAAGGGUAAAGCUACGUGAAACCAGUGAUUGAUUUUGUCUUUUCGAGUGUCUGGUGGAAACACUUUAUCGAACCAACUAAGGAAUUGACCACUGAAAUUGUUAAGUAAAAGGAAGAGUUCCUUUAAUUUUUCAAUUGCAUAGUUUUUAACUUCCUCAAUUCCCAUCUUGAUGAUCAAUAAAGAUUUUUAGAUAAUGAGAAGUGUGAUGAGUGAGGGAUACAAAGGGUAAAGUGAAAAUUGCAAAGAUCUAGUAUUACUAGUGUUAGUUUUAUAGGGUGAGGUUUUCUUCUUCUUUAUUAUUUGGUGUGUGUGGGGUGGGGUGGGCCCUUUUAAGGUUGAUAUAUUCCAUCUGUUUCUAUUUAUAUGUCGUCUUUAUUAAAAGUAAAUGUUUCUUAAUACUGGUCAUUUUGCAAAAUUAAUGUAUAAGUAAUAUUUUUCUUCUUAUUUUACCCUAUGAAUUUUACCAAAAUACGAAAACUAAAUGAUUUAGAUUAUUUCAUGUUCAUUAGUCAAUUUAAUUAAUCAAAAUAAAUUAAUUUAUGUUAAUUUAUUGAAAACACGACUUCAAGAGAAUACUAAAUAAGAUUGUUAUGACAAACUUAUCUGAAGAACGUGAAAUCUAAAAUGGUGAGAAAUAAAUAGAAACGUAUUACUUGAUGACUUACUAAAUCGAGAUAGAAUUAAUUAAUAUUUUCCUCUUUACCUGAUCUUUGCAAGUUUGAACAAUUCUCAGUUAGCUAUUUUAUACUAUAUGCAUACUUUUUUCUAAUUUAUUUUAAUGUACAUUGAUAUUAGCAAAGUGCAAAUAGUAAAUUUGACCUGUAUGCCUUUUAAUAAUUUCUUAAUCACUUAUAAAAUAGAAAAUGAUCAUUUAAUAUGGGACAAAGAGAGUAUUGUUUACUGCCAUAAAUAAGAAAUUACCUUUUAAAAAUUAUCAAAUUGAAACAUUUUAUUAGAAGUUAAGGUGUUCCAUUGAAACAUAAUUUUAUUCGAAUAUAUUAGAUGAUGUAGUCUAAUACAUUUAAGGGGUUAACUAUGUAUUAAACCUUGAAAAACGCCUCCAUAUCAGAUAUAUAUUAUUAUACAUCCAGAUAUAACAUAAAUAUACAAAGGAUACACAUAUAUGCAUGGGAGAUGUAAACAGUGAUACACAAUAUACAUAGAGGAUAUACACAUAUACACAUUUCGUCGUGUUUCCUAAACUUCAUCUACUUUAAAUAUGGGCAUUAAAAUUUUCUUCCACACCCGAAUCAAAGCAGUUUAAAUUUACUUUACAUUUCACGUAUUACAAAUAUUUUGAGUACCCACUUUGAACUAUAAUACUUUUUAAAUUAUGAUAAUCUUAAUCUCAUGUUGGAUCAGAAUUGACAAAUAUUUUGCUUGGGGCACCCAAGUUGUGUAAUUUUCUCUAUUUAUGAAUGAAAAAGUUUAAAAAAUAACAAAUAUUAGGUCUUAAAUAGGAUUUUUUUUUAGCUACAGUUUCAUUAAUUAUAAUUCGUAGCUACAUUUUAAUUUGCUACACAUUUGUGUUUUUGUAUUCUUUUGCAAAUUUUGGAUGGGAAAAAAAAAUACAAAAAUACUGAUUUAUAUCAAAAUGAAUACAUAUUUGGAGGAGAGAGACAAGAGAGAUUGAGAGAGGGAGGAGAGAGGCGAAAGAUUGAGGGAGGAGAGAUUCGGACGAGAUCGAGAAAGGGAGGAGAUAAAAUUGUAUUUUGUAUUUAUUUUGCGUUGCAUUCUAUAUUUGUUUAAUGCAUAAAUAAUUAUUUUGUAUUCUAUAUCAAUUGUUUUCGAAACACAAUGAAUAAAAUUAUAUUCAUCCUCUCUUUGGAUGGAUACAAUUGAUACAUAAUACAUUUGAUAGAAAGGAUGAAAGCAUAUUGUAUUUGUAUGAGUAAAAAUACAAUUAAUACAAAAAUACAAAUAUAAUUUUUCGAAUACAAUAUAUGUAAAAUACGAAACUCUAACAUAUAUCUGAUUGAAUACAAUUGCUACAUUGUACAUUAAAAUGCUUCUUAUUGGCAUGAGAGAGAAAGAGAGAGUUUUUGCCAUAAAACAACAUAUAUUGAUUUUUGUAAUUUUUUAAACAAUAGUUUUUUACAUAAAUAUGUUGAUAUUUUUUCCUUGUUCCAUAAUUAAAUCAAGUGGCAAAACGAUUAAAGGCUAGAGAGGCGCUAGUCUAAAUUACAAGACCUUGAGGAACUCUGUCCGAUAAGCCAAAUACUACAGUAUGAGUUAGUUUCAAAUAUGUACAAUAAAGUAAUAGUUCACAAUAAAUAAAAUUAUGUUUUAUUUACAUAAAAAAGUAGUUAAAAGUCAUGGAAAAUAUACAUUGAUUAUACAAUAUAGUUCGUCAAAAGUCAAAGAAAGUAUACGUUAAUUAUACGAUAUAGCUUGUCAAAAGUCAAAGAAAGUAUGCACUAAUUAUAAAAUAUAGUUUGUCAAAAGUUAUAGAAAGUAUACACUAACUAUACAAUAGAACUUAUCUAUAGACUAGUUAUACAUUGACCAUACAUUAUGAUACACUCAAAAACCUCAAUGAUGAUUAACUAUAUAUGAAUUAUACACUGACUAUUCAACUCCGACCAACUCAAAAUCAACUCUAAGCAGUCUCAAAUUUUAGAUAUGAAAUCAUCUUGAUAUUUCAAAUUAUUUGAUAUAUAAUUCGCUCAAAAGAACAGAAAAAGGAGGAGGAGGACCAUUUUUAUAAGGACAACUUUCACAUACAGCAAACAAAAAAUUUAUAUUUGUAUGCUAUAGCAAAAUUUGCAUAAUUGCGCUCCAUAGCCAACAUAUAACUAUAUAAUUCGCUAUACAUAUACAACUGUAUAAUUCGCUGGGCUCGCUAUACAUAUACAAUUGUAUAAUUCGCUGGCCUAAAUUAUAUAAUUCGCUGGUCUAUUUCGCUGCAAUUGUAUAAUUCGAUGGCCUAUUUCACUACAAUUGUAUAAUGCACAAUUGUAUAAUUCGCUGGCCUAUUUCGCUGCAAUAUGUGUACAAAAUUUGCUUUGCAUACAAUUGAAUCGAAGUAAAAUGUUUGUAUGUUGUAUAAUUAUAAGUGUAUAGGAAGAAGAUAUAUAUUUUUCUCUCGCUUUACACAAAAACAGAAACACAAUUUAUACACUUCUGUUGUAUAAAGCGAGAGAAAAUUGUAUUUCACUGCAAUUGUAUAAUUCGCUGGCCUUUUUCGCUGCAAUAUUUAUAUAAAAUUUGCAUUUGUAUACAAUUUAAUCGAAGUAAAAUAUUUGUAAAUUGUAUAAUUAAGUGUAUAGCACGAAGAUAUAUGUUUUUGCAUGUGUAUAUAUAAUUUUCUCUCGCUUUAUACAAAACAGAAACACAAUUUAUACACUUCUGUUGUAUAAAGCGAGAGAGACGAGCAGAGGGAGAGUGGUGAGCAAGAAUGGGAGAGUGGCGAGCAAGAAUGGGAGAGUGGCGAGCGAGAGUUUUGGGAGAGAGGCGACUGACAAAAUUUGGCAAACGUUUGCUAUGGGGCACAAUUAAAUCAAAUAAUAGCUACUCCAUUUAUCUUAAGGUUAUUAGUUUGCUAUUAUAUACAAUUGUCUCUUUUUAAAAUUCUUACAACUUGGACUAAAAAAAUUGUAAGUGAAGUUUAUGGGCUGACAGUUUGCAUAAUUACAAAAUUGGGCUAAAGAGAUGGUAAGUAAAGUUAUGGGCUGACAUAUUGCAUAAUUUGCCCUAUAUAUUUUUGGACCUUACAAAAAUAUACACCCAACAAAAUCGAAUUUGAGAAACUUUCAAAAAGGACUAAAUUUUAGGCUUAAUUAGAGGCCGUUUAAUUAUAAUUUAUAACUAGAAGGAGGAGAGAGGCGAACGCGACUGAAAAAGUGAGGAGAGAGGCAAGUGAAAUUUGGAAGAGAAAGACGAGAGAGGAAAAAUACAUGUCGGAUAUGUUCUAUCAGAUUGUAUCAAAAAUAUAAUUAAUACAGUACAUUUGCAUCAAACAAUACAAUUGUAACAAGUAUAUAUAAUCCCAGUAUAUUCACCGUGUAUCAAGUUGUAUCAACAAUUAUAAUCAUAUCAGGUGUAUGAAUGAAUACAUUUUGUAUCAUCAAAUACAAUAUCAGGUGUAUCAAAGAAUACAAUUAUAUCAAAUAGUAUCAACGAAUAUAAUUGUAUCAAGUGUAUAUAUUCCCUUUGUAUUAACUUUGAAUCAAUAUAUUUGAGUAUAUUUGCAAAUUGAAUAUAGAUAUGGAUCAAUUUAUUCAAAUGUAUUUUAUCUUUGUUACAUAUAUUGUACCAUGUGUGAUAUAAUCUUUUAGAAUACGAUUGACACAAUAUUGUAUCUCUCCUACUCGUUCAAGCAUAUUGAGUCUUGAGUAUGAAAUCAAAGAGGAGAAGAGAAAUAAAAAAAAUAGGUCUCCACCAUCUCACACCUGAUUUAUCCAUGCUAAUUAGCCCAAAUUCAUGUAUGAAUAACAACAAAAUAGAGUAUAACAUAAUAUCACUAUAUAAAAUCAACAACCAACCCUAUAAUUGCACCCUUAGAUCUUAGGGUUAUAGUCACUCAUCACAAAGAGUAAAGAAAAUAUACUUUCCAUGAACAUAACCAUGAGUAACAUGAAACUAAGCAAUUAAAAGCAAAUUCACUUUGGAUUUAACUUCAGUUUGUCAAAUUCAAUAACAAAGUUAAGAAAAUCCCAAAAACGAGAAAGUGUUGUUCACAAAGUAAAAUGUUUCUCUCUACCAAAAUAUUUAUAACUCUACUGAAAAGAGUAAUAAAAAAGUUGUUCUUUCUCUCUCAUUUGAGCUAAAACAACCCCUUAAACUUGCCCGCGUUUUCCGGUUAGACACCUUAGUAAGACCUUCUUCCUAUUAAACACCUAAUAUAUAAUUAAAGUGUGUCUAUUAGACAUACGUUGUUGAUUUGACAUAGUAAUUGUAGUGCACUCAUUAAAAGCGCGUGAGAGGCUUGUAAUAUCUCUCUUUUAUCCCUAUUUUUUCUCCUCUUAACCCUUUUUCUCCAUUUUCCGAACAUAGUCAUAAUCAUCUCAAUUCACCUCUUGAAAAUGUCCUCUUCUUUCACUUUCUAAAGUUAAAAUUAAAAUGGUAUUAUUAAAGCAACAUCAAUCCUGAUAGUUGAAUUAAAAAAAGACAUAAUUAAGCUAAAUUCAUAAACAAAGUUGCUAAAAAUAACUAAAUAUGGAGUUGUACCUAUUUGGUUUCUUAGUAAUUUCAUGUUUUAAUCAUAUAUGUCAAUGAUAAAAAAGCGAAAAAGAAGAAGAGAAGACGUUGUUCUGAAAAAAAUUGAUAGCUUUACGAGACAAGAAAGAAUUGAGCUAUGCAAGUUAGAGAAUAUUGUUUGGGAGGAAAGGGAAGGAUAAAUUAUGAAAUAUUUUUAUAAUAAAAAUAAAAAGAACAAAUAGAGAGUUUCAUAAAAAUUAUUAAUGGUGGAAUUUAAGGUGGUAGUGAGGAGGAGCUUCCAAGAAGAUGAUGCGGAGGGGGCUGCUGGAUUUGAUAAUUUUUUUUGUAAAAGAUACUUUUUUUUUAAUUUGCCACAUGUGACAGUAUGAUUCACUCUUUUUUCAAGUUAUAGUGUUUGAAAGUCACGCACUCUGUAUAUUUUUGGGCAAUGUCAUUGAAGUGUCUAAUAGACACACUUUGGGUAUACAUAAGGUGUUUAAUAGGAAUAUGGCCUCAUUAAGGUGUCUAAACGAAAAAAUCGUGCAAGUUCAAGGGGCCACUUAUGUGUUCAACCUUUACCAAAAUUUACCAUUAAAAAGUCAAUGCAUGUCUCAUUCACUGACAUUAGUCGGGCUCGCUGAUUUUGUUCGAUGAAUUGCCUCUUGUGCUCUAGCUCGUCUUCUUUUGCUUUAGGCUUCAGGUGUUUGAAAGUAUGUCUUUCACGUUUGGCAUAUCUUCAAAUACCACCUUGGUAUGCCUUUUAAGCCUUGAAUUUUUCCUUCUUACACUGUAAUUUUGAGUGAUGAUGAACAAGGUCGUAUUUCUGUCGCCUUUUUAGUUGGAGUUCAUUGACCUUUGUCGCUAGACCUAAGUGUUGUGCACUUUCUAUUUAGGCGAGGUCAUGUUCGCUAGAUGGUCCAUCUUUCUUGUUUAGAGAUUAUCAAUGUAUAGUUUGCACUUAUUUUUGCAUUUUUGGUCAUUCUUCCAAACAUUCACCCUUGCCUUUUCUGUUAGCCUUCAUAGCUAGCUUGUAAAUCAUCAAAAUGUCAUAAAAACAAGAUAAAAUUAGACAUUGACGAUACUAAUUAUUGAGUUAAAUAAGUCUCAAAUGAGUAAAAAUAUACCACUCAUCCACUGGUGAACUUUGCGUGCAAUCGAAUUCAGUCGUUUUAGAAAAGCCAACAGGAAAAAUUUUUGGGACGAAAAACUUUUUCAUAGUAAUUUUAAAUUUCUCAACCUAGUUUGGAUUUGGACGUAAUUGGAGUCUUUGAAGUGUGGGGAAAUUUGGUAAAUAUUGAGCAAAAAUUUUAUGAUUUUGAUUGCUUGAGUAGUUAGGUAACUCCUUAAAUAAUCCGUACAACUUUACGGAAUUGAAUUUGGGCGAGUCCCGAAAUCGAUCUUAGCGCAAAGGGUAUUUUCUAAGUAUUGUGGAUUAAAGGGUAUGUUGUGAAAUAAGAAAUUUGAAUUUUGUUAAAUUUCUCUCUAUCUCGUAAAUGCCUCCUUGGCGCCGGUUUUGGUUGCUCUAGAGGAGCCACUGUCGUAGGUGGUGGCCGCCUUGGCGGGAUCGACGUGAAUUAAAGUCGUUAAUAAACCUCUAAACGUCCUCAUUAGAGUUAAGAUUGAUUGGCGAGAGUUUUGAUAUAGAUUCUAUUAUGGAAACAACUCUUAUUGGUACAUAGGAUCAUGGGUAUAUUCUAAGGUUCAUAGAAUUAUUAUAGUUUCAAAUUAGCGAUCGUUUGUUGAUUCUCGUGUUAUUAUCAUAGUUAGUAGACAAAGAACAAGCGGAAUGAAUCCGAAAAUAAAAAGGAUCAAGUUUAAGUUUUUUAGGGUUUUAAGAUUGUUUUAAGGUAGGUGAUGGUUGUGAUUUGAUUAUAUGUUGUAUUCUUGUUAUUGCUUCAUUAUGAUUCAUGUAUGUAUGUGAAUGUUGCAUAGUUGAAUUUACACUUGUUGGAAAUGAAAUAAAUGAAUAAUUAUAUGACAUGAAUCACUUAUUGAUUGUAUGAUUAUUGAGAAUAUACAUGUGAAUGUGAUUGUGAUGUGUUGAUGGAUCAAAUUGUCACGUUUCGACAUAAAAAUAGGAUUGAAUUACCACUUACCGAUAUAAUUACGAGAUCGACAUACAUGUUCUUGUGCACUAACAAUUUGAGUUUGGAUUUUCUGAGGCGAUUAGCUACUUGUGAUAAAUGUGUAUUGUUGAAGCAUGUGAUAUUCAAUAUUGAAUAUGUUCGAUAUAUUGUAUGGUUAUAUUGUUGUAUUAAUUUGUUUAUGUUGCACUUAGUGGGAUAGCAGCAUGAUCCUACCAGUAUAAGAUGGUUGUGUACUGAUUCUACACUUGCUCUUAUUAUUGUUGAGUACAUGACAUCUUCCGGCGGCUAUUGAAAGACCUUGCUUAGAAGAUUUGUGAUUGUCAACUUCAGGUUCAAGGGUGAGCUAGCAUUUUCCGGAAUGCCAUGAAUUUUCUUUCGUCUAUGUCCACCAUUUUUGGACUUAGACAUUUGCUUUAGUUAGUUGUUUAGUUCAUUAGAUUGGGGUUGCAUUCCUUCUUAUUUAGACUUGUUGAACUUUUAGAUGUUUUGGUACAUUGACUUUCAUGUUUUAGGUUAUUUCAUCCACAUUUGUUUAGUUGAUAGACUUUUGUUGGAGUUCAUGGGAACUCCCUAUUUAUUUUCUUAGUAUUUAACUUCCUUCCAUACUUUAAAUGCCUUAAUUUUUAUUUUAGUUGCUUGUUUGGGUUGUAGUAGUGUCUCCACUAGAGGGUUAGUGUGGAUGCGAAUCACGAAGGUCUGGAUCAUGACAAAGUUGGUAUCAAAGCCUAGGUUCAUUGAUCUCGAUGUACCAAAACGAGUCUAAUAGAGUCUCGCUUAAUGUUACGGGGAUGCCUUUACUUUACUUCGAGAGACUGUAGGAUUUUAGAAAAAAUCUCUAUUUCUCUUUGUCUCGUUUCAUGCUAUAACUUGAUUCUAAUUGGUAUAUGUCGAUUUCAAUUGGUAUCUAACCUCCUUUACUCUUUUUUCUAUAGAUGGUUAACACUAUAUCAACAGUAUUUGUCCCACAACUCCCGUCAAUGCUCCAGCAGAGGAACCUGCAACAAGAGGUCGUGCUUUAAGUAGGGAUGGAGGAAGCUAGGGGUAGAGGUCGUGGAAGAGUAGCGCCUGUGGGGAAUGAGGUACCGUUUGAAAAUAUUCCUAUGAAUGAGAACCCUCUUGCACUUAAUGAGGAGAUAGAAGAUGAUAUUGAGGUUGAGGAUGUUGAGGAAGUUGAACAAGAGGAAGAGGUGCCAACGAAGGCUAUGGUUAUUCCUUCUAGUGAUGGGGUGUUAAGUCAAUAGAUCAUGUCAUUUCUAAAGGGUUUGGUUGGUCCUGGAAUGCUUACCUCUGUUCAAGCAACUCAAGCUCCCGCCAGUUUCCUACUAGUACCACUACUCCUAAGGUGAGUGCAACGAGAGGAAUGAUGCAUUCUCUCAUCCUUUGUUGGGUUUUGUUAUGACUGGUAAUGAGCAUGAGAUGUUGACUAAAUUUUUGAAGCUUAAGCCUCCUGUUUUUCUUGGUUCUGCGAGUAAGGAUGCUUAUGAAUUCAUUCUUGAUUGCUAUGAAAGGUUUCAUAUAUAGGGUAUUGUUCAUCAAUAUGGAGUUGAGUUUGUGUCCUUCCAAUUUCACUGUGAGGCCAAGAAGUGGUGGAGAGCUUACAUGAAAUGCAAAUCUUCAGCUUUACCUCCACUAACUUAGACCAGUUUCAUACUCUGUUCUUGGAGAAAUAUAUGCCUAGAACUUUGAGAGAUCGUAAGAAUGAUGAGUUUAUGGCAUAGAAGAAAUGUGGUAUGUCUGUGGCUGCUUAUGAGGCCAAGUUUCAUGCUUUAUCUAGAUAUGUCACGCUACUUGUUACUAUAAAGAAGGAGAGAAUCCACCUAUUUAUUAGGGGUUUGCGUUAUGAGUUGCAAGUAUUAUCUGUCCAUAUGACUUCUAUAAGAAGAGCUUUAAUGAGGUGACUUACUAUGUUAAGAAAGUAGAGGGGUGAGGCGAGACAGUUAGGCUAAGACAUUGACAAAAAGAGCAAAAAAUUCAGGCAACUUUCAAGGUUCUUAUUACAAAGGUUCGGAGAGGCCAACACUUGCAGCCAAGCCGAUCCAUUCUUUCAUGACUGCCUCUGCAGGUAACUACUCGUGAACUCCAUUUCAUAAUUUUUAGGAUACCUAGGGAGUCGCACCUUCAACAGACAGCAGACCAUGUUUUGAUUGUACUUGCUAUAAUCGUGGAGAACAUGGACAUAUGAGGAGAGAUUACCCACAUCCGCGUGUACUGGAUUCCGUGCAGUAGUCAUCUAAAGUAGUGGUAUCCACGGGGAAUUGUAAUAAUGGUAGAUGACGUCCACAAGUUGGGCGAAGAGGUGAUCAACGAGGCUGUGGAGGUAGAGAAAAUAAUAAUGCGGGUAGAGGUAAUACGAAACUAGUCAGGGAGAUGGAUUGUCAAAAUGAUAGGGUUCAGUGUUAUGCUUUUCAAGCAAGAAUGAGGCUGAGGCGUCUGACGCGGUCUUGUCUGUGACCGGAUGGAUAAUGUGUUGUUUGAUCCAGGUUUUACUUAUUCUUAUGUAUCCGUGAGAUUUUACUCAGAAUUUGAUAUGAUUUAUGAUGUUCUUGAUGCCCAUAUUCAUGUUUGUACCCUAGUUGGAGAGUCAGUAAUAGUUAGUAAUGUCUAUCAUGCUUGUCCUAUUAUGUUUAUGGGAUUUCAGACUUAGGCUGAUUUGGUGAUUUUGGAUAUGAUUUACUUUCAUAUAAUCUUAGGCAUGACGUGGUUGUCCCCCUAUUAUAUUGCGUUAAAUUGUAAUACUAUGUCUGUAACUCUAGAAUUUCCGGGAAGGAGAAAAUUAGAGUGGAAAAGGGUGUACAAGGCUAAGCAAGCUAAGAUUGUAUCUUCCAUUCAGGUUAGUAAAUUAGUGGAGCAGGGUUGUGUAACUUAUUUGGCUCAUAUUAGGGAUGUUGGGAUUGAGGCUCCAUCCAUUGGGUCUAUUCAUGUGGUGUCUAAAUUUAGUGAAGUGUUUCUUAAUGACUUGUCUGGUAUGCCUCCUAUAGAGAUCUAGAUUUUUGCAUAGAUUUAGAGUUUAAUACUCGCCCCGUUUUCAUUCCUCCAUAUCGCAUGGCUCUGAAAGAAUUAAGAGAGCCUAAAGCUCAAAUGUAUGUAAGAGCUCCUUGAUAAGAAAUUUAUUUGUCCAAGAGCUUACCCAUAGGGUGCCCCAGUUUUGUUUAUUAGGAAAAAGAAUGGACAGCGGUAGUGUUUGCUCUUAAGAUCUGGCAACAUUACCUCUACGGCGUUAAGUGUGAAGUGUUUACCUAUCAUCAUAGUUUGAAACAUGUGUUCACUCAACAGGAUCUGAAUUAAGACAACGAAUAUGGAUGAAGUUACUUAAAAUUAUGAUGUGACCAUUCAAUAUCAUCUGGGCAAGGCUAAUGUGGUGACAAACACUUUGAUUAGAAAAAAUGGUGAGUAUGAGUAGUUUAGCUAGCUUGAGUGUAUUCAAACAUCUUUUGAAGAUGAAAAUUUGGAGGAACUUAGAAAGAGGAUCGUGAAUGGUAAGGCACAAAAGACCACUCUUGAUGUAGAAGGUGUACUUAGUUUCAAAGGAAGAAUUUGUGUUCCUCAAAUUGAUGAAUUGGUUCAAAAGUUGUUGACGGAAGCUCAAGGUUCGUGAUAUUCUAUUCAUCCGAGUGUGACCAAGAUGUAUAGAGAUAUGAAACAAAUUAAUUGGUGUCCAGGUAUGAAUAAAGACAUAACAAAUUUUGUGUCAAAGUGUUAAAAUUAUCAACAAGUGAAGUAUGGACAUCAAAGGCUUGAAAGUUUUCUUAAAAGAAUGUCAAAUAUAGAAUGGAAGUGGGAAAAGAUAGUCAUGGACUUUGUGGUUGGUCUUCCCAAGACUUAAGAUAAGUUUGUUUCUAUUUGGGUGGUGGUUGAUAGAUUGACUAAGUCAUCCCAUUUUAUUCCGUUAAGAAUAGAUUAUAAUGCUGAACAAUUGGCUAAAGGUUAUGUGAAAGAGAUAAUAAGGUUGCAUGGGGUGCCCCUUUCUAUCAUCUCAAAUCAUGGUACCCAAUUCACUUCCAAGUUUUGAAGGAAAUUACAUGAUGAAUUGGGCACACAACUCACUUUAGUACAACCUUCCAUCCACAGACAGACGGGUAGUCAGAGAGGACUAUUCAAGUGCUAGAAGACAUGUUGAGGGCAUGUGUGAUUAAUUUUGGAGGUCAUUGGGAUAAAUUCUUAUCCUUAUGCAAAUUCUCUUAUAAUAAUAGUUAUCACUCUAGCAUAGUUAUGAUACUAUUUUAAGCACUCUAUGGGAGGUGAUGUAAAUCAUCCAUUGGAUGAUUUGAUGUUGGAGAUGUGAAGCCUUUGAGUGUUGAUUUGGAGAAGGAUACUCAAGAAAAGGUGAGGAGUAUUCAAUCUAAGCUUGUACCAGCCCAAAGUAGACAGAAGAAGUAUGCGGACUAUUAGGUAAAAGAUAUGGCAUUUCAAAUCGAUGAAAAUGUUCUUCUUAAGGUAUAACCCAUGAAAGGGGUGAUGGGAUUUGGCAAGAAAGACGAGCUAAGUUUGCUAUACAUUGGUACUUUUGAGGUUCUUGAGUCUGUAGGGACAGUGGCUUAUAGACUGGCUCUAUCGCCUAACCUAUCGAACGUUCAUUCGAUAUUUCAUGUUACCAUGUUGAAGAGAUAUCAUUGUGACUGUGAUUACAUCAUUAAGUGGAACUCAAUUGUGUUAGAAAACGAUCUUCAAUAUGAAGAGAAACUGAUUAUGAAACUAUCAUGAUGUGCGUAAGUUGAGGACCAAGAAGAUCAAGUCCCUGAAGGUUCAAUGGAAGCAUAGUCCAGUCGAAGAAGCCACUUGUGAAACCAAGAAGGAUAUGUGAAACAUGUAUCCCCAAUUGUUCGUCGACUCAGGUACUACUUCGUUCCUUCCUUAGCUUGUAUUUCCUAAGUUUGUCACUCGGGGAUGAGUGAUGGGUAAAUUGGUAUCUAUUGUAACGAUCAGGUUUUGUCGUUAUAGAAAAUCCAAUAGGUAAUAAUUUUGGAUCAGAAAACUCUUUCAUAGUAAGUUGAAAUUUUCCAACCUAGUUCACAUUUUGACAAAAUUCUUUAAGGUGUGCAGAAAUCUUCUAGCAAAUGGGUGAAUUAUUUAUGAUUUUUAUUGUAUGAGUAGUUAGGUAACUCGUUACAAAAUCCUUACGACUUUAGAUAAUUGAUUUUGGGCGAGUAAAAUUCACGGAAUUGAUUUUAGCAAAAAAGGUAUUUUUUUUAGCAUCGUGGGUUAGGAGUAUGUUGUGAAAUGAGAAUUUUGUGAAUUCUUAAAUUGCUCUCUGUCUAGCAAAUACCGCCUUAGAGCCAGUUUUGGUCGUUGUGGCGUGAUCGACACGAAUUAAAGUCUUUUAUAAACCCUCUAAGUUUUAAACUUUUAGAGCUAAGGAACGAAUCCCAGGCAACUCCUACUCGUUUUUUAUCAUUCUUGAGGCUAAAGGUAAGUUUGUCACUCUCCGAAACCAUUUUUUCGAUCCGUAGAACGUAAUAUAAUGGGUUAAUAUGAUGGGGGAGGAUUUUUAUAUAGAUUCUAUGAUGAAAACAACCCUAAUUAGAUACUUGGAAUCAUGGGUACGAUCAGAGUUCAUAGAAUUGUUAUAGUUUUUGGUAAUUAGCGAUUGUUUGUUGAUUCCCCUGUUAUUAUGAUUGUUUGUAGACCAAGAACAAGUAGAACGAAUCUAAAAAAGGAAAGAUCAAGUUUCUUAGAGUUUCACGCUUGUUAUGAGGUAGGUGAUAGUUGUGAUUCUAUGAUUGUGUGAUGUAUUCUUGUUGUUGCUUCAUUAUGAUGCAGGUAUGUAUGCAAAUGUUGCAUUGUUAAAUUUAACACUUGUUGAACAUGAAAUAGAUGAAUAAUUAUAUUCCAUGAAUCACUUCUUGAUUAUAUGAUUAUUGAGAAUAUACUUAAUAAAUGUGAUUGUGGUGUGUUGAUGGAUCGGAUUGCCACAUUUUGACAUAACUAACUAGGAUCGGUAGUCACGUUUCGACAUAACUAACUGAAAUUGGUUUCCACUUUCUGACAUAAAAAUAGAAUUGGAUUUCAACGUUCCGGCAUAACUAUAUGAUGGGGUACCACGUUCUAGUGCACUAAUAGUUUGGGUUUGGGUUUCACGAGAAGACCAACUAAUUGUGAUAAAUGUGUAUCGUUAAAACAUGUGAUAUUCAAUAUUUUAUAUGUUCGAUAUAUUUCAUGGUUAUAUUAUUGUAUUAACAUGUUUAUAUUGCACUUAGUGGGAUAACGCGUGAUCCUACGAGUAUAUGACGGUUGUUUACUGAUUCUGCACUUGCUAUUAUUUUUGUUGAGUACAUGGUAUCUUUCGGCGGCUAUUGAUAGACCUCGUUUAGAAGAUCUGUGAUUGUCAACUUCGAAUUAAAGGGUGAGCUAGUAUUUUUCGGUAUGCCAUGGAAUUCUCUUUUAUCUUUGUCCACCAUUUUCGUACUUAGACAUUUGCUUUAGUUAGUUGUUUAAUUAAAUAGAUUGGGGUUGCAUCCUUUCUUGUUUAGACUUGUUGAACUUUAGAUGUUUUCGUACAUUGACUUUCAGGUUCUAGGUUAUUUCUUCCGCAUUUGGUUAGUCGAUAGACUUUUGUUGGAGUUUAUGAGAACUCUAUUUAUUUUCUUAGUAAUAAACUUGCUUCUAUAACUUAAAUGUCUUAAUUUUAGAUGCUUGUUUGGGUUGUAGUAGUAGUUCUUACGACGAUUUGGAUCAUGACAAUAUAUUAAAAAAAUUACAGUAUAUUAUUGUUAUAAGUACAAUAUUAUUUAGAAGAUCUUUUCCAAAUUGAUAUAAUGAAGUACCUUAUAACAAAUAACCGAUAUAACGAAGUUCGACUAUACCACCUUUUGGCUAUUACUGUAAAACAAAAGCAUAAUAUUAAAUAACCAUAAAUAAUAUUUACAGGUAAGUCUGUUUGAGAUAAAGAAUUUUUUUAUAAUAUUAUAUAAAAGUAGGAAAAAUAGAUAAGCUCACCCCAUAUCUAAGUGACUAUGAAACUAAUACCCCUUUAACCAUGGGAGGCAAGGAAAGUAAAAGCAAUUAUCUAUCUGAAUGUGAAAGGAAAUAAAAAAUUACAAUUUAAAUAAAUUAACAAUAAAUUUUCUAGGACAAAUAGAGAUCAAUUUUUUUGAAAAAAAUUGAAAACGUUCUUAUGAUAUAUUUACUGUUGUUUUUUUAUAGAUGACAAAUUCACAGCGUAUCAGAAUCAUUAAAGUAAAGAAUAUAACAACCCAAUCAAAUACAAAUAAAAAUACAAAAUAUACAAUAAAGUGAAAGAUAUUUGUAAGAGUAUGAAGUACAUAUGUGAGGAUUUAACAUUUGUAAUUUUUCCACCUUUUAGAAUAUAAGGUUAUAAAUCAUAUUAGAAAAUGUAAAUUCAAAUUCUAGAGGUGUGUUUGGUAGUAAGGUUUUUUUUUAAGAAAAAUAUUUUGGGAUAUAAAUAAUUUUCUUUGAAAAAAACGUCUUUUUAAUGAAUGUGAGAGAAACAAAUUUAAUAUGUAAAUUUCAAAAUAAAUUUAUUUCUUCACACUUAUCCAUCACUCUCAAACCUCCUCCCUGUUCUUUUUCGAACACUCGUUUCUUAUCAAAUAUUAGAAAAUAAGUAAGAAAAUUAUCCAAUUUUCAUGAAAAAAUUUUUCUCCAUAAGACACACUCUUAAGAGUCCGUUUGGACAUGCUAUAUGGAAUUAUAAUUUAAAAUCAGAUUAAAUUGGAGUUAAUUUUGGCAUACAAUUUGAAUUUUUAGAUUAUCUUUUUCUUAUAAACAUAAAAAAGCCACAAGUUAUGAAAACUAUCAAAGUUUUUCCAAUUGUUAUACUCUCACCAAAUGAGCAAAUCGAAAUUCAUAAAUAAGAUAUUGAAAUAUAUUAAGACGCUUCAUUGAUAAUUUUUAUAUAUAUAUAUAUAUAUAUAUAUAUAUAUAUAUAUAUAUAUAUCACCAUGCCUUUUUUUUUAUACAUAAAUAAGUAUUUCGAUAAUAAGCUUUCAAAUACAUAUAAUUUUAUAACGAUCCAUCAGUCAACAAUAGUAGUGAAUAAUUAUUCUUUAAUAUAAUUCUUUCACUUCACAAGGUACAAACAAUCACUUCACACCGAGCAUGAAUAUAUAUAUUUCUUGCAAAAUAAAAAAUAAAGAGUCGUCUUUUAUUUUUUUAUUUUUUUUUUACAAAAGAUAAACUUAUUGGUCAACUUUUACAUUUUAAAAACUAUUUAAAAUCAUAAUUUUAAAUCUCAAAUCAUGUUUUUAGAAGAAUUUGAGAUUUGAAUCGUGAUCACAUACCUCAUGUCCAAACACUAAUUUAAAAUUAUAACUUUGUGUCGCAUAUCCAAACGCAUACCAAAUAUUCUUUGUAAUUAAUCAUCAAACACAAAGAAAAAUGAAUAUAAAUUUUUUAUUUUCAUAACCAAACACCUUCGUACAAGUUCAUUUAAAUUCGUAACUAAUACUAUAGCUCCAAAAAAACAUAUAUUGGGGCAUUUGUUGUUUCAACUUCACUAGGCAGGCCACAUAAAUUAGAGUUAAGAAUCCUUCGAUAUGUACACCCACGAGUAACCAGAAAAGUCCAAGGAGACAUGAAUCUCAAAUUAAAGAGACAGACUAGUCCAAUCAAACCUUCUAUAAAAGGGAAGCAAAAAUGGUACUCCAACAUCAAAUGAUUAUGUCCAAAUCCAUAUAAAAUCAAAGGCAAUCACAAACACAAGAGAUGGAAGAGAAAAAGUUAAAAACUUUAUUGGCUGUGGCAUUUGUACUUUUGUUGGACUUUUUAGUUUUAUACACCAUUAAUAUAUUUUACGCCAUUAGAUUAUUCAAAUGAUAUCUACGAGUAAUUAGCUCUCUUGAAAUAUAGAAUUUGAAAGUCUUGAAAACAAGAUAGUUGUCACUACAAAAAAACAUGAAAUUAGCUAUGAAAUAAUUUAUUGGCUAUCCUUAGCUAAUCUAUCACUACAACGCUUCUAGCUAAUUGAUUUUUUUCUUAUGAUUCACAACUAAAACAUGAAAAUCUUUUAUUGUUUGAUCAUAAAAUCUAUAGCGAUAGAUAAAACACGAUUCGAUGGUGUAAAAAUUAUUUAGUUUGACAAUAAGUUGGAGGAAGAAAUGGGGGGAAUCUUGUGGCCAUAAAGGGGCAUUGAUUUUUUUAAUUUUGCAUGCAUGAGACAUUUGUUAAAGCUCUAUAUGUAUUGGGAAAGUCGUUUAUACUAUGAAAGAAAGUUGUAUGAAGGGUAGAAAUAGGUAGUUUCCUUGUUUAGCAAACUCUUGAAUAGUCCCAUCAAUAAAAAGACACAAACUUUCCUCUCAUAAGCUUGCCUCAAAAGAGAUCACUAUGAAAUAGACUUGUGAUUGUAGCACUGGUCAUUUUCAACUUUCUUUCUUUAAUAUGGCACCACAAACAUGAAAAAAGAAAAGGUUAGUAGAUGUAAUUAUAGCUGACAUCUAUACGUUCAAACUCUCAAUGUGUACAAACAAACACUUAUUAAAAUAGACAUACAGAUCCUAAAAUGGCUAUUUAAUGUCCGACAUGUAUUAUAUGCCAUGCGUGACACAUGCAUAUGUUCAUUUGUUCAACUUUAUACAAGUUAAGUUUAGAUGCUAGCAUAAAUAUACGUGAAAUCAAGUUAAAUGACAUAUUUAUAUAUUAUGCCUAAUAUCUAAGUUCGUAGAGGAAGGAACAAGUUAUAUUUUAAAAAUGAAAUUUUCUCCGCCAAUUUAGUCGAAUUUCAAAAUGAAUAGAUAAUCAGAAGCAUAAGAAUAACAAUUGUCCAAUUGAUCCAUUCGUUCAACUUAUGCCUUCUCUUUUUGUUUGUUUAUAUGAUCCCUUUAUUCGUUCUUGGAAUUAUCGUAUAGUAUUCCUAGAUAUUGACUUCCCCUUUAAUCAAUUUAGGUUGUUGGAGAAAUUCUUAAUUAGAGUAUUUUAUCUCUUUUAUUGAGCUUCAAACGAAUCAAAUUUGAAUUACUUAGAAUCACUAUAUACCACUUGUCAUUAGAGUGAGGAAAAUAUGUCAAAACGAGAUACAUGGAUUUUGAAAUUGUUUACCCUUAAAAUGAUACAAUUAAAUAUUUAAAUAUGAUUUAAGAAAAUGCGAUGAUGAAAAUUAUAUACUUUAGAUAAUAUAACUUGCUUAAUUAAUAUGAAGAUUUUAUUAGCGUCACCUUGACCCGGAUCCAAUUAAGUGUUCAAGAAACUUCGUUUAAAAAAUAGUAACCCUAUGAAAUUGAUCUAGAAGUCUUAUCCUUUGACAAUUUAUCAAUUCACUAUAUUUCGAGUUUACCUUUUAUGUAUUAUAAAUUUUAUUAACUUAUAUUGAUUUAUAAUUAUUGAUAAAUCUCCACAUCAAACUUGAUGUAUCAAUAUAUAUAUAAGAAAACCCAAAAUCACAACAAUAUUAAAUUCUUUGAUGUUGUGGAAAUUUUAUUUGCCCUAAAUAUCAAAAGAAACAAAAUAUUGUAUAGGUUGAUUAGAUAAGCUUUUAUUUGAUAGGAGUGGCAAAGGAAAAGGCUUCACAUAAAGAUGCUGCAACAGUAUCUGUUGAAAUCUGGAGGGACAAUUAAAAUUUAUUAAAUUCAAAGAAUCAUAGAAGUACUACAAGAAUAAUUAUUGCAUAUCCGAUGUAUUGUCUUUUGUGAUUAAAUUACCUAUCUUUCAAGAAUAAACCAUAAUGUCCUGUUGUUAGAAUGGGAGAUUCUUUCCAUAUGUUUCACAUUCGAUAUUUGUAUUAGAUGUUAUUUAAAUAAAUUUUAUUUUUAAGAGAGGCAUUUUCUAUACAUUUUUUUUAUUAUUUUUAAAAAUUUAAAAUUAAAAUGUUUAAUUGAAAAUUGAAUAAAUCUCAACUAUUCUAUCAAAAACACUGUAUUUACAUAAUACCAAUUGUUUUUUUGCUUAUAAUUGUCAUAUAAAUUCAUUUAGUUUAUAUUUAAAAAGUGGUGAAAUGGUCCUUUAUGUUCGAGAGUUGGUUAAAAUAAUUUCUUUUAAGUAUUCCUGAAUAAUUAUUGGUUUUUUAGGUGUAUUAAAAAUUAAUUAUUUAUAACAUUUUGUAUUUACUAAAUUUGACAAAAACAAUAAAACAAUGUUUUGAUUAUAAACAUCAAGAAAAUCACAUCAAAUUCUAAUACUAAUACAAAAAAACUGUAUUAGAUAUUAGAAACAUAUCUUUAUCUUUAGAAAAAAAACAUAACAAGUACAUCUCAAAAUAUUGCAUCUAACUUUAAAAAGAACUACAAAAAGUAUACUUCUAGCCUCUAGUCUAGGUUCUAAAAAUGAGUUCUUUUUCAUAUUUCUUAUCAAAAUUAACUGACAUAAUUUGAUACAUAUUUGACGAAGACUAUGUGAUCGUUUGUCAGGGAGUAUUAGGAGAAAUAAUUCAAGUAUUACGUGUGGUGUUAGUUAAUAUUAUGUUUGAUUGGAGUUUUGUGUUUGUGUAUUAUCAAUCUAGGGAUUAGUUAUGCACCCUACACCGUAUUAGAAGAUGUAUAACUAUACUAUCCAUUUGGUGGUAUUAGCUCUAAUACCAUGGAAUUAUUCUAGGUAAAGACCAAAAUACCCCCUUAAAUUCUUUAAAUAUAUUUUUUUUCAUUAUUUAUUUUAUAUUUUAUAUUUAUACUAAUAAAUUUAUUUAAACAAAUUAAAUUACAAAUUUUAUUAUUUAGAUAUAAUUUUUUGUUUUUAAAAUAUGUGUUAUUUAAUCUAUUUAUUAUUAAUAUAAAAUAUUAUAAUCCGACUAAUAUGCUAAUGUUGAUGUAUGAAUUUAAGAACAAUUCAUAAGUAAGAUAUUGCCUCUUAACGAAAGUCCAUUAAACAUUACACAAGUAAUAUAUAUAUAUAUAUAUAUAUAUAUAUAUAUAUAUAUAUAUAUAUAUAUAUAUAUAUAUAUACACACACAUAUUCAUACACACAUCUCGAGUAUAAAAAUAGUUUAAUUUAUUUGGCAAUAUUUAUUUUAUAUUUUUUAUUUCACGAUGAAGAGUUUUUUAAAAAUUUAUUGAUACAAAACAAAGUUUAAUAAAUUUCUCUAUUAAUCAUUAUAGUUGUGUGACCUUUUGAGAUAUUAACUCCAAUUUAUUAAGAUGAAAAUUAUUUACUCUCAAAUAAUUUAAGUGAGAAAUAGUGCAUGAAAAUAAAAAUUUUAUUCUCCUAGCUAGUUAAUAAUGUUAUAAAAAAUAAUAUUCUCCGUUUAAUUAUCUACCUUGACUCAAUUACAUGAAAUAAAAAAAUUCAUAAUAAUUCUAGGGUAUAAUUGAAAAGAAUUUUUUUUGUAAACAUUUAAACCACACACAAAAUUAGAUAAAAAAUAAUGAACCAAACACUUGAUAAAAAUAAUCCUUCCAUUACUAAUUCCCGCAGUACCAAUCCCUGCAUUAUUGAUUUUUCUACCAAAUCACCCUUAAAAGUAUUAAGUUUUAGACAAAUUCAAAAGACCAAAGACAUAAUUGAUGAACUAUUUUGGAUCUACCUUCGAAGAUAAGAGAUCGUUUUUGUCAUUUUCUCUCAAAAUCUAUUUAAUUUAUAUUUUAAAAGUCAAAUUCCUUUACCCACACUUCCCUCACAUCUAAUAAGCAAGAGAUUGCCAUUUUUUUCCUAAAUCAAGGACACUGACAUUAAUUUAGACACUAGCAUAACACAUCAUAUAAUAUCAAGAACCUUUGGGUGAAUUGAAUAACCUAAAUAUAUAUAAUUCCAUAUUAUAAUGUUAGUCACAAAAAUUAUCAUGCUUCUUUCACAUUAUCAUACUAUAUUACGUAUUUAAUUUAUUUACUUGAUAUAAAUAUUAAAUACGGAUAAUUUCUUACAAAUAUGAUACUAUCCAUGGUAGGACCAAUUUUUGAAAAGACCUACUCCUUACCAAUAGAAGAAUUCCGUUAAGAGUUACAAAGUACACUUGAUUUAUAUAUAAACUAAAAGUUGAAAUCACAAGCGAGUUUAAUUUAUGUGAUAUAUUUUUUUAAUAUAAAAUAAUUUAAUUUUAAUUUUCCAAUUAAUUAAUAAUAAAGAAGCUUUCAUAAUCACAUGGAUGUGUGAUGCAUUUAAGCUCAGAGUUUCAAAAAAAUAUCAUUUAACAUCUAAAUGAUAUAUAGCAAGUUUAAGAUUACUCAUUCUAAUUUCUUUCUUAAGCAUGGUGUUAAUUGAAAUUAUUACUCUCUUCGUAAAUCCACUUUUAUUUGUUCAUUAUAUUACGUCCCUUUUACUUGUAUAGUUUAAUAACUCAAGAAAUGAUUUAUAAUUCCUAAUUUAUUCUUAUUAUGAACUAUAGGCCUUUUCCAAAAUAUUAACUAUAUAUAAAUGCUAGUUUAAUAAAUUGACGUUACAUUUAUUAUUUUAAAAAUAUGUUAAUUUAAUACUGAACAAGUAAAAAAUGAACAUCUAUUUUCGAGGAAUAGUCCAAAAGAAUAAAUCUAGCUAGAUACAAACCCCAAAACCCUAUACCUUUUGCCUUUUAUUUUACUCUCAUCUUUGAACUUUUAUAUAUAUAUAUAUAUACACUCUUCAAAGUCCAAAAAAAUAUAUAUACUUGCCUACUUAUAUAUAUGUCUUCCUCAUCUCCUAAUUCCUCUUGUCUCAACUUAUUGGAAUCUGCUGAUCAUAAAAUUAACACCAUGGAUCCUUCUGAACAUCUUUGCUAUGUCCGUUGCAGUUUUUGUAACACUAUACUCGCGGUACGUAUUAUUAUUAUUAUUACAUAUUUAACAGACAUAUCUCGUUGAAUUAGUCCUUUUUUUUCGAUAAAGGGCAAUAGAAUAGAAAGACAUGAAAGUUCAAUAGAAAGCUACUAUGAUUGUUUUCUUCUUAUUAUAUAAAAUAUGAUUUGACUUUUAUUUAUAUAUAGCAUAAGAUAAGAGAUAAUAAAUCUAUUUUGUCAAAUCACAUGCUAUAUAUAUAACUAUCAUUUCUCUCGUUCUUCACUUUUCAACUUUCUAUUUUUCAUAUUGUCAACAUUUGUUUUUUUUUUAUUUUAUAUAUAUAUAUAUUGACAAUGUAAAUAUAAUAAUAAGUCAUUAUAUUGGUGACAUGUAGUAGAGGUUAGUUGUAGGUAGUAACGAAACUAGAAUUUAAAAAUAUGAUGUGAGGCUAAGACGAUUCGACAGUUACUAUAUGUACAUAUAAAAGUAUAUUUUGAACUUUUAAUAUAUAAUUUUAUUUUUUAAAUUGUCCAUGCAUAUAAUUUAUAAGGUAUUUGUCAUUUCUUGGUUAUAAAUAGGUGGGAAUACCAUGCAAGAAGUUGUUGGAUACUGUGACAGUGAAAUGUGGGCAUUGUGGUAAUCUUUCCUUUUUAAGUAGUAGACCUCCAAUUCAACCACAAUUUUUUGAUCACCAACCCAUUCUUCAGGUAAUUAUUAUUAAAAUUACUUUAAAUAAUUAAUUAAUUUAAUUUCCAUUUUUCAUUUUUUUGUAUAUGUUUUCUUUUUGUUAAAGCAUCAAGAUUUCUUCAACAAUUUCAAGAAGGGACAGUCUUCAUCUUCAAGUGAACCAUCAUCUCCAAAGGCACCUUUUGUUGUAAAACGUAAGCAUAUAUAUAAUUUGUAACAUAAAAAUUUACUUAUGUGACUAAACUAUUUCUUGUCAUCAAACUUUGCCCCAAAAAGCAUAAUAAUUAAGUUACUAACUAAACAGUUUAUUUUUGUAAUAAUAGUUAUUAUUCAACUUUGCCUAAACACUAAAAAGAUAAGAAAUUAGAGAAAAAUUAAAUUUCUUAGUUAAACAAUAAUAAUUUCAUGCUAAUCUCAUUUAUUUAUGAAUUAGCGACAUAAAGUCCAAUUAAUUAGGAGCUAGUUAGUUGCAGCUAGUUUAAUAUAUUUUUUUCAUAGUAAAUAUCAUAUAAUAAAAUGUCUCUUUUAUCUCUUUAUAAUGACUUACUUCAAUAUUUACGCAAAGUUUGAGUGAUUUUUUUUAAAAAAAUAUAGUAAUUUUCAUGUUAUUCUUUUUUCUUUUACAAAAUAUAAUAAAAUGACUAUAUAUAAAGUAAAAAUUAAGUGAUCAUCGAUACAAUCAACCCUCUAUUAAGCUUAUUAUAUAAACUAAUUUAUGUUUUUUUUUGUAUUCUAUGGUUGAAGCUCCUGAGAAGAAGCACAGGCUACCAUCUGCUUACAAUCGGUUUAUGAAGUAAAACAUCAUCUUCAUGUUUUUAUUGAUAUUUUUUACGUGUAAUAAAAGACCGCUAAACACUGUCUACUAGUAAAUUUACUUUUUUUUAAAAAAAAUCAUUUUCUUAUUUUCAUUCAGUUUAAUUUUUAAAUGCUCAUAGAUUAUAUUCCCUCAAGUCUCAAAUUAUUUUCUCAAAAUAAUUGCCACUUUAGUUUUUCAAGAAAAAAGUAAUUAAUUUUUUUUAUAUUUUUUAUCCUUAAUAGUAAUUGUUUUUCAAAAUUACAAACAAGAUUAUAAAUAGUCAUAUACGUAUUCUAAUCAAUAUUUUCCUUAAGGAGAAUGUAAAUAAAAAAAAAUACAUGUUUUUCAUAAAAUCAUGAUUAUUUAUUUAAAUAAUUAUUCUUAAUUUAUUUAAUUAUUAUAAAGGGAUGAGAUACAGCGUAUUAAAGCAGCACAUCCACAGAUACCACAUAGAGAAGCUUUCAGUGCAGCAGCUAAAAAUGUGAGUUAAAAUGAUUAAUUUUUUUGAAAUUAAAGUUUAUUACAUUAAUUAUUUUUUUAUAGCACAUAUAUAAUUACAAAAAAUAAUAUAAUAUAAUAUAAUAAUUUUUUCAUAUAGUGGGCUAGGUACAUUCCAAAUACUCCAAAUGGGACCUUGGCUGAGAAGUGAGAACUACAACAAUGUAAGAUUUUAUCAUUAUUUUGAUUAUAUUUUAUCAUCAAAAGUUAAAUGAAUUUAAAUAUCGCUUUUUUGAUAUUUUAAAUUGUUAACUAGUAAAAUUUAUAACAUUUUUUGAUGUUUCUAACAAAAUAAAAACAUAUAUUUGAAUUUACACUGAAAAUUAGUUAAUUUGAUCUUGAUAAGUUCUUUUUAUUAAUUUCUUAUAUAUAAUGUAUGGUGAAAUGAUUGUCUAACAUAAAUAUUAUUUUUGAUUAAUAUAGGUUAAUUUAGCUUUGGAGGAGUGAAGCAAAAUUUGGAAUUUAUGGAAUAAUUCUACUUGCACUGGAAGAAAAUUAAUAUUUAUGGUUGACUUUAAUUUGGAGACCUUUUUAAUUAUAUAUCAUGGAUGAUUAGUCUCUAAUGUUUGCUAUUUUCAAGUUUUGUACUGAAAAAUUUAUCCCUAUAAUAUAUUUGGUUUCUAGUUUUUAUUUUAUUCUGCUCAUUUUGAUUAAUAAUUUUACUUUCUUUAAUCUAAUAUUCUCAUUUUCUCCUUUUAGUUAUGGAAGACCUCUCAAAAAAAUUGAAAAGAAAUUUAUGUUUAUUUAGCUUUAUUAGGAUAAUAUGAUAGAAGUCCAACACAAAAUUUCUACAUUGAUCCCUUUUUAUUUAAGAAAUAAUUGUUCGAAUAAUUUCUUCUAAAGACUCGUUCAAUAAAUAGAGGAACAAAAUUUCCAUAAUGUUCAUAUGCACUCGACAUGGAAUAGAGGGAUAGGGGAAGAUUGUUUACAUUAACACUAUUUUGUUUUUAUUUGAAUUAAACGGAGUGAUCAAAAUUAUAGGAAAAAUCUUUUUGACCAGAAUAGCAUUUUACCUAUAUUAUUUUAUCUUUUUGAAUAUUUUUAUCAUUUUAGCUUUAAUAUCUUUUAACUAAAAAUAGAAAAAAAAAUUAGUUUAUUUUAAAAUUAAAAAAGAUAUUCUAUUUUUUUUUAAUUUUAUAGCUAUAUUCUGGCCAAAUUUUCUGGCAAUUUAGCAUUACCCAAAACAAUAAAGCAAGAUAAAUGAUAUUUAAAGUGAUAAAUAAUCUUAUCGAUCAAUCAAGGUCAAAAUCAUGAUUAGCCUGUAAUUGAGAUUGAAAUAAGCACAUGAUCAAACAUAUACUCCAUCCAGAAAUAAUUGUCAGAUUUAGAUGAUAUAAUUCUCUCAAGAAAAAUUUAAUAUAAUAUGUAAUUUGACUAAUAUAGCCCUAGAAAUAAUUGUCAGGUUUAUAACAAUAAUUCUAAUGACUCUAACAUUUAAAGACAAAUGAAGUUUAUACAGAGAAUAAAUACAGAGAAUGGGCUUUUGGUAUACGAAGAAUGGAUAUUUACGUGCUACUACUCUAAUGACUCUUAAAAAGCUGUACUUAGAAUGGUUGAUAUUUUAUUGAAAAUUGCAAAAGCGACCUUUUAUUAAUUAAAGUCUUCUGUAACUUUAGCUCAAUAAUUAUUAAAAUGAAUAAUUAUUAAGGAUAGAAUUGGAAAAAAUGAGCUAAUUAGUUGUUGAUUGUUUAAAUUGACAAUUAAUCUUGAACAUCUAUUUUUACUACACCUAAUGAUUAUUUCUGAACGAAGAGAAUACAUUUUUAAACCAAACUAGAAACACUAGUAAAAGCCCUUGGGAAAGAAAAAUAUGAAGUAUUUAAGGUCAAGAAAAUAUAAGAAUAACAUGAACUCUUGAUAUACCUUCGAUAUGUAGUGAAAUAACGCUACACAGUGCAUAUUCUUAGAUUAGAUGAAAAUCAUUGGUGUGUUUUUUAUUAGUAAUCAAAAAGUUGUGAUUACUGAGAAAGUGAUUUAAUUUUUCUUUCAUAUUGAUUAAAUAUUUGAGAUAGAUAGUGUGCUCUAAUUUUGAUUCAUUGUGACGUCCCUGAUAUUAGCUAUAUUUUUUAUUUAAAAAUUUGAUAAAAUUGGGAGCGGUCAACGUUAUUGCUGAGUACAAUUUUUUUUAAAAAUUCUAUACCGAUUAUUUAAUGUUAUGUAUGGGGUUUACGUGUAGGAAAAUUGUAUGAAAUAAUAAACUAUUAAUUCAAACUAAAUGUUAUAGCCAUAGUUUCUUCUAUUUGUAAUUCGUAGCAAACAUUCCAUAUUUUUUGUCAUCCCAUUUGUAUACCGAAAUAUACAAAUGUAGGACCCAUUUGUAUAUCAAAAUAUACAAUUAGACCGAAAUAUUCAAAUGCAGAACCCGUUUAUAUACUGAAAUAUACAAAUGCAGGAUCCAUUGUAUACCGAAAAAAUACAGGACCCAUUUGUAUAUCGAAAUAAUGAAGAACCUACCUGUAUACCGAAAUAUACAAAUAGACUCAAAUACAUAUUUUCAUGUAUAUGCAUACCGAAAUAUAUAGAUUAAUAGCCAUAGCAAAUAAAAAAUUUGUUAUGAAGCGCAAUUAUACAAACUAAUGUUUGCUAAACCUAAAAAUUUUCAGUUGAGUCAUCGUAGUACCUUAAAACUACCCAACUCUACAUAGUCUUAAAACCGCCCCCAUAACCUUUCUAAGUAUCACAUUUUUCUAGGACUCUUCAAAAUGCUGAAUGAAACCAUUUGAAUCCUCCAAAAAUAGUACAUUUUGAAAGAAUUCGAUAAUAGUGUGACAAUUUUUUUGAAAAGUCCGAACAACAUAGGUCAUCGUCUUUUCAUAUUAGUUCAAAGGUGGGUAAGGAUCUAUUAUUGAUGUCCCCUUGCAUAAGAAUAGGGAAUAUACUUGAUCCAUCACAAAAGGUCAAUAACCACACUAAAUUAAGAAAAGAUGGAACUACAAAAUCCUGACAAAAGAUUAGAAUGUACUAAGUUCCACAUGCUUUGUGCCCCCAUAUUGUUGUACAUUUUGUUGACAAGAGGGAGCUUGUAACCCUUAGGCCCUACUCUGAAAAUCUUGUGCAAUCUAGUUUUGAGGCUGCUGCUUUAUCCAGAUACCAUACUAAUUUCCCUUUAUUUGGCUGGACCAUCUUUGCAGGCGAUGACGGAACGUCAGGUCCGACAUCAUCAAUUGCCAAAUGUGCAGCCUCUGCUUUGCUGCUUCCAGUUACAACCACAGCCACAUUAGAAGCAGAGUUAAUGACAGGCAAAGUAAAAGUAAUCCUCUCCGGAGGUGGCUUAGGUGAGUCGGUAACAAAAGUUACCCAUUCGUCUUUCUCAUCGAGUAUGGAGUGAUCAGGGAAUAGAGAUGCAAUGUGACCGUCAGGUCCCAUCCCGAGUAAGAUGAGGUCAAACUUGGGGCAGUCACUAACGUCUGAAACGCUGAUUACACGAGUCCUUACUAGCUGUCUAAUUACAAACUCAUAGUCUUCAGCAGCCUUCUCAGCUGUCACUGUGUCGUUAAUCGAAUGUACAUGGCUUGGAACUAUAGGGACCUGAAAAAAUGAAAACACAAGUGAGUAUUGCCUUCAAUGUACUAUCAUACAACCACGAUUUCACCUCCUUAGUCUCUCUUUUUUCGUUCGUUUAAGUAAUUAGAGUAUUGUGGAUAAGAAGAGGGAAACUUUACUAAAAGUCUAUCAUUUUUUUCAAUUCCUUCACCACUCGUCUCUAUACCAUUAAAACAGAUCGAUGAGACUCGUAUAACAAUAGUUAACACCAGAAAAAAGUAUAAUGGCCGUACAGAAUAUCUAAACCUGGCCAUCAAACUUCAUAAUUGUAUAUACAAUUGCGAGUCUUUUCACAUUAAGUUGAUUGUUGCACUCGAGCAAUUACAACAACGGAUUCAAAGUCCGAGAUGUGUGGUAAAUUAACUAGACAAUCAUAUUCCUUGUAAUUGAGAUAUGGCUAAGGUGGAUACAAUAUCGGAACAAGAAUGAUGGAUUUAUCCUACCACAAUCAAUGAUAAGCAAAACCGUAUAUGGUUAUACGUCAUAACUAUACUUCCAGGACAGAAGAUAGAAAUAUGAUGUCAAAAUACACAAACCAGGUAAAAAAGAAAGAGGAGAUAAGUGAACAGGUAACAGUACACUUUCGUGUUUGAUACUUUUCCACAGCUAGCAGAUUACAUAAAGGUACUCGAAAAUGUUAGACAUGACUAGCACGAGAAGUCUACAUGAUAUUCGUAAAUGACCAAAGAGAUGGACAGGCCUAAAAGGAUAACAAGAACACAAAAGCUUGGAAGAUACCCUGCAUUUUCAAGCCGUAUCAUACGUGGACAAUUUUAACAUAAACUAAUUCUUCCACAAGGAUGUUGUGAUCGUACUCUUAGAGUGAAAUAUCGAGAUCUGACUAUUGUAAACUCCAUCAUCCCAAAACAAUUUCUUAGAAGAGAUCUAUUUUAAAGAUCUCAUGACAAAGAACACGUCUAUAAUGAAUCACAACCCGUACUGAGGCUCACAACUACAAAUACUGAGCAGAAUAAAGUUGAAGUCGAGACGUUUACCUUAGACAAAAAAACAUCUUUGGCUAGCUUGUAAUUACUAUCAACAUGAUUCUUCGCCACAACACGUUCGUCCACCCAAAAUAUAUACCAUUUGGACCAAUCAACAGUCUUGCUGUAAGGGACUUCACAUAGUUUUCUGCUUCCUCCAAGUUUUCAAACAUAUUUACACAAUCUUAUAGUAAAGGCAACAGAACAAAUAUGAACAGAUAGUGAGUGUGCUUACGUACGUAAUUAAGCUAAUGAGGGAUCCACCAGAUAACGCGAUGGCAAAUACUCCCCUCUCUUUCACAGAAGCUUCUGAGAGUUCUGAAAUAUAGUCUGCUAGAUCAGUGCUUAGUUCAUCCAAAUACUCGUAAAUCUUCACCUCUCUUCCAUCUUCUUUAGAUCCCGAAAAAGCCAUCGUUCACUGCACAAAUCACAACAUACAAGAAGUCAACUACAAUUGGGACCUAACUAGCUCAUGAAGGUAGAAUUGUCCAAGUCCAUGUAAGUAUACCACCAGUCUAUUUUCCCAAUUAACGUGAAACUCUAACCCACUCUAGCACCCCGGUUCACGCCCAGGCCUCAAUCCAAGCAAGUCGGGGCAGAAUUUUUCCAGUACAUUUCUACUAGCAUCCUGUAAAGAUGUGACACUCAGGUCUAACUCAACCCCAAAAACUACCUCAGGCUAGAAUUGUCCAAGUCUAUAUAAGCAGACCACAAGUCCAUUUUCCCAACUAACAUGAGACUCUGACCCACUCUAGCACCCCGUUCACCCCAGGCCUCAAUCCCAAGCAAGUCGGGGGAGAAAUUUUCCCGUACAUUUCUACUAGCAUCCUGUAAAGAUGUGACACUCAGUUCUAACUCAACCCUAAAAACUAUCUCAUGCUAGAAUUGUUCAAGUUCAUAUAAGCAGACCACAAGUCCAUUUUUCCCAACUAACAUGAGACUCUAAUCUACUCUAGCACCCCAUUUACGCCAAGGCGCAACUAGAGUGUGGAGCGAAAGCCCAAACAAAAAUGAACAUGACACUGAUACCAUGAUACCAUGUAAAAGUAUGACAAUUAUUGUCAAGUGCAUAUGAACGAAUCACCCUUCCAUUCCCCAACCAACGCGGGAUCUAGCCCACUAUAACACCUCUUUCACACUCAAACAACUGGAGCUGGAUCGAGAGCCCAAAUUUGACGAAUACAUGCACAACAAUUAGUCAAAGUACAAAUUUCAAGAAAAGUCUUAAGCAAAAUUACAGCUUCUUUUUCUGAAAAAUAUCAUUGUUCUUCUUGAAGUAAGUCACUAAGAAAGAGUUCAACAGUCAACCAAACAUGACAAUAUAGUAAACCACAUAAUUAAUAAAAUAUACAAAAUCAAACAAGCAGUGCAUGUAUAAUUUAAAACAAACAAAAGGGAAUUAAGCAAGUAAACUAAAAGUGUAAAAGAUAAAAAAGGGAACCAAAGAUAAAAUAUAAAAAAUCAUGGAAAUCAUAUAUACAAUUUUUUUUUGAAAAAAAAACUGAAACCAAGACAGAGAGAGACAGAGUGUCUUACAGAGGAGAAGGAAAUUAAAGAGAAAAAGGGAAAAAAUGGGUCUCAGCAAUUUCUGAAUCUAUAUGUAUAGAUAGACUUAUACAUCAACACCAUAUGGCAUAAGCUAAUUUACUACUCUUCAUAAUGUGGACCAUCAAUUUAUAUCUAAAAGCUAACCAAAAUUGUCAUAACUACUGCUCUCUCCGUUUUAUAUUAGUUAUUCAUAAUUAUAAAUAAUAUGAACAGAAAAUAAUCAAAAAUAUCUUCAAACUAUCUGAAAUAACUUAAAUAUAUCAUUGAACUAUAUUUUGGCUCAAAUAUACCCUUUCCGUCAAUAUAUAAAGAUCAAAAAUACCCCUCUUAUUAACAUAAUCAGUUAACUUAUUUAGACUUUCAAAAAUAUUAAUUAUGGAAGAAAAAUAAUUUUUCAUUUAUAUGUCUAUUUUUUAUUUAAUAAAUGAACAAAUAAUUUAAAACAAAAGAGAAAUGUAAUGAUUUGAUCUUACCUAGUAAAAUAAGAAAAACAUGAAUCUAUGUUCAAUACGGAAUCAAAGAAUCUCCCUACUUUAUAUUAGUUAUUCACAUUUAUAAAUAAUAUGAAUGAUUUUACUAAUAUGUCUUCGUAUUCAUUUUUUUUAAAAAAGAAAUUUUUAGAAGUUUAUAACUUAUUUAGGCUUUCAUAAAACAUUAAUUAUAAAGAUAAAACGAAUUUUUAUUUAUUUAUCUAUUAUAAAUGAACAAGUAAUUUAAAAUGAAAGGGACAUGUGACAAUUUGAUCUUAGCUAGUAAAACAAGAAAAACAUGAAUACGCAAUUAACGGACCCCCCCCCCACACCCACCCACCCAUUCAUUUGUGACACUCCUUUCUCAUGGAGUGAAAGUUUCAAAUCAUAGUUAAAGCGAGUUAAAUUAAAACUGUGAGCACUUUUACACUAUACGUUUGAGGUGCCUUAUUUGAUAACUAUUUAUAAUAAGAUGAACAUUUAAUAUUAAACGGAAAAAAAAUGAUGAGCACGUAAGUUUUUAUGUUAAGAUUUUAAAAAUGAUAAAUGUAAAGUAGUGAUAUUAAAAAGUAUCGAUAUUAAACUUAUGACUCGCUAAAUAUAGCAAAUUAUAAAUUUGUUUUUUUUCUUUAACGUUAAAUUCAUAUAUAUUAUCUAUUUAACAAUAAAUAAUAUAUAAAAAUUUAAUUAAUUAAAAAAACUAAUAUAAAAAUUUAAAUUUUAUUAAAAAAAUUAAAAAUAAAUUUAUAAAAUUUAAAUUCUCGAUUCACCCAUAAAUCUGACACAUUUCACCUGGAUGUGAAAUGACUUUUGGAUAUGACAUACAAGAGAAUUUACUUUGUGGGGUUCCUCGUGCGUGCGUACAGAGAUCACGACAAAAUAACGCACAGAAGACUCUCUCAAGUAAAUGGAUUAUGAUCUAUGUCGGAAAGUUAAAAUUAAAGAUUUGUUAAUAUUAAUGAAAUCGAUAUAAUAUAAAUAUGUAUGUUUAUAUAUAUUUAAUUUUAGGUAUGUAUAAAUAUUAAAUAAUUAAAUUUGUAUGUAAUUAAAUAAAUACAUAUAUGUCUUAUUUGACGUUUUACUUGUAAUUACAUUAUAUGCAGCAUUCUACAAUACAUGAUGUCUUAUUAUCUUACGUGUAUUAUAAUAAUGUAAGAUAUAUAUGUAUACAUGUUUAAUUUUAUAAAAUCUUUAGUAUUUAUAUUUACACUCCAAUUAACAAAAAUAAAUGUCAGUUGAAUCAAAGUUAAUUUUUUACUUUUACACGCUUAAAAGAGCGUAUAUUAUUAUACUUUUUGUCAAGCCAGCGUUCAGAUGGCAAAGUUUAGCAAAUUACAAUAUUCAGAUAGAUAUUGGGACGAUCAAUAAUAAUUGAAAUAUAUAUUACUCUCUGUGUCUCAAUCUAUAUAAUGUUUUUUUAUUUUAAAAUUCAAAUAAUUUAUCUUUGAUCAUAAAUUUUUCAUAUAUCUUUUAAUUAUUUUGAAUUUGUAAUUAUUGUGACUUAUAAUACCUUUUACGAAGUUUACAAAUAUAUAAAUUUUAUUUUUAAAAAAUUGAAGAUUUCACGAGCAAACUUCUAAAUCAAACUUAAACUGUUUGGCUCUCAAAAAACAACGGAAAAAGGUACAGUUGGGAUAUCACAUAAAUUAAGACAUAAAAGAUAAAUAAAAAGCGUCAGGUUCGAAUAUUCCUAGAUAUUAUGCCUAAAAUCUUUUCGCGGAGGAAAUGAAACACAUGUUUUUAAUUUGUACUACAAUGAUAAGUGAGUUGGACCAUUUUUGUUUGAAUAUUUUAAUAUAUGCAAUGUGGUGAUUAUCUUGAGAUAUAUUUAUUAGUACUAAUGUCUCACUUGUUAUAAUAUUUUUAGUACUAAAAUGUCUCACUUGUUAUAUAAUCAUUACUAAAGAGAUAAGCUAAUUCAUUUGCUAUGUUGAGUCAAGCAAAUCAUUUACCUUUUAUGGAUAUAUAUUGAUGAACAUUUUGUUUAAUGGGUUCAUGUGAACCUAUUGCUACUUGGGGUCAAUUAACAAUUUACCUUUGUUAGCUAAUACAAGUUCUAUGAGAGAAUAGGCAUGGACUUGUCUUGUUGUUUUCUAUUGUAUGGUUGCUUUAAAUGCAUUGUUGUCGUCUUUUUUGUAUGAAUGCAUCACCCUUAUAAUGUGAAAAUGAAUUAUUAUGUCAUUUCAAUACAUAACGAUGGUUUUCUAAUAUUUAUAUUGGAGUUUUACUAAUUAAAAUUUGUGUUGAGUAAGAUCGUUAAAUAAAAAGUAUUUUCUAUCAUAAUAUUUCAAUACUAAUAGUUCGAACUCAAAAUCUGAAAUUAUGGUUGGAUGCAUUCCAUUAUUUAAAGUGGUUUGUAUCCUUAUUAUGGUUGGAUGCAUUCUAUUAUUUAAAGUGGUUUGUAUCCUUACUUUACUUAUCUAUUUGACGAAAUAGAAUGAACAACUUUUUAUUCUCGAAUUUUCUGAAUUUGAUUCAGUCAGCCUCAUGACAUAAUCGAGACUUUUGAUUAUCGACAAAUGCUUCACCAAAAAGACCUAGAGUUUUUCAGUUGUUACCUAGAUGGAAUAAAUUAGCAUAUCAUCGCGCUACUAAACGAAGAAGUCACUAUAUGACUAAGACCUCAACCUUUUGAUGUCAUCAUGAGUGUUUCUACUUUCACAAGAACCAAACUUAUGUCAUCUUUCAUUGUGUUUAGGCCUAAGUCAUCUCCAACCACUCAAAGUUCUCCGCAUAAUUCAUUUAGAUACCUCAACUAAUCCUUGUGCCAAUUGAACAUUUUAUUUGUUCAAAAGUCAUUCCUAUUAGACACAAAAUGGUGACAUGGCAAAAAGCGUGUAGUUCACUUUCCUUGAGCGCGUUAAUUUAUUAAAAAUAAUAUUUUUCUUUUUUUUCUUCUUAAUUUAUACCCCUAAGGUAAUUUUUUUUAAAAAUAAUUAACAAAAAAGAAGAAGAACAGUUGUCUUCUUCUUCCCUAUUUCUAUCAACCCCACCCCAACCCCCAUACCCAUGCACUAGUGGUUAUCUUCUUCCCCCACCAUUCUAAUGAUUUCAAAAUUCUUAGUAUCAGUGGUUAUCUUCUUCCCCCACCAUUCUAAUGGUUUCAAAAUUCUUAGCAUUUUGUUUCAUUUAUAAAUUUUUUGGAGAGAUUUUUUUCUCUAUCUUUCUCUACCUAAAAAACGAGAUGAAGUAAAAAGUUAUAAUUAAUAAAAAAGCUGAUGAAAAAAAAUUGUCGGGUUAAAGAUGGAACUGUACAGGGAGGGGAGGAUCGCCAUUAAUGGAGUUAGAGGGAAAUGUAUGUUUUGGAUUCCAGUUGAAGGUAGGGAAGUGGGUGUUUAAGUUUUACUUCUUCUUUUUUCUUUUUUUUACUCUAUAAUAUAAUGUUUAAAUAAUUUUUUGGAUUAAAAAAUAACACAUGUCAUUAUUUAAUUGGUCAAAUUGAUAUGUCAGAGCGAGUGUAUUUCACACAUCCUUUAUUUUUUGUUUAUUAUCAGAAAAAUGUUCAAAUGGUUCAAAUUCAGAAUGACUGAAGUGUUCAAUAGGUAGGACGUCUAGUUGAGGUGUCUAAAUGAAUAAUCGAAACAAGUUUGAGUGGCCGCAUAUGACUUUGGCCAUGUGUUUAUAGACAAAAUAUCAUAGCAACCAUCAUUUUCUUUAGUUCAUCACCACACACACCAUCAACGGAAAUAAAAUAACAAACUAAAAACAAAACAAAAAAGUAGAGGAGGAAGAAAUGAUGAACACAUCAAAGGUAAUUUUGGAAUCUGAUCCAUCAUUUAAAAAAAAAAAAAGAAGUAAUGGAAAAAUAGAGAGAAUCGAAAAAUAAAAUAUAUUAUGUAUCUUCAUUUGUAAUAUCAUUAUAGAGAAUACUAUAAACUCUACGAUGAUCAUUAAAUAUCUAGUUUUCGCUAACUUUUUUUUUCCAUGCUUACUAAGUAGUAGAGUUUUAUCAUUACAAUAGGAUCGAUAAGGUAAGGUCUUGCCCCCUUGCUUGUACUCUUCUUCGAAGGUUCUUUUAUUUGUUAAUGAAAAUUUCUUAGUAUAUAUAUAUAUACUAAAGAAAUUACAUAGGGUUAGAGAUUUGAUAUUUAAAAGGUUCUUGUGAAAAUCUUGGAAAAGAACUCUGAAAGGACAGAUUCUCUCCUCUUUGGAAACUCUUUUUAUGUUUAUCCCUGUUCAUACAUAGAGCGAAUCGGGGUUGGGAAAAAAUAGUCAAAAAACUCCUCUCGAGUCCGUCUCGGGACUCUACUCUCUUCCUUGCCUUUCCAAGGAGCCGUAAAGGCUUAGAAGAUUUCCAUCGAGUCAACCCGUCAAAGCCAAGGAUCAUGUAGAAGGAUUGAAGAGUUGAAGAAGUUGGAAGAAGAGAGACCGGAAGAUUCUUAUUUAUUUUAUAUAGUAUUUUUUUUAUUUUGUAAUGGGCAUAAGCCCUUGUCGCUUUACUUCCUCAUAUUUUAUUUUGUAUGUUUAGCUUAGGACAGGUGAACGGGUCAAAACCCAAAACAGGUGGGUCCAAUUUCGGUCAAGGCGAACAGAACCCGGAGUUGGACCCAAAAUCUCUUUCUUUCUCUCCCUCUCUUUGUUAGUUGUUUUUUUUUGUUUAAUGCCGUUAGUUUAGGAUUGGAAGACUCCAAACCCCAUCGAACGCCUUCUAUUUUGUCAAAACUUAAAACUAAAAAUUAAAACUUCAAAACGAUUAGAGGUUUAAAUUUGAAAGACGCUUAGAGUUAAGUUUAAAAGGUUUAACUUUAAUGGAAUCUAAAAAUGAUGAAUAUGUCAAGACUGGUAAAGUUUGUUUAAAUAGAAAUCUUAAAAGUUCAAAGAUUUGCAAACUUAAAGUUAAUAAAAUAGUCAAAUAAGUUAAUCGCCGGUAAACCGUAAGUUAGCAGAGUGUCUUAGGUGCCUUACACCUUCCUAAGACAUUAAUAUGAAUCCUGAACCUCCUUAAAAAUGUUUCAAAAACAAUUUUUUCUGUUUAAGUUGUUUAGAAACAAAGUUUUCUUGAUUUUUCUUAAAAAUAAAGUGGCGACUCCCAAAAGUCGAAAAUAACUCUAAAAAUAAAACAAACUCUUUUUAAAAAAUACUUUUCGAUAAAACAUCAUUAAUGAUCGGUUCAGAGAUGUUAUCGUUGGUCACUAAUUAUUUUGUUCUUCGCUUCAUUUUGCAUGUAAAAUCUGUUUGAGUUUGCCAAGAACUCACAUUUUCCUCUCAUAUAGUGAGUCAUAAAGACUCGUAUUCCCUCUCUUUGAGUUAGUCAGCCGAAAAUUGACGAGUAGAUCCCGGAUGAAAGAAUUUGAAGCGGAAGAAGUCGAACAUGUUGAACUAAAGGGCCCAUUUUUAUUUUACGCAUAUAUUUUGUUAUGUUUUAGGCCUAAGCCCUUGUCGUUUUUUAUUUUCUGUAUUUAUUAUUUAUUAUUGUAUGAUUAGUUUAGGACAGGUACAAUGAAAAAUGGGUCAAAAGCUCAAAACAAAUAAGUCCAGAUAUCGAUCCAGGCAGACAAAAAUAGGAUUCGGACCCGACACACUCUCUCUUUUUACUUUCCCGUGUAUUUAUUUGUUGUUGAUUGCCUCUAGUUUUAGGGUUAUAAAUUUACAAACCCCAGCAAAGCGCCACUAUAUUUAACGGUUUAAAUUAAUCGAUCGACUAAAAAGACUUUAAAAUGACUUAAAUAAUUUCGCGAAAUAAAAUAAUCCACUUAGAUAAUAGGUUAGUAUCUUUACAUUUCUAAACAAAUUUUCAAAUCAAAUUAAAGGUAGACAAUUUUUAGCCAAGUAAGUUAGUUAUUGGACAAUUGCAAGUUAGCAAAUAUUUUAGGUGUUUUAACAGCCUUCCUAAAAUAUAAAUAAGAAUCCUCGAACUCCUUUAAAUUUUUCAAAAAUAAUUUUUCUGUUUAAGUCUUUUGAAAACUAAGUUUUCUUGAAAAUUAAGUGGCAACUCUGAAAAAGUCGAAAACUUGUAAAAAAAAUUUUUUGAAAACGUUUAAAACAGUGGUAAGACUGACUUUAUUGUAUGGGGCAAAGUGUUGGCUAAUAAAUAACUUUCAUAUUCAGAAAAUGCAAGUGGAGGAAGAAUAUUGAGACAGAUGCAUGGGCAUACUAUGAGAAACAAGAUUAGAAAUGAGAAUAUCCACAACAAAGUAGAGUGACAUUCAAGGUGGACAAGUUGAGGGGGAAAAGGUUGAGAGUGUUAGGGCAUUCAGAACUAUGUUGUUGAUAUUAUGAUUAUAUGUAUUACAACAUUUUUAUUAGUUGUCAUGUUUUCUUCACUAUCACUUUUUCUUUUCAUUACUACUUUGAGUUGCUUCUCUUAAUUCGAACGUCUUUCAGAAAUAAGCUUUCUACAUUCACGUUAAGGUGUGAGUACACGAUUUCCUCCCCAGACCUAGUUUAUGAGACUUCACUGGAUAUGUUACUAUUGUAAUGUAACUCAAAGAGGGAAAAAUAACCAAAUUAUCCAAAAGAAAUUCAAAAAAAUAAGAGAUCUUAAACCCAUCUAGGAACUUGAGAACUAGGACCUCGACUAGGAGACUCGACCAACAAAGUGGGACCCUAGAUCCAACUUUGACCUCGGCACAAGAUAUGACCCAAAUUUCGACCCCAACCCAUAUCAAGACAUGGGAUUAAACUAUUACAGUAACAUAAUAUUUGUGUUUUGGCUCCACCCCUAAUCUAGGAUCUGACUCGAACUCGAAAUUUGAGCUCAACUCAAAAAUCAAGACUCAACCACAACUCAAGACUUGAGCCAAGCUGAAAUUCAGCCCUAGAUUCAAGACCAGAGACAUAACCUCAGUCUGAGACUUCGAACCAUAACCCAAGGCUUACCUCGAGACCAAAGAUCUGACCUCAACCUAAGACUCGAUAUCCAACCCUAUCCCUAAGACGUAAGACUCGACUCCAACCUCAAUUGAGACACAACCCUGACCUAAACUGAGGACUAGAGACCUAAUCCCAACCUUAACAAGAGACCAAAUACCCAAACCCAACCUUGAUAUAAACUAGAGAUCUGACCCCAACCUAAGAUCCAAAACUUGAGACCUUACCUUGAUCCUUACCCCAAUCUAGUUACAGAGAUUCAAUCUUGAUUUAAGGCUUAGAGAUCUAACUCUAGCUUCAACCUUUAUUUGGGACUUUAGAUUCGACACCCACCUCUAUAUAAGACCCAAUACCCGAUAUUGAACCUUGAUCUGAGACCCAUUACACAAUAUUUAACCCUACCUGAGGCUUAGCAUAACCCAGUCAGGGAUUCGGGACUUGAUUUCGACCUUGACUUGAGACUGAAGACCCAAUAUGAUCUGAGAUUUGAUCCUAAUGGAUAUGAUGAAAAAUAUUGUGGAAAAAAAUUUGCGAUUUAAUCAUGAUAGAAAACGAGUUGAAAUUGAGAAUAAAAAUGGGCUAAGUUGACAAUCAUUUUUAAAUGAGUUAUGCAUGGAUGAUUUAAAAUUUAUUCAAUUUCGAAUCAUCUUUAGCCCAACCCAUAAAAAUCUGAACAUAUUGGGUGGGUCUAUAUUUUUGGGCUGAAUUGUAAGUUACCUUUAUGGAAAAAUUACUUAACUACACAAUCCAACGUUAUUUACCUCCCUUCCAAUCCAACGUUUUUUUUCCUAUUUUUACGUCUAAAAUCACUCCCAUAUAUCAACAGUUACAUCACUCACUCAAUUUUUUUUAUUUUAAAUCUACUCUCUCUCAAGUUCAUCAAUUUCAAGUUCCUAAAGAGGUAGAACUAUUUCUUCAUCAAUUUUUUAUUUUCAGUUCUUCAGAUUUCAUUUUUAAUUAAAAAAGUAAUAUUUUUAAUUUACAAUUUUCUUAUAGAUACGAAUUCUGCUCCGUCUUUUUAGUAUGGUACCUUGUGUAUUUUAUUUUAAUGAUGAAAAUAGAUCUAAUCAACUUAUUAUGAUUUCGACGAUGAUGAUUGAGCUGAAAAUAGAUCCAAAAGAUUGUAGGAUCCAUUAUCAAUGAAGAAUGAUAAUACUUAGAAGACGAAGUCGAAGAAGGAUGAAACUUCAUCUUUUAAAGCAAAUGUGGAAGAACCCCAAAUAGGAUAGAACUGUUGCAUCUGCUAUGUGGUGUGUUAUCAUUAAAGAAAAUAAUUUAGGAUUAACAAUCUUAGGAUGUUGGUUUUUGGAUAAAUGGUUAUUUCUCUAAAAAUUUUGUUAUUUUGAAUUUAAAUUUUAAUGUAUUUAAAUUAGAUCUCAGUAUGUAUAUUUUUUUUUAAUUUUUUGUUAUAAUUAUAGUGCUUGUGAUAUACAAUACAAAAUAGGAUACUUUUAAAAAUUAUCUGAUACAAAUAAGUUUUAUAAAUAUAAGUAUCACACAAUUUUAUCAUUCAAGAGGAUGUUUAUUAAGUUAAAGAUACACUUUAUAUCUAACCACGACAAUGUGUAUUUCAACAUGUACCAAUUACACAAAUUAAUGUAUCAAAUAUAUUAUUUUAUUUUUCCUUUUAUAUGUGAUAGUUAACAUAAAGUUACAGUAAAUACGGUCGUUCACAAUCAUGAUGUAUCAUAUACAUUAUUAUUAAAAUAAAAAAAUUAUAUUAUAUAAAUAUUUUACCAUAUUUAUAAAAUUUAAUUGUUUAAUAGUGUGAUUAAAUUAUUUUCCAGCAAAAAUGUACACAAAGUUGAACAAAUUUCUAUUUAUUAAUAUUUAACAGUUACAAUUCAUUAUAUUGGAAGUUGUGUAACGACCCGCUAGGUUGUUUUGAGAACUAGGACUAGUCUGACUCCUUUUGAAAAUUUAAAGGGGUAUUUUUUUAACUAUUCGAAGACUAAGAGUAUUUAGUUGAUAAAAAAUUUUAGUGAAGAAUUAUUAUAGUUAAUAGUUAGUGGGUCAUAUCCAUAAUUCAUUUAAUACCUUUUUACUUGACCCAUUAAUUGAUUUAGGUUAGUGGGGUUAGUUUAUUUAUUUUACUUAAUUAACAUUAGAAGGGCAGAAAACAAAAGAGGUAGAAACUGAUUUUUCUUUGGGCAGUGUAGAUUACAGAACGUGAGAGAACCAACGAAAUCUUCAGGUAAGAAGCAAUUUGAAAUCUUGAUUGUUAUAUGGAUCUUAAUGGAUGUAAGGUAGAUGGAAAGUUGAUCCCUUGUUCGUCUAUUUAUUAUUAUAAGUUCGAAGAUUUAGAGGAAAAUUAGCGGAGAACGGCGUAUAUUUUCUUUGCAAUAGCAGUUUGGAGUAUGUCGUUCCUGCGACUAUUACUAGAAGUUUUGUUGUUACACUUAAUGAAGUUGAGGGAAAAUAUUUAGGAUCAUGUGAUUGUAUUUAUAGGAGGAGUGGAUGGAAAUUUUUUUGAAUUAAAAUAAUUAAAAGGAGACGAGGAUAAGCAUGCUUAGCGUGAGAAAACAGCACUGCGUUAAUGUGACUUAUUCAUUAUGCAGUAAUGCUGUGUAAUGUUGGAGGAUAAUGGCAUCCUGCCAAUCAUUGGCAAUCAUGCCAAUCAUUGGAAAUCAUGUGUCAAUGAUUGGCCAAGAUUCUUUAACAAUUGCAUAUUAAGAAAUAAAUGACCUGCAGAUGGUCAUGUUGCAGUGCUUUUGUUUGUCUGCAGUGACCUGCUUAAGCUAAUUAUCAAGUUUAGAUUUAAAUUCAAUAUAUUGAGAUUGGUAAUUAAUUAUUAGGUAUUAUUUUAUAUGAUCUAAUAUUGAAUUGUAGUCCAUUUGAAGAGGUCAGAGUUAAGUUCUUGGCUUGAAAUUUAGCAAGUAUGAAAAAUUUGGCAUACCAAUAUAUAUCAAGAUUUGGAGUUUGGUUGAAAAUAUGAGUGAGUUUUAGCGUCUAUGAUAGACAUAUAAUAAUUUGAAUGUCUACAAAAAAAUUGCUUACUUGCGAAUAUUGCAAAAUUGGUAGAUUGGGAAUGUUCUGAAAACUUGCGAAAAGGAAAGGAAAAAUCUUAAAAGAUUCCUGGCACAAGUUCGGCAUCUAAGGUAUGUUAAGACUUUUUAGACUUGUUGAAGGACGUUUUCCUAAUUAAAGAUUAAAAAAUGAAAAUAGACAAUGGAGUAAGGGGGAAAAAUGGUGGUCUCGUAUCAAUGGUGUGACGGGCAUUGGUACGAGUACCGGUGAUAUAAAAAGGAAAAUUUCUAUUAUAGAAUGUGGAUUGAAAUCUGAGAAUGCAAAAGCAUAUGGGCAUUAGCUGAUAUAUUAUUGACUUGAAUUCCUCGUGUGAUUGUGUUUUAUUUAUUUCACCCGUAUAGUUGUGAUAAUUGAGGUGGUUAUGUAUUAUGUUCAUAUUGAUUGAUUGAGAUGCAUCAUCAUCCCCUCUAUUGAAAUAAUAUUGUGCACAUGCAUAGACAUGAGAACUGAGUAUAAGUUGGGCACGUGGAGAUUGUCCGUGCUGAGGAUGGUGAGAUGUUAAGAUUAUAAUUUGGGCACGUGGAGACCGUCCGUGCGAAAAUUGUUUGAUAUUAUGAUAAUGCGUUGAGAUGGUCCGCACAGACACGUGGAGAUCGUCCGUGUCGGUAUAUGGACCUCGCGAGUCCCCCAUGGGUCAUGAACUCUCGAUGUAUUUCCGAGGAGUAUCAUGUAUAUACGGUUGAGUGAGUACUGGGUAUUCUGAGCCAUAUCAUUACACAACAUCAUAUUGCAUUGCAUUUCAUCCCAUCAUUCAUUCUUGAUGACUAUACGUUUCGUUUGGUGUUUGGAAAAUAUUAAAUGUUGAUUUCCUUUAUUGAUGAAACUUAAUAGUAAGUGUAAUAUAUAUAUAUAUAUACUUGUACAAUCUAAGAAUUUAUUUUCUUAUAUAACUCCCGUCACUACUUCUUCGUUGUCGGUCAAUGAGACAUACUGGGUACACGUGGUUUCGUACUCAUACUACGCUUGUUGCACUCUUUAUGGUGCAGAUUCGAUUCCGAGUAGGAGCACAUCUCGUGGAGUAAAUUGAGUCCGGCUUGAGGUUCUUGGAGUUGUGGUGAGCUGCUUGGCUGUUCUGUGGCCCACACCUCCCUCUAUCUUUUAUUUAUUGUGUUAUUAGUAUUCAAACAGGAUAUCCCUUAUGUUAGAUUUGUCAUUUAGUUUCAGACUUUCUUCGAAUUUUAGAAGCUCUUGUACUUAAGACACCAAUUCUCGGGGUGAUAUAUUUUAUCUUCCGCAUUUUGUACUUAUAAGGAACCCAAUGUUGGAGAUUCUUGCUAAGCGUUGGUCUUUUUUUUUACUCAUUUGUUGGUUUAGUUGGGUUAAUAUGUUGGGUUGACUUACCAAUUGGUUGGGAACAUAGGUGCCAUCAUGACUUGCAAAAUUUGGGUCGUGACAAAUUUGGUAUCAGAGCACUAGGUUCAUCGGUCUCAAGAGUACAAGAGCAAUGUCUAGUAGAGUCUUGCGGAUCGGUAUGAAGACGUCAUACCUAUCUUCGAGAGGCUAUAUGACAGUUAGAAAAUAUAUUCUGUUCUUUUAUUCAUUAUCGUGCACACUUGACCUUGUAGAAAUUCUAAUCUUGAUAUCUCAUUCUCUCUCAGAUGGCGAGGAAUCGUACAUCGGCGAGUGGUGGUAAGGAUCCUAAUCCUGCGCCUGCUUCUGGGAACACUAUCCGAGGUAGAGGUAGGGGACGAGCUCGAGGUCGGGGUAGGGGCCGUAUUGCAGCACCUGUGGGUGGUCAAGUACCAAUAGCUACUCAGGGUCAUGAUAGGACCGUACCUCCUGAUGCAGAUGUUCUUCAUGGGGAUGUGUAAGAUCGUGUCGAGGGGGAUGGGCCAGCUCAGGCUCCAACCAGUACUAUUGUUCCCCCAGUGCUUCAAGAUACCCUGGCUCGUAUGUUAGGAAUCCUAGAGGGGAUGGCCCAGGUAGGAGCUUUGCCUGUCACUUCUGAUGGCUCACAGACCCGUGUUGGAGGUCAAACUCCAGAUCUGAUAGUUGCUCCAGAUUCUCAGACUCCCAAGACUCAGCCAGCUGCCACUGUAGCUCCUCGUUUGGAUAGUAUGGAGUUUCCAGAUAUGACAUCACAUUUGGUGAACAGGCCUUCUAUGACUAUUGAUGAGCAAAAGAUGUUUGGGAGGUUCAGACUAAUGAAUCCUCCUACUUAUACUGGUGACUUAGCUGAGGAUGCAUAUGAGUUUAUAGUUAGUUGUCAUGAGAGGUUGCAUAAUCUUGGAUUUGUGGAGUCUCAUGGAGUGACUACACAGCGUUUCAGAUGACUGGCACUGCUAAGCAGUGGUGGAGGGAUUAUAUUAGUAGUAGGCCAGCUGGAUCUAAUCCACUAUCCUGGACUGAGUUUACUCAGGUAUUUCUAUCCAAAUUUGUUCCACGCAGUGAGAGGGAGCGCAAGAGGGCCGAGUUUGAGGGUUUGCAGCAAAAUGGUAUGUCAGUUGCAGAGUAUGAGGGUAAAUUUCAUGCCUUGGCUAGGCAUGCUUCUAUGAUACUUCCCACAGAGGCUGAGAGAGUGAGGAGGUUUGUUAAGGGGCUGAUUAUUCCAAUUCGUCUAGGAGUUUCUCAGGUUGCUGCUUCUAGUGUUCCAUUCCAGAAAGUGGUAGAUGCUGCUAAGGAGUUGGAGAUGAUUCGACGUGAGGGAUUUGAGCAGCGAGAGGGCAAGAGGACUCGUUAUUCCGGUGAUUAUGGUGGUGCUCCGUCUAGGAGUCGGGGUUACUUGGGCAGAGGUUAUCACCCUCAAUCCAGCAGACCCAUUCAUGCUGCUAUACCAGCGUCUGAGGCUGGUUACGCUGGGCAUAACUCUUUGAGCUCGGUACAUACUUCGCAGGGUUCAUCUUCUAGACCUGUAGUUCGUGGAGGACAUUCUGGUCAUUCAGGUUCCUCUCAUCAGUCUGCGUCUCGUAGGGGUUGCUUUGAGUGUGGUGAUAUGGGACACUUUGUGAGAGACUACCCUAGGACCAGACGUAGUGGCUUACGUCAGGGUUCUCAGGCUUCGGCUUCCAGGGUUGCACAACCUCCAGCUAGGGGUGGUGCACAGAAUGGUAGAGGUGGUUCUCAUUCUGGUAGAGGUGGUUCUCCUUCUGGUCGAGGUGGUGGUCGUGGAGGUUCACAAUCUGAUGGAGGUCAUUCUCACUGUUAUGCUUUUCCAGGUAGGCCAGAGGCUGAAGCCUCAGAUGCUGUUAUCACAGGUAUUAUUUCGGUUUGUCAUCGACCAGCUACUGUAUUAUUUGAUCCAGGCUCUACUUAUUCUUAUGUGUCCACAUAUUUUGCUCCUAGUCUGGAUAUAUUGUGUGAGUCUCUUGAUUUGCCGAUACGUGUUUCUACUCCUGUCGGGGAUUCUGUAGUUGUAGGUCGGGUGUAUCGUUUAUGUACUGUUACUUUGAUGGGGUAUGACACUUAUGCAGAUUUAAAGGUCUUAGAUAUGAUAGAUUUUGAUGUGAUUCUUGGUAUGGAUUGGUUAUCUUCUUACCACACAAUUUUAAAUUGUCAUGCCAAGACCAUCACUUUAGCGAUGCCUGGAAUUCCUAUAGUAGAAUGGAGAGGUACUCUUAGUCAUCCUUCUAAGGGUGUUAUAUCAUUCCUUAAGGCUCGCCAGUUGGUACAGAGAGGAUGUUUGGCGUACUUGGCCCACAUUCGAGAUACUAGUAUUGAGACUCCUAUGCUUGAGUCUAUUCCAGUAGUGAGUGAAUUUUCAGAAGUAUUUUCGACCGAUUUGCCAGGUCUUCCACCAGAUCGAGAUAUUGAUUUUUGUAUUGAUGUGGAGCCAGGCACUCGGCCUAUUUCCAUUCCUCCUUAUCGUAUGGCACCAGCUGAAUUGAAGGAGUUGAAGGAGCAGCUGCAGGAUUUAUUGAGCAAAGGUUUUAUUAGACCAAGUGUAUCUCCUUGGGGUGCUCCAGUGUUAUUUGUGAAGAAGAAAGAUGGAUCUAUGCGUAUGUGUAUUGACUAUCGGCAGUUGAACAAGGUAACCAUCAGAAAUAAGUAUCUGAUACCUCGUAUUGAUGAUUUAUUUGAUCAGUUGCAGGGUGCUUCAGUUUUCUCCAAAAUUGACUUGAGAUCUUGCUAUCAUCAACUGAAGGUUAGGGCGGAGGAUAUCCCUAAGACGGCUUUUUGAACACGUUAUGGUCAUUACGAGUUUUUGGUGAUGUCUUUCGGACUGACUAAUGCCCCAACAACUUUUAUGGACUUGAUGAAUGGAGUGUUCAGACCGUAUCUAGAUUUCUUUGUUAUUGUCUUCAUAGAUGAUAUAUUGAUAUACUCACGCACUGAGGAGGAACAUGAGCAUCAUUUGAGGAUUGUUCUUGGGAUUCUAAAAGAGAAGAAGCUUUAUGCAAAGUUUUCAAAGUGUGAGUUUUGGCUUAGUUCGGUAGCAUUCUUGGGACAUGUAGUGUCCAAGGAGGGUAUCAUGGUGGAUCCUAAGAUGAUUGAGGCGGUUAGAGAUUGGGUCAGACCUACUUUAGUUACUGAGAUUCAGAGUUUCUUGGGCCUUGAAGGUUAUUAUCGACGAUUUGUUGAGGGUUUCUCAUCCAUUGCAUCCAUUAACUAGAUUGACACAGAAGGACGUGACUUUUCAGUGGUCUGACGAAUGUGAGGCUAGCUUCCAAAAGCUCAAGACUUUAUUGACUACUGCUCCGAUUUUGACCCUACCCGUGGAGGGAGAGGGUUUUGUUAUAUAUUGUGAUGCUUCUCGAAUUGGUCUUGGUUGUGUGUUGAUGCAGAAGGGAAGGGUGAUAGCUUAUGCUUCGAGGCAGUUAAAGGUUCAUGAGAAGAACUACCCUAUUCAUGAUUUAGAGUUGGCGGUUGUUGUGUUUGCAUUAAAGAUUUGGAGGCAUUAUCUUUAUGACGUGCAUUGUGAGGUGUUCACGGACCAUCGUAGCCUCCAAUAUAUAUUCAAUCAGAGAGAUCUGAAUUUGAGGCAGCGGAGAUGGUUGGAGUUGCUCAAGGACUACUACAUGACUAUUCUUUAUCACCCAGGCAAAGCAAAUGUUGUAGCAGAUGCCUUGAGUGGGAAGGCGGUAAAUAUGGGUAGUCUAGCCAUGUUACAGGUUGGCGAGCGUCUUUUAGCUAGGGAUGUCCAAUCCCUGGCCAAUAGCUUUGUGAGACUGGAUAUUUCAGAAUCUGGUAAGGUGUUGGCUUAUAUGGAGGCUAGGUCAUCCUUGUUGGAGCAGAUUCGGGCUCAAGAGUUUGAUGAUGGUGAUUUAUGUAAGAUUAGGGACAAGGUUUUAAAAGGAGAAGCCAAGGCUGCAAUUCUUGAUAGUGAGGGAGUUUUGAGGAUUAAAGGUCGUAUAUGUAUUCCUCGUACAGGUGAUUUGACUAGAUUGAUCAUGGAGGAGGCUCAUAGUUCGAGGUACUCUAUUCAUCCGGGGGCUACUAAGAUGUAUCGUGACUUGAAGCAACACUAUUGGUGGUGUCGUGUGAAGAGGGACAUAGUAGAUUUUGUAUCUCGAUGUUUGAAUUGUCAGCAAGUGAAGUAUGAACACCAAAAGCCUGGAGGUAUGACUCAGAGGAUGCCCAUACCUGAGUGGAAGUGGGAGCGCAUUGCUAUGGACUUUGUGGUAGGUUUGCCACGUACCUUGGGUAAGUUUGAUGCUAUAUGGGUCAUCGUGGAUCGACUGACUAAGUCUGCACACUUUGUACCAGUUCAGACUACCUAUAACUCAGAGAAGUUAGCCAAGAUCUAUAUUCAAGAGAUAGUUCGUUUGCAUGGGGUUCCUAUAUCUAUUAUUUCAGAUCAUGGCACCCAAUUUACCUCUCAUUUCUAGCGGUCUAUGCAGAAAGAGUUGAGCACUCGGGUGGAUCUUAGUACAGCCUUUCACCCUCAGACUGAUGGUCAAUCUGAGCGGACUAUUCAGGUUCUCGGGAUAUGUUGUAGGCGUGUGUGAUUGACUUUGGUGGUCAGUGGGACCAGUUCUUGCCUCUAGCGGAGUUUGCUUACAAUAAUAGUUAUCACUCGAGCAUUGAGAUGGCACCAUUUGAGGCUCUGUAUGGCAGGAGAUGUCGAUCUCCAAUUGGCUGGUUUGAUGCAUUUGAGGUUAGACCAUGGGGUACAGAUUUGUUGAGGGAGUCCUUGGACAAGGUCAAGUUGAUCCAAGAUAGACUUCUCAUGGCUCAGAGUAGGCAAAAGAGUUAUGCAGAUCGAAAGAUUCGUGAUUUAGAGUUUAUGGUUGGAGAGAAGGUUCUACUUAAGGUUUCACCCAUGAAGGGUGUGAUGAGAUUUGGAAAGAAGGGCAAGUUGAGCCCAAGGUAUAUUGGUCCUUUCGAGAUUGUUGAGCGUAUUGGUGAGGUGGCGUAUCAGUUGGCUUUGCCACCUGGGUUGUCAAGUGUCCAUCCUGUAUUUCAUAUUUCAAUGCUUAAGAAGUAUCAUCAGGGUGGUGAUCACGUGAUUCAAUGGGAUUCAGUGUUACUUGAUCAGAAUUUGACUUUUGAGGAGGAGCCAAUCACCAUAUUGGAUAGGCAAAUUCGGAAGCUAAGGUCCAAAGAGAUUGCUUCAGUAAAGGUUCAGUGGAAGCAUCGUCCAGUGGAGGAGGCUACAUGGGAGACAGAGGCAGACAUGAGGAGUAAAUAUCCUAAUCUUUUUGAGCGUUCAGGUUAGCACUUUUCUUUUUACGAACGAGGAUGAACUUUUGUUUAAGUGGUAGGUGAUGUAACGACCCGCUAGGUCGUUUUGAGAACUAGGACAAGUCUGACUCCUUUUGAAAAUUUAAAGGGGUAUUUUUUUAACUAUUCGAACACUAAGAGUAUUUAGUUGAUAAAAAUUUUUAGUGAAGAAUUAAUAUAGUUAAUAGUUAGUGGGUCAUAUCCAUAAUUCAUUUAAUACCUUUUUACUUGACCCAUUAAUUGAUUUAGGUUAGUGGGGUUAGUUUAUUUAUUUUACUUAAUUAACACUAGAAGGGCAGAAAACAAAAGAGGUAGAAACUGAUUUUUCUUUGGGCAGCGUAGAUUACAGAACGUGAGGGAACCAAUGAAAUCUUCAGGUAAGAAGCAAUUUGAAAUCUUGAUUGUUAUAUGGAUCUUAAUGGAUGUAAGGUAGAUGGAAAGUUGAUCCCUUGUUCGUCUAUUUAUCAUUAUAAGUUCGAAGAUUUAGAGGAAAAUUAGCGGAGAACGGUGUAUAUUUUCUUUGCAAUAGCAGUUUGGAGUAUGUUGUUCCUGCGACUAUUACUAGAAGUUUUGUUGUUACACUUAAUGAAGUUGAGGGAAAAUAUUUAGGAUCAUGUGAUUGUAUUUAUAGGAGGAGUGGAUGAAAUUUUUUUUGAAUUAAAAUAAUUAAAAGGAGACGAGGAUAAGCAUGCUUAGCGUGAGAAAACAGAACUGCGUUACUGUGACUUAUUCAUUAUGCAGUAAUGUUGUGUAAUGUUGGAGGAUAAUGGCAUCCUGCCAAUCAUUGGCAAUCAUGCCAAUCAUUGGAAAUCAUGUGUCAAUGAUUGGCCAAGAUUCUUUAACAAUUGCAUAUUAAGAAAUAAAUGACCUGCAGAUGGUCAUGUUGCAGUGCUUUUGUUUGUCUGCAGUGACCUGCUUAAGCUAAUUAUCAAGUUUAGAUUUAAACUCAAUAUACUGAGAUUGGUAAUUAAUUAUUAGGUGUUAUUUUAUAUGAUCUAAUAUUGAAUUGUAGUCCAUUUGAAGAGGUCAGAGUUAAGUUCUUGGCUUGAAAUUUAGCAAGUAUGAAAAAUUUGGCAUACCAAUAUAUAUCAAGAUUUGGAGUUUGGUUGAAAAUAUGAGUGAGUUUUAGCGUUUAUGAUAGACAUAUAUUAAUUUGAAUGUCUACAAAAAAAUUGCUUACUUACGAAUAUUGCAAAAUUGGUAGAUUGGGAACGUUCUGAAACCUUGCGAAAAGGAAAGGAAAAAUCUUAAAAGAUUCCUGGCACAAGUUCGGCAUCUAAGGUAUGUUAAGACUUUUUAGACUUGUUGAAGGACGUUUUCCUAAUUAAAGAUUAAAAAAUGAAAAUAGACAAUGGGGUAAGGGAGAAAAAUGGUGGUCUCGUAUCAAUGGUGUGACGGGCAUUGGCACGAGUACCGGUGAUAUAAAAAGGAAAAUUUCUAUUAUAGAAUGUGGAUUGAAAUCUGAGAAUGCCAAAGCAUAUGAGCAUUAGUUGAUAUAUUAUUGACUUGAAUUCCUCGUGUGAUUGUGUUUUAUUUAUUUCACCCGUAUAGUUGUGAUAAUUGAGGUGGUUAUGUAUUAUGUUCAUAUUGAUUGAUUGAGAUGCAUCAUCAUCCCCUCUAUUGAAAUAAUAUUGUGCACAUGCAGAGACAUGAGAACUGAGUAUAAGUUGGGCACGUGGAGGUUGUCCGUGCUGAGGAUGGUGAGAUGUUAAGAUUGUAAUUUGGGCACGUGGAGACCGUCCGUGCGAAAAUUGUUUGAUAUUAUGAUAGUGCGUUGAGAUCGUCCGCACAGACACGUGGAGAUCGUCCGUGUCGGUAUAUGGACCUCGCGAGUCCCCCAUGGGUCAUGAACUCUCGAUGUAUUUCCGAGGAAUAUCAUGUAUAUACGGUUGAGUGAGUACUGGGUAUUCUGAGUCAUAUCAUUACACGGCAUCGUAUUGCAUUGCAUUUCAUCCCAUCAUUCAUUCUUGAUGACUAUACGUUUCGUUUGGUGUUUGGAAAAUAUUAAAUGUUGAUUUCCUUUAUUGAUGAAACUUAAUAGUAAGUGUAAUAUAUAUAUAUAUAUAUAUAUAUAUAUACUUGUACAAUCUAAGAAUUUAUUUUCUUAUAUAACUCCCGUCACUACUUUUUCGUUGUCGGUCAAUGAGACAUACUGGGUACACGUGGUUUCGUACUCAUACUACGCUUGUUGCACUCUUUGUGGUGCAGAUUCGAUUCCGAGUAGGAGCACAUCUCGUGGAGCAAAUUGAGUCCGGCUUGAGGUUCUUGGAGUUUUGGUGAGCUGCUUGGCUGUUCUGUGGCCCACACCUCCCUCUAUCUUUUAUUUAUUCUGUUAUUAGUAUUCAAACAGGAUAUCCCUUAUGUUAGAUUUGUCAUUUAGUUUCAGACUUGCUUCGAAUGUUAGAAGCUCUUGUACUUAAGACAUCAAUUCUUGGGGUGAUAUAUUUUAUCUUCCACAUUUUGUACUUAUAAGGAACCCAAUGUUGGAGAUUCUUGCUAAGCGUUGGUCUUUUUUUUACUCAUUUGUUGGUUUAGUUGGGUUAUAUGUUGGGUUGGCUUACCUAUUGGUUGGGAACAUAGGUGCCAUCACGACUUGCAAAAUUUGGGUCGUGACAAGUUGAAUGUAUUUUUCUAAAGAAAAUGUAUCACUUUUCUUUGGGUAAGAAUGUUUAAGAUCGCGUGUUGUGACUUUCAUGUCUACAACAUCCACAACGAUUUCUGUUCGUAGUUGGCUUAUCACUUGAGUUCUUUUUCUUUCUUUUCGUGACCGUCCAAGCAUUCUUUUGUAUCGAGAUGACAAGACAAUUUCUUAUCAGGUAAUGGAACCAUCAAAUCUUUCAAAAUUACUUGUUUACCUUUCAAGGUAAACAACACAAUGUUUCAUCAGUUGGCUUAUUGUUUUUAUUAAGUAUCAAUUUGACUGAUUUAUAAUCUGUAGUUAGAAUUAUGUAGCAAGUACAAUUUUACAUUUUUAUGUAUUAUAUUAAAGCUUAUUGUAUCUAUUAAGUAUCAAUUUGACUGAUUAAUAAUAGUUAGAAUUAUGUAUCAAGUACAAUUUUAUGUUUUUAUGUAUCGUAUUAAAGCUUAUUAUUUAUAUUGAGUAUCAACAUCAUUUUUUUCAAUUGCAGAAUAUCUGAUACUUGAUAAUUAGUAAAUACAAAAUUUAGAAAAAAAGAUAUUAUGUAUAUGAUAUAUCGUUGCUUCAAAUGAUACCUUUUUUAUUUGUCGUCUCUUUUAACUUUGACACACGUCACAACUAUUGAUACUAUUAUUCUAUCCAAUACAAAAUGUACAAACAAUUAAGUAUCAGACACACAACAAUGUAUACCAAACUAACUUUAUAAAAGAUUAAGAAUUAAAAAAUAUAACCAGAAUAAAAAACAUAAUAUUUUUCAUUUAUCGCAUCACAAAUAGUAACCUAAAAGUACUUCAUAAAGUAUCUAAUUUGAGAAUUGUUAGACAAGAAGCAGAAAAGUACUUUUAAAAAGCAAGCAUCAAGAAUCUUUCAGGAAGAAAGUACAUGUUUGCGUCGCUUUUUUCACCUUUAACACACAAUUUCACCUGUUAUUGCAUCAAAAUUUUGUAUGUCUUCAUCACUUUUAUCUGAUAUAUCAAUGCAAGUGAAUAUAUACCGAAUCCUGUACCUUAUGUUUCAUCGUUUCUAUGUACAAUUCACCCCCCAUAUCAUUCCGAAUACACAAUGGAGACAAAUUACCUUCAACAAUGUAUCUAAUCUCGAUAUUUUUUUUCAAUUCAUUAAUACCCAAUUCAGUUGCAAUUGUUGAAAUAAGAUUUACGAACGAACUAUUUUCUCCAACCACUAUCACAUCACUUCUAUAUCUCUGUAUCUAACAUCACUUUUUUGCAUGAUCCAAAAUACCUUAACAAGAUCAAAAUAUUCAUUUUGAAUCUUCACAAAAUUGUGUUUCAAAAUUGUUUUAAUCAAACUUUUAAUGUUUUUUUCGAAGAAUAGGAAAGAAGAUUUCACAAUUUGAAAUUUUAAAAUUAUAAUUCAGUUAGAGGUUUAUGACUGAUUGGUUGAAGGAAGAAACGUAUACGUGAUUUGUGGGAAUCAAUUAAUUUCUAUUUUAAUCCCUUAUUUAACGCUUAAACUGAUAACAACAACUUAACAAUUUAAGUAUCAACCUUUAUUAAUUAAAAUAUCUGCCUACAAUAUUAUGUAUCCGAAAAACACUAAAAAAGGGGAUUUUUAGUAAUUAAAGAAAGAGUAGGGAUAGGAAGUAAUUUCUUUCUUAUACUAUGUGAUUUGUCUAAUUUUUACUUUUUUUUAUCUCCAUAAUUUGUAUUUAACAUAUCGAUAAAUAUUAAUUUUUUUCAACUAGUUUCAUUUAGAUAUUUGAACUACGAUUUGUUUCAAGUAAAUAUUUGAAGUUCAUAUUAUACAUUAUAGAUUCAAGUUUUGAAAUUUUAUUGUGUUUGUUCUUAAGUUUUUAUUAUUUAAAUAAGUUAAAUACAUAAAAUUUGUCAUCUCUUUUAAUUAUACAUAUCAUUGUCAAUACGGAACAAAUUAACAUGAGAUUUUAAUACUUAUUUAUGCUAAUUAAAUAAUUGAAAAAGAUGACAUAUUUUAAAUAGUUAACUUAUCUAUGUAAUUAGCAUUUGAUAACGUUCACAUUUUUUCUUAGAAAAUUUAAACCGAAAGUGUUUAAUCAACAAUUAUGAAAGACUUCACGUUUGUUCUAAUGAAAAUGAAGAUUGGGGGUUCAAGGGGAAGUGGGUGUGUUCAAUAUAUGAAUGAAUUUUAUUUAAAUCUAAAUUAAAAAUGUAACAAAUCAUAUUAUCAUAAUAGGUCACAUAUUAUUUUAAAGAGCAAAAUUUGAAUUCAGUUGUUUGAGGGGUAUUCUUUAAUCCAAAAAUUAAAGGUUGAAAUAUUGUUUGAUCUAAAAGUUCAAGGACGUUAUUUAUGAAUCAUUUUUCAUACAUUAGGGAUACUAUUGAGUAUCGACUCUUUUUUGUCGUAUAAAUUAAUUUAAGAUCGUUAUAAGAAUUUUAUAAACUUAGGUGGGAUUCUCCGAGUAAUUGUUGUUGUUGUUAUUAUUAUUAUAUAAAUUUCAUAAACCUCAAAUUCUAAAUCGUUUUAUACGUAUGGUUACAUCAUAAUAUACUUUCUGAUACAAAUAUUACUCAAAGUGGAGACUAGCAAGGCUUUUGUUUUAAGCCCCCAAUAAAUUGAGGCCUAAAAGUUUCAUGUAGGGGGAAAUUACGCGGUUAAGCAAAUUUAUAUAAUUUAAUUACUCAUCACAGCUAUAAUUUGUUAUAUAACCACUCACAACUAAUAUUAUACAUUAAUUAUGUGAGCUGACGAUAUACAUAUACAAUUCAACUCUCUCCAACUCCCCGCCCUCUCUCGCUCGCCUCUCUCCUCCCUCUCCCAAUCUCGCUUGCCAUGUAUACAAAUCCAUAUGUUUCAUAUACAAUUGCCUAACCGAUAUACAUAUACAAUUUACAUCUCUUCCACUCUCUGGCCUCUCUCGCUCGCCUCUCUCCCCUCUCUACCAAUCUCACUCGCCUCUCCCAAUAUCGGGCGUCUCUCUCCUCCCUCUUCCAUUCUCUCUUGCCAUAUAUACAAAUACAUAUGUAUAAUAUACAACUAUAUAACUGAUAUACAUAUGCAAUUCAUCUUUGUCCCAUUCUUUUCCCUCUCUCGCCUCUCUUCUCUCCUACCCAGUCUCGCUCAUCUCUCUCUUCCAUAUAACAUGUAGCUACAAAGUGUUAUUAUGAAACUAUAGUUAUGGAGAUUAAUUAACCUAUUUUCGCGUGGUUAUAUAUGAAAGUUCCUCUUUAUAGUAUUGAUUAAUCAGUUUAUUUUUACUUCAAAAAAUAUCUGCAAAUCCAGGAGAAAAAAAAGUGGAAAAUAUUUAUUAAAAAGAAGAAGAAGAAGAAGAAAGAUUGUUUCUUUUUUAAUAGAAAAAAUAUUUUAAACCUUGAAUUAAAUUACUUAACUUCUCAUAUUAUUUGAUGAAGUUCCUUAUGGAACAAAAUCUAAGGUAAUGUAUUAUAUACACAUGGCUAACUUAUUAACUUGAAAUAAUCUUAAUAAUAUUAUUACUAUCAGAUUAUUUUUGUUUUGUAACCUAAAAAUAGUUUUCAUUAUCAAAAUAUUAGGCAAAACAUUGUAAGUACAGAUUAAAAAAUUGAGGUCUCACUAGUUUUAGACUAGUAUUUUAUUUUGAAUAAAUACGUGAGAUAUUAAAAUCAUUGUUAAAAAAAAUAAAAUAACAUAAAUAUAUUAAUAGAAAAUCACAAAAAGUAAAAGUUUAAUUCAAAAGCUCCAUUAUAUGUUUGAAUUUAAUUUGAGAGAAAAAGAAACUAAUGAAAAAGUUAAAAAAGAAUAAAAAAAUAUGAAAGAUAUUUAUUAGGAUAGGAUAGAUUUUAAUAACUUAAAAUAUUUAAAGGGUUGUUGAUGGAGAUCCAUCCAUUUUCUUAUCACUUCUAAGUGUUUCUAGACGGGGUAGAUUUUUUAUCGAUAAUUUUGUUGUUCCUAUAAAUGUUCUUUCUAUAUAUUUUGGCGUUUCUCUAGUUGUUAUUUUAUUAUCAAUUAGUUGUUUAGAUAUAUUUCUUAUCCAUAGUAAUAUUGUUUUUUUAUAUCUGUAACACGAUCUAGAUCUAAAAAAUUAUAUUGUUCAGUUAUUGGUUUAGGUGUCCAUUUUUUAUUUAAUCUGCUAUUCCAUAUUGUAUUCAUUCUAUCUGAUUAUUCAUAAUUUUCUGUAUAAUAUGUUGGUGGUGUCCAUCUAGGACUAGUUCUAGGACUAUCUCUGGGACUAUUGUCUGGAGUUUUAACUCUUGAUUACUGGGUCGACUCAUAUCUCCUGUAUUUAUUUCUAAUUUUUUGGGCUUAUUUAUCUGUUCUAAAAUUUCUGUAUAUGUUUCACUUAUAUCACUUAUUUCUGAGUUGAAAAAUAUUGAUUUUAGGUAAAAAAUAAAUAAAUAUAAUUUUGCUUAAAGUAAUUGAACACAUAAAGUUGAUGGAUAUUUUCAAAAUAAAAGACAUAUUUAUCUUUAUUGUUUAUUUAUCUUUCGAUAACUAUCCGAAAUUUUGAAUGAUCAAAUGUAGAGAAAUUGUUAGUUAGGUCACUCAUAUUUUAUCUACAAAUAUUAAUAUUUAUUCUUUCAAUCCACUUAAAUAUGGACAAAUUUGAUUAGUUAAUAAAACUGACCUCAUUUUUCUAAUGCUAAUUCCAAUUAAUAUCAUAUGAAAAUAAAAUAUUUCUGAGUACAUCUUUUGUAUUCGAUAAAAGAAACAAAUUGCCUAUUUGACUGCCGUUUGAUCAAGUUAAUAUUUUUUUCUACUUUUUUUCUUACAAAUAAUUCUUAUAAUAUUAUUCGGCAAUCAUUAAUUUUGUCCUAAUUCACAGGACAUGGUCUAGCUUAGCCAAUGCAAUGUGACAAUAUUACGAUAGUAAAAUUAUUUUUUAUCGAUAAUAAACAUAUAUAUUAAUAAAAAUGUUAAAACCUUUAAUUGACGAUAAUAGUUGAUCAUCAUUGAAUUCAAUGUUGUUUAUAGGCUUUAAAGACAUUUUGAAAAAGUGUUAAAUUGUCGCUAAAAAUAUAUAUUCAGCCAAAAUUAAAUUAUUAUCGUUAAUUAAUUAUCUUUAAAGAUCAUUUGUGAUUACGUAGCGUGUCGUUACGCAGAGUCCUCAUUAAUACAUUUUAACUUUGUAUAAUGUUUUUUAAAAAAUGUAUCAUGCCGGCCUUGAUGUCUAUUUUUAUUUUUAUAAUCUUAAAUCUAUGUAUAUUCUAGUUGACCGUUUCAAAAAAAUCAUACAAUAUAGUUCUCCAUUGUAUAAAUAGGUGCACACCUAAACACAAAUAUUGCUCAAGUCUUACUGUAUAACUUUUAACAAUCAAAAAAAACUCUGCGUCGAAUAUGGUGGAUAUUCAAGGCUACUUGAUAUUAUUCCUUAUUUGGCUAUUUUCUACCUUAUUUCUUAAAUAUGUUGUGUUUCGUAAACGGAACACAUGUCACCUUCCACCAAGCCCAUUUGGUUUACCGAUCAUCGGUCACUUACACCUCCUAUCUCCUAUUCCUCACCAAGCACUUCACAAGCUCUCGACUCGUUAUGGGCCUUUAAUUCAUAUAAAUCUUGGAUCCGUCCCUUGUCUAGUAGUUUCAUCACCCGAAAUGGCUAGACAAGUACUCAAAACACACGAAACUUCCUUUCUAAAUCGACCACAAACAUCAGUGAUUGAUUACUUAACUUAUGGUUCACAAGACUUCUCAUUUGCACCUUACGGUGUUUACUGGAAGUUCAUGAAGAAAAUAUGCAUGUCCGAGCUCCUUGGAGCUCGGACAUUAGACAUGCUUUUACCAGUAAGACGCGAUGAAAUAAAACGUUUCAUUGAAUUACUCUUACAUAAGGCGGAGUCUAGUGAAGAGGUAGAUGUUGAAGCUGAGCUACUAAGGGUUUCAAAUAAUGUUAUUUCUAGAAUGUUGAUGAACGAAAGAUGCUCGGAGGACAAAGAUGAAGCCGGGAGUGUUAGGAUGUUGGUUCAAGAUAUCACAGAACUUACUGGGAAAUUUAAUCUUUCGGAUUAUAUUUGGUUUUGUAAGAACUUGGAUUUGCAAGGGUUUGGAAAAAGAACUAAAGAUGUACGUAAAAGGUUCGAUGAAAUAAUGGAGAGGAUUAUCAACGAACAUGAAGAAGCAAGAAGUAAGAGAAAUAGUGAAAGUAUAGUGAUCAAAGAUUUGCUUGAUAUUUUACUUGAUAUAUCUGAGGAUGAUUGCGCGGAGAUGAAAUUGACAAGAGAGAACAUCAAAGCGUUUAUUCUGGUAAGUGAAAAAUCUUACGAGAAAACGUUAUAGUUAAAAGGAAUAAUGCCCAAGUACUCCCUCAACUAUGUCUGAAAUCUCAGAGACACACUUAUACUAUACUAAGGUCCUAUUACCCCUGAACUUAUUUUAUUAAUAAUUUUCUACCCCUUUUUGGCCUAUGUGACACUAUUUUGUGGGCCCAAUGCUGGUUGAUUUUCUUUUAUCAAGCUAGUGUCACGUAGGCCAAAAAUGGGUAGAAAAUUACUUAUAAAAUAAGUUCAUGGGAUAAUAGGACCUUAGUAUAGUAUAAAUGUGCCUCUGAAAUUUCGGGCAUAGGUUGAGGGGUACUUGUGUAUAAUCUCUAGUUAAAAACUAUAGAUUUUUGCAAUAUUUAAAAUUAGAGACAAAAUUCUAUAUUAUACAGGACAUAUUUGCUGCUGGGACGGAUACUGCAGCUAUCACAGUAGAGUGGGCACUAGCAGAACUCAUAAACCAUCCAAACAUUAUGCAGAAAGCAGUUGAAGAAAUCGAUGGUUUAAUAGGUAAAAAUCAAAUUGUGGAAGAAUCUGAUAUCGUGAAUCUCCCUUACCUUCAAGCUAUCAUCAAAGAAACUCUCAGAUUACACCCAACGGGGCCUAUGAUCCUCAGAGAAUCAACGGAAGAUUGUUGCGUUGGAGGUUAUCACAUACCGAAGAACACUAGGUUGAUAGUCAAUACAUGGGCGAUUAACAGAGAUCCCGAGUAUUGGGAAAAUCCACUUGAAUUUAUACCUGAGAGAUUUUUGACUGAAGAAGAGGAGGGGAACACGAAAUCCCAAUUGGAUGUGAGGGGACAACACUAUCAUUUUUUGCCAUUUGGUACGGGGAGAAGAGGUUGUCCUGGAACGUCGUUAGCAUUACAGGUAGUUCAAAUAAGCCUUGCUUCGAUGAUACAAUGCUUCGAAUGGAAGGUUAGUGGUGGAGAGGUAAGUAAAGUCGAUAUGGAAGAGGCACCUGGCAUUACCCUUCCUAGAGCUAAUCCUUUGGUUUGUGUUCCAGUGACUAGGUUUAAUCCAUUCACAUCAACAUCAACAUAUGCUUAGAUAACAUUUUAACAUCUUGUUUUUCUUAUGUACCCAAAAAGCAAGACCCUAUUGUUUUCGGAAAUAUAUUAAUAUAAUGAAAAAUAUAUCUUAAAAUGUUCAAUCAAGACUCUCAAAAAGCAAAAUGUGACAAGUAAAAAGGAAACAGAAGUGAAUUUAGUUCUAGACAUUUUCCCUCGAACAAUGAUAUAAUUAAAGAGUACGAUAUCAAGGAAACAACAUGUCGUUGGACCAAUAAUCGAUUAACAAAAGCCAUGUACAUAGCAACAAAGAGCGUAAACUUUAGAAUAUAAUGGCUGUCAACUGCGAAUAUAUGAACAGAAGUUUGUGCAAUUGAAGUAUACCACAUAUACUUAGGCUUAAAAAAAAACAACGCAACGUUCUUUCGCAAUACACACAAUUACAUUGACAUGAUAGUUGAUAAACAAGGUAUAAGAAAUAAUGAAACGACGAUGGGUGAUUGGACAUUCUUUAUCAGCUGCUGCCGCCCCCAAAGAGAUAACCUAGAGAAGAUCCACCACCAGGGGCUGCAUGUACUUUGGUAGAUGGCCGGUCCUAUAACAAGCCAAUAACCCUAGUUAAAACCACAUAACUUUUCCAUAACAAGGUCUAUCUUAUCAAAGAAUUACUUCAUUGUAAUUCAAUGAUGAGAGUUGAGAAAGCAAUUAGUUUUUCUAACACAAGAAGUUGUAUCCUCAACGAUUCCUUAUCAAUCACUAAAAUCCCAAUCCAACAUAACGUAGAGAUACGACACUUGAGUCUAACUCAACCCAGAAGCUAGCUCAUGAGAUGAGGAUUGGUCAAGUCCAAACACAACCUUGGUUUUGUUAUUACAUCAAUAGAAUGCGCUUGCAGCUUAUCAAUGUGUCAUAAGCCGAAAACAUAGCAAAUAGCAACGACACAAGAUUCACACAGACCUCUAUCGAUAGAUAAUGUAUCAUUUGGUCGAAAUGUGUUUCAACAAACUCAUAACACAAAAGAUGGUAUAUUUUGAUUAUCUUGUCCUCAUUUCAUCGUUGGAAUCAACAAGUGGCAAGAUGUAAAUCCAAUUAUCCAUCCACUAUAACUUUGACGGAUCAGAUUGUCAACCACAUUCAUAUGUUUAAAUGGUUUGUGUUAUGGCCCAUUCAUAUGUUUUGACUCGAAGGGUUAAACCCAAACGGACUCCUCAAUAUAUUGGGUCCAAAAUGGGUCAAAGUAGUGUAACCUGCUGGGUUAACAUACAACACGUACCAGCAGGUUACCCUUUCUGAAACUACAUUGGAGAAUUGGCUGGUCCGUGAAAGGAAAUUUAAAAUGGGUCUAUGGACACAGAUCGGUCGUAGGAAGAGGACAAACAAACAAAGCCAUAUUCAAUAGUUCCACAAGAAAACAAACAGCAUGAAUCAUACAAUCUGUGCCCUCAAUUUCUUGCCUUCAAAUGCAACACACAAUGCAUUUAAGUUUAUUAUUAACUUAAAAUAAAUACGUUAAAUAACAAAAUUUAAGUUCAUAAAUGAAUAAUAUUAGAACGCAACAUCAUAUGAGGUUGUAUACAUUCCUUCCAAGACAAAAGAAAACAACAGCGAUGGACAUCAAUGAAUCGGUUCUGUACUCCACAACGAUACUAAUAAUAUCCACAAAAAUAUAGUUGCUAAAAUAGAGCGUGUUCUGGCAUUGUUAACAAAUCCUCACCACCUUUGAAGUUUUGGCUAAACGCCUCAACUAUGUGAUAUAUGCACUUUCUUUAAGCACGUCUAGUUUCCCAAAAAAUUGACCGAACAAGCUAUUAAUUACUAGAAAGUGGGGACUUGUGGAAAUGUCUUAAUUUCACCUUAGCUUAGCAACGAAAACCUCUCCAGCAAAGCAUAGCAAUGAAUAUUUCAAGCAUUUCAGAGGACAUUAUAAUAAUUUUGCAUAAGUACAUACCGUGAUAAAGUUUCCCGUGUUUUGACCAUCUGCCCUGAUACUUUGAAUACCUGCUGGAAUCUGCUUAGUAGCAUCAGCAGGAGGAGAAGGAGCAGCAACAGGCUCUUUAUUUAUCGGCUGAGCUUCACUUUGAACAGCCUGGGGGUUCGUUUUAGUUGACGUUGGAGCCUCACCAUCCCCAAACAAGUAUCCUAAUGAACUCUGUCCUCCUCCACUACUAACUCCACGACCCAUAUCGUUACUUCUUUCCCGUUAGAUCCACAAAUACCCUGAGUCAAUCCAGAUGAUUAAAACGAAACAUAAAUAUCAAGGAUUACGUUGUGAUUCUCAAAGAAGCAAAACACAAGGAGAACUAGUACAUGCAAAGACCAAUAAAUAUGUCAACGUCAUAUAUAUAGAACUGAUAAAUAUAUCACAAAGAAAAACCAUACGAGAAAUUACAAAAUGUAACAGCAACCAUACAAAACUCAAACCGCCACGGUAAUUACUGGCUUCGGAAGUUCACGUGCAUCUAAACAUCAUUUAGAUCGAAUCAACUAUAAAGAAUCAUUUGUAUUGGUUCCUCUAUUGUACAGAAAACCACCAAAUUCCAUCAGACCCCCUUGAAAACUACUCUACAACCAUUCCCAAGUUACAUUUUGAAGCAAUACUCUUUAGCCGUGAACCGGGUGCACGGGGUGUGGCUUAGUGGUCAACCAAAUUCCAGUAUAGACAAAAAAACACUAGGUGAUUUCUUCUCUCAUCUGUCGUAGUCUUACUGAACAAAAUUACUUGGUAUAUGUUUGUAUCUUAUGCAAUUAGUCGAGGUGCGCCCAAAACUAAGUUCAUAAGAAAUAAAAAAAAUUGACACUAGUUUUACUGUUAUCAUCAAAUCAAGCUUUUAGGAUUCAAAUAAGCUAGAACUAAUACCUUCACACAAUCUGUUACAAAAGCUUCUUUAAUUGUUCAUUGAAGAGAAUCAAAACUACUAUACACAACAAAUUUUUAACACAAGAAAAUUCAAAAUAAUUCAAAGUCUUACAAGCAAACAGAAAAAAAAACACCAUAAAAUCCCCCAAAAAAAAAAUCAGAAAAAGAUAGCUUAGCUAAGUGAUUUUCCCCAAAAACACACAAGAGUUUCAAUAUGUAAAAAUAGAGAAUUAGGGUUUAAAUAUUUGGUAAUUACCUUUUUUCUUAUUCCUAUUUGAUUGAUGAUGAAUGAUUGUGUGAAUGUGAACAGGGAAGUAAAUGAACGAAGAAAGUGUGUAAUAAUAUAUAGUCACGCAUAUUAUAAGUGCUCUUGCACCGACAAUAAAUUGGGGAGUAAUAAUGUCACAUAUGCAACUUGUUAACAAAUGACCAAUCAGGCCUAGUAUUAAUGGUGAAACUGUUUCACUCUUAAUCAGAUAUUUCUUGAGUUUUAGCGUUAAAUAUAAAAUUUUCAUUGAAAGAGCACUCUUAAAUAGAAUCUAUAGUGCGCGAUUUAAAUUUAAUUAAAAUUUUAAUGUGAUUUCGAAACAUCAAAUGAGAAACAAUAAAAAAUAUAAAAAAGAAAUUGAUAAGUAUUUAUUUAUUCUAUUAAUUAAAGGAUUUGAAUUUGAAUUUUGAGUAUGAAAUUAUCUCUAUUAUAUUUUUCGUUUUAUAUUAUUUGGUCCCUUUUAAAUUAGCACUUUGUUUAAUAAUUAAAUUAAAGGUAUAUUUCAUUAUAAUAAUAUUAUUAGUACUCCCUGUCCAUAUUAACUUAAUUUUUGAAGUAUUUUAUAUUUUUUUUAUAAAUAAAUUAAGAUAUAAAUUAAAUUUAGUUUCUCAUUUUUAACUUUAUUAAUUAUUAUAAAAUUUAUGAUAAAAAUAACUAAAUAUUAAUUAAUUAUUAAAUCUAAUACAAAUUAAUGAAGGGUAAAUUUAAAAGAAUACUUUAAAAUUAAUCUUGAAAAUUAAACAAUUAAUUUAAUUUAAAAAAUAAAAAUACGUCAAAAAUGAAAUUAAUUUAAAAUGAAGUGAGUGAUAUUUUGAAAUGUCAAAAUUUAAUUACUAUUACUUUAAAGAGUCAAAGGGAAUAUCAAAAUUUAAAGUUUAUAAAUUUGAAGUUUUAAGUCCGAUAAAUUACACAAUUUUUAGUUAAAAUAAAUAGUAAAACUACAUUGUCUCAAUUUUAAAUAAAUUUAAAUUUUAAUUAGACCUUGAUAUAAAUAUAAAUAUAAGAUCAUGAAAUGGAUGAGAUGUCAAUGAAAAGCUUGUUAACAAAUAGGCGGUCGUUGAAAUAAAAGGUUCGUGAGGUGCUUCUCUGUUAUAAAAAAUAACAAUAAAAAAAAAUAUAAAAAAUAAAAAUAAAAUGAUAUUUGAUAUUAUUAUUCUUAAACUUAUAAAUUAUAAUCAAAGAUAAAGAGUUGCAGUCACGUAAGUUAGUGGGAAAGAAUCACUUAUUUUUAUAUAAUAUAUAUUAAAAGAAAUAAAAGAUUUUAAUUAUAUGGAAAAGGGUUCAACAUAUUCAUAAAUUAUGUUAAAUAAUUUAGAAUAUUACUGAAUUAUGUCUACAAUAUCUUUUUUCUAAACAUAUUGUUUUUACAGAAUCCUAUUCUUAUUUCUCUGUCUUUAGUAUCUCUUUGACUAAUACAAAAGUUGAAAGUAAUCUUUUUCUUUUCUUUUAAAUAUCAUUUUAUCAAUUAAAAUUGAAUAACUCAUAUACUUUCUAAUUGAUGAUAUAGGUCAUAUUAUACGAGAUCAGAGUACUUCAUAUUAUUUUCAUUUUACAUAUCGAUAAAAUUCUUUUUUUCUAAUAAAAUGUGUUUUUAUUUUAAAAUUUUUUAAUUUAAAAUAAUGAUAAAUAUUUGUUAAUUGCAAUCCUUGGUCUAAAAGUUAAGACCCAACAAUCAUAAUAAUAUUGUUGAAUAAAAGAUAUUUUCAAUAAUUAGUAUUUUUAGCUAAUUGUAUUCUGUUAGUAUUUUCAGUUAGUUAUACUAUUAGAAAGUUAGAGUUUGUUACUAAAUUGUAUAAAUACAAUGUGUAUAGAUCACUUGAUGGGUAGCUGAAUAAUACUCAAACAUUUUAUUUCGUUCUGUUCUCUUCUCUCAUUACCUUGAAGGUUCUCACAUGGUGAAGAUCAAGGAACUUCACAUGGUAUCAGAGCUUGCGUAAUCGGUCUUAUAUUCCUACGAUCUUCUCUGUGUUUCUCGUCUCGCAUAUACUUGUUUCAUAGUCAUUUGAUUCAAGCUCAUCGUCUUCGUUUCACUGCUAUUUCAAUUUCCCUAUUUGAGAAAUUCAGCAUCCUCAACAAUGGUGAAUACUAGUUCAUCUGCAGAUCUGGAAAUUGGAGCUGGAGUUGUGCCUACUGUGGUAACAAUCGAUCAACAUCAUCCUUUGUUUCUUCAGCCCAAUGAUAUACCAGGUAGUUCCCUAAUUUUGAUUAAACUAAUAGGCCCUGAGAAUUAUGCAUUAUGGAGUAGUUUAAUGCGAAUUAGUCUGUUAGGUAAAAGUAAAUUAGGAUUUGUGGAUGGUCGAUAUCCUAACUCCUAAGGAGAAAUUUGAUGUCUCCCUCCAUGAUUUGUGGGAGAAAUGUAAUGUUAUAGUCCUUUCAUGGAUUAUAAAUUAUGUAUGUAGUGAAUUACUUAGCGGGAUUGUAUAUGCUACUAGUGCAUGUAAGGGGUGGACUGAUCUCCAUGAGAGAUUUGAUAAGGUUAAUGAAUCUCGAGUCUUCUUCCUUCAUAAACAGAUCUCUACUCUUACUCAAGGAAUUUCAUCUGUUUCGACCUAUUUCUCAAAACUAAGAGAACUAUGCCCUGAGUUUGAUGCGUUAAUGUCAUGUCCUGGAUGUAAUUGUGCUAAAUCUAAGAAAUAUGUGGAACACUUCGAGUAUCAACAUCUUCUUCAAUUUCUUAUUGGUCUCAAUGAGUCUUACUCACAGUCCAUUAAUCAUAUCAUGAUGAUGCGUCCUACACCUUCAAUUAAUAAGGCAUACGCUAUGAUCAUCUCUGAGGAAAGUCGAAGAUCUCUGAGUUCGUCUUCUUACAGUUCCGAAAUUGCUGAAGGGACAACUUUGUUUAGUGGCAAAGGCAACUCUAACAUACGCACUAACUAUCAGGGAAACAUAGGCCCAUUUUAGAAGUAGCAAGAGCUAUCAGAUUUCAGGCUGGUGUACCAUUGAAGUUUUGGGGUUAUUGUGUGACCACUGCUAUAUACAUAAUUAAUAGAUUGUCUUCCGCUAUCAUUCAAGAUAAAUCUCCUUUUGAGAAACUUCAUAGCCACCCACCUUCUCUAGCUCACAUGAAAGUAUUUGGUUGUUUGGGAUAUGUGACUCAGGUUAGAAAGGUGGACAAAUUUUCUCCAAGAGUUAUUCCUGCAGUAUUUCUUGGCUAUUCAGUAUCUCAAAAAGGUUAUACUAUGUAUGAUUUGGAGUCCAAAGUGUUUUUGACAAGUAGGGAUGUCUUGUUUCAGGAAAAUUCUUUUCCUUUUAAGACAAUCCCCACUUCUCCUUCUCAUUUGUUUUCCCUGAAGGAUAAUGAACUUCAUGCCUCACAUAUAGAAGAUACUAGUCAGUUAUCUUUCAGUGUUCCUGCUCCUUCUUCUACUGCAUACGUUCCUUCUGUGGCUGAUGCUUCUGCUUCUAGACCUCCAACAGUACCUGUUGUUAGAAAGUCUUCCAGGCCUACAAAGCAUCCUAUUUGGAUGCAUGACUAUGUCUCCACAGGUAAAGGAAGUUCCAACUGUUGUUAUCCAGUAUCUGAUGUGGUAGUUAUGCUCAUUUAUCACCUGUGUUUGAAGCUGCUUUGGCAUCCUAAUCUGCCAUCAAAGAGCCUACUUCCUAUGUUGAGACUAUUAAAGACCCCAAUUGGGUUGCUGCUAUUCAAUUUGAGAUUCAAGCAUUACAAGAUAAUCACACUUGGAGUUUAGUUGAAUUACCAGUCGGAAAGAAACCUACUGGGUGUAAAUGGGUGUUCAAGGUUAAAUACACAUCCUCCGAAGCUGUGGAAAGGUACAAGGCUGGACUUGUGACAAAGGGUUAUAGCCAACAAGAGGGGUUGGAUUACACAGAGACUUUCGCUCCAGUUGCUAAGAUAGUUACUGUCAGGUCGGUUGUGGCUGUAGCAUCAGCUAAUCAUUGGUCUAUUUUUCAGAUGGAUGUUCAUAAUGCUUUUCUUCAAGUGGAUUUAAUGGAGGAGGUGUAUUUAGAGGUUCCUUCUGGUUUUGCCAGCCAGGAGGGGAAGCAUGUUGUCUGCAAACUACAUAAGUCUCUUUAUGGACUCAAACAGGCACCUAGGCAAUGGAACAAGAAACUCACAGAUGCAUUGGUACAACUUGGCUUCUCACAAAGUCAUUUUGACUAUUCUUUAUUCACCAAGACAGUUCAAUGAGAGCUGGUAAUUGUCUUAGUAUAUGUGGAUGAUUUGUUGGUAACAAGAAGCAAUACAGACUUGAUUCUACAAACAAGAAAUGACUUAAAGCUAAAGUUCAAAAUGAAAGAUCUUGGAGAAUUAAAGUUUUUUCUAGGAAUUGAAUUUGCUAGAUCAUAAAAGGGAAUAGUGAUGAGCCAAAGGAAGUAUGCAUUGGAACUAAUUAGUGAGUUGGGAUUAAGUGGCACUAAACCAGUUAACACACCUUUGGAAACAAAUUUGAAGCUUACAUCAGUCGACUAUGAUGAUUUUAUAACUAAUAAUAAGGAAGCAGGUUCUACGAAUGAAGAUACACUACUUGUUGAUCCUACUCAAUAUCAACGACUAGUAGGAAAGUUGUUAUAUAUUACUAUGACUAGAAUUGACAUUGCAUAUGUAGUGCAAGUGCUAAGUCAAUUCAUGCAUAGUCCCAAACAAUCUCAUAUGAAUGCUGCCUUAAGAGUAGUGAAAUAUAUAAAGAAUGCUUUAGGUUUUGGUCUUCUAAUGCCCUCUGACUGCUCUAAAAAAUUUGUGGCAUAUUGUGACUCUGACUGGGGUGGUUGCUUGCAGACUAGAAGGUCAGUCACAGGGUACUUAGUAAAGUUUGGCAAUACUGUAGUGUCCUGGAAGUCAAAGAAACAAAAAAUGGUAGCUAGAAGCUCUGCUGAAGCAGAGUUUAGAAGUAUGGCCUCUGUGGUGGCCGAGGUGACUUGGUUGAUUGGUUUGUAUAAAGAGUUGAGAAUAAGUAUUGAGGUUCCCAUAUACCUUUAUUGUGACAGCAAAGCUGCUAUUCAGAUUGCAGGAAAUCUCAUCUUUCAUGAAAGAACUAAGCACAUUGACAUUGAUUGUCAUUUUGUGAGAGACAAAAUUAUAUAAGGUAUUAUCAGGACUCAUUAUGUUUCCACCAAGGAGCAGCAGGCUGAUCUAUUAACCAAGAGUCUUGACAGGCAACAACAUGAACACUUAAUGACCAAACUGAGUUUGAAGGAUGUAUUCAAAUCAUCAGUUUGAGGGAGGAUGUUAAAUAAAAGAUAUUUUCAUUAAUUAGUAUUUUUAGCUAAUUGUAUUAUGUUAGUAUUUUCAGUUAGUUAUACUGUUAGAAAAUUAGUUAGAGUUUGUUACUAAACUGUAUAAAUACAAUAUGUACAGAUCACUUGAUGGGUAGCUGAAUAAUACUCAAACAUUUUAUUUCGUUCUGUUCUCUUCUCUCAUUACCUUGAAGGUUCUCACAUGGUUAAGAUCAAGGAACUUCACAAAUAUAAAAUACAGAAUUUAUUGAAUUGCUUCACAUUACAAUUCUUUAAAAUAUGUUGAUAAAGUUGUUGUUGACCCUUUUUCAUUUUAAAAGUAAAAUCAAGAAUUGUAUUAGCAAAUUUUUAUCCUGGUUCUAAGUUUUGAAAAUAUUUUUUUAUAUUAUUAGAUUCUUUUAUCAUUAUUUAAAUAAAAAUAAUGAUGGGUUAUUGUAAUCUUGUAUGUAUUGCUUGUAUUAUUAGUUUAAAAAGUGCACGAUCUAUUUAUUUUAAUUGAUAAAAUGGAAUUAAAAAGAAAGAAAAAAAGCAUCUAACUACUUUACUAGCUAGCUAGAUUUAAAAUCUUUUAAUAAAUCUUAUUUUUAUUAGGAAAAGAAAAUACUAAAAAAUGUUCUUUAAAAUAUAUUCUUAACCUUAUCAAUGAAGAAUAUUUUUAUUUAAUUUCACGUAAUUUAAAGAUAUUAUUAAUUCUUUUCCAAUUAAAAUAAGGAUGAUAAGGACACAAAUAAUUUGUGAUAAAGUCAUAUUCUGACUGUUAUUUGCAAGUUCUUUUCCCCCUCUCGUUGGUCUUGUUCAUUCUUUCUAGGAUAAUUCACGAUGGUUACGUUGAAAUGUAUGUACAUAGUUAUUUUUCAUCUUAUUUAUGAGAAUUUGAUAAAAAUCUUUCUUCUAUUCGCUCAAUUUUAAAAAGAAAUUUUUGGUUACCAUUACGAUUCUUGAUUUAUGGAACUAUUAUAGACUUCAUCAGUUCGUUUCUACGAGUUAUUUAUUUUUAAAAUAAAUUUUUAUUUUUAGUUAUCACUUUUAGCAUAUCAAGAAAAACAAUUAAUUUUUUUCAUGUUUUAUUCUUAACAUUAAAUAUUAUUCUUCAUAUCAUUUUUCAAAAUUCAAUUCUAAACAUUUAUUAAUAGGGUAAUAUGGUGAAUGCUUAUAUCAAUAAUUGUUCUUUUAGUAGAUAAGUAAAGUCAAAUUGUGAUAUAUAAAAAAAUGAAUGAAACGAAUAUUUGUCGUGAUUCCAUGCAUUAUUAGAUGUGACUAAAAAAUUUCCCGUCAUUGAAACCAUACAAAUUGAACAAUCCAAAAGUCUAGAGAAUAGAAAUCAGCAUCAAAUCAUAUUUUCAAAAUUGAAAGCCAUACUAUAAUGAUAAUUUUAAAAAAUAAAUAAAUAAACCACCUUUGAUAGUGUAAUCACUCUCUAGUGACCGGUGAAUCACCAAUAAAAGAGCAAAUGUUUGAGAAACAAUUUGUUGUCAUGAAUGUAAUUACUAGUAGAAUUUUAGUAAAAUGUAUAAAUAUGUCUUUUAAUAUGAUUUCAGCUAGUAUCUAUAUCCUUUAACUCUAUCUAUAUAAAUAAAUAUUUAAUUUUUUAUAAAAUUAAAUAAGUAAACACCUCAUGUCCUAUGCUUAAACGCACCGAUAGCCUCCUUGUAAUGACUAAUGAUUGAUUAUAUGUAUUAUGGGUGUAUAAAUAUAAUGAUCCUCUUAGUCGUUUUAGAAAUUUUAACCAGCAUUAUUAUAUUAAUCUUUUUAGUAGAUUUUGUAAAUAAUUUAUAUGACUUAUAAGAAUGAGUGACAUAAUUUUUAUAUUUAAUAAAGGAUUAUUUUGUUGCUAAGAAUAAUGAAAAAAAUAGAAAAAAGAAAAUCAAAUAAAUAAAUAUAAUAAAAUAAAUAAAUAAAAAAGGGCAAAGUGCCCUAAAUGUUGAAAGCCGCACACACCUUAAAAAAAAAAGGAACGAUCUGGAAAAAAAAUAAUACGCAGAUAAAAAAAGAAAAGAAAGAGAGAAAAGAAAAGGAAAAAGGAGGAGAAACAACGAUAUUUUCAUCUCAAGGUAUCAAGGUAACUAUUCUUAUCCUUUCUAUUAAAUUUUUGUGUAACCAGGAAUAAAUAUUUAGGUUAAAACGUGUUUAAUUUAUACUAAUAUGUGAACUUGUGAACUUGGGAUUAUAAAUGUGUAUAAGUAUUAUGGUUCAAUCAUUGGACAAUGAUUACUCCAAGAUUAGGAUUAUUAAUAGUGGAACGAUAAAUAUUUUUGGAACAUUGAAAAUAAGUGGUUUCAGCGGAUAGUUUUGUAGUCCGCCAUUGAUGUGCUGGGCAGUUAGUUUCGGCUUUAAUUAUUUUCAUUUAAUUAUCAUAUUAGUAUUCAAGUUUUGAUAUAUUGAGAUAUGUGUUAAAUAGUGGGUGCAUUAUGAUAUAUAAAAAAAUCAUUAUAAUUAUGUUAUUCAGAGAAUUAAGAUUUUACCCUAAACUUGAAAUUCAGAAAAUAUGAGAUUUGAUCAAUUGGUUGGAAUAAAGAUUUAGAAAUUUUAUUAUAAAUUCGGAUGAGUUUUGGGUCUAAGUUAGAGAUAUAACAAUAUGAAUGUUGUUAGUUUCGAAAUCAUAUCGUGGUUAUUUAUUUGAAUAGAUUUUAUUGGUUUGGAAGUCAACGAAAAGAGGAAGACUCAAGUUUUGGAGUCAUUGUGUUAAGUGUAUGAAAUGCGUAUAUUUCCUUGUGGUAUAUGUUUGGGAGUAACGGGAUUGAUGAUGGGUUGAUUGUCCACAUUGAUUAAUUCUAAUGAUGAAAAAAGGGAUAACAAAAGGCAAUGUGAUUAAUUGUUUAUGUGUGAUGCAUUGAAAAAUGGUUGAAGGCUUGUUGAAUCAUUGUUGAUGUGACUUCAUGUUUGUGUGGUUGUGAACUGUGCCAUGUUAUGAAAAUGGUCAUCUCCUCAUUAUUUGUGUGAACUUUUCAUCUGCAUUAUUCUGAGGCCUUGGUUAUGACAAGUGUUUGUGCAUUGAGAAAGAAUGAGUACUUAAGAGGUUGUACCAUUUCGAGGGACGUAUCGCGCGCCGCGAUGGAUACUAUAUUUCGAGGGACGUAUCGCGCGCCGCGAUGGAUACUAUAUUUCGAGAGACGUACCGCGCCGCGAUGGAUACUAUAUUUCGAGGGACGUACCGUGCGCUGCGAUGGUUACUAUUAUCGAGGAUCGUGCCGUGCGCCGCGACAGAUGCAUGGACAGAUAUGUCCCCCAUGGGUCCCGGACUGAGAGACAGCGGGUGUGUAUCACUAGGCCAGACAUGCAUCACUAUACUUGACAUUGCAUUCCAUGACAUUGCACAUACUUAUCAUUAGUGAACUGGAUAUCGUGUUUUGCUGAUCUUCUGAUUGCCUUUCUGUUGAACUUGUGAUCGAUCAAUAUUGGGCUUGUUAUUGUGGAUACGUAAUUUGUUAAAGUGUUGUUGUUGAGGAUAUGUAAUUUGUCUAAGUGUUGUUGUUGAGCUACAUGUUAUGUAAACCGUGAGCUGUUAGAUUGGGUUGAUUUUAAUGCAGGUUGUAGUUGUGGAGGUUCGGUUGGGGGUGGUAGGAGUACCCAUAUUUCAUAUCCUUAGCUUGUGUUUAGAGGUUUACUUACUGAGUACCGUGUGGUUUGAUACUCACCCUUUGCUUCUACAAAUUUUUUUUGUAGGUUAUGAGCCUAGAAUUUUGUUGUACUUGUCAUUCUCUUCUUUUCUGAGGCUUCUUGGAAAUUUGUCAGGUAGUUAUUUCCAUCGCAGCAGACUUUCUUCUCCUUAAUUAUGAUCUUGUUCUAUUCUAGAAACAAGUUCAUUAGAGACUUGAGUUUUUUCUUUUGAAUCAAUUGUAAUACUUUAGAGGCUUGUACACGUGACUACCAGGUUUUGGGGGUUUUAUUAAGUUACUUAUAUUUUAUUUCCGCACUUUAUUGUAAUGAUUGAGUUUAGGUUGACUUGUCUUAGUGGGAUAAGACGAGUGCCAUCACGCCCAUUUUUGGGUCGUGACAAUAAAACCGAAUAAAAAAUCCAGCCAAAUUGCAAAUCGAGUCAACCCAAAAAAACCCUGACUAGCGGUUUGGUAUUGAAAAAAAAAAGCCAACUAUAUUCAGGUUGAUUUGGUUUUAACAGAAAAAAUCAACCUAGGCCAAACCAACACGACAUUAUACAUGUUAUUUUAAAAUUUAUUUAUACAUAAAAAUAUUUACUUUGAUAUAAUUUUAAAAUAUUUUUUAUACUAUUUCAUAGUUUUAUCUUUUAAUUUAUUAUUUCAAGUUUAAAACUUAGAAUUUGGAAUGGUCCAAUAAAAAUUAUAGUUCAUAGACGUUGAUAAUUAUAAUAAAACUUAAAUCAAAAUCAAAUUAAUAAUAAUGCAAAAGAAAAUCAAUUCAACACUAAGACUGACAAUCAUAUUGAAUAUUUGUCUUUAGUUUUACAUUGUUUUAGAUAACUUAAAAUGCAUAAUCUAAUUUUAAUUUUUCUUAAAUAUUUAGUAAUCUAACUAAUACUUAUUAGACUUAUUUUAGCAUGAUUUAAUUCUAUUAAAUUAUGGCCAUUUUCAUUAUGACUUUACAAUAUUUAUUUUAAAUGAUGAUUUUAUUAUUAUCUUUAAUUGAAUACUUUUGUAUCAUCAAUACUCAUCUCAUAUUUUGUGUUAUUUUUUAAAGAAAUACCUUAGAUAAUUAUAUUUUGAUUGGACUAAAGAAAUAUUUGAAGCACAAGUCGAUUAUAUGUUUUUAUGCAAACUUUAUCGAAAAAAUUCAAAAAACUGAAAAAAUUCAAGGUUUGUAAUUUGGUUUGAUUUAAAAAUUUAACAUAAUGGGUUGGUUUUGAAAAAUUCAAACCAACUCGAGGUUAAAAAACUCGAAAAGAUCAAAAUUUAUUAGUUUAGUUUGGUGUAUAAAUUUAAAAUUUUUAUAUAAAUAGUUUGAUUUGAUAUUUGAAAAAUCUAAAACAACCCUGUCGUACACCUAAUAUGUAUAUAUGAAUGAAAGACUCUUGAAAAAAUGUUAUUUGUGUUGGAGGUUAAUUUUAAAUAAUUUCUUAGAGUUCAUUUUACAUGAACUUUUGAAAUUUCCAGCAAAAUAUUUUGUAGUGCUUGAGGUUUCGACAGAAAUGGUGAAUGAUCAAACCCUUUUACCUGGAAAACUUGUUCAGGUUGAUUUGAAUCUAUCAUCGCCUCCUGAAGGGACAUUGGAAUCUUCUAUGGUUUUUACGUAGAAUCUCGGGAUCAGGGGUGGAGCUAUCUUGUAUGAAGGGGUUCAUCAGGAAAAUUAUAUUAUUUAUAUAUGAUUAAAAUAAGUUUAUAUGUAUAUAUAGUUGAUAUCGAACCCUAUUCGACUAUUUAUUUCUACAAAUUUUGAACCCUUUAUUAAAAAUUCUGUCUGUUCCUCUCCUCGGAAUAGAACCAUAACUUGUUCCAGAUAGGGAAAGUUUAUCUGUCAAUGGUGCACAAAAGGGAUUGGCCUUAUUAAUACUGAUGUCAAUUCAAAGUCCUGAAAUUGAAAAAAGUGUCAAAAAUUGGCUUUCUUUUAGUGCAAGUAAACUAUUUGGAACAGAGAACUCUGUUCUACAAUACAUAUACUUGAUUGAACAUGACAUCUUUCAACAAUGAUUUGUCGAAAUAAGUGGCAGUUGGAGGAUGAUUCUUACCAUUUGCAUAAACAAAUAAUAGUUAUAGCUCGUAAAUAUACAAAUUAUAGUUAUAGAGCAUAAUGAAAUUUAUGAUAGUUGCUAUUUGCGAAAGUUCCCCAUAGAAAAUUAAUCUAAGUUUUCUACCAUACAAUUAAUCCCUCCAACUCUCUCGUUUUCUCUCUAGCAUUUUCUUAGCGAUUUAUAGUAUCUUACAUUAAUUUGGUAUAGCAAGAUCGUGAGCAAAUAGUACAAGAAAAUGAGCGAACUGUCAAGUGCUACAUGUGUGUUUAGUUUUUUUUUUUUUCAUGAUGUCCGAUACCCACAUUGAAGCACAACAUAAACAGAGUCAUCAUCUUACACCAUUUACCAAAGAAUUAUGUGAUGUUCAAGAUCAUUGUUAGCUCUUGUGAAUAUAUAUUUAAUUAGCACAUUCAUAACAUAAUUUUCAUAUCUUUUAUCAAAUUCUUAACUCCACAACUAGGUCUUUGGCUGUGUAAAGGUAACAGCAAUAGCCCAUGAUUAUUUGUAACCAAUAAAUAAAAUACCUCAUAAUAAUUUGUAACAUAUAACAAUAUUCCAUAAUUUAAGUAUGAACUUAACAAAAUAUAAAUAAUUUAAGAAUAUUUUGAGAUUUCAAAAUCAAAAAGAAAAACUAAUAAUAAGUUGUUAAAAUAUCAAAUUAAUGUAAUCAAAUUUAUAUUAAAAAUUAAUUAAAUUGAUUCUAAAAAAAAUAAUAUGACAAUUAAAAAACAAGGAACAUAAUAUAUAAUGAUUAAAAUUAUUCUCUCUAUAAAUAGAUGUUGAUCUCAUUUCUUGAUGGGCUUACUUAAUAUUUUGGAUAUUCAUAGGUGAAAUAUUUUGCUCACCUGCCUGGAGGAUGUUCACCCAAAGUACAUGUAAUUGUAGGGGCUUAAAAUUUAUUUUCAUAAUAUAAAUUCAAAUCCUAGAUUUGCCUCGAUUUCUAUUAGAGUUCAAAGAGAAGUUUGUUAUUACUUAGGGCAACCCAAUCCUACACUCUAUUUUACUCUCCAAAUAUAGAAUUUUCUAUUUUUCCAGACAACCAAUUUCAACCCAAUUCUCUAUUUUACUAUCUAAAAAAAGAAUUUUUUUUUCUUUCUUCUUAAUAUUAUAUUAUUAUUUAUAUUUCCUUUUUGUUUUCUUAUUCUAUAAUAUAGAUCUUUUUUUUUAUGAAUAAUCAUUGUAUAUAAUUUCAGGUCAGUGCAGCUGAUGAGGAGUUUAUGCAGAAGUUGUCAAGCUAAGUAGCUAGAAUUUUUCACUUUGGGUGUCAUACCCGUGUUAACUUGUUGAGUUAGAAAAACACGGAGGAGGAAUUAGACUGUGAUGAUGAUCUUUUAUUGCUUCUAUGCUCUUCAACUUUUGGUGUGCUUAAGAUUGUAUGAAGUUGAACAAGUACACACACUUGUUUUGUGUAGCAUAAUACACGUAGGACGUUAAUUGCCACAUAGAAUGUCAAGUAUGAUGUAUGUGUUAACGUGUUCAAUUCUGUUCAAAAAUACAUAUAUGUGUACACUUGAAGUUAGAGGAUAUAUAUGUCAGAUGAGAUCAAACUAAAGGACACAUGUAUGUAUUAUGUCUUCUUAGUAUGUUGAAUGAUAGAGAAAGUUUUCAACAUGAAUGGUUUAUAUAUGUUUGAGAAGAGAAACUUAUUCAAUAAUAUACAAAAUUAGCAAGUGAAGGAUAGAGGGGCGCAAGGAGUUUAUUCGAAUCAUUUAUACCACAAACAUUACAUUGUAUAUACAAGGUCAAAACUAUUUUUUACUAUACAUACUCAUUUGAAUUCCCUUCACUUCUUCGUGUGUCUACCUUUUUAUAUGUUGAAUCCCCUUAGUGAAAAUCCUGACUCUGUCAGUGCAUGAACCAACAAUCAUCGUUCGCUUCUAUCCCUCUCAUGAUUCUAGGAGAUGAAUACAGUCAGAAUAAGAUUUUGAAUAACAAUAAGUAUGUUCUUUCCAUUUACAUUGACACCAGCAGCAGCCAAAUGCUCAGAAACACUGGCACUCUCAGCUUUGCUAAAAUGAGGAGCUACAGCAGCAACUAGGUCAGGUUUGACAUGUCUCGCAGCAGCUUGUUGGUGACAUUGAACACUUUAAGUGCAUUCUGGCCACAGAAUGAACCCCUUUGGCCGAAAAAAUCACACCGUAUAUACAAGGUCAAAAUCUUUUUUUAUGUAUAUAUAGACGAUGAACCCCCUUAACAAAAAUUCUGACUCCGUCACUAGGCUAGGUUGGACAAUAAAAGUAGUAGCUUGAUCAUUUACAGCAGCAACUCUGUUUUCUCGACCACUUACGGCAAUAACAAGAGCAACUUAACCACUUACAAGAACAACAUGUCCAACUUGACCACUUACAAGAACAACAUUUCCAGCUUGGCCACUUACAAGAACAACAUUUCCAGCUUGGCCACUUACAAGAACAACACUUCCAGGUUGGCCACUUACAAGAACAACAUUUCAAGCUUGGCCAUUUACAAGAGAAGCAACUUGAGCACUUACAGGAACAGCUUGGACAUCCAGAGCAACACGGUCCGCAGCUAAAACAGGAAGAGAAGCAUGACGACCAUCUGGACUUCUUUUUUUUGUAAUAAGCAGGAUAGAAAAGAGGUUCGGUGGACUUCCUAUCUCUGCAAUAAACAAAAAUAUAUUCCGUGAACACGAAAAUGCAUGAUUGCAAGCUCCAUUCUGGGAAGAAAUCAUAUCACCAAUAAUCUUUAAUGUAAAGCAUUUAAGUUGAGGACAUGAGACUCAAACACAUUUAUACGAAUGACACGUUAGAUGAACUCUAAUGCACUUCCCCGUAAUUAUUAAUGAAGCAACAUGUUACCAGUGACAUGGAAAAGAAAAGAGAAGAACGUGUACAUAUGCUAAAUGCAGAUGAUAUUAGCAAAUAAGAUAGGAACUGGUUACUUACGUUGGAAAAGGUAAAGACGUAUCAUUACCAUUGCAAUGGUUAUAGGAGUCUUUAAACCCUCCGUUCCCUUCGGAAUGGCUAAUGGCAGAUGAAUAAUCUCUGUUCCCUCUUAACUUUAUUUCCUCUUCAAAAUGUGAUUGUUUCUUAAUUGAUUUAUGUUGAUUUCCUGCUUCAAUAAGGUUGCUUCGAUCAAUCACGCCCCUUUCUGUAUCAAAUACAGAACUCUUUUCCGUACGUUCUCCUCCUUUUACAGGCGAUGAGUGUCUACUGAUUAGCUUCCCAGACUUACUAAUUUCUUCACAUGUUUCCGAUUCCACACACAUGCGUAGUUCUGCUGACUUCCUCGAAAGACUGACGUUGAUACUAAAUAAUGACUCUUCAGAGACAGCACUCCAUUCGUUAGGUGUUGAGGAUUUACUUUCGAAAAUGGAAGAGGGAACUCUGUUGGGAUCAUAACCUCCUUGUCUGUCCAUCACUUGGAUAAAAGGAGAUCUUGUAAUUGACACGGUUGGCAAUAACGAUUCAUCAGUGACGUCUGAAACCUGUGAGGUGGAGCUUGUUGAUGUAUUCAGUUUCAAAUGAUUGUAGUCCACUCGAGAUAAAGGUUUGGAUGUUACAUUUGAUGAAAUAGAGUUGGAUGCUAUUUUUGGAUUCAUUAGUAUGAAAUCAUCAGAGGAAUAACCGGACGAGGAUGAAAACGUGGAAUAGGAAAGUUCUGAACUUUUACUUGACCCUGAAACACUAUCAUUUAAGAUAGAAUCCGAACUUUUUCUACUUUUACUCUCCUGGUUAGAAUCCCGGAGAGAGGCUACUGGUGAAUUGGACUCAGUUUCACUUUUGGUUACCACUGCAUCUGUUCGAGAAUGAUUACGGUUUCCACUUCCAUAUUUAGGGCUCAUGACUGGAUUAAAGCUAAAAAUCACCUGUAGAAACCAUCAACUUGUUGAGAUGCAUAAAUCAAUGUCCAGUCAAUGUAAAUAUAAGAAAAAUAUUAGAGAUGAGAUUAGUGGCAAAGCCAGAAAUUUCGUUAAGGGUGUCAUAGAUUUAAUAUUAAAAAAAAUUGGCCUAUAUACUUCAUGAAAUUUUCUAUACAGUAAAAUUUUUCGACGAGAGUGUUUGACUGGCCACCCUUCACUACAUGUGGCUACACCACUGGAUGAGAUUACGUUAUUGUUUGAGGAAGCAAUGCAACACUCACAAGUCAGAACGAGCAACAUAUCCUGCAAAGAAGUACCUCCUGACUCUCGAUGGUUGCCUUCUCCUACGUCAGUUGAAAGUAGAAUGCACAUGGAAACAGAGGCAGAUCUAGGAUUCAAACUCAACAAAUUUAACCUCCAAGGCUUGUAGACUUAUUGUACAACUGUCUACUUAUUCAAUCAAGUUUUUAAUUUUACUACAAAAAGUCUAACGAACAGAAGUCACUUACGAAAUGGAUAUCAUCUCCAUACAACAAUCUAUAAAAUAGAAUCAUUACCUAAUGCUAAUACCGCUUAAAUGUCAUUAUUUCCUACAAAUGAGCAACAAGAAUCAUGAAUGUGAAUUUACCCGAAGAUCUAAGAUUUAGGUCAAAUGUUGAUGGCCAUAAAACAAUAAAAACGAAAAUUUUGAUCCAGGACUUUUCAAUCAAACAUAACAGAAUGCACUUGAAAGUGAACUUUGUUAAGAAAGACCCAUGGGAUAAAGUAUAGACGUAUAUUCGGCCUCUUAGACUGGAUUGCUGUCUAACAAAAAAAACAGGUUAGAAAUGUUAAUGUGUUACGAAGGGGAGCACUGGAGCAACACUAAAGUUGUCUCUGUAUGACCUAUAUAUAGAUUACAGGUUUGAGCCGUGGAAUCAAUAACUAAUGCUUCGGGCAGAGUAGGUUUCCUACAUUGCAUAAACCCCUGAGUGCGACCCUUCCCUGGACCUUGUAUGAAAGAGAGAUGCUUCAUGCCCCGGAGCUGGGUUUUUUUUUCCACUAUAUAUUACUAAUAUGUUAUCGUUUUCUAUUACUUAUAUCCGAAACUUUUAUGUAUGUUUUGAUGCUAUUGAACUAGAGGUUAACUAAAUCCUACACUUACAUAAAAGUCUUUAAUCAAACAAACAAAACUGGACUAAAUGUAAGUGAAACAACAACAAUUAGCACUCAAUCCAACUAAUUAAUAUCUCCUAGAUGGAUCUUUUGCUUCCAUCAUGUCCUAAUCUUAGAUAAGUCCAUAUUAAUUCCACCAUGUAUCAUAUUUUCUUGCAAUGUUAUCAAAUGUCUAACAAAAGAAGAAGCUAUUUAAGAAAUGAAAUUUAUUAGUAAUACAGAGUCAUUAACAACAGCAAAGGUCCAAGGAGGGUAAGAUCGAUGUACGUUAAGACCUAGACCUAAAGAGGUUGUUUUCCAUAGACCCUCGACUCAAAGGAGUUCAACCAAAGCAGGAACGUAAGAUAAUAAUAACGAUAGUAAAUAGCAACAUGAACAAAGCAAAGAAGCAAUAUGCAAUCGCAAAAAUUGAAGAAUAAGAUAAUACGCGAAUCCAGUAAUACAGAGUCAUUACCUAAUACUAGCAAGAGUUUGUUGUGAAUACCCUCCUUAUAUAUUGCCGGGGCGGUCUCGACUAUUCCUUCCAACCAUUUCCCCCAAGCUGAAUCUAUAAACCUCCCAACAAAAAGCUUCUCUAAAAUGGGGAAAAAAUUAAGUAAAUUAGAAAUCACAUGUUAUCAACAAGAUUAAUGUAAACUAAAUUAAGUUCAAAAAUCAAAGAUUUAGGUAAACGCUACUGACCAACAACAAAAAAAACAACAUACCCCGUGAAAUCCAGAAAUGAACUCUGGGAUAUAGAAUGUACUCAGGGCUUAUCCUUUUAUGGGGUUAGAAAAGUUAUUCCUGAUAGACCAUUAUCUCAAAAGCAGACACUAAUUAUCAAUUAAAAAAAUACAUGUUGAUCUUGAUAUUUAUCUUAAAUUAAAAUAUCUUACCUAAUAAAUGAAACUAUUCAAGAUUAAACCAAGAAAAAUGGAACCCUAAUGAUUAAAAAAAAAAGCAAGAAAAUGAAAAUUUUUGGUGGGAUUUAUCUGAAUCAAAACAUUUAACCUAAUUAGUGAAUCAAGAAUCUAAUAUUAACCCCCCAAACAACAACAAAAUAUUUACCAAUAAGUAAGAAACUAAGUAUUUUUAUCUGAAUUAAAACAUUUUACCUAGUAAUUAGUGAAAUCUUGGAUUCUAUUGUUCUUUCUUGAUCCUUCUUCAACUUCUAAAUUUUUUUUUAGGGUUCAUAAAUUUUAUCAUUUAUGGAAGAAUCGAAAAGAUUAAGAAGAAUUAGUUGUUGUUUUUUUUGGAGGAAAUGAUAAGAAAAAAUUGGGAGGGCAAAGAGUGGGCUUUGGUGUCAUCACACUAAUUAUUCUUGAAUAACCAACUUAACUAACAUCAUACUCACGUGAUUACACGUGCUUUAAGACAUGGAUAUUCAAUUGAUUUUAUAAAUAUCCUUUUAUUCGAGUUCUAUAUACUAUCUAAACUAUUAAAUGCGAAUUUUGAAUUUGACAAGUGUCAGUGUAUCAGUAUUAUUAGGAUAGGGGCGAAAGAGUCUAGAGUUAUAGAGACGGAAUAAGUUUAUAGAAAACUCUAAAAGUCCCUAGAUAUUCCAAGAAGACUCUAGAAUUCUGUAGGUCUUUCCUUGAAAGGCCAUAGCAUAACUUAGAAAAUAUCUUAGAGAGCUUUGGAAUAUCGUAUAACAUGUAGAAAGUUUAGAGAGGGACUAAAGUGUAAUUACUAGGAGAACUUAUAAAAUAAAUAUUAUUUACACUUUAGAUCCUAGAUUGUAGUAUAAAUAGAUGGACACAAAUCAUCCAAGCUUGAAACAAACAAUUCAACAAAGAGCAAAUCUUCCAAACUUAAUACAAAAACUUUCUUGAAAGCUCUCUUGUUCUUUCUAAGUCUUUCUUUCAUUUUCUUAGCAUUUGUUAUAUGGAAUAGUCAUGAGUUCUUCAAAUUUCCUAUCUUACAAUUUGGAUCUAAUAAGCUCUUUGAAUCCAAAAAUUAUAAUAAAAACAGUGAAUUAGGGUGCAUUGGCUUAAAACAAUCAUUCGAAGGUGCAUGUAUUUAGAUCUUUACACUAUGAGAUUUAAGAUUUAUUUAAGUUAUACAAAAGAAAAAUAAAUUUUUACUUGGUCCUGUAAGUUUGAAAAAAUUGUUGUUUCUUUUCAAUUGGGACGGAUUAAGUUGAGUAAAAAUGGAUGAGGUAACAUUUUUAAGUCGUGUGAUAUUUUUGGAAUUUAAAAAUUAGCUAGUUUUACAAAAAUAAAAUUAAUUUAAUCUAUUAACGGAAAAAAGAAAGUUAUACUAUUUGUCAAACGAUGAAAAUAUAUAUGCAAAAUUUUUUAGAAGGCAAGAAUAUAUAUAGGACCUUUUUAAUAAGAAUAUAAUCGAUUUUAAAUCUCAAUAAGGAUAUAUCAAUUCUAAAUCAUAAAACUGAAAUAUAUAUUUACCUCUUUUCCAAUUCUAGCUAUAUAUAAAAGGAGAAGAAAAAAUGGCUAUGUGUCAACAAAAAAAUAAAUUAUUAAACUAACUUAAAAUCUAAAAAUAAAAAAUUAUAAUUGCAAAUGCUAUCAGCUUUUUUAAAAAAAAUCAAAAAUUUAAACUUUCCUUUAACUUUUUACUGUUUUUUGAAAUAUUUUUUAUUCUUUUGAUUUUGAAUUAAAAAAUAAGAGAUAUAAAAUAAUAUUAUAAUAAUUAGUAUCAUCUUUUGAGAGAGAUCAAAACAUCUCACUAUCUUUCAUUUCUAAGCAAAUUAUUAAUGGACAAUUAAUAAUUUUAUAAGAAAUAAAAUUUUAAAUUUUAAAUUUAGGAUAAAUAACAUUUAAUUAUAUUUAGGAAACAUUAAAUUUUAUCCUGAGCAAUAUCAUAAUUAUAAAUUAUUUGUCAAAUUUAAGGCUAUUCAUAACAUUAAUUUAAGUUGAAAAUUGCAAUAUUUAAAUUUGUAAGAAUAUUUAAAGUAUUUGAUGUUUGAUGAAGGUAAAAUAAUCAAAGAAUUAAUACUAUCCUUGCAAAAAUUUCAAUAUAAUAUAUCAAAAAUUAAAAGUAUAGCUAAUAUAGUUAUAAAAUAAAAAUUACAUAUUAAAUAUUUUUACAACACCAUUCCAAUAAAAAUAGUUUGCCUAUUUUCUCAGCACUUAUCUACCCUCCAUCUUCUCUCUCCUUCAUGUGAGGUAGGAGAUUUGAAGAACUCAUAAACUUAUCAAUUAAUUUAUAGAAUUGUUAAAUCUUUUAUAUUUAUUUAAUAAUUAAUAGAAAUAUUAAUUUUAAUAGUAUUCCUUUUUACGGAUAAGCUGAUUUGCAACCAUCCUAUUGGUUUUCAUUAUACUAUGGAAGAAGUUAAAAUAAUGUUUGGUGUCUUUAAAGAGCGUAUCAUAAUAUUAUUUUAAUAACUAACAAUUAAUUAGAAAAUAAAUACUACCUAUGUUCUUAUUUAGUUGUCCACUUUAGAAAUGACACACAUAUUAAGAUAGCAAUAAUUAACAUAGUGAAAUUAUAAUUUUACCCUUAUUAAUUAUGAUUUCAAAAAUGAUGAAUUAAAACUUGAAAAUUUUUCAAAAAGUUUAAAUGAGGAUAUAAUAGGAAAAAAAUUGUCAUUUCUUAAUUUGUCGAAAUUGACAAAUAAGUAGGAACAACUAAAAGAGAAAAUAUGAACAACUAAAUAAGAACAGAGGGAGUAGGUUUUUAGGCGGGUGAAGAGUUUUUUAUUAUAAUGUACCUCCAUUAAUGAAAUAUUUAUUUGUAAUAAAUUCAGUAAAUUACUUUUAUAAUAUAAUAAUUAAUUUAAAUAAGAAAAAAUGGUCCAAAAAUUGAGUGAAAAAAUAAGAGACAUAAAAUCACCAUCAAAGUUGUUUUGAAUUUUUAAAAAGACAUCUUAACUUUGCGAGAGUCAUAUCACCCAAUUAAACAAUUUCAAAAUAGAAUGUAUACCCCAUUUUUUACUCAAUACCACUUAUACAAAAAUAUUUGUAUGUCACGCACUGAUAAUCACUUGUCACGUGUUAAAAUAAUUUUUAAUUAUUGUUAUCUAAUUUUUUGUAUUUCUUUUAUUUUUCUAUCUUUUUUUUUCUCUUUCUUCUUCACCUCAACUCUGUUCUUUCUUUUUCUCUUUCUUCUUCAUCUCAACUGAGUUGUUCUUUUCCAUUCUCUUUGUGCUGCAGUAACAUCAAAUUCAUUGUGGCUGAGCAGAUUUCGUAGCAGCACUGUUAAUUUUUAGUCAAAUUACUAUCAAUUAAUUUAUUUAUGAAAAUAAAUAUCGUCAAGUAAUAAAAAUCCAAAUACUCAAAUAUUAUCAAGUCAAAAUCUGACAUCAAAUCUCACCUUCUCCAACUCUUACUUCCAAAUUGAAUUUUUCAAUGUUUAACUACUCUCAGAUUCCAAUCUUGAUUUGUAAGAGAAAAAAAUCACUAAAUUAAUUUAUUUUUUAAAAAAAUAAAACUGAAUAACUUUAGUUUAAAAAUAAAACGUCAAAAAGGAAAAAGAGAAAAAGAAAAAAUAAUCUUUCCCUUCAAAAAAAAAAAGAUUGAGAGGUUUGAAGGAAGCCAUGGAUGCUCAAGAAAUACGAGUAAACUAAUGAUGGUAGGGAAGAUGAGAAAAAUAAUUUGAAUAAUUAAAACUAUUCUUAAUAAAGUUUUAAAAAAACAAAUUAAUACAUGAGUUUUUAUAGUUUUUUUUAAUAAGGCAAAUUGAAAGUGCCAAAUGGUAAAUUUACAUUGGUAUGAAGCUGUAUCAACAGUCUUCACGUGCCCAUAUGCUGUGACAAUACGAAUGGUGUUAAAAUUAGUCAAAAUGGUAUAUUUAUUGUAGAUUUAGAUAGUUUUGUGAGUAAUAGGACACUCGCAAAGUUAAAGUGUCGUUUUGAAAAUUCAAAAUAACUUCAAUGGUCUGAUAUACCCCUCAAAUUUGCCAUUUAUAGUUGAUAUACCUCUUGUUAUGAAAGUGACUCAUAUAUACCCCUACUUCUAAACAAAUGACUCACAUAUACCCCUUUCCUCUAACGGAAAUGAAAAAAAAAAUUUAAUCUAAAAUUUAAUUAUUUUUUUUUAAAAAAUAUAAUCCCAUAUAAGUAAAUUUAAUUCUCAUCAAACAUAUUUUUUUUAACUUUUUUUGUUUCAAUGACUAAUUUAUAAUUAUUAUUUUGAUAAUCAAAUUAAUUUAUAUUUCACUAAUAUUUUUGUAAAACUUAUUGUAAAUGACCAAAUUUUUUCUUUGAAUUCGAAAUUAAAUUACAAUACACACAAAAAAAAUAGUUUAAUUUUUCUCUCUAUUUAAACUAAGAAAUGAAAGAAAAAAAUAAAAUAAGAAACACAAAUAAUUAUAAUAAAAGAAGUCAAAAAAUAAUUUAUGUAUGAAAAAAAUUAAAAUAUACUUUUAACUUUGAUAGAAGAAUCAUAUAUAUUCCUAAAUAAUUUUUUUUAAAAAAAAAUUUAGAUGUAAUAAAUGUAAAUUUAAAACUAAUUUUUUAACUUCCGUUAAAUGAAGGGUAUAUGUGAGCUAUUUUCAGGGAUAUAUAUGAGCCGUUUGUAUAACAGUAAGGGCAUAUAUGAGCCACUUUUAUAACAAGGGAUAUAUCAGCUCCAAAUGACAAAGUUGAGGGGUAUAUCAGAUAGGCGUCAGGUCAACUUGUUUAUGUUUCUCUAAUUUCAGCUUUGUUUCUUGUGUAAUUAGAUUGAGCAUAAUUAUCCUUCAAUUUAAUAUAAAUAUGCAAUUUAAUCCUUAAUUAAAAAUUUAUUGAAAUCACUAAAAUUUCCCCUUCUACUGCAGUAAAAUUCAAGAAUCGCAUAAAUAUAAAUAAAAUACAAGGAAGUUGAAAGAUAUGAUUCAUUAUCCAUACAAAAAGUCCCUAAAUGCUUACAAUGGUUGCCUAUAUACAGUGAGAAUUCUCCAGCAGAAUUUUUAAUUAAAUUGUGUUCCUAUUCAACAAGAAACAGCAAUGUAUCAUAUACAAUAGCACCAUUUUUCUAAUUUUCACAAUAUAUACAAAUAACAUUAUAAUUUAUGGAGUUCUAACUGUCUCGAAAACACUAUUUUCGAUGCCCUGAUGAUGCCAUAAGUAUUCCAACAGCUGCAACAAACAUGAACAGCAUACCAACUAGUAGCGUAUAUGUUUUUCUAGACGAUCUUCGAUACUCUCCGAACAAAAUUACCCCCCAAAAUGUGCUCACCAGAGGCAGCGCCUGGAAUUGCAGUACACAUUUCAAACUUCUCGUAGACAGACAAGAGUAGCAUGUUCGAGGUCUAUAGUUUAUGUCUGAUUUUCAUUUUCAAUUUUAUCGCGGAAUAGAUACAGAGGAUUGAUUAAUAUGAUAAUAUAAAUGACUAACCUGAACAGCAUCUGCAGCUGCGUAUCCAGCUGCUUGACCUCCCAUGAAUUGUAGACCGUUUCCAAAACCACACAAAAGUCCUGCCAAAAGUGCCCAACCUCUACCGUUCCAGUCGUUAAUAUAAGCCUUUAGGGAUGACUUGGGUGCAUUUAAAACAGGACGGUAUAAGAAUAUGAGGUUAAGAAUCAAGGCAACGACAAAGCAAGAAACUGAGAAGUAGAAGAAUGCUGUGUAGACGCUCAAGUGUGGGACUCCAUCUUUUAGCGUAUGCCACUGAUCAUUUGUGGCAAGGUUGAAAGCUGGAGAGAAGAGAGAAAAACAAACUCCAGCAAAGAAUGUUAAAGCCAAACCAAUGAUAGCGCUCUUGCCAAAUAUCUGCAACCAAACACACGAUUAUGAACAAACAAGGAAAGCGCUUUUCCCUUGAACAUUUUCCACUACACUGGAUUGACAAAAUUUGAGUUGGAAGUGUCUACGUCUAACGGGAUACUUUAUCAUGUGUUCAGGUACUCAAUCGGAACAUGUUGUAGUUCUAGUGUCCAUGAUAACUUUUUACGCCAGAAGUUAACACUGAACGGAUAAUAAUAUUUAAUAAGAUUAGUAAUUUAAGAACAGACCUUGAUAGCUCUUCUCUUCUCGAGAUCAAUAAGGAAAAGAGCAGUCCCAAAUUUUGCCUUCUCUGUGGAAGCAGCUCCUUUCUCCGCAUCAUUUACGUCAACUAUGGAUGUUUAGGAAACAGUAUAAAGGCUAUGCAUCUUAUAAAAAGGGUAAAGAUAUGAAACUUCAUAUUUUCAGAUUCAAACUUGUAAUACCUGUCUUUGUAUAUGCUUGUUUAGAGUCAGUAAUACUAUUAGCCCUGCAAAUGUUUCAAUUAGAAUCAACAUCAAUUUCCCGAGAUUAAUGGGGGAAAAUUUGUACUCUUCCUCUAGCCAUAUAUACAACAUCAAUGCUAUCAUGAACUCAUGACAUGAAACUCAGAAGAAAAAUAACGUCUUACAUAUACUGUUUUUAUUAUUUAAACGAAAAGAAUCAAACCAAAAAUGUCAUUACCCAUUUUGCAAAGAUGUGAAAAUGAUAUCCUUAAUUAGUACAUACGUGUAUUGGUGCAUACCUAAUGCCAUCUUUAGACUCAUUUUUAUAACUAUCAAGCUUUGCUUUGUUAUCCGCUGCAUUGGACGCAUGAACAGCAGAGCCUAAGCAAACAGCGAUCAAGAAACAUGCAACCCCCGGAAAAAGAAUCUCCGCUUUGUUAAUUUUGUCAUCAAGGUAGUAAUUCAAGGUUGUUCCUGUCAUAACCGAAGCAAUAAUCCAAAAUUUAAACAAAUUAUGAUACUUCAGAAAGGGACAUCAAUCACUAGGUCAUUUCGGAAAAGUUAAAAUCAUACCUAUAACAACAGUAAUGCUUGAGGAGACGACCUCAGUAACUGAUAAACCAACAAAUGCCCAAGCAUAUUGCGUUGUAAGGUUCCCAAUGCUGAGGACCACCCCUCCAGCCAUUGCAAACAAGACACUGGGCCAAUUAUCCUGCACCAUUGGUCCACGACUGUGAUUCUAAAAUCCCGAAAAAAUCCGAAUUGAAUAAUAUUGUGCAAUUUCAACAAUUAACAACAAUACAUGCGAUCAAUCUGGUGGAAUUGUUGGAAAGUUUCUACUUACCAUAGACAAUUUGAACAAGAGCAUAUACUGCCUAUAAGUGAUCUUGAUAGAAGUAUGCAUUAAAACCGUAAAAGGUUGCUAGUAAUGACAACUGCUAAAGUCUUGACAGUAGCACGGAUCUCUUGGCAGUGACAAAGUUAAACCAGAAGAAACUAAAACAGAUGCUAAUCAAAGUUCCAGAUAAGAUCACAGGACAAACCAAUGAGGACUGCUAAAGUCUUGACAGUAGCACGGAUCUCUUGGCAGUGACAAAGUUGAACCAGAAGAAACUAAAACAGAUGCUAAUCAAAGUUUUAGAUAAGAUCACUGGACAAACCAAUGACGAAUUUAAUAAAAAAGACUCCACCUUAAGCUGGUAACAAUAAUUCAUCUCAAUGGAACAUCAUACGAAUAACAUGAGGCGAUGAAUUCUAGUCUUUAGAUCCACCUAUCAAGUAGCUUAUAGGUGGUAAUAUCAUCUUUCUCUUGGUCAUCAUUUUAAACUACUAAAAAUGCUGGUGAAAUGAAGACUGAACAUAAUGUGACCGGUGAAUGGAAGGACAGUCAUGUAGGCUUCUUUUAUUCGUUAUCAUGUUCCGGAGUUGCUACUUGCAACAUAUAUAUUCUACAUAAUUGAAUGGAAGUUAUGCAACAUAUAAACGGUCUCAAUCCAUAUAAGUUGCAUCCAAGAUUUGCAGCAGAAGUGUCACAUAUAAAAUCAUGUUCAGUCAAAUAGACUACGUAUUACUCAGAGUAUUACACGCAACGCAAAAACAAACGAAACAAGAACUAAGAACUAAAAACUAGUGCAACAAACUCUUUCGACCUUGAUGGUACAAUGCUAACCAAUCCCCCUCCCCCUCUACUCCUCUCGUUCUGUAACUAACCUAUUCAUACUUUUUAAAAUAACCGUGGUGUGUUGGUCAGCUUGCACGCACUCCGACUAAUUCUACAAGAUACCUAUUACCUCAAAGAACUCACCUAUUUAUAAUUUAUCAUUAACAGUACUAAAUUCCAAUGUGUUUAUAUCUAUCUAUACAAGUAUCAUACACUAGCAUCCUGCAUCUAUGCUUCACACUCGAACCCAUCAAUCGAAUCAUAUAGAGUUAUUAGGUGUAAACUAGGCACCAACCUGAGCGAGUUGAGAAAGGAAAUUCGGUUUUUCCAAUGAGCUUGUCCCAAUUUCACCAAAAGUAAAAGCAAUUAUAACAGCAGCCAAAAGAUUAGUCAAAGUAUAAUCAAGAUAAGUGUGUUGAGGAAAUCUUCCUCUUCUUUCAAGUAAAGUUAGUAAGGCUGGCCAUGUCCCUAAAAAGAACAAAGACAACAACAUGCAAACUAUAGCCCCUCCUUUGCUCUCAACCAAAUACAUCUUCAAACCACUCGAUAAAACCUUUUCGAUUUCAGGUGAAAUUGUAAUCAAAUUAAGAAUGCUCCAAAAAUCCUACACAAAUUUUAAAAAAGACAAUAUUAAAGAUUCAAUCUAACCAUAGUCCAUACUCAAUUCAUUAUUCUAAAUCCAACCAGCUAAUAAUGCAAGAAACUCAAAGAAUUUAACAUAAAUAGCCGUCCUUUAACCGCUUAAACUAAAAAUAGUAUGUGUAUAACAAUAUAUAAUCUAUAUAUACUAGCUAAGAGAAGUAAACAGUAAAUCGGACAACAUGUGUAUAAUCCCUUUUUUUCUUCAAAGAAAGUCAACAAUCUCAGAGAAUGAUCCCAAACCACUUAAACCUAUAUAACUGUCUACUUUUUUAGGGUUUGUCCCAAAAAGAGAAUCUUUUUCUGUAUUUAGUAAGUUUUUCGAUUCCAAUAACAAAUUUAACAUCACAAGAUUUAAAAGACUAUACGAAUGGAGAGAGUAUAAUUUAUGUAUACUACACAAUCUGACAGUAAUUGUGUAAAGAUCCCCUUUUUUUUUCCCUUUCAGAAGAACAAACACAACUAAUAAAUACAGAAAAAAAAGAUAAAGAUUUGAUUUUUUUGACCAACCAUUUCUUGAGUUCUCAAACAUGAACAGUACUCACCAUGUCAAAAGACAAACAGGGUAUCAAAAAAUCAGUAGAAAUGAAAGAACAAAUAGAUAAAAAUUUGUUGAUUUCUUCCAAAAAUUAGGGGAAAAUAACCAAAAAAAGUACCUUUUUUUUUUGAGACCCCACAAAAAAAGGCAAUGAAGCAGAGAGCCACCACUGUGAAAGGGAUAUCUGAUGAUGAAAUGGAAGAAUAAAAUAUGCAACUGAGAGUGGGAUUUAUGAUUCAUAAGCCUCUGAAUAGACUUCGAAUCUCAUAGUCAACAUAGUCCCUCUAUAAAAAAAAAUAAAAAAAAUCCCAUUUUCUUUUAUAUCUGUUUUAAAAUAGAUUAUUUUUUUUAAUAAUAUUUUAAUUUCAACUUUUUACUUAACACGUUAAGCUCACAAGUUCCAAAAAUAAUAAAUAAUUAUAAUUUAAGAUCAAAAAUUUUUUUUAAAAAAUUAUAUUUUUAAACAUCGUAUCAAAUUAAACUGAAUCAUUUUUUUUAAACGAAGCGAAUAGUACUUUCUUAAAAACUUCAAAUAACAGUUUUUAUUUGGAUGGUUGUUUACCUAGUGUUUUAUUGUUAGUAUAUGUCAUCUCACUUAUACUGUCGGGUAAUUCUAUUUGUCAAAUUUAAAAUAUUUUUCUGUUUAAGAAUAUUUAUUUAUUUUAUAAUUUAUUUAUUAAUUUUAUAAAUUUGACAAAUAUUAUUAAAUAUCUUAAAAUCGUGUAUAGUGAAUAACUAUUGUUUAACAUAAGAAGAAUUAUCUAAUAUGAAAUGAAAAUUUUAUAAUAUUUUAUUAAUAUGAUGUUCAAUUACAUUUUUACUAUCAAAUAUUAAAACAAAUAAUAUAAUUAUUUAGUGUUCACAUUUAAAGACAAUAUCUUAAAUUUAUAUAAAUAUUCAUAUUCAGAACUCUUAAUGUUAUCGAAGACAAAUGAGUUCUUAAUCACUUGUAACUACUAGGUCAAGACAUUUGAAUACUUUGCUCUUGAAAUGAUCAAAUAUAUAACAUUAUAUAAUCAAAAAAUGUAAUUUAUUUAAACAUUAUAUUGACUAAAAUAAUACAGCAUGAUAUGGUAGUAAUAUAAUAUAGUAACAUUGUAAAACUAUUUUUUUGUUUCAAUCUUUUCUUAAAAAAAUAUGUCUUCUAUUUAAAUAUAGAAAUAAUUUUACUUUAAAGAUAGAUAUUUAUCCUUAAUUAGAUAAGUUUUAGCCAUAUGAAUGUCUAAAUUUAGAUAGCAUAUUUUUUCAAUGUUUUUUCGUUCUUAAGCAUCAUAUCAAUUAAACAGUGCCAAAAUUAUUAUUAAAAUUAUUUGUAAUUUUACCUACUCACUCUCCUAAAUUUGCAUCAUAUUUUUUUUAGUUUAUUUUUAAAAAUUUGACAUAUUUUUUAUUUAAAAUUAUUUAUUAUUAGAAAACUUAUUUUUCUUUUAUGAUAAGGUUUAUGGUUAUGUAAAUAUAUAUUAGAAAAACUACUUGGAAUGAUAUCUUUUAAUAAAUAAUUUGAUUUUAAUUAUAUUUUUUAUUUAUUAUCAUUUAUAAUAACAUUAUGUUAUCUGUAAUGUGUAUUAAAAUUGAAUUAUGUACGUAAUAAAUAUGUAUUAUAAUUGUUCUUAAAAAUAUAUUAUGCUUGUUUUGUAAGUAAUUGACACAUUGUAUUAUAAGUGUAUUAAAAUGUGUGAUAAAUAUAUUAAUUGUCAAAAAAACUUAUAUUAUAUGUGAAUAAUAAAUUAUUUUUAUAAUAUAUAGUAAAAUUAUAUUAUAAAUAUAUUAAAAAUGAUCGAGUGAAAAAAUAUUAUUGCUACCUAAGUUUUCCCUAUAUGUUCCACAUGAUGAGUGUAAUUUUUUGAACCAUAUAAAUUGAAGACAAAGUAAUAUCAUAUAAUUUAACGUGCUUGUUACUAGUAAUGAGUCAUUAGUAGGAAUUAUUAGAUAUAAUAAUGUAUUUACUAGCUUUAAUAUUAUUUUACUCCUUACGUGAUUAGUUGUAUUUUUAAUUUAUAUAUUACUAUCAUAUGUAGUAUCUAUAUAUUAAAUCAUGACAUUACAGAUAUAAGUACUGCUUUUUAUUAUAAGUAUCCUAUCCCAAUAUUAUUAAUAUAUUUUAUUGACUGAAUUAAAAUUUUAUUUUGAAGUCAUUUGUGUACAUAAAUAAUAUUUGCUUUUAUAUCGAAAUAUCAUGAACCAUCGAUAAUAUUAUAAAAUUUAUUUUAUUUAUUGAAUUAAAAUUUUAUUUUGAAGUUAAUUGUGUGCAUAAAUAAUAUUUUCUUUUAUAUCGAAAUAUCAUGAUCCAUCAAUAACAUUAAUAAAAGGAAAAAAAUAUUUUUACUGUGGUCCACCGGUGACAUCAAUAAAAGAAAAAAAAAAGUAAUAUUUGCAUGGAGACAAAAUCCAUGUAACUUUCUACCCAAUUUUAUUUUAUUAUAUCUAUUCUCUUAUUACAAAAUAUAAAAUAAAAAUAACCUUCUCAUAUAAAAACAAAAUUAUUGACAAUUUUUUAAAAAUCUCUCUUUAGUGUCAAUAUGUAUAAUAAUAGCAUGGUAUAUUUAACCACAAGUUUCUAAUUAGUAGGUUAGUGAAUGUUGUACAUAAAAGCUUACGUGUUAAACGUUUUCAGUAAUUCAAAUUUUGUUAUAUAAAAAGGAAAAAAACUUUGAAUAUUUUAUUGAAUUUUGAAAGAAAAAAAAUUUAUUUAUAUUAUUAAAAGUAUGACGUAUUUAUGUCAUUUUAUUUUUUGAGAAAGUGUUCAUCCAUAUCAUUAUUUGUUGAUAGAAAAUGAUUCUCAUUUUGCCAAAAAUAAUUUUUUUCAUGUUGUCAAUUAUGAUUUGUUCACAUCAUUAAUUAUUUUUAAAAGAGAAAAAUAUCAGAAUAAUAAUUCAAAUUUGAAGUAGAAUUUCUAAAUUAUUUAGAAUUUGUUAGUUUUUAUAUUAUUUAAUUAUAUCUAAUUUAGAUUUUCAAACUCUAGUUUAAUUUAAUUUUUUACUUUUUAUAAGUAGAGAUGCUACUUAUUAUUUUCAACAUACAACAAUAUAUAAUAUAAAUAGAACUAGAAUUGAAGUAAAAUUUAAGAAUCUUUGAAUUUAAAAAUAAAAUAAUUUUCUUGAAAUUGAUAAGAAUCUUCAACGUGGCCCCACCAUGAAAUUAGAAUCUUGGAAGUUAGUCGACGAUAUUAUUAUGGUGUUUUAUGUAUUUUAAAAUGAGACAUUUGUAGUCUAUGACACCUAACAUAAGUUGACAAUUUUAUUAUUAUGAUAUGAUAAUAUCUAACUUUUUUUUCUAGGAAAAAAAAUAAAAAAGGAAAAGGGAUGUAGAAUUUUUUUUCAUCAACUUGUUUGUAAUUUCUUAUUUUUCUCUACCAAAUCAUUAAAGUAGUGGCCUCUAUUAGCCAUUGAUUGAUGGGUGCAUAUGAUGGUGUUAAAGUCAAAGAAAUCAAUGAAAGAAAUAUUAUAAAAUUAUUUUGAUGAUUAUGUUUAUUAAGAUUGAAAUAAGGAACACAUACUUUACUGUGAAUUAUGAUAUAUACUUAAUUUAUUUUUAUUUUAAAAAUUAUACAUAAUAUUAUAUUAUAUAUUUUAAAGGCAAGAGAUAAAAAUCACACUUUUAAAAUAAAAUUACCAUUUAUUCCUUGUAAAUUUAUAAUUACAAAAAUUCCUCAAACUGAUACAAUAAUAUAAGAGUCAAUGCAUUAAUCUGAUGCAAGGAAUACAUUAAUCGUUAAGUAAGAUAUACUACAUUUUAUACAUGAUACACUAAUAUGAUGUACAUUUUAUACAUGAUAUACUAAUAUGAUGCACGAGAUACAUUAAUUUAAUGCGUGAAAAUAAGAGAUUUUCGGGGAUUUAUGAAACUAAUAUGGGAUAAUAGUAAUAAGAAAACAUAAAUGUGAAAUUUUUGUCAUUUUUCCUUAUUAUGAUAAAUUAACAAUUUAAAUUAUUUUAUCUCACUUGCAUCUUUCCCUUGUCACGACCCAAAAAUGGGCGUGAUGGCACUCGUCUUAUCCCACCAAGACAAGUCAGCCUAAAACUCAACCAUUACAAUAAAGUGCGGAAGUAAAAUAUAAGUAACUUAAUAAAAACCCCAAAACCUGGUAGUCACGUGUACAAGCCUCUAAAGUAUUACAAUUGAUUCAAAAGAAAACUCAAGUCUCAAAUGAACUUGUUUCUAGAAUAGGACAAAAUCAUAAUUAAGGAGAAGAAAGUCUGCUGCGAUGGAAACAGCUACCUGACAAAUCUCCAAGAAGCCUCGGAAAAGAAGAGAAUGACAAGUACAACAAAAAUCCAGGCUCAUAACCUACAAAAAUUUGUAGAAGCAAGGGGUGAGUACCAAACCACACGGUACUCAGCAAGUAAACAUCUAAACACAAGCUAAGGGAAUGAAAUACGGGUACUCCUACCACCCCCAACCGAACCUCCACAACUACAACCUGCAUAAACAUCAGCCCAACCUAACAACUCACAGUUUAUAUAGAACGUAACUCAACAAAAACAUCUAGACAAAUUACACAUCCUCCACAACAACACUUUAACAAAUUGCAUAUCCUCCACAACAACACUUUAACAAAUUACAUAUUCGCAAUAACAAGCUCAGUAUUCAACAAUCACAAGUUCCGCAAAAAGGCAAUCACUAGAUCAGCAAAACACAAUAUCAAGUUCACUAAUGAUAAGUAUGUGCAAUGUAAUGGAAUGCAAUGUCAAGUAUAAUGAUGCAUGUCUGACCUAGUGAUACACACCCGCUGUCUCUCAGUCCGGGACCCAUGGGGGACAUAUCUGUCCAUGCAUCUGUCGCGGCGCACGACAUGACCCUCGAUAACAGUAACCAUCGCGGCGCGCGAUACGUCCCUCGAAAUAUAGUAUCCAUCACGGCGCGCGAUACGUCCCUCGAAAUAUAGUAUCCAUCGCGGCGCGCGAUACGUCCCUCGAAAUGGUACAUCCUCUUAAGUACCCAUUCUUUCUCAAUGCACAUAACACUUGUCACAACCAAUGCCUCAGAAUAAUGCAGAUGACAAGUUCACACAUAUAAUGAGGAGAUGACCAUUUUCAUAACAUCACACAGUUUACAACCACACAAACAUGAAGUUACAUCAACAAUGAUUCAACAAGCCUUCAACCCUUUCUCAACACAACAGACAUAAACAAUUAAUCACAUUGCCUUUUGUUAUCCCCAUUCUUUUCAUCAUUAGAAUUAAUCAAUGUGGACAAUUCAACCCAUUACCAAUCCCGUUACUCCCAACAUAUACCACAAGGACAUACACACAUUUCAUACACUUAACAAGAGUUUAGAAAUCCACUUGCCUCAAGAUAGUCGAACAAUUACUCUGGGACUUGAGCCUCCCCAUUUCAUAUAGCAUCUGAACCAAUGUUAUCUAUUCAAGUACAUAUUCACAAUAAGAUUUCAAAAUUAGCAACACUCAUACCACUAUAUGUCUAGCUUAGAUCCAAAAGCUGAUCCAAACAUGUAAUCAAGUUCCUAAAUCUUGACACCAAUUACCAUAUCUACUCUUUCAAUUUUCUCCAAAUUUCAAGCCUAGGGUUAAGUCAUAAUUUAUUAAAAUAUUACAAGUCUAAUAGCUUUCAUAUACUAUAAUACACCCGUUAUUUAAUUACAUAUCUCAAUAUACCAAACUUAAUAUAUGAUGUGAUAGUAAAAAAAAAAGAAUUACUAAAUACGGGAAUCACUAGUUAUGAAAUCAAAGGUGACAAUAACUUUGAGACAAAGAUAUCAACUCGUGUAGGUUAACUAGUUUGUAACAUGAAAUGGUUAUUAUAAUAAUUGAUGAUUAAUGACUUUGUCCCACCAUUUUUCACAACCUUCAAAGUGAUACAGUACAACAUCAUCCAUAAAGAAUUUAAUUACUUCUUAUUUUAUAAAAUAAUAAUCUAAAUCCUCCAAUUAACAUUCACCAUCCUAAUUCACUCUAAUGUAAUAUGUAACCAAGAAUUAAUGCAUUAGAAAUUCACCUUGGUGUGCAGAAGUUCUUGUGGCGGCCGCUUCUUUGCACAGGUAAAUUUUUCUUUCUCCCAUUUUCCUUGUUUCGUCUUUUCUCUUCUUUUUUUUUUAAAUAAAUAUAUACUAAAAGUGAUAAAUUUUACUAACUUAGUUUAAUUAUAUGGAACAAAUGGUAUAAGAUCUUAAAUAAAUGAUAUUUUAGUCCAUUAACUAUCAAUUAAGUCAAUUAUCCACAAUUACCCAUCAAAUAAUUAACUAAAGUCAAUGAAUAGUUCAAAAUUAUCAAAAAUAACUUUCGGGGUCAUUACAUUAUCCACCACUAAAAAUCAUGUUCGUCCUCGAACAUAAAGAAGAAGAACUAAGAGUAAUUGAUAUUACCAAAAGCGGAGUUAUGACCUAACAGUCAGUGUUCAUCUCUCUAAGUGAGCUCAUCCUUAAAAUCAUUCAAUCCAAAUCAACUACUAACAAUUGAACUUUUAAACAAACUUUGUAAGAUCUGUAAAUUAAGAGUGAUUAUCAAGUCACAAACUAACUCACGAACCCAAUCUAAAGUGAGACUCAUUGGACCAUAACACAACCAUCAUGACAAAUCUUUUCUUACAUAACCAAGAAUAACCUCUGAAUCAAUACUGGCUACAAUCACAAGUGGACCUUAACAAACCAUGAAACACUCAUAAUGCCCGAAUCAUUACAGAUCUUGUCAAAAUUCUUUGCUCAAAGCGUCAUCUUUUCCCGAGCUUAAGUUAUAAACAUCUAAUAUUUAGACAUUGGUACUCAUCAAGGAGAAUUGAACUCAUAUAGUCCAAAGAAUGAAAUGAUUAAGAAACACCUAACAAGCGAUACACUCUAUGAUGAAAACCUUUAACACCAUUGUUAGAUAACCAUAACUAUUCACGGAAGCUUUUUUUUUUUUUAUAAAUCCUCAUAAGCAAAGUUGUGCAUGUAGAAUCACUGGUAUAUUUCAACUAUCCCAAACAACAUUAAAUCUCCCAUAACUGAAAUGGUUAAUUCUGUCCAAGGAUCCUAUCAUAUCAAGAGGACAUAAGAGGAUCGGCACAUCCGAUCCACCACUAAUAAUUCACUCAUAGGUGUGGAACCACGCGUAAUAUAAGUAAUGAAUCAUACUAUAAAUAGUGUCCAAUACGAAGAAGGUUGUCACAUAAGAAUUUACAAAACCAAGGUUGAAUAACACUAAAAACUUCUUCCAUAAUUCCCACAUCAAAUAUUCCAUUCAUUUGAGUACAUCUCUCGAUUUUUAUCCACACACAACCAACCAGUUUGAUCCCCGUUUUGUUAGUACCAAACCCCACAUACUUUUCACAAUAAUCCAAUGUAUCUAAAACUCUUAAUACCAAUAAACAUUAUAGGCACACCAUCCAUUUACCUUACUAUUAAACCGUCUCUAGUAUUAAAGUAUUCUUAGCGAACACAUUAUCACCUUAAAUUUUUUUUUUUUUGAACUAGGUCUUCCUCUCUUUCCCUUUUAAGCAUCGCAUGACAGAUAUAAGUCAUACCCAAGACCGAUAACACUAAUUUCAAAUCUAUAUUUCUCUUUUAGGGUAAAAUAAUUAAGUCACACUUAAUGUCAACUUCACCUAAACUUUCACAUACCAUUUUCAACCACCAUCUGUACCAUCAUUUACCUUAUGCGAUAACUCAAAGAAACCCUUGAUCACUCCAAUAUUUAUGUAUACUAUAAUCUCAUAAUCUCUACUCACCAUAAUAUGCCUAUGUAACACAUUAUAACAAUCUAUUUUGUCUCGUCAACAAAAUAAUUUUAAUCCCUUCCAAUCCUAAUUAAUCAUGUAAAACUGUAGGUCCACACUAUUUAACAUCCAUUUGUUACUUAAUCACAUUCUGAACAAUCUAGCUCGACAUAACCAUGUAUAAUCUUUCUUACGUCAUUUAUUGUAACCCUAUCAAAACUUCAUAUUUAGAAAAGUUAAUAAUAAAUCCAUAGUAAGUAGGUGCCGAAUUAGUUCACAUCUCAUAGUCAUAUCUAAACUCAAAGGCGAAAUCACUACAACCAUCACCUCCGAAUCCAAUGUUUGACGAGAGGUCUUAUUGUUCCUUUGCCUUUCUUAAAAUCUUUCCACGACGGAAAUUUCAAAUAACUUGAACUCUUCAAUACACCAUAAUUUUUCUCCUUUUUGCUAAUUCACUUACCAGUCUUUUUUUUUUUGGCCAACAAUAUGGGAAACCUUCGGUAUAACAAUCAAAAGUUACUAAAUGUACUACUCAAUUUUAAGUCCUUCUAAAUGCUUCAUACUCAAUGUGAUCGAUCAUUUCCUACCUUACCAAUUCAUACCUUGACAAGAUACACUAUCACAAAUCUAAACUUUCCAUGUAAACUUGAAGUUUUGAUCCCAACCAUGUAACACAAUUCUAUUAUCAAUCAACAUUUGCUCAUACAUUGGAGAUCUUUAUGAAUCCACGUAUCUUAGCUUCUCAUUGGUCGCCUAUCCAUCGACCUUAUCAUAUUUUUCACAAUCUUAUCAUAUUCAAUAUCAAACUCAAAAUCAUAAAAGAAUUUAUUAUCACACUCAAGUCAAAUGUCUUUAGACUUCUUUCUUAAAUCUUAUCAAAUAGUAUUGAACCAAUAUUAUGAACAUGUGACACUAUUAUCAUAAUUAGAGCAAAAUAGAUGAGAUCACAUGUCGAUAAAAUCCAUCUUCUACCAUAUGAAGAUAUAUCUUUUGUACUUGCACUCAAAGUAAAUAUCUUUGUUCUCGAUCACCUCCUUCAAAUGACUAAACUAGAUCCCACUAAUUCUUUUCAUUUGUGACUCUAGCUCUUUUCAAUUUUAUUUAAGCAGAGUCACAACACCUCUUAUAACUUUUCAUGCAACGACGUUACUCAUCAAAAAGUAGCAGAUCAUAGCGAUAAAUACUCGCAGGUCGUUACUAUCAUAAAAAAAAUCAUUUAACCCACAAUCUUUAUCAUAUAGUUAUGUCUCAGUCACAAUCCAUCACAAACUCUUAUUACCAAUAUGAUCACUUAGCAUUUGUCAUCACCACGAAGUCAACAUUCUCAAUGACAUGACACCUCAAAUCCAGUUAUACCAACAAAAUCAAAGGACUAACCCGAUUUUAUAUGUAUUUUCUUACUAUAAACUUCAAUUAUCUUUACACAAGUAUACUCUUUGAGACUUUUCUUACCCAUAAGUUCUUUUUCAUUCUGGUAUAUCCAUUCCCUUCGACCACUUCUCAAUUAGAAACAUCGAGAUACACUCCAUAAAUUGACGUAUUAAUAUCAUUCCAACAAUCCACCACUAAAACAUCCCUUAUAACAAUGUUUUAACUCAAGCAACCGUAGUAACAAACUAGUUAGUUUCUCAAAUAUGAAUACAACAUUGAAUCUCAUUAUAUGAACAUGUGAUUCAAUUGAUAACUCUUUAAGUGGUUUGUAAUCGCACUUGACAUCAUCAUAUCCAUUUUCAUGUACCAUUAGUAUCACCUUAUGAAAUCUGUUAAAUCCACCACCAGGACACAUCAUACCUAUCGAGAAUAUUGUACCCAAAUAACCUACACAUUUCUGUCUAUCGAAUGACUUUAAAAUAUUAUCAAAUUCUCUCUCAUAUCUAGCCCAAGCUAUGUGUAUUCUUUCAUAGGGCAGGUCGAGUUACAUCCCUCCCCCAAUCCGACUAUAUCAUCAUUUUUCCUUCUUCCUUAAUCCUCUCAAUACAUAUUUGAUUUAAAACUAAAUCUUGUAAUCGAAAGUGUACAACGAGGGGAAAAAAAUAUUAUUAUUAUUAUAAUGUAUCUUGUAUUCAUGUAUCUGAGAUAGAGUUUGUAUUGAUCAAAAAUUUUGAUUUUAUUAAGUUUUAUAAAUUAGUAUUUGUCAAUUAUAUACAUGUAUCUGAGUACAUCUUCAUCACUAUUUUUGACAAUUUUUGAAUCUUUAUCACUGUUUUAGAGUAAAUCUUCAUGUAUUUGUCAAUUAUACACAUGUAUUUAGGGGUAAAAUUUAUUUGCACAGGGUGUUUAUACCAAUUUAAUAUAUGUAUAUCAUGUGUUUAAAUUUAUUGCUCAUUUUACUUAACUUUAAUUAAUUAACAUGUGUUUUAAUUCAUUGAAUCACAUAGUAAUGAAAAUUGUAUUAAUUUAAUGCAAACACUCGGUACAGAUAAAUUUUUUUUUAUAUAUGAGUGAAAGAUUUUAUGAAUAGGCUCCAAUUAUGUAUCUGAGUUUCCCACGAGUUUUGAGGUAUCUGAAUAUUUUAUGUAUCUUCUUAAUAUAAAUGAUAUUGGCCAUUAUAUUGCUGGAAAAAAAAACUCCGAAGUUUUUAAAAAAGAAUUAAAAAGAAGAAAGUAAGUAAAGCUGGGUGAAUUUCUAAAAAAAAUGGAAGGAUUUUUUUUUUUUAAUUUUCUUACAAGUUUUGAUGCAUCAAAAUAUUGUAAAGUUAUAACAAGCAUGAUUUUCUCCUUAAUUUAUGGCUUUUAGUUACAUUUCUUAAUCGGUUAGACUUAAUGAGUUUGUAUCUAAUUAUUAUAUUUCUAGAAAAUAUAUGUAUCUAGAAGCAACAUAUACAUAUAUCGAAGGUAGAAAAUAUGGUAUGAAAUGUAAUUACACAAACUAGAGGGAAAGGGGUAAUUAGAUACUAAAUUAGUAAGAUUUGUAUUGUUUAAAAUAAUUAGGUGUUAAUUUAAAUAAAGAUUGAGAGAGAAUAAAUCAAAUAACAAAAGAGAAAUAUAUCAAAAGAGAGACAAUAGAAAAAUUCUAAUAGUAUAAAAUAUUGAGAUCAUUUAGACUAAAAAAAGAGAAGAAAAAAGAAGAGAUUCUUGCCACUGAUAGGUACCAGCUUAAUCGCACAAAAACAAAAAAAAUUAGUUAAAUAUAUAUAUUUUUUCUUUAAAAAAAAAGAAGAGAACUUCACUUAAUUGAGAUUAAAAAGAAAAACUUUCACAUAUAAUCAUUUAAAAAUAAUUAAUUACUCUCAAUAGCUAUAGUUUGAUAAUUACCAUUUGUAACUACAUGUUAUAUGGAGGAGAGAGACGAGUGAUACCGGGAGAGAGAGGAGAGAGGCGAGUGAGACUGGGAGAGAGAGGAGAGAGGAGAGAGAGAGAGAGAGUUGGAGGUGGGGAAGAGUGGGAGAAAGGUGAAUUGUAUAUGUAUAUUGGUUAGAUAAUUAUAUAUUAUACAUAUGUAUUUGUAUAUAUGAUAAGAGAGAUUGGAGAGGGAGAAGAGAGGAGAGCCAGAUCGAGAGAGGGAGGAGAGAGGAGAGAUAGAGAGGGCAAAGAGUGAAAGAGAGGUGAAUUGUAUAUGUAUAUAAUCAUAUAUAUGCAUUUGUAUAUAUGGCAAGCGAGAUUGGGAGAGGGAGGAGAGAGACAAGCAAGAUUGAGAGAGGGAGGAGAGAGACAAGCAAGAGAGGGAAGAGAGUGGGAGAGAGGUGAAUUGUAUAUGUAUAUAGGUUAAAUAAUUGUAUGUUAUACAUAUAAAUUUUAUAUCUUAGCAAAUUAUACAUAUACAAACGUGACUAAUUAUACAAACUCGAAGUCAGCGCACGUAAUUAAUAUAUAAUUUUAGUCGCAAGUGAUAACUAUAACAAAUUAUAACUAUGAUGAGUAAUUAAAUAAUAUAAAUUUACUUGCAAAUUUUUUCCAUAUAUAUAACGUGGGUCCGUCUCUCCAUUGACGUAUAUAUUUCACCAACCUAUUUUAGAUAAUAUCACAUGGAACAAUGACAUUGAUUUAAGUUUGUCAAUUAUUUAUACACUCUGUAACGUAUCAUUUUAAUUUUUAUACAACUUGCUAGCUAAUACUUCACGCCAUUCUGAAUGAAAUAAAUGUCUGGAUACAGAGGGAGUUUCUUUUUCUUUUUUCCCCAAAAACAAUUACUCCCUUCAUUUCAUAAUACAUGGUAUUUUUUUCCCCAAAAUAAGCGGUAUUUCGUGAAAUAAAAUAAAACAUUGAUUUACUUUUUACCAUUUUAUUUUUAUUCAAAUAAAUAUAGUAUUACAUAAUUAAUAAACUAUUUAACAGCUACUUCCUUCAUUUGAAAAUAAAUGAACUUUGCCUCUCUUUUUUUUAAUAUUGGAAUGAAUUUAUUAAGAUUAAAAAUUAUCAAUUUUUUUUUUGGUCUGUCUCUCGCUCUCUUUUUUUUUUUGGGUUAACUAAGAGAUUUUAUUAAUCACACGGUAGAAGCUUUACAAAUCCACAGCAAUGCAGCAGCUGAGCGUGCUAUCUCAAAAAACUAUUUCUAAUUUUUAGAAUAAUUAGGAAAGAAGUAAAAAGGGGAACUUAUAUAAAUUGCAGUAAUUUAUGUGUUAAUUACUUAUAUAUAUUUUAGUUUGUAAUAGGUGUCACACUCCUUUUUUUCGCGUACAAUGGUGAGAUUUUUUCAAUUGAAGUAACAUUAUUGAUUUAGGGAUUAUUCUUAUUUUUCAGAGUCGUCACUUCAAAUUGAAUUGUGGUGUUUCAAGUUACUUUUUUUUAAUCCCUCAUAAAAAGUAAAUGAGGGAAAGAUAUUAGGCAUUCCUCGAGUCUCAAGAUUCUAGCUCGAUCGCUUUUAUUGACUUAUACUUCUUUUAAUUAUUUUCUCGAUAUAUUUUAUAUCCUACAAUUUUGCUCAUAUUUUUAUUUUUUUAGCUAUUUUUUGGAUAUAUUUAUAUGCUACAAUUUUGCUCAUAUUUUUAUUGUUGAAUUUUUAUUAGUCUUAAACCAGAUACAUAACUGCAUUCUCGAUCUUGACGUUUAGAGACAUAACUGUCUUCUUCGCAUUUCACCUAAUAAUUGUCUAUAAGUCUUAUAUUAAAUUAUAGAAAAAUCAAUAUUUUAUGGACAAGAUACAUCACUGCGUAUUUGAAUUAUUCUUUUUAAUGUAUCAAGAAAGAUAUGUAACCACAUUAUUAUGAAAUGGAGAUGUGGGGAGUGUGCAGGUGGGUAGUGGGUAGGAAAUGGGGUAGUGGGUAGGUUACACAUAAAUAAACAAAAUACAAUAAUUAAAAAUUAACUAAUUAAUAUAAAUAAAUAAAUAAGGUUAAAUAGCUAAUUAAAAAAUAAUAAUUAAAAAGUAUUAAUUUAUUUAUUAAAUCUAAACGAUAUAUAUAUAUAUAUAUAUAUAUAUAUAUAUAUAUAUAUAUAUAUAUAUAUAUAUAUAUAUAUAUAUAUAAAUAUAUAUAAAUUUAUUUCUUUUUUAAACAAUAAAACAAAUAAAACUUACCUUAAAAAGUAAUUAUAUUUUUGUUGUUUUCAGUCUUAUAAAAUAAACUUAAAAAUAAGAUAAAAGUAAAUAUAUUUUAUUAAGAUUUAUAAAAUAUAUAAGCCUUAAAAAUGGAGUAAAAUUUAAGUUCGAUAAAAAUUAUGUGUCUACAAUAGAGAUAAUUAUAUAGAAUGACAAACUAAUAAUGUAAAAUAAAUACAGUAGCUACAGUUUGAUUUAUUUGUGUUCCAUAAUAAAUUGUUUGUCUGACCCUCUUUCCCUCAUAUUCUUGCUCGCCGCUCUCCCUCUCGCUCGCUUCUCUCGCUUUAUACAAUAGAAUUGUAUAAAUUGUGUUUCUAUUUGUAUAAAGCGAGAGAAAAUUGUAUAUACACAUGCAAAUACACAUAUCUCUAUCCUAUUACACUUAUAAUUAUACAAUACAAAUAUUUUCCUACCCUAGUCUCUUUUGUCUUUCUCUCUUUCUCGUUUUAUACAAAUUCAAAUUGUAUAUAAUUUCUCUCUUUCUCGUUUUAUACAAUUCGAUUUAAUUGUAUAUAAAUUCAAAUUUUAUACAAAUAUACAAACACAUACAAUUGAAUGGAGAGACUAACAACCAUUUACACAAUGAGAGGCUAACAACAAUUUAUACAAAUGGCCUGCCAGCGAAAUUAUACAAGUUUGAAGAGGAACCAACGAAUUAUACAAUUGCUUCUUUGUAUAUAUGUAUAGCGAAAUAGGCAUCACUUUCAGUUGUAUAUGUAUAGCGAAUUAUACAUAUAUAUGUUUACUAUGGAGCGCAAUUAUGCAAAAUUUGCUAUAACAUUCAAAUUUGAAUUUUGUAUUUGCUAUGUGUGAAAGUUGCCCUUGUAAUAUUAUGCAUGAUAUUGGUGCAUCUAGAUACGUCCAGAUAUAUGUAUCUAGGAUAUAUGAGAUCAAAUUUAGAUGUAGUUUGUUAGAGAUACAUUAUUAACAAGUAAAAUUCGCAUGUAUAUGGAAUACGUAGCUAUUCUCGCUCGCCUCUCUCCUAUCUCGCUCGCCUCUCUCCCAUCUCUCUCGCCUCUCUCUCGUGUAUAUAUAUGAUAUCCUAGAUACAUUUGAAUCACUCUAGAUACAUAUAAAUACACAUAUCUAAAGUGUAUUAAUUUAAAUACAUAUAAAUACAUGUAUCCAGUGUGAUUUGCAUGUAUCUGAAACAAAUAUGAAUUUUGCUUGCCCCCCUCCCCAAUCUUGUUGGUCUCUCUCCUUGUUUUUUUUUUUUUUUGUCUCUAACAGCAAAAUUACAUGUAUCUAAAUAUAAGAUACAUAAAAAACUCAUUAAUAAUAAUAAAAUAAACAAAAUAUUUUAAAACUAUAGCAAAUAAUAAUAUAUAUAAUAGUAAAGUAUGUUACCGAGUAUGCUUUAAUUAAUGUGAUUAGCUAUAAAUUUCAAAAGGUGUGUCGCAUUCUAAAACUUAUUUAUUUUAAAAUCCAAAGAGUAUUUCUUGUUUAAGGCAUUGAUUAGUAUAUUAGUAAAAAUAUUUUUUUAAAUUUUAAGGAUGGAAUAAUUCUUAUUAAAAGGCAUGCUCAAAUUAAAAAUAUCACUUAUUAAGAACGGAAAGGAGCAAUAUUAGUACUAGUACUCAGUCUCCAAUGUGGUUAAUUAUCAUUUGUUUUCAUUAAAACUAAGACAUAUAAAUUCGAUGGCUUAGUAUCAUAAUAUGUUAGUCUCAGAUAUCUAAAUGCUAAAUAACUAAAACUAUUUAUUUUUCAAUAUAUAAAUGUGCAUAAUUUAUUUAAAUAUAACACAUAUACAUUCAAAUAAAUAAAUUACCUACUAAAAUAUAUAAAUUUAUUAAAAUAAAUUAAUUAUUGAGAAUUUUUAUAUUCGCUAUUUGUGGUGAAAAUGAUUUGUAAUGAAUGUAAUUAUUGGUGUUGAUAGCUAGUAAUGAUAGUGGUGAUACUUGUAACUAGUGGCAUACACAAAAAUUUUCCAAAGAAAUGUCAUUUAUCAAAAAUGAUAAACACUAAAACAUCACAUACAUAUAUAGUUAUAAAGAAAAUAUUAUAAUUUUUUCUAGAUAAACAUCACAGACUUAUAAAAGUUAUAAAGAAAAUAUUAUAACUUUUUAAAAAUAAAUAAUAAUAAUUUGUAGCUAACAAUUAUUAGUGCUAAUUUUUUUAAAAAUAAUGUUGAUAGUGCUAAAUAUAUUUUUUGGGCAACUUUCACACAUAGCAAAUAAAAAAUUCAUAUUUGUAUGCUACAGCAAACUUUGCAUAAUUAUGCUCCAUAGCAAACAUAAAACUGUAUAAUUUGCUAUACAUAUACAAUUGUAUAAUUCGCUGGCCUAAAUUGUAUAAUUCGCUGGCCUAUUUCGCUAUAAUUGUAUAAUUUGUUUUGCAUACAGUUGAAUCGAAUUAAAAUGUAUGUAUAUUGCAUAAUUAUAAGUGUAUAGCAAGAAGAUAUAUGUUUUUUUCGCUUUAUACAAAAACAGACACACAAUAUAUACACUUCUGUUGUAUAAAACUAGAGAAAAUUGUAUUUCACUGCAAUUGUAUAAUUCGCAAUUGUAUAAUUCGUUGGCCUUUUUCUCUGCAAUAUUUGAAGUAAAAUGUUUGUAAAUUGUAUAAUUAAGUGUAUAACACGAAGAUAUACAUUUUUGCAUGUGUAUAUACAAUUUUCUCUCGCUUUAUACAAAACAGAAACAGAAUUAUACACUUCUGUGUAUAAAGCGAGAGAAGAGAGCGAGAAUGGAGAGUGGUGACCGAGAUUUUUGGGAGAGAGGCGCUAACAAAUUUUAGCUAAUGUUUGCUGUGGAGCACAAUUAAAUCAAACCCUAGCUAUUCCAUUUAAUUUAGGUUAUUAGUUUGCUAUUAUAUACAAUUUUCCCAUAUUUUUAUAUAGAGAACCCAAUAAAGAGAAAUUAAAAAGGCAAAAGAAGAAAAGAAAGAAAAAAAUAACCAAACAAUAAAAUCUAGUAAAAUUUUAUUAAUUGUAAGGUUGUUAGGAUUCAAUCCCACAAACUCACACGAAAUAUUUAAGCACUCAACCAAUGUGUCAUGUUACAUUAGUGUCAAGUUUGGCACACUGUUAUAUAUAUAUAUAUAUAUAAAUUUAUUCUGUUUAUAAAUUUAAUAUAUAUAUAUAUUUGACAAAGUCGUGUCACGUGAUAGCCUUUGGUAACUACUAGAUCCGUCCUUGGCUGUGACAGUAGAGGUGAUUAUUCUUGUAGUUACUAUCAUGAUAGAGACAAUUGAUAAUAGUGGUGGUGAAUAUGAUGUUGAAGUUGAAUGAUGUUAGUUAUUGGCGGUGUUGAUUGUAGUGGUUGACGUUGAUUCUCGUAGGAUAGAUGCUAAUUUUAAUGGUGGAGUUGGUUGAUAAUAUAGAUUGAUCGUGGUGAUAAUGGAUGAUCCUGGUGAUCGUGGCCGCAACGAAAGUGAUAGUGACAACUAAACAAUAUGUGGCAAUAUAGAGUUGGUUGGGAUUAGUUAUCAAGUGAUAAUGGUUAAUAGUGGUGGUAGAAGCGACAUUUAUGGUGACAAUGUAUAUAAUUAUAAUGAUGAAAGUGUAACGACCUGUUUAGUCGUUUUGAGCAGCAGAUUUUAUUUCUGGAAAAACAGGCUGAGGCGACGGACCCCACGACGGACCGUCAUGGGCACGACGGACCGUCGCAGGGUCUCGUUUCAAAACACUUAGAAAAUCUGAAAUUGGGUACUGAAAAUCGACUCUCUGAACUUCGUAACGGAAUGGCAGGAUGGACCGUCACAGGCGUGACGGACCGUCACAGAUUAUUCAGUGGAAAUUGAGUCUCUGACCCUUGCGACGACCUGCAGGACGGACUGUCGCAGGCACGACGGGCCGUCGCAGGUUGCGCAAUCCCAGUCUGGGUCGGAUUUCUUGAUACGUUUUAAGGGACGUUUUUGACUAUUCUUGCCUUAAUUAUAAAGUUAGUGGGUUAAUGUUAAUAAGUCUAAUUACUUGGGGGUUAAAAGAGGUAACCUUAAGUUAAUUAGUGGGGCAUUAUUGCCAUCUUUUAUUCUUAAUUAUAUACUAAUUAGGAUAAAAGAAAGAGGGUUGGAAUAAGAAAAAUAAGAAAGGACAAAGAGAGACAGAAAAAGAAAGAGAACGAGUAGAGAGAGAGAGAAACGAAGGGGAUAGCAAGGAUUUUGAGAAGAUAGCUUGUUGAUCGCAAUUCUUCGGUGGAGGUAGGUUAUGGUUUUCAUGCUAUUCGUAGUAAACUCUUAAUAGCGAAUGAUAUGUGUUAGUAGUAUUGUAAACCUUCUAUAUGCUUAAUUGUAUGCUUGCAUGAAUGAUGUGAUUAUGUAAUUGUGAAUAAAUAAGCAUGAUGAAGCUAUUGAAUCCCAAAUCUUGAAAAGAAACCCUAAUCUACUUUGUUAAUGAUGAUGCCUUGGUAUAAAAGAAGGCUUGAUGAACGAAAGUGGUGAGAUUAGGGGAUCGGGUGCCACGUUCCGGUACCAGGAUAGAAUAUAUGGAUCGGGUGUCACGUUCCGACACCAGGAUAGUAUAUGGAUCGGGUGCCACGUUCUGGUACCAGGAUAGAAUAUAUGGAUCGGGUGUCACGUUCCGACACCAGGAUAGUGUAUGGAUUGGGUGCCACGUUCUGGUACCAGGAUAGCAUAUGAGGAGCAGAGUGUCACGUACCGACACGAGGGGAAUAAAGAUAAUGAGUCUUGAAAGACGAUAAUAUAUUCAAAUCUAAUGAACCUAAUUCCCAAAUGAGUAUGAUGAGGAGGCGUGAGUCCUCAUUGAUGUGCUUGGUGUUGUAACCAAGGGUUAUGGUAACUGUAAAUGCUGCAUGCUAAGGAUAUUAGUUGAUUUUAUGAUAUUAUCUGAUAUAUACUGUUUUCUAUUUUGAGUUGGUCGAUGAUAUCUACUCAGUACCCGUGUUUUGUACUGACCCCUACUUUUAUGUUUUCUUCUUGUUUAUUUGUGGAGUGCAGCAAACGUGCCGUCGCCUUCGACUCAAUAGUAUUUCAAGCCAGUCUUACUACACCAGAAAUUCAGGGUGAGCUAAUGCUUCUAGCUUGGACUGGAUCUUCUUCUUCAAGUCUUGAUGCCUUGAACUUCCGGCAUGGACUAGCUUCUUAUGUAUUUUAGCUUUUAGAAUACUCUUAGUUUAGUCAUUUGAUCGUAGAUGUUCUUGUGGUGAUGACUUCCAGAUUUUGGGGAUAAUAAUAGUUAUUGAUUUUAUUAAUGAGUUUAAGUCUUCCGCAUUACUUUAUAUUGAAAUGUUAAUGUUUAGAUUGGUUGGUUCGCUCACAUAAGAGGGUAAGUGUGGGUGCCAGUCACGGCCCGGAUUUGGGUCGUGACAAACUUGGUAUCAGAGCAUUAGGUUCGUUGGUCUCAUCACACAAGAACGAGCCUAGUAGUGUCUUGAGGAACGGUAGGGGGACGCCUUUACUUUUCUUUGAGAGGCUAUAUGACUUUAGGAAAAUUCCAUUUUUUCUUUCUUUCUUUCGUGCUACUACUUGAAUCCAAUUGGUAUCUAGGUGAUACAAAUUGGUAUCUGACCAUCUUCACUCUCUUUCGCAGAUGGUUAGAACUAGAGCAACGACUACGCCAACACCAACACCAGCACCAGCAGGACAGGGUGUGUCUGAGCCAGCCACUGGGGCUGUGGCUCGAGGAAGAUCAACGGCAAGAGGCCGUGGUAGAGGUCGUGGGAGGACGUCCUCUAGAGGAAGAGGACGAGCACCUAACCCAUCUGAUACUAGGACGAUGACUUCUCCACCGACUGAAGAAGUAGUAAGAGAAGGGGAGGAUAGGGAGAAUGAACAAGUGCAGAAUGAGGAAAUGCCACCCCAACCUACCCCAGAGAUGAUCAAUCAGGUUCUGGCUUAUCUUAGCGGGUUAUCUGAUCAGGGCCAGACACCCCUAAUGUUUUCUGCACUAGCACCUCAGGCUCCGGAGGUACAACAUGCGGCUACUAUGGCUCCCCGCAUGGAUGUUCCAUUGGAAAUAAGCACAUUUCCUCGUCUGACUACAGGGCCUAUAAUGACAAAUGAUCAGCAUGAACUUUUCAGUAAGUUCUUGAAAUUGAAACCUCCAGUCUUCAAGGGUGCUGAAUCGGAGGAUGCUUAUGAUUUUCUGGUUGACUGUCACGAGCUACUACACAAGAUGGGUAUAGUAGAACGGUUUGGUGUUGAGUUCGUGAGUUAUCAGUUUCAAGGGAAUGCCAAAAUGUGGUGGCGAUCACAUGUUGAGUGUCAACCGACAGAGGCACCACCUAUGACUUGGGCCUCAUUCUCUAGCUUGUUUAUGGAGAAGUAUAUCCCUCGGACUUUGAGGGAUAGGAAAAGGGAUGAGUUCUUGAGCCUAGAGCAAGGUAGGAUGUCGGUUAAUGCUUACGAGGCUAGGUUUCGCGCACUAUCCAUAUAUGCCACGCAACUUUGUUUCAGUCCACAAGAGAGGAUUCGCCGGUUUGUGAAGGGGUUGAGAUCAGAGUUGCGAAUUUCGGCCUUACAGGUAGCGGCUAUAGCAAAAUCCUUCCAAGAAGUGGUAGACUUCGUGAUAGAGGUGGAAGGAGUGAAGCCCGAUGACUUCACCUCGACAUCGACAUCAAAAAGGUUUCGAAAGGGAGGUGAGUUUAAUGGUUCUUACUCUAGAGGACAAGGUUCCGGAGGUUACGCAGUUCGACCCAUUCAGUCUUCACUACAGACUGUAGUUGGGGGUCCACCUCCGACCGGUCAACACUUCUCUGAGAGACCUAUGCAUGAACCCAGAGAGUGCUAUGGAUGUGGGGAGAUUGGACAUAUUAAGAGAUAUUGUCCAAAACAGAGUUACAGACCUCCAAAUGUUAGAGGUAGAGGUGGUCAUGGCAGAGGCCGUUAUUUUGGAGGACGUAGUGGUCGAGGUAAUGGUGGUCACCAGAACGGCCGAGGUGAUGGGCAACCUGGAGCCACUACAUCACAACAUGGUAGGGGCAACGGACAGACGGGUGAGAGGGCCCAUUGCUACGCUUUCCCUGGGCGGUCUGAAGCGGAGGCAUCUGAUGCUGUCAUCACAGGUAAUCUUCUGGUUUGUGAUUGCAUGGCUUCUGUAUUGUUUGAUCCUGGAUCCACAUUUUCUUAUGUAUCUUCCUCAUUUGCUAAUGGUCUAAAUUUACAUUGUGAAUUACUUGAUAUGCCUAUUCGUGUUUCUACUCCGGUGGGUGAGUCUGUGGUAGUUGAAAAGGUAUAUAGGUCUUGUUUGGUGAAAUUUGUGGGGAGCAACACUUAUGUAGAUUUGGUUAUCUUGGAAAUGGAUGAUUUUGAUGUAAUUCUGGGUAUGACUUGGCUUUCUCCGCAAUUUGCGAUCUUGGAUUGUAAUGCUAAAACGGUGACGUUAGCCAAGCCUGGGACAGAUCCGUUAGUUUGGGAGGGUGACUACACUUCCAAUCCGGUGCGUAUCAUCUCCCUUCUUCGUGCUAAGAAAAUGGUUAGUAAAGGGUGUUUAGCUUUCUUGGCACAUCUCAAGGAUGACACUACCCAAGUACCUUCGAUUAAGUCGGUUUCGGUGGUCCGUGAGUUUCUGGAUGUGUUCCCUGCAGAUCUUCCUGGUAUGCCACCAGAUAGGGAUAUUGAUUUCUGUAUUGACCUUGAACCGGGUACUCGUCCCAUUUCUAUACCCCCUUACAGAAUGGCUCCCGCGGAGUUAAGAGAGUUAAAAGCCCAACUUCAAGAGUUGUUAAACAAAGGCUUUAUUAGACCAAUUGCAUCUCCUUGGGGUGCUCCGGUUUUGUUUGUGAAGAAGAAGGAUGGGAGUUUUCGAAUGUGUAUAGACUACAGACAACUAAACAAGGUAACCAUAAAGAACAAGUAUCUUCUUCCCCGCAUUGAUGACUUGUUCGAUCAGUUACAAGGUGCUUGUGUCUUCUCUAAGAUUGACUUGAGAUCCGGUUAUCAUCAAUUGAAAAUACGGGCAACGGAUGUGCCAAAGACUGCUUUUCGAACAAGGUAUGGGCAUUACGAAUUUGUAGUGAUGUCUUUUGGUCUUACGAAUGCCCCUGCUGCGUUUAUGAGUUUGAUGAACGGGAUUUUUAAGCCAUACUUGGACCUCUUCGUGAUCGUAUUUAUUGAUGAUAUACUGAUAUACUCCAAAAGUAAGGAGGAACAUGAGGAGCAUUUGAGAAUGGUAUUGGAAAUGUUGAGGGAGAAAAAGCUUUAUGCCAAGUUCUCUAAGUGUGAGUUUUGGCUAGAUGCAGUGUCCUUCUUGGGGCACGUGGUUUCUAAGGAUGGAGUGAUGGUCGAUCCUUCUAAAAUCGAGACAGUGAAGAAUUGGGUAAGACCUACUAAUGUGUCAGAAAUAAGGAGUUUUGUUAGGUUAGCUAGCUACUACCGCCGAUUUGUCAAGGAAUUCUCUUCUAUUGCUUCCCAACUGACGAACUUGACUAAGCAAAAUGUUCCAUUUGUAUGGUCGGAUGAGUGUGAGAAAGCUUUCAGAAGCUCAAGACUUUGUUGACUACCGCACCCAUUCUCACCUUGCCAGUGGAAGGUAAGAAUUUCAUUGUCUAUUGUGAUGCAUCUUAUUCGGGUUUGGGUGCAGUGCUAAUGCAAGAGAAGAAUGUGAUUGCUUAUGCUUCAAGACAAUUAAAAGUGCAUGGACGUAACUAUCCAACUUAUGAUUUGGAAUUGGCCGCGGUAGUGUUUGCAUUAAAGCAAUGGAGACACUAUCUAUAUGGGGUUAAGUGUGAGGUCUAUACGGAUCAUCGUAGCCUACAGUAUGUCUUUACUCAGAAAGAUUUGAACUUGAGACAGAGGAGAUGGAUGGAACUACUGAAGGACUACGACAUCACUAUUUUGUAUCAUCCGGGGAAGGCGAAUGUUGUAGCGGAUGCUUUAAGUAGAAAGGUGGGAAGCAUGGGAAGUCUAGCUCACUUGCAAGCUUCUAGACGCCCAUUGGCUAGAGAGGUUCAGACUCUAGCUAAUGACUUGAUGAGAUUAGAAGUAAAUGGGAAGGUAGGAUUGUUGGCUAGUGUGGAGUCAAGAUCUUCUUUUCUUGACAAAAUUAAGGGAAAACAGUUUGAUGAUGAGAAACUAAGGCGAAUCCAAGAUAAAGUAUUGCGAGGGGAGGCUAAGGAAGCACAAAUCGAUGAGGAAGGUGUUUUGAGAAUCAAGGGAAGGGUAUGUGUACCCCGCGUCGAUGAUUUGAUCAACACUAUUCUAACAGAGGCUCAUAGUUCAAGGUAUUCUAUACAUCCGAGUGCAACCAAGAUGUAUCGUGACCUAAAACAACACUUUUGGUGGAGUAGAAUGAAGCGUGAUAUUGUUGACUUUAUUGCCAAGUGUCCAAACUGUCAAAAAGUAAAGUAUGAACACCAAAGGCCCGGAGGAACACUUCAGAGAAUGCCCAUUCCGGAAUGGAAGUGGGAAAGAAUUGCAAUGGACUUUGUGGUUGGUCUUCCAAGGACAAUGGGUAAGUAUGACUCCAUUUGGGUGAUUGUUGAUAGGUUAACUAAAUCUGCUCAUUUCAUUCCGGUAAAGGUGACUUACAAUACAGAGAAGUUAGCCAAGAUCUAUAUCUCAGAAAUCGUUCGAUUGCAUGGGGUUCCACUAUCCAUCAUAUCAGAUAGAGGUACGCAGUUUACUUCUAAGUUUUGGAAAACAUUGCAUGCGGAAUUGGGUACUAGGUUGGACCUUAGUACUGCGUUCCAUCCUCAGACCGAUGGUCAGUCUGAAAGGAAGAUUCAAGUGUUGGAGGAUAUGCUUCGUGCAUGUGUGAUAGAGUUUGGUGGCCAUUGGGAUAGCUUCCUACCCUUAGCGGAGUUUUCAUACAAUAAUAGCUAUCACUCAAGUAUUGAUAUGGCCCCAUUUGAAGCAUUGUAUGGGAGGAGAUGUAGGUCUCCCAUUGGUUGGUUUGAUGCAGUCGAGGUUAGACCUUGGGGUACUGACCUUUUGAGGGAUUCGAUAGAGAAAGUGAAGUCUAUUCAAGAAAAGCUUCUAGAGGCGCAAAGUAGACAAAAAGAAUAUGCAGAUCGAAAGGUUAGAGACUUAGAGUUCAUGGAAGGUGAACAAGUCUUGUUGAAGGUUUCGCCAAUGAAAGGGGUGAUGCGAUUUGGUAAGCGAGGUAAACUUAGCCCAAGGUAUAUUGGUCCAUUUGAAGUACUUAAGCGAUGUAGGGGAGGUGGCUUAUGAGUUAGCCUUGCCUCCAGGGCUGUCCGGAGUGCAUCCGGUAUUCCAUGUGUCUAUGUUGAAAAGAUAUCAUGGGGAUGGAAAUUACAUUAUCCGUUGGGAUUCAGUUUUGCUUGAUGAGAACUUGUCUUAUGAGGAGGAGCCUGUUACUAUUUUAGAUAGAGAAGUUCGCAAGUUGAGGUCAAGAGAGAUUGCAUCCAUCAAGGUGCAAUGGAAAAUUCGACCGGUUGAAGAAGCCACUUGGGAGAAGGAGGCGGAUAUGCGAGAAAAAUACCCAUAUCUGUUUACAGAUUCAGGUACUCCUUUUCGUCCUUGUUUUCCUUCUUGUGAUCGUUCGGGGACGAACGAUGGGUAAAUUGGUAUCUAUUGUAACGACCUGUUUAGUCGUUUUGAGCAGCAGAUUUUAUUUCUGAAAAAACAGGCUAAGGCGACGGACCCCACGACGAACCGUCAUGGGCACGACGGACCGUCGCAGGGUCUCGUUUCAAAACACUUAGAAAAUCUGAAAUUGGGUACUGAAAAUCGACUCUCUGAACUUCGUAACGGAAUGGCAGGACGGACCGUCACAGGCGUGACGGACCGUCACAGAUUAUUCAGUGGAAAUUGAGUCUCUGCCCCUUGCGACGACCUGCAGGACGGAUCGUCGCAGGCACAACGGGCCGUCGCAGGUUGUGCAAUCCCAGUCUGGGUCGGAUUUCUUGAUACGUUUUAAGGGACGUUUUUGACUAUUCUUGCCUUAAUUAUAAAGUUAGUGGGUUAAUGUUAAUAAGUCUAAUUACUUGGGGGUUAAAAGAGGUAACCUUAAGUUAAUUAGUGGGGCAUUAUUGCCAUCUUUUAUUCUUAAUUAUAUACUAAUUAGGAUAAAAGAAAGAGGGUUGGAAUAAGAAAAAUAAGAAAGGACAAAGAGAGACAAAAAAAGAAAGAGAACCAGUAGAGAGAGAGAGAAACGAAGGGGAUAGCAAGGAUUUUAAGAAGAUAGCUUGUUGAUCGCAAUUCUUCGGUGGAGGUAGGUUAUGGUUUUCAUGCUAUUCGUAGUAAACUCUUAAUAGCGAAUGAUAUGUGUUAGUAGUAUUGUAAUCCUUCUAUAUGCUUAAUUGUAUGCUUGCAUGAAUGAUGUGAUUAUGUAAUUGUGAAUAAAUAAGCAUGAUGAAGCUAUUGAAUCCCAAAUCUUGAAAAGAAACCCUAAUCUACUUUGUUAAUGAUGAUGCCUUGGUAUAAAAGAAGGCUUGAUGAACGAAAGUGGUGAGAUUAAGGGAUCAGGUGCCACGUUCCGGUACCAGGAUAGAAUAUAUGGAUCGGGUGUCACGUUCCGACACCAGGAUAGUAUAUGGAUCGGGUGCCACGUUCUGGUACCAGGAUAGAAUAUAUGGAUUGGGUGUCACGUUUCGACACCAGGAUAGUAUAUGGAUCGGGUGCCACGUUCCGGUACCAGGAUAGAAUAUGAGGAGCGGAGUGUCACGUACCGACACGAGGGGAAUAAAGAUAAUGAGUCUUGAAAGACGAUAAUAUAUUCAAAUCUAAUGAACCUAAUUCCCAAAUGAGUAUGAUGAGGAGGCGUGAGUCCUCAUUGAUGUGCUUGGUGUUGUAACCACAGGUUAUGGUAACUGUAAAUGCUGCAUGCUAAGGAUAUUAGUUGAUUUUAUGAUAUUAUCUAAUAUAUACUGUUUUCUAUUUUGAGUUGGUCGAUGAUAUCUACUCAGUACCCGUGUUUUGUACUGACCCCUACUUUUAUGUUUUCUUCUUGUUUAUUUGUGGAGUGCAGCAAACGUGCCGUCGCCUUCGACUCAACAGUAAUUCAAGCCAGUCUUACUACACCAGAAAUUCAGGGUGAGCUAAUGCUUCUAGCUUGGACUGGAUCUUCUUCUUCAAGUCUUGAUGCCUUGAACUUCCGGCAUGGACUAGCUUCUUAUGUAUUUUUAGCUUUUAGAAUACUCUUAGUUUAGUCAUUUGAUCGUAAAUGUUCUUGUGGUGAUGACUUCCAGAUUUUGGGGAUAAUAAUAGUUAUUGAUUUUAUUAAUGAGUUUAAGUCUUCCGCAUUACUUUAUAUUGAAAUGUUAAGGUUUAGAUUGGUUGGUUCGCUCACAUAAGAGGGUAAGUGUGGGUGCCAGUCGCGGCCCGGAUUUGGGUCGUGACAGAAAGUGAUAUGUGCAGCAGUGACGAACAAUAAUAGUUGAUAAAGAUGGUAGUCACCAAUGAUAGAAAAAGUGAUUGAUGAUGAUAAUGAUAGUUUACAAUAAUGGUGAUUAUUAUGAUGACAAAGAUGGUCAGUGACGGCAGCUUGUGAUUGUGGCAAGAGAGGAAGCAAACAUUAAUCGCACAAGAAUACAACUUGUUUGGUUCAAGUCUUAUAUUACUUUUUUACUUAAAUAAAAGAUUAUCGAUUUUCAGAAGUUAGAACUAAAUCAAACUAACACAAUGUUAUUUUUAUUUUUAUGUGAAUUUAGAUCGGGUGAUUUUAUCAUUCUCAUGAACACUCUUAGAAGUGGGUUAAAAAAAUCUAACACGGACUGACUAUUUUAUCGCUAUACUAUUUAAAAGAGAACUUUUACAUUGCAAAUUCUUCGGAAAUAAGUUUUUUUAUUUCUUUUAAUCAAUAGUAAAUCGGCUGCUUAAUAGAGUGUUCACACAAUAUUGUAGUUUAAUACUUAGAAGAGUGAUAUAAUCGACUAAUGCAAACACAUAUAUUUCAUGAGUUGACAUCACAUUCUUUAUUGGAGAAGAAUUUAUUUUAUUAAAAUAUAAGAGAGAAAAUAAAACAUACUAUAUGAUCUUAUACUAUGUAGUAUAAGAUCACGGAGGACUAUAGACGCAAUGGUAAAUUAUUAAGCAAAUAAAAAUCAAAGGACAACAACGACCCAAAUAAAGACCCUGGUACUGAAAUAAACUGAAUUUACUGAAGAUAAAAACUAAAUAAAAGAAAACAGAUAAAUCCUCCUCCCAAGACAAUCAAAUCAAUGACCGCCUUCAAUUGCAGAAGCUUUUGAAUCAUUAAGGAACCUCUCUAUAGUAUCAAAAUUGUUGGAGGAAUCAUAAGCAUAUGCCUUGCCAGUCGGGGAAAAAGCGACAAUAGUAACAUGUGCUCCCGUUGUCAUAUAAAGAUCAUGUGCUUCCUUGACAAAAUUUGCCCAUAGCUUUUUGAAAAGUACCAUACGUUUCACUUUAGAUGUUAUCAUUUUCCGUUUAAUCUUUUGCCGGCGUAGAAUUUUAGUUUGUGCCAUUACAACAGUUUUUGGGGAAAGAAGAUGGUUUGAUACAAUAGGCUUGAGAGACUUGGGAAUGCAAUUGUGCAAUUUAUAGGCGAUGAUUCUUUUUUCAUUUCAUGAUUAAGUCAAGUAUAUAAAUGAAUUGCUUAUUAUGUACUUUUCUUUCAGAUUUACAAUCUUUAAAAUACAUAACUCUAAUUUUGCAGUACGUAAGUUAUAUUUUUUCCUUUGAAGUGUUUCAAGAGAUUUACAAUCCUUAAAACACAUUUUGACUCUCAUCUUAACUAAGUUAAUUUUUUUUCCAUUCAAGUGUUUGCAAUCCUUAACGUAUAUUUUGACGGAACAUCGGUUAUAUUUUUUCCAUUCAAGUGUUUCAAGAGAUUUACAAUCCUUAAGAUACAUUUUGACUUCACUUUUAUCGGUACACAAGUUACAUUUUUUCCAUUAAAGUGUUUUAAAAGAUUUACAAUACAUAGACUCCAAUUUUGACGAUACAUGGGUUACAUUAUUUCCAUUCAAGUGUUUCAAGAUAUUAAAAAUCCUUAAAAUACAUUUUGACUCCACUUUUAUUGGUACACAAGUUGCAUUUUUUCCAUUAAAGUGUUUUAAGAGAUUUACAAUCCUUAAAAAAUAUUUUGACUUCAUAUUUAACUAUAUAUCAGUUAUAUUUUUUUUUCUAUUCAAGUGUUUCAACAAAAUUACAUUCCUAAAAAUACAUUUUAACUCAGAUUUUAAAGGUAGGCAUUUUUUAUUAUAAUGUUAUAAGAGAUUUGCAAUCGUUAAUAUAAAUUUUGAUUCUAAUUUUGAAGGUAUCCCGGAUCACAAAUUUUCCAUUCAAGUGACAUCUUCUAAUUUUUCCAAAGUUACUCCAGUUCAAAAAUGGCUAUUUUCAGUUAAUUUUUAAAUUUUUUUUUGGAUUUAUAAAAUAAGUAAUUCAAAUUUUUUUUACAUUAUUUAUACUAGCUUAAUUAAUUUAGUGUUUUAAAAUUUUAUGUGUCCUCUAUGUCAAUAUGCAAUAAUUUGUGUUAACGAUUAAAUAACUCUAUGCAUAUAUUUGUCAAAUUUCUUUUUAUUACUAGAUGGUUAGUGUCCGUGCUAAGCGCGGGCUCAAAAAUUUAAACUUUAAUAUAAAAUUAGGUAGCUAGCUAUCUAGGUUCAAACCAUGUUCUCUUUGUCGGACAUGGAGAAAGCUCCAAGGAUUAUUCUAAUGUCAGAUCACUCUAAGGAAUUCCUUUUGACGACUACUCUGUGUUUGCCAGUAUCUUUCGUUCUUGUAUCCAAGACUAAUUCCGCCUAAAGUCAUGAUGAAAUCAUGAUGAGUCCUUUGUGUGAUCUACCUAUGAAAUAUGUCCGAGAUUUAAUGCAAGUUUAAAUACUUUUCGAUAACAAUAAAACCAAAAUCACAACAUCCACCAUUUAGUAAUGAAUCUUAUUUCUUAGCUUACAUAAAUAAAAAAUCCACAUCAAAUAAGAAACAAGCAAGAUGCACUAUCAUUUUUCUUUGAAGUUUCAACAAUUAAUUUAACAGUAAGUCGGUCAUACUCUCACGUCGCGAGCCUACAAUCUGGACGUGACCGACACCGGAUAACCAUUGUUGUUCUUGAGAGAACCUUUGGCUUGACUUAAUUAACUCAGCGGAAGACUUAACUCAAUGUAAAAUGAGGAACAUCUCAUAAAUAACUUUAAGGUAAAUGCUUGGCUAAAAUGACAAUUAGUCUCAAAAUAAAAAAUAUUUGUAAAUAAAUAGAGACCCAAACUAAAAUAUCCUACCAACUAUCUGUCUAUGAAGCCUCUAUAAUACUAAGAUGAAUGUUGGGACAAACCCACUACAUUCUAUAAGUAAAAACAUGUUAAAAGAGUUCUCCGGAAUGCAAGGAGGAUCACCACUGACUCUGAGUACUCAAAUUGGAUCAAUGGGGCGCUGGAUGUUGAUCCUGGUUACAUGCGUCUGCAUCAUGAAACGAUGCAGGCCAACUGACAUCAAUUCAUUGAAUGUAUGAGUAUGUGAGUUGGAAUGCUAAACAACAACUCUAAGCUUGAAAAAAGUAAGAAAGAACUUACUUUGGCUCUACUCAACUCAUGAAUUACUGAACUUAAUAUAAAACAAUAAAAACACAUGUGAUAUAUCUAAAGCUUAGUAAAACAGUAAAAUAGUAAAACAACUUAGUUCAUUAAAGAAAAUGCAAUAAAAACUCAACUUUACUUAUAUAUGAAAGUAAUAUCGUUUCUUUGGGAUAUUCUCUAAUCGACAACCAUUACUAUGAGGCUAAGCAGUGGUACAUCUUACCUCGCGUUGCAAGAGGACCAUCCUAUACCUUGUCGUCAGUAUAGAACCUGACUACUAAGUGGAUCAACUAGUCUAUGCUAAAAAAAUACUUAGGAAUCAUGUAAAAAGUAUGACUCUUUUUUUUGUCCAUGUUGGCUACAUAUUUUAUGGAGACUUAAGUUAAUAUGAACUCGCGUCCCCAUAUCGAUGCUCAAUAUUACUCCAAAAAUACUUAGCUCAUAUGUUUUAAAAACAAUUCUUCUCUAGUUUGAAGUAAUUGCUCAAUUUUAGCUUUAAAAGCCCUCAUGGAAAUCAUAGCUUCCUUUUUACUAAAAUUAGCCAAAGACUCUGUUGGUAGUCUAGCUUCCCUUUUCUUGCUCAAAAUGUGAAAACAUUUGUAACUCUUAGGGAAUACUUAGUUUUCUUAUACUUAUGAGAAAUGAACUCAACUCUUUACUCUUUCAUUAACUUGCAACUUAACUCUUAAGGAAUACUUAGUUCCCUUAUAACUUCUGAUAAUUUAACUCAACUCUUUACUCUUUGCUUAACUUGUAGCUUGAGCCUUAAAACAGAGAAAAUUUGUUUGUUAAGGACUCUUGGAAACUUUAAGAACUCACUUUGACUUGCUUCUUAACUUUUAAACUUUAUUCUUAAUGUCUUUUACUUUGAUCUUAACUUUUCUUCAAUUGGAUUAUGGAUUCAAGGUUCAUGAUCUCAUGUUUAUGGAUGAUUUCAACUAACAAACAUGAGUACAUCACUUAGGACCUAGUACGAAAAUAUGGGGGAUGAAUGGGGUCUCAAGGCGUCCUUGGCGCUCUAAGAGACGUGGUGCGCCAGACCCCAAACUUCAGAGGACAAGUUAGGGCGCUCUGGCUAUUGCGCGCCCCAAGUCCCUACGGACAGAGAAUAUCCUUUGGGGCUAUGGGAGGCGCGGCGCCCUAAGGCCUUACGGACAGGCGUUUUGACUUUUCUUCUUUGUUUUUAAUCUCUUAACCCUCUAAACUUUUAUGGUUCUUUCCUCAAACACUUAGUAUCAUUAAAACCCUCAAUACCCAAUAGAUUCGACUUAAAUAACAACCUGGAAACACGAACCAAAUCAACUCUAGGCACGCUACAACUCAACUAACAAGAAUUCAACAAUGUUCUUGAAGAACUUCAACUUUCAUCAUUCAAUCUACUUAAAAUUUGCUGAAUUAGAUCAGUUGGUGUGUGGGUGAACUAACCCAACACGAAAAGAUCUCACAUACUUUGAUAGGAUUACCCCCGAUGAAUUCCACUCGCAAAACCUUAGCGUUGUUGACGAAUUUUUGAUCUCUCCCUUUUUCCUUCUUCUCUUCUCUUUACUCCGAUCCCUAAGCAUAAAAUAAAUUUUCUAAUCUGAACUAAAACUUAUUAUUAUCCCAAAUAAACCCUUAAAACGAAUUAGUAAAUAGAUGGAUGAAAAAGACUAAUUUGCCCUUAGUUAAAUUCAGAUUGGACUUUCUUUACUUCAACAACUCAAUUUCCAUAAGGCGUAUAUCUCUCAUACGAUAUCAAAAUCGUGCAAACUCGGUCCCCUUGAAAAGAUAUUUCCAACCAUAUAAAGAACUGAAUCUAACUCCUCUUGAGCUAGAUGUUAUGACCGUUUGAAAAUGACCAAAAACUCAUUUUAUUAUAUUCAGGAAAUUUUCCAGAUUUUCCCUUUUCUUUUUAAAAGUGAGAAAUUUUAGUUUCUUAGCAUAAUCUUGGCUACUACGAGAUAAGAGAUGUUACAAUAUCUUCCUCUUCGGAAUAUUCGUCCUUGAAUGAGAUUUCCUUCACUACGCUAAGAAUAGUAACCUCAAGUUUAACACUUAACAAUCAAAACCAAGUAACAACAUCCUUACUCAUAGUUUAUAAAGUCCGAACAAGAGGAUUACCUUGAUCUGCAUUCUGUACGGAUUAAAAGAGAUGUGGAUAUCUCUUCUUCAUAUCCUCUUCAGUUUUUCAAGUCACAUCUUCAACAAAUUGGUUCCUCCAAAGGACCUUGACUGACGCAACCUCCUUUGUUCUCAACUUGCGAACUUGGCGAUCUAAAAUCUGAACUAGAAUCUCUUCAUAGGAUAAGCUAUCCUUAAUUUAAACAUUUUCAAUUGGUACAAUCAAUGAAGGAUCACCCAUGCACUUCUUCAACAUGGAGAUAUGAAACACUAGAUGAACCACUGCUAACUCUUGUGGUAGAUCCAACUCAUACGCUACAUUGCCAAUUUUCUUGGAUAUUCUAUAAGGACCAAUAUACCGUGACUAAGUUUCCCCUUCUUACCAAACCUCAUAACACCCUUCAUGGGUGAAACUUUUAGAUACACCUAAUCAUUCACCUCAAACUCCAAAGGUCUUCUUCUAACAUCUUUGUUGGACUUCUGAUGACUCUAUGUUGUUUUUAAUCUCUCUUGGAUCACCUUCACCUUUUCCAUGGCUUGUGAACUAGAUUUUUUCCUAUCAUCCCUACUUCACCAAAUUCAAAUCACCCAAUAGGAGAUCUACACCAUCUCCUGUAAAGAGCUUCAUACGGAGCCAUUUGAAUGCUCAAAUAGUAACUGUUGUUGUAAGAGAACUCAAUGAGAGGUAGGUGAUAAUCCUAAUUCUUCUUGAAAUCAAUCACACAAUCUCUCAACAUAUCUUCUAAGGUCUGAAUAGUAUGCUCCGCUUUCCCAUUCAUUUGAGGGUGAGAAGUAGUGCUUGAGUUCACCUUCGAACCAAAAUAUUUCUGCAAAGAUUUCCAGAACUGUGCAAUAAAUUAUUCACCUCUAUCAGAAAUGAUCGGAACUAGAAUUCCAUGAAGUCUCACCACUUCUUGAAUGUACAACUUAGCAUAAUCCUUGGAAGAAUGGGUAGUCUUUACCUGCAAAAAGUGGGAUGAUUUUGUCAUUCUAUCGAUAAUUAUUCAAAUAAAAUCAUUCUGCCAGCGAGACCUUGGUAAACUAUGAUACAGUCCAUGUUAAUCAUCUCCCACUUCCAUUCCGUAAGUUCCUAUACUCUGAGCCAAACCUCCUGGCCUUUGGUGUUCUACUUUCACUUGUUGGUAAUUUGGGCAUUUGACAACAAACUCAGCAAUGCCCUUCUUCAUGACUUCCCACCAACAUACCUCUCUCAAAUCACAGUACAUCUUUGUGAAACCCGGAUGGAUGAAGUUUCUUGAGCUAUGAGCUUCCUCUAUGAUCCUCUCUUGGAGUUCAUCCACCCGAGGUUCACACAACCUGCCUUGAUACUUUAGCACACCAUCUCCCCCUUGUUCAAAAGCCUAUACUCUUUGCUUAUGAACAUUCGCCUUUAAACACAGCAAAAUAGGGUCUUGGUCUUGCUUUUCUUUCACUUCUAAGACUAAUGAUGACUCAACCCUAUUGGUCACCACUAUUCCUACUGAGGUGACUAGCAUGAUCUUCUUCAUUUCUUGAAUACAUUAGUAUGUCAUCAAUGAAGACGAUGACAAAGAAAUCUAAAUAGGGUUUGAAAACUCUAUUCAUAAGAUCCACGAGUGUUGCAGGCGCAUUGGUCAACCCAAAAGACACGACCAAACACUCAUAAUGCCCAUCUCUGAUUCUAAAAGUUGUUUUUGGAAUAUCACAUUUCCUAACUCUCAACUAAUGGUAUCCGGAUCCGAUAUCAAUUUUCGAGUAGUAGGAAAUACCCUGAAACUGGUCCAAAAGAUCAUCUAUCCUUGGGAAAGGAUACCUUAUUCUUGAUGGUGACCUUAUUCAACUAGCGAUAGUCUAUACACAUCCAAAGGGUACCAUCUUUCUUUCUUACUAAUAAGACUGGAGCGCCCCAAAGUGAGGCACUUGGUCAAAUAAAACCUUAUCUAACAGAUCUUUCAAUUGUUCUUUAAACUCUUUUAACUUUGCUGAUGCCAUUCUAUAUUGCAGAAUAGAGAUAGAACGAUUAUCUGGGAUAAUGUCUAUGUUGAAGUCUAUUUCUCUCUCAGGAUGGACUCCGGUUAGAUCAUCAGGAAAAACUUCUGGGAACUCUUUUACUAUAGAAACUGACUGAAGAGGAGGUACCUCAACACUUGAGUCAUUAAUUCUGACUAAGUGAUAGAUACAUCCCUUUGAAACUAACUAUGUCUCCACAAAGUACAAAAUGAAGCGACCCUUAUGCACUGCUGAACUACUACUUCACUCUAUGACUGACUCAUUAGAAAUCUGAAACUUGAAAUCUCAAGUUCUACAAUCUAUUGAUGCAUAACAGGCAUGAAGCCAAUCCAUACAUAUAAUGACAUCAAAAUCAACCAUGUCUAACUCUACUAGAUCAACCAUGGUGUUCUUGUGAUUGAUAGAAAUAGGACAAUCACGAUCGAAUCUUUUCUCUAGAAUAAACUGUCCAACAAGGUAGAAACACCGAAAGGUUCUCAAAAUUUCUCAUGAAGAAUCUCAAACUGAUUUGCAACAUAAGGAGUUACAAAAUAUAAACUUGCUGUCGGGUCUAACAAAGCAUAAACAUCAAAAGUAAAAACUUUGAUCUUACAUGUGACAACAUCUGGAGAGUUCUCUUGCUCUUGGCGGCUUGUGAUUGCAUAAAGGCGGUUUCCCCUCCACCAAUACUAGAAGUGGCUCCUCUAGGUACAAACUUAUCUGGCAGAGCAACUAAUGAAGAUUGGGCUCUGUUGCCCAGAUUUCCACCACACUGCUUAUUUUUAGGACAAUCUUUCAUGAAGUGGACCUCUUAACCGCCACUUAAAACAAUCGGAUUGGCCAUCAUGACACUUACCGGCAUGGUUUCUACCACACCUACCACAUGGAGAAGCCCAACUACCUUCUUGUGCCACACUACCUUGGACUGGGCUGGUCUAGCCUUGAAGUUCUGCAAAUUGUGGCCAUUAUACUCACCUCUAUUUCUGGGUUCAGGUGCAUUAGAAGAUGAUGGUGCAUGCCCCUUUAAUCUCUAAAAUUGUGGCUGAUUCAAACCACAUUUCUACUGCCCAGACACAUUCCCAGUCUUGGCUUUUUUGUUCCUGCACUCUUCUUUGUCCCUCAACUUUUCCUCUUCAACUUGAUGCACGUAAACCAUUAAUCGGGAUAUGUCUAUGUCACCUAUCAGCAUUGCAACUCUGCCUUCUUUGAUUGAUACACGACCUAAGCUAGCGACAAACAAACUCAUUCUGCUCCUCACAUCUUUUACCAUCUCAGAAGCACAGCGAAAGAAAUGGGUGAACUUAAACCCAUACUCAUGAACACUCAAGGAGUCUUGUUUCAGUAUAAGGAACUCCCAUACCUUUGCCUCCUUCAGUUCUCGGGGAAAGAAAUGCCCCAAGAAAGCUUCUUACCCUCCUUCCACUAGUCAAACCAAAUCCUAAACAAAUUCUUCAUUUGAUAUGCAACAAGCUCGACUCUCUCAACAUCAAUGACAUAUAUCACAUCAAAAACCUUCUUAAACUCUUCCACAAAGUUUUUUGGAUCCUCAGUUGUGCUCGAGCGGUGAAAUCGGGAGGAUUAAUUCUCAUGAAUUCAUGAAUCCUCGAGGUGUCAGCCUCUUCUUGUCGAGGUCUAUUCUGUUGCUUGACUUGAUUAGUCACUGUUUUGCAUAACAUCUAGAUAGUCUCACGGAACUCAGCAUUGAUGAAUUCUCUUUGAGUUUGCACGUUUGGUGCAUUGGGUACCUCUCGCUCUUCAACAUUCCUUCUAGCUGGAUGACCUCUUAUUGCUCUUCGUGGAGGCAUAAUGAUCUGAAAUACGCACAAGCACAAAUUAGAGGAAAACAUUUUAGAGACAAACCCUAACACACGAAAAGGAAUAUGAAAGAAGUGAGAAAUUCCUAAAUAUUGUAGCCUCCUAAUCAUAGAUGUGAUGCGCUUAAGUCUCAAAAUAAAAUAUCUGCAAAUAAAUAGAGACCCAAACUGAACUAUCUGACUAACAAUCUGUCUAUGAAACAUCUAUAAUAUUAAGAUGAAUGUUAGGACAAACCCCACAAUAUUCUAUAAGUAAAAACAUGAUAAAAGAGUCCUCUGUAAUGCAAGGAGGAUCACCACUGACUCUGAGUGCUCAAAGUGGAUCAUCGAGGCGCUGGAUGUUGAUCCUACAUCAUGUAACUAUGCAUGUCAAUUGACAUCAUUUUAUUGAAUGUACAAGUAUGUAAGUUGGAAUGCUAAACAACAACUCUAAGCUUGAAAGAAGUAAGAAAGAACUUACCUUGGCUCUGCUGAACUUAUGAAUUACUGACCUUAAUAUAAAACAAUAAAAACACAUGCGAUAUAUAUAAAGCUUAGUAAAAUAGCAAAACAACUGAGUUCUUUAAUGAAAAUGCAAUAACAAACUCAAUUUUACUUGUAUAUGAAAGUAAUAUAGCUCUGUGGGAUAUUCUCUAACCGACAACCAUCACUAUGAGCCUAUGCGAUGGUACAACGUCAUACCUCACAUUGCAAGAAAAUCGUCUUAUACCUUGCAAUCAGUAUAGAACCUAAACUACUAAGUGGAUCCACUAGUCUAUGCUAAAAAGCACUAAGAAUUCAUCUUAAAAGUAUGACUCUUCUUCUGUCCAUGUUAACUACAUGGUUUAUGGAGACUUGAAUUAAUAUGAACUCGCGUCCCCAUAUCGGUGUUCAAUAAUACUCCCAAAAUACUUAGCUCAUAUGUUUUGAAAACAACUUCUUUUCUGGUUUAAGGUAAUUGCUCAAACUUAGCUUUAAAAGCUCUCUUGGAAAUCAUAGUUUUUUUUUUUUACUAAAAUUAGCCAAAGGCUCUGUUGAAAAAGUAUAGCUUUUCUUUUCUUGCUCAAAAUGUGAAAACAUUUGUAACUCUUAGGGAAUACUUAGUUUUCUUAUACUUUUGAGAAAGGAACUCAACUCUUUACUUUUUGCUUAAUUUGCAACUUAAUUCUUAGCGAAUGUUUAGUUCCUUUAUAACUUCUGAUAAUUUAACUCAACUCUUUACUCGUUGCUUGACUUGUAGCUUGAGCCUUAAAACAAAGUUAAAAUGUUUUUUAAAGACUCUUGAAAACUUUAAGAACUCACUUUGACUUGCUUCUUAACUUUUAAAUUUUGACUCUUAACUUCUUUGGCUUUGAUCUUAACUUUCCUUGAAUUGGAUUAUGGAUUCAAGAUUCAUGAUCUCAUGUUUAUGGGCGAUUUCAUGAUAUUUAGAUGUACCUUAAAGUGUUAGAAUCAUCUAAGAAACAUGGGUACAUCACUUAGGAAUUAAUACGAAAAGAUGGGGGAUAAAUAGGGUCUCUAGGCGUCUUUGGCGCUUUGAGAGGCGUGGGGUGCCCGACCCCAAACUUUGGAGGAAAAGUUGGGGUGCUCUGGCUGGCGCAACGCCCCAAGGCCCUACAGACAGAGAAUGCCCUAUGUUCUAUGGGAGGCGCGGCGCCCUAGGGCUUUGCGGACAAACAUUUUGACUUUUCUUCUCCGUUUUUCAUCUCUAAACCCUCUAAACUUCCAUGGUUAUUUCCCAAAAACUUUUGGAUCAUUAAUAACCUUAAUAACCAAUAGAUUCGACUUGAAAAACAACCCGAAAACACAAAUCAAAUCAAGUCUAGGCCUGCUACAACUCAACCAACAAGAAUUUAAUAGUGUUCUUCAAGAACAUCAUUUUUCAUCAUUCAAUCUACUCAAAAUUCGCCGAAUUAAACAAGUUGAUAUGUGGGUGAACUAAUCCAACAUGAAAAGAUCUCACAUACCUUGAUAGGGACCACCCCCGAUGAAUUCCACUCGCAAAACCUUAUCGUUCUUGACAAAUUGUUGAUGUUUCGCCCUUUUUCCUUCUUCUCUUCUCUUUUCUCCAAGCCCUAAGCGUAAAAUAACUUUUCUAAUCUGAACUAAACUUAUUUUUAUCCCAAAUAAAUCCUUAAAAAGAAUUAAGACAUAGAUGGGUGAAAAGACUAAUUUGCCCUUACUUAAAUCCAGAUUGGACUUUUUAUACUUCGACAGCCCAACUUCCGGAAGACGUAUCUCUUUCAUACAAUAUCGAAAUCGUGCAAACUCGGGGCCGUUGGAAGGACUUUCCAACCAUACCAAGAACUGACUCUACCUCCUCCUGAGCUAGAAGUUAUGACCGUUUGAAAAUAACCAAAAACUCGCUUUCUUAACUUUAGGAAAUUUUCUAGAUUUUCCCCUUUCUUUUCAUAAGUGAGAAAUUUUAGUUUUUUAACCUAUUCAUCGCUAUUACGAGUUACGAGAUGUUACACAUUCAUUCACAAUCUAAUAUCCACAUUCAAAGAUUAUCAAACAUAUUAUAUGAAGAGGCAAUCAAAUAUUAUUGCAUAGAUAUAAAGAGCACAUAACAGAAAAUCUACUUGUAAAGCACACUCGAUCGUUGUUGUUCUUUAAGUACACAAACAAGAAUCAAUACAUCGUCAAGUAACUAAAACUACUUCAAGAAAGUUUAGUAACACCAUUUUAAACGCGAGUUUAAAUACCAUCUCAAUCAAAAUUCAAAAAAUGCUAGAACAAACAGUGAAGAGUUAUACACCACAAAACAUGUAAUUAACUUUUGGAAAAGUAAAUCUCUUCACGAAAUCAAUUCCAAUGAAAAUAGAAAUAAGUCCUAGCUUCAACUUUAUAUUUUCCACAUAAUAGAAGUGAAGUGUUGAACGUUUCUAGACCCCAAAGCUUAGGAAGGAACAUAUGAGGAAUUAACUUAAAAUCACAUUAAAAUUAUUAUUUCAACCAAAAUUUAGAACAAAGAGAUGUGGAAGAAAUCUGCACAAAAAUUGAAGGAAAAAGAAUACCUAAUUUAUAUGUGACAAUUAGCUGACAUGACAAAAAUAAAUAAAGGAAUAGUGUUCUCUAGAAGAAGAUGCAAGAACAUCCAAUACACUUGUCUCGAAAUUUAAAUACUAAAUAAUUAAAAUUAUUUAUUUUUAAUAUAUAAAUGUGCAUAAUUUAUUUAAAUAUAAUAAAUAUUCUUUAUCAAAAUUAAUUCGAGAAUUUUUAUAUUUUCUAGUGAUGAUGGAAAUGAUUUACAGUGAUUGUAAUGAUUGGUGUUGAAAGCUAGUAAUAAUAUUAUAACUUUUUCUAAAUAAACAUCACAGACUUAUACAAAUUAUAAAGAAAAUAUUAUACCUUUUUUUAAAAACUAAAAAUAAAAAUUUGUAACUAACGAUUAUUAGAGCUAACUUUUUUUAAUAACGUUAAUAGUGCUAAAUAUAUUUUACAUAGAGAACCCAAAGAAAGAGAAAUUAAAAAGGCAAAAGAAGAAAAGAAAGAAAAAAAUUAACGAAAUAAUAAAUUCUAGUAAAAUAGUAUUAAAAAUGAGGUUGUGAGGAUUCAAUCCAACAAACUCACACUGAAGAUUUGCGCACUCAACCAAUUGUGUCGUGUCACAUUAGUGUCAAAAUUUGACACAUUGUUCUGUAUUUAUACAAUUUAUUCUGUUGUUUACGAAUUUAAUAUAUAUAGCAGUUUUUUCCGAUGAAGUCGUGUCACGUGACAUCCAUUGACUAUUACUAGAUCCACCCUUGUUGUGACGGAGGAGGUGGUUAGUAUUGUAGUUGUUGUUAUGAUAAAAACAGUUGAUAAUGGUGAUGGUCAUUAUGAAGGUGAAGUUGAAUGAUGUUAGUAAUUGGAGGUGUUGAUUGUAGUGGUUGACGUUGAUUCUCGUAGCACCGAUGCUAGUUUUAAUGAUGGAGUGGUUGAUAAUAUGGAUCGAUCGUGGUGAUAUGGUAUCCUAGUUGUCAUGUCCGCGAUGAAAGUGAUAGUGACAGUUGAAUAAUAAGUGGCGAUUGACCAUGUGUUGGUGAUAGUUGACGACAGUACAAGUUGUGAUGAUAGAAUUAGUUGGGUCGUACAAGCGAUAAUGGUUAAUAGUGGUGGUAGGGCGACAUUUAUGAUGACAGUGAAUAAAAUUAUAAUAAUGAAAGUGAUAGAUGUAACAGUGACUGACAAUAAUAGUUGAUAAAGAUGAUAGUUGCCUAUGAUAUAAGAGGUGGUUGAUAACGAUAAUGAUAGUUGACAAUAAUAAUAAUGAUUAUGACAGUAAAGAUUAUGAUGACGACAGUUUGUGAUUGCGGCGAGAGAGGAAGCAAAUAUUAAUCGCACAAGAAUACAUUAUAUCAAUUGUAACUAACUUUGCGACUUGCUGUAACUAAUUUGCGACUAACUCUUAGCUCAACUGUUCAUAACAUCCUUUUAUUUAAUUAGAUUAUUAUUAUUAUCAUCUAAUGAUAUAAAUAUUAUCUUUAAUUACUUUUGAAUUCCACUGACGAAGAUAUUGAAUAGUAAUUAUUAGGAUGGUGGCACUCAUUUAUUGUAGGAAAAUUUGAGAAAUUUUUACAUCUAAAAGAUCUUUAUUAAUAUAAACGGGAAAGGGAUUUUAAAAUUUUUAAUUUUGACUGAAAUUAUUAUUACGAUAUCAAAUUCUAUGAAGAAUUUUGUAUCUACUGCAUUGUUUAAUAGUGUAUUUCAAAUAUAUAUAUAUAUAUAUAUAUAUAUAUAUAUAUAUGUGUGUGUGUGUGCGCGCGCGCGCGCUCAUGUGGACACCUUACUAUUUAUAAUAUGAAACUUUUAUGAUGUCCACGUGAGCAUAUAUAUAUUUUUAAAUACAUUAUCAAAUAGUGCAAAGUGUAAAAUGUCAUUUUCAAAGUUCAAUAUUAUUACAAUAAUUUCUAUUAAAAUUUAGAUAUAUUUCAAAUUUUUUUCUCUAAUAUAAAAUACGUCAUUUUUUUAAAUAUUUUUUCUAUUUAAUUUAUAAGUGACCGUACUUAUUAUAUUUUCUUGAGAAUUUGUGGUAUGCUAGUUGGCGUUUUGUUUUUGAAAGCACAUGGGAUGAGUCAGGUUAGUUCCUGUCUUGUUUAAUUUUUUAUUCAGUGGAAGACAAUAGUAUAUUAGUACAAUAUUCUUUUAAAAUGAUUUUUUAAUCUCACAAUUAAGAACAAUAAAAAUGUUUAUAACUCUUUAACUGUUAUAAAAUCAAGCUCAUAAGAAUAUAAUCAUAAAGAGAAGAAGACAAGAGAGAUAGAUAGAAGAAGGGAAAUUUUCUUCUUAUUCAAGUGUAUUCAAGUCUCAUAUGUAUAUAUUACAAUAGUGAAUGAACAACCCUAUUUAUAGAGAGAGAAAUCACUCCAAAGGUUACCAUAUUAAGUAUCAUAAUAAAUAGAUACAUUCUUAUCCAAAAAGGUUCAUGUCACCUAGUGAAUAUGAAUGGUUGUUCAUGUACCAACCUUAUGGACUAUCCACUUAAUUCAAUAUAUUUAUAACACUCCCCCUUGGAUGUCCAUAGAUAAUGUGCCUCGUUAAAACCUUACUAGGAAAAACCACGUGGGAAAAAAUUCUAGUGAAGGAAAAAGAGUACACAUAUCUUUUGAUACGCACCAUUUGUUGCCUCAUUAAAAACCUUGCCAGGAAAACCUAGUGGGAAAAAACCUCGAUCAAGGGAAAAAGAGUGCAACGCGUAUUGUACUCCCCCUGAUUAAAACAUCACUUGAUUUCUUGUGAUGAUGUCUCCAAUCUUUGUACAUUGUGGUUGGUAUAUUCUUUUUUUUUAAAGAAAAACCACACAUUUCUUGAAUAUGGUGUGUCAUUUAUCUCAACCAGACGUGCUUUUGACUUGCUUCAUAAAGGACUUUUAUUUCUGCAGAGCAACAUUUGCUUCAUUGAUCCCCAGGAUAUUAUUGUGCCUCCACAUGCAAACACAUAGCGUGAUUGAGAUAGAACUUUAUGCGGAUCAGAUAAAUAUUUUGCAUCUGCUUAACCAAUCAAAUUUGUUUUGGAUUCCUCGGAAUAGAAUAAGCCCAUAACUAUGGUCCUUUGAGGAUAUUCAAUCAUGUGUUCAACACCAUUUCAAUGUCCUUUAUCGGGGAGAAACUGAAUCUUGUCAGUAAAUUUACUGCAAAACAAAUAUCUAGUCAAAUAUUGUUAGUAAGAUGCACUAGUGCCCUGAUUGCACCAAGAUAGAGUUUCAUCACCAAGAAGCUCUUAUCCUUCUUUUGAGAUCAAACUGAAUCAUCAUUUAUGUCAAGUGAUCUCAUAAUCAUUGGGGUACUCAAUCAAUGCGAUAUAUCCACAUAAAAUUGCAUCAAAAUUUUUCAGUGUAUGUGCACUGUUGUCUGUUAGACAAAUAUUUUAUUUGUCAAAUUAACAAUCUGUAGGUCAAGACAAAAUUUUGUCUUACCAAGACCUUUUCAUAAAAAUACAAGGACAAUUAGGGUCAUUCUUUUGUACCCUUUUUCUUCCUUGACUAUUUCAAUCCAUAUAAGGAUUCUUGAAGCUUAUUGGAUAAGUUUCUUUCAAACCUUUAUAUGCUUCAGACACCUGGAUUGUUUCAAGGAUUUUCAUAUAACCUUCAUUACAGUUUUUCAUUACAUGCAUUCAAGUUUUUCAUAUGUUGCCAGAUCAAAGCAUCCACCAAAGGAGAAAACAUCUCCAAUAAUGUCAGGAUUUUUGCGAUAAACCUUUAUGCCCCAAGGCACAAACCGUAUUUGAUAUCUUACGAUUAUACUAUCGCAUAAUAAUUUAUUUGCACCCCACUGACAUUAUACCUUGAUUUAUGGACUACCAGUCCAAAAUGUCACUUUUCUAAGUGAAACAAAAUAUACUUGAAUUGUGCAUUUUACUUGGCCAACCAUUUAUCUGUUCACACUGUAUGACAGAUUUGAAUUCAAGAUCCUCAUCACAAUUUAUAUCAUUGAGCGCUACCUCAUAUCAAAGAUACCGUCGACGGUUAUUUGAUAUCGAUUCCAACAAGACAUAACUUAUCGAGAUCUCUUCAUUUUUCAUUAUUUCAGGUACCUGAACCUUUUUCAAGAUUUUAUGAAGUGUUAUGUCAAUGUGCUCUUUUAUAGCACUUGCCUCAUUAUCAUGACCAUAUUGAUCAUUUGCUCCUUCCUUCUUUAAGGAAUUUUAUAUUUGGAAUCAAUUGGUCUAUUACGCUUUCGGCGUAUCAUAGACUCUGUCCUUCACAUUGAAGCAUUCACAGCUGAAUUAUAUCAUAGGGUCAGUGCAUUCCUCUGGUAACUGAUUUGCAACAUUAUGCAACUGAAUUAUCCCUUGAACUUUAAGUUCACAUAUUUAUUUAAAUUGCCUUCACAUUUUGAAGGACUAUUUGAAGAACUUAUAGUGUUCUUCCUUUUAUCAUUACCACAAUGAUGACUAUUAUAAUUAUGUCCCUCCACGCCCUUAUUCAUAUCAUUAAUCAUUUGUCAUCUUUCAGACUAACAUUCACUGCUACCACAUUCAUAUGAUUGAAUGGAGCAAGUUAACAGGCGGAUUUCAGAGUUAUUACAUGUUGCUACCACAUUCUUUUCAAGGAAUGAAGCAAAUUCAAUAGAACGAAUUUCAAGACUUUUCAUCAAAGCCUAGUCAUCAUUAUAUCAUCAUUAUGGUGCAUUGACUCAAACUCAAUGUCUUAUCCAUAUAAGGCGUUUUACGCCAUAAUUCUAUGGGACUUGAACCCAAUCACGGUGCAUCAAAUCUCAAAUUGAUGUCUUACCCUUUUGGUGCGAUAGAACUUGAAUCUAUCGUCUUAUCCUCAAAUAUUUUUAUUAUGAUGCAUCCGGACUUUUACCUGAUGUCUUACCCUUAACCAACGGUAUAAUAAAUCGAAGUACAACAUGACUCAUCCUUUGAGUCUUUCAAAACAAUCAAAAUAACAUUCAAAUUCACGCUAUUAAAAUUUUAUACCUUCUUCUAUUUAAGAAAUUUUGUAUAGCAUGUCAUAUUCAACCAAUAGUAGUAUAUGUCUUCGGUUCCUGAUAAUUGUUAGUGACUGAAUAUUAUUUUUAUUCUAAAUCAUAAAAAUAUUCUAGAAAAUACAUACCUGAUUUUAUGCAUAUAAUACCUUGAUUCUCAUAACGAGAUCAACCAAAACAUGAGUUAAAGAAAAAGUAAAACUCAAUCUUAAUUGGCUAGAGACUCGUGCUGAUAACGUGUUAUAAAAUCAAGCUCAUAAGAAUAUAAUCAUAAAGAGAAGAAGACAAGAGAGAUAGAUAGAAGAAGGGAAAUUUUCUUCUUAUUCAAGUGUAUUCAAGUCUCAUAUGUAUAUAUUACAAUGGUGAAUGAACAACCCUAUUUAUAGAGUGAGAAAUCACUCUAAAGGUUACCAUAUUAAGUAUCAUAAUAAAUAGAUACAUUCUUAUCCAAAAAGGUUCAUGUCACCUAGUGAAUAUGAAUGGUUGUUCAUGUACCAACCUUAUGGACUAUCCACUUAAUUCAAUGUAUUUAUAACAUUAACUUCUUAAUUAACAGGAAACAAGGUUGCUUUUAAUACAAAAAGGACAACACAUAAUAAUCUAUUACCGUAAAUUAUUCGAUGUGAGAUAUAAAAUAUAUCAAUUUUAUAAAAAAAAUAUAAGAAUGUUUUCUCUAGUAAUUUAUAAGUUGUCACCAACCACCCUUUGGAUACAACUAGAUGCAUGAAAAUAAUGAACAAUUUUUAGUUUCUCCUUUUUUGUCUCUUAAUUUUGCAUUUUCUUUUUGGAUUAUGUAUUUUUUUAAAAAAAUUGUGUUUUAUUUUCGGUUGCAAGUAUUGCAGUGUAUUUUUUUUUUGGGAUUAUGUAUUAAAUAGUCUCUCUAUUUUUUUAAAAAGUUUUUUGUAGUAUAUAAUUUGAUUGUCUGUAGUGUAUAUUUGUAUCUAUUAUAAGAUUAUAGAAGUAUAUAUUCUCAAUUUACCUAUUAACUUUUAUCUCCAAAUCAUUUUCAUUAUGUCAGGAAUUAAUUUGAGACAAAUUAAUCUCAGUGGGAUGUGAUAUUUCAUCUUGAAUUUAUUGUUAUAUUUAUUAGAGAUUAGAAAAGAAAAUAGAUUCAAUACUCAUUUAUUUAAAGAUGGAGAAAAAAUAUGACCGAUGAGUUCAAUAAAAAGACGACAAAAACAAAUAAAAAAUCAUUGAAAUAGCUUGAAAGCCUAAUGGACUCUUUUGAAGAAAUUGAUGGGGUGAAUACUCUUGGAUUUUAUUUGCCCUAAAUUUCUUACCAUAAAUAGGUUUUUCUUCUAAGAAAAGGUUUUGGAUUGACUAAUCUUUUUUCUAGUAGGAAAAGGUUUAGGACUAUGUAAAUAGAGACAUGUUCCUUCUAACUUAAUCAGCAAUCACAAUGUAGUUUUAAAGGCUUUGAGAGUUUUGGUUAGAGAGAGAAUUUAUGGGUCACAAGCUUGAUACGAUAUCACUUGUAUGAACCUCCCAUGUAUUUCGAGUGAAUUGGUUGAGGUUGUUUCCCUUAAAUUUCUUACCAUAAAUAGGUUUUUCUUUUAGGAAAAUGUUUUUGAUUGACUAAUCCUUUUCUUGUAGGAAAAGGUUUAGGACUCUAUAAAUAAACGAAUGUUCUUUCUAACUUAAUCAACAUUCACAAUGUAGUCUUAAGGGUUUUGAGAGUUUUGGUUAGGAGGAGAAUUUAUGGGUCACAAGUUUGAUGCGUUAUCACUUGUGUGAACCUCCCAUGUUUCCCACGUUAAAUCUUUGUGUCUUUUGGUAUAUUUCUCGUUGUCUUCUUACUCGUAGUCUUUCGAGGUUUGCAUUGCUAGCUUCCGCAUUUACACCUACUUAUUUUCGGUCCUAACAGAUACAUGUAUAGAAUGACAUGCCCAUUUGAUGAUUGAUAGGAACGAAAAAUUAAGGACUCUUUUUAAGCAAUUAAUGAGGGGGGUUACAUGUAUAGGAUGACAUGCCACCAAAAAUACAAUAAUGACAGAGGAUGAUUGAUGGAAGCUAAAGAUUAAGGUACAUUUCUCACAUUGUUUUAUAUGUAUUUCAUAUUUCUUUCAUUGUUGAAUUUAAUUUACUUAAAUUUAUUUCUUAUCUUUCAUUACAGGAAGAUGUUCUAUAUAAAAAGAAAUUAGAAAGAAAGAUCUUUCGCUUAUAGAUUUUUGCUAUGAUGCAUUAUUUUAUGAUAUUAUUGCUACGGGAGAAAGAGCAUGUGCUGCAAAUCAAGAACAAUUUUAUAAAACUAGGUAAAUUUUUUAACGAAGAAAGAAUAAAUGAUAUUAAUGAUGAAGGGGAUGAUGAAAGUGAUUAUCCAUAAGAUAGUAAUUGUAUUAUGUUUUCUAAGUCAACACUGUAAGAACAAAUUUUCAAUGAUGGUAUUAGAACUAGUAAUCAAGUGAAUCAAAGUAAGACACAAUCUAUUGUUGCAUCAAUGAAAGUGUGCACAUACAAUAAGUUGUGCAUAUAAGAUUAACUUAAAUAGCUUUCUUUCUGUGAUACUCUUAUUCAAACACAUGAUUAUUUAUUUUUAAAAUAAUUUUUUAAUAUUUUAAAAAGCUACUUUUUAAAAUUAAAUUCUAAAAAUCAUUGAAAAUUUGUGGUAUUGCCAAUCAUAAGAGCUAUAAUGAUUUUCUAAUGCAAUUGAGUGACUAAUAAUAUAUAGUUGAUAUUUUGUUUUCUUUCUCCUUUCAUAGCACAUGGGAUGAGUCAGGUUAGUUCCUCUGUCUAGUCUAAUUUUUUUAAUUUAGUGGAAGACAAUAGUAUAGUACAAUAUUCUCUUAACAUUAAUUUUUAAUCUCACAAUCAACGAAAAUAAAUCACUUUGCGUGAGAUACAAGAUAUACUAAUAUCAUAAAUAAAAUACAAAAAUAUUUUAUCCUACCUAGGUUUUAAACAGUAUUAUUUCUCCAUUAUAUCUUCGUAAUAGAAUAAGUCACUUCAUAUGUAUAAUGAAGUAACUUAUCAGCAGCCUUUUUUGUAGUCACACAUAGCUUAAAAUUGUUUUGCAUCACAACUUCAAAUUAUUAUUUUUUAAAUUUUAUGUCAAAUUUAACUCGAAAAAAAAAAGAUGGGGCAAAGUAGUGAUUAGUCUCAUUGAUAACAAUAUUUGAAUAAAAAAUUACAGCCUCUUUUCUCUACUCUCUAGAUAUACAAAAGGCAAAAAUCUAAAAAGAUAGAGAUUAGGCCCCCCCUUCUACACCACUAAUUAAUAAACUGUUUCCACCUCCUCUUAAAGGGGAACUUUUUCAUGAUAAAAUAAAAAUUAAAUGUUAAAAAAACAAGAAACCACAAAACCAAAAAAAAAAAAAAAAAAAGAGUGAAAGUUGUGUCCAAUUCAAUUAGGCCCUUAGGCAUACCAGCAAGGUUGUAAACAAAAGGGUGAUGGUGAAAAACAUAGUGUUUUGAUGAAUAAUAGUAGCACCAUUUAUGUCUGUGUUGGUCAUGCCACUUGGCCCAAGUCCAAAAGCUGGAUUAGUCCCUGGUAAUGUUGUGCCACUUCCAGUGCCAGUGCUAGUGCUAGUGCCUCCUGUUGAUGGACUUGUAGUUCCUGGUACAGUUGUUGGACUUGUGUUUCUGGUAAACAAAAAAGAAUAAAGGAUAUCAAGAACCAUACCGAACCGAUUAACCGAUAUACAAUAUUAUGCUCCUUCCAUAUUAUCUGUCUUUUAAGAUUUUUGAAUGCACACCCUUUAAGGAGACAUUUCAACAUAAAAUAUGUCACGAAAUUAACUACCAACUAAUUGGAAUUGAAGGAAAGAUUCACGAAACAAAGUAAGGUACAAAUACAUACACGAUUCAUUUAAUUUGACCUCAGUUGACAUCUUUGUCCUCAAAAUUUAGGUGUCACUUAAAGUUGCACAAGUAGACGCAGGUGCCCGACGUGAAUUGCCAUGAAGCCGCAUAGGGUACAUGUGUCUACUUGUGGGACAUCAAAAGUUGGAAGAUAUAGAUGCCUCAAGUUAAACUACACGUUUAUGUAUAUAUUAUGUCAAAAAGUAAUAAAUGUCUUCGCAAGCUUGCCAAAAAUACUUGAAACAAAGAGGAGUAAAUUAGUACAUGAAAGCGUCAUGAGAGAAACAAGUAGCAUGACAAAUAAAUGAAUGAACUAAUAGGACUAGAAAAUGUUAGUACAUGAAAAAGCAGGUAAGCAUGACACAAGCAAAUGAACUAACAUAAUUAAAAAAUGUUACAUGAUGGUAUAUACACCUGAAAUUUUCAUCAUAGCGAAAAAAAAAAAAGUACACAUUGAGCAUUAACAGACAGAAGAUAUCAAGACAACUCACAAAGCACAUGAUGAAGAAACAAACUUACCAAAUUUGGUAGUGAGUAGUGACAAUAGCUAUUGGAAGUUUAUGGUAAAAUAAAGUAUUGAAAAGCACCAACAAUCAUACCACAACCGACCAUUAUUGAGUCAUAAUCAAGUAACUUUAUUCUCUUUAAAGGAUUGUUUAUUAUGCGGGUAUUAGUUAUGCAUGAAUUAGCUAUUCAAUCUACUGUCCCGUAUAAAAUCAGAGGUGGAGCCACAAUUUAAAGUUUGCGGGUCGAGGUUCUUUAGACAUAUAUAGAAUUUAGAUCAAAGUACAUUGGCUUAGCCCCUGCAUAAAAUAACACACAAAUUCACUUACGAUAUAUAUUAGUUAUGUCGAUUUCUAAAGUGCAAACCAAACGCCAUACUCCAUCAAUUUUAAAAAGAAUGAACUAAAUAUAGAAGACUUUCUUAAUCUUUUGGUCUUAAAUUAUGUUAGUCAAAUAUACCAAACUGUCCUUUAAUUUAAUGGUCUUAAACAUUGCUACACGGAAAUUAAAAUUAAAGUGUUACCAAAAAAGGAAAUGAGUCAUUCUAUAUUAAACAAACUUAAAAGAAAAGUAGUUCAUUCUUUUUGAAUUAUAUUAUACAUGAAUAACUUACUUCCCAAUUUAGCUACACCAACGUCGUAGAACUUAUACAUAAAGUAAACAGCUGAAUAAGCUGUCUCUUUACUAGCUACGACCCCGAAGUAUUUGACGGUGGGGAGUUUGAACAAAGUCUUACAUGGAAAGUAGGUGUUGAGCAUUCUUAAUGGUACAAGGCAUUUGAGGAAAAUAGUGUGGGCUUUUAGGUUGAUCUUUAGGUUGUUUUAGCCUAACAACAUUUUCAUACCAAAAGACACACUUUUAACUUCCUUCACCAACCCUUUACCUUCAUUCAAAAACACACAACUUGUAAUUGACACCAAAAAAAGAAAAGAGUAUAACCUUUUUUCUAAUAUCAAAAAGGUAAAUGAGCUUUACAUUGAAGCUAUCAUCAUCACAAAACCAAGAGUGACACUAAGAAUCUUUCCUUUACUUUUAAGGUAAAACUUUAAGUAGAAUCUAAUGCAAUGCUAGAUCUAACAUAACAUAUUAUAACAUAAGCUUAGAAAACAUACCCUGCAGUGGACUGAUAUACACAUCCAGAACCAGCAGCUAAUGAUCAAAUCAAAACAAAACAAAAAGAGAGUUAACAAUAAGCAUUUGAAAAAGUGACAAAAUGAAUAAAAUGAUUUAGUGUAUAAAUGAGGAAACUUUACAAGCUGGUGCUGUUGGUGUCAAAGUUGCAGUUCCUUUAAAGUCACAGCUAGCACCAGAUGCACCUUUUCUUUGAUAAUAACUAUUAACAGCAUAGUUGCAAUGGUCUUUGAUAGUGUCAGGGUUGAAACAAGCACCAUUAGUAUGGAUAGCUGUGCAAUCAGCUCCAGAUCCACAGGCAAAAUCUAUGUUCUCCUGAAGAAUUUUAUUAUCUAUACCAUCUUUGCAAGUACAGUAACUAGCACCUGCAGAAACAAAAUCCACAAGAAAAUCAGCUCAAACAAGUAAAUCUCUUUUUGUUUCCAAUUAAAAGGGAAAAAGACUGAAUCUUUGAACUAAGCAGAAUCAAGAACAUCCUUAUGUGAAACCCCAUAUCAAGAAAAAUAUGAAAUUUGCAAAAAAACAGAGAAAAUAUGAAGACAAAAGGGAAAAAAAGGUUGAAUCUUUGAACUUAGUGAAUCAAGAACAUCCAUAAGAUCAUAAUAUAGUGAAACCCCAUCUAAAGAAAAAUAUGAAAAAUAGAGAAAACAAAGAAAAUAUGAGGGAAAAAGAUUGAAUCUUUGAACUUGGUAUUAUUAAGAACAUCCUUAAAAGCAAAAUAUAGUGAAACCCCAUCUCAAGAAAAUAUGAGAAAUGCAGAAAACUUGAAAGCAAAGUGAAAAAGACUGAAUUUUUGAGCUUGGUUGAAUCAAGAACAUCCUCAAGAUCACAUUUGGUGAAACCCCAUGUCAUGAAAAACAUGAAAACUUGAAGGCAAAGAGGAAAAGACUGAAUCUUUGAACUUGGUUGAAUCAAGAACAUCCUCAAGAUCAACAUUUGGUGAAACCCCAUGUCAAGAAAAACAUGAAAACUUGAAGGCAAAGAGGAAAAGACUGAAUCUUUGAACUUGGUUGAAUCAAGAACAUCCUCAAGAUCAACAUUUGGUGAAACCCCAUGUCAAGAAAAACAUGAAAACUUGAAGGCAAAGAGGAAAAGACUGAAUCUUUGAACUAAGCAGAAUCAAGAACAGCAAAAUAGUGGAACCCCAUCUCAGUACAAAUAUGAAAGUUGCUGAAUACUUAAAGGCAAAGAGAAAAAGACUCCAUCUUUGAACUUAAUAGAAUCAAGAACAUAUCUUAAGAGGCAAUAUAUAGUGAAAACCCAUCACAAGAAAAUAUGAAAAAAAGAAAACAUGAGGGCAAGUAAAAAGUGUUUGCUUACUUGAGUGACCAAUUAUAGCCAAUAAAAACACCAAAGAUAACAUAAAAGCAGCCAUGAUUGUGGAAGCAAUAAUGAAGAAAUUGCACUUUACUUUUUCAAGAGAAAAAGUUGGUUGGUGAGAGAAGAGGAAGGAGAAGAAGAAGGGAAAACAGAGUUUUCUAGUCUAGACAACAAAAUGAGAGUGGCUACUGAAGUACAGGAGCUAUAUGACUGUUUUAGUGGUACUUUAUAUGUAUGAUGUGUGUUAAUUUACAGUAUUUUUUCAUAUAUAUAUAUAUAUGUAUGUAUGUUUUUGUUGAGAAUGGGAGACAGUGUUUUUGGAAAUUGAGCAGUAAAGCUAAAGGCUUUGUCAUAUAUAAUUGACUGUACAUGUACUUGUGUGUGCCCAUUGCCUUUCAAACGGUCAUAAACUCAUUCAUAUGGUUACUAACUAACUCAGCUCUGGUUAAACAAAAAAUGAACAUGCAUUUUAACUCUACCUGAAAUAAUUUUACCUCAUUCAAUUUUAGAUGCAUAUAAAUAGAGAUUUAAAAAUAUAUAAAUUAUAAUUAACAGACACAUGUAUCUUACAUAACAAUCUAUAUGAUAAUUUCACGUCUUACAAAUUAUUUUAUAUGCGUUGUGUUACGUAAGACGCAUGUAUUUACUUGUUUAAUUUUAUAUAAAUUCAAGUGCUUACUUAUAUACACACAAAGUUUAAGAGUAUAAAUGUCAACUAAAAUCAAGUUAAAUAGUGUAUUUAUGUAUUAUGUCUUUCCCAAAAAGAGUCGAGAUUUCCUUUUUUAACUUAUUAGAGUUUUUCAAGUUUUUGCUCUCGUAAUGAAAUCACUUCUUCCUUAAUUACAAUGCUUGAGUUCAAACUCUGACUAUUGAAAAAAAUUCUUAAUAGGGAGCAUUUCUUCUCUUUAACAGAGCGUUACAUAGUAUGAAUUCAAAAUAGUUGGACUGCAAUAGAAGUGCUAAACACCAAGACAAAAAAAUGAUAACUUGAAUUUCAUAAUGUUAAAAUUGAAAAUGAGGAGAAUUUAUUAUCCAAGUAACCAUAUGUAAUUAAAAGUUGUAUUUAAAGUUUAUGAAACUCAUAAUUUGUUUGAUUUAUUAAAUUUACAAUUAAAUAUUUAAAUAUACUAAUAAUUUUACAAAAAAAACAAUAAUUUUAUAUUUAGAAAAAUACUUUAUGCCUUUUGUUUUAUCUUACUUAAUUAAGUGAGAAGUCUUUAAUUGCACAAGAACGUUAUUACAUAUUUAAAAAUUAAAAUUUUAAAAUAUAGAAUAAUGGAAUACUACCUAACUCAACUCUGGUUAAACUUAUAUUCAAAUAAAAUUUAAUAAAUUAGGGUUUGUUGCAGAAAUGGCUCCAUGAUAGUCUAUUUUAACUACACUUUUUUAUGGUGUGCUGUCGUUAUAUUUUUGCAUUCAAUAAGGAUAUUGUAAAAAGUUUAACAGAUUCUUCCCACGAAUACAACUACAAUAAUUUAUUUUUUUUAAAAAAAAAAAGGUUAUAGUUAUUUUUAUUUAUUUUAUUUUUGGUAAUAUUGAAUUAUUUAUGUGCUAUGGUGGCUUUUUUAAGUAAUAAUUAAUUUAGUAAAUACGAUUUAUAAGUAUGUUUUGUGUCAAUUAAUAAAAUUAUGUAAAAAGUAUGCAAAUCACGUAGUGUAAAACACAAAUUACAUCCUAUUCCUAUUCUUUCACAAAUUACAAAAAUCCCGCCUUUUUAGUAACUUUAGGAUGCAUUCUUUUUUUCGUGCGAUACAUUAUAUUUGAUGCAACAUUAUCCGUUUAUUGCGUGAAGUAUGAGAUUAGUAACUGAAAAUUUAAUUUCAUCCCCUUCAAAUACGUUGAUGUAAUCAAGUCACCCAAAAUGUGCCUAAAUUUGUUAUUUAAAAUAUUCAAUUUUAGUCUAUAUCAAACACUAAAAUAAUUAGAAAAUACAAAUUUUGAUUUAUUUAUUCAUAUUCGUCCAAAAAAAGUUACAAAAACCUGGUUCGUUAUUUUGAGUCUCAAAUCCGCCGUUGUGGAUGACUGGACAAACGAUUCACAAUUUCGAAUCAUCAAUUCAAAAUUAUUGAGUAUAAUAAAUCGUUGAGUAAUUUGAAUUCAAUGUAUCACACAAAUCUGAUUAGACAUGGACAAUAUUUGUUGCUGCUAACAUUGCUAUAAGAUAGUUAUAAAAUUGUGUCGCUAUGUGUUAGUUUGGUGCUGAAAGAAAACACUAUUUGCCUUAAGCUAAAAAUAUGUAAUUGUGGUAGAUUUCAACUUGACGAGAUACCUUGUGAACGUUAUGGAAAAAAGAUAUAUUAAUCAUGAUACAUUACUUUCCUAAAAUAUUUAGUAAAUUGCUAAAUGUUGUAAUCCUAUUAAAUACAUUAGAGAAGUAAAUAUUUGUUGAUUGAUGCAUUAUUGUGUGGUAGUUAUUGAGUAUAAUAUACAUGUAAUUGUAGUUUGCCAAAGAAUGAAUAUAUAUUAUAUACCUAUUGUUUGAUCUAAUACGUAGUGCUCCAGUUAUAGAACAUUCUGAGUUAGUAUCAAGAUUAUUAUUAGGUAAAUGUAAAUAUUCAUCGCAUUCUAAAUUGGGUAAGAUCGAACAAAGGUUAAAGAGUGCAGAUACAUAACACAAAACAAAUUUGUUACUGACUAAUAGCCUUUUAUUUGGCUAAGAUUGAUGAUAUAUUAAAGAACUUGAUACAUGUAGAUGAUACAUUAGGUAGUGUUUAUGUAUAAACAACAUUUGUAUUGAAUAUGAUAAAACUAAUAGAAUAUUCAACAACAUUAAAAUUAUGUAUCAACACCUUAAAUAUGAAUAUGAUACAUUGCAUAAAACCAAAGUUAUUGUAACAGGAUGAUGUAUCAAGUCAGUGAUAGCACUAAUAAAGACUAAUUUAAGAAUCAAAAUAAACGAGUUUACAUUGAAAAUCAACAAAGGCAUUAUAUAUUCGUUUAAGAAACAAAAUCAACUAGAUACAUUAAAUAUGAAAUCAUAUGUAUUAUAAAGGAUGAAAUACAAAAAUAGAAAAAAAAUCAACAAUUAUUCUGUUGAAAGCAAAAAGAAACAAAUGACCAAGAAAUCCCCCUUACACUUUUAUCUUUGCUCUAUACCAACUUCUGUAUCUUUGUCUCACUGUCAACAAUGGAAAAUGAUUUCAUCAGCAAAAGAGAAUCCCUGGAAACGAUGAUGUUGCAAGGAGCAAUGAGGAUACAUCAUCUCUUUCACUUUCCUUAUACAUUUUGUAAAUGUGGAAAGGGAAGAGAUCUGGUAGAUCUUCGGGGAAAAAUUGUGAAGGAAAAACUUAUUGGUUCUUGAAAAAUCUUAUGGAGAGAGAAUAUCUCUGAAAAUUAAAAAAAUGAAGAAAGUAAAGAUUGAGAGAGUGAAAAUAUGAAGAGGUUAAAGGGAGUGAAAUAGAGAGGGAUUAAGGGGGUGAAAUUAGGAUUAGAAACGUGUGCUUGAAUGUGAAACUUAAUAUAUCUAGAACAAUAGGAUUUGAAAGGAAAAGAAGGUAUUUUAGAGAUAUUUUAAAAUAGUAGGGAAUAAUGAAAAUUAUAAAAAAUAAAGGUGUGUAUUUAAGUAAUUUAUCCUAAAAUGAUCUACAAGAAAAACAAAAAGAACAAUAAAUACACUUAUUUUGAAAAGUCGAUACUUGUUUCAACAAUCAUGACAAUUUAUUACAUACAUUUACUUAUUACUUAAAGAUAAAUUUACUCCUUAAAAUUAACGUGACAAAAAUAAAAUUAAAAUAAAAUAUCAGUGCAUUUUGAUAAAACAAAAAUAAGUAAAAAUAAAUAAAUAAUAAAUUGGAAUCUCCUUCCAACCCCCAUCCCAUAACACACACCUCCCAUACAUUUUCUUCUUCACACGAGUUGAGAAUCAAAAUAAGCCAUCAAAAUAUAAAAAUAACCAAAAUAAGUCACUAUUUUAGUUAGUAACUAAAAUAAGCUUAGUGGAAAAAAAAAAUCUCAUUUUAUCCAAUUUUCAAACGUUUUCCGUUAGUGUCAUAACGUGUAUUUUUAAUGUAUAACGGAACUUUUUCUUACACUUUAUAAAGUGUAAUAAAAACUUACACUUUAUAAAGUGGAGCUUUUUCUUCCACUUUAUAAAGUGGAAGAAAAUCUUACACUUUAUAAAGUGGAACUUUUUAUUACACUUUAUAAAGUGUUACUUUUUCUUACACUUUAUAAGAGGAAUAUUUUUCACGUUUUGAAAACGCUUUUUCAGUGUUGUCAUACAAUUAUGUUGAUUUGACAUGUCAUAAAAUGGAAAAAAAAUAUUACGCUAUGUAUUUUUAUUUUUUUUAUUCUGAAAAAACUUUCAAUCUCUAUUUAAGGACGUUUAAAAUAAUUGAUAUCACCUACAACAUAAAAUCUUCUGUAUUUGUUCAUUCAAUCUUAAAAAAAUGGCUUCUACGCCUAAAGUUAAAGUUUUAAUUUAUUGGGAUGGCGAAAUUAUACAUGACGGAAAUACCGUUUAUUAUAAUUGUCCUCCCAAACACAAUGCUAAAUAUCCAAUUAAUGUUCGAUAUCAUAAAUUUAUUUUAUCAAUUUACAAAAGAAUGGGUAUAAACAGUACUAAUUAUAAUUUGAGUAUAGUCGAAAAAUAUCCUACUUCAUUUUUAUCACAAGGACAAGUUAAUUUUGGAGAGUGGAUUAUCUAUAAUGACGAAUCGUUGAUCGAUUUUUUGAGGGUUCCAAAUGACUACAUAGAUCAAAUCAAGUUAACAAUACUUGAAUUUAUGUUAGGAAGGAGCCUAAGAUUAGUCAACAACGUUCUCAUUUAUCAGUCGAUGUCAAUCCCCAAUUAGAAAAUCGUAAUAGCAUUGAUGAAUUUCCAAUAACUCAAUCUAAUGACUUUUCUAAUAUGACUCAUUAUCAAAAUAUUCUUAUCGGCCGAUAUGAUUUUGAUUUAAAUGAAACUAUCAACGAAAGUGAUCGGUAAUGCUCUAUAAUUAUAUUUCAAUUAUUAUUUGUUGAUUUUAUCAAUUAUUUAUUAGUUUAUAUGAUUUAUUUUUCUUAUUAUUAUAUAUUUUGUAGCAGUCUACCUUAGCAAGAUAGGAAUAUUUCUCCAAGUUAUGGAUUUGAUAAUUAUUUUUGUCAGUCCUCUCACUUUGAAAUGACGAAAAAUGUUAGGACAUCCUCAAAUUUUCAUGUCUCACCUACUUUUGGUGCAGAUGAUUAUCAGUAUGUCCAACACUUGAUUUUGUUUAUUUAAGUAAGUUAAUUGCAUGAACGAAAUAUUUAUACUUUUUUACAUAUAUAGGGAAAAUAUUACAUAAGAUGAACCCAUUGAUCCUGUGAAUAUCAAUGAUCGUGACCUUCCUAAUUAUGACUCACGUUCAGCUAGUGAUAGUGAUGAUUUGCCUAAUGCUGAGGAAUCAGGAGAUAAUGUUCCAUUUGAGGCAUCAUCUAGUGAUGACGAUUUUUUUACUCUCAAUCGAUCGCCAAGAUCAAUGUCCAUGAGGCCGUUUCGUAAUCAUGAAAUUCCUUAUCUUGAUCAUCUCCCGGAUGAUUCUGAUAUCUUUGGUGAUACAUAUGAUGAGUAUACAUCACAACGUACGUGGCAUGAACCAGAAGAUUUCAUGAAUGGUGCUAUUUAUAUUGAAAAAAAGCAUGUUAUUCAAUUCAAAGAAGCAGUUGCAAAGAGCAGUUAAACUUCUACAUUUGAAAGUAGCAAGAGAGUACUUUGUUAUUAAAUCGACAAAAAAAUCAUGGAGACUUGUUUGCAGGCGUGUAGAACAAGGAUGUCGAUUUAGGUUGACUUCUUUUAUUGAUAAAACAUACUAACAUGUGGAAAGUUGGAAGAUACAUUGAAGAACGUACAUGUGAUAUGGGUACAUGUCGCGAAGGACAUUUCAACUUGGAUGUUGAGAUGAUUGCUAACGUCCUCCGUGUUGAUAUAGAAAGAACGCCAAGAUACUAUUUUAUCAUUAGAUGAUUCUUAUUUAAUAAGAAAAUAUUCAUUUUUAUUUGAUAAUUAAUAUUAUUAUUACUUUUCAGGUUCCCAUCAAAGAUUGUCAAAAAGUCGUUCUUAAAGCAUAUGACAUUUCGAUAAGUAGAAGAAAAGCCUAUCUUGGUUGCAAGCGGGCUUUUGAAAAAGUCUAUGGUACUUGGGAGGGUUCUUUUGUCGAGUUACCGAGGUUCAUGGAAGCUUUGAAACACUUCAAUCGUGGAACAAUUGUAUAAUGGAAAACAGAGCGGCGUGUCGAUGUCAUUGAAGAUGUAUUCAACUAUGUGUUUUGGGCUUUUAAACCCUGCAUUGAUGGGUUUGUGCAUUGUCGUCCUGUUAUAUCGAUCGAUGGAACACAUGUCUAUGAAAAAUAUGAUAUCAAGUUGUUGAUUGCGAUUACAAUAGAUGGUAAUGACUCUAUAUUACCUUUGGCAUUUGCAAUAGUUUCAAAUGAGAGCAUAGAGACAUGGACUUUAUUUUUGGAUCAUUAGCACUUGCACGUUGUCAAGGGUCGUAGAGGGGUCACAUUGAUAUCAGAUAUGCAUCACGGAAUACUUUCAUCCGUGUAUAAUUCUCCGAAUUGGCAGGCUCCAUUUGGGUUCAAUUGUUUUUGUUUAAGACAUUUGAAAGCAAAUUUUCAAAAAAAAUUCAAAAAUGUCACUUUGAACAACCUGUUAUGGCAGCUGCAAAUCACUGUCAAGAGAAUUUUUUUUUGGAAAAAAUGGAAAUGAUCAAGAAGAUUAUUGCGGAAGCAUAUGUGUGGCUAAUGAAGAACGAUCUUGACAAAUGGACAUUGCACAAGAAUGGAGGUAAGAGAUGGGGCAUGCUGACAACAAACAGUUCUGAAUCAUACAAUGGUCUUCUCAAAUCAGCAAGGGGUCUGCCAGUUACUGCAAUGGUAAGACUCACUUACAAUUAAAUUGUGAAUCAAUUUGUUACAAGAUCAAAAUUUGUUAAUCAUAUAGUACAGGAAAUGCAACAAUGGAUGCCUAAACCAUUCAAGAUUUUUGAGGAUAAUCGAAAAAAGUCACAACGUCACACACUGAUCAACUAUCACCAACAAAGAGAAAAUAUAUUUGAGGUGCAAACACAUAUGCAUCAUGAUCGUGGUGGUAAUAAGCACAUUGUAAAUGCAUCACAAGGAAAAUGUCAAUGUGGUAAAUGACAAUCAUACCACAUUUCAUGUUCUCAUGCAAUAAAGGAAUUUGACUAAAUUGGGUAUCAAGCAUGAGAGCAUAUGGCACCAGAAUUCACUGUGCGUAGCUACAAAAAAGCCUAUUUUGGACAAUUCAAUCCACUCAGCGGUGAAAAGUAUUGGCCUGAUAGUCCCUUUCUUAUGAUAGCAAAUAAAAAUUAUUUACGAAAAGUAGGCGUACAUAAAAUCACCCGUAUACAAAAUGAAAUGGAUGUUCCUGCAAGUACACUCACUCGCAAGUGCUCAACGUGCAAACAAAUAGGCCAUAAUAGGCGCAACUGUCAUUCACGAACUCGAAACGCCUCAUAUGGUGGUAGUAGCUAAAGAAAGAUGUUUGAUUGUGUUCAUUUAUUCUUGUAUCAAUUUUUAUGCAACUUUUUAUUCGAACUUUUGAUCAUCUUCAAGUCAUGUUUAAAUUUUCAAAUUUUUUCAUUCACUUUUUAAAAGAAAAAAAUAUAUACACAAAAUAAUAAUAAUAUAUAUAACUAAAAUAAUAAUACUACCACAAAAAAAAGAUGCAUACACCAAAAUAAAACUAUAUAUGAUUAGAAUAAUUUACUAUAUACCCUCAAAAAAAGAUUCAUACACAAAUAUAAUAAUAUUAUGUUCCACAACCCUUUUUUGAAAUCCGUAAAACAUCUCGCGGUCUAAGUCCCGUAUAUCCAUCUUCAUCUUCAUUGUUCCUCUUCCUCUUUUUGGCUGGAAGAUCCUUUAUGUUCACAUUCUUUACAAUUCUUUUAACAAGUUUUUUUUCUUCCGGGUGUUUGUGUCAUAUCAUCCACUGACAUAAUGAAAGUAACAUCUGGAGACGAGAAUGGUGAUAAGGUGGUCUUCAAAUACAAAGUUAGAUAGUAGAAAUUAAAAAAUAAAAGUAUAAAUGAUAGGAAUAUGCAAUGUGAUGCAAGUUGUGUAUUGUUAGAGGUGAUAAACAUUCAGGUCAUUUCCAAUUAUGUGUGCAUGUAUGAUGUUUCAACACCAAAGUUUGAGAUUCUAUCGCCUUAUUCAUGGGAUCUCAAAAUUGUUUUUUCCUCCCACCUACUAUUUUCGGAUAUCAUAUUUAUAGACUGUUUGGUCAAGCAUCUCGAAUUCUCGAUAGCUAAAACAAAAGACCCCUCAUUCAGUAAUUAAAAAAAAUAACUGUAUUAAAUAGAUAAAUAACACGAACCUACAACUCAAUUUGAUCAUCAAGCAAUCCUUCGAUAAAAUCUUGAGUGUUAUAAAUAGUAGUAUCUUCGGUGUCACAAUGAACAGUACCUGAUGUGCCCUACAAAAAUAUAUAAAUAGUUUUAUUUAUUUAUUUUGAAAUAUUUAUAUAAGUUAGGAAUGUUUUAAGUUUAUAAUUAAUUGUUAAUGCUUACCUCCAUAUCAGGUAAUCUCCAACAUCAUUGUUGAUUCAUAGCUCAUACGUCCGAUUCCUUCCACAUCUCGAGUCGGUCUUGAAUAAGGAUCAAAUGACAUAUGUAAUAAAUUCAUGAUGUCUGACGUGCCAAACUGAUGAACAUGCGAAUCAUCAGCCUCUACUCUCACCUCUGCCUCUAUGUCUGGAGGAAUAGGCAUACCACCAGCGCCACGUCCUCGAGCUUUACCACUAUGCCCCAUCCGUCCACGUCUGGGUCCUCUUACAUGCACAUGUUCAAAUAAAGGAUCUCCCUCAAAAAAUGGCUUUCUAAAUUGUAUUUCGACCUCAAGCAAUGUAUCUUUAACAAUCUGAAAUACCUCUUCACCAUGUGAAGCUGAGGUUGUGUCUCUCUGCCACUGUAAUGCAAGACUAUACAACUUAAAUAGUCCUCUGGACAUUGCAAUACUAGUACCAGUGAAAUGAACAAAGCCUAACGAUACAUCAACCUCUAAUGCAGACCUACCGAUAAGCAGUCUUCCGUGCCGCAUGUACCAUAAUCUACACCCUACCCCGCUAGUUUCAUCAUUUACCUCAAUCGCUAAACUCUGAUGUCGAUUACCCCAAUCACAAAAAAAUUUAUCCAUCAUUUCAAGAACCUCUGAUCCAAGCCUCCUACGGCGAUCAUACACGUGGUGGUUGAUUCCCCAACUAGGAAUCACAGGUACAUGCUGAGAAUGACCAAACUGACGCAUUACUCUAUCAGGAGAGUGCACUUCAACAAUCUCUAGGCAAAACAUAGGGACACAUGCCAUCCAUAGAGGCUCAUCGACCAUACAACAAUGAGGCAUUGUAUGUGAAAUCGCAUUGUACGGUGUCCAUCGAGACUAUUUUUAAAAUAUAACAAUUAAAUAAAAUCAACAUUAACUGAUUAGUAUACAAAUAAAAUUAUUAUUGAUUUACUUUUAUAUGUAAUUUAUAUUUUUUAAUUGUUUUAGUAGAGUUGCAAAAAUUAUUUAAUGUACCUGAUCCUCCGUCAUGCGGUCUAACUGGUCUCUAAUUGGAAUAAGAACAUGAUAUGACUCAGUAUCCCUAUCAAUUUCACGCGUCCAACGCUUAGCAUAUGGAAGUAAUAUGUCACCAUCAAUGCUGAGGAGGAGCUGAUGGCUGUACAGGCAAGAUCCUCUCCCAACACCAAAUCUUGAUGUGUCAAAUAAAAUAAUUAAAUUAUCAUAAUUAAAAAAAAUGAUAAUUACAUAUAUAUAUAUAUAUUUUUUUUAUAGUUGUAGGAAAAUGUAUGUGAAUCUUUUUUAAAACUAUGUAGGUUUUAUAAUAAUUAUUCAUAUUUAUUAUGAAGUAAGUUUCAACCUUUGGUUGGACCCUUUUUUAAAAAUUAUGUAGGUUUUCUAAUAGAAUAAUAUUGUGUGCUUUAUCAAUGCAAGUUUCUGUCGAAAGAAGCAGGCAAAAAAAAAACAAAUUAUUUGUAUGUAAUUUAAAUAUUUUAAAAAAUUGAAUAUAGAAAAAAUAUUCUUGUACGGUAUAAUGUUAAAGACUUUUACAUUUGAAUGUAUUUUAAAACUUAAGUAAAGUUACAUGAAGGAGAGGAAUAAAUCCGCAAAUGUCCACCAUAUUAUCGAUAGAUGCCCGACAAAAUGCACGGUACAAGUAGGCUAGCACUGCACUGCCCUAACUGUACGUACCUACAUCGUGGAUAGGAUCUAGGAACGCCAAGUAUUGUAAACUAAUAAGGUUUUCUGAAGUAUUCGGAAAUAAGAUGCCCCCUAAUAUAACAAGCAUGUAAAGUCUAGCAAUCCUCUCCACUCGUUCCACUGGAGUAGCAUCUCUUAUCGGAUCUACUUGUAACUGAUCUCGCAAGUAGCCGGUAAUGUUAUGUAUCCUUACCCGACUAGCACCAUCCAUAUCAGUAGGUGCUAUGGUGCAUCCUGUGAGUGUCUCUAAUAAAGUACGCCAUGGACGAAUCCUCCCGGUAGCAUCUUGAAUGUACACAACAUCACCAUCAAUGCGCAAAUCAAACAAGACCUGCACAUUUACAAUGUAAUUGUGACCUCACCAAAAGGUAAGUGGAAGCAAUGAGUCUCUGGCCUCCAACGCUCAACCAUAGCUGUAACAAGGGCUUAAUCAUACUGCAUCCUGCCCACACAAACUACAUCAUACAGUCCGGACCUACGUAAGAUCUCCUCAACACGUUCAUGAGAUCGGUGCAAACGAAAUAAAUUCCAGGCAUCAUUCAUGCGCACCGUCCUCAUAAGGCUACUAAAUGGUAUCUCACCUUUCCAUAACAAUUCUGAUUUAUACUCAUGCUGAGAGAGAAGAAGUGUACGGUCAAUCGAUCCAUGAUUCAAAACACGCUCCAUUAUAUAUUGUAAGAAAAAUUAUAUUAAUUCGUAUAAUAUAAUUAUAUUUUGACAUAUUAAUGCCUAGACAGUUCUGCUUUUUAUUUACUUCUAUAACUUUGUUGAACCUCGCGGUAAAAGUGAAAUUCUAUAUUAUACCUUUUAUUAUUUGUCGAGGUUCCUCAGCGAGGUUUUAACUUUUGAAUUGUGAAGGGGAGUAAAAGAAAAAAAAUACUAAUUGAGUAAGUAGUGAGAACAUAUAUGAUGAUCGAGAAUAUUUUAACCAAAUAAUGUUUAAAAUUCUUAGUUAUUAAUUAUGACAUAAUCAUAAAGAAUGCUUUCUACUAUUAAUCAAAAUCUAACAAAGAAUAACGAUAUCACUCUCUCAGCUUUCAACUCAAGUUGGUGAAAUAACUUGAGUCUGCUAACUCCAAAAGAAAUUACUAAAACAAAAUCACAGAAAUAGUAAUCAAUCACCCGAACAGUGUUGGCGAAGUAGCAUUUGAACAAGCAAACAAUCACUGGAAAAAAAGGCCAUUGGGAUAUUUCCUUGGGAAUAUGCUGGUAAUUAUAUUUUGUGAAAGGAAUUGUUUAUAACACACACAAAAAGGAAUCUACACUAAAUUAGCUGCUAGACUCCCUAUAUGUCUAGUAUGUGAUUUUUUUUUUUAGUUUGCCAGAUUGUACAGAGCUCCCAACACAUCCUUAGUGUUUUUUUUUACUUUGCCAGAUUAGCUUCAGGUGUUUACAUCAUUAUAUUUUGAUUCAUUCUAUUGUAGUUAAAUAAUAAGAUAAAAACAAAUUAGACUAUAACUUUGUGGUUUAAUAUCAUUCUCAAAAAUGUUUAAUAUCAUUUUGUCAAAGCUAAUGGGUAUCUUAAAGAACUCUCACAAAAUUCAAAAAAUUCAACUUUACUAUACUAUUCAAAAUUUCAAUCUCCUUUUUAACGUAAGGUCCAAAGUUGGACCAUAGGAAUAUUUCUUUCAUAAUUUAUUUUCAAAUUUAAUACAACAUAGAGAUUGAGCAACUAAUCCUCUUAUGAACAUCAAUAAUUAUCCCACUAACAAGUAGAAAUGAAAUCUAAAUUAGGAAUACGGAAUAAAGCUAAAUCAGCUCUUUUUUUACUAUUCCAUUGUAAAAUAAAAUCAAAAUAAUUUAAUAACAUGUAAGUUAUAAUUUACUCCGUGAAUCAGAACCAUUAGUCAAAAUGAUACUAUACUAGACACAAGAUGAGAUAAAUGAAACACAUUCUAAGUAAAGAAAAUAUGAGAUGUUAAAGAAAUACCUAAUUUAUAUAAUUUACAGGGACGAAUUAUUAUGUUGUCGGGUUGUGCUACUUCGAAAUUUUGAUUUAUUUAGUGGGCCCGCUUCAGUUGUCGAAUUGGGACCAUCAAUAUUAAUUUUCAAAGUGUAAGCUUAGAAGCCAUGAAAGUGAAAGAAAGAACGAGAAGGUGAAAAGGUAAAGUAAUUUUCUAUAAAGUGGAAGAUUUUCUCCCACUUUAUAAAGUGGAAGAAAAAGUUCCACUUUAUAGAAAAUUACUUUACCGUUGAAGAAAAAGUUCCACUUUAUAAAGUAGAAGAAAAAGCUCCACUUGAUAUUUAUAAACUGUAAGAAAAAGUUUCGUUAUACAUUAAAAAUACACGUUAUGAAACUAACGAAAAACGUUUAGAAAAUUAGAUAAAGUGAAACUUUUUCUUCCACUAAGCUUAUUUUAGUAACUAAAAUAGUGGCUUAUUUUGAUUAUUUUUAUAUUUUUAUGGUUUAUUUUAAGUUUCCAACUCUCUUCACACUUCAUCUAAGUAAGUAAGAUAUGUAUAUUUAUUUGUUUAUAUCCAAAAUUGAACCGUUAGAAUUAAAUUAAAAGACAUUUUUAUAUUUUAGACCUAUUUUUUAAACUGGAAUGUUUGACCAAAUCAUGGAGAGAAUAAAUAUUUUGAAGGAGUUGCCUAAACUAUUUGUCAGAAACUAAAAGCUUGUCUUACUGUUAAUUAGUGACUACUCAUUAAUUACCACUUAAAUGUAUUUUUAAUAAAGAAGUAAAAUUUAAAAAAUAAUUAAAUAGAUAUCAAAACAAGCAAUGCAAUAUCAUCUUUAAUAGAGGCCUACGGUCUAAAUUUCUUUUUUCGGAGAAGAAAUAAUGAUGGUAACUAAGAAAUAAGUAUCGACUAACUCUGUGUCAACAGUCGCGGUAAUACAGAGAAUACAAGUGUUAUCCAAAAAAUAGGUUAAACACAAAAAUAGUGCAAUUUUGCCAAUUAAAUACAAAAAAAUUAAUUAGGUUAAACAUAUCUAAGGGGUAUCAAGACCCUCACAUGGUUUAAGGUUAUAUAAUAUGAAAAGAUCAAAUUCAUACGACUUAUGGAUUUCUUCUAUAAUUUAAGUGUGUAAUUGUAAUUUUGCCAUAAUUCAGAAGAAUUAUUAUGUUUUAUUCCUUUUUAAUCAGACAAAUAUAACUGAUUUAUAUGGAACAUGAUGCCUUGCUGGUCAGAUCUAGGUUUGAUGAACAUUCUUCAAUAAUUUAAGCUUAAUUAAUAUAUAUUAAAGUUGAGUUACAUCAAAGUACACUCAUGGUAGUUGUUUUCAUGUGAACUAAUGAAAUAAUUGGAAAGGGAAAAGAAAGAUGAUAUUUGUGCGAUGUUCAAUUUUAAUAAGUUUAAUUAAAUUUAAAUUCGCCCUAGAAAGUUUUACGUUGAGAAUAAAUCACUUUAUCAAAAAUUGAAGAAAUAAAACACUCUAUGAAAAAAAUUGAAAAAAACUAGUAAUCAAAUUUUAUUCAUUAUAUAUAUAUAUAUAUAUAUAUAUAUAUAUAUAUAUAUAAAGCUGAGAUAUCAUAUCAUGGUACUCUUUCUUCAAUAAUUUAGUGAAAUAAUAGAAUAGAAAAGAUAGCUCUAUAAUAAUAUAAUUAAUGGUUGAAAUUCCCAUGGAUAUAAAAGCUAGUAUUAGAUUCCAAUUGUUCAUAAUAUUUUGCUAUCACCAUGAAGCACUUUUUCUACAAUAAAUAUAUAGUGUUUUUGAAAUAAAAUACAAGAAUUCUAAUUUUUAUUUACUAUACGUAUAGUUGAAAAUCAUUAAGAAAUAUUUAUGAUUUGUUUGGUAUGAACAAAAAUAUUUUGAAGAAGAAACUAUUUGUCUUACUGUCUACUUUAAAAUUUAGAAAAUUAUUUUAUAUGGAUUAUCAUAGAAAAAUACAUUAGUCAAGAAAUAUACAUUGUUUUGCCCACUCUUCAUUUAAAAAGUAAUUUAAAGACAAUAUUACUUGAUGUUCAAUUACCAAAAAAAUAUAUAAUAUAUUUUCAUGAGAUUGCAAGCGUUCAAACAUGAAAUUUUACAUAUUGUUUAGUUACACAUUAGAUGAUAUUUGGUUUAGUUUUUGAAAAUGAGAGUUUUACAAAAAUUGAAAAAUUAAUUUAAUUUUGACCAGUUAACCAAGUAAUUUUUUUUUCUCUCACACAAAAUUUAAAUGUUUUAGAAAGUGAAAUCCAUAUUUAAAUACAAUUCAAUUUUCAAAAAUCAUUUUUAUACUUGAAAUGUUACUCCGCCUCAUCCAUAUUAAGUGAAAUAUUAAAAUCUGACACUCCUUAAGAAUAUUUUAGGGCAUAAAUUAUAAAUUACUUUUCACUAUUACCGUGAUUAUUUCCUAACUAUUCAACUAAAAAUUAUAAAAUAGUUAAGAACCUCAUUUAAAUUAAAAAUAAAUAUGAAAAAAGUCUCAAUAAUUAUCUUAAAUUUUGAAUAAGUCAUUUAUUCUGAAUUAUGAAAAAGUGUCCAAUAAUUCACUUAAUAUCAACUAAAUAAAGUCCUUUAUCACAUAAAAAGGGAAGAAAACAUGGGUGGACAAUUCUCUAAUUGAGCUACCACAUGGUACUAAGAAAUGACAAUUCAUUUUUUUCAAGAAGAGGAGAGAAAUUUGGAUGUCAAAAAGGUUUUAUUCCUCACUUUUAUCAAAUUGUUGUUGACAUAUAUGGCUCCCUUUUAACAAAAGAUGCCCUCUCUUAAUGGUCUUAUAAUUAUGUUUACAAAAUUCUACAAUUGACCGUCAUAACAACUGAAAGUCUUAAAAAUACUCCAUGAUCAAUUAUACUUAAAUACACUUUCAAUCUUGAUUGAAAUAUGAGUGUAAUACACUCUUAAGUUUUUAUUGAGUUUAAUAUGUUUUUAAUACUUAUUUCGGUUUUUGUUAAGAUUCUCAUGAUCUUAUAAGAAUUUGAGAUCAUUUGCUAUCAUGUGGCAGAUAAGGGUGUAUAUAAGUUUCAUUAGUUCAGUAGAGCGAUGUUUUUAAGACUGUCAAUAAUUCAAAGAUGAAAUUUGUAUAAAUUUGACACAUAUGUCCUUCGUGACAUAAUAUACGUAGGAUACAAAAUUGUCAUGUAAGGUGUCAUGUAGUACGGAAGUGUCCAUUUGUUCAAUUUUAUACAAAUUUAAAUGUCUACUUUUGCACACUCAAAUAGGUGACACCAAGUGAAGGAUCAUAUUUAUGUAUUAUGCCCAUUUUUUGGCAUAAUACAUAAAUAUGUCUUUUAACUUGACACCGUUUUAUAUUUAUACUCUUCAACUUUGAGUGUAUACAAGUAGACACUUAAACUUGUAUAAAAUUGCACAAGUACACAUGAGUCCAAUGUGACAUAAUACAAGUAGGACACAAAUUGUCAUGUAGAAUGUCACGUAGGACAUGUAUGUAUUUGUUCAACUUUAUACAAGUUUAUAUGUUUAUUGUGCACACCCAAAAUUAAAGAGCAUAUAUGUGAAAUGGGACCAAAUCAACUUUAUACAAAUAUAAAUGUCUACUUGUGCACACCCAAAAUUGAAGUGAAUAAACGUGAAAUGAAACUAAAUUAAAAGACAUAUUUAUGUAUUAUGCCUAUUUUUUCUAUUUUUUUUUUUGCAUGAAAGUAAUAUUUUGAGUAGAAACUACUAAAUAAACGAAAUGUGAUCUGGAGUCUUAUUUUUUUGAAUUACUGCCAGCUGAAUUGAUCAGCUUGUGUACUUCCAAACCAACAAAAUGAGGCAAACUUCACAAUUGUACAGAAGAACAAAUAAACUUAACAUAAUUGAAAGCCAUAGCUGAGACGACAUUAACUAUUCUUACUGCAUUUAUCAGAUCAUCUCCGCGCUGCCUCAUACUCUUCUAGUGUUCACUCUUACCAUCUUCGUCUUUGUUAGUCCUCCCGCUAUUGUUCAUGAGCAAGGGCAGAAGCCUUCUGAAAAUAGACAAGACCGUUGAGGCAAUUUUGUGCACUCGUAUUCAAUUUUCUACUAGCUACUUCUAUUCAGAUGAUGAUAUGCUUUCGAGGACUAACCCGUUUUUGCUCUUCCAUCCUUGCCUUUAUUAACGAGUAGAUAGCAACACCAGCAAUAGCUAUUGCAGUACCAAUCCCAGUUUGAGUCGAUAUCUUGUUUCCUGCGAAGUUUUCAAACAAUUAAAGCACAGAACAAACUGCCAUACCCGAGCAACAAAUUGCGUGUUAUUUAAUCAACACUUACCAAAUACUACUAUAGAGAAACCAAUCACAAACACUCGCUUCAACACAUUUCCAACAGCAUGUGUAAGUGGCGCUACACGCUCUAAGGUGUUAGUAGCUAUCUGCAAAUGUUAAAAGACUUAACGAAUUUCCAACUCUAUUGAAAAAAAAGCUAAUGUGUUGAUACAUUACGUACUCGUGGUGUACCUGGUUAUACAGAUGAUAGAACAUCCCGAUCCACAAAAGGUCGGAUAAGAACUUAUAAAGACCUACUUUAGCAAUAGCAUCGCGGAAACCGUACUGCAGUAGUUGAGGUCCUUCAAUCUGACAUUGCAUUUGCCAAUUAGUUCUAUCUUGAAAAUACUCUGACAGAGAAGGUUUUACGAAUUUCUGAGAAAAAAUUACUUACAAAUAUUGCUGGAGGGAGGCAAAAGAGGAGGGCGAUAAUUGAAAUAUACGCGUAUACAUUUGUGCUGUCCAUUCCAGUCUGUUAAAAACAACAUACCAUAUGAUAAUAAAUUACAAAAUGUAACAUAAAUACUCUGCUAUGCAGGAUAGAAGACACUUCACAAAGAUAAUUUGAGAAAACUAAAACUGUCCUACUUGUUUCGCCUGCUUAAUCAACAUGUGAGCAAUCUCCUCGAUGAUGUAUAUUAGAAAGUAAACGACCAAAAAAACAGCCCGAUACAUAAAACAUUCCGUGUUCACGCGGGGUAGGAAGAAGGGCCGCACCCCAUGGGGGUAUGAUGCAGCAGGCUGCCUACCUUGAUGCAAGUAUGAGUGGUUGAUUCUAUGGAUCGAACCCGUGACCUAUUUAACCCAAAGAUAACUUUAUUGUUGCUUCAACACUCCCGUUCAUGUCUGUAUUAAUCUAACCUAAUAAGACGACAAAAUUUUUGUAGGAGGAGAUUAUGAAGGGGUCUGUCAAUUAGGCUACCCUGAAUGUAUACGACAUGCUUAAGGUAAUGCUUGGCAGUAUUACUCUAUGAGAAGAACACUUACCAUUGCUUUCUUUGAGUAGAUACUUCUGUAAGUGAAAGCAAUAUUUGAGAUCAUUGCACUAAUGAAGCCAGUCCAAUUGAACGAUAGUUCAGUCAACGACGCCAUCGAUACACCUAAGAAGUAUCAGUAAUCAACAAUAUUGUUUUGAUCAGAAUUUGAGCAGGCUAGAUCAGAAAGGGGAAUGAAGCAGAACCUCAGUGUUGAGGAUUUGUUGUUCAUUCGACAAACGCGCAUAAUAUAUUACUUAUGAUAUAACAUCAAAAAGUUGCUCUUGUUUUGCCUCAACAGCGACGAUUUUCUUGAGCAGUUGGUAAAUGUUUGAACUAGUGAAGGGAAAAUCACAAUGCCUGUAUAUGACACUUACCAAUGACAACAGGGGCCAGUGAUAACCACAGAGAGACGGGGAUCUGGUGGCCCAAGACAAACUGAGAAGCCGAAGCACUGAAGAAUGGCUCCAGAGCUAUGCAACACCAAUGACAAAAUGUCAGUUAUUGCAGAACAUGUUGACGUAAUGAAGUAUUCUUAACUGAUUUCUUAUAUCACAUUUAAUUCUUGAAGCCAUAUAUCGUUAAGAAGUACUAUCGAUGUCAACUUAAGGUAAUUUUUCCUGCUCCUAAUAUGCUUAGCUCUAGACCACUGCUCAUCUUUAAGAACGAAGCACUCAUUUGAACCAUAUAAAGUUACAAGCAUCUGUUAUUCAAAAAGAAAAACUUAUCGAACUAAAGUAGUGUGUAUUUAUGGGUUAUUACCUUUGAUGGUAUGAGUGAAGGAUACAGCAACAGUUGCAAACGACACAUUAGACAUAACAUGUCCAAGAGCAUGACAGAAUGCUACCGGAGUAAGCAGUGCCAGAAGUUCCUUAUUGAUGGGCUAUAGUCACAUAUUUUUGACAAAUGCAAGUCAAUUAAAGCCAGCUUUGAGCAAAUUAACAAAAGAGUUUGAGUUAUAUACAUCGUCAAUCUAACUUGUGUAUCUCACUUUUUAAGGAAGUUUACUUGUAUAUAUAUGGAUGAACUUACCGCACGUUUAGGUAGACCAACGGUCCAACUAAUAAGACAAUAGGUUACUCCAACUAGGAGAUGUACAACUGAAACGAAGCUGCAAGAAAAUCAUAUAAGCUUAAUUUUUUCUUUGCAAGAACAUGAUAUUUGAUUUGAGAAUCUCCUAAAUAACAAUAGCCACUUACUAUGGGUAUGGGAAAUAGUUGUAUACUUUCUUGUUGAGUAUGUUGAAAAUCACAUUCAGAAAGUACCUGCAUCAGCAAACUUGAUGAUCAGUACUCAUUUUUACCUUCUCAAGCCAUAUUCCACUUACACUCACCUAAUAGCAGAGCCAAAAUUUUUAUUAAGAGAGUUUAAAAUCUGAAGAAGUAAACAGAUGAACUAGUCGAAAAGGGUUCGACACCUAUUAUAUGUACAUAAAAAUUAAUUUAAGCCAUAUAUAAAUAAUAUAAUUUCUUAUGAAGGGGGUUAGGAUGAACCGCCUGACCCUAAGCUGGCUCCACCCUUGCCCUCACCCCUCCCCAAAAUAACUCUAAGUGGGGUGUUUGGAUUGACUUAAAGUUUAUGAAACUUACUUUUAAGUCAGUUUUUGUUUUCUCGAAGGGUUUGAUAAAUAUAAAAAAUAAUUUAAAAUAAGUAAAAAGAUGACUUAAGAUAAGUUGAAAAAUGUUUAACAAGGUAAAAAUGACAUAAGUUUAAAAUGACUUAAAAUAAGUCAAAAAUCAAAAGUAGGCCUCCCCCACUUUUUAUUUUUGACUUAAAAGUCAUUUUAGUUUGAUUUUUAAUUUUGGACUUAAAAACUGCUUUUUUAAAGUCAAUCCAAAUAGGUUCUAACUCUUUAAAGAGAGAAAAAGAUCUAUCAGUCCAAAAACUCGUUUAUCCUUGUUGAAGUUGUGUCUAUCUUAUCUAAAAGCUUAAAAUAUUUGAAAGAGUACACUUUUAUUCACUUGAUAAUAUACUCAACACGCCCCUCGUAUGCAAAUCUCAUUCUUUUUCGUGAAAUUCUUCAUGUCUGGUCUGAUAUCACAUUAAAGUGUGUCACAAUUUUAUCUAAAAGAUAAUACAUAAACACGUCAUUUAACUUGAUCUUCAGACUUUUGAGUCUACACAAGUAUUAUAAAAAUUGAACAAAUAAACACAUGUUUACUACACAGCAGUCUCACAUGAUUUGACAGAUAGAACACGUCAUGUCAUGUGAUUUGUCAUGUAAGACAUGUAUAUCUACUUGUUCAAUAAGUAAAGCUCACCAUGUAAAGAAAAAGAAUCCAGUAACUAGAGCUGGAAAUUUUUCAGCAAAUCCUUUAGUUGGUUUAACAUACCUACAUACAAAAUUGAUAAUUAAUUAGCCAAAAAAAAAUGUAAUGAAAGUAUAAAUAAAUAAAAUUAACAAAACAAAAUAAAACAAACCCAUCAGUAAUUUCAAUGUCAUGACCCUCUGCAUCAGCAGCUACUGCUUUUGUAACAAAAACAUCAACACUAUUUCUUGGCUUCAAUAAUUGACUGCAUUUAGGCUUAAUUGAUUCAAAGUUUUUGGAAUUUGCAAUUAUUGACAAAUUUUUGAGUGAAACUGAAUUAGUUAAAUUUCUAUUAAUAAGUUUGUGGGAUGAAGAAGAAUAAAAAUUUGAUCUUUUUAGAGAAAAGUGAAAGGAAUUAGAGAUUGAAGCCAUAAUGAAAAUUCAAAAAAAAAAAGAAGAGUUCAAUAGAAAGUAAAUGAUAAUUAUUUUUUAUAAAAGAAAUUUUGGAUAAAACAAACAAAAAGAAAAAAAAGAGAGUUUUUGAAGUAUAACGUUGAAAACAAAGUUUUAAUUAGUAUAAGAGCGAUGAUGUCAAGGUACCAAAAAGCCUAAUAAUUAGAUUUUUUUUUAAAAAAAAAAUUGAGUUUGAGUUGUUGGUGAUUUAAUUUUAAUUAAUAGAGAAGAAGAGGGAGGAAAAAGAAAAAUAUAUUUGAUUAUUUUAGUUGUUACAUUCUCUUUAAUAUACGUUUGCUAUUUUAAAAAAAAAAAUAUAUAUAUAUAUAUAUAUAUAUAUAUAUAUAUAUAUAUAUAUAUAUAUAUAUAUAUAUAUAUAUAUAUAUAUAUAUAUAUAUAUGAAAGCUCUUUUUAUGGUUGCUUGUAUUAGGGUCGGGUAUACCAAAAAUACUUUAUAGUUAAAUUUUAUUUGUUAAUUUUAGACUUCACAUAUAUAAUGAUUAAUAUGAGAAUUUACUAUUAUAUAUUUAAUAUUAGAUUUAAAAAAAUCAUUUGGAAAUUAAGUAAUUAUCGUUAAGAGUAAAUCAUAGAAAAAAAUAAAUAUUUAUUUUGUUUUUUUGAUAUAUAAAAAUGAUGAGUAAAAAUAAAAAAUUUAUUUUUUAAAAAAGCGAAAAAGUAAAAGCGAAUAGAGAGAAUUUUAGACCUUAUAUGUUUGAACUUAAUGCAGGUCUGAAUCCUAAUCAUUCAGAUUCAGUCUAUUAAGUACGUUUGAUUUUUUGGUCUGAAUCCGAAUCAUUCAGAUUCAGCUCCUUAAGUUCAUUUGUUUUAUUUUUGUAAAAACAAUGAGUCAGAUUUUUAGGAUACUCUUAACAACAUUCAGAUUCAUAUAAUAAAUUAUUAAAUAAUAAAUCUAUCGCUUCUCUGCUUUGAGAAUGUCUUUUUAUCUCAUAAUUAAAAACUUUCUUUCUCUAUUUUCUCAAUCAAACACCAUUCUAAGUUUUCAUAAAUCGUAUUUUUUUUUAUAUUAAUAACUUUCUUGUAUUGACUGUGUUAAGAACACUGUUGGUCUAUUGGUGUUUAUUAGAAUUUUUGAAUGAAAAAGAUAGUACUCCAAAUCAUGAUUAUUAAAACUCUUAAAACAUUUUUUUUGUCAAAAGUGAUAUAUUUUGUUGAAAUGAAAUUUUUAUGAUAUUUUAUUAAUUUAAUGUUAAUUUCAUAUGCACAUUCAGAUAAAAACAAACAACAUUAAUUAUUUAGUGUUCUUAUAUAGAAAUCACAUUUCAAUAUUCAGAUAUGUAUUCAGAUUCAUACAUCUUAACCUUAAUAGAAACAAAUGAGGUCUUAGCAAUGGUUAAAUUGAUUGUGUUUAGUUCUUAUCCACUAUUUAAUUUAGUGUAUUCAAUGAGAACUUUAAUCAUUAAUUAUUUGUGUCUUAAUACUACACAUGAUAUUGCUAAUACUAGGGGCGUACAAAAUUAAAUUAAAAAUCGAAUCAAAACGUAAAUCGAGUCAAAUAAAAAAAAUUGAUUAGUGAUUUGGCUUGACUUGAUUUGAUGUUGAAAAAAAAAACUCGAUUAUAUUUGGGUUGGGUUGGUUUCAACUAAAAAAAUCAACCCGACAUUAUAUAUAUAAUUUUAAAAUAUUAUUUUAUAUGUAAAAAUACCUAUUUUGAUAUAAUUUUUAAAUAUCUCUUUUGCUUUUUCAUAGUUUUAUCUAUUAAUAUAUUUAUUUCAUGUUUGGAAGUAAGAAUUUUUAAUGAUCUAAAAUAAAAAUUAUAGUUCAUACAUGUUGGUGAUUACAAAUCAAAUUAAUACUAAUGCAAAAUGAAAAUUAAUUCAACACGAAGAAUAACAAUUAUAUUGAAUAUUUAUUUUUUAGUUUUACAUAAAUUUAGACAAUUAAAAUACAUGUUCUAAUUUUAAUUCUUUAAUAUUUAGUCAUGUAACUAAUACUUACUAAACUUAUUUUAGCAUGAUUUAGUACUUUAAAUUAUGAUCAAUUUCAUUAUGUCUUAUUAAUUUGUAAUAUUUUUUACGCGAUCUUAUUAUUAUCUUUUUGUUGGACAUUUUAGUGUCAUUAAUCAUAUCAUAUUUUUGGUUAUUUUCUUGAAAAAUAACUUAGGUAGUUACAUUUUGAUAGGAUUAAAGAAAUAUUUGAUGUACAAGUAUAUAUGUUUGUAUGAAUAUUUUAUCAAAAAAAUAAAAAAAUCCAAAAAGUCUGAAGUUGAAAAACCCAAAUUUUAUUGGUUUGGUUUGAUUUAUAAAUUCAAAAACCCAACACAAAUGGUUUGAUUUGAUAUUUGAAAAAUUCGAACCAACCCGAUCAUGUACACCCAUAUCUAAUACCAUGAGUUGCUAUGCAUAUUACUCCUUUCUUUAUGAGUAAUUAAUUUAUCUUUUUUUUUAGAUUGUUUUAAAUUUUAUGACAAAUUAAAAUUAAAUAACUAAACUAAAACAGAGAGAAUAAUUAUACAUCCUUAAAUACAGAACAUGAUAUGCAAUUAGUAUGUGUAUUAAAACACUAUAUCAAUUAGAGCAUGGAAUAAUUUUAAAAUUUAAUAAAUAUAUUAUUUCUCUAAUAUAUCCUAUCAAACUAUCUAUCAAAAUAUUUCCUCUCCUUUAAAUAAUAAUAAUAAUAAUAAUAAUAAUAAUAAUAAUAAAAAAAAAAGAACAACAUAACAUAAAAAGUUAAUAAUAAUAAGAACAACAACAUAACAUAUAAAGUUAUCAUUAGAUGUAUCCAAAAUAAAGAUAAGAUAAAGGGCUAGGUCACUUGGUCAGCAUCUUGACGAGAAGUAUUGACCAAACUAAGUUAUUAUAUAAAGUAAUUUAUCAAAAUAAUAUAUUUUUUUUAUAAUUCUAUAAAAUUAGUAUAAAUAUAUUUCACAGUAACAUUUUAGGAUAUAUUUUAUUUUUUAAAAGCUGGCGGUGUUAAGUUGAUAUACGUUACUGUGAGUAACGUUUUUAGAAUAAGAAGUUACUCGCGGUAACAUUUUAGGAGUAAAACGUUACUAUGAGUAACAUAUAUCAAUCUAACACUGUUAGUUUUUUAAAAUUGAAAUAUAUACUAAAACAUUACUGUGAAAUACGUUUAUACUAGUUUUGUAAAAAUUUUAAAAAAUAUAUUAUUUUAAUAAAUUAUUUUAUAUAAUGGCUUAGUUUGAUAAAAAAUUCCUCUCGAUAAAAUCAACCCCAUGAGAAGCAUCAACCCCCCCUCCCCCCCUCCCCCCACAAAAAAAAAUAAAAAAAAAUAAUCCUACUCAUGUAUAGUAUAAUAAUGACAAAAGUGAAAUUCUGGAACAAAAAAAGUAACAUAUAUAUUUUACAAAAAUUUAAAAAAAUGAUUUUUUCAUAAAUUUCUUGUAACGUGUAAUGUACCAUAAAAUAAAAUAGAGAUACAAGUAACUCCAAAAAAGUUAUACACAUACUUUCCCUCACACUCAUAUAAUUAUUUCAUUUUCUCUAUCUUCUUGCACAUAUAAACUAGUAUUAGUUACACCAAUAGACUGCUUUUUUCUGAUGGGGAUUGAUGCUACUGAAAAGGAAAUAAAUGGAUGAAUUCACUAUCUUCUUUUAAAGUUAUAUUUUCAGUUCAAUGGGUAAUAAUGCUUUUAAAUAAUGUUUAUUUUAAAUAAAUUACUGAUUGAAAAGAAGAAAAAAAUACAACGUAAAGGCAAAAGUGCUUAUUCUAUGGUGAUGCUUAUUGACAUUUAUUGGUCAAGUAUAUUUUAUUAUUUUUUGCUAUAAAAUUAACAUAAUUAUGUAGAUAUGACUUUUGGAUGGUACUUUGGUCAUUGAAUCAGAAAAGAGAGUUUAAGAAUAUUCUUAUUUGUUCUCUUUAAUUAUUUUUCUUAUUCUGUUUAUUAUAAGAGAAAAUUGGUUGUGAGAUGUUACGUUUGCAAAAAUAAAUAAAUUAUUAUUAUUAUUAUUAUUAUUGUUAUUAUAAAAAAGGGGGCAUGGCGCAUGGGUAAAGGAGAAGGUUUGAAAAUUUAUAAUAAUGUUUGACAUACAAUAUUUUAUUUGAUUAAGAAUUUUAAUUUGUUAGGUGUUCAUCUUACCAAGUAUAUUAUAUGUAUUAACUUCAUUGUCCAAAAUGUAUCUCUCCAUUUUAUCUUAUAUUUAAUUGGACAUGAUUAGUAAUAAUAGAAAAAGUAAUACUAUUAAAGUAGCUAGUGAUUGAAGAAAAAAGUAAACAUCAUUAUCAAAAUUAUGAUUAUUAAAUUUAAAAUUUUGGAGUUAGAUAAAUCUAUAUCUAAACCGAUCAAUGAUAGUAGAAGAGAUAAAACAUAGAAAUAAUCCUUUGAUAUUGUCAAUUACAAAUCUUAAUUAUGCAGGAUUUUAUUACACCUAUUAAACUUUUUUUUACCAAUUAUUACCCCCUUAAGUUCAUUUCUUUUCAAAAUAAAUAAAUAAAUGAAAUAAUAUUAUUACACUAUUCUAAUUACAUAGUAAAGAAAUCAAGCAAAAAUAUAUGUUACAUUUUAACUUAUUUUCUUUACUACGUGAUUAGUGAAAGAGAUCAAUAAAGUUUUUAUGUCUUGCUCUUAUCCAAUAAGUAUACAAAAUAUGAAAAGUUUAAUAAAAAUAGCUAUUCUCCAUGGCACGUUUCUUAAGAAAUUAGGUAUUAUAGCUAGUAACGGAUUCAACAUUUUUGUUGAGGGGGUGUGAAGUGUAAAAAAUAAAUGCGAAAAAUAUAAAGAUGAAAAACCGAGUGACGUGGGAGGAAAAGAUUAAUUAUAAUCUACAAAAAUUUAUCUUAUAUUGUCAUGUUGUGUUUAAGUUCUUCCUACAUUUACUCUGGUCCAUCGAGCUUUUAAAAAUUCUAGUGUUUCCUUUUAUUUUGCAAUAUUCUACUUUUUAUUUUUUUAAAAAAAAUUUGUAAUUAGUGCGUAUUCAAUCAAAUGUUAGUUUAAAAACGAUCAAGAUUCUUUAGAAAGACAUAAAUAUCGAGUUACUAAUAUUAUAAUGCAUAUUCUAAAGAAAUAAAUGGCAUGGUCGAUUUUUUAGUUAAUUUAAUUCAAUUACUAGGUUAAUCAUUUGUUAAAAAACAAAUUAUAACCCAAACAAAUAUGUUUUGUUUAAUUUUAAUCUCUUUAGAAUCGACUUGAAAAUAGUAAAAAAGAAAUACAAUGAAAUUAAGAAAAAAAUCCAAUUAAAUAGAUUUUAUUAAAAAAAUAUUCACAACUUUUAAAUUAUUCCAUUCAAUUAAUCUUAAUUUAAUUUAUUUAUAUAAUAGUUUCUAAUUUAAAUUUAAUAACAAUUCAUCAUUUUCUCAAAAAGUUUCUUGUUUCUUUGUGUUAUUAAUGAGAAGAGUUAUGUAGAAAUAAAAUGAAAAAUAUAAAUAAGAAGAAUGAAAGAUAAAAAUAUAAAAAAAAUAAGGCUAAUAAACUUAAAACAAAGACAAAUUGCGUAAAAGAUAUAACAUAUUAAGAACAAAAAAAUAAAAAUAAUAUAGUUUUAAAUUGACUUAAAAAAAUAAUGAGGCCUUUUAUUGGGUAUCUAUGUCCAAAACCUAAGCCCGUCUCAACCUUUUCAAGGUUGAGAAAAAAAUAUAAAAUGAAAAAUAUAAAUUAUUCCAUUUAUUCCAUUCAAUUAAUCUUAAUUUGUUAUAAAAUCAAGCUCAUAAGAAUAUAAUCAUAAAGAGAAAAAGACAAGAGAACUAGAUAGAAGAAAAGAAAUUUUCUUCUUAUUCAAGUGUAUAUUACAAUGGUGAAUGAUAUCUCAAUUUAUAGGUAGAGAAAUCAACCAAAAGGUCAUCAUGUUUAAUGUCACAUUAGUAGAUACAUUUCUAUCCCAAAAAGAUUCAUCACAUUGGAAAUACAUAUCCAUGAUAAGGAUAAGUUUAUGAUAAGCUUAAUGGACGAUCCACUUAAUUCAACGUAUUUAUAACACCCGCCCUUGGAUGUCCAUAGAUAAUGUACCUCGUUAAAACCUUACUAGGAAAAACCCUGUGAAGAAAAAUUCUAGUGAAGGAAAAAGGGUACACAUAUCUUUUGAUACGCACUAUUUGUUGUCUCAUUAAAAACCUUGCCAGGAAAAUCUAGAGGAAAAAAACCUCGGUCAAGGAAAAAAGAGUGCAAUGCGUAUUAUACUCCCCAUGAUUAAAACAUCACUUAAUUUCUUGUGAUGAUGUCUCCAAUCUUCGUAUGUUGUGGUUGAUAUAUUCUUUUUUCAAAGAAAAAUCACACAUUUCUUGAAUAUGGUGUGUCAUUUAUCUCAACCAGACGCACUUUCGACUUUCUUCAUGGAGGACUUUUGUUUCUGCAUAGCAACAUUUUGCUUCAUUGAUUGCCAGGAUAUUAUUGUGCCUCCACAUGCAAACACAUAGCUUGCUUGAGAUAGAGCUUUAUCCGGAUCAGAUAAAUAUUCUGCAUCUGCGUAGUCAAUCAAUUUUGUUUUGAAUUCCUCGGAAUAGAAUAAAUCCAUAAUUAUGGUCCUUCGAGGAUAUUCAAUCAUGUGCUCAACAUCAUUUAAAUGUCCUUUUAUUGGGGAGAAACUGAAUCUUGCCAGUAAAUUUACUGCAAAACAAAUAACUGGUCAAAAAUUGUUAGUAAGAUGCACUAGUGCCCUGAUUGCACCAAGAUAGAGUUUCAUCACCAAGAAACUCUUCAUCCUUCUUUUGAGAUCAAACUGAAUAAUCAUUUAUGUCAAGUGAUCUCAUAAUCAUUGGGGUACUCAAUGAAUGUGAUUUAUCCAUAUAAAAUUGCAUCAAAACUUUUUAGUGUAUGUGAACUGUUAGACAAAUAUUUCAUUUGUCAAAUUAUCAAUUUGUAGGUCAAGACAAAAUUUUGUCUUACCAAGACCUUUUCAUAAAAAUACAAGGACAAUUAGGGUCAUUCUUUUGUACCUUUUUUCUUCCUUGACUAUUUCAAUCCAUAUAAGGAUUCUUGAAGCUUUAUCAAAAAAGUUUCUUUCAAACUCUUAUAUGCUUCAGACACCUCGAUUGUUUCAAGGAUUUUCAUAUAACCUUCACUGUCUAGCUAGACAUUACAAUUAUUCAUUACAUGCAUUCAAGUUUUUCAUAUGUUGCCAGAUCAAAACAAACCUCAUUGCAUCCACCAAAGGAGAAAACAUCUCCAAUAAUGUCAUGAUUUUUGCGAUAAAUCUUUAUGCCCCAAGGCACAAACCGUACUUGAUAUCUUACGGUUAUACUAUCGCAUAAUAAUUUAUUUGUACCCCACUGACAUUAUACCUUGAUUUAUGGACUACCAAUUCAAAAUGUCACUUUUCUAAGUAAAACAAAAUAUACUUGAAUUGUACAUUUUACUUGGUCAACCAUUUAUCUGUCCACACUAUAUGACAGAUUUGAAUUCAAGAUCCUCGUCACAAUUUAUAUCAUUGAGCGCUACCUCAUAUCAAAGAUACCAUCGACGGUUAUUUGAUAUCGAUUCCAACAAGACAUAACUUAUCGAGAUCUCUUUAUUUUUCAUUAUUUCAGGUACUUGAACCUUUUUCAUGAUUUUAUGAAGUGUUAUGUCAAUGUACUCUUUUAUAGCACUUGCCUCAUUAUCAUGAUCAUAUUGAUCAUUUGCUCCUUCCUUCUUCAAGGAAUUUUACAUUUGGAAUCGAUUGGUCUAUUACGCUUCCGGCGUAUCAUAGACUUUGUCCUUCAAGGACUUCACAUUGGAGCAUUUGCAGCUGAAUUAUAUCAUAGGGUCAGUGCAUUCAUCUGGCAACUGAUUUGCAACAUUAUGCAACUGAAUUAUCCCUUGAACUUUAAGUUCACAUAUUUAUUUAACGAGGAUCUAGAUAAUUCAUAAUUAACCUCACACAUAAUUUUCAGUUGUCAAUCAUUUCUCCCCUAAUGUUAGAAAAUCUAACAUUCAUUCCAACCUUAUUUGGAAGUUCAUCUUUGUGCGUGGUGGAGCAAUUAAAAUCAUAGCCGUACAUUCAACAUUUUAGAUGAAAAUUAUAUGGUUCCUGACCCUGCCUGAACCAAUUUUAAUGGGAAAACCUUGUUGGUUUGAUGCAUACAUGUGUUGCUACAUGUUAAAUAAAAUUAUCUCAUACCAAAUCAUAUUUGGGAGUUUUGUUCUCAUAACCAUGAUUUAGCUAUAAUUGGAGGCAUACAAUUUCUGCUAAAUCAACCAGCAUUAUCAAUAUAAUUUCAUAGUUUGAAACUGUCCUCUUAAUUUUAACAAUUCGAGCAAACAAUCUUACAAAAACCAAUUUGUAAGUUGACAGCAAAAUACAUGUGACCAUCGCAUAGAUGCAUCAAUCAUAUAGUUGCAAAUGAUCCACAUGACAGGUGAACGAGCUCAUAUUCACCCUUUUAUAUGUUCCAAAAUUUUUUAGGGGAUUACAGUCCCAACCUUAGCUGGUAUAAUGAUCAUUUUAUCAAGAGAACAAGCAACACAAGAGAAUUUUUGAAGAAUCUUUAUUUCUUCAUCAUAUAUUUCACCUGAAUUCUCAAUUACGUUUGCAUCACAUUUAUUCAGAAUGGUCAACCAGUCAUGCUAACUGAUCUUUAUUUUAGUACACUUAUAAUUUACUUUCGCAUGUGAUUUCAUCAACAUGCCCACGUUUGUGUGCGACAAACAAGAGGAAACAAUGGGUAACCUUUAAAAGAAAUAUUUAUAACUCAUUCGGUUGUAGUGAUUUAUAGUCUCGAUAUUUAUUUUUAAUUCAUCCGAAAUUUAAAUAUAUUUCUUUUGAGACUUACUACAACCCCAUUAUUAUUCCUCUGAUAAUAACACAACUCGUUAGAGAUUGCUAUUAAUUUUGUGUACUAUCACAUAUUGCAUGACACAAUCUCUAUUGUGAGCAUCUCAUUCAAGGAGAAAUUAUAUCAUUAUUGUCAUGGUCAAAACAUUACGAGCAAGACAUGUUUCUAGCUUUACUUUUGUUGUACCAUAGGUACACAACCAAUGACAAAUUUGUAUUGCCACACAAUAAUUACCACAACCCUUAUAGGCAAGAACUAUUUCUUUCUUUUUCCCUUUCGGUUGUUCACAAUAAACAUACCAUAAUGACGUAUAAACGUACAAUAUGAUUAGCCAUUUCUGCCAAAUAAAGUUUAUUUCCUCUCAAACCUCCCGUAGAGGUGAGUUUUGACAUUUAUCAUUUUUUCUUAAACCUCCUACAGGAGAGUUAUGGCAUAUAUCAUUUUUUGUCAAACCUUCCAUAGAGGUGAGUUGUGUCAUAUAUCCAACUCAUAAUGAUUUUAUCACAUAUGGAUCAAUUCUCUUAUAGCAUGGUCGAGCAUUCACGAUACUCAUCACAAGUCACAUUCUCUUCAAGAAAUUGACUAAUCAUUUAUAUGUACUUCAUAAAUUUGCAUUAUAAGCACAUUGUCAUGGCUUUAAAAUUCAUCAUAUUUCCAUGAUACACUUCAACAUCACUUUGAAAGAUCAAGUGUACCAUCACUUUAUCUUCUUGUCUUUUGAUGGAGGAUUUAUAAAUUAUUGGGUCGACAACAUUCACAAGUCCAAUGUCCUUUCAUACCAUUUUGAUAAUGAAAAGUGCCUUCACAUUUCGAAGGACUAUUUGGAAAACCCAUAGUGUUCUUCCUUUUAUAAUUACCACAAUAAUGACUAUUAUAAUUACGUCCCUUCAUGCUCUUUUUCAUAUUGUUAAUUAUUUGUCAUCUUUCAGACUAACUAUUUACUGCUACCACAUUCAUAUGAUAGAACGGAGCAAAUGAACAUGCGAUUUUAAAAUUAUCAUAUAUUGCUACCACAUUCUUUUCAAGGAAUGGAGCAAAUUCAAUAGGACGAAUUUCAAGACUUUUCAUCAAAGCCUUAGUCAUCAUUAUAUCAUCACUUUGGUGCAUUGACUCAAACUCAAUGUCUUAUCCAUAUAAGGCGUGUUAUGCCAUAAAUCUAUGGGUCUUGAACCCAAUCACGGUGCAUCAAAACUCAAAUUGAUGUCUUACCCUUUUGGUGCGAUAGAACUUGAAUUGUUCAUCUUAUCCUCAAAUAUUUUUAUUAUGGUACAUCCGGACUUUAACCUGAUGUCUUACCCUUUUGGUGCGAUGAAACUUGAAUCCAUCAUCUUACCCUUAACCAACGGUAUAAUAAAUCGAAGUACAACAUGACUCACCCUUUGAGUCUUUCAAAACAAUCAAAAUAACAUUCAAAUUCAUGCUAUUAAAAUUUAUACCUUCUUCUAUUUAAGAAAUUUUGUAUAGCAUGUCAUAUUCAACCAAUAGUAGUAUAUGUCUUCGGUUCCUGAUAAUGAAAACUGCCUUCAAAUUUCGAAGGACUAUUUGGAAAACCCAUAGUGUUCUUUCUUUUAUAAUUACCACAAUGAUGACUAUUAUAAUUCCGUCCCUUCAUGCCCUUUUUCAUAUCGUUAAUCAUUUGUCAUCUUUCAGACUAAUUAUUUACUGCUACCACAUUUAUACGAUAGAAUGGAGCAAGUCAGCAUCGGAUUUCAAAGUUAUCAUAUGUUUCUAUCACAUUCUUUUCAAGGAAUGGAGCAAGUUCAAUAUGACAAAUUUCAAGGUUUUUCAUCAAAACCUUAGUCAUCAUUAUUUAAUCACUAUGGUGCAUUGACUCAAACUCAAUGUCUUAUCCAUACAAGGCGUGCUAGGUCAAAUUCUAAAGGACUUGAACCCAAUCCUUAUCAUCAUGGUGCAUCAAAACUCAGAUUUGAUGUCUUAUCCUCUUGGUGCGAUAGAACUUGAAUCUGCCGUCUUACCAUUAAUUUUUUUUAUGUCAUCCGGACUUUAACCAGAUGUCUACCAUUUUGGUGCGAUGGCUUGACUUCAUCGUCUUACCCUUAACCAACAAUAUAAUAGACCGCAGUACAACAUGACUCACCCUUUGAGUCUUUCAAAAUAAUCAAAAUAAUAUUCAAACUCAUGCUAUUAAAAAUUUAUACCUUCUUCCAUUUAAGAAGUUUUGUAUAGCAUGUCAUAUUCAACCAAUAGUUGUAUAUACCUUUGGUUCCUCAUAAUUGUUAGUGAUUGAAUACUAUUGUAUUCUAAAUCAUAAAAAUAUUUUAGAAUAUACAUACCUAAUUUUAUGAAUAUAAUACCUUGAUUCUCAUAACGAGACCAACCAAAACAUGAGUUAAAGAAAAACUAAAACUCAAUCUUAAUUGGUUAGAGACUCGUGCUGAUAACGUGUUAUAAAAUCAAGCUCAUAAGAAUAUAAUCAUAAAGAGAAAAAGACAAGAGAACUAGAUAGAAGAAGAGGAAUUUUCUUCUUAUUCAAGUGUAUAUUACAAUGGUGAGUGUUAUCUCUAUUUAUAGGUAGAGAAAUCAAUCAAAAGGUCACCAUGUUUAAUGUCACAUUAGUAGAUACAUUUCUAUCCCAAAAAGAUUCAUCACCUUGGGAAUACAUAUCCACGAUAAGGAUAAGUUUAUGAUAAGCUUAAUGGACAAUCCACUUAAUUCAAUGUAUUUAUAACAUAAUUUACUUUAUUUAUAUAAUAAUUUCUAAUUUAAAUUUAAUAACAAUUCAUCAUUUUCUCAAAACGUUUCUUUGAGUUAUUAAUGAGAAGAGUUAUGUAGAAAUAAAAUGAAAAAUAUAAAUAAGAAGAACAAAAGACAAAAUUAUAAAAAGACAAGGCUAAUAAACUUAAAACAAAGACUUAUUGCAUAAAAGAUAUAACAUAUAAAGAACAAAAAAACAAAAAAAAUAUAGUUUUAGAGUGACUUCAAAAAAUAAUGAGGCCUUUUAUUGGGUAUUCUAAGCCCAAAACCUAAGCCUAUCUCAACCUUUUCAAGGUUGAGAAAAGAUAUAAACCUUUUGCACUCAACGAGAAUCGUACCCAAACCUUGGGGCUUAAUAAUGAACACCCUUGCCAGUGAGCCACACUUCUCUAUUAGUUGUUAAGGGGUUAACAGAAGAAGUUAACUUUAUAUAUACGGUGUAAUUUUUCGACAAGGGAGUUCACGUAGGUCCGCCCCUGGUUAUAACUAUCAUAGUUCAUACUAUUAUGAGCCUGUUUGGCUCAGCUUAAAAGAUGGUCAAACUAACUUAAAAGCUGGUUUUUGACUUAUUUAGCUGUUUGACAAUACUCAAAAUAACUUAUUUUAAGUUUAAAAAAAAAAUAUUUUAAGCCAAAAGUUAAAAGCUGGGUUAGGGGUGCUUUUUUUUUUUUCCAGCUUAUAAGCUGUUUUAAGUUGACCACAUUUUUACCUUUUUGCCCUUAAUAUUUUUAUACAAUCUCCAAAUUACCCCCAUAACCAUAACAUCUCUUUCUUAUAUUUUUCCCUUUUCACGUGUGGAUGAUAGACAAUUACUAUUACUAAUGAAUGAAAAUAAAAUAAAUCUUAAAUCUUUCAAGUGAUCUAUUCAAAUUAUAUAUUAUUAAAAUGUAAAAUAAGUUACACAUAUAACUUAAAUAAAAAAUUAUAUUCCUCUUAUAAAUAAUUUGUGAUAAUAAAGAAAUAUGUGAAUGAUAGACAAUUAUUAUUACCUAUGAAUAAAACUAAAAUAAAAUCUUAAAUCAUUCUUUAAUCUAUUCAAAUUAUAUAUCUUUAAAAUCUAUAAUAAGUUUAUAUUCCUCUUAUAAAUAAUUUGUGAUGAGAAAGAAAUAUGUGAAUGAUAGCAAAAUAUAAUUAUUUAUGGCUGUAAAAUAAAAAUUAAUUAAUUUUUAUUAUGUUAACAGCUUUUAAGGGUAUUUCAGACAUUUUGAUUUAAAAAUCUGUUUAUCAGCACUUAUUUGCCAAACACAUCAACAACUUUUUUUUUAACUUCAACACUUUUAUCCAAACGCAUAACUGCUUAUUUUAAAAAUAAGUUUCAGCACUUUCAAAAGUACUUUUUUAAAGCUACUUUUAUUAAGCCCAUCCAAACGGGCCCUAUAUUAUUAAAAUGUUUAACAUCUUCUUAACUACUCGUAUAUGUUAAUAUGCUUUUCACUUAGUCGAUUGGUUUGAAUUCAAGUUGUGAUGGGAUUAGUUAUGAUGAGAUAAACUAUGAUAGGAUUAGUUAUAAUGAGAUAAGAUACAUUGAUAUUAUUUAUUAAGUGUUUUGUUUGUUGACUGUUGUAUUCAAAUAAUAGGCUUAGCAUAUAUUUUAAGAACAAUUUAUUUGCUUACAAAAGUAUGUAUUAAAAAGGUGUAAAAGAAUAAUUUUUGUCAUACUUAUUUUAUCGUGGGAUAAGUUAUUUCGGGAUUACUAUACGAGAAUGGAUAACUUAUAGUGAUACUAAUUAUUAAUUGCGGGGAUAAGUUAUAUCGUACUUACCAAUCAAACGACAAAUUAAGUGGCACUACAAUUUCAUCCCAUAACUAUUUUAUGUAAUUCUUCACAUAGGUUUUAGUUUUGUUUUUAGUAUCCAUUUUCAUCUUUGUUCUUCAUUAGCACAAAUUUGUCCAAUUACAACAAUAAGUAAUACUAACAUAGGAGUACUAGAUCAAAAUCAUCUUUCAUUGUCCUUCAAUUGACUCAUAAUCUCAAGAGACUUACUUAGUCCCUUGACAAAAUCAUGUAUCUAACAAGACUUAAACUCAUUCGCAAAAAUAACAAUUUUCCACCAAAGAACAUAAAUAAAGAGGAAAAAAAUGAAAAUGUAUCCAUCAAAUUACAAAAUGCAUCUUCUUGUAUUGGAGGAAUUGCUCUCCUUGUGCCUCCAUCAGUUCUGUCAAAGCACAAAAAGUCAACGUCACGAUAAAAAAGGACUAGACAAAGUUUGGGUGUGCACUGAAUAAAACGUGUCAAGUUUAGGGCGAUUCCGCCCUUUAAAAUUGAGUUAUGGAUCAAGUUGAAUACUCACUUGAGGUGGAUCUUCUGUUUUUUGAGGUGCUUCUUCUGUUUUUUUAGGAGGUUCUGCUGAUUUCGGUUCAUCAGCUUUCGAAUUCUCUUCAGCUGCACAAACAGUAAUGUUCAAUAUAGUUAUCUAAACAAGGCGGAGUCAAUAUUUGAAGCUACAAUGUGCUAUCCACAAAGGCGGAGCCAGGAUUUAAAGUUUAUGGGUUCGGGAUUCCAGCUCUUGAUAAUCAGGACUAAAUCCUGAAACAAACAUUUAAAUGAUUUUUACCUCCGUCUUCGGGCAAAUCAGAGGUCCAUAGUGUGAGAUUGUCUCUCAACAGCUGCAUGAUUAAGGUACUGUCUUUGUAUGAUUCUUCACUCAAAGUGUCCAACUCUGCUAUUGCCUCGUCGAAAGCUUGUUUAGCCAAGUGACAAGCCCUGCAUUUUGGAAAUUGUUAAUCUACAACGUAACAUCAUCCAGAGGACAAGAAAUAUACAUAGUCUGCAGGUAUUAAUUCAUCUGUCUUGAACUUUACCUUUCGGGGGAAUUCAUGAUCUCAUAGUAGAACACAGAGUAGUUCAAAGCAAGACCGAGCCUGAUCGGAUGUGUUGAAGGGAGAUCAGAGUUUGCAGUGGCAGUAGCAGCCUGAAGAAAACAUAUCAAGAGAACUUUCAAAUGUGCGCACUUUAAGUUAUAUACGCUGACAGUGUAAAGAUAUUUGUAAGAUAACUUGCCUCGUAGCCUUUCAAUGAUAGUUCAGAAGCCUCUUUCUUUUCCUGAUCAGUCUUGAACUCAGCAAGGUAACGAAAAUAAUCGCCUUUCCUGAACCAGACAAACAAAAAAAUAAGUCAUAUACGUAUGGAUUGUAAUGCAAGAAUUGUAAUAAACACAGGCCGGAGGUGCCUGGCCUCAUUCCUCCACAUGAAAGAGAGUCGAAAAAGCUGUUAAACUCUGCCCUUCUUUGGAUAUCAGGUCAGAACUUCGGGUAGAAUGGGCAAAACUCCGGACCUUUAGGAAUGAGGGGUACCAAACUCUGCAACUAAUGAGAAGGCCCAACGGAGUAAAGGGAGCUAAGGAAGUGUGUACGUUGUCACACUCCCUACACCUCCCAAAGGUUCUUAGAGAACAGGCUGAACACAGCACAGUGAUGUGUCACGGACUUAGAGUCUCACUAAAACUCCGUGUGCCCCUACCGAGAUGCAAAAUUUGACUGGCAAAGUGUAGGGACAGGACAGAUGACUCUAAAAGUCAUGAAGAACCUCAGAACAGGAUCACAAGCUUGUUAUGGACCAUUUUGAUUAACAAAAACAGGUAGAAAGGGUUGUUGUUGUUAUGCAUUUGACUUACAUUUUGUAAUAAAAGACGGUAGCUUCACCGGUGCCAGAUGAUGGAAUGAGAUGUUUGUCUAUGAUUUCAAGAAUAUCAUGGCAAAUCUUGGAGAGCUCCUCUUCUACUUUCUGCCUGUAUCCCUUAAUCAGCUUGACAUUGUUCUCGUUCCCUUUCGACUCUUCCUUCUGCUCGAUGGAAGACAUGAUACGCCACGAAGCCCUUCGAGCUCCAAUUACAUUCUUGUAACCAACAGAAAGCAAGUUCCUUUCCUCCACUGUCAGUUCAGCAUCCAGUUUUGCAACUUUCUUCAUACUCUCAACCAUUUCUGAGAAAUAAUAAAUGGUAAUAUGAAGUUAUCAAACACUAUAAUGGUGCAAUGCGAAGACAUUAACUACAUCUCACUCCCCAUUAAUGAGAUGAGAUGAAUGUGAAAUCACGGUUAUCACUCAAUCAACAAUUAUUAUCUCAUAAACUUGCCUUUCUUGUUGAUGAACUUUCUUCAAUAAAGAAAGUUAAUUUAUGGUAAUAACUAUUAGUUGAGGAAGCUAAGAAAUCAACUCGGCUUAUUACAUUCUCACAAGAAGUGAAAUAGGUAUAAAAAUAUAAUGAUAAUAUAAAAAUUCUUUACACGAUGCAUAAUAUCAAACUUAACCAAGCAACUUACAUGCCUUUAACCCCAAUAAAAGAACCAAGCCAACUUACUUGACACUUUGCCUCUAAAUUGCUCGGAUCUAGAGGUCAGAUGUUUCAUGAUUUAAAUUUUUUAUGAUUUGGAGUAUCGAUCUAGUUGCAGGAUUUGCCGAAAAAGAAUUCAAAUAUCUAAACUAAAGUUGUAUGUCUAAAUUAAGAUACAUUAUGUGAAAAAUUUAUGGGGGAAAAUGCACAUGUAACCCCAACCUAUGCCCGAAAUCCAGAGACAUGCUUAUACUUACUAAGGUACUAUCAUCCCGCACUUAUUUUACAAAUAAUUUUAUACCUAUUUUGACCUAUGUGACACUAUCAUUGAAAAAAUUGUUAACAUACGUUGUACCCAGAAGAUAUGCCACGUAGGUAGAAAGUUAUUUAUAAAAUAAAUUCGGGGACCUUAUUAUAAUAUAAGUGUAUCUUUGAGAUUUGAAGCAUUUCGAGGAAAAAAUAUUGAUCAAGAGGAGAAUACUGAUAUAAGAAAAAGGGAUUGGAUUUGACACACUUGAAACUCAUCAGUAUGGAAACAAUAUCUUCUCUCUCAAGAACAAGUACAAAUUCUUCAAAAAAUUGAUCACACACUAUUCUAGCACAAGUAGAACUACAAUGUAAGGGAGAAAAAGGAUGUAUCAAAAGAAAAUAAAAAGGAGAAACUUUAUACAUAGUAAUAUGUAGAUGAUUUUAUUCAUGUUAUUCCCUCCGUCUCAAUCUAUAUUAUUGUCACGGAGUUAAAGAAAACAAAAAAAUUAAUAAUUGAAACUUGUGAUCUAAAACAAACAGAGGAAAAAGAAUUACCAUCAUAACGUUCAGCUUGUUCCGCGAGCUUGGCUGUGUAAACAUGAGUUUCUCUUUCCUUUUCCUUUGACAUUUUUCUUUAAUAAUUAGGGUAAACAAUAUAGUGUUCUUCUUGUGCAAAUUACAAGCCAAAAGGAUAUUGAUGUGAAUUAAGAAAGUGAUUAGAGUACUAAUUAUACGUAUUAUUUCAAGAGAGAAAAUGGAUAAUAAGGAGGGCAUUGACAGUUACAACAUGGAGAAAGUUGUGGGAAAAAGACUCAUAUCUACCAUUCCAUUAAUUAUUACUACAAUUGGUAAACCGCCAAUUGAGGUUAAACUUAACUAAUUUUCUUUCCAACAUAUUUACAUAAUUGUCCCCUUUGUACGUGUUAUAUGAAAGAUUAAAAAUAAUAAUAAUUGAACACUCAUCUCAAACAACAAUCAUAACAAUAAUAUAUUCAGUGUAAUUUCAUAAGUAUAGUCCGAAAAAGAUAACUAGAUGAGGUGUACAUUGUAACACUUCGAGAAUUUCCAAGCUAAGGCCCGAACCGUUGUGUGUAAGGUUGUACCGGCUUAUUCUUAAAUUUCUCUUAGGUGUAAAGGUCAAUAUUUUUUGGUGUGGGAUGAAUUUGGAAAUGAAUUAAGCUCACAAGAAUCCCAGCACAAAGUUAAGUUUAAAGUUUACUAACCGAUUAAGUUUUGACAUAAGAUUUCACGUAGGUAAACUUCAAAUAAUCAUAUCUUUCGACACAUAAUAAAUUAUGUGUCACAUGACCUAUCACAUUGAAGGUGUAUGAGUCCUCUUUUUAACUCAACUAAUUAAAAUUGCCUUAUUUCGAGUUCAAAGACUACUACAUCAAAGUUUUCUAAGUCUGUGAACUACAAAACCCUUCUAUGAGUCAGUAAUUCAAUCCACGAUCCAUACUGUUAAGUCGUGAAUACAUUUCAGAGAGUCUAAUUUUGGACUUUGAUUCAUAAGAAUCCAUCUUCGAGUCUUAAAACCUUCUACAAGCCACAGUGUGGACCUAUAGAAUAAGUUUUCGGGCCUUAAUAUUCAAUAUAUAAAUUCAACAGAUUGGAUCUACGGGCCGUGGAAACUUCUACGGGGGGUCGUUUUGACCCGUAAAAUGAAAUUUUGAGACUUAAAAUUUAAUAUAAAUUAUAUGGAUUGGUUUUACUAUUCGUGAAAACUUCUACGGGUUGUCAUUUAGAUCCGUACAAUGAAAUUUUGAGCCUUAAAAUUUAGUAUGAAAUCCACAUUUGGGAUCUAUGAUCCGUAUAGACAACCAAAAAUCGUAGAUGACCUCAUGAAAGGUUUUCAUCAACUUUUGGAGGGUAAUUUAGUCUUUUCUCACCCAUUUUAAGUUGUUUCUUCAGCAAACCAAAACAUUUUUACACCUAAUUAAGGUUCUAAAUAGUAUUAGUUGACCCUAAUACUCUCACUAAAACUUCCAAAUCUUAGCAAGGAUCCAAGAGGAGAAAAAUACAGUUUUCAAUCGUACUUCCAGUUUCACCAAGAAGUUUGUUCUUCCAAGUAUGUAAGAUUAUCAUAGUGAUAGACUAAAUUCGUCUCCACGCCCUACAUCUAUCUAAAUUCAGUCUAAGAGUAGUCUAGAGUUUUAUCCAAGAUUUUGAGUAAAUAUGAGAUGAUUAGUAUAGUUGAAAUCUGAUUUCUUGAUUUCUGAGUGUUGAGUCUUUGUAUUUUUAUUGAGAUCCUUGAAUUGAUUGGUUCAUGUAUAUAUUACACCAUCAACACUAUUUUGAGUUAUAAUUUUGGAGAUUCUUUUAAAGCAAAUAUUUUUGUCUUAAAUUGAUCUUGUGAGAAAGCAAAGAUGAUUUUGAGAAAGGGUUUUAAAUAUGAUUUGAGUAAGAGUAUAAGGGAACUAAGUAUUCCCAAAUAAUUUUUUACAUUGAGAAAAGAAAAUUUUUGAUUUCAAAAUAGUUAAUGAGUUCAUUGCUAUUUCAUAGCAGUUACCACUUUUAAUAGGAUAUUUUGAGCAAUUACCUCAAAUUGAGAAAGAGCAAGCUUUGUACAUUUAAGCAUGAAUAUAUAUUUAUUGGGAGUAGUGUUGUACACCGAUAUGGGUGUAAGUUCAGACAACUCACAUUUCUCAUAAACCUUGUAGCCAUUAGCCAACAUGCGUAAAGGAUCAUUAUUUUUAGAUAACUCAUUAUUUUCGAGAGAGCUUUAGUGAAUCCACUUAGAUGAAAUGUUCUAUAUCCCGCCAAGGUACAGGACAAUUUUGGAUGUGUGGAAGAGACAUUGUAUCAUCAGGUUACUCAUAGUGAUUAUUUUCGAUUAGCAAAUCUCCCAAAUAGAUUUAAAUGUAUAUUUUAGCAUAACACUUAAUAUGUUGAGUUCAUACAUGAUUAAGUAUUUUGUAAAGUUUAAAUAAUUUCACUCCUUUAUUUCUUUACAUUCAGUUGAGUAUGUAUUCAUAUCAAUUGCAGUCCUUUCAUUAUGUCAUUUCGCUUUAACUAUAUUACAUAUUCGUACAUUCAAUGUAUAGAUGUCAUUCAACCUGCAUCUUUUUGUAAUACAACUGCAUGUGUUUAAGAUCAUGAAUAUGCGCAUCGUUAAGAUCACUUUGCACUUCCUAUUUUUGUGGCUCCUCCUUGCAUUCCAAAAAGUCCCCUUUUUCAUUUCAAUAUUUACUUUAGGACAUCAAGGAUCUUGUCCUAACGUCCAUGUUGAACUUAGAGGUGUAACGACCUGUAAGGUCGUUUUUGUAAUUUUUAUAAAAUGACCAUUUUACCCCUCCCAAUAGUUGCCUCGAGUGAUUAAUGAUCAAUAGAUGAAGUUGAUUUUAAGAAUUUUGAACUUUUUGAUAAAUACGAUUAUUUAAUUGAUAGAUAUUAAUUAAAUAAUUUAUUUAUUUAGUUGUUGAUUAAUAGGUCAAGUCCAUAAUUCAUUUAGUGACCCACGUAAAAUACAUUAAGAACCUAAACUGAGACAGAACCGUAUAGUUAGUGCAGCACCAUGUCACGAAGUAAAAAGAGGAUGUUGUGCAGAAUUUGAGAUAAUACGAGAAAAUAUAUAAACGCGAAAAACAAGACAACAGAUUUACGUGGUUCACCAAUAAAUUGGCUACGUCCACGGGAAGAGAGAGAGCAGUUUUAUUAUGGAGAGGCAAAAACAGAAUUGCAAAAAUAGGGUUUGCCAUAGCGUCUAUAUAUAUAUAGUGCUAACCCCCGUCCUUUCUGUUUGUAACGGGUCCGAUUCAAGACAUUCAACAGAGGACGAAAAGUGAAUCCUGUUCCUUCAGGUAAGAAAUGUAACUAAAAUUUUGUGAUAAUUUUAUACAUAUUGCAAGUGAAAGAAUUAAAAAUCAAAUAGUCCAAUUGGUGAACAAACUUUUCCCACUAAUAAUCAUGUGUAUGACGUUAAUUCUGAUGGGAGGAAACGUAUUGAAUAUUUAAAUUAUGUAUUUCACUGGAAUUUGGUCUUUAGAGGAUAAGUUUGAGUGGAAAAUAUUUUGACAUAUUGAUAGCUAAUAAUUUGUAAGUUUUAGAUAGCAAAAAAAUUAUGUUAAAUUAUAGUGAGUAUCUACGAGUGUAGUGAGUUGAUAUUUAAGUUUUUCCAAAAUUGGUGUUUUAAAUUUAUGUAUAAAUAUUGUUUUAUGGGUUACUGCUAACAAGAACUGGGACUACGUCUUUAGGUAAAUUAUGACUAGUGAUCAGGGGAUGUGAUUAUUGAAUAGAUGCACUGAUAAUAUUCUUUCUAAAAUUAGUCCACGAGCACAUAUUAGUUACGGUUUAGUGUUGAUUUUGUAAGUUUGUUUGAUUUCGAAUAUUUUGUAAUUAUUACAUUAUAAUUCAAGUUUUGAUAUAUUGAGAUAGGUAAUUAAAUAUCGGAUGAAUUAUAUUAUAUGAAAGCUUUUAAGGUUGUAGUCUUAACCUUAGGCUUGAAUUGAGAACUGUGAGAGUUGAAGUAUUAAUUGACAUCAAAAUUAGGAACGUGACAUAGAUUGGAGUGAGUUUAUGGGUAUAGGCAUAAUAAUAUGGGGUUUGUUAGUUUUGAAAUCUUAUUAUGGUCAUUUGUUUGAAUAGAUUGCUUUGAGUUGGAAGUUCAACAAAAAGGGAAGGCUCAACUAUCGGAGUAAAUUCUUGAUUGAUUGAGGAAAGUGGAUUCUCUUGCUAAGUGUAUGAAAUGCGUGUAUUUCCUUGUGGUAUAUGUUUGGGAGUAAUGAGAUUUGGCUAUGGGUUGACUUGUCCACGUUGAUUAAUUCUAAUGAUAAAAAGGGGUAAUAAAAGAGAAUGUGAUUAUUUGUUUGUAUGUGAUAUGUUGAGAAUGGUAAGAGUACCGGUGUUAUAAUGGAAAAGUUUAUUACUAUAGAAUGUGGAUUGUAAUCCAAGAAUGCCAAAGCAUAUGUGCAUUAGUUGAUAUAUUAUUAAUUUGAUUUAUUAUGUGUGAUUGUGUUCUUUACUGAACCCGUAAAAUUGUGAUAAUUGAGGUGAUUAUAUGUCAUAGAAACAUUUGAUUUAUUGAGAUGUUGCAUCAUCUCCUUUACUUGAUGUCAUAUUAUGUACAAGCAUUGACAUGAGAUUGAGUAUGAGUAAAGGUCUAACACGUGGAGAUCGUUCUUGUUGAGAUCGAAUUAUGAUUAUUUGGGCACGUGGAGAUCGUCCUUGCGAUAGAAAGUUAUGAUUAUGAUUGGGCACGUGGAUAUCGUCCGUGCGGAAUUUAUUUAAUUUAUGAUAGUGCGUUGAGAUCGUCCGCACAAACACAUGGAGAUCGUCCAUGUAGGUAUAUGGACCUCGCGAGUCCCCCAUGGAUCAUGAACUCUCGAUGUGUUUCCGAGGAGUAUCAUGUAUAUACGAC
rnacentral:lncRNA from 1 species